GGACACAGUUCUGCUGCCAGAGCUGGGAGCUCAGUUGUCUCAUCAAUGAUUCCACCUUACCCUGGCAGUGUAGCUCGGGCCCGAGACCGUGUUCAAGCUCUUCAGGCAUAUUUUCAGCAACCAAGCAAUACACCAUCAAUACGCAAUCCAGUGAUGUCUGGAUCACGGAGAUCAAGUGCUCAUAGGAGUGUGGCACAAGUUGGUCCAGUUGCUUCAUCGUCUGACCAGACUGGUGCUUUUUAUUUCAUCCCUUCAAGUUCAUCUGGAAGAACCUAUCAAGAAGCAGAAAAUUCCCUGCCCAAUCGCUUCCAUGGUUGGGACCGAGAACACUUGCCUUCGUUUCCCUCGAGUCAGAUUGAUAGAGACCCGGGUUGGGGACCAUUCCAUCAAGCAGCUGGUGGGGCUGAUGGUAGUCUCCAGGACUAACAGCUUUCGUCAGAGGCAUGGACCUGAGAGGAUGCCAUCACAAAAUCGGUCAUAGACUGCUUAUUAUGUCGUGAUGAAACGUUAUGAUAACUAUGACUGAAACACAAUUUAUAUAUAAUGUUUGAGAAACAAUGAACAACAGUUGUAGCCUGUCAAGAUUGGCAGACGAAAAGCUGUUAGAUGGCCUUAAAAGUUUGGUGGCCAAGUGAUUGUGUGAUGGAUUUUGGCUUCCUUCCUCAUGUCUUUGCCUGGGGACAAUGAGAUCCACUCUUCAAUGGCAAAGUUGUAAACAUUUCCAGCAAUUGGCUUUGAAAUUGUUUUCAUAACGAGUAACAUGACAUCCAUGUUCUCAGGAAAUUCUCUGAAUAAAUCACUCAUUGGCUGUUCAUAUUUGAAAAGUGAAUUCAGGUCAAGAAACCGAGAGCGAGCAAUUGCCUUGGGACUCCGCUGGCUGAAGGCCUAUUCUCAAUCUUACUUUCUUAUUAAAAGAGCAGACUCCUUCGUAGACAUGGGAUCUUAACUCAUGACUGGAUAAACCCUUCGCUUGACUCUCGAACUCAUGACUGGAUAAACGUCUAAGCGAUUUUGUCAUGUUCCCCAGUCUCAACUUUUUCGCCACUUGCGUGAUAGUAUCUUGUUCCAGUCUCUUUGCUUUCCGACAUCUUUAUUGUUAUAUAUUUAAAGCAUGAACACCAAUUUUGAUGUUAAAAUUUCUGUGAUUUCAUGUAAUGUCAAGGAAGCCUUUCUUCCAUUGGCAACUUAGACAACUCGCUUCCCGUUCUUUUUAUCUUUUGCCUGCUUCUGGCCUCUCAAUAAAACCUAGUACCAUAUAGUAACUUCCACUAGGAAUACAGAGAGUCCGACAAAUGCUGAAGAUUCUAAUGUGCACGAGCGUGUUCUCGACAUAUAAUUCUUUCCUCUACAGCUAUAGCACCAAGGCACAUUUUUAGGCUUGAAAGGUUAUAGAAGAUGAUAUCCUUCCGUUGCAUGAUGCAUAUUGCAAAUUUCAGGACAUCUUCAUUCGCCGGAAUUUCGCGAGGCAGGUACCAAUUUCAUUGAAGUACCCACCAGCGUGGCUGCAGAGCGCCUCCCCUUCAAAAGAUCAGCCGGAGCUCCCCCAGAAACCACUUCCUCAUCAAUCUCUUCGCAUCGAACACUACUUGCUUGUUUGUUAAAACAUCAUCAUAGCAAAAUCUUUAACAGGAGGCCUACUUAUCGAGAUCAAGUUCUUUCAGAAAGCAAAGCAAAAUCCUCGCAUGAUAAUAGGGAAGAAAGUAAAAAGUGAUGGGACUUUGACCACAACCACGUCACUCCAUCAAUAAAAACAACAGCGCUAUAUAUACCCAUUGAUGCGUAAGCCGACAACCAUAUAUUAGAAUACGCAGAAGGAAAAUGAGAGCGCCGACAAGAGAGGACACAGUAAUCAGAAGUUCUAAUGCGAAAAUCAAUCUCCACAUCAUAAGGUAAUACAUAUUUAUCAGGCCAAAUUCAUACGUCAUGUAAGUUCUGUGAAGGGCUGAAGGUGACAGCAUGUUCCUUGCAAAAGCCGCAACACAAUAUUACUAAUCCAAAUCCCAGGGAACAAAUGAUUGGGUCCUACUAAGUCUGCUCCGUAGAACCCUCAUUUAAAGUCAGCCAGGUAGAGCUUGAAUCAGCUUCAAUCAGAUCUCACCUGUAAAUUACAACAAUCAAAAAGGCAGUUCCUCGAGUACAAUAUAAUUAGAAAAUGGAGGAGAAAGCAUACAUACAGGAGAUAGAGAUCCAGAGAUGCUCCUGCUUCGGCUCCUACUAAGGCUUGGACUUCUGCUUGCAUAUUUGCGACGCUGUGAAUAUACAAGAUUAAAUGGGAUCAGUAAGUUCAGUUUUGUCGAAUGGAAAACAAGAAGUAAUCCCAGAGGAGUUUAUGACUUACAGAUAGUAUUGGGCUUCUAAAUUUCCUUGGAGAUCUGCAAAAAUUUCCAAAAUAAACCCAUUUUAAUAUCCAGAACAGUCCAAUAUGACUUCUGAUCCAUAUGCAUCCAUGCUACCUCGACGUCGAUAAUCAAACCAAGGAAACAAUAUCUACCAGCAAUCUUUAGCACCACUUAACAUACACUCUUUUAGACCAAUCCAAAAUAAUUUCACGUUCACUGUUGUCCCAUUCUUCAAAUCUGGUCUUCUCCAACGUGGGAGGACAAUGAUACACAAUGCUAGGGCAAAGAGUAAGACAAUUCGCUCAUACUUUACCAACAGCAAAGCUAAGAAGCUGUUGUAAACCACACAAAGAUGAUGCUGUCAUCGUUACCUUGGGUUCAGAGUUACGAAGUGCCAUUCUAUCUAGUUUUUGUUACUUUUUUGCAAAAACCACCUUAGACAAGAAUCCACAUUAGGAAAGAAUCCAUCAUCUUCACUAGGGAAGUUAGCACCAUGGGCAUCACUUGCCACAGUUAAAAAAGUAUUAACAAAAUUUACCAUCCAGGCUAUGCAGCAGGUGCUCAUCAACUAAAACAGCAUGCAGCCACAGGGCCCACAACCAAGAGUUGCAUGAUAUUUGAGCACCAUAAUCCUCAAGUCCCUAACAUGCAAAAUCCCCAGAUCGCCGCGAAAAUCCAGAUCUAGAAAACAAAAAAACCAAUCUUCAUAACAGUAUCAUUAACCACAAAAGGUGGCAAGUCCUUUCUGAAUUGACCCUAUCCCCGAGGAUAAAAUGGAUUGUGACACUUGAGAACAAAAGACAUCUAGCAUACGCAUAUCUUAUUAGAAUUACUAAUCUGAAAUUCACCCAGAAGUGAAGCCAACAGUGCUGACUUUUGUGAAGAAAAAUAUUUUUUCUUUUUUCCAAAAAUUGUCAACUACUAAGGUGCCUUUUGAACAGACUAUUAAAAUGCCUGAACGGGACAGACUUCUCUGUAACUAGAAGUUAAAAUGCAUUAUGCUAGAAAGAGCAGUGAAUCUCCUUUUCCAGAUAUUGGAAAAAAUUAAGGUGCCUUUUUGACUGGUGAAACAGAACAAAAAGCCUAGAUAAUUCCAUAUGUUUUACAGGAAAAGAGACCAUAAAUAUAAAUGUAAAUUGAAAACUUCAAGUAGAAGAUCAAAAAUUUCGUAUCUUUCAUCUUUUUUUAAUUUCAUUUACAAAAUUGGGUGGUCAAAAACUAUCCAUCUCAUAUCAGCAACAUAAGAAGCAAAACAUUUUGCUCCUUUAAUGGUUUCAUCUUAAAAACUCAAGAUUACUAAAGAAAAGUAACAGAACAUGCAGCAGUCAUCCAUAGAUGACAAGCUUAGCAUUAGAAACCAGAAGCUGGACCAAAAAAAAAAAAAGUUUUAUAUCCAACAAGAAGACGAGGAAGGAAAAUGAUUGGUUCAGUGAUAUCCAAAGAACUAAGAAACAUUCAUCACUAGAAUCAUAAUCCGAGUAAUAAGCCACGUAAUAGAAGCAUGCAAAGAAGAGUAAGGAAAAUGAAAGAAAGAUCACACACUGUUCCAAAAAAAAAAAAAAACAGAGAGGAGAGAAAAUAAUAACCACUUAAAAAGCACUUUAAAUGGCAUAAAGGCACUAGCUUUGAACAAAUUAUUUCUCAGAUGAAAACAGAAUAAAGCACAACCAUUAAAAUCAAAAUGGAGAAUUUCAUAUUUGGAAGUAGUCUUCUGAAAAUGACAGUUAACCCUUCAAGCCCGUGAUAAUCAGGAGAGAGAAGAGAGUAUGAAUCAUAUAGCAAUUUUGACUUAGCUUCAUAAUACAUAUACCUCAUGUUAACCUUGUUGAUGCAACAACAUCAUGAAAAUAUAACAUCUCAGGAACUCACUCUGGCAGUUGCUGAUAAAAAUACCAGCCACUCUCAUGCAUUUAGGAAACUACAAUACAGCUAUACAACACACAGAAUAUAACAGAACUGGAAGGCUUCAAGCACCAAUAAAUUGUUUGAUAAGCCAAAAAAAACAAAGCACAGCAAUAAUCUACCUUGAAACAUAAUGAGGGGAGUCAGACAGAGCCCCUGAUGAAACAGACCUUGAGAGAGAUCUAGAUGGAGAGCGACGAGAGUAUCUGGCCCUUGGAGAAGCACUAUGUAAAAGCAAAGUCUGUCAAUGGGUAGAGUAAUUCAGACAAAAAUUAGAAAGGCAGAUAAAUUUAGAAUUCAUCAGACCUCCUGCUCCUGCUGCUGUAGCUAUAGCCAGGACUCCUACUCCUUGAAUAGCCAGGACUCCUACUAGGACUUCUGGAGAAGCUUCUUCGUAGAUCGUACUCCUCCACCUAAAGUUUCACAGACAAAAAAAAAAAAAAAAAUGAAAGCGACUGUCUAAUAACACCAAGAUAGAAUAUAAAGGGUUCAUCAUUACAUACCCGUAUGUAAGCCCGGGAAUACUGAUUGCGAAACAGAGAAUCAUCAAGUUUCCGUAUCUGCAAUGAAUUGAGCAAACAAGUAAAGAACAUUAUAUCAUAGCCUGCCUUCCUUCUCCUCCUUUUCAACAAUGAAGAACUAUUGAAAGAUACAUAUGGCAACUUUCAACAAAUCAGGGGCAAAUUGCAAUCAAAAUAAAAUCAUGACAGAAAUCUAAAACACUGCAAAGGAAAGAUUGAAGAUCACUAACAUUUAAAAAUACUGGAACAUAAAAAUGGAACUCUAUGUCCAGUAUUAACUUACCGCGUACUUCAUGUCAUCAUAGUUGGUGUAAUCAAUAAUCCCUCUCAUACCUACACAUGAACCAUGACAAUAAAAACAGUUAUCAUUCCAAAUAUAGUGUUAUAAAAGAAUCAAAUCUUCAAAAGGCAUUAACAGGGGAACGAGUACAAAUCUUAGAAAACUCAGAAUGACAAACUUAAGAUACUUAAAAUUUAAAAAUAGGACAGUCAUAAUAAACUGUUGCUGACAAUCUUAAAAAAGAACAAAUAAAAGACAAACAAGCUAGAAAACAACCAUUAAGUAAUUUUAACAUCCACAGAAGAUGCUCCAAAAAAAUAAAUUUACUAAGAUGACCACCCUAAAAAAAUUUAAGUAAUAUGCACCAGGAAAAAAUGUAGUGUUAUUCCACGAAUAAGCAGUGUUUACACCUCUUCUCCCACCAAAUAUAUUUGCAACUGGUACAUAAAUUCAUGCUACUAAAAGUAAAUUUAGAAUCCUAGUUUAACUGUUAAGGUCUCUCUCCAUCCUUUUUUUUUUUUAAAUAGGAUGAUUGUUGAGCAUAUCCACAUAAAUAGACACACAGGCAUUCCUGCGUGGGGAUUGUUCCUUUGAGCAGUAAUGGUAGAGGUACUUUCCAACAAAAAGGUUUGGCACAUCAGAGGAUCCAGAAAAGUCUACACUGAAGUUUAAUAAGUUGUACAGUUCAGCUCCAUAAAGCUAAAUAUUUGCGUCGUCCUGAGAUGCACAGUGUGGCCUCAGAGAAUAGUAGUAUGCUACAAACAAGUAAAGAUUUGCCAGAAUUCUUUUUAUAAAAAUCAUCGAUCAGCCCCUCAUCCACAUUGAGAAUAGCUACCAAACAGAUGUAACAAAAAUACACAUAACCAAACACCAGGCUGACAUAGAUGUGCUAGAUAAACCUCUAAGUUCAACUAGUGCUAUGGGCACACCCAUGUCUGUGCAAUUUAAAUAAAUAAAUUUAAUAUAAAUUAAUGUGACAUGAAUUUUUCUUUAUUAAAUUGAUAGUUAUUUGAUAAUUAUACCUACAAGUGAUUAUGCUGGCACAUGUUCUUAGGCAAUUUGGUUGGAAAUUAUGUUGGUAUACAUAAUUGGGUAGUUAGAAUAAAAAUUAGUUUUUAGGUAGUUAGAGUGAAUAUUAUGCAGGUUAUAUGAUUGGGUAUUUAUGAUACUAAUUAGUUUUUCUGAGGAUAACAAUGUAACUUUAAAAAGUGGCAAAACAUGUUUACACAACCCCCUCCUUUCACUUUAUAUAUAGUAUAGUAUGUUGCUAAGCCUACAGAAGGUGCUGAAACACAAAACCAGUGACACUUGAGCCCACAGAAAUUUGCAAUAGACUCUUAAUAUUAAACAAAAACACAAAUUUAUUCCAAAUAGAAAAAAUAUUAGACAACUCACCAUCACGAUCACGGAAAACUUGAGAGAAACAGACAUCACCUGCUCGACGCAUGUGAUCCUAGUAAAAGAGAUAAAACUAAUCAAUUUUAAAAAAGAAAGAACUAAAAUCAGAUAGCCCUCUAACUAAGAAAAUCUAGAACUAAAAUGGGAUAGCCCUCUAACUAAGAAAAUCUAGAAUUCUCACCUUCAAGUCCUGCAUGAAGCAGAAGGUGGCAGCCCUGUGACCAAAACUGACAAGUUUGAAGUGUUACCAACAAAUUCUACAUGUAUUACAUCCUUAGCAUAAAGCAAACCAAUAACACGUAGCAAUGACUCACCACGAUAGUCAGAGCGCCUUGAAACACCACACGACUCCCUCCACUAUUGUAACUGCUGUAGCGAUCAUAUGAUGAUGAUGAUCCUCGCCCACCAUGUGCGAGUUCAACCUGCAACACAUGGGGUAAACAGACAAAAUUAAGCAAUUUGAUACACAUCAAUCAACAUAGUCAAAACAAGGAUGGGGAACUAACCCUUAAUCGGUGACCAUCAAAGUUAUAACAUCUCGACCGCGAAUAGCAUCAUCAGCAUCACGUAAUCAUCAAACUGAGCGUAUAAAAGAGUUCAUAAGUCAGAAUAGAUAGUGAAACACAAAAUUAGAACAAAGAGUUCACCUUGUUGAUUGUCAAUAAUCCAGGCAUAACUAACACUAAUGAUCCAUUGAAAACUCAAAUCCUGAAUCAAUCGAGAAACUCACUCCACAAAUGCAUAACCAGGUGGUCGAGGAGGAAUUUUCAAGUCAAUAUCCACAAUACGACCAUACUGCAAUAAAUCAUUAGAGAGAGAACAUAAAAACAAUUAGCAAAUAUUGUCUUGUACAUGCACAUACUAACAACUAGGAAACAGGACCCAAGGACCUGCAUCAUGCCUACUCUAUUCGGUCCAGUCAAGAGAAUCUCAACAUCCGAUGACAAAUGCAUGCACAUGUCAUUUCUAAAUAUUAGGCACCAAUGAAGAAAACAGAACUAAAUUACUCCAACAUAGGAAUGCAUCCAUGAUUCAGCCACAAAAUCAUCCGAAAUUUCAAAUUUAACACAAAAUUAUUUGAUUAAUGGCAAAAGUUUCGGCCUUGGAAUCCCAAUGGUUGUGCUUCAAGCUAGUCUAAUUCCAGCAUAAGGUUUAAUACCACAGAAAACAAGAAAAGGGGCUCUGUUCUGUAAUAAAGGUUUAGCUUAUUCCAUUUCCCUUCUCCGGUUUUCAUAGUAUCUCUUUGCCCAAAUAGCAUCAAAGGAAGGUUAACUCGCAGAAUAGACAAGCAGCCUUGAAAAUAUAAGUUCAAAAUUCAACUUAAUUACAAGCAUAUGACCAUAUUUGUAUGGUUAGAACAUAAAUUCAGACAGUAAGGCACUAGCUACAACUAAUCUUGAGGAAUGCUUAUAAAAAAAUAAAAGUAAAAUAAAAUACCUUGUAAAACAAGUCUUCCACUUCACUCUCACGGAUAUCUCCGGGGAGAUUUCCCACAUAAAUGGUUCGGCUUGAGCGGCUUGAGCGACCCAUUUCUUCCUGCAAUCAUAUAAAAUUGGUCGCAUUUAAAAACACAUAAAAGUGCCAUUACAUACUUGUCAUAAAAGCUACAACCAGGAAAAAGAACUAAAUAUUCAUCAACAUUAGACAAAUUCAAUGAUCUAAAAUAAAACUGAAUGUGAUUAAUGAUAAAAACUCAUAAUCGAUGAGAGCAAAAGACCCCUUGCACUAAUUUAUUAAAUCCCAAAAAAUGACAGACAAUGAAUUCAUUAAUUAAUUUUUUUUAAAAAAAAAAACCGAGUAACAAGCAAAAAAUCAAUACCUAAAAAUUCAUGGAAACAACAAACAACACAGUACUCCCAACCCAAACAGAAAAGCAAACACAUUUUUACAAAUAUACUGCAUGAGGUAAGUCCAUAUAACACUAUAAAUCAUUCCAAUCACAGAAUUUCUUAUUUGGACACCAAAAAUUAAUAACCUCAAUUCUCUCUCUCUCUCUUUUCUUUUUCCCUUUUUGCACAAUAUACAAAUACCAGAAAGAGAAAAAGAGAGCAAAAAGCUCUAAAGAUUCUUUUACUCUUCAAUUAUGAGAAUCUAAGAUUCCCAAAACCCUAAUUUCUUCAUUCCCCACCUUUCUACAGUUAAUCAACAAUCAAAGCCGUUGAAAAAAUUCGGAUCAAUUCUAAAGCUAAACUGAAGUACCAUUACAGGUCCAAAAGGAAAAAAAAAGGAUCAAGAUUGUUCAAAAUUGACAGGAGAUUAGAAUAACAAAUAGAUGAAGCGUUAAUAAAUUCGCGUCUUUUCUAGUCGUAGUAGACUGGAAAUAAAUUUUCUGGAUUGAAAAUUCAUUUUCUAGAUAGCUUAUAAAUCGAUUUCUAUUAAAAAUUCACUAACCUGAUAAAGAAUUCGACCAGAGACUUCGUUUCUUGGGUGGGUUGAGAGAGUCUGGGAAAUAUUUAAAGUCCGAGGAGAGAUGCGACCAAUAUAUAGAGAGAGGAAAAAGAAAGAGUUGGAUUUUUGGAACCUGAUCUGACACGCGUACGGGUGGACGGUUUAAGGGUGACUGACUCUGGUUUGACAUGUGUACCCCUUUUGGCCAUUUCAUGGCUUCCACGACCACGAUAGAUACUUUUGUGCUGUUUGCCCGUGGUACGUUCACGUCACAAUAAUCUAUACAAACAAUAGAGAAUAUAUGACGCUGAAGAAUAGCGGGCCUGUUUGGAACCUGAGUUUUUUGAGAGUUUGUCUAAAAUUUUACUGUAGUGUACUGUAGAAGUUUUUGAAAAAAUUUUUUAAGAUGAAAAAUUUUUUAAAGUUUUUUUAAGAAGUUUUUUGGAAGUUUUUUGGAAGUUUUUUUCCUUUUCUUUUUUUUCUUUUCCUUUUUUUUUUCUUUUUUUUUCUUUUCUUUCCUCUCUUCUUCUUCUUCCUCUUCCUUCCCACUCCCCCUUCCCUCCCCCGUUACUUCUGCGUUGCCUCCCCAGCAGCAAUGGUCACCAUUUUUUGUCCUUUCUUUUUCUUUUUCUUUCUUUCUUUUUUCUUUUCCUUCCUCCCUUCCCCUUCCCCCUCAAAAACUCCUGUGCCCACAGCUUCUCCGGCCAGCCCUCAUGCAUCCCCGAUUCCUUCUCCAUCUCCAAAGAUUCCUCCAACAAUACCUGCGGCUUCUCCCUGGUGAAUGCUCCGGCAGUGUCACCGCCUGCAUCAUCUCCAAUUGAAAGCUCAACGAGUUCUCCAGUUCCAGCCACUGCAGAGAUUCCAUCCGCCAGUGCCAGUGUUCCUUCCACUUCUGCGACAUCGGCAAAAUCGCCGGCGAUAUUCCCUUCGAGCAGAAACCUGCCAAGUUGCUCACCGGCUGGGACGAGUUUGGCAUCGGAAACUUCGCAAGGCCCAGUUGCUGAUGAAUCGGUGCUACCUCCAUUCAUGGGGGGCCUAAUUGUUCUUGCUGAGCAUUGGAAGAGGUGAUGACAGAGGUGGUGGUGACGGAAAAAGAAGAAGAAAAAUGGGAGGUGGGGGAGGAGGAGGUGGUGGUGGGUUGGAGUGGGUGACGGAGGUAGAAGAAAAAGGGGAGGGAAUUUUUUUUGUGUGUUUUGGGUAUUUUGAGGCAUGUAGGUAAAAAACUUUGUGAAGUUUUUUGGGGUUCUUGUAGCAAAAAUUGUUAAAAACUUGUAGGAAACAAACUUGCUAAAAACUUGCACUUCCAAACAGGGCCGCAUUUGAUAUAAACACUUUUUAUCAUCUUUUGAGUUUUUUUCAUUUUUAUUUUUUCCUAAAAAAUGGAAAAAAAUUUUCCCCAAAAAAAUAACAAUCUAAACAAGACCUAGGCUCUGCGGACAUUAGGGAGUUUUCCAAAUACAUGUUUUUCUUUAUGAAAUUUACAAUAACAUAAUCCAAAAAUAACCCAAAACACUCUAAGGGUAUGUUUGGUUCCCCAUAGAAUUGGGGUUUAGAAUUGGAAUUGGGCUGUUUAGAUUCUACUCUAUUUAAAAAAUUAGAAUUGAAUUUGAAUUCUACGGGGAUCCAAUUCCAUGAAUUGAAUUCUUUACCGGACCAAAAGAAUUCUAAUUUCAAUUCCACAACUAAACCGGAUCUACACGCGGAUCUAACAUGGGUCAAAAAUUAAAAUCAGGUCAAGCAUAAGUUGCAAGAAAUAGUUUCCCGUUCCGAUUGCUCCUUCUCCACCAUCGUUACCACCUCCAAUACUAACCUCUCCUGCCACUGUCUUCCUCCUGCCUUCUGUUUCUCUGGCCACUCCCUCCAUCCUUUGCCAAUCCCGCCACCUUCCGCCCAUCACUUUGCUCAUCACAAGACCUACUCCGUCCAAUUUUUGUCACUCGUGUAAUGAAGUCAGUAGUUAAGUAGUAUAAAAGGGAAGAAGUCGUGAAGAGAAGUUAAGAGAAGGCGUGGCAGUAGCAGGAAGAUGUCAAGAGAAGUCGUGGUCUGGUGAAGACUGCAGUUAACAGUGUACGAAAGAAGAAAGGUGUGAAGUCAGGAAAAGAAAAGUCGUGGAAGAGAGAGUGAAGGCGCGAUCCAUAAAUCACGCCUUUGCUGGGUUCAUGCUGUUCUUGCUGAAGUUGGGGACUAGACGAGCUUGAAGAUUCUGCUUACACGUGUCAAUCCCUCAUUAGUUAUUGGAAGGAGUUAGUUAGAGUAGCUUCUGUAAAUGAUACGAUCAUGUAAUCUGUUAGCUAUCAUUUGGUUAAGAUUUGCUAUUGUAACCAGAGAGGGAAUAUCCCCUCUAUUGUCUUUCCUCUCAAGUUUCCUGCAUUCUUUUCCCUCUUCUCCUCUUUCCCGCCAAUUCUUAUUCUGUAUCUAGUUUUGAAGUUCAUCAAUGAAAACGAAAGGUGUUUGUUCUUGAAUCCAAUCGAAUCUGAGUAUUUAUUAAUUUUUGUUUAUUCAACUUCCAUUCCUGCAACAUUUCUGGUUCUGUACCACAACGGUGGUAUCAGAGCUGGUCUUACGAGUCAUAGGGAUGACGAAAAAUCAGGACAAAACACUGAGAAGAGAGGUAGUGGAACUUGGUAGUGUGGUCAGAACCUUCACCAACAAAAAUGAGGGAAUAGAGCAGGCCAUCAGAUCAAUGGGAUUCAGGUAGGAUGCUACUGAAAAAUUACUAAAGGGGCUAGAUCAGAAGUAUGAAGGAAUGAUGAAUAUGAUGACUCAGCUAAAGACUAAAAUGAAUGACAUGGGGAAGGAAUUUGAAGGAAGCAGCAGUUCUAAGGAGGUGGCUCAACUUGAGGGAUCUAAGUUGGAACCACCAAAGGAAGUAGCUGGAAGGAGAGAAUUCAGAACCAUCAACAAACUACCAAAAAUAGAUCUACCAAUCUUCGAUGGGGGCAAUCCUAAGGAAUGGAUCAGGAAGGCUAACAAGUAUUUCAAGAUACAUGGAAUAGAAGAUGAAAUGAAGGCUGAAGUAGCAGAACUUUACUUCAGGGAUAGAGCAGACAUCUGGUUUCAUGGAGUCUUCUAUGGAAGGGAAGCUAUACCUUGGGAAGAGUUAACUACUGCUCUGUGCAUCAGAUUUGGGGAAGGAAAACCUGAGGAAGCCAUUGAGGAGUUCAACAAGCUAGCACAGGCUGGAUCAGUAGCUGACUACUUGAAAAGAUUUGAAAUGCUCAAGGCCCUGGUAAUGCCAUCCUUACCACAUUUAUCUGAUUCCUAUUAUAAAGCAUGCUUCAUGAGUGGAUUGAAAGAGAAAAUUGUCAAUAUGGUGAAAAUGUCAAAACCUGAAACUUAGCGAAGUGGCCAAAUUACAAGAGAAGAACUUAAAAGCUAUACAGAAGAUACACAAAGCUGUUCCUGCUAGUUUUAGCAGUCAGAAAAGUCAUAUAAAAACACCCCCUCAUACCAGAUGAAACCAAGACAAUCCCAAACACACCACUAGACCCCCUAACCAAAAUGCAACAAACCAAAAUCAAUUCAAGAAGAUAUCCCAUGCAGAAUUUAACCUGAGGAGAGAGAAAGAAUUGUGCUAUAAAUGUGCUGAACCUUAUAUUUUAGGACACGUAUGCAAACAAUCCCAUAUUUAUUACUUGUUAGCUGAAGAAGCUGAAACUGCAGAAGGAAGCAAGGAGCAGGAAGAGGAGGUCUAUUGUGACUGUAUUAAUGGGGAGUUGGUAGAUGAACAUAUAGAGGUGUCCAUCCAUACCUUGGCUGGAGGGGCAGGGCACAAAACCAUAAAACUAAAGGGCCUGGUUAAGGGGAAACAGGUUACUACACUAAUAGACAGUGGUAGUACCCACUGUUUUCUGGAUGAACAACUGGCAAAGGAACUGAAGCUUAGCACACAGGGACCUAACUUGAUAGUUAAUGUGGCCAAUGGAGAAAGGGUAGAAUCCAAGGGACUGGAUAAGUCUAUGCAGUGGGAAAUGCAAGGUCAUCAGUUCCAAUAUGCCUUUAACACCUUAAGAUUAGGAGGCUGUGACAUAAUCCUUAGAGUAGAUUGGCUGGCCAAGCACAGUCCCAUAGAAUUCAAUUUCAAGGAGCUCAGUAUGAUGAUCCAUAAGGGAGAGCAGGAAAUAGUGCUGAGAGGAGAGGAUACUAGCACUAGUUUAAAGAUGAUCAGAGGAAGCAGGUUGGAUAGGUGGUUGAGGAAACAGGCAUAUGGGAUGGUAGGACAACUAGUGGCAAUAAAAGAGGAGGAUGGUACAGGUUAGAUACCUGCUAAAAUCAAUUAAGUGCUAGAUCAAUACAAAGAUGUCUUUGAAGAACCCAAAGGGAUGCCUCCAACCAGGGGCCAUGACUACUAGAUUGUUCUAAAAGAGGGAGCCAAGCCUUUCCAAAUAAGGCCAUACAGGUGCCCUUACGUACAGAAGGCAGAGAUUGAGAAAUUAGUAAAGGAAAUGCUGGAAAUAGGCAUCAUACAGCCUAGCAGUAGUCUUUUUGCCUCACCAGUGUAGCUGGUUAAGAAGAAGGAUGGAACAUAGAGAUUCUGUGUGGAUUACAGGCAACUGAAUGAGUUAACAGUGAAGAAUAAAUUCCCCAUGCCUUUGAUUGAAGAGUUGAUAGAUGAGCUGCAUGGAGCCAGGUACUUCACAAAAAUUGACCUAAGGGCAGGAUACUUUCAGAUCAGAGUCAAGGAGGAAGAUAUUCCAAAAACAGCUUUCAAAACUCACCAAGGACUCUAUGAAUUCAAGGUCAUGCUAUUUGGCUUGACCAAUGCACCAGCAACCUUCCAGGGCCUGAUGAACCAGAUUUUUCAAGAUCAGAUGAGGAAACAUGUGUUGGUGUUCUUCGAUGAUAUUCUAGUUUACAACCCAACACUGGAGUUGCAUGUCAAACAUGUAACUAAGGUAAUGAAUCUUCUGAGACAACACCAAUUGUAUGCCAAGAUGAGCAAGUGCUCUUUUGCUCAGUUGCAGGUGGAGUACUUGGGACACAUAAUAUCAGCAGAAGGAGUUCAAGCUGAUCCUAAGAAGAUAGAGUGCAUGGAGAACUGGCCCAAACCAACUAACAUCAAGCAGCUAAGGGGAUUUAUGGGACUGACAGGCUACUAUAGGAGGUUUGUCAAAGGAUAUGGAGCCAUAGCAAGGCCUAUGACAAAUCUGCUGAAGAAAGACAAUUUCCAUUGGAGUGAGGACGCAGAGAAGGCUUUUCAGGAGUUAAAAGGAGCCAUGUGCCAUACUCCUGUGCUAGCAGUGCCUGACUUCACACAACCCUUCAUCAUUGAGACAGAUGCAUGCUAUACUGGCACAGGUGCUGUUCUGAUGUAGAGCAAGAGGCCCAUUUCCUACGUUAGUCAAGCCUUGGGACAGAAGAACAUGGGGCUGUCAAUCUAUGAGAAAGAGUUGCUAGCAUUAGUGACUGCUGUAACCAAAUGGAGACACUACUUAGAGGGGCAUCACUUCAUCAUACACACUGACCAUCAGAGAUUAAAGUAUUUGCUGGAGCAAUGGAUCACUACUACUCUCCAACAGAAGUGGCUCACUAAGUUGCUAGGACUGAGCUAUGAAAUUCACUACAAGAAGGGAAAAGACAAUGUAGCUGAGGAUGCACUUUUUAGACAAGGCAGAGAGGGAUAGGGGAAUGCACAGCCAUAUCUUGUGCAAUGCCUGCUUGGAUCAGAGAGGUAAUGGAGAGUUAUAAGGGGGAUGAGUGGACUCAAAAGACCAUAUCACUGGUGCUACUGUCUCCUACACAGGCACCAGACUACUCUUACCAGGAUGGUAUUCUCAAGUACAAGAAGAGAUUAGUAGUGGGGAGGCAAGGUGAUACCAGGAAGAAGCUUAUCACUGCAUUGCAUGACUCCCAAAUAGGAGGACACUCGGGUAUUCAAGCCAGCUACAUGAGAGCCAAACAGCUGUUCUACUGGCCAGGAAUGUACAAGGAGAUCAAGAAGAUGGUUUUGGAAUGUGACACCUGUAGGAAGUGUAAAGAUGAACAUGUGGCUUAUCCAGGACUGCUAUUAGGAGUGGGAAAAAAAUUCGAUCCGAUCCGAAACCCGACCACCCCGAUCCGAAAAAUAGAAUAUCCGAUCCGAUUUUUCUUGGCGAGACAAAUGCGGGUUGGGUACUCGUAAAAACGGAUACGGAUACGGAUCAGCAAAAUAAAAAUCCACGGGUACCCGACUCGCAGGGUAUAUUAUAUAAAUAUUAGAAAAAUAAGGGUUCAUUAUAUAAUUUUAUAAUUUUUAAUCCUAAAUGUAAGUAAAGUAGUUCACAACCUCAUAUUUUAAUCUCAUAUGAUCCACCUCUUCUCAUCUUGUCCAAAAAAAGUGAAUAUUUUUUGUGAAACCUGAACCAAAUGAAUAAAAUAAAGAAAAAUUUAUGAAACUCUAUCAUAAAAAUUGUUCAUCCCUUUCAUUCGUUUUCAUUUUUAUUCUACUUCCAUCGAUUUUUUCUGCAAAAUUUUGAUCAAUUCAAUCAAAGAUUUAUGUUUGGAGCUCCAAUUUUCUGUUAACGAAAUAAUAAAAACAUUUGUGUCUUUCAUUUAUUUAUUUAUUUUAUUGCAAUUGUGUUUCUUAAAUUUGUUUCCUUUAUUUUAGUGCAAGAAAUUUAUUUUUCUUUUUCAUCACCUUUAAUGCAACAAGGUCUAUUCCAAAGAUGUAAGAAAGUUGGGAAAAAUUUUUCAAAAUUAUUUUAGUUAUACUUUCUUAAAAAAUUAUUAACUCUGUCCAAUUCUUUUCCAAACUUGAUUCUACAAUCGACUCAUUUUGGAUGCAAUCUUGUACCAUAAUAUCCUUAAGGAAAUUGGAAAAGUUGCCAUAUACUUAUUAUUCUUAUGUUUGUUAUGUUGUAAAAGGAUGAAAUGUGUGAGAAUGGUGAUGUACUCAAAAUUAUCAUAAAACUUCGUUUUAUUCUUGUGUUUGUUAUACUUGAAAAAGUUAUCAUAUACUUAUUAUCCUUGUGUUUGUUAUGUUACAGAAGGAUGAAAUGCGUGAGAACGGUGAUGUACUCAAAAUUAUCAUAAAAUUUCGUUUUAUCUAUUAGAUUUUAUUAUUCUAAUAUAUACUAAAUUUAUGAAAUCAGUUUGAUUAUUGGAAGAAAUAUGUGAGAAUGGUGAUGCAUGGAUUUUGAUUAUAAUAUAUCUACCAAUGUUAAUUGGAAAGCAUACUUUUUUUAUUGGAAAACAUGUUAAUAUUAAGUGAAAAAUAUUUUUUUAUUGAAAAAUAGUUUUUUUUAGGGGCGGGUACCCUAUGACUCGCCCCUUUUUUUCGAGUACCCGAAAAUAUUAGGAACGGGUUAGAUUUGCAAAAUGGCUGAUCCGAUAUUUUAGGGUUGGGUCAACCAUAUCUUGUUAGAAACGGGUACCUGACCCAUGCCCAUCCCUAAUUGCUACAACCAUUACCUAUCCCUCAAUAUUCAUGGAGCCACGUUACCACGGAUUUCAUUGAAGGACUGCCACAAUCAAAAGAGAAGAAUACCAUAAUGGGUUGUGGAUAGUUUCACCAAAUAUGCCCACUUCAUCAGUUUAGCACAUCAUUUUGAUGCACCAAAGGUAGCUAGACUUUUUAUUGAUAAUGUCAGUAAAUUGCAUAGGAUUCCUCAAAGCAUGUUGUCAGACAGGGAUAGGAUAUUUGUCAGUCAAUUAUGGGGAGAGCUGUUCAGUAUGUUGGGAGCUAAACUAGACUACAAUACAGCUUAUCACCCUCAGACUAAUGGUCAGACUGAGAGGGUCAACCAAGUGCUAGAGAUGUACCUCAGGUGUGUGACUCAUAUAGAACCUAAGGGAUGGAAUCAGUGGUUGUCCUUGGCAGAAUGGUGGUAUAGCACCUCACACCACACAGCCAUUUAAAUGACUCCAUUCGAGGCAUUAUAUAUCCUCCCCCCUCCUCAACUGGCUUUAGGACCUUACCUUCAGACUAGAGUAGCUGCAGUGGGAGAUUACAUCAAAAAAAGGCAGCAAAUGGACAACAUGUUGAAACAGAACUUGAAGCAGGCUCAGGAAAGGAUGAAGAAAUAUGCUGAUGAGAAGAGGAGUGAGAGGGAGUUCAGUGAAGGAGAUUGGGUGUACCUAAAGCUACAACCAUAUAUACAGAGUUCAAUAGCCUUGCGAGGAAACACCAAACUCUCAGUAAAGUACUUUGGUCCAUACUAGAUAGCAGAAAGGAUAGGAGAGGUAGCAUACAGACUGAAUCUACCCACCUCUUCAAAGGCUCACCCUAUUUUUCAUGUGUCAUUGCUCAAGAAAAAGGUUGGUGACAAGACCACCCCUACACUCCAAUUACCAGAAACAAAUGAAAAGGGGCACUGGAGGGUAGAACCAGUAGCAGUGCUUGGUAGGAGGAUGGUAAAGAAAAGAAAUGAUGCUGCAACUCAGUGGUUAAUCCACUGGUGGGGCACAGACCCUGCAGAAGCUACAUGAGAGGAUGCGGAGGAGAUUAGGAAACAGUUUCCCACCUUUCAAUCUUGAGGACAAGAUUUACUGUUAAGGAGGGAAUAUUGUAAUGAAGUCAGUAGUUUAGUACAAAAGGGAAAAAGGCGUGAAGAGAAGUUAAGGAAGACGCAACAGUAGCAGGAAGAUGUCAAGAGAAGUUGUGGUCUGGUGAAGACGGCAGUUAAUAGUGUACGAAAGAAGAAAGGCGUGAAGUCAGGAAAAGAGAAGUCGUGGAAGAGAGAGUGAAGGCGCGAUCCAUAAAUCACGCCUUUGCUGGGUUCAUGCUGUUCUUGCUGAAGUUAGGGACCAAACAAGCUUGAAGAUUCUGCUUACACGUGUCAAUCCCUCAUUAGUUAUUGGAAGGAGUUAGUUAGAGUAGCUUCUAUAAUGAUACGAUCAUGUAAUUUGUUAGCUAUCAUUUGGUUAAGAUUUGCUAUUGUAACUAGAGAGGGAAUAUCCCCUCUAUUGUCUUUCCUCUCAAGUUUCCUGCAUUCUUUUCCCCCUUCUUCUCUUUGCCGCCAAUUCUUAUUCUGUAUCUAGUUUUGAAGUUCAUUAAUGAAAAGGAAAGGUGUUUGUUCUUGAAUCCAAUCGAAUUUGAGUAUUCAUUAAUUUUUGUUUAUUCAACUUCCAUUCCUACAACAUUUCUGGUUUUGUACCACGACACUCCGUCUCUACACUUGCCUCUGCCACUUCUCCAUUACUACUGUAAUCACCAUUAUUCCUCUCAGCCUGACAUUUUGGGCUCUCUCCUUCAGCUUUUCUGCUUUCCCCAAAUUUCAGAUACAUUUAGGGCUUGUGAAAGGUAACUUUAUCUUUGAAAUUUUUUCAAUUAAUCAUUGGUUAUGGGCUUUAUUACAUAGCUUUGUUUCAUUGGACACAUUGCAAUGGUUUGUUCUGUUUUCAUGUCUAUUUUUUCUUAUGAUGAGUGCUAAUUGACUAUCAUCCUCUGUUAUCUCUGUGUUUUAGAAUGGAGAUGGUAGUCUUGGAAGAGGGUUUAUGUUUGUAGUGUUUUCUGGUUUUUAUUUCAAUAAUAGUGGGCAGGUACCACUUAUGAAUGUGAUAGCCCGUUUCCUUACUCUUUUUCCUAUUGCAAUGCACUAUGGAUUUAAGGCCCCUUAAGCAGGAAUUAAUGAUAUCUGCUCUUACAUUAGUAGCUCUCUAGGUUCUAGUGGAGGCACUUGUUUCCAAAUGGGCUUUGACUGAGCUGUAGUUGAAUAUGAAAUUAUGUGAAGUCUGUAUAGAAGAAAUUCUGAAGGCUUAAUACCCAAAUACAUCAAAAGUUAAUUUUAUUUCAAAACGAUUGUGGUGUUUUCUGUGUCUAAUGGUAUAUUGUGGCAUUAAUUUAAAUAUUAAUCAAUUCCUGGGUUGAUUUAUCAUCUCUUGUAAAAUGUUGAGUUGUUUGCUUCAUGGUCUUUAUUUCUAUAAGCAUGAGCUAUUGUUGAUUGGGAUUCUUGAUGUCAAUUAGUAACUAUAUAUCUUGAAUAAUUACUAACUAUCCAGUUAUUAGUUUGGUGCAAUAAACUGAGAUACUUUGUAUGGGUGGCAACGUUUACUGAUUAAGUGCUGGUUAAUUGUUCCAAAAUGGUUGCUUGUCUUCAAUUUUUGCACGCUUUAUGGUAAAAGCAUGCAUUAGUUAUUCACAAAUAUUCGGAAUACCUUGAACACCAGCCUGCUUAUAUACUAUAAGCUAGUAUACUGGUUUUCUACUAAGUUAGAGAAGUUGAGUGGGCGAAUUUUUGAACUGAAGAGCGAAUGAAGAUUAUUUCCUUUUUCUUUUUGUAUUCUACUCAACAGACUUGUGUCCUUUUCACUUGUCUUGGACACCUAUAAGAAUGUACUGCAUGCUACCAACAUGUAACUUUGCAUUGCCUCAUUGUGGCAGCUGGUGUUCCUGUUUUUAGGACUGCCUAUGCACAUUUUGUUUUACCCCUAAGAAGUAUCACGGAUUGAUAGUUUGUUAUGCCAAUCAAGUUACUAUUCAAGGCUAGCUCACUGCUGGUCAAGUAGGUGAUGAACGUCCAAUAUGAUCUAUGAUGUAGUGUUUUUUAUUUUUUUUUGGGUAAGAAUCUGAUGUAGUGUUUUUCAUGACUGUUUAACAUUAUAUGAUUGUAAAGUAGAUGUUCUAAUUUCAAUUUUGCACAACUUUUGAAUGGUGAAAAACUUGUCAAGUUUACGGCAAAUUUUGUAAAAAUUAGUCAACUUAAUUUCACUUUUGUGUAUAAUAGUAGUUAAACUCGAGCAAUGAAGUAUAUAUGUUAUAAAUGCCAAAGCUUAAACUUAAUUUCGAUGUUGGUGUAUGAUAAAAUUAGUGACGAGGUAUGGUAUAAACGGUAAUGACUUUUACAAAUAUUCCACGAUUGAAUUUAUUAUAGGGUAGUGGAAAGAGGUUUUCUCCAAUUAAAUGAAGUAGAGCUUGGUCUACUUGAACAAGAACUUAAACUAAUUGCUUGUAGAGUAACAUAUGUAAAUAAGCCUUGGAUAUAACUGCAAUUUCCCAUGAUUAAGCCUAUUAAUUCUACUUUCUUAUUUUGUUAACUUUUCACACCAGUAGUGUCUUGUUCUUUAAAGGAUGGGAGAUUAUUGUAUACUUGUUGUAGCAAAUUAGUGACCUAGUCAAAUUUCUUAGAAGGCGCUGAAUUUAGAUGAGAAUGAUACUAAGAAGCAAGAGGCAGGUGCUUCCUUUCUUGUGAAAAUGGUACAUUUGCUCUACAGCGAAAGCAAAAUGGUCAUUGUGUCCUUAUUCAAGGAUUAUUUAUCAAAGGAAAAUGGUCUUAAUUUAGCAUUAAACUUAUGCAGCUUUACAAUCACCCUUACCUGACAUGGAAACAUUGUGAACUGGCAUGGGCAUCUGUGUCUUAAACCCCCUAAAAAAUCAGGAGUAUUUCAUACAGGGAAAAGGAAUGUUACUAGUGCAUUUGCUGACUAUAUUUGUGUAAGAACUUUCCAAGGCAAUUGUGGACUAUAUUUUUUGACGUCACCAUCGAAUUUUUGAUGUUCAUGAAGGCUGUGUAGGUCUGCAAGGAGGAGGAAAGUGGUGGUGCCUUGGUGUUUCAAUGUUGAAGCUGAUGGCUUGGUUCCUUUGUUUUGUGUUUUUGAAAUCCACAAUUGGUUGAAUUCUUGUCUUACCUUUGAAGCUAGAAAGGACUAUUACAAUUCAAAAGAGCUACCUUUCUCUUUGGCUUGUUUUAGGCUUUUAGCGAGAAUACAUUUUUCUAUUUCUUUUAGCGAGAAUACAUUUAUUAAACUUUUAGUGAGAAUGCAUUCUUCUAAAGAAUCGUGAAUUGUGUUGCAAUAUUUUCUAUUUAUAUUGUCGUUGUUGGUUGUGGUUUUGCCUGAAUGUCUCAGCUGGUUGUUGCUCUUGGUAUUUUGCAAAAAAGGAAGUAAUUUGCUUUUUUCAUUAUAGAAGUCAUGGAUUAUAUCAAUAUUUGGCCGUAUCAAUGUUUGCUUUUUUCAGAUGCCAAGAGACUACUAAUGGCUAGGACUGGUGUUGCUUCCAGAGGCCAAAAGUUUCGAUUGCUAACAAACCAUUUCAAUGUUAAAGUAGCCAGAAAUGAGGGCUACUUUUUCCACUAUAGUGUAUAUAACCUCUAUCUCUAUGAUGGUUGUUUAAGCAAGCAAUUUAGCACAAGUAUUCUGCUCUUGAUAUGUAGGUGUCGAUUUAUAUUAUCAUUGUUGCAAUAUUUUCUAUUUAUAUUGUCAUUGUUGGUUGUAAUUUUUGCCUGAAUGUCUUAGCUGGUUUCGGGUUUUUGGCUGAUAUUUUGUCAAAAAAGGAAGUAAUUUGCAUUUUUCAUUAAAGCUUGAGUAACAAUUAGCUAAAUGCAAGAAAAAGUAAAUUAGUAAAGGUACAAAUUGGUUUUUUCCUUUAAAUUUUUAAUAAAAAUUAGCUAAAUGUAAGAAAAAAAAGAAAUUAUUAUAUAAAAACAAGGAAAAAAGAAAAAUUUUAUGUAAGCAAAUGUUUCAUGAAAAUAAUUCUAAUUCCUAAUGAAUUCUUCUCUCAUCCAAACAAAGAAUUUGGAAUUCCAAAUAAAUUCCGUAUCAAUUCUAUGCAUUUUCCAAAUGAAAGAAUUGCAAGGAUUUGGAUUUUUAAUUCGUAGAAUUCUAAUUCUAAUUCAAUUCCAAUUCUGUAGAGCCAAACGUACCCUAAUUACAGUUCCAAAUGCAACCAACAAAAAACAAAAAAAUUAAAACAAUAAGAUGAAUCCUAUUAUCUAUUUCUUCUUCCAUCCACUUCUGCCACCCACCACAAUCAUCAACCACUUCUCCCUCCUUCAUGCCUUUCCCUUCCCUCUUCCCCUCUCUUACCUCUCCCUUCCUUCCCCUCCUUUCUCCUCCCUCUUUUUUCCGCUUCUCCCAUCCUCUCAUUCCUCCUCUCUUCCCUUGUCCCUCAACCACAAAUUUGGUUGCACCGAUCACAGUAAGAAAAAUGAAGGGAGAGGAGGAGGGUUACAGGAGACAAGGAAAAGGAGGGAAGAGAACGGGAAAGAAGGAAACGGGGGAAGGGAGGGAAGGAAGCAGAAGAGGGAGGAGGACGAAGGAGGAAGGAGAAAGGAAAGGGAGAAAGAGAGAAGAGGAAGAGCAAUGAUGGUGAUGAAGUAGGAAGGAGAGGUGGGUGGCAGUGAUGGGCGGUAGUCAAAAAUCAUAACUUUUACCAAUACUCUAAUCAAAAUUUAAAUUUUAAAAACACUCAAAAAAAUUCAAAAAAAACACUUAGGAGGCACUUGGUUCAAGUUUAAGAAUUAGAAUUGUAAUUUAAAUCAUAUUUAAAAAAUAUAGUAUGGGUUUUGGUGGAAAAAUAUUUUAUACAAUAUAUAAAGGGGGAGUGUCACUAUAUGGCGUAAACAUACGGUGUUAGUCACUUUUUAAAAUUUGUAAUAUACCCUUAAUUAUAAGGACAAAUUUGUACUAAUAAUUUAAAAAAAAAUCUCCAUAAUUAGCAAGAAUCAAAAAGUAGUUAUCAGUUCAAUUGUUCACUCAUUAUAGCUUUCUUUCACCAACUCUUAAUGCCCAUGUAUUUUACUCCACUUCUAUUAUCUUUCUACAUGAUCACCUGCAUGAUAAUCGAAUUUGAUCCAUAAAAAAACUCUUUACUCUUUAAAGGGAUAAUUUUGAUAAAUAUAUUUUUGUAGGCUACACACAUGAUAGAGUGUGUCAUGAGCACUAGUUACAAUAACAUUUGCUCGGUAAACAUUUGUAAGGAAUGAGUAUUACAUUAAUUUAUUAUAUUAACUAACCAUUUUUCUUAUGCCCUCUCUUUUCCCUUUCAACUACCAAUUUCCCAAUCAGCAACUGCUGCAAUUCAAUAGUGAUUUGACUGCCUAUUUUGCAAUCACUAGUGGAAUUAGAGCUGGUAAAAAAGCCCAAAAUUCAAUGAUCACCCCAACCAGUCCAUUAAUUUUAAAAGAUGGGUUGGAUCAGUUGGAUUAUGGGUUUUGUUAGGUUGGAUAAGAAAAAUCUAACUUAUUCAUUGGGCGGGUUAGAUUUUCAUUUGGAUACCCAAUACCCAAACUUACUUAAAAGUAAUUCAAAAUAAUAAAUACAAGAUUCAAUACACAUAUGCCCAACCACUUGCACUUGGGCAUGUGUUAAUUAUUUAUUGACCAAUUUAUAUUCAAAAUUCUCAUAUAUAUGUUUCAAUUAAUUUUUUUAAUUUUUAUUUAAAAGAAAAAAGAAACUUAAAAUAAAAACUCAUGCUUAUUUUACCUUUACAACAAUAGUUAAAAUUUCUCAACUUUUAUAAUAAUUUAUUAUAUCUUUUAAAAGUAUGUUGUUUUCCUCCCCUUUUUUUAUAUUUUUUGUGAUUGUUCUCAAGUUGUUACUUGCUUCUAUUUGUUAAUAUUUUGUGUACGUAGAAUAGUGUUUUAAAUUUGUUCUAAUUACAUUUUUUUACUUUUCCCUAACUUGUUUUAUUUCAUUGACAAUAAUUCCUUAUCAAUAUUAUAAUACAACAAAUUAUAUGUCUCUUACUGACAUUUUCAAGUAUAAUAUAAUCUAGCAUUCAAUAAUUUAAAUAUAGAGAAUAUUACAACUUACAAUAAAGCAGAUAUGAAUAGUAAAAGUGUUGAUAAGUUGUGACAAAAAUAAGUUUCAAUCAAUUAGUAGUAUUAAAAAGUAUAAAAUAAACAAAUUUUUUUAACUAAUCUACUUAAAUAUACAAUUUAUUAUCUAAAUUCACAAUACAAGCAAUAUAAAAUAUUAUUCUAUUUAUGAUGUGUUUCUAAGGAGUUUAAAAAGUGAGUAUGUGUUUGUGUGUGUGAAAGUGUAUUAGUGUGUGAAAAUACAUUUAUGUACAUGAAAAUGUGUUUAUGUAUGUGAAAAAUUUUUUUGUGUGAAAAUAUAUGUAAGAAAGUUUAUGUAUCAAAAUGUAUUAAUUAAUAUAUUGGGUCAUGGGUUUGGGAUGGUCCAAUAUGACUCAACGCAAAAUCAACCCAAUUUAUAAUUAAGCAAGUUGGAUAUAACCCAUUUAAAUAAAAAUUCAAUAUCAACCCAUCUAAAACCCAUCCAACUAGGGCUGUCAACGGUCCGGGUCUAGACCCGGACCCAGCUCAGGCCGCUAAUAUUUGCCGAGUAGGGGAAGGCAUAUAGUUCCGUGACCCGGACCCGGACCCAUUUUGUCUAAUGAAUUUGCGGGUCGAAUACGGAAUAUGCCGUUCCGACUCGUAUAGGACCCGAACCCGUUUUUUAAUUAAUUAAUAAUUAAAAAUAUAUACCUAUCUCUAUCUGUCAUAAUUUUUCAUACCACUACUUACUUUCAUUCCCAAUUUGUUCAACCCUAAUAGUCUAAUACCCACCGCUGCCGCACCUCUCUUCUCUGUUGCUCCUUACCCAACUCCAGCUAUCCUUUUUCUCCUCUGCCUCCCGACUCCUGAGUCAUGCCUCCGCCAGUCACCACUCACCAGACACCUGACCUGGACCGGCGAAGCUUCUAGUUUGCUCUUCAUCCCCAGCUCCAAAGAAAAUCGCUGGGUCUAGCUAGCUCCAAAGAAGCAAGCCCAGCUCUUCCGUCAUUCCGUGAGACUUCUCCUCUUUUGCUCUACCUCCGUGCUCCGCCAGACACCAGUCCGCCCUGACGCCUGACGAUUGCAGCAAGCCCAGCUCUUCUAGGCUUCUAGUUCUACCAAGUAGCAGCCCAGCUUUCUUUCUCAGUCAAGUAUUUUUUUUAAAAUUUUUUGUGGGGGAAAAUUGAGAAGAUAUGAGAAAUGCUGUAGAACGAAACCUUCUUACCUCCCCAAACAGAAGGUAUUUUAGUCGUUGUUAGUGAUAGUUUCUUGCGAGCUAGAUUUUCGUUGCGGAUUGCAUAAGAAACUUGACUUAAUCUUAAUGUCCCAAUUCAAUUUGUGAAGGGUAAAUGAUCAUUUCCAUUUUGAAGGGUAUAUAAAUUCAAUUGAACUCCUAUAAGUAACGAAGUAGUAGGAAAUAUUUGGCCCACUCAACAAGAAAAUUUGUUUGCAUUCAGCCCUCAGUUCCUCUUCACCCAUCGUCGUUGGUCUUUUCUUUUUGUUUUCUGUUUUUCGUAGAAAUUUGGAGGUCUGAAAUAUAAAACAUCUGAUGGCACCAAAGUGGAAUGGAGCUAGAUUAAAUCUUGGACUAGAAAAUAGAAAUAAGCAAAACCAAAAAAAAAAACAGAAGGAAGAAUAUAAGUAUUUUUCUAGAAAGAAGGUAAGUGCAAAAUGAAAUUAGGGAAACUAGAGUUCAGGGAAGAGAAAACAAAGAGAAAAUGGCAAUCGACUAAACUCAACUCUUUCAAGGAGAAAAAAGAUCCUAAAUCCUAAAUGUAGUUGUCCUUUUCAACUCCAAAAUAGGGCAGCUUAUCCUUUUCCCCCUUUGGAGUCUUACUAACACAAUAUCAACAUUUGUUAUUCUCCUUUUUUUCUAGAAAAAAGUAAAAAAAUGGUUGAUGCAUACAUGAAUCUGCUCACUGGAUUUUUUGCAUUCACUGGAUUUUGAAUGCGACAUUCUAAGGAAUUUGUCUUGUACCAUGUUUAUCUAAUAAAUUAUGUUAUUCACUAAUUGCAGGAUGUCAUCUUUGCCGAGUAAUCCAACAGGACCAAGUAGCACAGCUGAUGAGAAUGAGAUUGCCAUUUUGGAUUCGGAAGAGGAGGAGGUGAAGGAAGAUGAUUCGUGUAAGAAACCUAGGGAAAAGAAAUUAACAUCUAAGGUAUGAUUUGAUAUGGAUAGAGUUAAGACUGCUACUGGUAUUGUUGCCAUAUGUAAGCAUUGUAAAAAAAAAUGGCCAGGGAUAGCUCAUGCGGGACAAGCCAUUUGAAAAAACACAUAGAUAAUUGCAUUGCUAGAAGACAUAGGAGUGGAGGGUAGCAAGUACUUCAGUUGGCUAAAAAUGCUUUGGAUGAUAAAGUUAAAGUUCAAACUUUCAAGUUUGAUCAAGAGAGAAGUAGAAUGGAUUUGGCUAGAGCUAUAAUAAAACACAACUAUCCUUUUACCAUAGUUGAGUAUGAGUACUUUGAGAUUUUUUGAAUAAUUUGGAGCCAAAUUUUAAGCUGGUUUCUUGAAAUACAGUCAGGGUAGAUGUGAUUAGUGUUUAUAAAGAAGAAAAGGCAAAAUUGUAUAAGUAUUUGGAUGAUUUUGAUGGUAAGAUAAGUCUAACUACUGACAUCAGAUCACCAAAAUUUUGCCUAUGCCUAUUUGACAGCUCAUUAUGUCAAUGAACAUUGAGAAUUGAAAAAGAAAAUUAUUGCUUUUAAAUUUGUUCCAUAUCCUCAUGAUGGUGAAACAUUAUUUAAAUUUAUUUCUGAUAUCAUCUUGGAAUGGAACAUUGAUAAAAAGCUUACCUCUGUUGUUGUUAAUAAUGCAUCUUCAAAUGAUUCAAUGGUUAAAUGUUUGAAAUCAUGGCUAUUGGAUAAGUCAUUGCUCAAUUUAGGAGGUGAUCUUUUUCAUGUUCGAUGUAGUGCACAUAUUCUUAAUUUGAUUGUGCAAGAUGGGUUAGUUAUUAUUGGAAAAUUGCUUCAUAAGAUUCGAAAGACCUUAAAGUACUUGAAAAGGUCUACUUCUUCUUAUCAAAAGUUUGAGAAUGCAAUUAAUCAAUGCAAGAUGAAAAAUAAAAAAAGAGUGGGUAUGGAUGUUCAAAAUAGAUGGAAUUCUACAUUCUUGAUGCUGGAGACUGCUUUGCCUUUGAAGGAAGCUUUUUGUCAUUUAGAACAAAUGGACAGAAAUUACAAGUUCAAUCCUUCAAAAAAUGAUUGGAAAGUGGCUAGUGUUGUUCAUGGUUGUUUGAAAAAAUUUUAUGAAGCCACAUAUCAUUUUAGUGGUUCUAUUUUUCCCACAGCAAAUGUUUUCUUUCCCGAUUUAUGUAAUCUUCGUAUUAAGAUGAGGCAGUGGGAAGUUAGUGAGCAUGAUUUUAUUCGAGAAAUGGUUAUUCCAAUGAAAGCAAAAUUUGAGAAAUAUUGGGAAGAAUGUUCUUUGGUGCUAUCUAUUGCUGUGGUGCUUGAUCCUAGAUUUAAGUUGGCUUUAGUAGAGUAUUAUUACAAUGAUCUUUAUGGAGAAGGUGGUGAAAGAUAUGUGGAUAGAGUUCGUAAUGCUAUUGCUGACUUGUUUGUUGAAUAUGGAGGUGACCUUACUCCUUUUUUGAGUUAUGUUGGAGAUAAUAUAGGAGAAGGGAUUUCUAGUUGUGGUAACAAAAAUAUAGAUGUAGAAGAUGAUGAUGAUAAGUUGUCUGAUUUUGACAAAUGGUAUCAGCAAUCAUGUUCUUCUACUAUUCUUGCUAGUCAAAAAUCUGAAUUGCAAUCGUACUUGAACGAGCCUGUAUUUCCAAGAAAAGAUGAUUUUGACAUACUAGGCUGGUGGAAGGCAAACAGUCCAAAAUUUCCUAUUCUUAGCAAGAUGGCUCAUGAUAUUCUUGCAAUUCCAGCUACUACUGUGGCAUCGGAAUCAACAUUUAGCAUUGGCGGAAGGGUAAUUGAUGAGACUCGUGCUGCUUUGCUUCCUGAUGUGGUCGAAGCUUUGAUAACAACUGGAGAUUGGUUACCUUUGAAAAAGAAAAGAAGUAAGUCCUCAUGUUUAUGUUUCUUUUGUUGUUUUUUCUUUUUAAAUCCAUAUUACAAGUUUAUUUGGUUGAGUUACUCUAGAAAGACUAAUCUACUUUCUUUCUCUUUGUUUUCUUAGAAGUAUUUGGAGAAGAUUUGAGUGAUUCUUCUAAAGUUCUCAAGUUAGGGUGUAUUUGUGUAAGGCCAAUUUGAUUUCUUUCUUACCUGAUUUUUUUUUGUAUUAGUUAGUAAUUAGUUUACAAAUAUAUUGUAUCCUUGUUUUUGUUGCAGAAAAUUGUGAAACUUGAGAGCCAUGAAGACUAUUGUAAUCUACAGGACUUCAUUAGUUGGUUGAUGUAUUUGAUAUUUAUGUUUGAUUGGACUUUUUAGAAAUUGUAAUUUGUUGGAUGCUAUAUUGGCUUUGUUGCUAAUAUUGGUUUGUAAAUUGUAAUUUGUGUGGAUGUCAUAUGGCUUUGUUUGACUUUUUAAAUCCUUGUGUUUGUUGGAUUAGAUUAUAUGAAAUAGUUUGCUACAUGCUGUUUUCUUCUUGUUAAUGUUACUUUAUAUUAUCUUUUAUGUCCUUGUUGGCUGAAAUCUGUUAAGUGUUUAACUCUUGAGCUGUGGUGAUGUUAGGAAAAACGAUUCAUCACCUUGUUCCUUUUUGUUUCUAGUCCUUUCUUGAGCUGAUAGUCCCUCGAUAAUGGCAAGACUAUUGAUUGGAUUGCAUAUUGGAACCUUCAUCAUGAAUGCUUCUCGAAGACUGGUGUUAGUUCAUUAUGUUAUAGUUAUAGUUAUGUUAUAAUUCAUUUAUAGUUCACCAGUCUGGUGAACUAUAACAUAUUUGGAAUCCCUUUUGGAUUGCAUCUCGAACACCAAUCUUUGAAGGCUUCAUGGGGUCACUCCUGAGAGGGGUUAGCUAUGCUUUUGAAUAUAAGAGGAGAAUGUGAUAAAAAUUAGACUGCAUUUUCCAGGUGUUACUUGAACAGGUUUUUAAUAGGUCUUUUUGCCGGGUAGACCCGGCCCGGAUUUGGGACCCGUCGGGUGCGGAUCCGAUGAAAGAUUAGAAGACCCGUCAGGUAUUUGGGUCGAAUCCGGAACUAAUCCAGUAUAACGGGUCCGGGUCCGGAUAUAUGCAUUCCGACCCGGACCCGACCCGUUGACAGGCCUACAUCCAACCCACCCAAUGGCAAGGUAUAGGUGGAAUAUGACUAUUCAUUACGAUCUAAUUUGUUACUUUCAUUCAAUCAAAAACCUAACCAUGUUACCUGAUCCCUCACUUCUCCUUUGUUGCCUAGUUCAGCAGCAAUAUUUCUUUAAAUUUGUCCUUUCCCAGCAUACUUCUCAAGAGCUAAUUUUCGAAUUCCUCCAUAGUCUUCGCUCCAAAGCCGUCUCCUCUAGGUGAAGAAAGGACGAGAGUGCAAAUUUGCCAUGGCGAAUAAGAGGGAGGAGGAAGCCCAAUCAAAGAAACAGCGUAUUAGCAGUAGUGGUCAUUUUAUAGGAAGAGAAGAAGGAAAGUUUGACAGUGAUGAAGAAAAAGUGGAGAGAUAAAUUUGCUAUAAGGAGGAGUAGGAAGAUGAUUGACAUCGAAUAAACUUGAUGUCAAAUUGGUCAUUUGGCAGGCAACAAGGACGAAGGGAUAGAAGUGAAAGAGAGAAGUUUUGAAGGCACAAUUAAAAAAAUUAAACAAAUUAGAAUUGGAAUGAAAUUUGGGGAUUAACAAACCUCUCAAUUUAGUGGCUAAUUCCUUCGAUUGUUGCCUAAAAAAUAAAAAAUUGGAAGAAUAUUGUUCUGACAUGGAUAUGGUAUGAAACUAUGCCUGUCGGGUUUAGUUAGCCUGACAGGAAAGAUUUUUUUUUUUUUAAAUGCUGAGCUGCAGGGCUUAGUUAGCCCGGCAGCAAAGAAUUUUUUUUUUUUUUAACAAUGCUGGGUUGCCCGGCUACCAAGCUGAAUUUUUUUUUAAAAAUAUGUUGGCCUUUGACUGUUUUUAAAGUAAAUUACCAAUUGCAUCAGAUACGAAUGCCUGGAAUGCUAUACUGCUAAAUUCGACAUUUUAGGAUUAUCUCCAGUCACAAAAGGUGGGUAAGAUUAGUAUGUGGCUCUUUUGCUUUUAGGGAAAAAUGCACUUUUCAUCCUCAAAAUUUGGGGAGUUGACCAAUUUUAUUCUCAAAGUUUAAUCCCAAAUACAUUUCAUCCUCAAAGUUUCGUAAUUUUGACCAAUUAAGGACAAUUGACGAGAAAUAUCCAAUUGACCGUUACAACCAACGGUUUUACCCAACAAAAAUGGGUAAAACCGAAUGAAGCUAACUUUAAAGGAACAAAUGCAACGGACAGAUGAAAAGCUCCAUUGUUGUCCUUCUUCCCUCUGCCUUGCAAUCCCAAAAUUUUUUUGCCAAUCUUUGCAGCUUUAAACAUUUCAUCCUCAGAGCAUCCAGCAGUGGAGCUCUCUGUGCUCUCAUUUUUGCCUAAAUGAGAAGCAGAAGUUCUGAAGUCUCUAGUGGUUCAUCAACUCCAUUCUGCAACUGUGGGUUAAGAACAAAAAUGAGCAUCUGUUGGCGCUGCGAGAAUCCGGGAAGAAGAUUCCUUGGUUGCUCUCUGUGGCCGGUAAGAAAUAUUUGUCUAAAAAUAUUGGUCCUUCAAUGUGUUAAUUUAGCUAACUAAUUUCAGAGAAAUGUCAUUAUUAUUAUGGUAGAGACCCGAGAGAUGCAGGUACUUUGAAUGGGUUGAUAAGCCAAUUUGUCCAAGAGGGAGAGUUCUCAUUCCUGAUUUGCUGAAAAAGAUUAACAAAAUGGAAGAACAAGUUGAAAGAAUGCGUAAGAGAGAGAAAUUUUUUAUUACGAUAAUUGUGCUUUUGGUGGUUUUGCUAGUACUGAGUUGGAGCAGUAAAGGCGAGGGAAAAGUAAAGGGAGGCAAGUUGCUGCUAACAUUGGAGUGAUUUUGAUAAAAUUGCAGAAGAACAUUUUGAAGUUGGCUGUGUUUGUUGUUGGAACGAGAGUUGCAUUUUUCCCUAUGAAGUAAUAUCCAAUUGUAGGGUAUAGAAAGGGACUUCUUUUGUUUGUACAAAGGUUCCAAAUGAACUCUGCAAUUUAUGUAAAUGGUGGGAUUUAGGAAAGGAAAUGUAUUUGGCAACAAUGCAAUUUAUGAACUCUGCAAUUUAUUUUGUUUGUAAAGCUAUGCGUUGAGUGUAAGAAAAUGGUCCUUGUCAAAGUGUUGUUCAUAUCAUAUAUAUAUAAUGGCCAUAAACUGAUAAACCACAUGUACUGAUAAUACAAACAGAUGCAAAUAAAUCACGGUGGAAAACAAAUGCAAAUAAACCAAGCUGGUAACUAAGCUGAUAAACCAAGAUUGUCCCACAUGUACUGAUAAACCAAAUUGGAAAAUAAAUGCAAAUAAUACAAACAGAUGAACAUGAAAACAACUGCCAUAUAUGUAUAUCAUAACUUCAAUACAAUUAAAGUGCAUUCCAAAUGAAAUAAAGCAAACUACAUAACUGUUGUUGAACAUGGGUCCAUAAAUCAAAUAAAGCCAGCUAUCACAUUACAGCCUGCAUUUCCAUAAUUACUAGGCAAGGCAAAAGUUGAAACAACAAAAGUCAUUCACUAAUUACAAAAGCAGCAACUUGGCUUGAACAAAAGCAGCUUGGCUUGAAGAAAAUUCAGCAUGUUGUUUUCUCCUAUCACAGUAGUUUCUCCUUUCCCUUCGAUCUAGAUGAACUAGGAACACUUAAAUCUGCUUUGGCGGCAGCAGCAGCAACAUGCAUAUGAACAUCUCUAAUCCUGAAGGGCAUCUGUACUUGUUCUUUAGUUUGUGUUCUGGCUUCCUUGGUGUUAUAUUUCACUUGGGACCUUGACAGCCCAAACACUUCGUACAUAUCCUGGUCUACUUGAUCUGGGGCAGAGGAUGUUAUGUCAAUCUCAACUAGUGGCUCAGCAUUCUGUUGAUGUUCAGUGUUUGAAUCAUCAUUACAAACUGCAGCUGCAACUCUUCUUGUACGUCUAUGUCUCUUUUACACAAAAUAGUGACGUAGCAAAAGUCAAAUUGCAUAUAGACAAAAAUCAAAAGAUGUAGCAGGUUUUUCUACCCUUUUAUUUGAAAACUCAGUAGCAGGCUUCUUGAUUUUCUUUGUUCCCUGCAGUUUAAAAGGAAAACAUGUCAUUUAUAUACCAAAUAACAAAGGUAGCUGUAACGAGUCAUCAAAACAACUUACAACUUUUUUUCCAUCUUGGCUAGUUGGAUUGUUGGUAGAAGCAGCAACUUGGCUUGAACUAAUAUUAGUUUCUGCAACUGCAGGAUCUUGAGCAUCUUUGAGAAGCUUGCAGGACCUCAUAUUAUGUCCUCUUUGAUGACAGUAUCUACACUUGUUAAUCUGUCUCACUCUUGUCACUUUCUUCUUAGUUUUUUUCUUGGCUUGUUGAACCUCCUCUGCACUUCUCCUUCUCAGUUUCUUAAGCUUUCCAGGUGCUCUCCCAUAUAAGGGUGGCAAAGGACCUUCACCAACAUCAGUAAGCUCCCAUUCACUUUCUCCAUUCAUGGGACACACUGAUCCUUUAUAGCACUUCAUAUAUGUCUCCACUGUAUACCAUUUUGAAACAUAUAGCGGAGGAUCCUUUUUAGCUAUCCAUAAUGCAUUAAUGGCAUGGGGACAGGGAAUACCUGUUAGUUCCCAUUUUCUGCAAGAGCAUGUUUGCUCAUUGAUGUUCACUGCAUAUUGGUCACCAUAUGGGCAACUAACUUCAUAAAGAUCAUCAUUUGACUUAAAUGAAAAACAGUCAGGUGUUCUAUCUAUAUUUUUCUACAUAAUGUGAAGAAUUUUGGGGUAGUAAGGAUAAGUCUACCACUUCUCUUUGGCCAGAUUCCUAUUUUUUUGCAUUCUCUGCAUCAUGUACAACCGUAUUGCUUCAAACAUUUCAAUUAUUGGCUUCUCCCUCGCAUCAAGAAUUUUGCUGCUGAAGCACUCACAGAUAUUAUUCAAUAACAUAGCACAUUUAGGAUGAGUGCUAAAAUAAACUCUGCUCCAUUGACUUGGUGGUUUGUCAUCAAACCACUUGGCUGCCUCUAUAUCAAUUUCAGCCAUUGCUUCCAUUCUGCUAAUGAAUUGGGUUGGUGUUGUUGCUUUGGCAACAGUUCAUAACAUUCUCCUCAAACCUUCUCCUUUGAAACUAGUAGAAGAAAAGUUAUUAUGCAAGUGUUUCACACAAAAUCUGUGGGCUGCAUUUGGGAAAAUCAUAUCAUAUGCUUCAAUUAGACCUUAUUGUUUGUCACUUAUUAUUGUCCACUCAUAAUCCUUUUCAAUUUUCAAAUCUUCUUUAAAUAGUUUGAAGAACCAGCACCAUGAGUCCUUACUUUCACCCUCUACUGUAGCACAUGCUAUUGGAGAAAUGCCAUUAUUGGCAUCAACUCCAACAGCUGUUAGCAAAACUCCUCCUACUGAUUCUUUCAAAAAAGUACCAUCUACUCCAAUAAAUUGCCUACAUCUAGUUAGAAAACCAUGCUUCACUCUAGCAAAAUAGAUGUACAGCUUCUCAAAUCUGCCUUUUCCUGUUUUUGAGUCUCUAAAGCCAUCAACAGUUUUCAUUAUAACAGUGCUACCAGGGUUGGAUCUUAGAAUUUCAUGCAUAUAAACUCCUAAUUUGUUGUACUGGUCUUUUUCACUGUCUUGAACAAUUUUUAUUGCUUUUCUCUUUGUCCUAUAUGUUUAAUUUUUUGUGAAGGAGCACCUAUUUUCUUUCAUUACUAUCUUCCUAAAAUGCUCCAAAUCUAAUUUAGGAUUACACCUAAACUCUUCACAGUACUUCUUAGCUACCUAUCCAGAAUGCACAAGAGGGUUAUCAUAUGUAAAAUCACAUGUGUAAUUAUGUUCAAAUGUUCUUAUUUGAAUAGUUCAAUCCCCAAUUAAUUUCCUAACAUACAUAAGCCAAUUACAUUCACUAUUUUUGCAUCUAGCCCUCACCCUCACUCUAUCUUGUUUCAUAAACUUACAAGGCCUGCCUUGUUUCACACUAUAAUUAUGUAUAGCAGUCUUGAAGAGUUUCAGACUUGUAAAGGACAUGUACAGCUCUAAUUUUGGAUUGUCAAUAUGCUUAGGAUCAAAAGUACGAGACCUCAAUUUAGACUCUUCAUCAUCAGACUCAUGAAUGCUUUCAAAAUCAUAUUCAGAAUCAGGAACCUAUUCUGUUUCAUCAGAAUUAGGAACCUUCUCUGUUUCAUUCAAAGGAUCAGGAAUCACAUUUUCUUUCCUGUGAUUGUCUACUCCUAACCAUUUAGCAUUUUUGUCAAUAUUAUCAUGAAAUAUACAAUUAUCAGCAUCAUCACCUAUUUCAUAAUCUGAAUCAAUAGCUGAAAAAAAAGUCUCAUCACUUACAUUGGAAUUAUUAUCACAAUUAUUAGCAGCACACCUUCCUUGACCUUCAUCCCUAAUAUUAUUGUUACCAUCACCAUUUUGGAGUUCAUUUUCCGUCUCAUCUACCUCAUACGGAUCAUAACCAAGUUGUUGCACUAGAAUUUCAUGAAAAGAUACUUCAAGAUAUAAGUUAACUUCCUUAGUUGGUCCAACCUCUCCCUUAACAUAACCAUUCAACACCCUACUGCUAUCUAUCCUCCUAAAGGUGUUAUUUUCCCAACCAUAGUACACCUUAUGACCAUAUACACCAGCACUCUCAGUUAAUCUAUCCAUUUCGAAAACACUUAAACCUAUACUCUCAACAUAGUCAAAAACACAUAAAUCUCCACCUUCGUAAUGGGGAUUAGAAGUAUAUGAAAUGAGGCCUCCAUGGUGACAUCUUAAUGUAAUAAAUGUGCUGCCCGUUUCUGGUUAAAGAAAAUAAUAUAGAUCAGACUCUUCAGAAAAAAAAAAAGCUUCAUCAUUUCAGUACAACAAACUGUUGACCCACACAAAAACUACCAAACAAGGACCACUUUUACACUUUUUCCAUACACAUGGCCAGAUACACAUGGCCGGCAAAAUAUACCAAGUAUUAUUGUUUAUUAAUCACUCUCACCACAAAUUUAUAGUCAAGCGGCAACUAUUAUUAGACAUAAGGGACCACAUUCACACUAAAAUAAUCAAAUCAAGACAAAUUUUUUGAUUUAUUUAUACCUCAUGCAAAUGGCCAAAUUUGGAAAAAAAAAAUAGCCACAAAUUAUAGUGGGAAAAAAGUACAAACACAAGGGAUCAUAUAUCAGGUUUCCUUCUCCAAAAAAACACAUAUCUUUAUGCAAAUGUGGAGCUGUUGAUUUUGGGUAUAAAUACUGUAAUUUGGGGGUCGACAAAUGUGGAGCUCUUUCUCCCGCAAUGCCAUUUUUUUCUUCACCUAAAAUGCUCCACGGAUGUCGUUUAUGCCCUCCUUCUUACCAGCAGAUGCUCGAAAAGUGGAUGAAAGGAUUGGCCAAAAAAACUUUUAGGGCUGAGAACAGCGAAGAAAGAAGGAGAAGACAGGAGCUUUUUUCCUUUUGCUAUUUUGUGCAUUUUUGUCCGUUAGAAAAAGUGGCUCCAUUCGGUUUGACCCGGUUAUGAUGGGUAUAAAGUUGGAUCUGACGAAUCGUGCUUCUCACGUGCAAAGUUCCGUCCCAAUAUUUGAUUUGUCCUCCAAUUCCCGUCAAUUGUUCUUAAUUGGUCAAAAUUACGGAACUUUGAGGAUGAAAUGUGUUUGGGGUUAAACUUUGAGGAUGAAAUUGGUCAACCUCCCAAACUUUGAGGAUGAAAAGUGCAUUUUUCCCUUUGCUUCUACUUAGCUAUUUGGUAGUUUGGGGAAAAAUUCUUAACUUCAUUCUUGUUGGCAGGUGCUCCUUCCUUCCUCACCUAUGGAUCAACAUGAAAAGGGUUUUACUGUUGAUAGUGAUAUUCUUUACCCAAGAUCUCCUAGAAACGUAUCAUCCAAUCGAGCAAAGUCUGAGUACGGAGAUUCCAACUCCACAGGAGGCUUUAUGGAGUUUUGGCAGGAGUUUAAACUUACAAUCGUUGGUAUGAUGAACAGUUUGUUUGAGAGCAGCAGAUACUAAUGGAAAUGUGACCAGUGGCUUUGUGGCUAAGGCUCUUGGGCCUUCAUUAAUGGGCUUGGCUGUCAUGGUUAUAAUAGUAGUGGUGCUAAAGUAAGUGUCUUUCCCAUUUGUUGCAAGUGAAUUUGCCAAAGCCACAUCAUGUCUACAUUAGGAGUUCUUUCCAGAAGGGGUAGAGAAAUCUAAGAUAGCAUUGGAAAUUACUCAUGUGUACAUACGAAGCGAGAAGUUCUAGUUUCUGUUAAGGUUCCGCACAUUUUCUUAGAACGUUUGUCCUCUUUUUCACUAAAUUUGAUGAGUAUCUUUGGGUUAGAGAACUUUUGUUUUGUUAAUUCUCAGAGAUUGAUAUGGCUUUUGUUUUGUUAAGGCCAUCAUUCAAAAAGAAAAAUUUCUUUAGCCCGACAGGUAUAGUCUCAUAUCAUAUCCAUGUCAAAAUAAUAUUCUUCUGAUUUUUUAUUUUUUGGGCAAUAAUCAAGGAAUUAACCCAAUUUAGUCAGGAGCUGAGAGUUGCUACAUUUUUAGAAAUCAUUCUAAAAUCUUAAAUCCCAAACCUUUAAUCCAAACACCACAAAUGACUUUUAUUCCAAAUCCUGAUUCCAUACCUUGGAACCAAGCAGCCCCUUAAUUUGUAAUGACUAUUUAUGGUGGAAAGUUUUUCAAAUACAAUAUUACAAGAAUAAAUAUUAUAUAUACUGACGGUAUAUAAACUAUCAUCAUUGGAUUCAUGGUACAUGUACAUAAGUUGGGAGUUUAAAUUCAAAAUUUGUAUAGUUUUCAUUCAUCUACGACUGAAAAUUAAUCCUUAUUACAAUGUAGUUUUUUAAAAGUGCCACAAAAAACAGUUAAUUCAUAAGUACCCAUUUUGUAUUUCGAAACACAAAAAUUAUUUUAAAAGCAUUAGUGGUGAGCAUGUGCUAAAAGUGUGCUAUACUUCUAAAAUUUUAAAAUAAUACUUACCAAAUACUUAAAAGAAAGUGCUUUCAUCAUCCAAAAUAAAAAUUAUUUGAGAUAAUUUUGUGAAAAAGUACUAUAAUAUUUUUUUGAUAUGAUGUAUAUGAAAUAAAAAGGUGAUGAAAAAUGUGUUGAUGAUGCAAACAAAUCAGUGUGUGUAAAUAAGGUGUAAAUAAAGUGAAAUAAUUGACAUCCAAAGUCCAAACACACUCUUUGUUUUGCAAAAGUAACAUAAUCCCAAGCACCAAAUGGUACAUUACUAAUAUAAGAUCUAGGCUUCAAUAAUGUCAAUUAUUCAUGCAAUAUAUCAAUUAAAUAUUUAACACAAUUAUGCGUACUAUGCAAUGUAACUUCUCACACAUUAAAAUAACAAAUGUCUAGACAACAACACAACGUGCAAUAACGGGAUAAAAUUUGAAAAUGCAUUAGAAAUUCUGCUCUGUAGACUCAUCCAAUUUGAAAUCUAUUCAAUUUCCACCAUCAAAUUUCUACAGAUCACAGGUAAUUACAGAUCACACUGCUUGUCGGGUCAUCUCAUUUCCCAAGUGUUUAUGAGAUACCACAGUAGUUGCAACACAUGGGGUAUCUUUCACAAUUCGAACUGGUCUAAGAUGAUUUUUUGUGUUAUAGGCUCGAUACACGGAUGUACUUGGAUACAGACAUGUACACUUCUUCUUCUUCUUCUUCUUUUUUUCUGUAAGUCCCACAUAUUUGUAUUUUGAUACAUUAAUAAAUCUGGUUAUAACAGACCUUUCCAACCAAAAUUUAGCAGUGACAUGCACUUGCAAAUUUAUUGAAGUAUGCAAUUGGGUUAGGCUUCCCUUAAUUGAAAAAUUAAGUGUAAAUUACAACCUCAAAAAUAGUGAAAAUUACAAAAUAAUGAUUUGGAUGAGGUUGAUGUUUAGAUGAAUGUGAUUGAUUGCUGACGCAAUUUUUUAAUAAGUGACAAAAUUUAUUAUAUAAUUUUUGGUAUAUAUUAUUUUAAUGAGUUAAUUUUAUAUACACUGAUAGUGUAAACACUAUCACGAAUUAUGUGCAACGUAUCUAAUGGUAAAAGUGUAUACACUGUCAGCGCAAUCUUGUUUGGAUUGCUAUUUGUUAGAGUUUUUGUAGAAAAAUAUAUUAUAAUAAUUUAAUAUAUGUGAGUUAAAAAGAUAAUUGAAAAGAUGCGCUCAUGAAAAAUGUAGAAACUUUUUAGGCAAAUACCUUUCCAAAAAAGUUAACGUACAUAUCUCAUUUAAUCUAUAAAAAUAUAAAAGAAUUUUAAUGCUAAUUUGUUCCACACCGAUUUGGACUAUGGACUAUAGUAGAAUUGACCAACUUCUUUGUCCUUCCUUAAAUCCAUAUUGGCUCGAAAAAUCAUCUCGGAACCAAAGUUCAGUGGUUACCAAAAAAGAACUAAAUCUCUCUUUGACUUGUAGAUCGGCAGGUUUAAAUCCUACCUGUAGUGAAAAAAAUCUAGAGGAGGUGUCAGCGUACCAUUUUGCUUUAGUUAGAUUCUCAUACCUAUUACCAUCUUAUGCAUAGCUUUUUUAGAUUCCCUCUCUCUAAAUUAGAAUAAAUUAAGUUAUAGAAAUGUUAUUGUUAUCAUAAAAAAGAAAAAAGAAAAAUGGUCUCGAGCACCAUAACAUGCCUAAUCUGUCCUUUUGGUAUUCCCGCUUUCCUUUCUACUCUACAACUUGAAGUCAAUCUUGUACUGCCAAAUAGAGAAAUUUUCUUGCUGUUGCUCAACACUCAUUUGCAACACACACUUUAAUGCUAAUCCGGUACCCCUUUGUGAAUUAGCACAAAGCAUUGAAAAUUGCUUCCAGGAAGUGCGAGGAUGCAAAGCUAAAUUGGUUUGACUUUGAUCACUUGCUCCAAAAAGAGAAACUAGGCUGUAAAUUCUCAAGAGUAUGACAGUAAAAUAGAUGUUACACACAAUACUUCUUUUCUCCUACCAAAAGAUGUGGAUGCUCAUAUCAAAUCACUUGGACGCACUCAAAUAAAUUGCUAGCAACUCCAAAAUUGUAAGCUCUGCCAUCAAAUUGAGAUCUUGAAUCGUUUAGAACAUCUUAGUGCAAAUGAUAGUGAUAAUUUGAUGAAAAAUGACGAAGUUUGUAAUGCAUGACUAUGAGAUUGAAGUGUAAAUAUAAGAUGAGAAAACGUCUCAACCCCUUUUGUUCUCCUAAUUUUUAGGACUCCAUUAAUUUGAUAGACGCAUGCCCUUAAUUUUGUUGCCAAAAUCUAUUGUAAUUUUCACAUUUCUUAAACACACUUUAGCUAACACAGGUGCAUGAUAAGUAUCAUUAUUCAUAGUGGUGUCAAGCCUCAGAUAGAUUUUUUUUUUUUUGGUAAAAGAAAAGUUUAUGUGGGUUGUGCUUGGAUCACCACUAUAAGUCACAGCAAUGUUAUCGGACCAUACGUUGAAGUUUUUACAAAUUAUCCACUAACACAAUCCUCACAUUAGUAACGAGAUUCAAAUAUACAACCUUUCGUAAGCAAAAUGAUCCAUUCUUACUAAAUAUUCAGUUUAGUAAAACUGAGGUCUAGAAAGUAAAAUAUGAAAUCUGGAGUUGCUUUCAUUUGAUUUCUUCAUAUUUAUCUAAACCUUCACAUCAAUAUAGUUAUUUUAUUAUUUAUCUUUUUCCUAAAAUAUGCAUACAUAUAGGGUCCGUUUGUUUCGGAUGAAAAUAUUUUUCAGGAAAAUAUUUUCCUAAUUUCCCGUGUUUGGUUGCACAAAAGUUACUGAAAACAUUUUCCUAUGUAAAAUAUUUUCACUCAUCUUAUGAAAAACAACUUCCCUUCCAAACUUAUUGAAGUUGUUUUCCGAAAUGUAUGCAUCCUGCUUGUAGUAUGUUCCAAAUUUACUGAAAACAUCUUGCAGUAUGUUCUUUUUUUUUUUUUUUAGUGUAAACAGGAGGAUUCGAACCCAAUACCUCUUCCUUAUACUCCCUCCCCGUACCACCCAAUCCAACCCAACCCAACCCUCCACCUAGUAUAUUCAAAAUAAAAAAAAAACCUCAUCCUGCUCCUAUGCUAGUAAUUAAUUAUGUAUAAUAGGGACAUUCUUUUCUAGAGAAACUUUCAGUAGUGAGAGUGCAAGAUAUAUGUCACAAUAAGCAUUGCAUGUGAUUGAUAUUUGACACUAAAUGACCAGUAAUUUGUUUAUUAUUUAAGGAGAUAUUUUUUAUUCAUAUAUACAUUUCUCCAAGAUUUUUUAAAAUUAAACAAUGAGAUAAAUUUUCUUAUUUUGCAUGAGAAGAAGUAUGUAGUUAUAAUGUGUAGAAAGUAAAGAUAGAGAUAAAAGUGAAAAUAUUUCAAAAGUGAAACAAACACUAGAAAAAUGAAGUAAGAAAAUAUUUUCAAUAAACCAACCAAACACCUGAAAAUGAUGAAAGGGAAAUGAUUUUCAUGGAAAAUUACUUCAACGGAAAAUAUUUUUCCAAGGAAAACAUUUUACUUCCAACCAAACAGACCCAUAAAGUGUGCCUCACCGACUACUACUAGAUAUUGAAUAUAUGCAAAAUAUAUUAUUUAUAUAUAUUAAUAUUUUUAACAAAUUAGUUAACAUAAUGCAAUUGUACAUUCAAUGAUGUUACUCGUUUUUAUAUGCAAAAAAAUUGUUCCUACUAUUCUUCUUUUAUUUUUUUUCAAAAUUUGAAUGCCUGGUCAAAUAAGCAAGUUGUACUAAAUUGGGAAUCGACAUUGGCGGCGUAGGAAGCAGUUUAACACGGAAUACAUAAGCGCCAACUGUUUCUGAGAGGCAGAGCUUGCGAAAUCCGCCUUGGCCUUCUCUUUCUUCCCAUUUCCCGCUAUAUAAAUAUGCUCACCAAACCAGAGAUUCCCAAUCCUCAACAGCCAGAUUAGCCAUCUCUUGUUCAACAACAGAAGGGAAGACAUGGCUGUUGCUGACUCUAAAACUGCCACUAAAUCCUCCUUUGAAUCCAUCAGAGAAUGGGUUGUCGAGCACAAGCUUCGUACUGUUGGUAAUUCUUGUACCAUUUUCCCUUCUUUGCUUCUUUUUCGCUUCAUUUCUCUGGUGGGUUUUCCUUUUUCUUUUUCCCCUUUUUAUUAAUGAUUGUUUUGAAUUGGGUGAAAAGGGUGCUUGUGGUUGAGUGGAAUUGGAGGAUCCAUCGCUUACAAUUGGUCUCAACCGGCCAUGAAAACCAGCGUCAAGAUCAUUCACGCUAGGUACCACAUCAAUCUUUCUUCGUCCUUUUUACUUGAUUACCUUUUUCUCUCUUGAAGAUCUAUUUAACUAUAGUAUUUUUAUCUUGUUCUUGAACAUUCUUGUGCACUUUUUGGAUUAAAUUCUCUGUUCAGGAUUUGAGCAAAUUGGUUGAGAUGGGUAGAUUGGGAGGAGGGCCCUUUUCAUGUGCUUUUUAACCCGAUCUUUUUUCCUUUUCUUUUUCUGGAGAAUUAGGCAUUGUGAUUUUGUUGGCAUAUUUGAAUACAAUUUGAUCUCACUUUACGUAGCCCUGCAUAAAGAUUGUAUCGUUUUGCGUGCUACUAGAUUAUUUAGUGCCAUUAGCUGAUCAUAAUAUCUAGAUCAUGUUUUCCUUGCUUGAUGAAAUUGAUGGGAUAGGAAAGGUUUGGGAUUUAUAUGCUCCGAAUUUAUAAUAUGGAAGGUAAUUUACGCAGUGUGCCUAAAAGAACAUGUUAAUUGUUGCUCAUGAUAUCUUCUGGCUUUUAAGUACUUUAGAUACUUAGUUUAACCAGGCAGUGUUUUUAAAUUCAAGAUGCUAAGAAACAAAGUGGUUGUUGGAUUGCACCAUUUAUUAGACUGAGAUAAACAGAGGCCGAUUAUUUAAGUUUGUUGAAGAAUAUAAAAGCUUGCAUCUUUAAUCCAUGUCUGUGGGCUCCUUGUAGUCAUUUAUGUGGACAUUUUACCCUGCAAAUCCAUCUACCCCUAUUUGGCUAAAUAGCCGUCAUCACAUUAACAAAAGCCUCUGCUUCUACCUAGUAAAUUGCAUAAGCUAUAUUGCAGUAUCCUUGAGAAGCGAAUAGUACAGUUUGCCAUUUUAACAUACUUUUUUUAACCAACUGCUACACAUUUUAUGCAUGAAACAUGCAACAGAUACUGACUUUGGUUUGAUGCAAAAAGCAUGUUUGAUGUCUUUGAGAUCUACUGUGUGAAAUAACUUGAGAAAAUGUGAGCAAAGAAAUAAUUUUUACACUUUGAUUGCAUAUCCUAUGUACAUUUGACAUAUAUAAGCACACAUCUUGAAAAUGAUGCAUGCACGUGUAAAAUAGCUAAUUAACUUGGUAUAGUAGUUUUCUUGAGUGGUGGUGGGUGAUUAGACUGUGUCUGGAGAAUUGGAGAAUGAAGUGAAAUGUGAAAUGAGAUAAAGUGCAGAGACUGAAGUGUAUUGGGGAUGUGAAAUUAAAGAGUUUGAACUGUGCCUUUUUCUCUACCAGCAAUGGCAUAUGCAAUGGUAGAAAAGAUGUCCUUGAGCAGGAUCAGCCGCAGAGGGAGACAGAGAAGUGGAAAUUUUGUUGGUUUAAGUUAAUGCCAUAAGUGAUAGUGGAAAGGUGAGGAUGUCUUAAGGUAUCUGGGUAUACUUGCCUUUUUCUAUAGUUGUAAAUGAUGCAAUCGAGGAUUGGGACAUAGAGAGUUAAAGAUUACAGUGAAGUGAGGAAUGGCACAAAGUGUAAUACAGAAAAUUUUUUGGAGACUGGAAUUUGACUUGGUGACCUUAGGGUUUGUGGAUAUCUUCCAUCUGGUUGUCGUGGUUUUGUAAGGGAAGAUGGUGAUUAUGGGGCGUGUUUUCAGGUUUUAGUGAAGGUAUUGUUGAGUCACAGGUAGUAAGUUUGGUCUUGGAAUAUGAGAUCAAGAAAAGAAGUGGAUGGUUUUUUACUUGUAGGUUAAGGAAGUUAAGAUAUUUUUUGUGUUAAACCAAUUGCUUUGGAUGCUGACUCUUGUCAAAUUAACGUAGCUUGACGUACUGAAACUAUUCCUUCUGAUUUCUUCAAACUACUAUGUGUAAAUGGUAUGGUUGUCUAUUCCUUCUGUUCCAUUUUGGGGAUUGUCUUUUAAACAAACUUGUUUCUAACUCAUUCUUUUUUCCAUGGGAAGACAUACUAAGCACAUGAUAUUGUAUUAAGAAUAUGCAAACUGGAUUUUUUCUUCAGGAACCUGUACUCUACCUUUUCGUUCUUGCUUUUGUAAUAUUCAUAGUCGUCCCGAAACGUUAUCCUCGUUUUACUUCAGGUUGCAUGCCCAAGCUCUGACAUUGGCUGCACUGGCUGGAGCUGCGUUGUUGAAUACUAUGACCACAAAACAGGGAAAACACAAGAUCGAUAUCCCAAAUAUCUUCCGCUGGAUACAUACUCACAAAAGACUGAAGAAUUAACCUACAUGUGUAAUUUUGAAGAGGGUACAUCAAACUCAUUAUGAUUCCAAAAUUGAGUUUUGACUGAAAACGUUCUUGUAUUUCUAUAUGCUACGGUUUUGCUGAUUGAUCGGUGAUGUAAACAUGUGCCGCCACUGGUACAUCUCGUGAUUGUUCAUCAAUAACAAGGCAUUAUUUGGUCCUUUUAUAUAGAGUUUAGCUACCAUCAAAUAUCUUUCUGAUUAUCUAGAAUAUUGUGUCGCAUUCGGACGUAGAUUUAUUGCUAGCAAGCACUUGUGGUAAUACAGGCAUGAAUAGAUUAACUAAUGACGUGAUUGUUCUUUCCAUUGGAAUCUAAUUGCAGUUGAACUGCGUUUCUUGCUGAUUGGCUCUCUCUAAACCUAUUUGAUUGGAUUCUGAGUGCAAAACUAGCCUUAUUGGGAUUGUUUUGAUUCUUGCAUUCAUUCUAAAACAAGCAAGGACAAGUCAUCUUCAAUUACGCAGAGGUCAAAAUGUCGCAACUCUAAUAUUCCUUAGUUGUUAUAGAUCAUGACUUCUUACAAUAGACUUUUUAUUUUUUAUUUUGGUCAAAAGCAUUGUAUAAUUUCAUUUCUAACUUGAUACCAUAAGGUCUGUUACAAAAGGGCUACUACCCGAGUAAUCUUUCUGUGCGCUCUCAUGGAGCCUAAGAUUGCAAACGAAUCGAACCGAUCGCGAGCGGUUCAAAUUCGGUCAAUAUCGAACUGGUCAAGUCGAACUCGAAUUCAAAAAUAUUAAAUUCAUUAAUUGCGAGCCACGAGUUCGAUUAUAUAUAUAUAUAUAUAUUAUUUUAAUAAUAAAAUUAUAUAUAUAUUUUUAAUAUUUAUUAUUUAUUAAGAAAAAUUAUUAUUUUAUUUAUUUUUUUAAAAUAAAAUAAUUUUUAUUUUUAUUUUUUUAAGUUCAAACUCGAGCUUGACAUUUUGAUUUCGUAACUCGCUUCGUAAAAUUAUGUUGAGGUUCCGCUUAAUUAGACUGAAAUUCAACUCGACUUGAUUCGUUUGCACCCCUUGAAUCCACAAGAGAAAGUUUCCUUUCUCAUUUAAGAUUUUUAGCAAAUCUAACAGCAAAUUUUGCUAGAUUCUUAGUGAAGAGCUGAUUUCUGGUUAGGUCGCCGAGCUGACCUAAUUCAGCUCCCUCUUUCGGUGAAGUGAAAGUAAAAGGUAGGAGUGCUGUCCCGAAGUGAGAGGUGGGGCUUUGUCCCCUGAGAUCACUCCGACGGUCAAGUCAAUAUAGAGAGAGAAUAAAAAGUAAUGAACAAUACGAGUGCAACAGUAGUCUUACUUGUAAGGAGUGAACAGAAGAUAUUUAUAGAGUGUGAGAGUGGAGGGAAGGACAGUGGGUUUAAGCCACUGGGUCCCGCUUCCUGAGGAUUACGGCUCCGCUCUGCACCUGCAGCCUCUGUUCCUGACAAGGGAUAAUAGUUCAGGCACUUUGUCAGGUGGUCACGCAUAUUCCCAAUAAAGGGUCCUAGGGUUUUCAGUUAAAGUGGUGGCCCUUAAUGACAUGUCAGGACAGCUGAUAUCUCCCGCGUGCGGCCGAGAUACGACGGCUGAAGAGGUGAAUUUCGACCCGCAGGAGUGAGUCACCCGAACUGGAGGAAUACCUUUACCUUGGGCAACUCUCUUGGACGAAGUCACCUGCUUGGAUAAGAAAAGGGGCUGGAUCCCCCGGUAUAAUUUCGAAACUUAAAUCAGUUCGGAUAUAGAGAAGUAAGAAAGUAAUGAGUGGAGAUAGCGUUCUACCAGAAAUUGGUCAUCCCCUAUUCCAGUAGAGGUGUUGUGUAUUUAUAAGGGACGGAUUGGAGAGAGGAACUGCCUGCACAAGUCCCUGAAGAUCUGAGAUAGUCAGUGCAUCUGGUGGACUUGACCAGUCUAUGAAAAGAUGUGGUGUGAUAUCCCGUCAGAUUCAGGCGGCAUGUCAGAGCAGCCAUUACUCAGGCGUUAGAUGUGUCAGGGGUCACAUCCCUCCUUUCCGUAAUUGUCGAGCAUGCAAGGUUCACCUCGGAGAUACGACCUGGACCAUAUAGCCGAGGUGGCAAACGAGUUCCAACCGUCUCGCAGGAUGAUUCGCCGAGGUGGCCUUUCAGGACACGUCAGAGGACCAGGCCUCGGGCAAUCCGAGCCUAAAUGGCCCUCUUCACUAAGCCCCCCAAGCUUUGGGAAGGACGAGCACGGUACUCGCCGAGGUCGUUAUUUCCCGAGGCUGACAAGUGUGCAAGGCACGGGACACAGACACGUCAUGACUGUGCAGGGGGGACUAGGAGAGAGGUGAAAACAGGGGCUGUCAACUUUAACGUCGGGUCAGUCAAAUCGAGUGUCAGAUGAACAGCACCGUCAUUAAUGAGGAGAGAGAGAGAGUUUUUUAGGGAAUCCCAAAGAUCGCGUCUCUUCGGCUUCCCCUGUCGCCCAUAAAUAGGAGCCUUUUUUCACCGUCUCUUUCUUUACCAAAAAUUGUGAAUCACCCCAGAGCUCUGUUUCUUUGUCUUUUGACUUCGGCAGUCUUUCUAAACCACAUCUUCUUCGGCAAUUCCUUCAGAUCACAUCUUCUAAGUAAGUUUUACUUCUUUUCCUUCUGAUACAAUGGCUUAGAACAGCUCGUACUCACAAAGAGACAGUGCGGCCUGACUUUACCGAGGCAGAGAGGCCUGACCCUCCGAGAAGAGAACUGCUUCCGACGUCGGGGGAGGAGGUGCAGAGUCAUCUCACCGAGCUGGCGACAUCUGUGGAACAGCACGAGGGGAUCGAGGUCGAUCCCGAGGUCUUAUACAACGAUGACCUCGGAACCGAAGUCCCAAGGACGGGGUCUACAAAGAGCCUUCCACCCCUCCGAACGUGGAUUCUCUUAACUACGGCCUGAUGCGACCUUUGGGAGUAAGUUGGUGCAAGCUUCUGUAGUCGAGGUGAUCCGCAAGUACCCCUGGAGGAGGGAUUACAGUAUUUACAUACCCCAGCCUCACCAAUCUGCCGCACUGCCACCAAAGGAUAGGAUGGCUAUUUAUGUGGAACAACUAGAGCCGGACUCAGGGUGCCUACCACAAGAUUUUUUCGGGACUGUUUGAGGUUCUGGGGGGUGAGAAUCACUCAACUCACCCCAAUGCCAUCCGCGUCCUCGUCGGCUUCCAACUGCUAUGCCGCCACCAGGAGAUAGAACCCACAGUUAACCUAUUCCACCGCUAUUACUCACUUAAGAACAGCGGGAGCGAGAAUGGUUGGUUUUACUUCGGGAACAAAGUCCCGAAAUUAGUGGUGGAAGCCCCGAGCUCAAUAAAGGAGUGGAAGCAUAACUUCUUCUUUCGUCCCGGCUGAGAACUUUCCUCGGGGGUUCUGGUGGAGGCCCCCCACCUCGGUAAAAGAAACCUCCCGAGCAAGCUGGAAGAACACAACCUCCAGAAGCUACUGGGGUCGGGUCUCAGGAUUAAUUGUUGGGACUUUCCCGAAAUGGUUCUCGUAGAGGGCGGGCUCAGCCGAGCACUGAUCAGCUCGGACCACCCCGUCCUCCUUUCUACUAGGCUCCACCGACCUUGUACUUUUUCGCUUUCCCUUUUUUGUUUUUCCUUCUCGAAUUCUAACUAACUUUUCCUCAUUCUUUGCAGUGGUGAAGGUUUCUGACCUGAUAACCUCGGGAGACGUCGAGGUGGCAAAGAGACCACCCAAGAAGCGCAAGGGCACCGCUGAGCCUCCGCCAGGUCUGCUAAGAAGACCACCGCAGCGACAAGCGACCGCGAGCCAACCGUAGUGAUCGUGGGCGAGGGCUCACACACCUCGGCCUCUCCGGGAGGCUCCGUGCCUCGGCUAUUCCUGUGGGGUCCCCAUCCGAGGGGUCACGAUAGCCACUCCACCUCGGGGUCAGGGCGUGACUGCGUUCCCCGAUAAUCCCGUCACGGGGUCCUCUUUGUUCAACCUCCACCACAUGGCUUCCAAGGCGGCCGAGGAGGACAAGAGGCACCCCGGAUCGCACUGGUGUCCGGAGUGGGAGAUCAACGUCAACGAUCGUUGUAAGAACCCUCUGGUUGCCCAGGAGCUUCUGGUGCACUCGGUGUUGCCUCGGGACAGCAUUUAUACUAGAAAGCUCACUCCGGGCGAGCUGAUGCAAAUAGGGCUGUCGACGGUCCGGGUCUGGACCCGGACCCGGCCCGAACCCGCCAACAUUUGACGGGUAUGGAUAGGAAUAUAGGCCCGCGACCCGAACCCAUAUUAUCUAAUACAUUUGCGGGUCGGAUACGGGAUAUACCAUUCCGACCCGUAUCCGACCCGGACCCGUUUUAAUUAAUUAAUAAUUAAAAUAUAUAUACCUAUCUAUCAAUUAUUCAUACCAAUACUACUUUCAUAAUUUCAUUCCCAAUUCUUUCGAACCCUAAUACCCAUCGCCGCACCUGCACCUCCCUUUUCCCCUCACUCUCUUUUCUCUUUUGCUCUGUCUCCCACCUCCGCUAGUGACCGCUGACCAGUCCGCUCUCCCAUCUCCAUCUCUCCAUCUCCGGCGACGCUCUCGACUCUCUCCAGCUCCAAAGAAGCCCAGCUAUCAUCGUUACCGUCGAGUCUGGCCAGCUCCAAAGAAGCCCAACCCGGUCUAGUCUCACUGUCUUCUCUCUUGCACUCUCCAUCUCUGACGCCGGCGAGCUCUCUCCAUCUCUGACGCCUGGCGGUUGCAGCUCCGGUCGAAGCCCAACACUUCCAGCUCUUCCAGGCUUCCAGCAGGCCAGCUUUCUUGUCUCGUCUGCUUUACCUUUUUUAUCCCCUUUUAUUUAAUAGGGAGAAGAAAAAUUAGAAAAGCCGAAAAGAAUUGUAAAGGAGAAGGCACGUCUCCAGAAAACCUACAAUUGAAAGUGGACGAUAUUUGCAUCGCAUUCUUUCGGUAACCUCAUCUCAAAUGCAAAGUUUGCUGGAUAGUUAUUGGAUUGUGCAGCAACUGGCUCUUUGUUUUUUUGCUACUACAAGAUAUGAUACCAUGACAAUAAAGUAGGCAAGUGGAUCACUCCCAAGCAUUUGAGAGGUUCUUGUUGAAAGGAAAAAAAAAAGAAAGAAAUCCAAAAGCCCUGUUGCUCGGCCUCUAAUUUUCACCAAGAAAAUAAUUUGUUAUUAUUUGGUCUCUGCACAAAGUUAUUUGAAAGAUUUUGCACUCCAAAAAUCGAGGAGCAAAAUUCAAUAAUAAUGCGUCUAGAUUAUGAAAAAUGGAAAAAUGCGCUUGAUUGCUAUAACUAGUUAUUAAGGUCAGCAGAAAAGGUGAAGAUGAUAGAAAGAAAGGAUCUCAGGCAGAUAAUAAAAUGAGGGCAAGGAUAAAGAUGAAGGUGUAAAUCAGGUUUUUUUACUGGUCUUAUUCGGGUAGGCCCUACCCGACCCGGGACCCGUCGGGUGCGGUUCCAGAUAGAGAUUAAGAGACCCGUCGGGUAUUUGGGCCGGUUCCGGAAUUAAUACGGUAUUACGGGUCCGGGUUCGGAUUUAUUGAUUCCGGCCCGGACCCGACCCGUUGACAGGCCUAGAUGCAAAGUGCUUCAGUCUCCUGAGCCUCCACCACGGCCUUCUUUGCUGAAAUGAUACAACGCUACGGGCGUUUUAUGGAAACCUUUGAGCCACCAGCCGAGCUCCAGAAGAAGAUUGCCGACCUGGAAGAAAAACUGAAGGCAACUGAGCUAGAGCGCGACAAGGCCGAGGCGACAAGGAAGAAGGCCGAGGUCGCGAACAAUUCCUUGGUCACCGCCCUUGACGAGGAGAGAUGAAGAAGGGCCCAAGAGGAGCAGUCGACCAAGGAGGCCAUAAAUAAGGCCGGGGUAACUGCCGUGGAGUCCUUCCGCAGCUCGGAAUCCUUCACGCGCGACCUCGGGGAGCUUACGCGACCGAGCUUCAUGCUUGGCUACACUUCGGCCAUCAAUGAUGCAGCGCCCUUCCUCUCUUCUGAACAGCUGGAGUCCCUUCAAAGCACUCCUCACUAUAAUGAGGACGCCAAGAAGCUGUGCGACUGCAUGGCUGAGGGAAUCCAAACUGGAAGGGACCUAGCCGAGAUCCGGAUCGAGUUCAACAAAUGGCUCCAGAAGUUUGAGAUAGAUGGUACUGAAGACGACCAAGCCGGCGGAGGAGCUGAGGGAGGACAGGAUGCCGAAACGGGAGGCGCGACCAUGGGGGUCAGGAUGCCGGGGUAAGCGGUCAGGAUGCCGGGGUAGGAGGUGCUUAGAAGCACUCCUCUAUGACCUCGGCCUUUUGCUUUUUGUUCUUCAAUGAAAUCAACUUUUUGUUCUCGCAUAUUUUUUGCCUCUUUUUGAUCGAAUUGAAUUCAACUUUUCUUAUUUUGAACACUGCUUUGUCCCCUUAUUUUUCACUUGAAGAAAAUAAAUUGAAAUUUGAACAAGUGAGAAAUAACUUGGAGAACUGAAAUUUGAGAACACGUACUCUUUAAGGGUAAUACAACUUAAGGUUUUCAGCAUGCCAAGUCCGGAGCACUCGAGAGCCAUCUCGGUAAGCUAAUUUACAAUAUCCAUUUUGGUUGGACUCAACAACACGGUAAGGUCCUUCCCACUUGGGGUUAGUUUACCCUGAGAUUCAACUCGACUAACUGAGUUCUUCCCUAGAACAAGGUCUCUCGGAUUGAACCGCAAGUGCUUGACCCGAGCAUUGUAGUAACCAGUUAGGAUAUUCUUAUAAAUGGCGAUCUUAGCUGCGGUCAUAUCACGCUUUUCCUCGGCGAGGUCGAGAUCAACUCGUCGUUCCUCUUCAUUGGCCUCGGCAGCAUAUGCGGCCAUACGCGGGCUUGGUGUGAUGAACUCGGUUGGGACAACAGCUUCAGACCCGUAGGUUAAGGAAAACGGGGUUUCUUGGGUUGUUGACCUCGGCGUAGUUCGGUAGGACCAGAGCACACUGGGAGCUCUUCCAUCCAGGACGAUCCAGCCCGGUGGAGCCUAGUCUUGAGUCCAUGGAGAGUUCGGUUGAAAUUUUCGACUUGUCCAUUUGCUUGUGGGUGUCCAACCGAGGUGAAAUGCUGCUUAAUCCCCAAGUUUUCACACCACGCCUUGAAAGGAUUGUCUGCGAACUGCCUGCCAUUAUCCGAGAUGACCACCCGGGCAGGCCGAAGCGACACAACACGUUCUUCCAAAAGAAUUUUUGAACAGCAACUCCGGUUAUGCUUCUCAGGGCUCGUCUCGACCCAUUUGGUGAAAUAGUCUACUGCUACCACCACAUAGGCAUAAUAUCCUGGAGCUUUUGGAAAGGGGCCGAUUAUGUCAAUUCCCACUGCUCGAAUGGCCAUGGCAAAGUGAUGGGGAUCAUAAGAUUAGUCGGUUGGUGGUGCUCAGGAGCGUGGUGCUGACAAGAAGGGCAACAGAGUACCAUGACCUGGGCAUCUACCCUCAUGGUGGGCCAGAAGUAUUCGAGCAGCAAGGCUUUCUUCAUGAGCAUCCUGAAACCGACGUGGGCACCACAAAAUCCCUCAUGAAUGUCUUGAAGGACUCCCUUACCUUCUUCCGGGGUGAUACACCGCAACUAGGGGUCGAGGUAAGACCUCUUGUAUAGGAGGCCUUGUCGGAGGAUGUACCGAGCUGCUUUUCGUUGAAGCUUCCGUGCUUCACCUCGGUCUUCUGGAAGCUCACCCUGACUGAGAAAUCGAGUCAAAGGCCCCAUCCAGGUGUCCCCGGGUAAAUGGGGUAUACAACCUCUCCUUCGUACCCCGGCUCGGAUAGGACUUCCACGAGAACCGUCUUGUUCAGGUCGGCAAAAGAAGUAGAGGCGAGCCGGGAGAGAGCAUCAGCCCUCCGGUUCUGUGACCGUGGUAUCCUUUGAAUUUCGAAAGACUCAAAGUGUGCCACCAGUUGGAGGACCUUAGAGAGGUAGCGAUGCAUCACCUCUUCCCUGGCCUCGUAUUCGCCUAAUAUUUGGCACACGACGAGUUGGAAGUCACUAUAGACCAAGAUGUGUGCGGCCCCGAGCUUUCGAGCUAGUUGUAAGCCGGCAAUGACAGCCUCGUAUUCGAUUUCGUUGUUGGAGGCAGUGAAGUCAAACCUCAGGGCGUACGAGCACACAUCUCCUUGAGGGUCUUCGAGGAGCAAGCCUGCUCCACUACCCUCACUGUUGGACGAUCCAUCCACGUGUAGAAUCCAUCGCUGGAGCCCAGCGAUGGCCACUUCAGCUGUCACCGGGGUGGUAGCUCGGAUGGGUUCUUUCACCUCGUCAAAGGUGAGUUCGACUAAAAAGUCCGUGAGAGUCUGGGUCUUGAUGGCUGUGCGAGGUUCAUAAGAGAGGUCAUACUCCCCCAACUCAAUGGCCCAUUUGGUAAGACGUCCCGAAGCCUCAGGUCGUGUCAGGAUCUGCCGGAGUGGUUGAUCAGUCCUCAAACAGAUGUGGUGAGCUAGGAAAUAGGGCUUGAGUCUGCGGGCUGCGUGGAUCAGGGCCAGCACAAGUUUCUCCGCUUGUGUGUACCUUGUCUCGGGACCUCGGAGAACUCGACUAACGUAGUAGACGGGCAUUUGGACUCCUUUCCCUUAUCAGCACGGCACUCACGGCCUCCACCGCAACAGAAAGAUAUAAGAUCAGCUUAUCCCCGGUCGAGGUGAGGUGAGCGUGGGAAGGUAGUGAAGGUAAUCCUUCAGCUGCUCAAACGCCUGUUGACACUCUUCAAUCCAGGAGAAGUGGUCAGUUUUCUUCAAUACUUUGAAAAAUGGCAGAGCUUUGGAGGCUGACUGCGAUAGGAACCGGUUCAGGGCGGCCAACUGCCCCGUCAACCUCUGGACAUCGCGGACGCACCGAGGUGGAGACAUCUCCUGGAUAGCUCGCACCUUAUCCGGAUUCGCUUCUAUACCUCGCCUUGAGACGAGAUAACCUAAAAAUUUUCCCGAGGUGACCCCAAAGACGCAUUUCUUGGGUUCAGCAUCAUUCGCGUCUUCCGGAGAUAUCACGGACCUCUUUCAGGUCGGCCAGAAAAGCGAAGGUCGUCUGGCUUUUGAGGAGGAUGUCAUCUACAUAGGCCUCAACAUUUCGGCCGAUCUGAAACUUGAAUGCUUGGUUGACCAAGCGUUGGUAAGUGGCUCCGGCAUUCUUCAGCCCGAACAGCAUGGUAGUGUAACAGUACGUGCCGCGGUCAGUAUAGAAGGCCGUCUUCUCCUGGUCUUCUUAGCUCAUACCAAUUUGGUGAUAACCUUUGAAUGCAUUCAGGAAACAGAGGAUCUCAUAUCCCAUUGCCGAGUCUACUAAGGUAUCAACCUUGGGCAAUGGGCAACAGUCCUUGGGGCAGGCCUUGUUGAGAUCGGUGAAUUCGACGCACAUUCUCCAAACCCCCGUAUCCUUCUUGACCAUGACCGGGUUGGACACCCAGGUAGGGUAUUGGACUUCCCGAAUUAUUUUAGCGGGUAAGAGCUUGUUCACUUCCUCACCGACAGCUCGGCUGCGCUCAGGGCCGAGGUGCCUUCUCUUCUGUUUGACCGGACGGACUUGGGGGUCGACGUUCAGCUCAUGCAUCAUGAGAUGGUGCGGGACCCCUUGGACCUCUUCGUCGACCCAAGCAAAGACGUCCCGAUAUUCUCUGAGGAGGUCCACCAUAUCUCUUCGGACAGGACCGGGCAAUCGGGUACCAACGCAACUGUUUGAUCAGGCUUCGUGGGGUCCAGGGGAAGCUCUUCCACCUCAUCCCCAAUCUCCAGCCUCGGGACCUUCUCAGCUCGCUGAGGAUCGAUACUAUUUAUUGAGAGAAUAUUUGACCUCUUCUCGGUCUCGUUCCGGAGAUUGAUGGGGAGGCCGCUUGUAGAGUGGCGAGGUAACACUCUCGGGCAGCGCAGACUUCGCUACUGACCUCGGCCACUCCUGCAUGGGUAGGAAACUUAAAACUUAGGUGGUAUGUAGAGUACACCGCCCGCAGAGCAUUAAGAAUAGGUCGACCCAGGAGCAAGUUGUAUGGGGAGUCAGCCUUAACCACACAAAAUUCACUGGGAUAGUUCGGCAGCGGGGGUGGUGCCCCACGGUUACCGUUAGGGUCACCAUUCUCUCGGGGUGCACAACGUGCCCCCCGAACCCUACAAGAGGGGUUCUCACCGGGGUCAUGUGCUCCCUGGUCAGUUUAAAACUCUCAAAGGUGCGGAGGUACAUGACGUCAACUGAACUUCCCGGGUCUAUGUAGAUCUUUUUCACAAUAUAGUUGUUGGUGAGGACUUCAAUCACUAAAGUUUCAUGACUGCUGGAGGCAGUUGGGACGGGAUCACUGGGUCCGUAGGUGAUCACCUCGGACAGGCGAGAACUCGACUCGGCCUGAUCUGGAUUGGCCUGCCUAUAGGUCCUCUUCCGGGAGUUCUGACUAUCUCCUCCUGUCGGACCUCCGGCAAUGGUGUUAAUGACUCCGGCGAUGUUCGGCCCAUAUCCCAACCCAUGUCCAGCAGAUCCGUCUGGGGGAGGCCCUUUCGUCUCCCUGGGAUCCUCAGGAGGUCGGCAGCUGCUUCUGGAGGUCCGCCGCUCAUCUCGGCGUCGGUCUCCUCGUUUGUCUCGCCGGUUUUCAUCUCGUUAGUGGCCUCCAGCUCGGUGGAUGAACUGUUUUAAGUGCCCCUGUCUAAUGAGAUUCUCGAUCUCUCUCUUGAGAUCGUUGCAGUCCUCAGUCUCGUGACCAAUGUCACGGUGAUAUAAGUAGUAGAGGUUCGAGUUCCUCUUGUCUCUGCUUCCAUACAUCCUCGGUGGGGCUUUUCCGAGGUUGUUUUGUUCCAUCACGGACAACACCUGAGACCGGGAAGUGUUCAAAGGAGUCAACUCGGAGUCGAGAAUGGGCGACUUCCCUUUGGAUAUCCUGUCGAACACGUUUCGGCGGUCCCGGCCAGGAUUUCGGAAGCCACUUCACGUUCCCACUUCAGCUCGGCUGGCAUCUUUUCCCUUUCGGGGAUCAGCCCUUAGACGGGUGGCUUGGACCUCUUUCUUCAUGCAGUGGAGGUCUUCGGCCUGUAUGCCCUUUUCAACCUUCAGCCACAAUUCAUGCAGUGUGCGGGGAUAUUUCUUAUGGAUCCCCGUAUUGAACUCCCGGCAACGAGUCCAUGGGUAAAAGCAGCGAGGGUUACCUACUCAUUGGGGGUCAGGUAUCUGAACGCUUUUCUCAUGGAACCUCCGGACGUACGACCGAAGUGACUCUCCCGGAUUCUGUUGCACAAUGAACAGGUAAGCCGAGGUCUUGGUCGUAGGUCGGGAGGAGACAAACCGGUGGAGAAACUUUUCCACUAAUUCACCCAGGGUCGAUAUGCUCCUAGGUUCUAGGGCCCAGAACCAUUUUCGAGCUGUUCCCCGAAGGAAUACUGAAAAGGCCCUGCAGAUGACGGGGUCUGGGAUGCAGUAUAGGCGGAAGGCCGAGAUGAAGGCAUGGAUGUGGUCUUCGGGUCACCUCGGCCAUCAUAAGAUUGUACUGCGGGGAGCUUAAAAUUGGGAGGAAACCUUUCCUCGUUUAUAUCAUCUGUAAACGGUGGAGCCCUCAUGCAGUCCACCCCGGGUAUUCCCAAGGACCGAGGCUCUUUCUCGGGUCGUCGCCCCAAGAGCCCUCGAGAAAACGCCUUGGUCAGGAAAGGUACCUUAGAGGUAGCCUUAGAAAAUGCUCGCUUUGAGGCACUUCGGCUUAAGCGCCUCCCAUCUGACCCUUCUUCAGAUGAGUCCUCAGGAGACCCAUCUGACUUCCUUUUAGAGGACUCGGCUUUUGUUUGCCUUGUCUCUUAAGGUAUCUCCCCAACUCUUCAAAGAUGUUGGGUUCUCAGUUACAAACUCGGCCAUACGGGUUAUGGCUUCUUCGUUUGCGGGCUGAGUCCUCGGGGACUCCUGCCCUUCAGAAAUAUUUUCUUGUUGAGCUGCAUUGCUUUGCUCAGCCUCUAUAGCGAGAGCUUUUCUGCUCCUAGAACGCGCAGGCUUCAUCUUCUAAUAUCUUUGCGUUCUCACAGACGGUGCCAAUUGAAGAGGUGAAUUUCGACGGCAGGAGUGAGUCACCCGAACUGGAGGAAUGCCUUUACCUUGGGCAACUCUCUUGGACGAAGUCACCUGCUUGGAUAAGAAAAGGGGUUGGAUCCCCCGGUAUAACUCCGAAACUUAAGUCAGUUCGGAUAUAGAGAAGUAAGAAAGUAAUGAGUGGAGAUAGCGUUCUACCAGAAAUUGGUCAUCCCCUAUUCCAGUAGAGGUGUUGUGUAUUUAUAGGGGACGGAUUGGAGAGAGGAACUACCUGCACAAGUCCCUGAAGAUCUGAGAUAGUCAGUGCAUCUGGUGGACUUGACCAGUCUAUGAAAAGAUGUGAUGUGAUAUCCCGUCAGGUUCAGGCGGCGUGUCAGAGCAGCUAUUACUCAGGCGUCAGAUGUGUCAGGGGUCACAUCCCUCCUUUCCGUAAUUGUCGCAUGCAAGGUUCACCUCGGAGAUAUACCAUAUAACCGAGUUCCAACCGCCUCGCAGGAUGAUUCGCCGAGGUGGCCUUUCAGGACACGUCAGAGGACCAGGCCUUGGGCAAUCCGAGCCUAAAUGGCCCUCCUCAACGGCCAUCUAGGUCAUAAAGGCCGAGGCCCACGAGAGGUCGCAGAGACCUAGCCGAGAUCUAUCCGAUGUGACAGGAAGGAUCACGGCCAUGGCACCACUUCAGAUAUGGCGAUCCGAAGUGACCGCCUUCACUGAGCAUAUAUGUUACCUAUUCUAUUAACAAAAGAAAAGGUACAUUGGUCAAACAAGCCUCUCAUGUUAUCAAUAUCGUCUAGUAUAACAGCAGUUCUGGAUUCCAUAACAUUUUCCUCCAUGAUCAUGUCCGCUAUUGCUUUGCAAUCUGAUUGGAAUUCCUCUUCCUUCCAUUGUGCUUCUCGGCCAUCAUCAUUCCCGUUCUGAGUGCUACAGCUUCCUCCACUGGUUGUUCGCUUGAUUAUGCCUCAAAUCUUGCCACAUUGCUCUAAGUUUAUAACCAACGAUGCAAUUAAGCUUUUUCACUAUUUAUAUAGUUUGGAGGAUCAGAUAAGUUCCAAUUCUUUGUUUCUGGUUUUGGAUCCAGGUUUAGAUGAGCGGAUUUUUAUUGUCUCCCACUCUGCUAUCUUCAAUCAUCUUCUUUUUUUUUUGCCAAGUCCUCCCACUAUAGAAAAAUUAAGAGCAAAACAGUGCAUAUUAGUACUCUUUUAUUUUUGGUUUCAAGGCCCAAUAGGAUUUCCUGCUUUCCCUUUUUUUUCGUGACUAAAAUUUUGAAGCCUACAAACUUUUAUUCGUGCUAAAAUCUAUGCUUGCAAAUUGUCUAAUCAGACAAUACUUUUAUCAGAGGAGUUCUUUUUAAGCAUUUCCAUUAUCGUAAAAGCCUACCACUUCUUGAAAACCAAUGUAGCAUUAUAUAAUAUGCGAAUGCGACCUACUAAUGACAUAGAUAUUCACAUAAAUAGCUUCCUCUAAAGAAUUCUUGAUAAUUUCUCCAGCUAAAUUGUUCAAGUUCUUCUGAUCUAGAGCAUCAAACACCUCGAAACAUCAAAAGUGCUUAAUCAAAGGCCAUAGGUUUACACCUCUCAUUUAUUCUUGAAAAGUGCUUGAGCUAUCCUUCCAUUAGCUCCCUUGGGCAGGAAAUCCACCAGGGGAUCCCUCAUUACCGGUAACAUAAACAAUCCUUAAUAUCUCUGCUGGAGAGCGUUUGUACGAGGAGGAGUAAUAAUUCGCAGAUAGGACAUUGCUUGAGGUCUGAUUUUCUGCGCCGAGAUUUGGGUGGACAUGGAUGCCUUCAUCCUUGUUGCCACCCUUAGCCAAGAGGUUUUUGACAUUGGAAAUGCGAGUUGUAAAAUCAGCUACCGUGUGUUGGUAUAGUUCCACCACUUGAUCUGCCCGUUGGUAGAGAUAUAGCCUGAUAACGGGCAUCUUGGCCUGCUUCAACACCUAAUAAUCCUGCUGAAACCUGUAAAUCAAGCGUUAAUAAAUUGACCUCGAGCUCACUUCAAUAUUGGAAAUUAAUUGACGCGGCGCGAUUGGUUUAUAACCUGAUACUUUUGUGUUAGAUGUCCUCUGCUGCGUGAUCUUUUGUGCUAACAAGAUUAUAGACUUAUGCGCUUGCUACGGUAAGUCUUGAGGAGAGGGUUUAUGCCAACAUAUCCUGUCAGUCCAAUGUAUGGAACUGCAUAAGUAGCCAGAAAGAAACUUAGGCUGUUCUCGUAAGGGUUGAAUGGAGGUCGAGUGGUAUCCAAAUGCUGCAUCAAUGAUCUUUGAGAAGAGUUCAGCACUUAGAUCAAUCUGAGCUCUUGGGAUCAAACCUACAGCGUCUUGAAGGGCUCUACGCAAUUAUAAGCACAAAAAAACAGUUAGGUAAUGAAGAAAGAAAUCUAGAUUAAUGAACCUUUUUAAGGUUUUAAAAAAAGGCAAAAGAACUUAAUUUUGGAUAUGUAGUAAAUUAUCUACCUUAGAUGGCCAACUCCUUGAUAACCAAACAGUUGCAAUACUUUGUGUGAGCUUGUCCAAAUUUGCUUUUAGGCACCAAUAGGAGCAGCGCAUCCGAUCCUCAACCCCCUCAAGGAGCCUAUCUGUCGAGUCUCAUCCUAAAAAUUUGACACAUGUAACAAAUCAUGCGAUUUCAUUCACCCAAUCCUACUCUGAAGCCUAUUUGGUAUUCCCUUCUCUUGAAUGUUACGAAACCCACUCAGUGUAUCAAUGAUCCAACCAACAAGAAAUCACAUCAAACAAAAAUCUAUAAACCCUGAAUCCAUCAAGUCCAUGUCACAAGGCACCCCGCAAGAACCAUUCUGCUUGCAAGAAUUCCAGAUUCUGUGCGAAUUGCAACGACUCAAUGUCACUUCUGGAAACUUGAAGAGGAGAAUGAAAUAUCAAAAUGGCUAGACAUCAACGUUAAUAACAAGAAAGUGUAAAAGAGAAAUGAUGAAUGGAGAGCCAUUGAUGUAAGUGAAGACAAUUCUGCUCAUAAAACUUGCAACUUCUUGGACUUUAUACAAGUAGGAGUAGAGCAUUUUUUCUGUAUAUAGCAUGGAUCAUCGUCCAGAAAUAAUAUGAAUCAUGUAAAUUUCCAUUUGAGAAAUUAAUUAAAAAAAUCAAUUAUUCCACCAUUCUUUUAUCCCCUAGAAAACCUUUUUUUUUUGGAAGAAAAUCAUUUUUGAAGUUUGAAGUGAAUGCAGUUACUAAAGUAACAUAUUCUUUUUACCAAUUUACCUUUGUCGAAAAUAUAAGUGCAAAGCGAGGGCAGUUACAAAUUUUUGUAGUAUGUAACUACAUGUACCAUAAUUUCUUUGGAUUAACAUAUUAUGCUAUUUAUGCAAAAUUACUCUUACGUUGCUUUUUUUUUUUUGUUUUUUCAAAUUCAUAACUUUACAUUCAAGGAGUUGUUUAGAAGUAGUUUAUUGAUAGUGUGUUUGGAUAGGAGGUUAUUUGAUAUAUUUAUUGAAAAUAAUUAUUGUAGCACUUUGUAUGAUGUGAUAUAUGCGAGAUAAAAAUGUGAUUAAAAAUUGUGUUCAUGAUAUAAGUAGAAAAAAUUUGAUUUUUUUUUUCGCAAAUCUUGCUAACCAAACAUACUUGCUUAUCCGUUUCAGAUUGUUUGAGAAAUUUUUUUGAAUUUUUCCUUCAUUUGUAUCAUACUAUCCUUAUUUUUUAUGUAAAUGGAAAGUUUUAAAUCUUUUUUUUAAUUUAAGUGAAAAUUUUUAAAUUGAAAACUUUCUACUUACAACCCUCUCGUACAGUCGAAUAUUAAAUACUUUUGGGUUCAGGGGAAAGCAUUUAGAUGGAAUUUCAUCCAAGUUCAUGGGCCCAAAUUCAUUGGUAAAAAUAACUAGUUACAUAAUCUCGUAUUUUCACGUACCUGAUUUUUGUCUAUAAUUAAGAUAGUUUUACGGGGGUAAGAAUGUCUCAAUAUUUAAACCAAAUGCAGGUCUUCUUGAUAUCUUUUGCCAAUGGUUGUUUUUUUUUUUUGGUAAAAAACAAAAAAAAAUCCCUGUGGUAAGCCUAAUACACAAAAAAAAUUCCUAUGGUUUCAAAAUAUACAAUACAACACCUCAUGCUUUGAAUUAAAUUGUAAAAGUGACGGAAUCCGUUAAACUUAACGGAAAUGAGUCAAAUAACUUAUUGGAAUCUAAAAAAAACAAUUUAUACCUAAUUUUUAUCAAAUAUACCUAUUCUAUCCUUUAACCCUCAAUUCUCUCUAUUUAGAUAAGCCUGUCAAUCGGAACUAAUGAGUCGGGCUUUCAUAAGGUCAAACUCAAUUCAUUUAAUUUGGAACAUUUUCGAGUUUCGGGCUAUGAGUUUUGGGUUCAUAAAUGUGAAUCUCAUACUCAACUCACAUAAUAUUCGGGUUAUGAGCCUUAAUCGAGGUUAAUCCAAGUUCACUUAUUACUCCUUAAUUUUUUUAAUAUAAUUACUAUAACUAUUAAGUUUUAAAACUAAUUUAACAUUUACAAGACUGUAAUAUUAAAACUAAACAUGAACAAAUAAUAGUUCUUAAAAAGUAUAUAAACCAAAACUUUUUCAACAAUAUUUAUAUUUCAUUCAAAAUGCAUGAAAAAUAGUAAUAAAACAUGCGAUCAUAAGCCAGUACAUCUUUAAAAGUUGAAACUUUUUUUAUAAUCUUGUGAUUUGAAUGCAAACAUGCUUGAUGAUUUGUGUUUGUAGAUCAAAAAGAAAUCAACCAAUAUUAUGCCAACACAAAAAUUUAUUUAACCAAUAAGAAAAGUUAGAGAUUCAAUUAUACAUCACUAAUAUUGGCUCUCAAGAAAGCUCAUGGAAGAGUCUUUAGAUGUAUUUUUAUAUUUUGUAAUAUAUAUAUAUAUUUAGUAUUUAAUAAUAAUAUAUUUGGAUAUAUAAUUAUACAUAAUAUCAAAAUAUAAAUAUUAUAUAUAUAGAUAAUUAAAGGACCGGACCUAUAUCGGGUUUGAGCCUAAUAGGACCCAAGCUCGGUUCAUAUUUAAUUCGGGUUUAAUUUUUAGGCUAAAACUCAGACCGGCUCACUAAAAUGUCGGGCUCAUCGGGCUUUUUGUCCGGCCGAACGAGCCGAGUUCGAGUUGGCCCAACUCCAUUGACAGUCCUAUAUUUAGAGAAUAAAACAAAUUAUUUUUUUGAGUUGUCUUUUGCUUAAUUAUAUCAGGCCAUUUUGGUCAUUUCGUCCAUUUCCGUUAAGUUUAACCGAUUCCGUCACCUUUACAAUUUAGUUCAAAGCAUGAGGGGUUGUGUUGUAUAUUUUGAAACCAUGGAAAGCUUUUCUGUAUAUUAGGUUUACCACAGGGGUUUUUUUUUUACCCUUUUUUUAUAUAUAUACUUGAAUAACUAUACAUGGUCAUGGAACCUUUCUCAACUCUUUUUUUUUUUGUUUCUUUUCAUUGGACAUUUUCCUCAAUAAUUUUUUUGACUUUUGAGGUAACAUCAAACAUAUUAAUCUGAUAUAAUAAUAUUUACCUAGAGGAAAUAAGAAACUUGAAAAGGUGCUCAUUAAAGCUAGUUAUCAAUACUAACUAUAUUAACCCAACUAUCCAAUGGCCUGUUGCCAAAAUCAAGGGUUCAAAUCCAUUUGAAUUACGACUCUAGUACGUAGGUCAGACUAGGGGUGAGCAAUUACGGUAAUUACCGAAUUACCGAUCGAAUUUGAUUUGAAUUUGGUAAUUCGAAUUCGGUAGUUAGGUAAUUCGGUCGGUAAAUCGGUGAUAUCGAAUUAAUUAGAAUCGAAAUAGGGUCGAAAAUGGUUUUAUAGUUUUUUAAUUCGUAUUUACCAAAUUCGAAUUUAUUUCGGUAAAAUGGUAAAUUAUUACCGUUUUCAAUUUCGAAAUUCCGAAUUAAGUUAAAUAGGAAAUAAUAUCCUUAUGUCUAGAUGUUCCAAUUUCAGACUUUUGCCCUAAAUUAGCAUUCGUUCCCAUCAGGUAAAAUCGUUCCCAUUGGCUCAAAUCCAUCUACCCAGACGGUGCAGUCUGUGCAUAACCUAUGGUGUCUCCACAAUCCAAAUGCACCUUGGUUAAGCGAGGAUACUGCACCAGAGUGCUCAACCCAAAGGGGUACUGUGCAUGUUUUGACCAUUCCCUGCAAUCUCCUUCAACCUUGAUUUGGAUCUCCUCCAGGUUGGGACAAUCCUCAAGACCAGCAGCAGUCAAUGGUUAGAAGCUCACCCACGCCAAUCCAGAGUGAAAGACAUUGCAGUCUAUCCCAUGAGUUGCUACAAAAUCCAUUGCCGCUGUUGUUAAAUUGCAGAGCAGAGCAAUUCAGAUCAUAGGAGUGUCUGCACCUCUUCUUCUUGCUGCACAUGAUAUCACUAUCAUAAUCUCCAAAGUAGUUAACAAAUCCAUCCGACUGGUUCAAUGCCCUAAGAAGCAAUUUUCACGAAUUCGAUUAAAUCGGUAAAUUUUCAUUUACCGAAUUCAAUUCGGAUUGAAUUCAAAUUCGAUAUUUUCUAUUUCGAAUGCGAAUUAGGUCGAAUAUUUCCAGAAUCAUUUACCGAAAAUUACCCAUUUCAACCUAACGAAUUACCGACUUCGAAUUCGAUGCUCACCUCUAGGUCAGACCAUGUUAAUUAUUUUUCUCUUUAUAAUGUGGAUUGAAUUGAUCGUAAUUUUGAAUUGUUAUAUAAAAUAAAAAAGAAUAUGAAAAACAGCCAACCAACAAUGCUAGGUCAACCAUAAAACAAACAUUAAUCAAAAUAUUGGCUUGAUUUUUUUUUGAAAUUUGUGUUCUUGCUUUUGUAUUCAAUUUUGAAAAUAUAGGAAAGAUAAAAUUUAAUUCAACAGAAUUAGUUAGUUGAUGUAAUAAUUUCCUCAAUUCAUCUCGGUCUAAAAUUAAGUCGAGUAUUUAAGACCCUGUUUUCAUUUGCUUUAAAUUUUACAAAAUUUAAUUACAAAAAUUGAUUGUAGAAAAUAAUCAGAAUCAACAAAAGUUACUCUUCAGCUGAUUAUAGAUUUUAAUUUUUUUUAUUAUUAAAAAAGUUCAAAUUAGAAAGUAAAAACAACCAAAAACACAACAAAAACUUAUUAUCCAAAAUUAAAAUAUAUAAUCAUUUAAAAUAAUUAAAUUGAGAACAAGCCCAAAAUUGGUUAGAAGUAACACUAUGCUUCGUCUGGUGCUAUUUUUACAAUGACACUCAAAGGGCCUUCAACUAAGAAUUGGACCUCAAAGCCCACUAAUACAAAACACCUCCAUUCAUGUUUUUUUUUGGGAUAAUUUCAAAAACCUCCCCUAAGGUUUUCGAUAAUUUUAUUCGGCUCCCUUAAGGUUUACAUAAUUAUAGAGACCUUCCUUGUUAUGAUAAAAAGACAAUAAUGCCCUUUAUUAAUUGUCAACUCAUUGAAAAACUCUAUCAACUAUUAAAACUCUCUCAUCUACUAUUAACCAAUAAUUCAAACCACAGUCUUUUAUAUUUAACUACCUAUUCUCUUUCUCAUAUAUCUAUUUUUCUUUCAAACUCAUUUAUUUAUUAUUAUCAACUAAAUGUGUACUAUCGCUACUAAUAAAAUCACCAUGCACAUUAAACCACCAAUGCUUAUAUAUCUUUCCCAAUCCUCGAUUUGCCAUUAUUAGUAAAUAGUUUCCUUGCACCCAUUUUUGUUUCCAAUUUUUGAUAGGUAUUAGCAAAUUGAAAUUAUCAAAUGACAAAUUGAGUGUUAAUUUCAUUGUCAAAUUAAAUGGAGAUGAAGAUAGUAACAGUGAUAAAAAAAAUAAAAAUUAAGGAUAAGAAAUGGAAUAGGAACUAAAAAUAGGUUAUAUUGUUAUGGUUAUCAUGAAAAAAAAGUUCUUGAUAGAUAUUUAUAACUGCAUUGUGUUUCCAUUUUUUAUUUACAAUUAUUGAUAUUAUUCCUUUAGAGAGAAUUUGAUUGAUUUUGAAUUUUGUACCAAUAGAAUAUAUAAGAUAUUGAUAUUAAUAGUGAUGAUUUAGAUUAUUCUGUAGUAAAAAGGUGGCGGUCAUGUAAUUGAAAUUUAGGGAUAUUGAUGAAUAUUGUAGUAUUAAGUAAAAUCUGAUAUUGUUAUGAAAUUGUAGGUAAAUUUUUGGGUAUAUGAUGUAGCAUUUAAAGUUGAUACAAUGGUUUGCAUCAGAAAUUUUUAGGUAAAAUAGGAACAUUAGAACAAAGAUAAGUGUUUAGUUAGUGGUGAUUUGAAUGUUGAUAAGUAGGUAAUAGUGGUAGGAAAUAAAUAUAAAUGAAAUAGAGACUGUAAAUCAUUUUUUCCUUUACAUUUUUGUUGUGAAUUAUAACUCAGGAGCAUUAUAGGAAUUUUAGAAAAAAGUAUAGCCUUUUGGGUCUAGAAUGUUACUUAAAUAGGAAAAAUAGGGGAGAUAGGUGUAAUUUUUAGAAAUUGAGGGGAGUUUUCCUCAAUUGUUAAAAACCUUAGGAGAGAUAUGUGAAAUUAACCCUUUUUUUAAUCCCACAUGAAGAGCGGCCCAAUCAAUAAUCCACACAAAGCCCUGUAUAAACUCUCCAUCAAAAACCCUAUUCCAUUUCCUUUUCUUCGUCGUUGCGUCUUCUUCUGCUUCUCUGCUCGAGUUGACAAUGCUUCAUCUAGUGCUAUUUUUUCAAUGAGACUCAAAGCCUAGUAAUACAAAAACACCUCUAUUCAUGUUUUUUUUUUGGGAUAAUUUUAGAAACCUCCCCUAAAGUUUUCGAUAAUUUCACUCGGCUCCCUUGAGGUUCACAUAAUUACAGAGACCUCCCUUAUUGCGAUAACAAUACAAUAAUGCCCUUUAUUAAUUGUCAACUUGUUGAAAAACUUUAUCAAAUAUUAAAACUCUCUCAUCUAUUAUUAACCAAUAAUUCAAAAUACAGUAUUUUCUAUUUAACUAACUAUUCUUUUUCUCAUAUAUCUAUUUUUCUUUCAAAUUCAUUUAUUUAUUAUUAUCAACCAAAUGUAUACUGUUGGCAGUUGCUACUAAUAAAAUCACCAUACACAUUAAACCACCAAUACUUAUAUAUUUUGGUAUGUAUUCCCAAUCCUCAAUUUUCCAUUAUUAGUAAACAGUUUCCUUACGCCCAUUUUUGUUUCCAAUUUUUGAUAGGUAUUAGCAAAUUGAAAUUGUCAAAUGACAAAUUGAGUGUUAAUUUCAUUAUCAAAUUCAAUGGAGUUUUUCAUUAUCAAAUUAAAUUGAGUGUUAAUUUCAUUAUCAAAUAGUAGUGACAGUGAUAAAAAAAUAAAAAUUAAGGAUAAGAAGUGGAAUAGGAAUUGAAUAUAGGUUAUACUGUUAUGGUUAUCAUGAAAAAAAGUAUUCUUGGUAUAUAUUUAUAAUUGUAUUGUGUUUCUUUUUUAUUUACAAUUAUUGAUAUUAUUCCUAUAGAGAGAAUUUGAUUGAUUUUGAGCUCUGUGCCAAUGGAAUAUAUUGGAUAUUGAUAUUAGUAGUGAUGGUUUAGAUUAUUUUGUAUUAAAAAGGGCAGCCAUGGUAUUGAAAUUUAGGAAUAUUGAUGAAUAUUGUAGUAUAUUAAGUAAAAUCUGAUAUUGUUAUGAAAUUGUAGGUAAAUUUUUUGGGUAGAUGAUGUAGCAUUUAUAGUUGAUGCAAUGGUCUGCAUCAAAAAUUUUUAGGUAAAAGAGAAACAUUAGAAUAAGGAUAAGUGUUUAUUUAGUAGUGAUUUGGAUGUUGAUAAUUAGGUAAUAGUGGUAGGAAAUAAAUAUAAAUGAAAUAGAGACUGUAAACCAUUUUUUUCCUUUACAUUUUUGUUAUAAAUUAUAACUCAAGGGCAUUAUAGGAAUUUUGGCAAAAAGUAUAGCCUUUUGGGUUUAAAAUGUUACUUAAAUAGUAAAAAAAUAAGAGGUAGGUGUAAUUUUUAGAAAUUAAGGAAAGUUUUCUGCAAUUGUUAAAAACCUCAGGGAGGUAUGUGAAAUUAACCCUUUUUUUGGUUUAAUCGGCCCAAUCAAUAAUCCACCCAAGGCCCUAUAUUAGAGCUGGCAAAAAAGCCCAAAAUUUAACAACCCGCCCAAUCCGCCCAUUAAUUUUAAAUGAUGGGUUAGGUCAAUUGGAUUAUGGAUUUUGUUGGAUUGGGUAAGAACAACCCAAUUUAUUCCUUGGACGGGUUGGAUUUUUUAUUUGGGUACCCAAUAUCCAACUUGUUUAAAAGUAAUUCAAAAUAAUAAAUACAAGAUUCAAUAUACAUAUGUCCAACUAUUUGCAUUUGGACAUGUGUUAAUAAUUCAUUCAUUAAUUUGUAUUCAAAAUUCUCAUAUAUAUAUAUAUAUAUUAAUCAAUUUUUAAAUUUUUAUUUAAAAGAAAAAGGAAACUUGAAAUAAAAGCUCAUGUUUAUUUUACUUUUAUAACAGCAGUUAAACUUGCUCAACUUUUAUAAUAAUUUAUUAUGCCUUUUAAGAGUAUGUUGUUUUCCUCCCCCUCUUUUUUUUUAUUGUUCUCAAGUUGCUACUUGCUUUUGUUUGUUAAUAUUUCGUGUACGUCUAAUAUUGUACAAAUUUCUUUUUUUAACCUUUUAGGAUUAUAUAAUUUCGGAUUCUUCAAAUUAACAAACAAAAGCUUACUUUGUGUCAGCCUAACUUUUCAAUAAUUCAAAAUAGGAUUAAUCUUUCCUAUACUGACUGUGUAUACACUAUCAGCGUCAGUGUAAGAAAGAUUUACUCUUCAAAAUAAUGCGAUCCCGAUAUGAUAAAAAUAUCAGAAUAGUUCAUGAAUUCUCCUCUCAUUUAUUUCUUAAAAAGUUUGGGAUUUUCCUUAACAAUUUUUUGGGGACCAAUACCAGUUUUACAAGCAUAUAAAUAUUUUCUGCUUUAUAUCAGAGUUGUGGUAAUUCUAAAAGGUGGUAAUUCUAAAAGAUUAAUAUGACCAUAGCAUCAAGUAUGAUCCUAGAUAAUUCUAAUUAAUCAGGUGAUGAAUUAUCUAACUAUAUCUAUAAAAAAAAUACCUUCUAAUAUAUCAUAUAUGUAUAUAGAUCAUGAUAUUAACUUUGAAUCAAUAUAGUUGACUUGCGGAUUCUAUUUUAUUUUGAUUAAUUAUGGCAACUUGGGCAUGGCUAGUUCAACGAUUUCAAUUUCGUCUGAAGCAAAUACCUCCAAUCUUCAAUUUCAUGAGAAGUUUGGAAUCAGCAAGACAAUUAAUUUUCCCUCUUAAUUACCGAGUCCAAAAACCAAAAUACAAUAAUGUCUCUAGUCAUUUAAUAAGUUUUAAUCAAUUAGUAGUAUUAAAAAGUAUAAAGUAAACAUUUUUUUUAGCUAAUCUAUUUAAAUGUACAAUUUAUUAUCUAAAAUUCACAAUAUAAGCAAUAUAAAAUAUUAUUCUAUUUAUGAUAUGUUUUCAAGGAAUUUAAGAAGUGAAUGUGUGUGAAAAUACAUUUAUGUGUGUGAAAAUAUAUUUAUGUAUGUAAAAAUGUGUUUAUAUGUGUGAAAAAAAUCAUUUUUGUAUGUUAAAAUGUAUGUAAAAAAGUUUUGUAUUAAAAUAUAUUAAUUAAUAUGUUUGAUCAUAUUUGGGUCAUGUGUUUGAAAUAAUUCAAUAUGAUUCAAUCCAAUUUAAAGUUGGACGGGUUGCAUAUAAUCCAUUUAAGCGAAAACCCAAUAUUAAUUCCCCUAAAACCCGUCCAAGCUGCCGAUUGCCAGGUAUACCCUAUAUAAACCCUCCAUCGAAAACCCUACUUCAUUCCCCUGUCUCCUUCGCCGCUGCUUCUCCUUCUGCUUUUCUCCUCCGUUACAGAAUACCAAAUCAGGUAAUUGCCCCAACAACUCCAUUAAUCUACUUUUAUGUUCAUAUUUCUGAUUAAUAAUUUUUCACCAUUUUCUGUUUGUGGGAUAAAGGAAAAUGAGUAAAGGAAGCAGUGGUGCCGCUCUCAAGGGAGGGAAGAAGAAAGGAUCGACGUUCGUGAUUGAUUGUUCGAAGCCGGUGGAGGAUAAGAUCAUGGACAUUUCCUCACUGGAAAAGUACCUUCAAGAGCGUAUCAAGGUCGGCGGGAAGGCCGGCGCUCUUGGAGAUUCCGUCUCCGUUGCUCGUGAUAAGACUAAGAUUACCGUCACCACUGAGUCCAGCUUCUCCAAGAGGUAAAUUUUUUCGCUGAUUUUUCUUUGAUGAAAUUCUCCCUUUUUUCUUUCUAUUGAAUCUUAUAAUGGGUCUGGCUUCUAUUUGUAUGCCAUUUUGAUAUCUGCUACUGAUUCUUUGAAGUCGCCAUUGCCACUCAUUUGAUUCGAAUUUUAAGUUAGUAUUUGCUUCUUUUUCUGGAUGGACAUUUUGGUUUUAUCUGCUUUGUGCUCUGGAUGAGCCUGAUCUAUUCUUGCUGUUUUAGUUUUGGAUGUGUCCUUCAGAGACCAGCAUUUUAAUAUUUCAGUUGAUUUGAGCAGGUCUGAGCCUAUGGGACCUAAUCAUUUGAUUAUUUUAUUUUAGUUGAUCUUUUAUAUUUUUAGUUGAGCAGGUCUGAGCCUAUGGGUAUUAAUAUUGGAUUUUGACAAAUACUGGAUUAAACUUUUGUGGUUAUCGUAUAAAGUUUGUUAUGAGGAACGGAUUGAUAUGAUAAUGAGACCAUUUCUACACCCUGCAAUAAUCUCCACCGCAACACCCCCCCCUCUUUUUUCUAAUUUCACGGAAAAAUGAAAAUACAAAAAAUCCACCUAACAUGUUCAAAGUUUUCUUGAUGACUGAAUAGUCUUCUGUGAUUAAAAAUUCUUCUCCAGUUUACUUAAUGUGAAACUGGAUGACAAUGGUGCUUGUUUCGUGACUCUUACAUAUGGUAUCACUCGGAAGUGGAGAGAGGUGCCGGAUUUACGAGUCUUUUUUUUUUUUGGCUCAGGAAGAGAAAGCUGUUGAAAUCUGUUGUUCUGUACUAUUAUUUGUUGAGACAAUUUGUUUUCUGAUUGGCCCUUGGACUUCUCUAAACUGAUGGUUUUCAUGUGCCGUUUCUUGUCGACAGUUUCCUCAGCUAGAGGAUCCUUUCGUCAAAAUUUUGUGCUCUAAAGUACAGCUUUACUUAUAGGUUGGUCUUUUGUUUCUGUGGCUCAGGUAUUUGAAGUACUUGACAAAGAAGUACCUAAAGAAGAACAAUGUGCGUGAUUGGCUCCGAGUGAUUGCUUCCAACAAGGAUCGGAGUGUGUAUGAGUUGAGAUACUUCAACAUUGCUGAAAAUGAAGCUGAGGAAGAAGAUUGAUUAGGAGGAUAGAUCAUUUAUCCAAGAGUCAGCCUUGUCAAUUUGCGUAAUCUGUAGCUUUACUCUGGCUAUUGUUUCUUUCAGUGACAUUAUUUUUGAGUUACGUAUGUGUAAUUUGAAAUCCUGCAAAUUUUGUUAUUUCCCCUUUGGGAAACCUGAAUGAGAGACGCAAUCAUAUCAGAUUAGAAACUGUACUGAAAUUGGUUUUUGCAAAGCUCAGACUCGUAUGCACUUAUGUUGAUAACGUUACUGAUGUCUAGAUCACUGGCUUGAUUCUGGACUUGAUAAUUAUUAUCAGUAACUUGUUCAGUAAAACUGCAUUUGCUGGUGGAGUGACUGUCAUGGAUAACUAGUACUGUGACAAGUGUUGCACCGGACACAAUACCAGGCUCUAGUAGGAGUAUGUAAAGUUAUUAUGUGGGUAAAGUUCAUGAACUGCUUUUGUGUACCUUUGCUGAUGCGAAGAAGAUUGGUAUGCUUUUGUCUUUUUUCCUGCUAAUGGUGUUGAAAGAUGUAAAAUUGGCGGAGGGCAAUAUUUUUUUCUCAAAAGGAGAAACAUAUGAUAUUAAUUCCCGAUAUUCACAAGACCAUCACAUUUUCGUAACAAUAAAAAGACGGGAUUAGUCUAUGAGUUCAUGCAAGUAUGUCAUACCUCAAUGGAGAAAUGUAAGAUUAACCUUUUGUUUUGUUUUGUUUUUUUUACUAUCCUGUUCAACCUCACAUAAUCAUCAUCGGACCCACACCAAUAAUGUCAUCAUCGGAUUGGAUCCAUUCCGCACCAAUAUUCUGCGUGCAUCGUUGACUCUUCAACAUUGCCAUCUUCCUUUCCAUUUUUUGUUAACACGAUCAUACCUUUUAUUUUAGACUACUUCUAUUCUCCGUUAAAGACUCCAAGAAAGGGUAACCAAAAUUUCAAGAAGAAGAACAAGACAUUGGAGAGGAGUUGAGUACUGCAGUUCAUCAGAAAGUGCUGUAGGCUUUCCUUUAAGCAUAAUUCGUGUUUCUGAUUUGAAAUGUUUAAGAAUUCAUGUGCAGCCUAUGGAUGUUUUGGGAUUUUGUUUCUUAGUCUUCCUGUAGGCUUUCCUUUAAGCAUAAUUCGUGUUUCUGAUUUGAAAUGUUUAAGAAUUCAUGUGCAGCCUAUGGAUGUUUUGGGAUUUUGUUUCUUAGUCUUCCUGCAUUUUACCCUUCUCCAUUUCCUUGGUGAUUUAUUUGCAAUCCUUGUGAUUGUUUGAUGGCUAUUAUAAAUGGUAAAAAAGUGAAUUUCGUUAAACGUUUUCACCCCUAGUUGUGUAAAUCUGAUGACCAAUUGUGUUUAUCAAAUGCUGUUGGAAGUAGGAACUAAGCUUGGAAAGGGAAAUGUUUUACAUUUCUGGUUAUUAAUGUCUAGAGAGACUUCUGGGUUUUGUUAAUGGCUCGUUUGCUGUCUUUAGACGUCUUAUUUUUGGAACUCAUCUACAAAACUCAACAGAAAUCACUACAAUGGCUGAAAAAAUUGAAGUACUAUUACUCCCCUUCGCCUUCUUACCAGCCGGCUCAGUAGUCUUCUUCUUCUUCUUUUUUUUUUUCAAGUAUAAAUGUAGGCGGGAGGUCUCGAAUCUGGUAUCUCUAACUUACACUCUCUCCCGCGCACGACCCCGCCGCAGCGGGGCUUAGUAGUCUUUGGUUUUAAUAAUCUCUGCAAGAUCAGUAAUCUGACUUGUUUGCAAUACUUGUCUGACCAACAGAUUCUGUUUGACAGACUGUGAAAUUGAGAGAUUGACGAGAGUGUUCAGUAAGCAAACAUAACUUGUUUGGUUUAAGAGAACUCAAAGAUGGACAGAUCUCGUGUGUGGACACCAUCUGACGGUAAUGGACAAAAUGUAAGCUCACCAAUCUCAAACUAUAAGCAGAUACGAUCAAAUAGAUCUUUACUGGUUUUUUUUUUUUUUUCUCUUCUUUGGGAUGUUUUCUAUUAACAGGGCAAGAUUACAUUUUGGAGCUAUUGUGUCAUUUGUUGUGUACUGCUCAUUUACACUUCUUCAGAGAAGAUAGGAAUCCUUAUGUAAGUGCUGCUCAUACUAUAUGUCUAAGACUCUUUAUGGUAAGUGGGAAUUUGAUUUUAUUGGACCCCAUGGAUAAGCAAAUCAUUGGUUUCGGUAGCUUAGAUUUUAGAUCAUAUAUAUAGAUAUCGUUCAUUUGUAUCAGCUUCUUUUUCAUCCUCGUACUAGGAACUCAAGAAAACUAGGAAAUUAUAGUUUCAAAAUUGCUGCUGACAAUAUCGGAACAAUACGGCCAUUGGAGAAAGCAUGUCAUUUCAAUAAAAUAUAUCAGCUAGGGGACUCAAUAGCUGAUACCGGAAAUCUUGUUCGAGAGAGUCCCUUCGCAGUGGUUAUCCUUUCGCCCAUCUUCCUUACGGAGAAACAACCUUUGGAUUUCCUACUGGUCGAUGUUCUGAUGGCCUUCUUAUGAUCGACUACAUCGGUAUGUAGUUAUUCGAACUAAUUUUUUGAUUCCCGUUUCUUUCUUAGGUGAAUAAUUUCUUUCAGUUAUACGUAUUUAGUUUUUUUACUUGAUCAAUGAAAAAUGUAAUUCUUGCAACAUGAAUUUCCUCUUUUGUCGGUUUUCGAAGUUCAAUCUGUCAGUCUUGCAUGCCUAAUUUUGUUCUCCAACACCCCCCCCCCCCGGGAACAAAAAAAUGUUCAAUAAUACCUGGUAAUGAGGAUCACAAAUUUUAUUUUACAGCAUUGGCAGCUGGUCUCCCAUACCUGGAACCCUCCAUGAAAGAGGAUGGAAACUUCACCACUGGGGUAAAUUUUGCUGUUGGCGGCAGUACUGCUUUACCAAAAGAGGUGUUGGAAGCUAAAGAUAUUACCAAUCCAAUAUCCAACAGUUCACUUAGUGUACAGUUGGACUGGAUGUCCUCUCAUUUCGCCUCUAUUUGCCAUACCAAAGAAGGUUUGCAAAACAAUCUUUACCAACUAGGAACUAUAGCUAACGUGUUAAAAGCAAUUAUCCUAUGUUUGUAUUCUUAAUUUUUGAUCCAGGAUGCCGUAAGAUGCUUGAAAAAUCUCUUUUCUUCGUUGGAGAGAUUGGUGGUAACGAUUAUAAUGUGCCAUUCCUCGAAGGAAGAAGCAUGAAUGAGUUAACUGCCUUAGUGCCAGGAGUCGUCCAAAGUAUUACCAAUGCUAUCAAGGUUAGUUUUUUCCCUCUUUUCAUUUGGUAUGUCUUUAACUCAUUCAAAAUUCGUAAAUUCCCCUGGUAGCAGUUUCAACUAGACAUUCAAAAGAUUACCUAUUUCACUUGUUCAAGUCAGGUUAACUUGCACUGGGGUAAAGAAACACUGAUAACACAGUUUUGAUCCUAAUAAAAUUUUUCUGUUUCAGAGAGUCAUUGAUUUUGGGGCAACUCGAAUUAUUGUCCCAGGAAACUUCCCAAUAGGUUGUAUUCCAGUUUAUCUUGCUUACUUUCAGACAAACGACACAGCAGCAUAUGAUGAACAUCAUUGUCUGAAAGACUUGAACAACUUCGCCGAGAUUCACAAUCAGCUUCUAAAAGCAUCCAUCAAGAAAUUGAAGAAAGAUUAUCCCAAAGUUGUCAUUGUCUAUGGUGACUACUACAAUGCCUAUUUGUCACUCCUGUCCAAUGCCCGAAGUCUAGGUACGUUUGUUACAAUAACCUUUUCUUCAGCAUGUUAGUAGCCAAGAUUGCUGAAUAGUUUCUGGGAUAAUUCUUGUAGGAUUUGAUGAAAAUUCUUUACAAAAAGCUUGUUGUGGAACUGAGCCAUAUGAUUGCUCUAGUGGCAAGUUCUGUGGCACUCCUGGAGUUAAAGCUUGUCCAAGACCUGAUAAGUACAUAAGCUGGGAUGGAGUUCAUUCCACGCAACAAGCAUACAAGUACAUGACAGCAUACUUGCUGGACUCUAUCAUACCUCAGUUAAAGUGUCAUUCUUCAGCUCUAGAUGCUCGAAUGAAUAAUCAAGCAGUAUUCUAAUUUUUCAUAUUCUUCAACGUUUUGCUAGAUUAUCUGAUAAGGGCCUUUUUCUUUUCCAUCUUUUUGGGGUCCCCUCUUGAGGGCACACUUGUUUUGAUCAUUUUGAAGAAUAGCUAGGAUCUGGCCUUUAAACUAUCUCAUGUCUCAUUAAUUUUGAUUAUUACUUGCUUCACAUAAUUCAGUGCUUACUUUAUUCACUUUACCUUACUUUUUUUCCCACAUAAUAUUUCUUCUUGGUUUUUAUAUUUUUUUCCGUAGAGGCCAAUAGGGUGUCAACAAAUAUCUAAAAAAUAUAUCUUCAUCGUCUGGGACAUAGUAUGUACUUCAGGACUAUGACUUUGCCUUUCUGCAAGAAACAUCGACAGUGGAGCUGAGAAUCUUGUUCCCAUGCGCGAGUACAAAAUACUAAUGCAGGUAGGCUGAGGUUUUGGAAGAAGAUUGAAUAGGAUGUACAAUUAUUUCAUCUGCCUAACCAUUCUUUUGCAUCGUAAAUCAUCAUCAAUCAUCAUCUUCCACUCCCCUGAUUCAGCCCUUAAAAAUGCUCCAUAAAGAGGGUAACAAAAAUUUCAAGGAUAGAAUGCUGGACACGAGUUGAUUACUGCAGUUCAGUUCAUGGUAACUGACACUGGAGUCAACCGCCACCACCGAAACCAUCACUGACAAAGUGCUGUAGCCUCUCUUUUUUAGUUCAAUUUCUGCAUCUUAUUUGAGAUUUACUUUAGCUUAAUGCGCAACCUGUGGAUGUUUUGGACUUCAGUAUUUGUAGUCUUCUUGAAUUUGCAGCUUCAUGAUUUUCAUGGUCAUAUAGGUUACAGAAAGACUGAAUUUGGUUGAAUUGAAAGUUUUGGGUACAGAAAUGAUCAGAUUUGAUCAAAUAAAAAUGCCAAAGUUAAAAUAAAGGGUUGCUCGCUGCUUAUUAUUGAAUCUUGGAUUUUUUUUUUCCCUUUGUGCGUCAGAUUUGAGUGUAUGACAAGGGUAGAAAAAAUUGGCUACAAUGGCCAUGGCAAGAAUGAGAUUUAGAAGAGUGGCAAUACCAGUCUCCGUCCUAAAACCUUUGCUCUAGCAUUCUCAUCAUUCCUGAAUCCAAUCCGUACCACCUCUGCCCCAUAAAUGGAAUCCAUGGAAAUCAAUCCGCGAUUCACAAAAUCGAAAAACAUACAUAAACAUAGAAAAUCGAACAAACCAAAAUAAACAAAAAGGGCAAACUGAGGAAUUGAAGUUUGGUUGAUAACAACCAUCAUGGUCAGAAGACCUCAGCACCACUAAAAUCCCCUGGAAAGUGUUGUAAUUUUCCUUAUCUCUUCUACUGCCUGAUAGGACAACUGGACAAGGAAUUUUCUCUCUUCUUUUCCUCAUUUGUUUACUGCUAUUUUUGUAAUGAAAUCCGUUAUUUACUGCAUUGCUUAUUUUCUGUUUUUGAAAAAUUCUUGAACUAAGUAUGGAAGGUGGCAAAGUAGGAACUUCUCAAUAUGCAUGUCUCUGAUUCUGAUAUAGAUUUGUAUCUUCUUUAACUUGUUUCUUUCAUAUAAUUCUCUCUUAUGAUGGAAAACCAUUGUCUGCAACAAUCUAAACAACUUCUCCAUGUAUCGCACGCGAUGCGCGCUUAAAACAUGCCAUGGAGGAGUUUGAAGACAGAUUACCCCAGCACAACAAUUGUUUGUGGUGACUACGCAGUAGCCAUAGAGGUAAGCUAACAAUUCUGCCUGGCAUUCCUGGGGUGCCUGAUCGUCCAGACUCAAAACAACAAGAAUACUAAUGUACGGCAGCUGAUGAAACCACAUUUUUAUAUGUUUAUGCUUGAUUAAGACUAAUCAAAGAAGCAGGCCACUUGUGUGCAGGGAUUUCUUGACAUGAUUAUUAGAAAUUUAAGAUUUCACAAUUAAUAUUGACUGGUAGGUGCUAACAGAUGACCAUAAACAAACCAAAGGUGUAAGAAAUUGGAAUCAGUUCAUUGGAUUCCCCAUUUUUGCAGAGGAAAGAAGGGAUGGUUGGUACUCCAUCUAUUGUGCAUGAGCUCUAAUAAUCCCGCAGUUCUGCUCUUUGAGAGGAAAUACAGUUUCUUCAUUGCACAAAAUCAAUUAACUGACAAUAGCUCCUGUAUAAAUACUUUAAACAUUGAGAAUUCUAUGAUAAGCAACCAAAGAUGGAAGGCUUCAAAUUUUACAUAUUAUUGAUGCUUGCAGAUUUCAAAUAUUUGGCAGUAAUCUGCCUUAUUUUAUUUAUUAUCUACAUGUUGUGCAAAUCAAAUAGAGUUUACCUCAUUGACUUUGUAUGUUUCCGUGCACCUGACGCAUACCGAGUUCCAAUCUCUGGUCUAGUAGAACACUUGGAUUGCAUGGGUACACAAACAUUUGAGUUUCAGAGGAAAGUUUUUGAAAGAUCAGGCAUUCGUAAUGAAUCCUACUUACCUGCAGGAAUUCGUAAACUUCCUUGUGAUCGUUCGUUAAAUUCCACAAUUGAAGAAGUUGAGAUGGUUCUGUUUUCAAUAGUUCAGCAGCUUUUCACCAUCCACAAGAUCAAUCCGAAAAGCAUCGACUUCCUCGUUACGAAUUGCAGCCUCACCAACCACUGCCCCUCUUUGGCUGCAAUGAUCAUAAACAAGUUUAGAGCUUCAAUCUUUCUGGCAUGGGCUGCAGUGCAGGGAUUUUGUCAAUCAGCCUAGCGAAGGACUUGCUCAAAGUGCACAAAAAUUCCACAGCUCUAGUUCUCAGCACGGAAUCAGUAAGUGCCAAUGUAUACGAGGGUAAAGUCAAGUCUAUGCUUCGAAUGGGAGGAGCAGGGAUUCUACUAUCAAAUCGAAAUUCAGACAGACGAAAAGCGAAAUACGAAUUACAACAAAUUGUCAGGACCACUCUCAGUUCCAGGACAGGUUCUUAUGAGUAUGCGAUGCAGGACCUGAUGAUGAAGGCUAUAUAGGAGUCUCCCUUUCAAGGGCUAUACUUCAAGUUGCAGGGGAUGCCCUGAGGAUUAACUUGUUAACAUUAGGUGCAUUGGUGCUGCCUUAUUGGGAGCUAGUUCGAUAUGGACUAGACAUAAUAUGGAAGAAAAUCUGGGCUCCUGCUAGAAAAAGAGGUCCAUCUGUACCAAAUUUCAAGAGGGCUUUCAAUCAUUUCUGCAUACAUGCAGGUGGAAGCGCAAUAAUAGAUACCAUUAAGGACAAACUAAAAUUGACAGAGAGGGAUGCUGAAGCCUCAAAAAUGACUCUUUACAGGUUCGGAAACAUCUCAUCUUCAUCGACGUGGUAUUCAUUAAGCUGUCUAGAGGCCAAGGGGAGAGUCAAAAAGGGUGACAAGAUUUGGCAGCUGGCUUUUGGUAGUGGAUUCAAGUGCAAUAGUGCAGUUUGGAAGUGCAUUUCAGAGCUCAAACCAGACAAUGCCAAUGCUUGGUCAGACAGGAUUGAUCUGUAUCCAGUAAAAGUACCAGAUGUAAUCGACCAUUAAGUAUCCAUGGUUUGCCAGAACCAAAAAAAAAAAAAAGAAAAACAGCAACUGAUCGUUGCAUAUACUAAAUAUAUGAAGCUGGCUAAAACAAUGAAAGGAAGAUGUUUACCAGUUUCUUUUUUCCCAACCAUAUUCUAUUGAAGGAAUAUGAACGUUAAGAAAUGUACCCUAUUGAAGGAAAAAUUGAACGUUAAUCAGGUUGUAGUCUUAGCAUCGUCUUUUCAAAUGCAAUUCUUGAUAAUUACAUGCUUCCAAAUUUGUCUGUAGCAAUCUUAAAUGUAUUAAUUUAGUGUUGUACAUUUUAUAAAAUAUUUUACAGUAAAUGACCUUAUCAAUAAUAUAGUUUAGGGAAGAACUAAAUUAAAGCGCUAGCUUCAUCUCAAAAAAUUUUAGUUUUGAACAUAAAACAAAAGACAACGUUUUGUGCAGUUACAUCGAAUAUGUUAACUUUCGAAGAAUUAUAUGAUCUUCUAUUUGAAAAAAAAAAAAACAUUUCAAAAUAGAAUAUGUUUGGUUUCAAUAUGUAGGGUAAAUAAUAUUCAGACAUUAUGAUUGUUUUAUGUAUAAUUAUAAAGAAAUUUAAUUUGUUAAACACAAAGUAAAAAACGAGGAACAAGUAAACAUUUCCAUAUGUGUGUUUCGGGUUACAAGAUUUUUGCUUAUCUUGUAACUCUCCCAGAAUUCUAACCACUCCAUGAGGUGCGAUUUGUAAAAAUGGGGAACUAUACGAUUAGCAUCGAUAGCUUUGUUUGGAUUGUAUUUUUCUGGAUUUUUUGGAGAAAAAUUACUGUAACGAUUUGAUAUAUGUGAGAUAAAAAGAUGAUUGAAAAAUAUAUCCACGAAAAGGAAAAAUUGCAAUCCAAACAAGACUAGAUCUAUGCAGCUUUUCUAAUCUUUUUGGUUGCUAAAACGAACUUCUUCUACCUUAAUUCUCAUUUCUGACAAAUUACGUAGUCCAAUUGUCUCAAAUGAACUCAGCAACAGUUGAAAAAAAUAGUUGUUGACUAAGUUUCACUUCUAGUAUAUCCUCAAAGAUUAAUACCCAUAGCUACUUUAGUCAUAUAAAAUAUUUAGCAGUUUUGAUCCUUAAAAAGUUAAUGGUUAGGAGCAAAGUGUAUAUACUUUGACUUCAAGAGGGCAAAGUGUAAUUAACCCUUUUCUUUAAGUAAGUACACUUGUAAACUAAAACUCGUCACUUAAAAAUCUUGCCUAUAUGCUAUACCCUUAUAAUUUAUAGGUUCAUAUGCAUAACUCAGAAGGACAGCCCUGUCUCGUGUCAAAAUGUUUGGACUUCCGUAGAAUCCUACGUAGAACCCCAAUUUUAGGGUUCUAAUAACAAUAAAUAAUGUGUGCAGGGUUAUAAAAUUGAAGGGAUAAAACAAACAUUCAAAAUAUAUGUGGGAGAAAAGAAAAUAAUUAACUCACAAUAUUAUUGAAAUCACAAACUAUAAAGAAAGUCACACCACAAUAGAAAACCUAACAAAUUCUUCUAGACUCUCUUAAGAAAAUAGUUUAAACUAAUGCCAGACUUGUUGGAAAAAAAACCACUUGCAUGAGAAAUUACCAAAUAAAACACAAAUUCCUAAAUCAUACAACUACCAAAAACCUAACUCCAAUAAAACUAAUAAAUAAAUAAAUAAAUAAAUAUUUCUAGACUUGGUUUAGUUUGCCAACAUUGUCUCUCCUAAACCAAACUCUCCAUUGAGGCAGGUCCAACACCAUCUCGAACAACAAUUUCUAUGCAAAUUUCUGUCGUUGUAUAGCUGACAUGCAAUUUCAUCUUGUUAUUGGUUAUUAACUUCAUCUUUACACGUGGCAGCGGGCGCACUUUGUAUUUUGCAAAUAAUUUUUCAGCAAUUUUUUCUUGAUCAAAGUACUCAUUCAUGCAAAUCCAUUCAUCACCAAAAUCACCAUAUUUACCACCAAUAUAAGUGCCCAAAAAUACAAAAUCAUAGAUUGCUCUCUUAUCAAAACUAUCAUCACCAAAUAAUUUAAAAUAUCCACAUUUGGAUAAUUAUCCAAAAUUUCAUACUUUCAGUCAACUCUUUUGGAGCAAAAUUUUUUGAAUUGCAAUGAAAUCCAUAUCUAUCAAAUCAAAUAUCUUUCCAUCAUCUUGAGGAGAGUCCAAACCAAUGAUUUUUUUCAAUGAUAAUUUCUUUUUCUUCACAUAGCAAAUCAGACUUCUUUUCUUCCUUUACCAUAUUAUUGCAGUUUUUUUCUUCAACAAAUUCAUCACUUCCAAUUUCUCCAAACAAAAUAUGCAAAUCAAAACUAUCAACUGAUUCAAAAUUUUCAAUAUCACCCAUAUUAUCAACAAAUCUAUCAUUCUCAAAAUUCACAAACCAUUUCCAACAACCAGACUUUGGUUUGAGAGCAUAAUUCUUCUCAAUCGUCUGAAAAAUAUAGUAAAUAUCCUUCUAAAAUCUCCAAGGUAUUUUAGUAUGACGAACAAAAGUUUUGUAAAUACAUUCUGCCAUUGUUUUACACAUCACUUGAAAAAAUAAUCGUGCCUUUUUCUUGAAAACAUGUUUUGGCAUGCAUCUCACUUGCAUCAACCCAACAAAGAAUGUCAUCCAAAUUACAUUGUUUGAGAUAUUUUUUCACUAUCAAAACCCAACCAAAAUAUCUAUGUCUAUUUGUCAUUAUGGGAGUCAAUAUGAAAAAUUUUUCACCAUCAAUCAGAUCUGUAUAAUAUUACAAUAUUUAACAAUUUAUAUACCCGAAUAAUUUUUUUUCUCCAUUCUAUCAAGUUUUCUUGGCCUCCCUGGUUGAUUGACCAAUUAAAUCUUUCAAUCUGACAAUCCGCAGCAAUCAAUAAAUCUGGCAGGACUCUUCUAUGGUCUCUGCCUUCACCUGUAGCAAUCUAACAAUUUUCGGACCAAUCUUAUGUUCGAAUUCUUCAUCAACUACACACUUCAGGACCAAUUUUGUGGUCAACCUCGAUUAACUGAAUACUUUUCAGCAAUUUUUUGGCCUUAUUCUCUAACAGCGGAAACGCCCAAAACUAACAUCAUAGUCUGGCUCUGAUACCAAUUGUAGAACCCCAAUUUUAGGGUUCUAAUAAUAAUAAAUAAUGCGUGCAGUGUUACAAAAUUGAAGGGAUAAAACAAACAUUCAAAAUAUAUGUGGGAGAGAAGAAAAUAAUUAACUUACAAAAUAUUAUUAAAAUCCCAAACAAUUAAGAAAGUCACACCACAAUAGAAAACCUAACAAAUUCUUCUAGACUCUCUUAAGAAAAUAGUCUAAACUAAUGCUUUAUUUAUAACCUACCAGACUUGUUGGAAAAAAACCACUUGCAUAAGAAAUUAUCAAAUAAAACACAAAUUUCUAAAUCAUACAACUACUAAAAAAAACUAAUAAAUAAAUACUUCUAGGUUUGGUUUAGUUUGCCAACAUCCUAAAUCAACUAUAAAACUUUUCCAGUAUUAUACUGAGCAAUAAUAGUUCUCUAGGUGGAUAGUGUUCAACAAUUUUGUUAUGCCGAAAAUAUACCGUAUAAAUUACUUACACAAGUGAAGUCUAUAAUGUGAAUUGGAUGUUUUAGUAAAUCACUACCUAUUUUGAUUCUUAUAUAAGUUUCAGUUAUGUCCACAUAAUAUCUUCUAUAAAUUUCGUCAAACUCAAAUUUUUCAACAAAAUGUUUAUCAUACUUCUGACAAAAUUUACACUACUAUUAGUUUACAUAAGACUUUUCUGUUGUUUUCUCCAGUAAUUGCAAAUCUCCUAAGUGGAUAAUUUUGACUUUCUAGGUUGGCUUAGGUUCUACAUUCAUAUAGUCUGAUUUGUGAAUGUAUUCUGGCAACGAGAGAAGUUUGGACCUAAGGAGGAAAAUGGUUAAUUGUGUAAGGGAGAGGUUGCUGAAAAUCGCUGUAGAACCCUAUCAAUAUAUUAAACACACAUAGAAUUUCUACUACAUCCAUAGGAAAAGCCCAAAAAAAAAGUUACAGAAAAUCAUAUCUACAUUUGCAGCUGCCAGGUAACCUACAUAAUCACAGCAGCAUUAACAGCUAUAUCUGCUCAAAGUCCAUUUCUCCCAUGCAUGAUUGAUAAUUGAUACUGUGAAAAUACCAUCUAAGAAAUAGAUGAGGGGCAAAGCAAAAUCUACUGCUGAUCGUGUAAAAGGGAGGCAUGUGAAAAAAGUGAGAUGGCAAUUCGUGAAGGAACAUGAAUCGUGAGUGGCAAAAUUGACAAGCAUGCAUCGACUAACGUGCUGCAUUGUGUGUGCAAAAUGGCAUCCCACAGACAAAAGAAAUGCAUAUUCCACUUCAUGUCUCUCAAUUGGCUAUCAAAUCCUUUAAGCCAUUGCUUGCAAAUUAAGGUACCCCUUUUGGCUCACACCUAUGUGGUCUCUGAAUUCUGAUUGAGGACAAGUACUGCUAUUAUUGCCCUUUACACAAUUCCAAUUUCCAACAACAACAAGAAGAAAGUAGUCAUCCUCCCCUCCCUCCCCCCCCCCCCCCCUUUACUUAUUUCACUAACCCUAUACAGAAAACAGUACUAGUUGCUACAAGUCUGCCAAAAAGAAACAAGUUCCCCACUUUCUUAGGGAAAACCCAAGUUUGAGUUAACUUGUGCUACUUUCUUGUGACUGCCAAAUCAAGUAGUCCAUUCUUGCAGUUGCUGCUGCACCCCACUUCAGCAUCAUCUUCCUGAUCUGAUCUGAUCUCUUCUGCUUCUUUUUCCCCCUGCAGAGACGUGUGUAUUAUCAGUCAUUGAAGAUGAUUUAGACUCCGUACUAUACGCGGGCAAUUUUCUUAGGCCUUAGCCGUUAGCUGUGCAAUGCAGAGGCUGAUUCUUCCAGUUGGGAAGAUAACCAGCAGAUGCUCUCAUCUCUAUGUAGUUCGAUAACAAUUUUCCUUUUUAAACUUUCUUAUUCUCUUGUCAGAGUAAAUCAUUGGGAAAAUCGUUCAAACCUCGUUCAAAUAAACAUUUUUCAUCUUUCAAUUUUAAAAUGUUAGCUUUACUUCCUCUGCAAAUUCAAGUUAAUAAAAUUUGAUCCCAACUUAAGUUGUGUUUGGAUUGCAUUUUUCAUGGAUUUUUCGGUGAAAAAUUACUGUGGUGAUUUGAUGUAUGUGAGGUAAAAAGUUGAUAGAGAAAUGUGUUCACGGAAAAUAAGAUCAUUUUUUAGUGAAAAAUGGCUAAGUUUUCGACAACUUUUGAACUUGAAAUUGCCACAUAAAUUAUAUGCAGUCAUUUUUAUAUAUAAAAAGAUCAGAUUUCACUUUUUAGUGAUAAAAGUGAAUAUAAAUUGGAUCAAAUUUCACAUUUCAAAUCCUACUUUUUAAAUGCAAAAUGAAUGUGGAUUGGAUUAUUUAUUUAAAUACAAAUGAGAUUUAACCAUUUUGCUCCUAAAAAAAAGAUAAUGUAUGGUCGCAUAACAAAUUUAGAGUAAAACGUGGUUAAAAACUUAAAUUAUGAUCAAAUUUUACCAACUAAAAAAAUUAAAUUAUGAUCAAAUUUUAGCAACUUAAUUUUGUAAAAAAUGUAAAGUUAUUAUUUUUAAAGUGAAUGGCAAAAAAAUUUAUUUGACAAAAUGUAAGGGUGUUUUGAAUAAUUUUUCCAAAUCGCUUUGAUGGUUUGGCCACAUUUUUUGGGUUUGUAAUUUGGCGUAUAAAAUAUACCGUGUUUUAAAGAACCAUACAGCAAAGUGCUUUAAGAGAGAUUUUGGUAAUUGCCUUAAUAAUUGUCAUUGUAUAUACCCUUAUUUACGUUAAAGCAAAUAAUAAAAAACUAUUACUAUACCCUCCAUGUUUUAAUCCUUCAUGCAAGCACUGCAAAACGGCGGUAAAAAAAUGUUGAUACGCAUAGUGGCUAUUUUGCACUCCAAACUUUGGGAUUUUAAGAAGAAAAUAAGCAUGAGAAUGACAUGGUUAAGCAGAAAUAUUAUACAAUUGAAGUACAUUUCACAAUUUUCAACCAUUUUUUUUUAAUAAUGCCAACCACCUUUAGUUAUGUUUUCGUGUACUUCUCAGAAUUUUUGCGUCGAGUAUGACUGAAGUACAAAAUAAGUACAAUUGGUACCAUUUCUUAACCGUUUCUUGCACCGUGAAAAUUCAUGAUGUCCAUCUUCAAAAUGGUAGAGAAAUUACACUAAAGCGCCAAACUUUCACAAAAGCAUGACAAUCCAUUUUAGCUAACGACACAUUUUAAAUUAGUUCAAAAUUUCAAGUAGAAAUUAAGACACCUUUUUCACUUUUAUAUUUUUCUGUGGUAUUCUUCUAGUAAACAAGUGGCCAAAUACAGCUCCUGCUGCUGCGGAGAAAGCCAUUGAAGGCAACCACAUACAGUGAUAAUUUGGUGGGAGGUCAAGAGUCAACACCACCAAGACUUGAGUGCUUGGCAGCGACCACCAAGUCAAAGGGCUAGUGGCCUAUUGGACUGUCAAUUGUCAAAUAUUGGCCUAAAUAUGUUGCUAAUGGACAGCAAUGCGAAUGGUGCACUCCGUUUGAAUUAACUGUUUUAGGAGUGUUUUUAAAAUAUUUUAUUAUAACAGUAUAUAUAAAAAACUUUUACGGUAAAUAUAUUUUUUGUGAUGUUUUUGGAGGAAUUUUUUAAAUAUAUUUUAGGGUAACUUUUAAAAUUAACUUAUUUUUAUGGUACUUCCAUUCCUUCUCCUUUUUCCUCUCCCUCCCUCUUCCCCCUUCCCUCCCCCCCUCCCCGUCCAGAUCGAGAGAGGCAGGAGAAGGCCGAGGGUGGCAGAAAAGGGAAGGGAAGGGGAAAAGGAAAGAAAGGGAAAGGGAGGUGGAAAAGGAAGGGGAUGGUGACGGUGAUGAGUGGUAGUGAUAUAUAUGAAAAUUAUUAUAGAAUUCAUUUUUUUUUAAAUUUUUUUGUGCAUGUAUGUGAGUUAUUUUUGAUAUAUUUUGUGGAUGAUAUGUUUUUUGAAUUGUUUUUGUUUAUAUGCUACUGUAGCAUACAGAAUUUUUACAAAAAUCAAGUACGAGUAUUUUGCAGUUUGCUAAUUGUGCUUGGAUAGAAGAUUAUUUAAAAAAAUUAUAUAGUAAUUUUUAUAAAAUGAUAUAUAUAAAAUAAAAUUUUAUUUAAAAAAUAUAUUUAUUAUGCAAGCAAAUGCUCUGAGGGUCAACCGUUAAGUGUCUACGGGAAAUGCCUUUGACUUUUUGUAAGUGUACUAUAAUACUCUGUAAUUGACAUCAAGUCAUCUAAACAAAGUGCAAAGUGAAAUGUUUCCAAGUUUUAAUUUAGAACCAUCUUUCUUCGUUAGGCAUCUAUGCCUCUUUAACAAAAGCUUCGAGCCAAUCACAUAAUACCACUUGACAUGAUAUAAAGUUACAUGGUACUACUGUCUCUUUUCUGGAAUUCAAUAUUGGCAUUAUUACUGGUGGAACCGAAGAUUGAGAUUUAGGGGACAAAACACACACACACUCACUGAAGGAGGCAUUCUUACAUGUUUCAAGAACUUUAGAGGCAAAGUUUAAUAUUUUCAAGGUACAAGUGAAAAGUCUUGAUUUUUUAAGGGGCACUUGAGAAUUUCUAAUAUCUUCAGGACUGCUGCCAGUGGGCAAAUCCUAACCCAUGCAAACAAAAAUAUUUUUUCCCUCAUUUCAAGAAUGUAUGUUUGGUUUGGUGGAGUGAAAAAGGUCAACAAAACCAAGCACAUUCCACUGGUAAAAUUUUUGAGAUCCAUGAUAAAUUCAUCAAGUUCUUGAGUACUGGUUUGGCUAAAGUCAUCAAGUUUUUUUUUUUUUCUUUGGCUCAAAUUCAUCAAGUUAUUAGGCCAUGACAUCAAAUUCUACACAAAAGUAGUCUUCUCUGCAUCUCUCUUGCAGCCAUAUAUAUAUCCUGCAAUUGUCUUCUGUUAGGAAAGCAGCCAGCAAGACGUCAGCCAGCCAGUUGGUUUUCUUAGUUUCAACAAGUCUUUGAGCUAGCUUGUAGUAGUAGUAGUUAGUACGUACGCACAAUAGCCCUCAUAGCCACUCAGAAAUUGAAUGGGAUAACUGAAAUUUUAGGUAAAAAAAUUCAUUGAACAUAGAAAUUUUUAACUACAUACACUGAAGUAGUAUGGUAGUGCUAAGAUAUACAAAGCCUAGAAACCAAAAUGCAGCAAAUGAGCUAGUCAUGUGAGAAAAUAUUACAACCAACACAUGCAAAAGAUUAUCAUGGACUUAGUUUAGUUUACACAGCCUAUGGUAACGUAGCAAAAUUAGCUCAAAUCUUUAGAUGACAAGUGUGUAUCUAGUGAAUUAUGAGCACAAGGACGAGGGAGGGAGGGUUAGCUGGAGAGUUGGAAUUGGCUGCCAAUCGGCCAUGCCAUGGACCAGUAACCAUGAAGUAUAUUAAAAGAACUCGGAGGCGCAGCAGCAGCUACAGCGGCCUAAGUUAAAUGUAAAGGAGCCCCUCCAUCAUGCUAGCUACUUUCAUUUUACAGCGAAAGCGGUUUCGUUACCUUUUCGAGUUUUUCUCUUCUGGACCGUCUCUUCCAAUUGAUCUGAUGUAAAAAAGAAGAAUUGAUCACCAGCCACCUAAUAAAGAAGAAUGAUCAAAUAUGGUUGUUGAUCACAGAAUUUCUUCCCAAAAGGGAAAAAAAAAGAAUGGGAAAAAUAAGGGAAGAAAUCAGGGGUGAAAAGUGAAAACAUGAAAUCUAAGGUAGAAUCCAGUCCAGUGAGGCAGGUACUAGUACAGGUUCUUAAUUAAGGUCUGCAAGACUGCAACCCCAUAAAGUCAGGAGCCAGCCAGUGGACCACAAAGCUUUUCUUCGGUCCCUGAGAAAUGUUUGAACUGCUAAUGUUUGGGCAAAUGUAUCCCACUAAAACUAGAAAUAAUUAAAACUUUUUACAUUAGAAGCAAAAUUCAUGAGUAAAAAACAAAGGUGGGGAAAACCCUCCAAGUAGUAUAAACUAAUGAAAACACACUUCUACUACCAUAGUGGCUGAAUGGUAAAGGAAUACGAUGAUGUUUCUUACUAAGUUAAGGGCUGAAAAACAUGAUGGUAAAUAUGUUGUACGUGGUGGAUAAUUUUCUCUGACAACCACCUGCAAGCGACAGUAGCUCAGUUCAAGUUUCCAGCAUUAUUCUAUUCCCACAUAUUACCAAACUUGCACAUAUUUGUCUGCCUUAUGGUUCCACAAUGCUUAUGCCUGUUGGAAGGACCAAGGCAAAGUCUUAUUUAGAAAAGACAAAAAAGAGGAGAAGAAGCUGGAAGCAGGUACAGAGGGUUUAGAGAAGUCAAGAAUCAGACCUGUGAUUGUUCAAUUUUGAAGAUGAUGAUAAGAAGCUAGAAGAUUCAAGUAGAGGAGUGAGCAACACAUGUUGGAAAGGGGAGCACGUGCAGAGUUCAUGCAUGGCUAGUGGCAAAAGGAGAACUUGCACGUGCCCUGCUUCUCCAACAAGAGCUACCCGCUCAAUCCAGCAGCAGCAGAAGGGCUGAUUAGCUUUGGCCAAAACCAAACUUCCAAUCACAAUUGCAUCACAACAAAGAAGAAAGCAUGGCACAUGUAUUUAUAGGGAAAGUUUGGAGCGUGGGGUAGGUUUGGGGGGAGAGGAGUUAAAGCUUGGAGUCUUGGAGUGGGGAUUCUUUAAAGACCAUGCAACAAGCAAUCAAUGUAUCCAGGUUGAUUUCAAUUGCAAUUGAUUUGGUGAAGGAAAACAAAAGUCAUGCCCUGCUUUUGCUUGCCCAUGCAAUGCAACUCUUUAAGUUCUUCCUAAGAAGUAAGAAAGCAACAAAGUCCACUGGCAUACAACACAUCUAAGACAGAUUGAAAUUGAUUGCAAGCAAAGCCAAGAAAGAGAGAGAGGUCAUGAGAAAUUCAGAAGCAAAGAAAGACAGCCCUUUGAUUUUGAGCUCUCUGAAAAAGAAUAAUGCAUCCUCACGCACUACAUGGUGCGUGCUGUUCAUGUCACGACACAAACAAAGUCCACUAGCUUUCAUUUAACUGUAUGCGAGGAUAAGAAUCUAGAAACAAAACUUAAAGCGGUCAAGCAAAUAAAUAUCUCAUGCUUAAAGCGGUCUAAAGUUGGGAUUCAAUAAUCUUAGAACCUUUUGGAUUGCAUUAUUUAAGAAGUUUCUAAAGGUUCGCUUAUCACAUUUUUAGGUUGUGUUUAGAUUGUAAUUUUUUGAAAUUUUUCUAAAAAAUGUACUAUAGCGAUUGAUUUGAUAUAUGCGAGAUAAAAAGGUAAUUGAGAAACGUAUUCACGAAAAACGCAGAGAUUUUUAUAGAAAAUUCCUUUCCAAGUAAGGCCUUAUAUUACCUUUUUAUGUUACGUUGUAAAGAAAAUCGGUGAUAUCGUGAGGGUAAUUAUCAUAAUUAUGUUUAUACUAGAGUAUUUUAUGUAAAAUACCCAAACCACUCACACAAAAUAUUUAUGCUAAUUUCUCACAAAUUGACACGACUUCAAUGUAAUUCAUUUUCACAUGUUCGAUAUUCUGUAUCAUCUUUUUCCUUCCACAGUUCUCUCUUCCUUCCCUUGCCAAUUACGCCACACAUCACCUACUCUUCUCCUCCAACUUCAUUCCAUUCCCCACUCAAUCCACAUUGGACCCUUUCCACCAUUGGCCUUCUCUUUUCUCCUAUCUUCAUUUUCCACUGUCAAUACGACUUCUUUCCUCAGUUACCCUCCUUUUCCUCAUGUCUCCUUUUCUGUUGCCUCUAUCUACUCCAAUCGUCACUUUUUCUAGAGCUACCAACCCUUUUACUAUGCAAUUCUUCGUGAAGUCAUAGCUCACAAGGACUUUCUGAGACACUUGUUAUCAUGGAGAAUAGUUGAUGUAAGAAAUUUAUGCAUCAAAAAAUUCAUGAAAAAUUAGGGGGAAAAAGAACUCCAAUACCAAUCGUGUUUUUAUGGUAACUGUGGAAUGUGACUUUGGAACAUUUUGGAUCUUUGCCAAUUGGUUGACAUGAGAUGAGAUUUGACAAAAAAGAGGGAGUCAUGAAAAGAGAGACUCCGACAAUUUAUGGUGGUCAUAGUCUAAUUUGUUACCAUUAACUUUUAUAAGGGUACUCUGGACAUUUUCUUGAAAAUAUAGUAAAUCAACUUUCAAAAAGUGCUGCACUGUUAUUUUUUUUUUAAAAAAAAUUACUAAAAAAAUCCAAUUCAAAUGAACCUUAAUUUUGGAAAUUUUGGUUGUAUGACAUAUCUCCGUUUGGCGGGACCUGACAAAUGCUAAAAUUCAGAUGAAACAAGAGUUGAAUUAAUACAGCCCUUUUCUUAUAUAAUUGUAGAGUAACGUAAGAAGAGGUUUCUUUAAUAGGAGAUGCAAAUGUGCAUUCCAUUCUGUCCAUUUCCUUCUUCUUCUUUUUUUUUUUGGAUAAUUUUGUCCGUUUUUCGGUUAAAAUGAAAAGGGAUUUCUACCAAAAAAAUCUCUAUAUUUUCAUGAACAUAUUUUUCAAUUUUCUUUUCAUUUUACAUAUGUCAAAUCGCUACAAUAUAUUUUUUAUAAAAAAAAAAUCUUCAAAAAGUUGCAAUCCAAACGCAACCUUAGUUAUGAUUCAUUGCUUGAGCGUGUUGGAUACGCUCCCGUGAAGGUUGUGAGCUUUUACUGCUGAGACACACAAGAAAGGAUGCAAUACUAGAUUUGACGCCCGUUUUGACACGCUCAGUGAAAAUCUUAUUCUCACUGCUUUCGUCAACUGGUAUUUUGUUCCAUUUAUUUGUUUCUUUCUUCCGAGUUCUUUUUCGUCAUCAUUUUAUUCUGCGUAAGAGCGUACACACACAGAGUUGACUUGCGGUUCACUACUGUCAUCAGCUCGACAUUAUGAGCUCGUUUAAAUUUUGCUAAUUUUUAGACUAUUUGACGUAAAUUAGAUUAAAAAAAAUGAUUGAAAAAUAUUUAUAACAAAAAAAUUUUUUUUGUAAAAAAUGAUGAUAAUACAAACAAGAUUUAAUAUAAACGUUUCAAGUGUUGGUUCGCGUCGCGGAUGCUUAAUUUUGCAUUUUUUUAUUCUCUAAUAUUAAGCCAUAAGUUCAUAAAAAAUAAGAAAACUAAUUGCACAAUUUGUUGGAUUAUCAACCAAAGCAGAUCACGUGCAUAGAGAUUAAAAAAGAACAACUUCAAAGAUUUCUUGGCAUGACAGUAAAUUGUACACAAUAGUAGGUAAACCCACCAAAUUCAUAUAUUAAACGAAAUUUUAUUUUCUAAUAAUUUUGUUAAUUUUUCAUAGUGAUUAUAAAUAAUUCUACCUUUCUUUUUAUUAAUAUCAGUCAUGAACUCGUGAUAAGAACUACUAGUUUCUUAAACAAGGUAAAAGUUUGUUUUUUCUUGUUGGUAGAUAAAAGAGUUGUUUAGUACAGUAAUCAGAGAGGUAAAGUAUCUCUUACCAAGUAGUUUAACACCUUUAUGCAUGUUAUCUGGCUAGUUUUAGUAAUUAUUAUGCAUUUUCAUUUGGUUUGUUCCGCAAACAUUUUAUUGACCAUGAAUGUGAUGGACAGUAGCGUUUUAAUAGUUGGCAUGAACAACGAGAGAGGGAGAGGGGGUGGGGAACCACUGGCCCAUUGGCUCAGUGGCCACCAGAAAGGGACUUCCCUUCUUGACUGUUAGUGAGGGUUCAAACCUCACCAGCAACAAAAAAAAUCUAAAGGUUGUGUUAUAGUAUUUCCUUGAUUUAAUUUGGUCUGUAUACCCACUAGUCCUUCCACAGCCUCCUAGGCUCCCCCCCCUAGAUUAGGAUAAAGUAUGUUAUACAAAUGUAUCGUUGCUGAUAAAAAAAAAAAAAAAAAAAAAAAGAGAGGGGGUGAGGGGGGGGGUACUUACUAUUAGGAGGAGCAACGGGUGACUGACUUUUGACCAAGGAAAAGGAAAUGAUGGAGUGAAAGAUACAAAUUUUUUUUUUCUUUUUCAUUCGGAGAUUAGAUGGUGAGAGAAGGGGUUUGCCUAGCUCCUUGGUUUUCGGCAAGAAGGAAAUUGAUGGGGAGGGAGAAGAAAAGCACGUUGCGUGUUGUGCGCGAGUUCUCUUGAUGAUACUGCUGAUAUGAUGAUGAUAGCAACAGAAGCAGCAAGUAUAAAAACUAUAGCCAUGGGAGAGAAGUACAGUAGUAAAUGUUACCAUAAAGAAACAAAGAAAUGAAAGCUAAAUGCUUUCUUCAUCACAGUACUUGAGUGAUGGAGUGAUUGGCGUGCAUGUGAGGUGUCACUUUGAAGAUAUAUAGUAAUGGUGUGGUGGUGGUAGUACAGCAGUAGCAGUAGUAAGUUUGUGUGUUUGUAUUGAGGAAGGCAGGGUGAGUCCCUAGGUAGAUAUGAUUCCCAUCUUUAGUAAGUAGUAACCCUUUGCUUCCAGCACUACACCACCUCACUCGCCCCAAAAAGCAAAGUAGAGUGUAGUAGCAUGAGCAAAUUUGUUUGUAUUGUGGCGGUUAAUUUCCAUGCAUGGCUCUUGCUCUUGCUUUCAAAUCACAUUUAAUCUCUUCUCUCUUUGGAUAUGGGGUAAAUUUGGAAGAAAAGAUAUAAUCAGGAGUGUCUAUUGGGCUUUCUGAUUCGAGUUUGGUUCAAUCUAAAUCCUGAUUCAUAAAAGAGGGAAGAAAAAAUUUUCGAGCUUUCGGAGUUCAACCUCGUAUUUGAAGCUCAUACUCCACCAAAAUAUUAGGGUUUCGAGUCUACUUUAGACUCAGGCUGCAAUUUUGAUAAACUGAAAUUUAAAUUUGAAUUCAUUAAAUUAUUGAAUUGUUAAGUAUUAAAUCAAAUAUAUAUGAUAGGUGAAUAGAUUAUCACUUAUUUUUUAGAGAGUAAAUUUUGCUUAGAAAUUUCAAUGUCACUUAAUUCAUUCAGAUGCUCAAUUUUAAUUAUCAAACAUGUCUGAACAUAUUAAAAUCUGAAUCCAUUAAGUUUAAGUGCUGAAUUGAUUUAUCAAACAAGGCUUUACAAUGAAUGCAUAAUCAUAGAUAAUAUUUACAUUUAUAAUGAAAAAGUAUAUAAUUUUUACAUAACAUUCUAUAUUGUUACGAUUACAAUAUAUGUUAUAAAUUGCGUACAGAAUAGAGUAUGUUUUUACAUGAAAUUGUUGGGACGAAACUUUAGUUGGAUUGAGCCUAAUAAAACUAGGUCUAAUUAUUCCGGGUACAAGUAGGGAUAUAAUUCCGGGACCAGGUCCGUUUUGUCAAACAAAAGAACGGGGUCAGAUACGGAACGUGGUAUUCCGACCCGAACCCAAAUAUAAAUUGAUUAAUAAUUUAAAAUAUAUAUAUAUUAUUAAUAUAAUAUCCCAAAUUUACUUCUCUAACUAUUAUUUCAAAAAUAUAUAUUUUUUCUGGUAGCCCAACCCAAAUCUGUGACCUGUCGGAUCCGUUCUGAAAGAAAUCAUAGAGGAUCUGUCGGGCAUUCGGUCAAGAUCCGGAACGGGUAUAGUAUAUACUGGUCUGGGCCCAGAUUUAUUAAUUCCAGCCCGUUGACAGACCUAAAUAAAACCAAGUACAAUCAAAAUUGAGCAUAGGAUUUUGGCCCAUGUUUUGCAAAGUAACAAUGAGACUAGGUCCCAAUUCUUUGGUCCGAGCUCAGGCCAAUCUGGCCCAACUAAUAGUCCUAUAGAUGAGUACCUAAAGUAGCAAGGGGCGUCGCAGUAAAAAUAAAUCCUUAAUUAGUAAGGCUCUUGCAAAUUAACGGAUGAAAUACAUCUUAGUCUAAAUCUUAUUCCUAAAACUGCAAAAUUAAAUGUUUUGGAUAACUAUUUUUGUCAAUAAAAAAAACUAAUUAAACACCCAUUUAGCAAAAGGCUGUCUCUAUAUUGCCAUUAUUUUAACAAAUUAUGCAGGCUGAAAUCUAGUCUCAUCCCAUUUCAAUUUCACGAAUAGUUUCAAUCAGUGUUUUGAAAAUCUGAUCGAAUCAGUUGGUUUCACUAGUUGAACCACCGAUGAAUCAUGUCAGUUGUGAGAUUCACUAUUAAAUUUAGAAAAUUAAUUGGAGUGGUCAAAGUCGUUCAGGUACCGAUUAAGUGAAUUAAAAAAUUCUUUUUUUAGUUUUAAUUACAAUUUCUCCAUAAUCUUAGUAGGAUAGAUUUAAAAUCUAAUUAGUAAGCUAUUAAUAGAAAAGAAAAUUCAAUAGUAACUUCACGUCAUCAUAAUGUCUUUCAUUCCUUCACAAAUCACAUAUUUAUAUCAUGAAUAAUUUAAUGAUUUAAGAACUUUUAAUGUCAUAAAUAAUAAGGUAAUUUGGAGCACAAUGAAAUUUGCACUGUAAUUAGUGCAUAUACAAAGUCAUCCACAAAACCACAAUAACAAGUAUUUUAACAAAGAAAUCUAACUAUUACAAAUCUAUUAAUCUAAAUGUCAAAAGCAUCGCUUCCAUGUAAGAGAAAUAAACUAGGUUAUGAAAUAGUAGUGUACUUGGAAGUCGCUUGGUCUUUAAUUCCACGGCCAUUAUGUAUGGUAAAUUGGGAAAUAUCCAUCAUGACUUUGAUACAAACUCGCGAAAUUUUAGACAAAAUGCAACAUCAAUCAUUUUUAUGUCAAUAGCCACUGGCCAUUUGGUCCGGUGGUCAUCACUAGGGAUGGCAAUGGGGGCGGGGGUGGGGCGGGUGGGGGGGAAUUUUUUCCCCCGCUUAGAAACGGGGCGGGGAGUAUACCCCCGCCCCAUCCCCCGCCCCGCCCCCGCAAAACAAAAAAAAAUAUAAAAAAAUAUAUAAUUAUAUAUAACAUGUAAGUUAAUUAGUUAUAAACUUAUGAUAAUGAUAUUAUUAGUUAGAUAUAUUAUAUAAUGUAUAUUAGUUUAUGUAAUAUAAUUGAUAUUAUCAAUUAUAUGAAUAAUUCUACAUGUUUACUAAUAGAAUUUAUUAAUUAGUUAUACUAAAUUUACUAAUAUAUUUAUACUAAAUUUCUAAUUACACUUAAUAGAAUAACACUUUUUUCUCAAAAAAAGCACAAACACAAUAAUGAAUUAGUGAUUGCAUUUGUACUAAAAGUGAAAACUUGACUAUUUUAGUUAUAUUUAUUUUAUCAUAUUGGAUUGUAUUCAAAUAACUUCUGUUUGAUUGUUUUUAUGAGUUUCAAUUGUAAAAUUACAAUGAAUAAUAAUUUGGUGAUGUGUUGAUAUUUUAGUACUUGAUUAUUUAUUAAAAUUUAAUUAUAAUAAAAUUAUAUAAUAAAAUUGUAUUAACCCCGCGGGUGCCCUCGCGGGGAAACGGGCGGGGCGGGGCGGGGCGGGGGAGCAGGAGGCGGGGGACGGGGCGGGGGACGGGGGAACUAAUAGGCAACGGGGCGGGGACGGGGGAAGGGACCCCCGCCCCAACCCCGCCCCGUUGCCAUCCCUAGUCAUCACCAUCUUUGGUGAUGCUGGAGGUCAGGGGUUCAACCCCUGCCUCUCACAAACUUGUCACUUUACGUGACUGAUCUUCUGCCCUCACGGGAUAGUUCGAGCGGUCCGCUCCUCCUCCUUAGGGUAUGACGACCUUCCUGACUUGUCCAGGAUUCGAGUCCCGUUGUUAAUGUGCUCGGUGUGGAGUAGGGCCUCCACUCCCGAUCGCAAAGGAUUAGUCGAGCCCCGUAUGAAUUGAUCCGGACACCCCUGUGUUGACAAAAAAAAAAAAAAACAUUUUUAUGUCAAGAGGUUUAAAAAAUAAGCAAAGUUUAUUUGGCACCGAAAUUCUUGUAGUACCUCAUCAUAAUAAUGACAUGUCUCUCAUUUGAUUCCUUCAUAAAUAUUUAUGCAAAAAUAAAAAAGAGGUGGGUGAGUUUUUCUCUCAUAAAAUUCAUAUAAUAAAAAGAUGGACCAUAGGAUCCUAAAUGCCACUAUUGUCAUUUUGUUCUCUCAUUUCUAUAGUCGCACUCCAGCACUCAUUGGACUGGAGUCUCUAAUAAGUGGAAUGAAAACUCUCGCUCUCGCUCGGCCGCCCGGUUGUCAGUCACUGGCCAAGUAGCUCAACUUCCCCAAGCUUUGCAGCUAAUCCCAUAAAAUCUCUCUCUGCCUUUUGUUGGGCCUUCCCGUCCCCUGGGGGAAGGUUAAAGGAGUUUUAAAUUAAAAAUAAAAAUAUCUGGGCGAUCCUUCAUAAUUUGGCUCGUGCUUUCGCUCUUCCGCGGCUAUUCUACUUUGGCGACUCCCUUGGGAGCAGUUGACUAGUGACUUUGGCGGUGGUCGUUGGGUGAAAUUCAAGACGAGGUCGGAAUAUUUGUUAAUGAACUGCUUUCUCUGCAAUUUCUACGGCUUUCUCAUUUUUUGGGUAAAAUUCUUAUUGUCACUGUAGAUUUAUUCCUUCUAUCAGGUAUUUGUACAUGCAGAUAUGAAACCUACAAAUUUUGCCAAGGAUUAGGUGUACACUUUCACCCUAAAAUUGAGGAUUUUUUGCCCAAAAAAUGGUCCUUCGUCUGAUUCACUAAGCCCGUACGAACCCUUUUUUUUUUUUCAGCCUUCAGAUCUCUGUCAACAAUUUCUGACUCUAAAUUUUACUCUCUCGGCUUCGAUUUGAUGGCUGCUUAGUAAGAGGGAAGUAGAAUCAGUAUUAAAAACCGGAGGAAUAGAAAAGGGCGCUUGAGGUUAGAGGCUUUAUAGGAUAUACAUUUUAUUUCAUUUUCUCAUAGGUGAAAAGAAAAUAGAGAGGUUUCUUGCCUUUUGGUGUUUUCCUCUAUGGUAAAGAAAAUUUUAAAACAUGUUUGGUUUUUUCCUUUUCGCAUAGCAGACACACGAAUGCUACACAAUUAGUGUUUCUUUUUUUUUUUUUUUUUUUGGUAUUUUCAGCUUUGUUUGGAAAGUGGAAAAUCCUAUCAAGUGGUUUGGUGCCUUUUGUUCCCUUGCAUCCUGGUAAAUAAAUUUCUUGCCAUUAUUUUUUUCUUUUUUUUUGCACCACGAAAAUAUAUACUGAUCAGUUUUUUUAAAAAAAAUUUUCAGCUUUGGUCCGAAAAUAGAAAAGGUUUUGCAGUAAAAUUUCUGUUCAUUUCCAGGUUAGUUUACGUUUGAUUUGUAUCAUUAAUUUGCUGAAAUUUUUGUUAAUAUUAUAUGGGCUGAUAGUUUAAAUAUUUUAAUAUUAGAGUUAUGUGCCUAUAUGUUUGGCUAUUUACUCUGAUGAUAAGUUUUUGCUUAUGCUUCUUAAGAAGAUAUAGCUGUGCUUUACUGGUUUUAUGUGGUAUUUUAAGGCAUCGAAAUAUUAAUAAAGUAUUUUUAAAAAAACGUGAUUUUCCCCCCAAUUUAUUUGCCCUUCCGAUUUACCUUCUAUGUACAUUAUCUCAUCUCCCAACUAUGCAAUUCCUUUUUUUCCUAGAAAAAGGAGAGAAUCAAAGAGGGGAAAACACCAUACAUCUCCCUUCCCCACCCUAUUUGCCUUCCUAGCUAAAAACAUGAAGAAAAACACACACUUUCGCAUCAAUUUUCAGCCAUUUGAUGAAUUUAUUGUGAGUUUUUCUAGCUUUUUUUCUUCCCAAAAUUGUGCUCCUAGCAGAAAUGUUUGCUUUUGUUAUUAUUGAUUGUUUUGUAAGUUUAAAAGAAUCAAAAGAAGCACAGCAAAGUAAACAUCCACUAUUUAAGGUGUGUGAUCAUCUCUUACAAGAGUAGCAUGCUUUGUGUUUGAUGAUUUGAUUCUAAAGGUAGCUUUACCACUACACUGGUUUAGUUUUCUGAGAAUUUACGUGUUCCAUUGUUAUGGAGUAUUAGAUGAUUUGAGAGAUGCUUUUUAGCUUACUGCUUGGUCCUAAACAAAAUGAUUUUACUUUUGCCUUUGUGUUUGUAUGCUGAAUGAUCCUUUAAUGUCUUGCAAUGGCUCGAACUAUCUUUAAAUUUCAUUGGAAACAAUUCUUUGAUAGACCUAGAAACAUUAAUUUCAUUGAUUGUUUUUUACUUUUACUGCAUUGUCAUGUUAGUGACUAUCAUAAUUAGGACCAAAGAGCAGUUAGAGAGUAUUUCCCCAGCUUCUUGGUUCUAAUUUUCUGCAUGUUUUGGGGCUGAACAAGUAGAAUCUGCACUCAAAUCAUGAUUUGUUUGACAUAAUUUGGUUUCUGCUUAAAUUUUAGUUUUAGGAACUGGUCAUGCACUGAUUAAUUCCUGGCACAGAUAAGCACUUCUGAUUUCCAUAUCUUGGUUCAUUGAAAGCGGAUUGUUUAAUGGACGGAUCCUAACUUGGGGGACAAAGGCUUUUAACAUACCUCAGUCUUCAAUUAUUUUGCUGCUUCCUUGUUAUAUUAGUUUCUCUGGUUUUGCACAUGGACAUGGGCAUUGCUUUAAUUACCCUACUGCUAUAGUUUGCAUAUGGACAUGGUUUCUCAACAUGAUGACAAUUAAGAUCUUCCACGUUCUAUUAAUUUUAAAAAUGAGAGAUAUAGGGAAUUUUUAAAUAUUUUUUACACAACAAAUUGGGCAUUGGCUGUUCAACACAGCCAGAAAAUUUCUAGUAUUAUAUAUAUAUAUAUAUAUAUAUAUAUAUAUGCAUGUACGCACACGCACGCACCACAUACUUGUGCACAGAAUAAGACAUCCCAUGACCAAUUUAUAGCAUCACCUGAUAAAAAGUUAAAUAUUUUUAAAUGUAAAUAAGUCUUUAAAAUUGUAAAUUCAAACAAAUAAAUUCAUUUCAAUUGUACCUACUAGGAAAAAAAUCUUAAAUCCAACACAAACCACAACCAUAAUAUUUGAAAUUAAACAAAAUGCAUUGAAACAUCUAAAAUUAAACAAAAUCUAAUAGAACUACAAAAGAAAAUGGCGAUCUUUGAGUUUGAAAUGAGAAAUAGAGCGAGUUUGGUUACUCUUUUAGAAAUUAGGAUUGGGAGCAAAAGAUUUGACAAAUAAGUUUUAUGUUUAAAACUUUAGGUUCAUUUAAAAAAAAAAAAAAAUUAGAAAUUGCAAUUCAGAGGUCAAUCCAGGUUGAACGGUCCAAUCAAUUUUUGCGAUUCUGACUGAUUUUUAUGAUGAGUUAAACACUAGUAGUGAAUCGAACCAAAAACUUGACCUGUUCAUGAUCCAACUAGUCAAAUUGGCCGAUUCAGCCUAAUUUUCAGAACAUUGGUUGUGACACAUAAAAUAUUGACUAUUUAGUUGCAAUAUAAUAUAAUUUAAUAGAAUGAUAAAUUUGAAUAAUAUCAUACGAUGUGUUAUUGAUAGAAUCAUAUCACAACAGUCAAUGUUUUACUGCAAAAUGUGUUAUUUUACAUGUCACAACAGUCAAUGUGAUAUGAUUCUACGUAAAAUUAACUCCCUCGUAAGCUCCACAAAUAGAAAAUGCAGGAGUACUUCCUAUAAUAUAAUUUGGAUCAUUAAUUUAAUUUAUUGAUCAUGGAUUAAUAAAGUAUUAUUUACUUAUUUUUUAUUCUUUUUUUUAGAACGAAUUUUGCAAUGAUAUAGUUCUUAUGCCAUUAUAAAUUCUUAACCAUGACCAUUAUAGUUCUUACACUGUUAAUACUUGAACAACGAAAAAGGACAUGAACAAAAAUAAGUACCCAGCCCAUCGUCAAAACCCACUAACAAUCUUCACCAAAACGACUUUUCUAACAAUCUUCACCGAACAAUUUGAGCCCACUAAGCCCAAAGCCAAUAUCCACUGCAUGCCAACCCAACAGCCUUUGCCAACACAACGCCUUCUCCCUGGCUUCCCUUCUGUUAUAACCUUAGUUUCCCUCUUCUCAGUCACCCUUCUCUCCUACCUAGUUGCCGUUAUUCAAGGUUUUUUGAGGAGACAAGCUUGGGCUAAAGAUUGGUAUGGAGUUUAGUUUCUUAUUAUUUUUGGUGCAUUUUUUCUUAAAUUGUUUUGUCCACUGAAUUCUACUUAUCAGUGCUUUUGGGAUGUUGUUGGAAUUGUCAUUUUUCCUUUCACUGAUAAUUUUUUUUUCUGGUAAGAUUCUUUCCACUGAUUUUAGUAAAGUAGAUUUUUUUCCUUGAGAUUUUAUGUUUUUGCCUUUAAAUAUCUGUAAUUGUGUAGUCAGCUGGUUAGCUAGUCAGCUCUAUGAAAUCCAAAAAGAAUGGGCCUUUUUGAGGUAUCUAUAUUAUAAUAAUUAGAGUUCAUGGUUGCAAAUGGAAAAUCUGAUUUCCGUUUAAGUAGUUGCAAGAAUAGCUGUCCUCAGACUUUUGAUCGCUAAAUCAGGUGUUCGGUAUACUCUUAUAUGCCGACAUUGCCUUUGAUUUUUCUGCAUAUUAAUAUUAGAUAAUUCUUCUCUAUAAUAUGAGAAAAUCAUGUGUUUGAUGCAGUGAAAUAUAAGACAAGAAUGAAUAUGGGUAAAAAUCUAUUCUUGGGUAGUGAUGGAGUGAAACUCAUAAAACUCUGAGUUUUGCUUUGUUGUAGGAUUGUUUUCAGUACUGGGAGCCUCUUCUCUCAUCUUUUUUGAGUGGAAAUUCUACUAUUUGCACAUUAUGAUUUUCCCUUUAAUUGAUCUUUUAAGUGGCCACAGCCAUAGAUGCCUUUUGUGGAGUGACCAACUGGGUAGGGUGCAUUUUCUCCUCUUAAACUGCUGUCAGUAGGAGCUGUGAAAUUGAAGGCAGAUAUGAUUUGCACCCAUUCUUGUCUAUGUAGACUCUAGAUAUAAGAACUUAUGCAAAAAUCAAAUGUGAGCUAUGAUCCAAGUGGCAUGAUGUAGGCUAAAUGUUUGAUAAGAUGUAUCUCAUAAGUUUCUUUCUAUGUUGCCACAGAAAUGAUUAUUAGGAAAGCUCUCUGGUUUCCAAGAAAAGACAUGUGAAUUUUGUGAGGCUUCUGGGUAUCACUAAAGUUUUUUUCUGGAAAUAGUUUGUUUUGGAAAUCACUGUAGAUGUACAAAAUGCAGUGCAUGCGUAUUUCCCUGACAUAAUCACAUGAAGAUGUUUAAGAUGUGUAGCUUGUAAGAACUCAUCAUGUUUGUGAUAAGAUUAAACUGGCGGCUUUUAGAGUGUGAAUUAAAUGGGGUUUCAUUAGACGAGCAUCUCUUCUGAAUGGCUAGGUGUUUCCAAGAGAAUUAAGUAUUUACCAGUCCCUGCUCAAUCUUAUACACAACAUACAAACAGAGAAAGAGAAAGCAGCAGAGAUUUAUUCAUUUCCUCUUUUUUCUGUCUCAGAUGGGUUGCCCCGGGGCUGGGGGAAUUGGUGGAUUGUAUGAUCAAGUGCAACUGGGAGGUGCCUUUUGAAUGCAAUUCUUCAGUGUUUUUCCAACAGGGGCUAGUCUUCACUGCAAAGUGAAGUGUUUUUUUUUUCUUUUUAAGUAAGCUUUUCAAUGGAUAGGCCUGAACCUGAAACUGGCAAUCAAGGAUGCGUAAAAUAAUGUUAGAUUUAGGUUUUGAACUGGAGAUUGACCCAACUCAGUUGGUUUUACAUCAAUGGUUGAGUUAUCUGAAUGGGUAUCGGUGUGUCAAGUCUGACGUCUGGAUAUAAAUGAAAGACUGUGUUAUCCACGUCUCAUCCUUUUGCAAACUCAGACAGUAUACUUCAACUCUCUGGAUAAAGACUUUUAUCUCAUCCAGUAUUUGCACUUUAUGCUUCCCUUUCGCAUACCUGUUAUUUUUGUCCAAGUCGUUUAGCUCUUGCAAAUACACAGUUAUCACAAGUACCACUCUCUCCUAAUUGGAUAUGGGUGUUUUGUGUUAUAUUGACAUAUGUGCUUGAUCUUUUGUAAGUUAGAUGUCAGGAAAACAAAAAUGAACAAGUUGCACUGGCUUUUAAUAAAAUGUUGUAGAUUGAUUUUUUUUUUUUUAUUUAUUAUUACACAUGUUUCAUGAAGUCGUUUUUCUUUGGUGAUGCAGAAAAUGGUUAUCCCUCCUGCAGUUCGGCCAGAAAGAGUUACCAAUUUUCUCAAGCCUUAUGUCCUGAAGAUGCACUUCACGAAUAAGUUUGUGUCUGCUCAAGUAAUCCACACACCAACAGCAACUGUAGCAUCCUCUGCCAGCUCACAAGAGCAGGCACUGCGGUUAAGCAUGGAAAAAGCCAGAGAAAGUACAAGGGACGUUGCAGCUGCUGCAAAAUAGGCAAGAUAUUGGGGCGAGCGACUGCUUCUCAAGGGUAUUCCGGCUGUUUCAAUUUUCUUGAAGAGAGAACAGAAGUAUCAUGGCAAAGUUAAAGCAGUAAUUGAUUCCGUGAGGGAAGCAGGUGUCAAAUUAGUUUAAAUUUAAGAAUCAGCUCCAUUCAAGAGUGGCAAAUGCAUGCCCCGCAUGCAUUUUCUGAAUCCCUCUUUCUUUAACUAGAGGUCUUUGCUAUUGUGACGAGGAUUAGAAGAAUCAGGGUUAUAUUAUUAUUUUUUUACGUGGCUAAAUCUAUUUCUUGAUAAUCCAUAGUCUGUCUGUGUUUGGGAAAUGAAUGGACCUGCUAAACUUGACAUUUGAGAUAAGAAUUAUUGCAAGUACGGAUAGGUUCUGUCUGAAUUAGCCUACAAGGAGAAUGGCGUACUCAAGGAUAACGAAGUAGUCGUUUCGUAGCCGGUGUGGAGCAAAGGGGGCAGUUGAGGCGUAGUUCUUUGAAUGCAUGAGCUGUGAAUACUGUCCAGAUAGCAAGGGAGGUCCCCAUAUUCUGCUGUGCUCUUUUAUCUUUGGCUUAACGUAUCAAAGUUCUUAUAAAGCAAAGCUCAGCAGCAUGGACCAAAGCAACUUGCUGUAGUGCAAGCAGGGACCCGCGGGCUGUCUGGUUCGCAUCAUGCCAUGGUUCUUGAAGUGUCCUAGACGGGAACAAAAGACGUUAUUGAGGAGAGCUGGUGGCUGUAGAUUAAUGGGAACUUUUUUGGUUUUCUUUUAGUAUUAUGUUUUGGGCAUUUGGGGUUUGAAUUAUGGUAAAUUUUUUGGCGUUGAAAUUCUUUAGUCAUAGUACUACUACUGUCAUCUUAAAUUCAGGAAUGGUUGGUUCAUCGAGCCAUUUUUCGCCCAAACUCUAUAACUAAGAAUAAGUAGUAAUAAUAAUAAUAAUAAGGGUACUUUUCAAAAGGGGUUAAUUUAUGAGUAAAUCUUAUAUGCACUGACAUUGUAUGCACUAUCACGAUUGGAUGCGUAAUAUAUAUAUAUAUAUAUAUAUAUUAUAUAUAUAUAUAUAUAUUUAUAUAUAUAUAUAUAUGCAAAUUUAGGAUUUCAUAUUCAAAUUUGAAUCAUGUGUCAUGUAUUUAAUGGUGAAGAGCGCGCGUACGCUGUCAGACAGUGUAUAGAAGAUUAAUUCAUGAUUUAUUUACACCAACGCAAAAUCAAAUUUGUUAUUCCGUAUCACUGUGACACGGUCGCGAAGUGUACAUUUUGGCCCCCACAGUUUGGGAAUACAGAUAAAAUUUACUUUGAUUCAAAAAAUUAUGAACCAUCAAUAGCAUGAUAAGAAAGGGAUUCAACAUUAAAGGUGUCAACAUUUUGAAGCAAUAAUUGAUUUGGAGUGACAAAGAACAUAAAGAGGCCUAACCAGAGAGGUUAAUCAGCCCCAUCACUAUCUGCCUUGGAUCUUCAUAUCCUUCUUUGCUAGACAAAAGUCCGGUCCUGGAAAAAAUAUUUGCCAUACCUCUGCUUCUUUUCUUUUGGGUGUAUUGCUCCAUAUUUGUGGUCACAAUAGAAGAAGAUGAGGUAUGAUUAGGUACAGUUUCCAUAAAAGAAAUUAUCUUCACCAAUCAUCAUUGACGAACUUUAAGAGAGUGACAAAAGGGAAACAUUUUUUUUUUUUUUUUUUUUUGUAUCUGGAAUUCACCUGAGGAAAAAGUUAUCAAUUUGGUUUUUUUUUCCCCUUAAUUUUUUAAAAUAAUAAAACUAGUGUAUUGAUUAUCAACCCUGUUGCUGAACGUUACUCCAUUGAUUAUUUGGCAAAGCCUGACUUUUGUGAUCCAUUCGAAACAAGUUGGCAGACCACUGCACCUAAUAUUGAUUGUGUGAAAGUGAUUAGUGGGCCUAUUAUGUCUGUUCAAUCUUCCAAAUCUGCAAUAAUUUAGCCAAGAAUCUUCGAUGGCUCGUCAUGCAUUACACGCGCUGAGGUGGCUAUGGAAUCGGACUCAUAGGGUCAACUCGUCUGCAACUCGAGAAAUAGACUGCUCGACUAUAGAAUUAAUAAUAAAGAAAGAAUCCAGGAUUUCCUAGAAAAAUUUCGCCACCGAAUGCGUAAGCAUCCGUCUAAACAGAUUUAUGUUUCAUUUUUCUCCGGAUUAUGUUUCAUCCAGGAUUAUGUUUCAUUUUUCUCCGGAUUUUCUCCCUCGACCCUUUUGUGUCAAUUCCUUCUUUAGUAUAGAGUAGGAGCAGGUAGAAUAUAAUCUAUCGUAUCCGAUUAAAACACAAAAAAAAAAGACUAUUGAAUUAAAAUUUUUGACCCAAAAGAAAAAAGAUAAGAUAAGACUAUAGGAUUCAAGCCGCCACCUCUAACUCAGUGGCAACCGCAGAGCUCUAACUCGGUGACCACCACUUCUUUUGAUGGGAUGGGAGGUCAGGGGUUCAAUCCUUACCUCCUUUUCCGCAUAGGUUAAAAUAGAUUAGGUUAUAAGAUUUCUACCGUUAUGAAAAAAAAAAAUAUAGAAUUAAAGCCUAAUUAGGACCAAGAAAACAGACUGUUAACUCUACAUUUUUUUUUAUAAGGUGCCUGGUUACACUUAAUCCGCGACAAGAUGAUAUGGCAAUUAGCACAACUAGGUCAUGGAUGGCCUCGCACUGCCUCCAGAUUGAGAGUCGUGGAAAUCCUUCACAAGUUACUGCUAAUAUUCAUAUUCUAUCUUUGAUAGUGACCAUAUAUCAUUAAAAGUUGUAUAAAGGAUAAUUCUAGAAAUCUCUCCUAAGGUUUUUAGUAAUUUUACUUGGCUCCUUUGAGGUUUUAAAAAUUAUGCAUGCCUCUCUUAUCUAUUUAAAAUGACAGUAGUAGCUUUUACAUUCUAAUAAAACUCCCUUGUUUGUCAUGCUUAUAUAAGAGAUGGGGUUUUAUUAAUUUUUUUUCUUUUGUCUUCUUAUUCAUUUCUCUUCAUCAGAAAAUCUAAUGAACUAUUAAUAUUGUCUGUAAUCUCUAUCAUGAUCAAAUGUCAAACUAGUAAAUUUUUUUUAUAACUUUAAUAAUGUUUGGAUAGCAAAUUUAUUUCAAAUAAUAUUUCGCUUAUAUCAUAAACACAUUUUCCAACCCACAUUUUUAUAUUUCUAACUACCUUUUUAUUAUAUAUAUACCUCGUAUCAUAAAAAGUGCUGCAGUAAUUAUUUCAAAUAAUAAUUUGUCCAAACAUAAUAUCAUCAUUUAAUUAUGGUAAUUCCACCACUGAAUUAGUCCACAAACUUUGAGAAAAAAAAAUCAAAAUAACGCUUUCUUUUCUAUCUUAAAAAGAAUCUAUGUCCCCAAUAAAGCACUAUGAAAAGUAACCUAUUAUAGUGAUAUAUUUAUUGUUGAUUAUCAAAUAAAAAAUAUUGACGUAAAAAAAACUAACACUUAUUCCAUUUAUAAUUGUGUCAAAUUACUUUACAAUUGUUUAAAAGAAUAAAUUACACUUUAUAAGAUAAGGGCAUUUUAGAGUAUUCAUUAAAAUUUUGACCCUAUUUUAAGGUUAGAUUAUCAAAAGUAUUAAAUCAAGGAAGGCACGUAAAAUAAUUUUUAAAACUUGAAGAGUUAAGUAAAUAAGUUAGAAACUUUAGGGGAGGUUUCUAAAAUUAUCCCUUAGUAUAAAUUUCAAGAUUUCUUUUACACUUUUCAUCCAUGAAAGUAGCGUUUGUUCAGUUCGAGGACAAAUAGGCUUUGUAGUUUAAAGUGAAAUUAUCUGUUUGGAUUGUGAAUUAUUAGAGAUAUUUUUACUGUAGUAUUUUUUGUGAUGUGAUGUAUGUGAGAUAAAAAGAUAAUUGGGAAGGUAAAAAGGUGUAUUGAAAAUUGUAAUGAUGAUGUAAGCAAAUAAAUUUUGAGAAAUAAAGUCCAAUCCAAACAAUAUAAUCACACGUUGAGAAACAAACAAAAAAAUGAGAUAAGAACAUAUUAACAAUUCGAUUUUAUUUAAUUCCGUGGACAAAACGAACUAGUAGCGUUGCUUGUAGCCUUCGGCCCUCUGUUGACAAUUUGGUCCGGAUCCGGACUGCCGCCGCCAUUAUUUCCCUUUCGAUUUGAUCUUGUUCGUUAAUCUUUCCUACACUGAUAAUAAAUAUUUUAAAUAAUAUUAAUAAUAAAUAUAUUUAAAUAAUUAAAUAAUGAUCAAAAUUUAUUUACUUACGUCACUUUUAAAGGCUCAGAAAUCAACUUAACAAAGUAACAGUUCAAAAUGUAUUAUUUUAGAUAACAUUACGUAAAUUUUACACAAUUAACAUGUAGUACUUCAAUAUGGAAAAUAAAAUUCUGUUACAAAUUAAUAAAAUUUUUUCUAACAAAGGGAGGGAUGGCAUUUAAAAAGCCGGUAGGAGGCAGAAGGAUUAGAAUACAUAUUUUUAGUUCUUAUGUUUUAACCUUAACUACUAAAUCGAUAAAUUAUGGAUCUGCGUGGAUUUAUUUUUUUUUUUCAAAAACUAUUUUUGUAUUUGGAAUCUAUAGUAACAAUUCUAAAAAUAAAUUCCAAAAAUAACUCAAAAAAACACACAUAAUCUCAAAUACAACUUAUAAAAAUAAUAAAACAUAAAAUAAUAAUAAUAAAAACGAAUCCUACCACAUUUUUUUCUUUUUCUACUCACCACUACCACUUACUAUACACAUCACCACCCACCACCGUCGCCACCCCAAAUCUCUUUCCUUAUCCUCUACCCUCAUCCUCCUCUCUUCUCCACCCUUUCCUCCACUUUUUCUGUGGCUUUUGGUUGCGACUAGAUCCUUUCGAUCGUAGUAGCCAGAAACCAUGAAACGGUCGCGGCUUCUACUUGCUAUCGAAGAGAGGAAGGAAAGGAGAACGGGAGCGGUGGUAGUGGUGGUGGUGAUGUUUAAUUUUUAAAAAAUACUUUUAAAGAAUUUUAAAUUCUAAAAGUACUUCAAAAUACAUCACAAAAAUACUUCAAAAAUUCCAUAAAAAACACCUAAUUAUUUACAAUAAAAAUUACAUAUAUAUAGUUACAGUAAAAUUUUCUAAAAACAUCUGAUCCAUAUAAUUUACUAGAAAAGUUGUUCUUUGUUGUUUAUAUACACAAUUCAGAACUGGUUAAAAUAGCUGUAGUGCCGUACCCCAUUCAUGAUGAAGGACGGUCAACAAUUGGCAUUGGCCAACCUUUCUGUCCCAAAUUCUUAUCUCAAAUUCAUAAAGGACUGUCAAUAGUUCAAUUACCUGUAAAGGACUUCAUUGACUGACAAGCUCCAACUCAAAGCAAACUAGAAAAGAAUCUAUUCAUACGUCAUAUAUGUUUGCAUUCCGUUAGGGUUAGGGCCACAAACGAGCCGAGUCGAGUCGAGUUUUGAGUUAAUCGAACCGAGUCUCGACUAAAUUUUACCAAAUUCGAACUCGACGAGCCGGCAAAUUUCGAGCUCGAGCUCGAAAAAAAUAAAAAAUAAAUAUUUUUAUUUAAAAAAAUAAAUAAAAUAAUAUUUUUUUCUUAAUAAAUAAUAAAAUAUUAAGGACAUAUACGUAAUUUUACUAUGAAAAUAAAAAAUAAAAUAUAUAUAUAUAUAAUAUACGUAAUUUUAUUAUUAAAUAAAAAUAAAAAUAAAAAAAUAUAUAUAUAUACCCAAACUCGCGAGCCGGUUCGCGAGCUAACGAGCUUAAUAUUCUGAGUUCGAGCUCGAGCUCGAGUUUGACUCGAGCCGGCUCGAGCUCGACUCGAGUUCGAUUAACAUCGAGCUCGACUCGAGCUUGACUCGGAUCGCUCGCGAGCGGUUCGAUUCGUUUGCAGCCCUAGUUAGGGUGAUGCUUUGUUGGGCAUUGUUUUUUUUUUUGUAGAGUUUCUUGCGUUUCUGUCGCGCUAUCAAUCGAACGUGGAACACAACUGUUAAUCGAUAUUGUUAAUUGUGGAACAAACCAAAAGACAAUUAAUUUGUUUAGGAAACAGAUAAUGAUUGAUCCUUGAAAUAUUUAGCUGAGGUUGUUGAAAUGCUUGUUUGGAUUGCAGUUUUUUAUCGGAAAAAUUACGUUAUUUUUCGUGAUCAUAUUUCUCUAUUAUCUUUUUUCCUUACAUAAAUCAAAUCGUUACAAUAAUUUUUUAUAAAAAAUUAUGAAAAAUGCAAUACAAACAAAAAGCAACCCAAGUUGAGGACCAGGGAAGAGAAUUAAAUUGAAUGUUUGAACUUAUACUGGUAUGGAAGUUUGGAAGAUAAAUAAGAGAUUUUAAAUUUGAAACUUCUCAUUUAUACUAAAAAAAGUUAAAAAUACCAAAAAAAAGAAAGAGUGUUGGAACUUGUACAUGUUAGUACUUAAUAAAUGAUAUGGAUAUCAAAAUCUCACAAGGUUUUUUUUUUUUUAAUAUUAAAAGCCAAGUAUAGUGCUUUGCAAAAUUAAAUAGUAGCAUGGAUUCAACGGUAAUUUAGAAUUUUAGCGCUUCAUUUCUCCCUUCAGCGUCAUGCUUCUAGAACAUUUCCAAGAAAAGACUAGAAAACGUAUUAAUGAUUUCUCAUUGAUGCUACCGCAGCACGAGAGCAAAUCCUCUGUCUAAUAUUUUGUGUUUAAUUUUCUGUUCAAUGUGAAACUACGUAGUUUUACUUAUUAUAUCUGUUGAGAAAAACAUGCCUUGUGCUCUUCGUAACAUGCAUUGAACCACAAAUUCGAAUCAUACUUGAGGAUUUAAAAUAAUUGAUUCUUUUUUAUUUUUCUUUCAAUUUAUCUAAUUUUUAAUAUUCAUUUUUAAGAUUUAAAAUAAUUAUUGAUUCAAAACUAUUUAUGGAAACAAAGAUAUGAUUUUUAUAAAAUAAUAAGCAAAAACUUUUUUUAAUUUUUUUGGAUUACUUCAAGGUUAAUAAAUAAAAAUAUGUUCUUUUUUUAAUGCAAUACAGCCUCAAAAAGGGCAUUUUUGAUAUUAAGGGAAUUUUUGUUAAAUGUUUGAUCAUUCAAAGGGUGAGACCGUUAUUUGAAUAAAUUACAGGGAUUGAUUGGUAAUAUGGUCAAAUCUCAGGGGAGGUAAAUGUAAUUAACCCAAUAAUCUACUGUCCAAACACAAUAUUGUUUGGAUCAUGUGUUAUUUCACUUUAUUUACACCUUAUUUACACACAUUAAUUUAUUUAUAUUAUCAAUAUAUUUUUUAAUCAUAUUUUUAUCUCACAUACAUCGCAUAAAAAAAGUGUUAUAUUACUUUUUCAUAAAAUUAUAUCAAACACACUUCGUACCAUAAAAAUUAUCUCAAACACACUUCGAUCCAUUUCGCCAUUUCCAAUGAAUCCGAGGGGCCCCCACUAGGGAUAAAGCAAAGGGCACUCUCGACCUUUCACAUCAGAACGAAAACGACGCAUCACGUGACAUGCCCUUUCUCCCAUUAAUCGCCCUCCACGUGGCGAUCCACAAAAAAUCUAGACCCUCAACGAUCUUAUCUCCUCUAUCGUGCUUAUCGAUCCACCCUCCACGUCACGUCAGAUCCACCCAGCCCAGAUCAACGGCCACGAUUGAAUCUGAACUCUCCCCAUAGGACUCUGCUCCAACUUUAACGCGUUUUCGGCUAAUAAAUAGCCGUUGAGCUGAGCUGAGCUGAGGACCAUUUCCUCUUCUAAGCUCUCUUCGUGAAAUAAUUUCCGAGUGGGUGAAGGGUUGAGGGAAUAGUUCCGUUCCGUUCCGUUCCGUUAGCGUGCGGGGAGUCUGCUAAAGUGCGCCAUGAGUUUACUGGAGAAGCUCUGGGAUGAUACAGUUGCCGGCCCCCGGCCCGAUAGCGGGCUCGGGAAACUCAGAAAACAUCCUACCUUUAACCUCCGACCGAACGCCGGGAAGGGUACGCCUUCCUUGCUAUCUUACGACGUUUGUUAAAUUAUAACAGAACUGAAAUCCACAAUAUCUGGAAAUUUUGAUUCAUAUCUGUAAAGAUGCUGGUAAAGCUUUACUAUGUAUCUGGAAAUUUUGAUUCAUAUCUGUAAAGAUGCUGGUACAAAUUUUGUGUAUAAGAGAUUGAAGUAUGUAAUAUAUAUGGGCGCCUGGAAAAUGGGUUUACUGAAGAAGGGCUGGUUAGUUAAGCACAAGAUUCUGACAAUAUGAUGAUAAGAUUUUAGCAGAGUCCUAGGUUGAUAGGAGAAAAGUACCUUGAUAAGUUGACUUUUGGACAAGAUCAUUUUGGGGACUAUCCUUUUUUUUUUUGGGUUGGGAUGUACCGUAAUAGAUCAAGUUGGGAUGUACGUAAUAGAUCAAGUUGAAUACGGAUGCCUUGAGAAUAUUAAUGCAUGAAGCUGCAGUUUUAUUGUUUAGUUUCUUUGGGUUUUGUUCUGUAACAUCAGAUUGGAUUGUUUGUACGGUUGAGUGUUGAUGUCAAUUUCUCCUCCUCCUUUUUGUUUUUGGUUUACAGAAUCCGUAGUUGGAAGCCCGAGAUCAUACAGUAACGGAGCAGGAGGAGCGGCGGCGGAGGAUGCAGUGAGGGUGACAAGAAGUAUCAUGAUAGUAAGGCCGCCUCCAGUUGACUUUAAAGACUCGCCGCCGGCAUCGCCAGCCGGGUCAACACCUGGCUCUACAACACCUGGCUCUACACCUCCGGUAUCUCCCUUCGCCGGUAAGGUUGCAAUAGUCAUCACUCUCUUAUGACUAGUCAUCAGUAGAGUACUGUUUUUCUGCUUUUGGUCGUGACCAAAUGUCCAUUUUGUCCUUGAUAACCGGCCUCCAAGAAGUAGGGAGGUAGCUUUUUUUACUGGGUCAAAACCCUACUCCAAAUAGUAGUAUAUCAAAGUUUGACAGAAAAAAUAGAUCAAAGGCUUUGUAUUAUACCCGUGCGGUACACUUUUUUAGUACUGCAUGUAAGUUAGUGAAUAGAUGAUACACUUUCUUAUCGAUGUGCAUAUUUUUUAAAAAUACUUAAAAAAUACUGAAAAUAUAGACCGAAAAUAUCUAUAAUUUUCGAUUAAAAAACCUAUUUGGAAUCAUAAUUGGCUUGAAAUUAUGGGAGAAGUCUGUAGAGGGGCCUUAGUCUAGAUCUAGAACAAUCUGUUAAGAGGACAUAUUGGUAAAUCCACAAACGGGGGUUCAUUUGUAUGGUAUAGUAGAAAACUAGUGAUAAGUUUUUGUUAAUUGAAGGGUUAUUGUCAAUUAUGGCGACAAAUUUUGCCAUAUUAUGUGUAGUUCUAUGGAUGAGUGAUAUAUCACGUCAUGUGUAUUUACAUUAAAUAAAAAUGGUAACAAAAAUUUGUCAUUAAGGGGUUGUGGUGGAUGGAUCUUUUGAGCGGAUAAUGCAAGGCGGCCAGAAAAGUUAGGUGGAAAUGUGGAAAAUGGUGGAUCAGAGGGUGCAAUUAUUUACUGGUUGUCUUCUUAUACACUAAUAAUCCGUUUUAAGGUGGCAUCCACGGAGAUGUUUAGUAAAUUAUUUGGUAUUACAACCAAAUCUUUCCUUUUCGACGUCACAAGUCACACCCACCUUGCAACUUGCACGGGGAUUAAUUGGCUGAAAUUGACUUCGGCUCCUCCUAUGGGACAUGUUUGUGGUUGUAUCACAAGUUGUAUGGUGGACGUGCGUCCUUACUCUUUUUGCUGGAUGGAAGAUCCAGGGCUUGUACCUUAAGAAGGGUAAGAGGGCUAAUGAAUACAAGGUGCAGGAGUUUCAGUUGAAUUCCGUUUCUGAUGACUAACCAAACAAACAUAGCCGAAGGGACAUGAUAUCUAGGUGGUAGUAAGACUUAAUUCUCUGUAAGGAGCUCGACAGUGGUAAAGAGCAGGUGCUCUAAUGAAGUCUGUGCUGUGUUUCAGUCUAAAUAUGUACCUCCUGCUCGAGUAAGAUUGAAUGGGCUGCGAUAUGCUGUUGUGCAAGACUUUGUAAUACAAAAUCUUGAAUGUGCUGCGAUAUGCUGUUGCCCAUCAUGAUGGUUGUGUGCAGCAAUUGAAAUGGAAGCUUGAUUAAUUUGGCAUAUGGAACCGACGAAAAGUUAGGUCUUAGGUCAUAGGAAGUGGAAGUGUUGUUAUGCAUGUGAUCAUGUGCAUGACAUGGUCCAUGCUCUCAGCCUGUGGUGGGAAAGAAUCCGAGUAGGGUGGAAUAAAGGGAAAUAUGGUUGGAUGUGGUAGGUGAUGGGACUGCUUAUUAAUGAACAAAUUGAAUUGUAAAUGGCAUGGAUGGUCUCAAAGCAAUGUGAUGAUGUAGUGUUUCUUUUUCUUCCUUGAUCAAUAGCAAUUGUAUCAUGACAUGGGGCUUCUUUUGCAGCUUGCUUGGUGCAAUGUCUCUGUCCCCCUCUUUAUACUCCUUGAUGCUGUACUGUACUCCAGCCUAUUGACUGCUACAGUUUUAUUUCUUGUGCAAGCUUUCCUGCAUUUAUUGCAUUACUUGGAUGAAGAAUGUUGACAGCAAAAAGAUUUUCUCGAUGCAUAAUGUGUAGGUGCUGGAGGAAGAGAGGCGUUUCGGUUUCGCAGGAAGUCUGCAUCAUUCGCAUAUGAGAAAUCCAGCAGUGUUGACCCAGGAGCCCUCCUCCUCCUUACGACCUGUGAGAUAUGAUGAGGCUUGGCAUUUUCCAUUGAGCGGCGGCUAAAGUAGUCGGAUUUUCGUCUUCUUCUCAGCUUUGUCAUGGGGAAAUCUUUUAGAUGAAUAGCACUGAGUGUGAAAAAGUUUGGUGGCGUGCAAUCAAAAAUUAAUCUUGUAAAUAUGGGUUAUGGUAGUGUCUGCUGUCUCGGUCGCGGUGUAUGGAGGGCUGGUCAUGCAGACUUUUGUAAAAGCUCAGUUUGAAGUUUGUAAUGUGUCCUGGUCUCUGUAUGCAGAGCUCAGAGUGGUUUGGUUUCUCCCAAAACUGCUAAGUUUCUUCUGUCAUUUUCCGGUGCGCUUGAAUGCCUAUUUGUGUUGUGCAACUUUGGUUGAUAUUGCAGUAAAGCUCUCCUCUCCCUGUUCCUGUUUUUCAAUGGCAAUAUUUUUCCUUUUUACCUACACUUCUCGUCUGUAUUAUGUGAUGAGUGAGCCCCUCGAAAAGAAUGGAAAUUGGACACCAAUUGGUUUUCCCUCACUCCCCCCAUCACCCUUAAAAGGGUAGAAAUGGGCAUGGUGGUGUUUAAUAUGUCGCCAAAAUAAUUAUAGCUUUGUUUGAAUUGCAGCUUUUCGUCGAAAAAUUACGUUGUUUUCCGUGAUUAUAUUUUUUUAUUAUUUUUUUUCUCACAUACAUCAAAUCGAUACAAUAAAUUUUUUAUACAAAAUUAUAAAAAAUGUAAUUCAAACAUACCUUUAUUUUAUGAGCCAUUGAUUUAAUUAAUUAAUUGUGGGUUGCAUAAUAAUUAUAUUAUAUAAUAUAAUAAUAUAUUUAAAUUAUAAAAAUAAUAAAAAUUUUAAAUUGGUGGUUUAAUCGGUAAUUUAUCGGUUGAAUCCGUUGACUAGUCAAUAGAUUUGUUGUUUAAUUGGUUUAAUUAGAAACUUAUUUGGAUCGUAUAGUCAGUUCACUGUUAAUUGGUUCGAUAAUCAAGCCGGACCAAAAUUUAUAACUACGAUAAGAAUGACAUGUUUCAUUAGCUAAUUGACAUAAUAUGCUCUUGUCUAUUAAAAGCACAAGUCAUUAUUAUUGAAUUUUGGUCUAAUGAUCAGGAGUUUCUUAAAACUCUCCUGUGCACUAAGGUAGGGUUCAAAAUUUGCGUAGUGCAUUAAGGCAGCCAUGCACUUGUGUGGUGUAGGGGUUCACGUCUUGUGUUUGGAUUGCAUUUUUCAUGAUUUUUUAUGGAAAAAUUACUGUAAUAAUUUGAUAUAUGUGAGAAAAAAAAGUGAUAGGGAAAUAUGAUCACGAAAAUGACGUAAUUUUUCGACGAAAAACCGCAAUCCAGUGUAGAAUGUUGCCUGAGGAGAGAAAAAAAAAAAGUUGGACACAAAAGACUAUAAUAACAUAAUAGAAAAGGAAAAUAAUAGUAUAUAACUCCUCAAAAUUUUAUGAAAAUUUGACCUGGAAAAAAGUCAUGAUUCUGGGAUAAGCAGAUGGACCAAUUUGACUUCAGAACUUUGGGCUUGCUUCACUGUCUCUACUCGGUCCAUGUUAACAACCAAUUGUUUAAAAUUUUGAUUAAUUAUUUUCGCUAAGCACACAAAUUUGGUGGCAAGAAAAAGAUUAAUUUUAUUGAUAAAUUCUAAAAUAAAAUCAUGAGAUAAGAAUAUAAACAUCCAAAAAAAGGUUUAGAUUAUUGCUUGGAAUAAAUUAAAGCUAUCUUAUAUAUAUAUAUAUAUAUAUAUCUCAGUAACACUGUAUCUUAUAUAUAUCAGUAACACUGUAUCAUAUAACUUUUGAGUUAGAGAAUAGAGAGUUUAGGCAAGAAGAAGACGGCUUCGUUUGGAGUGGAGGAUUCGGACAGAAAAGAAAGGGAAAGAAGAGAAAGUUAGCUUUUCUUUCAUUUGUUAGUUUUUAGUAGGAAAGAAAAGAAGGAAAUGGAAUGAUUUAAGAGGAUGAAUAGUAUGCAAAAUUUUUCCUUCCAAAUUGGAGAGAAAUGGAGAGAAAAUUGGAGGAAGCUUAUGAAAGUUUUUUAAAAUACCCAUUUUAUCCUUAAAAAUGUCUUGAACAAAUAUUUAAUGACUUUCAUAUCCAAAAUUAUUCCACUAAUUCUCAAAACUCCCAAACAACGUAACAAUCCCUUCUCUUCUCUUCUCUUCUCUCAUAACUUAAGUUUUCCCUUCUUUCUUUUCUAUCCUAAACUCCCAAACUUAGCCUAAAACUGAUUAGGCAAAUUUCCUCUUUCAUAGAGGAGAAAAAAAAGUUGAAAUUUGAAAACGGAAUAAAAGAAGCUUUCUGAUAUUUUUAUUACUGCGAAACCUUUGGGAAGAAAAGUUGGAACUCCUUGACCUAUAGCACCAAAAGAUGAGAUGGGAAAGUCACCGCUGCAUUUUGCUGCUGAUACUCACCACCUCAACCAUCAACCUUCCUUUCUCUCGCGUCUUUGCUGCUUCUGCUACUACUAAUACUGGUAUGUGUAUUAUUCCUAAUCUCUGCCUCUGUUUCUCAAAUCCAAAGUUAUUCCUGGUAUGUGUAUUAUCAGUCAGACAUAUGCACGAACAUAUACAAGGCAUGCCACGCGAUCACAGAUGAAUUCACGGUUAUUUUGCAUUCCAUAAUUUUUUUCUGACCCUUUACAUUGUUUAUUCUCGAACCCAAAUUUUGUUUUCAUCGUUUUUUGAGUUUUAUUGUUGAGGUGUUUGUAUGUUUUGCUUAUCUUUUGCUAUUCAAGAAUUUUGCUUCAGAUGGUCAUUACUGCCAUACAGUAGUAUAUUUUGUGGCUUUAAACCUAUCAAAGACAAUUCAUAAUGGUUUUCUACAAUUGUUUUGUUUUUACUUCCGUUUGGGUGGGGUGAAAGGGGGAGGCGAGGUUGGAUUAUUUGUUGAAGUGUAGCCUUUUACUAAUGUAAUGGUAGUGGUAGUGAAAAAUAUUUAUGAGGGUGGUGCGAAAUCAUUAAUACCUAAUUGUAAUGCUAAAACCUAGCUAGAAACAACGUCUAGAGAUUUGGCUUGAAAUGGGCCCUUAAGUACUUCAAAGCAACCGAAUUACCCUUGGAGUUAUUUAAUUUAACAGGAUUCAUCUGUUUAGAUUUGAAUUCCUGUCUCUUCUUGAAGGUCCACAUAUUUUAAAGAUUGAAUUUUUACACCAGAUUGAGGCAAUGGUCAACCAUAGGCUACCUUUCCCGCAGCUUUUACAAUUUAUUUCUCAUUCAGCAGUUUAGUGAAUCUUGUGACGUGCUUGUUGUUUAUUUGGGUAGUUAAGAAGAGACAUGGCUUCGCAUAUUAGUUUAAUAGGAACCUUAAGAGGUUUAGACUGUUGAUUGUGCUUAGAAUGUACACCUUUCACCUGAUUAUCUUCUUGUAGUUGUUUUUCUGGUCAUAUAUGGAAAGGGACCAGCGGCAUCCCUCACUGGUUAUUAAGGAGAGAAAGCAUCUGAUAUGCGGAAACUAAUUGAGUUUAAUAAUUGUCGAAACAUUGUGGAUCAGGAAACCAUAAGAAGCUAGUAAAAUUGCUCCUUUCCUUAAUGGGUAUGGUUUCUAGCGCCUGAUUUAGGUUAAUUUUUCAAUGAGCUCAAAAUGAUGAAUCUAAAUGUUACUUAAAAUCGUUGAGGGAGAAUGUAAGUAGUGAUGGUCAUAACUAGGUGAUGGUAGGUUUCUAAAUGUAAUUAUGGUAUCCAAUGCAUUAGACAAACUGGAAAGACCUUUGGAGUUUGUUUUGAUUCUUAUGUGCUUAUCAAAGUUGAGGAAACUUUUGGAACAAGGCAAGUCAACCAACUUCCAGUUUAGCAGCAAGUAGUAGGCUUCCGAUGACCAACAUAUUAACAGAAUGCUGGUACAACAGAAUGAUGACAUGGAUGGCCUGUAAAAUACUAAAGAUGUCUAAGAAUGUAGCAACCCAUAAUACGAUAAAGCUUCCACUUCCAGGAGAAUAAUUAGGAGAUACUCAAGAUUGGUGGAGUCUUCAAAAAGAUGAGCAGAUUUAGAAAUCCCUGGGAAUUAGAGGUUCUGGGUUCAAAUUCUCCUUUGCCCUCCCCGCUUCUUUAAGUCCCGCCUCAUUCAUCACUGCUAAAAUAAAAAAGGCCAAGGUGACCUUGGUUUAGUGGCUAAGGUUGGCAAGAAUUACCCCCUCCCCGGGGGGCUUGCUUUUCAAAUCCCACGUCUCUCCUGCUUAAUUUGGAAAAAAAAAAAAAAGACGAAUUGGAUGUGCAUAAAAUGUUGGUGCUAAGAAUUGAAGGAAAGCAAAGGAUAGAAUAACUCGUAAUGGGUAAAUGGAACAGUAUACAGGUCACUCAAAGUAAAGUAUGUGCUAAUAGUGCGGAGCCCAAAAGAUAGGUUACUUCUGUCCAGUUGUGCUAAAAACUUGGAAGGUAAGUGGGUCUUCAACACUUAAAAUGCCAAAACUGAUUAUAAUAUUUCAAAACCAGUGCUUGAGUCUCCAUUGCUAUCUUUAUAAUUCUGUAGCUUGGAAAAUAGAGUCUUCUACAAGGCUGAAGUGAUUGAGGAAUAAUCCACGAUAAUAAGAGAACUUGAAAAAUGGCAAUCUUAUGUUCUGAAGAAGGGAAGAUACCAUUUGAAAUUGAAAAUUCCUACGUUGCUCACAUUUUUCUUCUGGAGCAAGGUUUACAAUCUAACUUGUGUAGAUUAAUAAAUAAACACAUAGCAUGCUUUGAGCAGCUUGUAUACCCUGUAUGGAUUCCUUAACAACAAAUAUAUUCUUAAAGCAUCAAAAGAUCUGCUAAUUUGUAAAUAAACUCUGUUAAUAUAUAUGGUGGUUACUGUGCUUUUGAAGUUCUUGACAUCCUCCUAAUGUGUCUUUACGCCUAAACUAAGGAAUUGAAUUUUACUUCAUGCAGAAAAACUUCUGUGUUUGUGUAUCUCCUGGUGGGCGCUUCCCACCAUUUCUAGAUGAGGGUAAGCCUCCCAGAAAAGUAAGCAAGGGACAUCGGGAUCUGACUCUUUGCAGGGUUUUUCGCCAUAAUACAUGCUGUGAUGUAACCCAAACGCAUCCAGCUUUUCUGUCUAUCAGGAAGUUGGCUUCAGCUGGAGAAGCAAGCCAAGAAUGCUUACACUUGUGGGAAUGUUGGAAUGUUCCAUCUGUGAUCCUCGUGUUGGUGUACAGCCUGGACCUCCUGUAAUAUGUGUAUCGUUUUGUGAUAGAGUGUAUCAAGCAUGCUCGGAUGCAUACUUAUCUGUGGAUGCUAAAACACAGGUUUGUUGUGCUUUAAUUAAGGCUAGAUAUGUGGUUUUCCAGUUGGCCUUGUAACAAAGUAGCAAAUAUGAAACUUUGCUGAAGCUUCCUAUCUUUAGUUUGCGAGGGAGCUUGAUCCAUGGAACUGUUCUAUGUUUUUCUUUGGUGUUGCUUCUUUCUUCUUUUCCCAAAUCUGAUUCAGUAAAGUUAGCAAAAACCGUUCAAGGGAGCAUGUGAAUUAUCUUCAAAGUGCUCCUUAUCUAGAAUAUUGUUAUGCCAAUGCCCCUAAUUUUCUGUGUAUAAAAAAUAUUACCUUAAGUUACCUCAUGCAUUAUGAAAAAUUUACUCUCUUAUUUGACCAUUACAUGCCAGGUUCUAGCACCAUGUGGAUUAAAAGACUUUGUGUGUGGUAGAGCCUCAGAAUGGAUCUCUAAUGGCACAGAUCUCUGCCGUGCUGCAGGUUUUUCUGUUAAGCCAUCUGAUGAUCCUCAAGAAUUAUCAUGCUAUGGUGGGAAAGCUAGUCUGGAUUACGUUGCUGAUCUCUGGAAAGCUUCAGAGUCUAGGGUUCCACAAGAAACAGAAGGUUUGUGGUCUUUAGAAGAUUUCAGGCAAUGGGUGGAGGCAAUGCCAUUCAGUGAAAAAGUUUCUUGGGCAGUAGGAGGAAUGGUUCUUACAGCGGGACUGAUAUUUGCAAGGUUAGACAACUUUGUUAAUGGUAUCAAAAGCAUCCGCCAUGUUUUCUACUCGAGUCACAAUACUUAAUGUCUAUGGUUUGAUGCUUUUACUAUCUGAAGUUUAGUUCAUCUACUGAAUUUUUUGUAUCAUAUUCAUGCUAGUUGAACUUCAUAAAUUUGUGGCAACUAUGCAUAAUGAGCAUUCUGUGCUGUCUUGGUCUAUAAGAGAUCAAGCAGGAGACACAUACUUCGGUUUAGGUGUUUGAAAUGGAAGUGUUGAACAGGCUUAGUUUGAUGACCAAAAGUUUCUGAAAUGGACUUUAGGGAGACUGGUGUUAUACACUGUGACAAAUAGAGUUUGAAACAGGAAUUGGAGAAAGGCUGUCCAUGUGGUCAAUAUGUGAAAGGUCAGCUUCUGGACUGGUAAAAACAUAAUAAGAGGUGCUCCAGUAUCCCUUGACUUAAUCAGAAACACAUUUGGGCUUAGGAUGCAGACCAAAUCAAACAACCUUGAGUAAAUAGGCUUUAGUCAAAUCAAGGUUAUAUAUCUUUAAGCAAGGUAAAAGUUCUUUUAUUGGCAUGAGGCCUGGCUCUGAUGAGUUGAGGGUGGUCACAAAAUCUCUCAGUUUGUGACUUCAAGAAAGGGUUGUGAAGAAUUUAAGCAACAGCUUCACACGCUUUAAGCAAAAGCUUCACACACUUUUCUGGUCAUCUGUUUGCAAAGUAAAGUUGCCCUGGGAGGAACAUAUGAAAGGUAGGUUUUAAUCAGCUAAGGGGAAAUCAGCUCUGCUGAGAGGGGACAGAGACUGAUGAAAUAGUUUCAGAUGCCGUGGAGAUAAAACUUUGAAUAAACAGGAUCAUAGAAUAGUGUCUUAUUAUAUAGCUUUAAAAGUGAUACCAAAGGUUGUAAUUUUUAGGAAUGCAAGGGUUUGUUUCUCUGAAGAGGAAGGGAGCUUUUGAGAAAGAGGUUUGAAUCUGGUGGAGAUGGAGGACUAUAAUGAUGGGUUGUGCUCUGGGGUAGGGAGUGAUGAUAUAUAGUUCAGUUGCAGAAAUUGAGCUAUACCUUUGAAUGAUUACCUGUAUGAUCUACCUCGGACUUAUGUGGCAUCCAACUAACUGGUUGCUCUAGCAAAGUUUAAAGUGUAAUUAGGCUUUUUCAUUGCGAACUAUGAAGUGAUAAUAGAAGAUUAAAGGAAUCCAGACAAGAUAAAAGCCAAGGAAAGGUCAAUUGUGACAAAGGGAAGAAAGUGGGGAUAGUAUGCUGAUGGAAGUUGCAAUUGUGGGUUGUUCCUUGUGUUUAUCUUUGUUUUCUGUCCUUUCCAUAUUGAAAUGUUUAGGUAGUCUUUUGGUGCUAAUUAUAGUUCGUUUGAUGGAUGGUAGUUUUUUUUUUUUCAUUUGUCUAUUUGAAGUUUCACGUUGGUGCAGCAUAUUUUUUAGCUCUCAGUCUUUGGGUUAUGUAAAAUUUUGGGGAGAGAGAGAGAGCUGUUUGUGUGCAUCUCUUCUAGAAACAUUUCUAGGAGGAGUAGCAAGAGCAGCUUGGGAAGCAUUUAAACAAAAAUUUCCAGAUAAAUUACAACAAGACCAGGUGCAUGGAGUAAAUCCCAUGAAUUUUGUUAAUAGAGUAGAAGAAAUUCUUUUAGCAACAAGUCCAAAUAGAGGAGGAGUUCUAACACAAAUAGAAUCUAUAAGAAAAAUAGAACAACUAUCUAUUAGAAAUUGAAAAUAUAUUAAACCAUUUUUACAAGAUUUCUUAUAUCAUAGCUGUUUAGCGGGAUGUUUUUAUGAUGAAGGAAUUAUAGAAAAAUUAUUUGCUAAAUUACCAGACGAUCUAGGAAAGAAAAUAUAUACUUUAUAUAAAGAAACACCUAUGGAACCAACACUAAAAAAUGUAAGUACAGCUAUAAGAUUCAUAAUUAAUAGAUUAGUAGAGGAAUGUACGUUUAUUAAAAUACAAAGAUAAUUAAAAGGGGAAUAUAGUUUUUGCUCAGAAAUAUAUACACCACAAAAAUAUGGAGAAAGAGAAAAAGAAAAAAGAAAGUAUAGAAAACCUUAUAAAAAUUAUAAAAAGUACCCCAGAAAACAAUACUAUCUUCGGAAGAGCAAAGCUAGAAAACCAUUUCUUAAAAAGGAACAUCAUGUUAGAAGAUAUAGGCCAGAACGUACCUAUGGGAAUAGAUUAUCUUGUUUUAUUUGUAAACAACCUAACCAUUUAGCAACCAAUUGCCCAAAUAAACAUAAUUCUUUUAACAAAGAAGCUCAUUUAGUAGAAUUAUUUUCAGAAGAUUUAAUCGAAAUAGAUGACAAUAUAUUAGAAACAGAAAGCAUUUAUAGUAUAGUAUCAGAAGAGAUGGAUUUAACAGAUUUUAUAGAACAAGAAGAUACAGGAUUCAUAAAUGAAAUCCUAGAAAAAUCAGAAAAUAGAACUAUUAUGGAUAACAUAUACCUAGAAGAAAUAAAAGAAGAUUUUAAAAAAUUAGAUGACUUAGAUCUAGUAGAAGUAGAAUGUACUCAUAAAUGGGAACACAGAAAAGGUAAUUAUAGUAAAGCUUGUUAUAAUUGUAAUAGAUACCCAGCAAUAGAAUUAAGAUUCCAAUGUCAAUUAUGUUAUACAGAAGGAUGUAAAUUUUGCUUGGAUAAAUUAGCACAAAUAUACGUUUUAUUAGAACCAGUUAAAAAGGAUAAAACAGAAAACACUGUGCCCUUAGAAUAUUACCUAGAAAGAAGAAUAAGAAUUUUAGAAAAUAAAAUAGAACAAUUAGAGGAAAAAAUAGAAAAAUUUGAUAAAGGGAAAUCGAUAGAAAGGGAAGUAUAUAUAGAGAAUGCUGAUAUAGAAAUUUUUCCAGAAUUAAUAAGACAUAAUUAUGAUUCUGAAUUAUUACAAGCAGGGAUACCAACGAUAACUUCCAUUGAAAUAAAAACUAGAAUAAUAAUAGGAGACUUUGAUACAGAAGUUUUAGCAAUAGUAGAUACAGGAGCAAGUAAUAUAGUUAUCCAACAAGAAUUAAUACCAGAAAAAUAUUAUGAAAAAGCAUAUAAUAUUAGAACUGCAAGGCAAAUGGAUGGUAGUACUUACACCUACGACACUGCAAUUCAUAAUAGUCUCUUAUUUUUUGAAAUAGACAAUAAUCACUGCACACCACCUUAUCCAGUAGAAGAAAUAUAUGUUAGAAAUUUUCCUUAUCAAAUGAUUUUAGGAUUAGCUUUUUACUACAAUCAUAUCAUGGCAUGAUUAUUACAAGGACAGGGUUAACAUUCUUAAGAGACCAUACUUUACCUUAUAAUACAUUCAUAACACCAGGAAUACGGAAAGACAAUAAAAAUACAGAAAUUCAUAAUUGUAAAUGUAAAGGAGCAAAAGAUUGCAAAUGUAAUCACAUAGAAACUAUAGAAGAAAUAGAAGAAUUUAAUAAUAUAGAAACUAUAGAAAGCAUAGGAGAAGAUUUUAAUGAAAUAGAAAUAAGUUUAGACCUUUUACAAAAUGAGAAAAUCUAUAAUAUGUUAGAAACAGGACACACAGAUAUAGACCGAUUAAUAAGUAAGUUAGAAAAAUUAGAAAUUUUUGGAGAAAAUCCAACCAUUCAUUGGGAAAAAGAUAAAACAGAAUGUAAGUUAGAAAUUUUAAACUCAAAUUUAAAAAUUAGUACAGCAAAAAUAGAAGCCAGUAAUGAAGACAUAAAAGAAUUUGAAAUGCAUAUAGGAGAUUUAAAUAAAUUAAAAAUAAUCAGAAGAAGUACAAGUCCACAUAGAAGUGCAGCAUUCAUAGUUAGAAAACAUAGUGAAAUAGUCAGAGGAAAAAGUAGAAUGGUAAUAAAUUAUAAAAGAUUAAAUGAUAAUACUAAAGAAGAUAGUUAUGACAUACCAGAUAAAAAUGAACUAAUAAAUAGAAUUCAGUAUAGAUAUAUUUUUAGCAAAUUUGAUUGUAAAUCAGGAUUUUGGCAAGUAAUAAUGCACACAGAUAGUAUAGAAUGGACAGCUUUUACAUGCCCCUUAGGACAUUUUGAAUGGUUAGUAAUGCCUUUCGGAUUAAAAAAUGCACCGGCAAUAUUUCAAAGAAAAAUGGAUAAUAUUUUUAACAAAUAUAAAGAAUUUGUCAUAGUAUUCAUACAUGAUAUAUUAGUAUUUUCAAAAAAUAAAGAAGAACAUGUUGGGCACUUAAAGUUAGUUUUCGCAGAAUUUAUUAGACAUGGAAUAAUAAUUAGUAACAAAAAGGCACAAUUUUUUAGGAAAAAUAUAGAAUUUUUAGGAACAGAAAUAGGAUAAGGAAAAAUAAAAUUACAACCACAUAUUUGUAAAAAAGUAUUAGAAUUUCCAGAUAAAAUAGAAGAAACGAAGAAAUUACAACAAUUUCUAGGACUACUAAACUAUGCCAGACCUUUUAUAAAAAAUUUAAAUAGUUUAGUAGCACCAUUAUAUAACAAAACAUCUUUAAAAGGACAAAAAUUUUUUAAUAAAGAAGAUAUGAAAUUGGUCCAAACAAUAAAACAAAUAGUAAGUAAACUAACAGAUUUAAAAUUACCUUUAGAUACAGAUUAUUUAAUAAUUGAAUGUGAUGGCAGUAGUAUAGGAUGGGGAGCAGUUCUUUUUGCAAAACCAAAUAAAUAUAGUAGCAAACAUAGUGAACAAAUUUGUAGAUAUGCCAGUGACAAAUAUAAGGAAAAAUGUAAUAGAAGCAGCAUAGAUAAUGAAUUGUUAGCAGUAAAAUAUAGUCUAGACAACUUUAGACUUUUUAUACUUAACAAACCAGAAAUUACUAUUAGAACAGACUGCGAGGCAAUAAAAAAGUUUUUUGAUAAACACAAUGAAAAAAGAAGUUCUACUAGAAGAUGGUUAAACUUUGUAGAUAGCAUUAUAGGUAAUGGAUAUAAAGUUAGGUUUGAACAUAUUAAGGGAAAAGAUAAUAAUUUAGCAGAUUUUUUUUUCCGUCUAUUUAACAAUUCUUCUGAUCUUUUAGCAGAUGGCACGGCAGCUACCCAAAGUACAAAUUGGCCAAUAGGAACUUAACAAGUAUCCUAAAGGAUCCAAUUUACAUUUUUUCAGCUGUGAGGAAGGUAAUUUAGAAGAAAUUCAGCAGGAUAUCUUAGAUAACCUCUGGAAUAGUAGAAUCAAUUCUGAUAGAAUUAAAAAUUUAAAUAUUUUAGCAUUUUAUUUCAGUAAUCUACCAAAACAAAGUUUUUCAUAUUAUGCAGUAGUUCGGGGUAAAACACCUGGAAUUUAUUCCAAAUGGAUUUCUGUAGUAGAACAAAUUAAAGAUUUUCAAAAUCCUUUGUGGAAAGCUUUUCAUAGCAACCAUGAAGCCUUGGAUUUUGCUAGAAAAAAUAUUGGCAUCAGUUUUCAUGUAGAUAGCAAAGCUAGUAUGGAUAGCACGAGGGUGCCAGUACAAUCUUGUACAGAAGCCCCUAGUAGCAGCAAUAGUGGUAGAAGUUAUUCUGAUUCAGUAGCAUAUGAUAAUACUCAUAGCAUUCAAUUUUGUAAACAUUGUAAGGUUAUGGAAGAAGCAAUUAGAAGUCUAAAUCUUAAAUCUAGAAAUCUAGAAGAAGAAAAUAAAAAUUUAUAAGAAAUAGCUCAUUCUCUGACAGGGCAACUCAAAGAAAUGUGUAAAAUAUCUGGAUCACAAAGUGAUACAAUAAUUUCACAAAUUUCUGAAAUAGGGGAGCUACAAGGAAGACUGUCUCAUACAGUAUCACAAAUGGCCAGUUCUUCAUCCGGCCCAGCAAAAGAGAUCUUCAUAAAAGAACAACCCAUCUCAAAUAGACCCUUUGAGUUUCUUAAGCCCAGAAUAUUUUUUAGGCCUUAUCCUUUAUUAGAUCAUUUUCCUUUAUCAAUCAUAGACAUUAUCAGCCAAAAAGUGCAAGCCCAGCACUUAGCAAAAUUAGAAGCAGUGCAAAAAUACUUCAAAGAAAUAGCAACCAAACCCAAUACCAACUAUAGCCUUAACAUUAGCCCAUCUUACUGGAUCAACCCACAUAAAAAAUGCCCAAAUAAUCCAGAACCUUGUAACCACCAAAAAUACAGAAACCAUUGUGUACAUACACUUGAUUUUCUCAUACUCUGAGCAUCCAUUAAAUUACACAGAUAUACUCCAGUAGCCCUUAUGGUCAAUAAAAAAAGAAUAGUUCUUACACCACAGUUCUUAAUGGAUUGUGGAUUCUUAAAAGAAUUUUGGAUUUCUGAUCCAGAUGACUCAUAUCAGUUAGGAACAAGUUUGGCAUAUUUUUGUAGACAAAUGCUAAAUUAUGAACAAUGGGUUCAAGUAAAAAUUAAAUCAGCACCAGCAGAAUGGAUUGGACUCAUUGAUUUAGAACCAACAAUCCAUAGAAUAAAAAUUCAAGUUAGCAAUGAUUAUCCGACUCCACCAGCAGCAGCAAGAAUAAUGAUAGCAGAGUGUCCUUUAACACUAGAAGAACAACUCCGAAAUUCAAAGGCUAUGCACUUAGCCUAUAGACAUUUUAAAUCCGGAUGGUCAUACUUCAGAUUGGCAGCAGAAAACAAAAUUCAGAAGAUCUACACUCCCUACCGAUAUAAGCUGGAAAAAGACUUUAUAGUUCAAACAACUUUUCCAGAACUAUUCCAGCAGUACUUAAAUGAUUAUAUGGAAGAAAGAACUCAGCCAGAAGAAAUUGAAGGAGAAAUUGAAGAAGCAGACAACGAUCAUUAUUGGCAAACAAUGGGACCAGAAGAACUCCACAACAUCGAGAAUAUGAUGGAAGGAUAAUAGGAUUCAGACACAUUAUUGUACAUACCAGCACUGAAAAAAUACCGGUCUCAUAAAUUUUUGUAGCACAUAUAGCCUUUAGAAGCUUUGAAAGUUUCGGCCCUUGUAGGCUUUUCAGCCAUCGUAGGCCAUUGCAGGCUUUUUAGCCAUUGUAGGCUAUAUAGCCUUUAAGAGCUUUAAAAAAGUUUGGCUAUUUAGCAUAGACAUAGGUUUUUGAAAAUUUUGGCUAUAGACAUAGCUUUUUGAAAAUUUCAGCCACUGUCGGCUCCAUAGAUUAGACAUCAGAUUCCAAUCCAAUUGAAAUCCGCAAACAUAAUUAGGAAAUAGAAGUCCGGAUUUCAAAUCCGAACAAUAAAGCCUAUAAAAGCACCAGUCCCAACCAUUGUUGGGUACGAUACUUUCAUAACAUGUAAAUUACAAAAACAUUCCAUAUAUCCAGUUCCAAACACUUCUUGCAAGUUCACUAUUUUUAGUCAUCUUAUUGAGAGGAAAGGAAAACAUAGAAUAGAAAUUAAUACAGCCUCCAAAUAACCGGAAACUUUGAGAGAGAUAUCCUAUUUUGGAACCCAAAAAGUCUAAAAGACGGUGUAGUACCCAUCAUAGCCGUUCUGUCAAGAGUUCCUGCAAGGCGUAAGGGGAAGAUCUGGUGAGGCAAACCUCCAAAGAUAGGACUCCAACUCUCAUAGCAUCAGAAGAAAACUUUGAAGGUAUAAUUUCUGUAACCUCUAUCAAGUACCGAGUACUCGUAUAAUUCUUAAAUCAAGUUGAUAAUUUAUACAUAUAAAAUCUGUAUGAAUUUUGAACCACCUUUUCAGUUUACAACCACUCAAGAAAAUUCAUAUAGAAUAGCAUUAGCAACUCUUAAACAACCAGAUACAUAUUAUUAUUUUGAUAAAAUUUUAGAAGAUCUAGAAACUUUAGAUUAGUGUUUAGCACAUAUACAAAUAGAAGAAUCUAGAUUAGUAAAAGUAGCACACCACCAUCCCUCAUCCUUUCUCAGAAAUAUUAGACAAGCAAAUGUAGAUUUACUUUGGCACAGAUACUCUGAAUUAAAAUCUAUAGAAAGACAAAAAUUAGAAGAAAAAGAAGAAUAUAAAAACAGAAGGAAUUCCUGUAAUAAAAUCUGUGGAAUAUCUGAUUAAGCAAUAUAGGAUUUUAAAUAUAGGUCUUUAACUGGAGCCUAAUAGUCCAGCCAUUCUAGGACUUUUGGUACCUAGGUAGUUUUUGAAAAGUCCUAGAAUGGCUGGACUAUUAGGCUCCAGUUAAAGACCUAUAUUUAAAAUCUUGUAUUGCUUAAUCAGAUAUUCCACAGAUUUUAUUACAGGAAUUCCUUCUGUUUUUAUAUUCUUCUUUUUCUUCUAAUUUUUGUCUUUUUAUAGAUUUUAAUUCAGAGUAUCUGUGCCAAAGUAAAUCUACCUUUGCUUGUCUAAUAUUUCUGAGAAAGGAUGCGGGAUGGUGGUGUGCUACUUUUACUAAUCUAGAUUCUUCUAUUUGUAUAUGUGCUAAACACUGAUCUAAAGUUUCUAGAUCUUCUAAAAUUUUAUCAAAAUAAUAAUAUGUAUCUGGUUGUUUAAGAGUUGCUAAUGCUAUUCUAUAUGCAUGUUCUUGAGUGGUUGUAAACUGAAAAGGUGGUUCAAAAUUCAUACAGAUUUUAUAUGUAGAAAUUAUCAACUUGAUUUAAGAAUUAUACGAGUACUCGGUACUUGAUAGAGGUUACAGAAAUUAUACCUUCAAAGUUUUCUUCUGAUGCUAUGAGAGUUGGAGUCCUAUCUUUGGAGGUUUGCCUCACCAGAUCUUCCCCUUACGCCUUGCAAGAACUCUUGACAGAACGGCUAUGAUGGGUACUACACCGUCUUUUGGACUUUUUGGGUUCCAAAAUAGGAUAUCUCUCUCAAAGUUUCCGGUUAUUUGGAGGCUGUAUUAAUUUCUAUUCUAUGUUUCCCUUUCCUCUCAAUAAGAUGACUAAAAAUAGUAAACUUGCAAGAAGUGUUUGGAACUGGAUAUAUGGAAUGGUUUUGUAAUUUACAUGUUAUGAAAGAAUUGUACCCAACAAUGGUUUGGGACUGGUGCUUUUAUAGGCUUUAUUGUUCGGAUUUGAAAUCCGGACUUCUAUUUCCUAAUUAUGUUUGCGAAUUUCAAUUGGGUUGGAAUCCGAUGUCUAAUCUAUGGAGCCGACAAUGGCUGAAAUUUUCAAAAAGCUAUGUCUAUAGCCAAAAUUUUCAAAAACCUAUGUCUAUGCUAAAUGGCCAAACUUUUUUAAAGCUCUUAAAGGCUAUAUAGCCUACAAUGGCUAAAAAGCCUGCAAUGGCCUACGAUGGCUGAAAAGCCUACAAGGGCCGAAACUUUCAAAGCUUCUAAAGGCUAUAUGUGCUACAAAAAUUUAUGAGACCGGUAUUUUUUCAGUGCUGGUAUGUACAAUAAUGUGUCUGAAUCCUAUUAUCCUUCCAUCAUAUUCUCGAUGUUGUGGAGUUCUUCUGGUCCCAUUGUUUGCCAAUAAUGAUCGUUGUCUUCUUCUUCAAUUUCUCCUUCAAUUUCUUCUGGCUGAGUUCUUUCUUCCAUAUAAUCAUUUAAGUACUGCUGGAAUAGUUCUGGAAAAGUUGUUUGAACUAUAAAGUCUUUUUCCAGUUUAUAUCGGUAGGGAGUGUAGAUCUUCUGAAUUUUAUUUUCUGCUGCCAAUCUGAAGUAUGACCAUCCGGAUUUAAAAUGUCUAUAGGCUAAGUGCAUAGCCUUUGAAUUUCGGAGUUGUUCUUCUAGUGUUAAAGAACACUCUGCUAUCAUUAUUCUUGCUGCUGCUGGUGGAGUCGGAUAAACAUUGCUAACUUGAAUUUUUAUUCUAUGGAUUGUUGGUUCUAAAUCAAUGAGUCCAAUCCAUUCUGCUGGUGCUGAUUUAAUUUUUACUUGAACCCAUUGUUCAUAAUUUAGCAUUUGUCUACAAAAAUAUGCCAAACUUGUUCCUAACUGAUAUGAGUCAUCUGGAUCAGAAAUCCAAAAUUCUUUUAAGAAUCCACAAUCCAUUAAGAACUGUGGUGUAAGAACUAUUCUUUCUUGAUUGACCAUAAGGGCUACUGGAGUAUAUCUGUGUAAUUUAAUGGAUGCUCAGAGUAUGAGAAAAUCAAGUGUAUGUACACAAUGGUUUCUGUAUUUUUGGUGGUUACAAGUUUCUGGAUUAUUUGGGCAUUUUUAUGUGGGUUGAUCUAGUAAGAUGGGCUAAUGUUAAGGCUAUAGUUGGUAUUGGGUUUGGUUGCUAUUUCUUUGAAGUAUUUUUGCACUGCUUCUAAUUUUGCUAAGUGCUGGGCUUGCACUUUUUGGCUGAUAAUGUCUAUGAUUGAUAAAGGAAAAUGAUCUAAUAAAGGAUAAGGCCUAAAAACAUUCUGGGCUUAAGAAACUCAAAGGGUCUAUUUGAGAUGGAUUGUUCUUUUAUGAAGAUCUCUUUUGCUGGGCCGGAUGAAGAACUGGCCAUUUGUGAUACUGUAUGAGACAGUCUUCCUUGUAACUCCCCUAUUUCAGAAAUUUGUGAAAUUAUUGUAUCACUUUGUGAUCCAGAUAUUUUACACAUUUCUUUGAGUUGCCCUGUCAGAGAAUGAGCUAUUUCUUAUAAAUUUUUAUUUUCUUCUUCUAGAUUUCUAGAUUUAAGAUUUAGACUUCUAAUUGCUUCUUACAUAACCUUACAAUGUUUACAAAAUUGAAUGCUAUGAGUAUUAUCAUAUGCUACUGAAUCAGAAUAACUUCUACCACUAUUGCUGCUACUAGGGGCUUCUGUACAAGAUUGUACUGGCACCCUCGUGCUAUCCAUACUAGCUUUGCUAUCUACAUGAAAACUGAUGCCAAUAUUUUUUCUAGCAAAAUCCAAGGCUUCAUGGAUGCUAUGAAAAGCUUUCCACAAAGGAUUUUGAAAAUCUUUAAUUUGUUCUACUACUGAAAUCCAUUUGGAAUAAAUUCCAGGUGUUUUACCCCGAACUACUGCAUAAUAUGAAAAACUUUGUUUUGGUAGAUUACUGAAAUAAAAUGCUAAAAUAUUUAAAUUUUUAAUUCUAUCAGAAUUGAUUCAACUAUUCCAGAGGUUAUCUAAGAUAUCCUGCUGAAUUUCUUCUAAAUUACCUUCCUCACAGUUGAAAAAAUGUAAAUUGGAUCCUUUAGGAUACUUGUUAAGUUCCCAUUGGCCAAUUUGUACUUUGGGUAGCUGCCGUGCCAUCUGCUAAAAGAUCAGAAGAAUUGUUAAAUAGACGGAAAAAAAAAAUCCGCUAAAUUAUUAUCUUUUCCCUUAAUAUGUUCAAACCUAACUUUAUAUCCAUUACCUAUAAUGCUAUCUACAAAGUUUAACCAUCUUCUAGUAGAAUUUCUUUUUUCAUUGUGUUUAUCAAAAAACUUUUUUAUUGCCUCGCAGUCUGUUCUAAUAGUAAUUUCUGAUUUGUUAAGUAUAAAAAGUCUAAAGUUGUCUAGACUAUAUUUUACUGCUAACAAUUCAUUAUCUAUGCUGCUUCUAUUACCUUUUUCCUUAUAUUUGCCACUGGCAUAUCUACAAAUUUGUUCACUAUUUUUGCUACUAUAUUUAUUUGGUUUUACAAAAAAAACUGCUCCCCAUCCUAUACUACUGCCUUCACAUUCAAUUAUUAAAUAAUCUGUAUCUAAAGGUAAUUUUAAAUCUUUUAGUUUACUUACUAUUUGUUUUAUUGUUUGGACCAAUUUCAUAUCUUCUUUAUUAAAAAUUUUUUGUCCUUUUAAAGAUGUUUUGUUAUAUAAUGGUGCUACUAAACUAUUUAAAUUUUUUAUAAAAGGUCUGGCAUAGUUUAGUAGUCCUAGAAAUUGUUGUAAUUUCUUCAUUUCUUCUAUUUUAUCUGGAAAUUCUAAUAUUUUUUUACAAAUAUGUGGUUGUAAUUUUAUUUUUCCUUGUCCUAUUUCUGUUCCUAAAAAUUCUAUAUUUUUCCUAAAAAAUUGUGCCUUUUUGUUACUAAUUAUUAUUCCAUGUCUAAUAAAUUCUGCGAAAACUAACUUUAAGUGUCCAACAUGUUCUUCUUUAUUUUUUGAAAAUACUAAUAUAUCAUCUAUGUAUACUAUAACAAAUUCUUUAUAUUUGUUAAAAAUAUUAUCCAUUUUUUUUUGAAAUAUUGCCGGUGCAUUUUUUAAUCCGAAAGGCAUUACUAACCAUUCAAAAUGUCCUAAGGGGCAUGUAAAAUCUGUCCAUUCUAUACAAUCUGUGUGCAUUCUUACUUGCCAAAAUCCUGAUUUACAAUCAAAUUUGCUAAAAAUAUAUCUAUACUGAAUUCUAUUUAUUAGUUCAUUUUUAUCUGGUAUGUCAUAACUAUCUUCUUUAGUAUUAUCAUUUAAUCUUUUAUAAUUUAUUACCAUUCUACUUUUUCCUCUGACUAUUUCACUAUGUUUUCUAACUAUGAAUGCUGCACUUCUAUGUGGACUGGUACUUCUUCUGAUUAUUUUUAAUUUAUUUAAAUCUCCUAUAUGCAUUUCAAAUUCUUUUAUGUCUUCAUUACUGGCUUCUAUUUUUGCUGUACUAAUUUUUAAAUUUGGGUUUAAAAUUUCUAAUUUACAUUCUGUUUUAUCUUUUUCCCAAUGAAUGGUUGGAUUUUCUCCAAAAAUUUCUAAUUUUUCUAACUUACUUAUUAAUCGGUUUAUAUCUGUGUGUCCUGUUUCUAACAUAUUAUAGAUUUUCUCAUUUUGUAAAAGGUCUAAACUUAUUUCUAUUUCAUUAAAAUCUUCUCCUAUGCUUUCUAUAGUUUCUAUGUUAUUAAAUUCUUCUAUUUCUUCUAUAGUUUCUAUGUGAUUACAUUUGCAAUCUUUUGCUCCUUUACAUUUACAAUUAUGAAUUUCUGUAUUUUUAUUGUCUUUCCGUAUUCCUGGUGUUAUGAAUGCAUUAUAAGGUAAAGUAUGGUCUCUUAAGAAUGUUAACCCUGUCCUUGUAAUAAUCAUGCCAUGAUAUGAUUGUAGUAUAAAAGCUAAUCCUAAAAUCAUUUGAUAAGGAAAAUUUCUAACAUAUAUUUCUUUUACUGGAUAAGGUGGUGUGCAGUGAUUAUUGUCUAUUUCAAAAAAUAAGAGACUAUUAUGAAUUGCAGUGUUGUAGGUGUAAGUACUACCAUCCAUUUGCCUUGCAGUUCUAAUAUUAUAUGCUUUUUCAUAAUAUUUUUCUGGUAUUAAUUCUUGUUGGAUAACUAUAUUACUUGCUCCUGUACUACUAUUGCUAAAACUUCUGUAUCAAAGUCUCCUAUUAUUAUUCUAGUUUUUAUUUCAAUGGAAGUUAUCAUUGGUAUCCCUGCUUGUAAUAAUUCAGAAUCAUAAUUAUGUCUUAUUAAUUCUGGAAAAAUUUCUAUAUCAGCAUUCUCUAUAUAUACUUCCCUUUCUAUCGAUUUCCCUUUAUCAAAUUUUUCUAUUUUUUGCUCUAAUUGUUCUAUUUUAUUUUCUAAAAUUCUUAUUCUUCUUUCUAGGUAAUAUUCUAAGGGCACAUUGUUUUCUGUUUUAUCCUUUUUAACUGGUUCUAAUAAAACGUAUAUUUGUGCUAAUUUAUCCAAGCAAAAUUUACAUCCUUCUGUAUAACAUAAUUGACAUUGGAAUCUUAAUUCUAUUGCUGGGUAUCUAUUACAAUUAUAACAAGCUUUACUAUAAUUACCUUUUCUGUGUUCCCAUUUAUGAGUACAUUCUACUUCUACUAGAUCUAAGUCAUCUAAUUUUUUAAAAUCUUCUUUUAGUUCUUCUAGGUAUAUGUUAUCCAUAAUAGUUCUAUUUUCUGAUUUUUCUAGGAUUUCAUUUAUGAAUUCUGUAUUUUCUUGUUCUAUAAAAUCUGUUAAAUCCAUCUCUUCUGAUAUUAUACUAUAAAUGCUUUCUGUUUCUAAUAUAUUGUCAUCUAUUUCGAUUAAAUCUUCUGAAAAUAAUUCUACUAAAUGAGCUUCUUUGUUAAAAGAAUUAUGUUUAUUUGGGCAAUUGGUUGCUAAAUGGUUAGGUUGUUUACAAAUAAAACAAGAUAAUCUAUUCCCAUAGGUACGUUCUGGCCUAUAUCUUCUAACAUGAUGUUCCUUUUUAAGAAAUGGUUUUCUAGCUUUGCUCUUCCGAAGAUAGUAUUGUUUUCUGGGGUACUUUUUAUAAUUUUUAUAAGGUUUUCUAUACUUUCUUUUUUCCUUUUCUCUUUCUCCAUAUUUUUGUGGUGUAUAUAUUUCUGAGCAAAAACUAUAUUCCCCUUUUAAUUGUCUUUGUAUUUUAAUAAACGUACAUUCCUCUACUAAUCUAUUAAUUAUGAAUCUUACAGCUGUACUUACAUUUUUUAGUAUUGGUUCCAUAGGUGUUUCUUUAUAUAAAGUAUAUAUUUUCUUUCCUAGAUCGUCUGGUAAUUUAGCAAAUAAUUUUUCUAUAAUUCCUUCAUCAUAAAAACAUCCCGCAUAAGAAAUCUUGUAAAAAUGGUUUAAUAUAUUUCCAAUUUCUAAUAGAUAGUUGUUCUAUUUUUCUUAUAGAUUCUAUUUGUGUUAGAACUCCUCCUCUAUUUGGACUUGUUGCUAAAAGAAUUUCUUCUACUCUAUUAACAAAAUUCAUGGGAUUUACUCCAUGCGCCUGGUCUUGUUGUAAUCUAUCUGAAAAUUUUUGUUUAAAUGCUUCCCAAGCUGCUCUUGCUACUCCUCCUAGAAAUGUUUCUAAAUACGUAUACAUUUCUGUUACAUUAUGAUCAAACCAUUUUUGUAUAUAAUUCCUAACUACUCUUGCUUUCCAGCUACCUAUUACAUCUUCUAUCAUUUGGGGGUCAUAGGAUGUUAACAUUAAAGUCUUUCCUUCAUCUACUGAAUUUUCUUUUAUUUCUAAUUCUAAAGGUCUUCUUUUUCCUCUAGGAUUAUAUUUUUCUUCUGAUUCUCUAUAUUCAUUAUAUAUUAUUCUAGGUGGUUGCCCUGGUUCAUAUGUUCUAACAUUCCCUGCUUGGCUAGUGUCAGUUUGCAUGUUUGUUGGUUGAUUACUUCCACUGCUUUGUUCCAUUAAUUCUCUAUAUGAUGUUAUACUAACGGUUUCAAUAUCAUUUUCUUCUUUUUUAACUCUAAUAUUUCCUAUGUAGUCAUAAUAUAGAAUUUCAUCUAAAGUUAUUUGUCCGUUUAAUUCUAAUUUUCUUUCUAAAUCAAAUAAUUCUUUUUCUGUUAAAAUCAUAUUUAAUUCUGCUGGAUAAAUAAUUUUAUGUUCUAGUUCUACAAGUUCUUCUUCUAUCAAAUUUAUUUCUACUAGAUCUAACUCUGUAUCUGAUCUUUCUGCUUCUUCAUUUUCUGUUCCUAAAGAUGUUGAUUCAUAAUUAUAGAACCUAAUACUUGUUUUUCCCUUACUAUUUUUAUAUAUUAUACUAUCUUUUGGUAUGAUUGGAUUAUUUUCUUCUAUAAAUUUACUAAUUUCCCAUUCUUCUCCUGCCAAAUUUUCUGAACUUACUUCUAUUGGUUUUAUUAAUUUUAUUCCCUUACUAGCCAUAGCCUCUACUAUUGGUUUAAUAUCUACCUUGUAUCUGGUUUUACUGCUAUUUGUUAAUCUCCCUAUAAAUCCUAUGCUUAUUGUUAAAUUAUCUCCUUGAAAAUUUUCAUAUCCUUUAUUUUGUAUGCCUAUUUCUAAAUUUUUAAUAUCUUCUAAGGUUACCAUAAAAUCUGGACUACAAUAAAAUAUUCCUCCAUUUUGGUUCAUAUCUACUUCUAUACUGGCUAUUAAUGCAUCUUCUACUGUUUUAUGUCUUUUAUCUAAUAUUGCUAAUAGUACCUUUUUUUCCUAAUCCUUUUCUUGUUAAACCCUUUAUUCCUAUAACUAUUAACCCUAUAUGCAUAUAUGUAUAUUGUCUUCUGAUUUGAUUUAUACUUUGUUGUGUUAUUAUUCUUAGAUUUACUGGAUUUGUUAAUGCAAUUACUGGCUCUUCUCUAGUUUGUCUAAAUAAUCCUGUAUUACUUCUAAGAAAUCCUACUGAAUAUAAAGUUCUCGGAUUUAAUAAAUUUAUUUCAUUAUUUCUAUAUAUUUCUAAAUCUCUUUCUAUAUCUAUUGUCUCUUCUAAAUGCAUGCUCCUAUUUCUUCUUAACUGUCUUCCUAUGUUUAAUACACUAGUUCCUAUUUGUGUAUUUUCAUUAACUGUUCUACUGGGUCCUGUAAAUGAGCUUCUACUCGUCAUUUUAAAAUUUUUGUGGUUUGGGGUUUACUGAGAAUAUGUUACUGAGAUGUGGCUUAUUUUCUUUCCUUGUUACUGGUAGUCUUUUAAACUGAUCCGUAAUCUCUUCCAGGUCCUUUUCAAAUUUAUCUAUCUGCAAAACCCUAACUUUUUCUGUUACUGCAUCUAUUUUCUUAUGUAAUGAUACUAACAAGGCUAUUAUUACGUUAUUUUGUUUAGGAUAUGUUUUAUCUGAUAUACUAGUUCCUAAGUAAUCUGUUAACCCUAAUGUUUCCUGGUGAUAAUAUUUUAAUUCUUCUAAUAUUUUUAUAUAUUCAGGAUAAAAAGCAUACUGAGAAGGAGGUGGUUUAUUAGUACUGCUCAUAUAUUAACUCAAAAUUAUUUUUUCUAUUUUAUAUAAUAAUAUUUCUACCUGAUUAUAAGAUUGUUUUAAUUCUUUUAAUUUUUGACUAAUUUCUUCUAAUAUUUCGUUAUUAAUUUUAUAUUCUUUGAGUUGUUCUAGACUUCUUAUUUUUGCAAUUAUCUUAUUAUUUUGAUCUUUUAUGUAGUCUUGAUUUUCUACUAAAUUUUUUAUUGUUUUAUUUUUAUUUUUUAAUGAUUCUACUAAGUUUUCUAUUAUCCUAGAAUUAUUUUUUGACGUGCGCGGGGUAUGCAUAUACAAUUAGCUCAUCCACAAUCAAGUUUUACAUUUAUAACAUCCUAAAUACCCCACACGCAAUUUUUCUGCAAUUAUACAUUUCGUGAGCGAAUAUAGGGUAUUAAGGGUCGAUCCCACAGAGAAGAUUUUUAAUUACCGGUGUUUUUCAAACUCCUUAAUUAUUUAGACUACCAUAAACAUAAAAGUAAUGAAAAUAACACUAGAAAACUCCUAGAGAUAUGGAAUUCCUUACUACUUUAGCAAAUGAGAUUACCGGUUAAGUGAAUGCUAUUAUUUUGGCUAGUUAUGGCGUAAUUUCCUAAUGUAUGCGAAACCUACUCUCGUAGUGAAUUAACUAUACUUGUAGCUAAACUAUACCUACUCUUGUGGUUAUGAAAUUAACUACAAGCUCAUUUCUUUUAUGAAAUUACAUGAAACAAGUCACUAAAACACAUAGGUGCACCUCUACUUCCGUGAGUAAACUCCCUAGAUUUAUCAUUUCCUUGAACUAAUGUUAAAUUUCAAUUCUCAUUGCAAACUUAACACCUUUAGAUAAUCACAAUUAAUGGCUGGUUAAUCAUGAUUAGAAAAACAAAAGUGAUAUAUAACUUGCUCAAAAUAAUAUCAUCACAUAACCAAGUAAACAUCACAAACAAGAUAUAGAAAGUUCAUCCAUACUCUAGGCAUCAACAUUAGCAAAACAUGAAAAUAAGAUCCAAACUUGUAUUAUAGUUAAACAUGAACUUAAAUACAAAAGAGAAAAUGAUAGGAGAGAUGUCACCCUUGUCACGUGAGUUUCAAACUCUCUAUCUUUGCUCAAUCUUCAUCCAAAUCUAACUACAAAUACAAGAAAGAAAAACUACACUAACUACUCUAUACUACCCUAACUAAUGAACUAAGGAAAUUCUAGUGAAAGCUACAUUUUUUUGUGAGUUUCUCUAGCCUUCCAAAGUUCUUCUUAAAAUGGUUCCCAUAAAGGAUUCAAGAGCCAAAAUGAGUUGUUUUCUUGUUGGCAUUUUUGACUCUUGAAACUCUCAAAGAUUGCUUCUCAAAGUUUCCAUAUUCAUGUAAUCAUUUCCAGUUGGAAUCUUUGCAGAAAAAGUGGUCAAACAUGUUGUGUGAAAAGAGCACAAGUUGCAAAGCAAGUAGCAGCCGAAAUCCACUAAAACACGGGUAGAAAACGCGGCCUGUGCCUGCGUUUUAACCCCCUCCCGUUUUACUCUUUGCAGGUUUGCACUUUUCUGGGCAGAAUUCAUCCUUGCUCUAUUUUUUGUCCAAUUUCAACUGAUAUUUUCUAGAUGUUAAAGGCUGAAAUUGCUUUUGCGUAAAACAUGAAAGUUGUAGCUCUUUGAAUUAGUUUUCCAAUGCAUAAAAAAUCAUCCAAUUUGGAGUUUUGUGGACUAAGAAAUGACCACUCGACUGGUCAGAACCUCGUUUCAGCUUUCGACCACGAACAAGCAUUGCUAUAUUUUAAUUUUUUGAUAAUGAAAAUGACUGAACUGGAUUUCAAUAUCUUCAAACCAAAUGUAUAUCUAUCUAUUAGUUUCAAAAUGGCUUAAGAAUCAUCUCGAUCCAAUACUUGUAACUCAAGAUAUAGCUGAAAUACCAUAAGGUGUCAAAACUGUUUUCACUUGCAUUUCUUCCUUUGAAUGUUUUGCACUUCAUGUCUUUUUUAAACCACUUCAAAUCAUCAAUAAUCAUUAAAUUCUCUUCUCAAUUCACUCCCUUUGAGGAUUGAAUCCUUAAACCUACAAAACAUGAAGUUUUCACCAUGAAAAUCCAUAGAAAUGCAGUUUUUAUCACUUAAAUCACAAAAUACAUAUUUUCACUAAAAUUCAAGUUAAUUAGCUAUAAAAGUAGUUAAAACAUACCAAAACUAACUAAUAAAACACACUUAAAACACGUAAAAUAUACUUUUAUCAAUUUUGACACCUGAUUUAAUAUGCCAACGUGAGCCUAACUAAUGGCUGUAUUUGGUCUUUACGAUUUAGUUACAAUAAAAUAUUCACACUUUACUUAUUAAGCUUCUUAAAUAUGUCCAAUUUCCUUUUUGAAGAGUUAAUAGGCCCAAAACUAACUUCCGCCCAAGUUAUAUUGUUCACCUUUUACCCAGUUAAAAUGAUCAGAAUUGGCCACUUAUUUUAGUUAGGCAGCCCAUAAGAAGAACCCAACUAAUUCAGACUCGUUUGAUUUUGAAUAGUCAAACCCAUUGACUCAGAUAACCGACCCGUUUUCAAAAUGGAUAUCAUCAUCCAAAUCAGAAAAGCCUAUGAUACAAAACCCUAUUGUACAAACCCUGAUCACCAUCACCAUCAUCAUCGUCAUCAUUUCCUUCAUUACUGAUGGUUCUGCCUAGGGCUGCAAACGAACGAGCUACUCGCGAGCGAUUUGAGUCAAAAUCGAUCUCAAAAUAUUAAGCUCGUUAUGCUCGCGAUCUCGAGUAUAUAUAUAUAUAUAUAUAUAUAUUAUUUUAGGUAUAUAUAUUUUUUAUUUUAAGUAUAUAUAUAUUUAUUUUAAUAGUAAAAUUACAUAUAUAUCCUUAAUAUUUUAUUAUUUAUUAAGAACAAAAUAUUAUUUUAUUUAUUUUUUUAAAAAUAAAAUAAUUAUUUUUUAUUUUUUUCGAGCUCGAGCUCGAGCUCGAGUUUUAAAUUGUUAGCUUGUCGAGAUCGAGCUCGAGUUCGAGUUCAAUAAAAUUAAGUCAAGACUCGGUUCGAUAAGAUCAAAACUCAACUCGACUCGACUCGUCUCGUUUGCAGCCCUAAUUCUGCCUAAAGCAACAACAGCAGCUGCUAAUGCUGUAGCUAUAAAAUGAAGCAGCAUCGUUGCUGGCUACUGGCUGCCGUGGCCCUUGGCAGCCAUAUUUUGCCGGCCGUCGCCAAACACUGGUGACUUUGAAAACUUUUUUUUUUUUUUUUUUUGAAUGUAAGUAAGAGGGUUUGACCUUAGGACUUUUCAAUUACACUCCCACCCCUGAACCACCAAACCCAUCCUCCCUCUCCCCACUAAAUUAGAGAACAUACUUGCUUUUAGGUUUGUGAAAAUAUUUGUCCUAAGUGAGACUCUAGUUGAUCGCCAGAAUCUUUCCUCUCCAUUGAUAUUUUUAGUUUCUGAUAGACAGACUAGUAACCAGAAUGAAAAAUAUCGUAAGUUUUAUUUAAGGUUUGAUAAUAUAUCUCUUUUAAGAAGUUCAUUUUUAGUAACCAUCCUACCCACACUCUCACACUAACUCACAUUCUGUACUUAUUUUAGCUAAAACUUAGUUAAGGGAUAAUGGAUAGAACCAACUUAUCCUCUCCUCUCCUGAAAUUUAUACUGUAACUAAAAUUUAUCCUAUUUUACUAUUAAGUAAAUCUUAUAUAUACUAACAAUGUAUAUAUUAUCAUGGUUGGACGCAUGAAAAUAUAAGCACAUUUUGGAUUUUAAAUUUAAAUUCAUAUGAAUUGUCAUGUAUUCAAUAGUGAUGGUGUAUACAAUAUCAGUAUAUAAAACAUUAAUCCUUUACUUUUACCCUUAGUGAAUUAAAUUAAUAACAUACUAAAUAAAAAUAAAAUUUUAUGGUAUUGCAAUAUUCACAUCAAUAAUACCACCUCAAAAUAACCUUUUUUUUUGACAAAUUUGAAUGAUGUGCUUACUAAUUUUGGAAAAAUUCAAUUUAAGAAAAGCUCUAGUUUCAAUAUUUCUUUAAAUUUUCUUAUACACAUUGGGAAUUAUUUGUAAAGAAAGAAUUCUAAGUUUCUUUAUUCACGUCUACUCACUCUAUCUUCUCUACCGCUCCAUCUUCGUCCAUGAAUUCAAGUGGACUCCAUUGAUAACAGGGGCGGAUUUAAAGUGGGGGCACUGGGGGCCCUUAAAUUCCUAUAAUACAUUUACAAUUUUGACAUAAUUUUAAAGGUGCCCCCAUAAUUUUUUUUAGAAAAAAUAUGAAAGAAUGGGUCAUAAAAUUUAUAUCAUUCACUUUCCUCCUCUAGUUCCCAUUUUCCCACCAAGAGGGCCAAGUACCAAUUAUAUCAGUCAUUCCUUUUGGUCUCCACUCCCCAAGUUCCCUUUAUUCCUGUGGUCCUCCAUUUCCCUUCACAACCAGCUCCUCUUCUUCCACACCCAAGCCAACUACUUUUUCUUUUUAUCACUUCAUCCAAUUAUCAUUUACUUCCUUUGUCCCUACUCCCCAAUUUCCUUUCCUCAUCUGGCUCUCGAUUGUCCCCACUCCCCAACAUACAUAGGAGAGCCAUUUUUUUUCCACAACCAAAGCUUGUUACUCUUUUUUUUGAUCACUUCAUCCUAUUUAGAAAUUGUACCAGAAUCAAUUGAUCUUCUAGGACUUGGGUCCGUCACAUUUUGCAGCUCUUUUCACCAACUUUAGGAGACCAUCAAAAUCAGGUUAUAAACAAUUACUUCUUAUUAUUAUUAUUUUAAAUUUGUUUGCAAAUAUAUUUCUAGAGCAUGAGACUAUUACUGUUUUAAAGAAAUUUGAAAAUUGAUUAGUUAAUGUAAUAACUACUAAAUGGAUUAUUUGAUAAAUAUUUUAACUUGUGAAAUGGUGAUUUUAUGCAUGAGACUUUUUUUUUUGCUUAAAAAAUUAGAAAAAGAGUAGAUAAAAAAUUUUAGUAUUAUUUUUGCCCCCACUAAGAUUUUUUUCUGGCUCCGCCCCUGAUGAUAAUAUCCAUUACAAAUUUUGCAAGGUCUAGCACGACUUUUGCAAGGUAGAUGAAAUCUAUGACGAAAUCUAUGAUGAAAGGCUGCAAGACUUCCACUGGUAAGACAAUAGCUAUACCAGUGGACAAUAUUUCUGAUAAGCAAUAUUGAUCGGAAUUAUUCCUUGAAAUAUUUGACACCACCUUUAAGAAGACUAUUAUUCAAAAGGAAAUGUGUUUUUUCUGGUGAAAUGUGCAUGGUGGAGAUACCCAAUUUGUUAAACAAACAAGUAAUACGUACUUCUGAUCAUUAAAGCCAAAAAAAAUAAAAAUAAAAAUCCGUAAAUAGUUUUUGAUUUGCUAAUUAUAGCAGACAGACUAAUGCAUUAAAUAAAGCAUAUUGAUAAUGGUUAAAAUAAUUCUGAUCAUCCGAUUUUUGGUGAUAUUUGUAUGGAACAUGAAAAGAGAAAACUUAUAACUUUAUUGUACGUUUUUCUCUUUUCUCUAAUGACUUCAGCUCUUUCUGUUUUUUUAUUUAAUUUUUUUCACCUAUCAAAAAUUUCCGAACCAGGCUAUUGCAUCAUUCUGCAUAUUGUAAGAGAAACAAAAGAUGUGUUGCAUCUAGUGUGCUACGAGCCCAGAAACACUCCAACUUCAAAGGCUGGUGAACUCAAAUUUGAAACAUGCCAUCAAUAUGUUGCUCUUUAAUUCAAGUCGCAUACUAUUUCAUGUCUGUGCCUAUUUUGUUAAAGAACAUAAACAUGUCCUACUCUAGCAACCAACAGUAUAUGUUAACAUAAUCUUUUUAUGUUGCUGCCCAAUCACAUCAAUGAAUUACUGGGCUGCUUCAACUCCACUAUUUUGGUAAUUCUAGUUGUCAAUUUGAAGAUUUCUCAAUUGUUUCUUAAAAUCCAGUGUAUAACACAACCACAAUAUUGUAACAAUGGAGGGGUGGUAAAAAACUUACAUGUAGAUCUAACUUCUAAAGUUGAUGAUAAUUUUUCGUGUUCCAAGUGCAAUCAACAUAGGAAAUACAGCAACAUGAUUAAGUAAAUAAGAUCAUAGCAUAUGUCCAAAUGGUACAUUAUUUUUUAAGCCUUAGGGAUCAACCUCAUUUGCAACCUACAUCCCAUGCCUAAAGGUUAUGAAUUAUGAUCCCAAAUGAAUGGUUGUCCAUUUUGAUGGAACCACCGAAUCUUAUCGCAUCACUAAUUAUGUCAGGUGCUUUAUAGUAAAGGUCAAGCAGGAGGAAUUUUUUUUUUUCUUUCUGGGAGAAAAAUGGGGACAAGCACGAUGUGAUGUACUGUGAUUGUGAAUGAACGCUUUUGGAAGAAAUGAACUGAUGAAGUCAUUGUCAAACACUCUAUCCUGCACAUCAAAGAGAGACAGACAGACGACUAUGGCGACCAAACUGAUGGCGACACAAUAAAGUAGCUCUGGGUGUUGCUAAGAAACGACAGAAAUCUUUUAGGAUGGCCUUAGCAAGAUGCAGUCUAGAAAUUAGUAUAAAAACACAUAUUUUAGAAAUCCGUUUGUUUGGAUUGUAAAUUAUUUGAAAUAUUUUUACUGUAACACUUUUAAUGAUGUGAUGUAUGUGAAAUAAAAAAAUAAUUAAAAAAAUAAAAAAUUAUAUUAGAAAUUGUAAUGAUGAUAUAAAUAAAUAUAUUUAGGAAAAUAACUCACUGUCCAAACAAACGAACGCUUCGGCUUGUAGGUGUACCAAAGGCUUGUAACCAACUGAAUCACGAGUAUAACCCACUGAAUCACGAGUAUAACCAAAGGCUUGUAGGUGUACCACCAGCAGCCUGUGCCUAGUAUAUUGGUUGCUAGCUAUAAUUCUGAUUCUGAAUCACCAUCGCUUUUGGUUUGCUCGAGCGAAUUUGUCUUUUUCCAUGUUCAUCCGUCAUGUUUUCUAGUUACUAUUCUUUUUUUUUUUUCCAGAUACCAUAAAUUCUAAUUUACACUUACUCCUACUCUGUAACAAGGGGAGGGCGUGACUCAAAGGAGUCAGGGAGGAACUCGAAGAUAUUAAAUCAACACCGAUCCAAACGAGUGCCUAUGCACUCACUGGCUAAAUUUUUCAAGAAAUUCUAAAUUUUUAAAAUGUAGGUCAAGAGAUUCGAUUCCUUGAUUUCCAUUCAAACAGAGUUUUAAAAUUCUCUUAGUGACUUUUUUUUUUCUCUAGAGACGACAACUAUUGUAUAAUCAAUCUAUCCUAUACUACAGGGGAGAGGGAGUCUAAAGAGACUUUGUGUUAGGGACUAAUAGGUACACAGAUCUUAUUAGACCAACAAAGUGUUUUAGCACAACUCUUGGAUAUUUUUUGCUGCAGGUAAAAUUUGAACCCGCCUACGACCCAAGCAAAGUUUUAAUGCCCAUCUUGGUGGCCACUCUAUUGUUUUUCUAGUUACUAUUCGUUUUGGAAGGAUAUUGUUGUCAGACUGCAUUCAGUGGUCUGAAUGGCACAGCUUUGCAUGUGGGAAUUUAAGAAUUAAUUAAACAGUAUUAGUGCAUUCACCAAUUCAAAUGUAGGGGCGUAAAAAAUUGCACUUUGCGAGCUCAAACUCCUGACAAGUAACUUUGAUCGAACUGGAGCUCCAACUAAGUUGAGAAUCAAAAUUAGAACUCAAGUUCGACUCAUCUUAUGAAGGCUAGGAACAUCAAGCUCAGCUUGAGUUUGUUAGAGAGCCAGGCAACUGAUCGAGGUUGAGUCUUCAUUGGAGAUGAGCUCAAGCUGAAACUUGAGUAAAAGAUGUAAUUUGUUUAAAGUGAAUAGUCAUUAAUCUUUAUAGAUUAUUAAACCAAGCAAAUUACAUUAGGGGUGAGUGUGUUUUGUUGAUUAAGUGGCCUUUUAGAGCAUAAUUAGAAGUUGAAGCGGCAGCAGAAUAUUUAUUUAUGUGGCCUUUGUUAAAGUUUGGCAAAUUCCAUUUAUUCAUGGUGUUGGGAGAGAGUUGAGUUAUAAGGAUAGAGGGAAACUCUCUAAAAUUGAUAAUUGUGAGUUUCAUUAUCCAAACUUGAGUGUUUGUCGUGUGUUUAUCCUCAUCUCUUGCUACAUAUUUUUUUUAUAUGUAUUGAAAUAACUUCAUUUUUAUACGUACUAAAAUAAUUUCUGUUAUGCAUAUUUUUUGUAUUAAAAAUUUUACCUAAAUAUAUGAAAAAUUGAUAUAUAUAUAUAUAUGAUAAUUUUUGUAUAUACUAUCAGUGAAAACGUAGUUUACAUUAACAGUUAACAAUAUUGUGACACCUCAUUGAAUCACUUACUUUACGGAUUACCGACCUUCUCUCAAUUAUUUCGUGCUCAUAAAUAUCGAUCCCACAUACAACUCUUCCAGUUAGCAGCAAUCUUCUAAGACUUUCAUAUGUGCUUGUCACUACUUGAUGAGCAUUUGACUAGAGUACUAGCAUGUUUAAAUUUGAUUCAUUAUCUAAUUUAUUUUAACGAACACACUCAAAUUUAACUCGAGCUCGCUUUUAACCUGGUUCAAUUGAGUAUUUGAUUGAUCUGCAAGCAAGUAACUUGGUUCAUUUACAGCUUUAUUCCCGUUUGCAAAACGUACCUGACCAUAAUUUCCAUAUAGAUGUAGGAAAAUGGUGCUAAGGCAUAGGUGCUUAAAUAGCUUAAGCGCAUUAACAGCAGGAUUAGCUCCUAUCCAUUAGAAUGGAGUGAAUUCCUUUCAAUUAUGCCAUAAGUUUCAAAAUUCUAAGUUAAACCCUGUUUGGCACUUGAGUUUUUUGCCAAGUUUGUCUGUUGCAAGUUCUUUAAAAACUUUAACUACAGUAAUAUCAAAAAAUUUUUCUAAAAUUUUAAACUAUGCACUUCAAAAUAUUCAAAAAUUUACAUACUUCAAAAAUUUUUUUAAAAACUUCUAUAGUAAGUUACAGUAAAGUUUUAGACAAAUAUCCAAAAAAACUCACUUACCAAACGGGGCCCAAAUUCAUUCAUAAAAUACUUCAUGUGAUGUUUUGGUUACAUAGAGCAUUGAAAUUAUAUGGACCAAGUUUUGCUGGUUGAUUAAUGGUAAAAAUGAAAACUUGGUUAACAUAUGGGCUAGAGUGGCUAUUUGUGGGACUUUUUUAUAUUAAGGAGCCUCUAUCUCCAUGAAUCUAAGCCACUUCAAUUGGCCACGUCACCGCUAAAAAAAUCUUUGAAGCAUAUUCAAAAUUCUUUUUUGUUUUGUGUAUUAAGUCGGAAGAAAUUUCUUUAUUGGAAGGGCGAAAAGUAAUUGAUUAUUAUUCUUGGUGAUCAUCAUUCCUCGUUCAGCUAAAAAAACGUUGUACUUAACAAAAAGUACAUUUGAUGAGCAUAAACAUCAUCAGUUGUCAAGGAAAAAAGUCUUGAUCUUCCGUUUUGUUGUAUCAUAUAUGUAUUUGAAGAAACACGGCAUCGUUUCGUGUUGGUAGAUAGUAAAAUGGAAUAAUUGUACGCGAAAAUCGUUCAAAAUGUCCUUCACAUUUUACAAGAUAACUUUUUUCGUCCCUCACUUUUAAAAGUAUAAUUUUAAGUCCCUUACAAAUUCACAGUGACCAAAUUUGGUCCCUACCUAAGUUUCCGACUAGUUUUUGGCCGGAAUCCAUAAUGUGACUUGCAUGUGAUCAUUUUUUAAGGGGCAAAAUUGUCAAAUCAAAUUUUUACAUAAUCUGAUUCAUAGUCCCUCACAUUUCACAAAAUGAAUUUUUUCGUCCCUAACAUUUUACAAAAUGAAUUGUUCGGUUUCUCACAUUUCAAAAAAUGAAUUUGUCCAUCCUUCACAUUUUUCAAAAUGAAUUUUUCAUCUCUCAUUGAUUAUGUGUAUGAAUAGCUUUUCUUCUAUAAGCCCACGUAUAUGUGUGUUUGAUUUUACCUGAAUAGUACGAAUAACAUGUAAUUUAUCUCUAUUGGAUUUCAUCUAAAUAUGCUAAUCGUAGUUAUACACAUGCUAUUCAAUAGAUAUAUAUAGGGGUUUUAAGCUAAUAAUUUUGUUUGAAACCCAUGUAUAUAUUUAUAUGAUUUCACCAUUUGAACCUAUCCAAUAUUUGUGACUUUUCUCUUUUGGUAAUAAUUUAUUUAUUGAGUUGUAUAAUAAGUUCAUCUAAUUAAUGGGUCCUAACUUGAAUUCUAUAAUUUUGCUAACAAAUUUCAGUUUAAAUCUGAAUUUCUACUCGACACUUUUAGACCAACUGUUGAAUUACUUGCCUUGUGAUUGUCUUAAAAUUUGAAAGUGCCAAUCACUUAUUUCUUUUUGUCAUAUUUUUCUUUUGUUUAUUUUUUCUGUCCAAAUUUAAUUUGAUAUAAACACUCGAUAAUAUUUAGGAUUAAAGUCUUUUUUAUUUUCAAAUUUUGAAUAAAAGAAAAUAAAUAUAAGUGAAAAACUAACAAUUUUUUUAAACUCAUGUAUAUAUCUAUUUGAUUUCACUUGAACAGUAUGAAUAGUAUGUAAUAUAUCUCUAUUUGAUUUCACAUGUUAUUCGUACUAUUCAAGUGAAAUCAAAUAGAUAUAUACAUGGAUUUAAAAAAAAUUAUUCACACAUAUGAUCAAUAAAAGAUGAAAAAAAUCAUUUUAAAAAAUGUGAAGGAUGAAAAAAUUCAUUUUGUGAAAUGUAAGGGACGAAAAAAUUUAUUUUAUGAAAUGUGAGGGAUUAUGAAUCGAAUUAUAUCAAAUUUGAUUUGACAAUUUUGCCCUUAAAAUAUGAUCAUAUGCAAGGCACUUGGUGCAUUCCGACCAAAAACUAGUAGAAAACCUAAGUAGGGACCAAAUUUGACCAAUGCAAAUUUGUAAGGGACGCAAAAUUAUAUUUUUAAAAGUGAGAGACGAAAAAAGUUAUUUUGCAAAAUGUGAGGGACGUUUUAAACGAUUUUUCCUAAUUGUACAAACCUCUCUCUUGAGGUUUAUGAUAAUUGCAGGCAACAUAUUUUGAGUUUGAAAAAUUAUAGAAACCUCCCUUGAAAAUUUGUUCGGGCUCACUUUGCUGGUAUAAGUGAAAUGUACCUAUUGAUAAUGUUCCUAAAUUGCCUUUAAGUGAUUUUCCUCAUAGGCAUAAAAUUCCAUAGUAAUUUUAAACAAAAAAAUAUACCUUACAUAUCGUAAGAAAGUUAUCUACCGAAUUCAUUCCUCUUGAAUCAGAAUAGAAAAAACACUCACACCUACUGAUCUUAAAAUUUUUUUUAAAAAAAAUUCUUGGAUACUAGUCGAAUAAAAACCUACGUUCAGAGGAAUCUAGAAUUUUUUUCCCUUCCCAAAUUAUGACUAAAUUAAAUAAGAUUGGACUAAUGUGAUUUGAGUGGUAAGGACUAGAUAGAAUCUAUUGCUCUUGCUCUUCUACUCUCUCUCUCUCUCUCUCUAACGGUUUGGUAAAUUAUAUCCCUCCAUGAAGACAUUAAAUCUAGUAAUUUAUCAAGGUUAUUAUUCUUAAUUUACACUAUGAGGGGAGGACGGUGUAAUUCUUGGAAGGUACUUUCUGUAAUUGUUAUAAACCUCAAAGGAGAUUUGUGAAAUUAUCCCUACUAAAAUUCCAAUACGAUGCUUAUUAAAAAGAAUAAAAAUUCAAACUGGGAUAUACUCAAAAGUAUCAAUAUAUUUUAACAUAUUAUUUUCAUUUUAUUCUUUUUUACCCGCUUUUGUUACACAUGUUUUUAUAUGAUUGCUUUAGUUAGUAACCUUAUGGUUCCUCCAUCGAAAGAAAAUAGAUUGAAUGGUAACUUGUUGUACCAUCAGUUAAUUAACCAUGAUUUUGAAGAUCUUACUUUAAGAAUUACACUGAGAAAAAGUUAAAUGUGACUCCUUUUAUCCUUAAUAAAAAGGUGCAAAAAAUCAGAGUAAUUCACCUUACAGUGUUCCAUAGGCAACAAUGACCAACUUAUUUCUCUUGUGUAUCUCACAUUAUUACAAGUACCAUGAUAAGUGAAACAAUGGAAUUAGAUUUUAUAAACGUACCUAAACCUAUUUUUUUUUUUUUUUAGAUUUUUUUUACACACUUAUGUAUUCGCAGCGCCGCAUACAAGUAUUUUUUUUUCCGAUUUUGUCUGGCGUCUGUUAUUAUUUGCUUAUCAGACCUUGCACUUUUCUAAUCAUACAGAGGCUUAAUUGGAAGGCUAUUUAUAAACUCGAAAUUGUCUUAUUCUCUGGACAAUUAACAUUGUUCUUACUAGCAGGUGUCGACAAUGUCUACUACAGAAAAGACAUGAUCCCAUGUGAGUCUGUUGAUUGCAUUGCCCCAUCGAUCCAAUCUUAUUUAGUUAGUCCUAAUUUGCCAUAAGCUUGACAAAAAAUGUUGUUACUUUAAUCAAAUAAAAGAAAUUUUUUAAAAAAUACACAAUCAAUCUCCCGUACUUUGUUUCUGAAAACUAAUUGAAUAUUAAAAAAAAAAGUUUGCAGACCUAACCUCAUGACAUGACAUAUCUGUUUCUGUAAUUUUUUUCCACCUGACUGGACAAUAAAAACAAUUGCCUAUACUUAUUCAAUUUAAAAUUUGAAUGGUUAUUUUACUUAAAAGGGAUAAUUUCAGAAACCUCUCCUUAGGUUUCUGACAAUUUCAUUGCUUUCCCCUGAGGUUUUAAAAAUAUCAUUAACCUCCCUUAAAACUAACGUUCUUGUAACAAAUUAGCCCAAUUCAAAAAAAUUGACAAUACAAAAAUGAUUUCAAGAGUGAGAAGAAUAUUUCAUACCAAAAGUAUCCCUUAACUUAUUACAAGUUGGUUGACUUAGAAUCAAAAGGGAAUAUUAGUUAAAAAUAGAAAAUAAAGACUAAACUCUAGCAUGAGCAUAAUAGAAUUUAUGGUCUGUUUGGUAGGACGUAAAAUAUUUUCUUUGAGAAAAUAAUUUCAUUGGAAGUCUUUUUCUUGAAAAAGUUUUGUUUUCUUUCUAAUUUUCAUCUAUUUGGUUACUUUGGAAAACAUUAGUCCUCACGAGUAAUUAAUUCAAUUCCUCACCAUAUCAAGAAAUCCUCUCCCAUCGCCGUCUCUGCCAUUCCUCUCUCGUCUCCCCUACAAAAAACUUUCCUUCACCGCGUACACCACCCCUGCCAUCAUUCUUUGACCGAGAAGAGAUUAAAGAAAUAGAUACAUGAGUGAUCAAUAUCAGUUUUCCAACUCAACCAUAAUCCAGUCAUAAGACAUUGAAGAUGACAAUGAAAUAAAACCAACUCUCACAAGAAUAUUUUUGUCGCUAAAAUUCUUUCAAAGAUCUAGAAGAUCUCGGAUUGAAAUUUCCAAAGCAAAAGCUGGACAUUGUUGGUGAUGUAUAGAAUUAGUUCAUCUCUCUCCUCUGUGGCCAAUCUUAAAAGACUUUCUUCCUCCUGUAAAAGUUCCUCUGAGAUCUCUUCUUUCUUUAUGCUGCAAAUCUCCUUGUUUUGUCUCUCUAGAUCCCCCCCUAUUUCUGUAGAUCUUAAUUGUUUUUGUAAAUCCAACACAGAUGCAAUGGGAUGUGCGAUAGGUUGGAUUGCGUUUGUAUGAGAGGAGGGAAUAACAUGGAAUGAACAGAGGGGCGAUGAAAGGAUCGAUGUUUUGCUGAGAGAUAUCGGACAAUUCCACCUGAACUAUUUCCUAUGGCCUUUUACAUCGUACGUUGAUGAAUGUAACUAAGGACAAAAGGGACAGGAUUAGAGGGUGGAAAAUAACUUCAGUAAGUUUAUAAGUAAAGUUAUUUUACACCCACUUAUGGAAAGGAUUUUACAAGAGAAAUCAUUUUCUCAGCGCUAAAUUGAACCAAACAGCGGAGAUCUUGGAAAAUAUUUUCUAGAAAAUCUUUUCAGUAACAAUGACUAUUUUUCAUAGAACUACAUAAAAUAGAAAAAUCAAAGUAUUGGAGAGGAAAAAUUGUUAAUUUGGAAUCAAGAUUUACACAUAAAAUUCCUAAACUCUUAGUAUCAGAAUUUGAAAGAUUUGAAUAGGAAUUGAACAAGACAAAGUAUGGCAUUUUCAAGAAAAAACAUCACAAUAGAUGGCUAAUGAUAAAAAGUGUAAAAUAUGGUAAAAUAUAUUAUGUUUUUUGAAUUAUUUUUUAACUUACAUGGUCCAUUAUUUCACAUGAUUAACAAGAAAUUUCCAUCAUUUGUAAUUAAAAAAAAACAACAACUCUCAAGCAACAUUUGGAUUAAUAAAAAGUGUAUGAUUUUAAUGGAAAGGCAAAUAGAUCAAAGUAGAAAAUUUUUUUUCUAUCCAUCUUCUUUGGAUUAUGUAUACAAAGAAAAGAAAAUAAACGCCAAAUAUUUUGGAAAAGAAAGGAAAGGAUAGAUUAUGUACAGUUACAUUUUAUUGCAUUUUAUCCAUAAUAAAAUCUAAUUGUAAACAUAUUUUAAUACUUUAUCCUCUUUUUUUUAUGUAUUUUUCAUAUUCAUCUUGUUAUUCUUAUGAAAAAUUCAUGAAAUAAUAAUAUUUUAAUAGGAAUUUUAAUCUUCUUUAGGAGAAAGAAAUUACAAGAACUACUAAAAUACAGAAAAAAAUUUUAAAAUGUUAACAAUUAUUGUUAUAAAAUUUAAUAUUCAAGAUUUUUAAAUUUUUUAUAUUCCAAAGUCAUGGUUAAUUUAGUUCAAGUGACUCAAUUGUUUCCGUCCAUAUAAAUACAUAAUAUUUCCUAAGUUGAAUGGAUAGUAAAGUCAUUUGACCAUCCAUGAGGUAAGCAUUGAGCCCCAAAUCGCUUAUAGGGGAGGUAAGUGAUAUUUUCAAAAUUUUGAAGAAGGGCAGUGAAAUUGUUAGAAACCUCAAGGAGGUUUCUGAAAUUGUCCCUACUUAAAAUUGAGAUAAGUUGGUAAUUCUUGAAAUGAGAACAAGAAAAGAACACAAAGAAAAUGCAUACUUGACCCCCUAAAUUAGCUACUUAAAUAAUGGGCUAAAAGGUGCUCGGCCUCGGAAGUUAAUACCUUGGAGUUUUAGAGGACUGACUCUCCAAGACUCCAACCAUUGUUGAAGCCAUUGCUCACAAGUUCUAUUGCUUGGGUUACCUUUAUAAGGGAGAAAGUCAUGACACAUGCCGUCGAUGCUAAUCUUUACAAGUCAUCCUUUUAAAGAUAAAACUGAAAGUAUCAAAAUAAGGCAUAGGUAACAUGUCAACUUGACUAGUUUAAUAAACUUCUUAAUUGGUCCAAGACGAAUCAUAUACCAUAUUCUGUUGCAAUUAGUGCCCACGAAUUCUAUAUAUUUCGGGCCCACCUUAGAUUGCUUGUUUAUCGGGCCGAUUUAUCCGUUAAUUUUCGUACUUAGUCUAAUUAAGUGUGUGUGUGUGUUUAUUUCUGUAUCCGGAAAAAAACAAAUCCAUAUUUGGUGAGGGUGUGCACGAGGGGUUGGGCUUCCAUCCCACAUUAGAAGAUCGUGGAGUCUUCAUCUUGGAUUUAAGGUCCAUGGGGUGUCCGUCCUGUCACCAAUUGACUGGAUUGAAUUGCUCUGUGGGUCUCCCUUAGAUUGCUUGUUUAUUGGGCCGGUUUAUCCGUUAACUCUCGUGCUUAAUCUAAUUAAGUGUGUGUGUGUUUAUUUCUGUAUCCGGAAAAAAAAAGAAUUCUAUAUAUUUCAAUCCUCAUAAAUUAAGUCGUCGUUGUAUUUAGCUAAUCCUAACUCAGUUUUUGACACAUGCUCAUUCAUUCACAUGACUGAGUCAAAGGAAAGUUGCCGGUUCUCCACUUAGCACUACAAGAUUUCAAACGGCACACAGGCCUUGAACGGGGCCGAAAAUAGAAUUGGCUUAAACUGAAAGAUGAUGAUAUAUAUAUCAAAAGUAAAUCAAGUGUAAUCCAAAACAUAACUGACUACAACUUUUUCAGGUACAAACAUGACUUGACAUUUGCAUCCUCUGAACUGAUGCGUACGACUCUUAAGCUUGAAUUUGAAUUCAUGUUUCUGUCUAAUGAUUUAGGGACGACUUCGAAAACCUCCCUAGAGGUGUCUGAUAAUUUCAAUUGGCUCCCCUAAAGUUUCAAGUAUUAUACUUACUUCCCCAAUUUUGAGUUUUAGUAGAGCAAUAUUAGCCCAUGUAUGCCAUCAAAAUUCAUAUAAAAUCCUAAAAUGUAUUCUCAUCCUCAAAUUAUCCUUCCACGGCUUAUAAAAAAAGACAACAAAUUAACUAAACAGAAUUAAAAAUUCAUUCAAGAUGUAAGAUAGUUAUUUGCCAAGAAAGAGUUAUAUAUGGCAUGUCACGAUGAUUAGGUACAUUUUAGGUUUAAAUACAUUUUACCCCCUUACAAUUAGGCGUUAGUAGCAAAUCGCCUCCCAUAUUCAUGAAACUUAUGAAUUGACCCCUGAUGAUAAAAGUCUAAUGUAUCUGGAUAGUAAAAAAGACAAUUUGCCCUCAUUGUUAUAAUAUUGUCCAAUGACUAUUUGUCUUUUUCUCUUUCUUCUUGUUUUUUUGCUUAUUAUUGUUUAAAUUUCUUUGCUACUAUGAAAUACAAAUUUUCAUAAUAAUGUGCUAAAGAAUAUCUUCUAAACAAUUUAAUUAUCAUAAGAAAUUAAAAUGUAUAUAUUUAUUCUAAAUAACACCUAUUUUAUUAACAAAUUCUUGUCAUGUAUUCAUUGUUACUAAAAAUAAUUAGUAUUUUAUUAACUUCUAUUUUCUCUUUUUAUUCAUCUACUUUUAUUCUUUAUAUUCAUCAAUGGUUCAUUUGACACUUAAUCAUAUACAGUUAUUUUUCUAUCAAAUAUUUAACUAUCAUAAAUUAUUACAAGAAACUAAAAAAUGUAUAUUUAGUAAUAGUGCGCUAUGUAAUUUCUAUUUUUUAUUAAUAAUUAGUGCAUCAUCAACAUCUUAUCAAUAAUUAAUACACAAAAAGAAAUAGUUAAAGAAAAUAGAAACUAGUUCAAGUUUUGUAUUAAAUAUGCACUUUCUCAUUUCAUAUGAUAAUUUGUGAUUGUUAAAUAUUUACAUAAAUAAAUAAGGAUAAAUAUAUUUACCUAUGAAAAGAAAUUAUUGACAAGAAAAUAAUAGAAUAUGUUAAACCAUAAAAUAAGGAUUCUUAAAUAUUGUAUUAUAAUCGGUGGAGUAAAAAGAAAUCUAAUAUAUAAAAGGAAAAAGGAUAAAGAAGAAAGAGGAAAGAAAAAGGAUCAUCUAAUAAUGUCUAAUAAUGAGAGCAAAAUUGAAUUUUUGUUAGAGACAUACAUUUGCCUAAUAGUCAACAAGGGAAAAUUAAUUUGUAGGUUUGUGAAUAAAGGGGGUAAUUUUCUCCUUGACCCUAGUUACAAGGGGGUAAUACACGAUUAAACCUACGCUUUAACCAAAUCAUUGAGAAUUAAAAUCUAAACCUUGAUUAUUAAAAAUACUUGGUGUUAAUUUAGAAUUAUAAAUUGAACUUUAGAAAAAGUGCUUGAAAUUUCAAAAGGAAAAAAGGGAAAGAUAUAUCCCUUAUGAGCAAUAAUGAAGUAGGCCACAUUAUCACACUUAGCGGUAUCUAAAAAAUGAGUGUCUUAAUUUGAUGAGUAGAAUUUGGUAAUUUUCGAAAGCAUUUCAAAGCAUGAAAUGGAAAAUUUUUUUCGACUUUGUUAUGAUUCAUCUAAACAGUUUACUCUAAAUAAUUUUGUAAGAUUGAUUUAUCUCAUUUAUACUGCAUUUCUCUAGUCCUUUUUUUUUUAAUUUUAGUAUGCAAACAUAAUUUGGAAAAGCAAAUGAUUUUCAAACUCUUAUAUGAUUUUUUUAAUAUAUGGACUAAUUUUGUCACACUAAAAUUCAAAAUAGGAGAGGUAAAUGUAAUAUUCAAAGUCUCGGGGAAACCAAGUGAAAUUGUCAAAAACCUCAAGGGGAGGUUUCUUGAUAUUAUCCAAUUGUAAUGUUCAUAUUUAAAUUUCACAUUUUUGUGAAUGGAUUGGUUGAUAAAGUAUAAACAUGUAUGUAAGACAAGUUUAGCUUUCAUUUCAAUAUGAUUUUUGUGCAUAUAAAUUCUUUGGAAAGAAAGAGGUGACAAGAACUUUGUUCUGUUUUCCUCAUGUCACGUGUGGCGGUUGCUGAGAUCAUAAUAAAGUUUCUUUUAUUUCCCUUUUAAUUCAUAUUUAAAUUGUACUGUUCAUAUUUAAAUUUCACAUAUUUGUUAAUGGAUUGGUUGAUAAAGGAUAAACAUGUAUGCAGGACAAGUUUAGCUUUCAUUUCAAUAUGAUUUUUGUGCAUAUAAAUUCUUUGGAAAGAAAGAGGUGACAAGAACUUUGUUCUGUUUUCCUCAUGUCACGUGUGGCGGUUGCUGAGAUCAUAAUAAAGUUUCUUUUAUUUCCCUUUUAUUUCAUAUUUAAAUUGUACUGUUCAUAUUUAAAUUUCACAUAUUUGUUAAUGGAUUGGUUGAUAAAGGAUAAACAUGUAUGCAGGACAAGUUUAGCUUUCAUUUCAAUAUGAUUUUUGUACAUAUAAAUUCUCUUGAAAGAAAGAGGUGACAAGCACUUUGUUCUGUUUUCCUCAUGUCAUGUGUGGUGGUUGCUGAGAUCAUAAUGAAGUUUCUUUUAUUUCCCUUUUAGUACCAAUCCAACGACAUUACAUGUUUGGAUUCAAAACGAACUAUGGAGUCGACUUUGGUACAUAAGUCAAUUUUAUUGACUCACAACUAGCGUACAUACAUGUACAUAUACAUAUAUAUAUAUAUAUACACACACACAUAGUGUAUAUGUAUGUAUAUAUGCAUACAUGUACACAUGUAUGAGUAUACAUUUUUCUCAAACAAAUGAAAUAAUGGAAAAAAAUUUUAUGCUAUAUUUUACCUAUAUCGAAUUAACUCUACACAUCUCAUAAGUCUUGUUUUGAAUGUUUUACUCAAAUUAUACUAUUGUUGCCCUCUCAAACAUGUAUAAAACUUAUAUGUUGUGCCCUCUCUCUCUCUCUCUCUCUCUCUCUUUUUUUAAGGAUUAGUACAAUGUAAACAAUAGCAUCCGAUAACAAAAUAAAUUACAAUUAAAAAAUAAAGAUAAAAGAAAGUAUAAUCCCAUUAGCAUUUUACUUGUAUUACAUCAAAUUGAAAUAAUUAGGGGUAUUAAUUAACAUAACUUAUAGAAGUUACAUAGAUGAUAAAAAUAGAGUACUAACUUUUGGGUCUUUGUAUUUUUUUUUUUGAAGUAUCUGGGUUUUCGGACUGAUAAUAUCUAUUGACCCAACUAAUCCUCUGCGGAUCGGGAGAGGCUGCCCAGCUUUUUCACCAACCGCUUUACCCGGGAUUCGAACCUUUGCGGAGGUACUUCCCCAACUGGGGUACUACCACCAGCUCUAGCCCUGGGGGGGCUAACUUUAAAUCUUGUAAUUUGGUCCAAUAUAUUUUCCUUUUUAAUCAAAUGUUUUUGUUAAAUUUCUUUUGAUUUGGGUAUCAUUUAUUGGUUACUAUGAAAUUUUUUAUUGAUAUUUUUAUAGUUCAUAGUCAAUUUAAUUUUUAGUAUUCAUUUUAGACUGUCUCUAUUAUUAAAAAUAUUUAAAUGCUAGUUAUCUUCUUGUAAUUUUUGAACUUUGAAUUUUUGUACGUUUGGUGGCUUGCCUCCUCAACUAUAAGACUCUGGUUCUGUUCAUAUGUAUAAUGCAUACGAUGAAUGAUCUAAGUUUUUUCAUAACAAAAGAUUUUCAAAACAUUUAAUAAGUAUCAUAUAUAGUUACUAGAAUAUUCUUUAGGCAGAAGAGGUUUUGAUCCUGUGAUUAAAGUUGAGAGACAAAGACUUGAGGUUUUGGAUUCAUAUUCUUCUCCUCCUUCCCGUUUUUUAAAUCUUGUACUUCUUCCGUUAGGAAAAAAAAUAAAAAAAAAUUACUAGAUUAUUCAUCACCGCUAUCUCCAAAAUAGGCUGUCCAUUGGCCUGUCCCUCGUAAUCCUGACGAUUACUACGGUGAGCAUUUUGAACUUUAUCGUGAUUGUAAUGAUAAUAUCGUACCAGAUGUUAUGUAGGGAGUCGUGAUUCAUAUAUGAGGUUAAACAAGGAGUUUCAUAGUUGGCUUAGAAAAGAUUAUUAAACAAAAACCCUUAAUCAAGAGCGUUCUUCGUGCAAUUACCUGAACACAAAAUAAGAAAAAAAAAUUACAUAGGGAUAUAUUAUGAAAGUCAUGAACCACAUGAGAGAGUUUGUUUUUAAUUUACACUUUCGGGCUCAUAUUUGCAUUGUACCUGUAUAAAAUGAACUCAUUAAAGAAAUGAUCAUUACAAAUUCUAGAACUGGGUGAAACAUAUUAUUUGAUUUGAUCUUUUACAUGCCUAUUUUAUCAAUCAUGGAAGUGAAUGUCAUUCAAUUUUCAAAAUAGAUUUAGAUACAUCUAUAUCUUUUAAACUUAUAGUUUGGCUAACGAGUAUCCAUUCGACACUCAAUAAGAAGGGAUUCAAGUGUUAAUUUUAGAAAAAGUAUGGUUAAUUUGAAAAAGCAUUACAAUUCAAGGGAUCCAAUAAAUGUGAGUCUAUAUUUACAUGGUAAUUUAGACGUGUUUCAAGUGUUUUAACAAAUAUCCUACUGGCACUCCUCACUGGAAAAAUUUUAUUUAUAUGUAGGAUUCUACAUUUGCUCCGAAAUGACUCGCAUCUUAUUAUUGAACUAUUUAAAACAUACAAUUCAAAGAUUAGGUUAUAAUAUGAACUAUUUUGUUUUAGAUAAUGCAGAAUUAAGAUUCUGCGAUUAGAUCAUCGCCAUUAAGGAGUAAAUGAAAAUCAUCCAGACACGCAGUAAUUCUUGGCAAAUAAUUUGACGCAAACAUAAGGCAUAUAUAUAACAAAAAAUUUAAUAAUAUAUGCUCGGAUGCUCAGGCUACAACCAUGCAAUUAAUUACUCUUACGAAAAAAAAGAAAAAGAAAGCAUGUUGUUGUUUUGUCAGAGCCGCAAGCUUUGACUUGUGGCAUAAUUUUUUCAUUUCCUUCUCAUCCCACAUCGGAGCCUGCUGAAGAGAAGCCGGCUACUCGAGGCCUAUAAAUAGAAGGGUCCAUUGAAGGAUUUAAUUUGCACCACUCAAGAGAGUUAUAUGGGCUAUUAGCUUCUUGAGUCAUAUAGCCCAUUUAGUUAAAUAUUUUAGGCUCUCUUGUUUUGAGUUUAGGAAUAUUUUCUAAACUCUUUUGUAAGUGCCUAUUGGCCUAGGAACCACUUUCCUACGGCUUUUGUAUUUCUUCUUCAUAGUAGAAAUAUUGCUCCUCCCUCGCCCGUGGACGUAGGUCAAUUUGACCGAACCACGUAAAUCUUCUGUGUCUUUUAUUUGCUUUGUUAUCCGUCUUUAUAUGGUCGGUUUUACCGCCUAAUUAUUAUAUGGCUGGUAUCUACCGCCUAUCUAUUAUAUGGUCGGUUAUACCGCCUACUUUGUGCUAACUUGAAUUUGUCUACUUCCUGACCCGAUCCUAACAAACUGGUAUCAGAGCUGGUUGUUAUAUUUUGCAAGACAGGUUCAUCUGGUGGGGCCCGUUCAUCUGGUGGGGUCCGUCCAUCCUGUGGGGCCCACUAAUCCUGUGGGGUUCGUUUAUCCGUGGGGCCCGCUCACCUUGUGGGGUCCGUUCAUUCCCGUGGGGCCCGCUUAUCUCGUGGGGUCCGCUCACCCUGUGGGGCCCGCUUACGAGACUUGCAUAUUUGUUUGGCCAGUUUUUUUGAGACAAACUUCAGGUUACAGAUUUUGUGGCAACAAUGACGAUAACAAAGACGGUUGUCGAGAAAUUCGACAGGAAUGUCAACUUCGGCAUGUGGCAGCUCAAGAUGGAGGCCAUUCUUGUUCAAGACGGAGUUGAUUUGGCAAUUCAAGGAAUUGAGAAAAAGCCAGAAGAUGUGACAGAUGCAAAUUUUGCUGAGAUGGAUAAGAAGGCAAGAUCCAGUAUUAUCCUAAAUCUCUCCGAUGAGGUAUUGCGUGAGGUAGCAACGGAGACUUCGGCCAAGGCUAUGUGGGAUAAAUUGAAAGCCUUGUAUAUGAAGAAGACAGUCGAGAAUCGACUAUAUUUGAAGCAGAGUUUGUACAUGCUUCGGAUGUCUGAAGGUACAUCUAUACUCUCCCAUCUUGAUAAAUUUGAUUCCAUUAUUAUGGAUUUGGAGAAUAUAGAUUCGAAAAAUGAUGUUGAAGAUCAAGCCCUAUUACUUUUGUGUUCCCUUCCCCAAUCCUUUAAGUAUUUUCGUGAUACUAUGAUAUAUGGAAAGGAAACAAUUUCGUAUCGGGAAAUUAAAUCUGCAUUAAAAUCUAAAGAGCAGAUAGAUAGGGAUAUUACUGGGGAAACUAGUGGGAGUCAAGCUGAUGGCUUGUUUGUUCGGGGUAGAUCUGAAAAGAGAAACACAGAAAAUAGAAAUAGAUCCAAGUCCAGACAUAAAAAUGUGGUGUGCAAUUAUUGUAAAAAGAAGGGCCAUGUUAUCUCUGAUUGCUUUAAAUUGAAAAAUAAAGAAAAGCAAAAGGGAAAAUUUGUUGAGAGAAAUACUGAAUCCGCUGAAGCUAGUAUAGCAGCUGAUGAGAAUGAUGGAACCAUUUUCUGUGCAACGGAAAAUAAUUUUAGGUCUAACAAUGAGUGGAUUUUAGAUUCGGGUUGUUCAUAUCAUAUGUGUCCCAAUAAGGACUGGUUUUCAACAUAUGAAUCAACUGAAGGUGGAGUUGUCUUAAUGGGCAACAACGCUGUUUGUAAAGUUGUUGGCAAAGGCACAAUCCGGAUUAAAAUGUACGAUGGUAUUGUGAGGACGCUCACAAAUGUUAGACAUGUUCCAGAUUUGAAGAAAAAUCUCAUCUCUUUAGGCACUCUUGAGUCUAUCGGGUGCAGGUAUUCAGGUGGAGACGGAGUUCUUAAAAUCACUCGAGGAGCUCUUGUUGUUAUGAAGGCACACAGAUCUGGUACUUUGUAUAUUUUGCAGGGAUCUACUGUGACAGGUGCUGCUGCUGUUUCAACAUCAUCUUUGUCAGAUACUGACAUCACCAAAUUAUGGCAUAUGCGUUUGGGGCAUAUGAGCGAAAAAGGCUUGGGCAUACUGAGCAAAAGAGGACUUCUGUGUGGACAAAGUACCGGUCCAUUGGAAUUCUGUGAACAUUGUAUUUUUGGGAAGCAGAAAAGAGUCAGCUUCAGUUCACCAGCAAUUCACAAGACAAAAGGUACUCUUGAUUACAUUCAUUCAGAUCUAUGGGGUCCUUCUCGUGCUCCUUCUAAAGGUGGUGCCAGGUACAUGUUGACUUUCAUUGAUGACUAUUCAAGGAAAGUUUGGGUCUAUUUUCUUAAACACAAAAAUGAUGUUUUCCUAACUUUCAAGCAAUGGAAAGUUUUGAUUGAGAAACAAACAGGAAAACAUGUUAAGCGGUUGAGAACAGAUAAUGGCAUGGAAUUUUGUGGAGGUGAAUUUAAUGAAUUUUGCAAAAAUGAAGGAAUUGUUCGGCAUCACACCGUCAGGAUGACGCCUCAACAAAAUGGUGUGGCCGAACGUAUGAACAGAACGCUUUUGGAGAGAGCAAGAUGUAUGAUCUCCAAUGCAGGGUUGACAAACGACUUUUGGGCAGAGGCGAUCAAUAUGGCCUGUUAUAUUGUCAACCGUUCUCCUUCUGCAUCUCUUGAUUUCAAAACUCCUGAGGAAGUUUGGUCAGGUACUCCUGCUGAUUACUCCAAUUUAAAAGUUUUUGGGUGUCCAGCAUACAUGCACGUGAAUGAUGGAAAAUUGGAGCCUAGGGCUAAAAAGUGCAUUUUUCUUGGGUAUGCUUCUGGGGUGAAAGGAUACAGAUUAUGGUAUCCUGAUCCCAAAUCCCCAAAAUUUGUAAUCAGUAGAGAUGUUACUUUUGAUGAAUUGUCUAUGUUAUCUUCCAAGAAGGAGUCUUCUAGUCCUUGUACUAUUGAUAGUACACAGAAGCAAGUGGAGCUUGAUAUUGGCAGUUCUGGUCCUUCUCAAUCCAAAUCUUCUAUUCAGCAAGUGCCAGUAGAUGCACCUGAAUCUACUGUUGAAGAUAGUUCAGAAGAAGAUGAGUAUUCCAUAGCCAGAGAUAGAGCAAGGAGAGAAAUUCGACCACCACAAAGAUAUGCAAAUUUAGUUGCAUAUGCUUUGUCUGUUGCAGAAGAAACUGAUGCAGUUGGUGAGCCUUCCACCUAUUUAGAAGCAGUUUCUUGUGAUGAUUCUGCAAAGUGGUUGAUUGCGAUGAAUGAAGAAAUUGAAUCUCUUCAUCAGAAUGAAACUUGGGUUCUUGUAAAGCCGCCGUCAGCUAAGAAAAUUGUUGGUUGCAAGUGGGUCUUCAAGAAAAAGAAAGGUAUUCCAGGGGUUGAAAAUGCAAGGUAUAAAGCACGAUUAGUUGCAAAGGGCUAUAGUCAGGUACAAGGUGUUGAUUUUAAUGAUAUAUUCUCACCUGUUGUUAAACAUAGCUCUAUUCGUGUUUUGCUUGCUUUAGUUGCCAUGUAUAAUUUGGAGUUAGAACAGCUCGACGUUAAGACAGCUUUCUUACAUGGCGAACUUGAAGAACAAAUUUAUAUGAGACAACCCCAGGGUUUUGAAAUUGAAGGUAAGGAAGACCAUGUUUGCUUGUUGAAGAAAUCCUUAUAUGGAUUGAAGCAGUCUCCAAGACAAUGGUAUAAAAGGUUUGAUUCCUUUAUGUUGGGUCAUGGUUAUUUGAGGAGCAUGUAUGAUAGCUGUGUUUACUUCCGGAAGUUAAAUGAUGGUUCUUUCAUUUAUUUGCUGCUUUAUGUUGAUGACAUGCUCAUUGCUGCCAAGAAUUUGUCAGAAAUUCACACCUUGAAACUGCAGUUAAAUAGUGAAUUUGAAAUGAAAGAUUUAGGAGCAGCUAAAAAAAAUUCUUGGCAUGGAUAUCAAUCGAGAUCGAGGAGUAGGAAAGUUAUUUUUGACCCAGAAAAAUUACCUUGAGAAAGUCUUGGAGCGUUUUGGCAUGAAAGAUGCUAAACCAGUAUCUACUCCUCUUGCUAGCCAUUUUCGGCUAUCUGCUGCUCAAUCACCAAAAUCAGAUGAAGAGGAAGAUUAUAUGGCACGGGUUCCUUAUUCCAGUGCAGUCGGCAGUAUUAUGUAUGCAAUGGUUUGUACUCGUCCAGAUAUUGCACAAGCAGUCAGUGUUGUUAGCAGAUAUAUGUCUUGCCCUGGUAAAACACAUUGGCAGGCUGUGAAGUGGAUUCUCAGAUACUUGCGAGGUACUUCAAAUGUAUGUUUGGAGUUUGGAAGAAAUAAUAACACUUUGGUUGGUUUUGUAGACUCAGACUACGCUGGGGAUCUUGACAGGAGAAGAUCACUUUCAGGCUAUGUAUUUUGCAUUGGCAGUUGUGCUGUUAGUUGGAAAGCUACUCUACAAUCUGUCGUAGCUUUGUCUACUACUGAAGCAGAAUAUAUGGCUGUGACCGAGGCAAUCAAAGAAGCCUUGUGGUUGAAGAGUUUAUUUAGCGAGUUAAGUCUAUAUCAAGGUGUUACUGAUAUUCACUGUGAUAGUCAAAGUGCCAUACACUUGACUAAAGAUCAGAUGUAUCAUGAGAGGACAAAACAUAUUGAUGUGAAGUAUCACUUCAUUCGGGAUAUCGUUGCUGAGGGAAAAGUCCUUAUUCAGAAAAUCAAUACUAAGGACAAUCCAGCCGAUUUGUUUACGAAACCUCUUCCAAUUUACAAGUUCAAACAGUGCUUGGACUUGAUUGGUGUUCGCUUGUGAUUUAAGCCCAUUGGGGCUUAUGUGAAGAAGGUGGAGCAAUUUUUACUAUUGUCGAUGAUAGAAUUCAAAAUUAUGCCAAGGUGGAGAUUUGUUGUUUUGUCAGAGCCGCAAGCUUUGACUUGUGGCAUAAUUUUUUCAUUUCCUUCUCAUCCCACAUCGGAGCCUGCUGAAGAGAAGCCGGCUACUCGAGGCCUAUAAAUAGAAGGGUCCAUUGAAGGAUUUAAUUUGCACCACUCAAGAGAGUUAUAUGGGCUAUUAGCUUCUUGAGUCAUAUAGCCCAUUUAGUUAAAUAUUUUAGGCUCUCUUGUUUUGAGUUUAGGAAUAUUUUCUAAACUCUUUUGUAAGUGCCUAUUGGCCUAGGAACCACUUUCCUACGGCUUUUGUAUUUCUUCUUCAUAGUAGAAAUAUUGCUCCUCCCUCGCCCGUGGACGUAGGUCAAUUUGACCGAACCACGUAAAUCUUCUGUGUCUUUUAUUUGCUUUGUUAUCCGUCUUUAUAUGGUCGGUUUUACCGCCUAAUUAUUAUAUGGCUGGUAUCUACCGCCUAUCUAUUAUAUGGUCGGUUAUACCGCCUACUUUGUGCUAACUUGAAUUUGUCUACUUCCUGGCCCGAUCCUAACACAUGUGAUGAUAACUCUAGCCUUAAACUAGUAUAAUGUGUGUAUGCAAGUUACCAUGUUUUGUAAGAUAUAUUCCACUUUGAACUUUUAGAUUAUAAACACCUUUCUACUUUAGAUACUUAGCCCCUAAAUUAUGAAAUUUAUCUUAUUUUAGUCCUUAAAUUUCAAUUCUAGACACUUUAUCCUUUAAAAUAUGAAAUCUACUCUACGGAAUUGUCAAAACUAAUGAAAUAGUAGUCAAAUGUUGUUCAAAAUUUAAAGAUUAGUUUAGGGUGCAUUCUAUACUUUGGAUGGUAAAGUGUUCAAAAUUGAAAUUUAAGAACUAAAAUAAGAUGCAUUUCGUACUUUAGGAUGUAUUGUUUCCAAAUUUAAACUUUAACGACUAAAGUGGAAUAACCUCUAUAGUUUAAAAACACAUUAAGUUAUUACUAGAAGAAGAAUAAUUUACUUGGUGAGGCAGCCUGACGAGUCGACACAUGCAUGGAUGUCUUCCGCUCCAUUCUUCACCUUCUGCGCUCCAUCAAAGGAACCUCUCUCUUGACAAUGGAGGGCAGAAGGCUCCUUUUGAAGCGCUGAUAUCAAUCGUCGUUGUCUCGUGUACUCCUUGUACAUUUUAAUAGAACUCAAUCAUUGUUCCUUUAGUCACAUUUGCUAUAUAUAAAAUGCCAAAACUUCUUAGGAUUUUCAGAGAAAAGCUCUAAGCAGCCGGAGUUGACCAGCAAGAUAGCCUUCCUACUUCCCCUUGACCACUAGCUUCACAUAUCUUCCUCAAGAUUUGAUGGACAAUUCAGUCGGUUCAUGGUUCUCUGAGCUGGUAAGAAUUGUGUUUUUAAGAAUUGCGUUUUUCCUAAUCAGUUAAAUCGCUAGCUAUUUGAACAUUAUUCACUGUUUCUUGAAGCUGAGUCAAUACCAUCUCUUAUAGAUGAAAGAAAGAAUCUAUCCUAAGCAGUAGUCUUUGAACUCAUAAGCACCAUGAAUACUAACAAGUUUAUACGUUCGCCUGGACUCUGAUGCCAUACAUGCACGUAGAGGGAGAAUAUCAUUUAUUAAGAACCAUGCUAAUGAUUUAUCCGUUUGCUAUUGUUGUUUAUUAUUUUCACUAAUAUAUAUCAAUCAUGCAAGGGAUCGAAGAUGAUAAUCACCACAUCUUUUGUGAUGUUUUAAGUAAACGUAAGCCUUAAAUUUACAUAUUUCAUAUUCUCCUCAACUGUUUUUAGAUUUUUGUUUCAUUUUUUUUUCGAGUAAACCUAAGUGCUCUGUUAAAUUCUUUCAUUUUCCCGUGCAAGUAGAGAACCAGCAUCUCACAUACGUUUCUUUAUUGACUUGUUAAUUUUUGGUGGUACAAAGCAUCCCUUCAUCCUUAGCAAGCUGUCAAUGGAAGAUUAAGAAACAAAGAAACGUAAAAAGGAAUAACGGCAUAAGAAGUAGCCUUCAUUACUUCCUCAACAUGUUUUGGUUACCGGAAGAAAACAAGUUUACUUCGAUAUAGUUGUUGAUCCUUAGAAAUUUCUGAUUGAUGUAUGGUUGAUCCGUAUCCUAUUAUUCAAAUCCAUUUUAAAAAGAUAGAUUACUCAACGGACAAAUCACACACAAAAUUUUAGUCUUACUUUUGUAAAAUCCAAUUUGCUAUUGCUUAGGAUGCAAAAUUUAGUCUUGCAAAAGUUCAAAGGCUCCAUUGAUUACUGAAAAAAUGAUUAUGGUGCAUCCCAUUAAUUCCUAUUUCAACACAGGGGAUGGAUGAUCCACAUUUCGAUGAGCAAUGUGAUAUCAUGGACUUUUUCGAUGAAGAGUUAUCUGCUGCACUAGGAGAAGAUUUGCAAAACACUUUGUCCCAAGAAGACAAUACAUAUUCCUCCCAGGAAGUUCCAUUUCCCCAUUGCGGGUUUCCUGAAAUUAACCUUAAAAAUACAUAUUCCUCCACCUUAAUUCCAAGAAAUAGUUCCACAACCAAUUUAUCUGCACUUUCAGCCAUGGAAGCUCCUCUAGUUAGUACUGAAAUACCAACAAAGCAGAAAAUUCUAAGAGCUCUACUUCGUCCAUUAAUCUUAAUCAACCUUGCUGCUCCCCAAUGGUUCUAACUUUUGGAAAUUGUCAACAAGUAACACUAGGAAGUUUUAGUCCCGAGGGUGAUACAAUGUCUGAGGUUUUAUUAUCCCAAGAAUCCCAUAUGAAUCUUAAGGAUGCAAUUAUUAAAGAUACUCGAAAGAAAAAGAAAAAGAAAACUGCCCGUCGCGUGAGGCCAGCAUCGCAAACUUAUGAUCACAUAGUAGCUGAAAGAAAGCGAAGGGAGCAGAUCAGCCAGCGUUUUGUGGCUCUCUCAGCCUUAGUCCCUGGCCUGAAGAAGGUAUCUAGUAUUUUUUUUCUUUUUAUUUAACGUCUAUCCCAACAUUUUUGUUCCAUUAUCUUGAUGAUAGAAAAGUUUGAUGAGACUUUAAAAAUUGUGAUGUCAUGCCUCAUGUCACACGCGACUAAUUAAAGUAAUCACUGUACUAGACAAUAAUAUCUCGUGGGCACUGAUAAAAAUUUUUGCUCCAAUGUCUUUUUGCCUAAAGCUAAAGAGGUCAAAGUUGAAGCGAAUUUAUCAUUGGUCAAUAUAAAAUGCAGAGUUUUUUGUUCUGAUUCCCAUUAAUAUAAAGGAAUGUAUAAUGUAAGCUUGUAUGUGCAAUUGCUCUAUCCUCAAAAUAGAACCAUUCAAUCAAAUUGGUUUAGCUAGUUUUUAGGCUACACUGCAGAUGAGUUCAAUUCCUAUACUAACUUCGGUAGGGACGAAAAACUUUCUCAUCCUAUUUUCUUUACGGCUUCAGAUGUUUUCCACAUGGUUUGUCUGAUGAUGAGAUCUUAAUUUCUUGCAGAUGGAUAAAAAUUCUGUUCUUGGAGAUGCAAUCAACUACUUAAAACAUCUUCAGGAGCGAGUGCAGACGCUCGAGGAACAAGCUGCCAACCAACGCAGGGAAUCUUCCGUGCUUAUGAGGCGAUCACAGCUCUUAAUCGAAGAUGAAGGAUCAUCAGAUGAGAUGGGCUGCACCGAUGAGCAGAUUCUACCUGAAAUUGAAGCUAAAGUAUGCAAUAAGAAUAUUCUUCUGCGAAUCCACUGCAAAAAUCACAGAGGGUUGCUGGUAAAAAUACUGUCUGAAAUUGAAAAGCGCAAUCUCUCUGUUGUCAAUACAAAUGUUGCACCUUUUGGAAGUUUGGCUCUUGAUAUUUCCAUUAUUGCUGAGGUGAGCUUUAUCCAGUCUAAUCUUAUUAAUUGGGAAUACUGCGUUCUUAUUUGUUUCUUUUGAACUAAUGAUCCCUUAUAAAACUUUGUUUCAGAUGGACAAAGAAUUCAACCUCACAAUGCAGGAACUAGUGAGAAGGCUUCGAUCUGCUCUCCGGCAAGUUCAACAGUCUGAUUGAAUGCAGAAUCAUCUCCAAUUCUGAUGGUGUAGGACUAGGAGUGGCUGCCUGGUUUAUCUAAUGAAAUUGCAAUGGACUGAAGAGUGAAGCCCAGUGGUUAAGGACUGAAAGAAUGGUCACGAAGCCAGACUAGUGACCAGAAUGCCAAUCAUUCUUGUAUUGUCAAUAGGAUAACUUUUGGCAACAUUAGACUAAAAUUUGCACCCACGAGGGUCUCGUGGGCCUUUGAUUGCUUCUGUGGAUUUUGUUUUCUUGUAUGUUCAUUAUAUCAAUGUCCGGCAUGAUGAGGAGCUUUCACCUACAGUGGUAUAGUAUAAUAUACAAUGGCUUGGUCCUCAAAUAUUCCUUCAACUGGGGACCAUUAUUUAGCUUGUCAUUUUAUGGGCAUGAUGAAGCCUUAACCGCUAAAGAAUACUCAAAUUAACACUCUACCAUUUUUUUUUCUUUAAAGUGAUCAAAUAUCUCAUAAAAGCAUAGUGUAGAAGUUGCAUUUUGUUAGCUUUUGCAAUUAAUCUUUCUUUUUACAGUUAGUUUUGGGGUUAAUUAAGUUCAACAGGACUUUAUUACAUCAUUUACUAUAUACUUCACGUUUAUGUAACCUCUAUCUGACUGUUGGGAAAUUUUCAUCUACCAUGUUUAGGACUAAUUUAGGAAGAAAAGAAGUGAUGAAAUUCAAGUGGGUAAGCUAAGUGUACAACAGUUCGAUGCACACGCUGUAAUUGGUUUGUGUAACAUGUGAUGAUCAGUUUCUUAAAUGCUGCUUAUGUAUGCAAAUUGACUAAACUAUCAAUCAAAAGCAAAAGGUAGUCCAUCAUAUUGCAAACCACUGGAACCUUAAGAAAAGCAAUUGAACUUCUGCAAUAGAUGGGACUCGUUAAAAUCAGUAAUUGAGGAAUGUUUUAGUAAAAUAUUGGUGCAUGAGAGUGAAGUAGCAUCUGAAGAGCACGAUCCAAGUGUAACUAUAGAAACCUUUCGCCUUUUCCUGCAUUUGUUUGAGGUUAACUACUGAAAAACCCGAGAUAAGCAAUUGAACACCUCCAAACAAUAGGGCUAAUCAAAAUUAGUAAUUGAGGCAUGUUUAAGACAACAUUAAUGCGUCAGAGGUGAAAUAUCAUUUGAACCUUGGUUCGAAGACUUGGCCGAGUCGUCUCGGUCUCGGCCCAGUCCGAUACGAUAUCGUGACGAAAAGAUACUAAAAUACUUGACUCGCCGAAAAAUAGGUCGAGACGUCAUCACGACGGGUUGAAACAGCCCAGUCACAUCGAGUCACUCCGAGUUAUCCCGAGUCAAGUUGAAUUCAACAAAAAACCUUUAACAAAAAAAGGAUUAAAAAGGGGAAAUUCGGGGACCUCUCUACCGCCUGUGUCAAUCUCCUGUCAAGUAUGCUAAUACUGAUGCUCCUUUAUACAGGGAAAGAAAUGCGACUGAUGGGCACAUCAUAAAAGACUUCGUGGGGCCUUCUUUAGAUUAAUCAUAGUGGUUUCCUAUUCUAUUACCAGACAUAAUUGGGAGAAGCACUAGGACCGCAGCUCAAUUACAUCGACCCUUGGAGUAAAAACUAUAGCUAGAUCCCAACACAUGAGAAGGAGAAGUCAAUAUCAAAAUCAUUCAUUGGAAAAUAGAAACAAAUUUGUCAAAGUACUGAUCAUGUGAAAAGAUGCGUUUAUAUUAUUCCAACUUGGUUCAAGUAUAUGUACCUUCACUUUAUUUUUCUUUUCUUUCAAAGGCUAUCACUUCCAACUUUCUUUUCCAAAGUUAUCACUUUAUUUUUCUUUCAAAACUGGCAGGCAUCCAAGGUGAUAGAAUAAGUGAGAGGAGAAAUGCCCAAAAAUGAACUGGAAGACCACCCCAGUCAUGGUACUCUUCUUACGAACUCUUAUGCCACGGUGGGAUCCGCCUGGAGUUUUGUUCUUCAAAUAGGAUGUCCAUAAUGCGGCUGCCAUUCUUAUAUCGGUUUUGCUUGGCUUUUUCCUGCAACUUUCUGGAGCUUUGACACUUUUGUACGAAACUCUUUAAAUAAAAGACUAGACUAGUAAUUUUAUGUGUCGGCGCAAGAGUCCACAGAUUUAAAAUUUUUAUGCUUUCUCUCAUCUCUGUUCUUAUUUGCACUACAAGAAUUUUGGUCAUCAGUGAUAACUACUUUUCGUCACAAAUAAUAAAAAAGUCGUCACUGAUGACCAUUAUUGACAACAUUUCAGUUGUCGCAAGGUCGUCAUUGAAUCUCCGUCGGUAAAAGUAUACAGUGACGACUUUAAAGUCGUCAGUAAAUAGAACCUUUUUUAUGACAAUCUAUGUUGUCAGUAAAAGAUGAAAUUAUACAGUGACGACUUUAGAGUCGUUAGUGAAUGAAACUUUUUAUGACAACAUAUGUCAUCAGUAAAAGCUAUAAAUUUAGUGACAACACCUUCUCUUGUCAGUGAUGCAAGUGAUGCAUGAAGGGACGAUAGUGAGGGCAUAGGAGAAUUAGUGACGACUUUUGUUGUCGAUAGUGAGGGCAUAGGGGAAUUAGUGACGACUUUUGUUGUCGAUAGUGAGGGCAUAGAGGAAUUAUUGACGACUUUGUUGUCAAUAAACCCCUGAUCAACUGUGGCAACAUUCCCUUAUCAAUAGACAGUUUUGAUUGAGUGACAAUAACAAUUGUCAAUAAAGACAUCCUGCCUAGAAAAAUACUACUCAUUUACAACACCUUACACAUGACUUUCCUACUACAAUAAUAUCUAAAAAAUGAAAAUAUCAGCAAUGUUUAAUAAAUAACAAAUGUAGGCACCGUUACAAUAGAAUAUGCCAAAAUAAUAUAUUAAAUAUUCAAAUGUCAUAAAUAAGUGCAACAUCAUAGUACAAAUAGUUUCAUAAGUUUGAGUAGAACAAAUACUACUCAUAUUAGUCAAAGCUGCACUAAAAAACAUAUUCCAAGUCCCAAAACAUUUCCUGCGCUUCUGAAACAUUUUCUAAACUUAAGACAGCACUAUAACCACAGUUUUUGAGCCGACAUGUAAGCCGUACUGCUAAUCUUCUUCGAAACCUCCAAAAUGAGCAAUAUAUCUGCAAUAAAGUAGUAAAGUUAUUAGUAAAGUUAUCAGAUGACAAAAGCAAAACAGUCUCUAAUUGCUAAAUAAACAACAAAAGUAACAAGCAUUCACUAAUCUGAUACCACCGUAAUGAAUGCAGCAAUUGCAGCAGAAAUAGAGUGAUAAGGGGGAGAGAAACUAGACUUGAGAAAGAAGAAAGAGAGAUAUUAUUCAAAAUGAUUUUUCCAUGUUGCCCAAUCUAGAUUUCUGCAUUCUUAUACAGCUCAAGAAUAACAAAAUAACUACUUGAUUGUUGACUCAGCACAACAGUCUAACUAACAAGGAAGAUUCCCUUUAACUACUUGAAGGAAAUACAUUUCGCAUGUACUAUACUGGUAUUCUUCAGGUGAAAUACUAUACUAGAAAUACAUUAAUUCUUCAAGUUGAAACUGACAAUCCACUGCAGAGAGACCAAACAGUACUAUACUGGUAUUAAAGGCUAGACGGACACAAAUUAAUGGAAGGGGAGAAGAUGGAGAAGGGGAGAGUAUGUGUAACAGGUGAGCAAGGAGGACUAGGUAGGUAGGUGGCAGUUCUUCUCAUGGCUGGUAAGACAUAACAAAACUGUUUACCCCAAUGAAGAAAAAGCAAUCUUUAGAACUGAAGUCUGUAGAGCUGAAUCGGAUUCCACCCUGCAUGCCAUUCGGAGGAUUGUAAAUGGAUUGGUGGUCUGUGGACAAAAAAAAAUUAGUGCACAGGAGUGUGUGUAGGAGGAAAGAGUUGGUGGAUUGGAUUGAUGAUCCGAAUUUGAUUGCUGAAGACAUCGGUGGGGUAGAAAAAUCUUGUUUCUGCAAAUUUUGCCUGGAUGUCAAGAAAUGAUAUGUUUUUGCUACAAUGGAUGGAAACAGGGAAAAACUGGGAACUGUGAUAAUUGCAGGCCUUAUCUACUACACAAGAUGCCGUGGUUGACUACCAAAGAACGAGGAGUGUUAACGGUUGUAAAGAGGAGGUUUGUCACAAAUGAAGACCAAUUUUGGCAUUAGCAAUGUUUCUUUAAUCUGUCAAAAUACUAUCAAAGAUGAAUAAAUCUUCUGUUUUGCUCGUCCAUCACUACUAUACUACCACUCUGCUAUACAAGAGGAAUAUUCCUUUUAGAAUAGUCACGUAAUCAAAUCAGUAAUCUUACAAUACAAGUCAGCGAUUGAUAAAAUGUUCACGUAAUCAAAUGCAGUAUUCUCCCAACCCAACACAAGUCGGAGAUUGAUUAAAUUGUUCACUUAACACUUGGGACUGUAUAUCUUGUUCCGUCAAAAGUUUUUAGCUAACUCAUUGGCCAUGAAAAGUUUUUAGCUAACUCAUUGGCCAAAUGACAAUAAUAAUCUUUUCUAUUCUUUAGCCCUUCUAUGCUCCUCAAAUUAAUAUCAUGAAACAGAAACACUAUUGAAGCUUUUUUUUUGUGUAAUGUUAUUGUUUCAUGAUAACAAAGCUAUGAUAAAGCCACAAAUGUACUCCCAGGAUCAAAACACCAUCUGAUUAGAACCUUGUGUUGACAGAAGUAAUUCUUAAAUGUCCCUCCUCAGUCUUGAUAUUACAAGUUAAUAUUGUCACCUACCAAUAACUAAUUUGCAAUAACUUAUGUUAACUUUAAACCAUAGCAGCCAUUAUAUCUAUUUAGACAAGUAUAUAUAGUUGAAAAAUUGCUUACCAAUCAGUUCGUUCAGAUGUGCCUUCAUCGUCUUACUUGUUGGCUUGUAGCUGUGCUUUCAAAGAUUUAAGGAGAUCUUGCAUUUCACUUUGUUGGUUCUGCAUUUCACUUUGCUGGUUCACAAGCUUCUCCAUAAGUUGUUGUUGAGAUUGGACCGUUAUUUCCAACUCAGCUGAGCGCUUCUCCGCUUGUUCUGCUCUUUUCUUGAAAUCAUCUAUCUCUGCAAGCUUUUGGGCAAUUAUUCCAGCUUUGGAGGGACCACGGCCAUGUACGUAUCCGGUUACACGUCCAGUUACUUCAAUGGAAAUGUCUUCUUCAGUCCUAUUUGCACCACUGGAUUCAGAUUCCAACUUUUUCUCCUUCAUCAUGCUCUGUCACAAAGGUAAAUUCUGAAGUUAGACUUUCAUAAGAGUUGUACAACAAUAUUAGAGUACCAAUUCCAUUUUUCUUACUAAGUUCAUAGCAGAUGUUUCGUCAACCAUUGCAUUCUUCUUCUUGCUGUAAUGGGUGAUGUCAUAAAGUUCUAUUGGUCCAACUUCCCUCCCUUCUUGUGCUUCCUGUUACAAUAAGAAGUUAAAUAACCUGCCUAAACAAUCCAAAAGACAUGUCUUCAAGAUAAUCAAAUACCCGGUCAGCUUUAUGACGAAGAAAGGAUUUUGUUCCAGCUGUAUGAGCAGUUUUUUGCUUUGAUCUAUUGAUCUUGUUCCUCUCACUUAUCUUCUGCACUUAUCAAGUUCAGCCGUGAUCAAAAUUUAACACACAAAAAACAUGAGAAAGAACAAUAGUAAAUGAUCAAAAGUCGGCCUCUAUACCAUAAAAUUUAGACUACAGAAAUAGUCACAAAGGUAAAUCCAAUCAGAUUCUUCAACAUAUUGUGAACGAUUUGCAAGUGCUUCCUCUUUUGUACUAAAUUUCUUGAAAAUCUUGUGAAAAUUGUAUCGUCGACUUCUGUACUGUGUAUUUAACUGCUUAAGAAGUGCUGGCUUAACAUGUUCUCCUUCUUUUACCAUUUUUCUGCUUUCCAUUUGCCAUAUUUACGAAUGACACAACUUGCCUCUGAGAUGUACUGUUGUGCCCCUCCUCCAAUUACUCUUCCACUAACUUCAGAGACCUGGACUUUUACCUUUUUGCCGGCCUUCUUUUCCUUGGACAGUGCAAUAUUGCGAGUAUAUCCUCUUUUCCUAGUUACAUUGAUACUACCUACCCAAAACAUAGUACACAGUUAUGAAUGUGAGUGGAAAAAUCUGAAAUGAAAUUAGCUGUGUAAUAUAAAUUACAAGUAAAUCUCAUAUACCGGUAUCAUUCUGUUGAACAUCAUUGCUCUCAUUAUUCCGGUCACUUCCACAACCAAUGGACUGGUUAGAUCCGACUUGUACUGAAGUAGGAGUAGUAUUUUGCUGGUUAGAUCCAACAAUUGCAGCUCAAACCCAAACAGAUUCAGCAGCCAAACCGACAUUAACUUUCAUAAACUCAUAAUCAAAAUGCCAUGUUGUACAUACAAGAGGAUAAGAGCUAACAAAGUGAAAGUUUGCAAAUUCUAAUUCAUUCAAAAGGUCUCCACCAGUUCUGAAUUUACCUAUGGGAGUUCACUUAACAAGUUAACACUCACACUUGGUCGGCAUUAUGAAAAGGAAAACAGCAGUGAAAGUCUUGUUUCAUGGUAAAGCAAGUCAAAAUCUCUCAAACGGGCUCUUAAGCAAAACUCCGCAGAAACGUAAGAAAAUAGUUACUUAAACAAGUGAACGAACAGGAGCACAACAGAAGGUAGCAGGCUUACUGAUUGCUGUUUUAAAUCGUAGCAUACUCAUAUAUGAGAUUAUUAUCAAACAACAAACCAACCAAAAAGGAAAUUCAAACCAUUCCAGAAACUUCAACAAUUCAAAAGAUCAAAAUUUUUAUUGCUGCAAUAGAGAAUAGGGCUCUAAUCUGUCUACAUUGCUGCAGCAGGACAAGGAGCACCGUCCUUGUUGCAGCAACUCUCAGCUACUGGAAUUGCUCGCAUAACAGCGAGGGAAUGGGAAAAGAGGACAGUGUGCCUUUAGUUCAAGGCUAAUGACUUUCUAAACACAGCCCUGAUAGCUGAUAUGUUCAUAGUAUCCCACUCCAGUUGCAAACGAAAACAAGAUUAUCAAAUGAAACCACAACUUUAGCAAUCCCAGAAAGAAAAGACUGCUGCAACAAGCCGAUAACUUCGAGCUUGUCGCAGCGCAUCCUUCGAUUGGACUCCAAAGGCCCUAACAGACCCAGGUUAUGCAAAUAAGGACCAAAGAUGUAGUCUUUGGCUUACCAGAUUGGAGAAAGUUAAAACCUUUGGAUCAAACAACAAACACAGCAUCACAUCAAACGCUAUCUCAGCGACCGAAAGGCCAAAAAAGAUUAAAAAAAAAAAAAAGUACCGGAAACAGUUGCAACAAGCAAAAGGUUUCAUCUUGUUGCAGGGGUUCUAACAAAACCAUUAAUCACUACCACAAGUAAAGGAAUGGAACGUUGAAACAGGAAAUUUAUGUGAUUUUUCUGAUUUUGGCCUGUCAAAACAUAAGAGGGCAACCAUAAACAUCCAACGAAAGACCUCAUGGGUUCAUCAUAGACUGUACCAAGAACCUUAAAAUCAUAAGUAUGGCAAGGCUACCUCGUCAUCGUCAAACAGAUAGAUAAGAAGUAACAUACCUGGACAGCAAAAAGGAAGCGGAUUGGAAAGAUCUUUAGCGGACAGAGUUGCCCUUCAACGAUGAUGGAAACCGAUGAUGGAAAGCGAUGGUUUUCUCCUUCACUCGCUGCUUUCCCUUUCCUUUUGCUUAGAAUUUCUCAGCCUUACUCUCGGCUCUCUCGGUUUCUCUUCUCAGUUUUUCCUUCUUGUUUCAGUCUUUUUCCUCUCAGCUCCAACACCUUGCUCCCCUGUGCUUCCUCGACAUAAAUAGAGGGGGCAAAAGAUUGGAAAAAAAAAGGAGAAAAGCAAAUGUAGUAGGGAUUUGGAAAAAUUGGGGAAAAUGUAGUAGAAUAUUAGGGAUUUGGAAAAAUUGGGGAAAAUGUAUAGGAAGCUCUGUUUCAGCUCAGUGCAGAAGCUUGUUUGUGUUUCAGACCAAGUGUUCCGUUGCUUUUGUUUUCAGAAUGUGUUCCGCUGCUUUGGUCUUUGCUUUGCUUUGGAUAUUGUUUUUGUUGCGCGGCACUUUCCUAUGAUUUGAUCAAAAUUUUGACUUCACUCAUUUUCCCCCCAUUUGAUACCAAAAAUCAUGUUUUUUUCUGGAUUUGUAAUAUGGUUUGAACCAUAGAUUUUAAUGCUAUAGUAUUAUUCUUUAUUUUUUAGCAAAAAAUAAAAAUUUUCAUCAACAUAGGUGGCAAAAUUUGUUAAUUUCAUAUAAUUGAAAAUGUACUUUUAUAAUUUGCUAACAUUUUAUACUAAUUUCUUAUAAUUGCAGCACUAAAGAACAUCAUGUAAUUCAAAAUAAUUAAACUCAAAUUAUAUCGUUAUAACAUAGUUUCAAUAAAAAUAAUCAUUUUCCCAACAUUUGAGACCAAUCAUCAUGCUUUUUUUUUAUUUUUAAUUUGGUUUGAAGCAUAGAUUUUAUUGCUAUAGUAUUAUUCUUUAUUUUUUAGUACAAAAACACAAAUUUUCAUCAAUAUAGGUGGCAAAAUUUGUUAAUUACAUAUAAGUGAAAAUAUACUUUUAUAAUUUGCAAAUAUUUUAGCCCUGCAAUUUUUUAUAAUUGCAGCACUAAAGUACAUCAUUAAUUGAAAAUAACGAAAGUCAAAUUCUAUGGUUAUAACAGACUUUCAUUAAAAAUAAUCAAAUGCUAUUAAUAAGACAUUAUUGUUAAGUCAAAAUCAAAGAAAAUUUAGUGAUGACAUAAUGUUAUCACUAAUUUAUUCAAGAUUAUAAUGACAAGAAAAGUCGUCACUAAUUAAAUUGCUAGUUUUUAAUAUUGUCAAUUGCUAGUUUUUAAUACUUUUGUGAAAAUAUUGAUAAUGGUUGAGAAAAUUUUGUUACAUUACUGCAAGUGAUAAAUGUACUUUUGUUCUUUUUCAAACAUUUAUUUUAAUGUUUAAUUUUGUUUAAAACUAUUGUACUAGUAUAGAUUUGCAAGACAAAACUUAAGUUCUCAAUAGUUAAAAAAUUCAUUACAGAGAAAACACAAAGUAGUAGUUGCAAAAUGUGUAUAAAUUACAGAUAUUUUAAUGUGUAUAAAUUACAGUUUAUUUUAAUAUUUAAUUUUGUUUGAAACUAUUUUACUAGUAUAGAUUUGCAAGACAUAGAUUUAUGGGUAAUUUCUUUUUUUUUUUGCUUUCACAUAUUUAAUUUAUGUUAAAUACAAAACCUACCAAUUUCCCUCUCAUAAAAAUAUUAGUGCAACACUUUUUGAAUUUUACUUACAAACAUUUAUGUAUUUAACAUAAAUUAAAUGAUUCAGAGUGAAAUGCCCAUAAAGAGCAUAAUAUUUGUUCAUGUAAUGGAGGAAGCCCACAAAGAGUUGGUACUUUAUGGGCCAUUUCUUUUUUUAAAAAAAUUUAAUUUAUAUUGAAAAGAUAAUCUACCAGUUUUCGUUUUGUAAGAAAUCAGUGUAACACUUUUUGAAUUUUACUUACAAACAUUUAUAAAUUUAUCAUAAAUUAUAUAUUUGAGAGUAAAAUGCCCAUAAAAAGUUGGUACUUUGAAUAGAUAAUGCUCAUUUGCCCAUAAACUACACUCCCUGAAGGCUAUUUUGUUAAUUAUUUUGUAGUACUUUGUUAUUCCUUUGCUAAUACUACUUGGCAUGUAGUACAAAUGAUAAAUCUGGCAUAAAUUUCUUAUUCCAUUGAUAAAAAGACCUGCCUGCCUUAUAACUAUUGUAAUGAAAGAUAUAUCUUUAGAGUUUAUAACAAAUUAUUACUUAAGUUUGAGAAAAUUAUAAAAUAUUUAUGCAUAGUUUAUCAAGAUACCAUUCGCAAUUUCCUAAUAAAAAAAUAGGGGCUAAAUUGUAAAAGCUAGGGUGCCAUAAUAGAAAUAAUAAAAUUGGUGUAUUACACAUGGGUGUCAAAUUGCAAAAGUUAGAGUGCCAUAGUAGAAUUAAUGAAAUUAGUGAAUUACAUAUGGGGCUAAAUUACAAAAGUUAGGGAGUAAUAAUAGAAUUAAAGAAAUCGGUGUAUUACAUAUGGGGCUAAAUUGUAAAAGUUAAGGUAUCAUAAUGGAAUUUUUUACAACAUUUGGGGCUAAAUCGCAAAAGUUAGGGUGGCACAGUAGAAUUAAUGAAAGUGACUUAGAAAUAAGUACUUUAAACAGUGACGAUUAAUUCUUGUCACUAAAUCUGCAUCGGUAGAGUGACAGUGACGAUAUUAGAAGUUAUCACUAUAUAAAUCAUUUUAGUGACAACUUUUUCAAGGUCGUCACUGAAGACUUAGUUCCUUUGAGCAAUUAUGACAACUUUCCUUGUCGUCACUAAACAACCACGUUUUGUGACGACUUUUUUCGUCACUAAAAAUGUAGUCACUAAUGACCAUAUUUCUUGCGGUGUAGUUUGUGACGAAAAUAACGGGUCGUCACUAAACAUUUAGUUGCUUUGAUGCAAUUGUGACAACUUUAGGUGUCGCGACUAAAGAAGCUCUUUUUGUGACGACUUAUUGUCAUCACUACAAAAAUGUUGUCACUAAUACCUUUUUUUUUAGUGAUCAGUGACGACAACAAAAAGUCGUCAGUAAAUAGGCCAAGCAAUAGUGAUGAUGUUCUUAAUGUUGUCACUAUUGUGUGUUCUAAACACUCCCGCGCUCUUGCUAAAUCUUGGCGGGAAUUUACUAGUGACGACUAAGUCGUCACAAAUAAGUUGGCUCCCUUUAGAGGUUUGUGACGAGUUAGAAAGUUGUCAAUAAAGGAUCCACUUUUGUGACAACUUUUUUUCGUCACAGAGAAAAGUUGUCACUGAUGACCAAUUUUCUUGUAGUGUUGGAUGUUCUUAGGGAAACUAGAUAGUACCUAACAUAGGAGGAAUCAACUCCGAUCAAGCUUCUCUUUCCUAUCAGAAAUAGCUAGUCGACAACUUUAGUUGCAGCAACGGCCCUUUCAUUGCCCUCCCUUGGCCUUUCCUUUGAAAUAAGGACUUUUCCCGUGAGUCAGCAGGUAUGAAUUUAUUUCUUUAAGUUUUCUAUACUUAUAGUAGGUAUGAAAUAGAAACAUAUUUGGAUUAAUUAUAGCCCUUAUGUAAUAGGCCAAGGUUGGAUUAAUUAUGAUUGUGUCCAAAAUAAAAUUUAGAAAUUUAGAUUUAUCUAGCUAAUUUGUGUUGUUGAAAUUUAUUUUGGGCCAAACAUAAGUUUAACACUUAUCUCACAUAUAAUUCAAAGUUUAGCACUUUUGCAAUUAUUAGUUUUAAAAUUGUGGUCUAUGUUAUUUUGAUUUUAUUUGUGAUGCCAUUGUCUUAAAUAAUUAAAAGUACUUAUUGUGUUUAAUAUGUAUAAAAUAGUACAUUUUGCAAAUUUUUUUUUGCUAGCUUUUUAUUAUUUUUGUUUAGCGUACUUUUUUUAUAUUAUUAACAAUUUUUAGAAUAUUAAAUGUUUUAAAAUUUGCUUCUCACUGAAACAGCGACCGAUAUGCUGAGACCGAUGUGGAACGUUCCGAGCCGCGACCGCGACUUUGAACCAUGAUUUGAACAGCACGUUACAAGUGUAAUUGCAGAAAUUUUCCCCCUCUUCUGCACUUGCUGAUAAGUCUAUACUCUAUAGAGCUAGAUGCAAUAAUGGAGGCUCUUACUACAAAACAGUGGUGCUUCAGUUGCUUGUGUUUCAUGCCAUGACACUGGCCUUUGAAGAGGUCUUUUGUUUACUCUGUUUCUUUCUUCAGUUUUUCGUCUUUAGUUUUGAGAAUAGGUACUUUUAAUUAGUCUUUGUAUUAUUCACUCAUUUGCUACUGUAUCAAUGUUUAUAACAUUUUUUAAAGAUGCUCUAAGUAUAUUCUUAAUUUUGAAAUUUGUGUGGGGAACCAGGUGAGGUGUGGGUAGGGGUUGUUGUUAGACUGCAGUUUGGUGAUCAAGGUACGCUCUAAAUAUAAAUUUAGGCCUAAUGUCAUUAGCAUCAUUUGUACUAAAGUCAUUGAUAACAAUCCUACAGAUUCAUCCUCACAGAUGGAUCAAUUUAGGCCAAAAGUUUAUUAAAAAAUAUUGGAAUUUGUUCUUCAAUACACUCUUUUGGAACCUAAAUUUUUGGGACAAUGUUAGUACUAUGGCAAGUGAAGUUGACAAGUCGCAGAACACUUUUCCUGUAGCACUUUUGUGUGCUUUCAUUUUGACUUGUUCAGGCUAUGUCAUACCUCUUCUAGCUAUCACUGGGGCAAUAUUUGUUGAUAAAAAUUUAUGAUUAACUAGAUACAUGGCUUAUAAAUUUUGUAGCACGAAUGAUUUCUGGUAAAUGGUUGAAAAUUUGGAUUGAAGUCGGAGUUGUUUUAUCAGCAAUUGGCUGAUGCUCAGUUGAGCAAGUUGAGAGGAAUAGCAAAGAUUGGAUUCUUGCCUAAGUUUAUUAAAGUAAUGUCAAAAUGGUUCAUGCUUAGCUGUUGAUAUUGUAAUCAACUGCUUUUUCACUUGGUCUUUUAUGUGUAAGCUACACAGAUAUGAUAUCAGCAAAUUUCUUGCAUGGUUUAGGGAUGCUUUUGGAAUUUCCAUCCUUUCUUUGGUUGAGAAGAAAAUUUCCAACCAGGAAACAACCUUAUCAGGUUUCGCGGAAGAUGCUGGCUCUUGAUUGUAUGCCUAAUUCUAUCAAGAUUUUUGGUGUUUACAAUGGCUAUAGCCACCAAGAUCGUGUAUUUGGUGAGUCUUCUGAUGACUGUUUGUGGGAUUGCUUCAUGCUUGGUAUUUGUUGCUGAAGUUGUGUGAGGCAAAGAAGUGGUUCAAAUUUAAUGUUGGGGAAGAAAUACAAGGACAAAGAUAUUUUUAUCUUUUGAAGAUUCUUGUCAAUAUAAGUACAGAAAAACAAGCUAAUGACUUGUCUAUCUCCAUGAAUUCACUAAGUGGGACACAUGUUUCCAAAGAUUUUAUUACUCUUGCCAUUGAUUCCAUGUUUUGGAAGAUUUCAUAAUUUCGCUCUGUCUUUUCUUGCGUUACUUUAAGCAUCACUAAUUGUUACACUUAGAAUUUGGAUACCUAUCAUCGAACUUUUAUCUCUAUUACUUUUCAUCCUUAUGAUUUCUGUUUGUUAUACACCAAUUUUUGAUUAAAAUUGUCACUUACUCAACAUUACCAGUUCCCUCGCCAUGCGCGAGUCUCACCCCUGGUAUCUAACUAAGAUUGACACAAAUAAUCCUAGAACUAUCUAAAAAUAGUAAAUCUACCAGCAAAAUCAAACAGAAUGACGACUAUUAUAUUUAUAUAGAUUGAAUGUACGGUUGGAAACAAAAAAUAGCUAUUUUUAGCAAAAGCAAAAAAAGUUCAGCGGCUAAAAGUAUAUGACUUGAGUAGUUUAAUUGCUAAUUAGGUUUCUUUUCCCUCGUCUUAUUUUCAUUAACCAAUUAAAGCAUAAGAGAUUUCUCUUUCUUUUUUAAUAAUUUAUUCCAUUUCCUCGAGACAUCCAAUAGCUUAUGGCUCCAUAAUUGAAAUUUGAAACCCAUGACCAAGUCAUACCCAUUUCUUCAAUCCGGUAACUGAGUCACAACACUGGCCAAAAUAAAGGACGGUAGAAAAGCAAAAUAACUGAAUAGAAAAGGACUACACAACAGCCAUUGCUACCUUGUAUCUUUUCGAUCCAUUUUGUACGCCUUGCUAGUCAUCUUUGGGAGCAACCGAAUUCCAUUGAGGAGGUGAUCAUUUGCAAAUGAGGGAGACAACUGAAUGGCUAUAUUUAAGCGGCAUUAUGAUCAGUAUUGCCUGGCAUAGUGGCAGAGCAUAUUCCCUAUGAAUGCCGUGCUAACUGCUAAUGAACAUGAAUUGUUCAUUAACAAAUAGAGGAUUAUAGUCUCAAAAAAUGUGAGUUUUAUCUAAUUCUGUUCUGGUGUUUAUCCCAUUGUUUAGCAAUUAGUUUACAAUUUCAGUUUGUCCUAUCUACAAGUGAUAGGCUGGCUAACAUAUGCCAGUAUGCCACAUCUCUUCUUUCUGUACGUAUAAUCUGAAACGUGGAAAUCUUAUCGUUAUCAUUUUUUGUAAUAGACGAGACGUGUGUGAUUAUGUACCACGAGUGGAUUGUGAAGUAGCCAUCUGUAAAAGCGCCACCAGCCAGUUUUUGGAAGUUAGAAUGGCUUGAUUAGCUAAGUUCCAUGGGUGCAGUCAGAAUUCAGCAAUUACCUUUUGGUUGUACUUGUGGAGUUAGUUUAGGUGUAGUUUGUGAAAAUUUUUACUAAAAGAAAAAAUGACCUGUUGGUGAGGUUUGAAGACCAGAGUGAAUGAGUGUUAUUUAGCACUUAGUAGAGAGGUUCCCUGCUCCCUUGCCCUGAGUCCCACAUCGGUUAGUAAGAGUGUGCGUGAGUUCCACUUAAGUUCUAUAGGUGUAGCCAGAAGUCGGCAAUUGCCUAUUGGUUGUACUUGUGGGGUUAGCAGUUAGCUUAGGCGUAGUUUGUAAAAAUUCUUGCUAAAAGAAUGGCUUGAUUAGCUGGAAUAGAAGAGGAGGGAUCAACUGAUUUCACCCAAACAAAGGAAGCAGAUGGUCUCUAGAAGCAUUUUGCGCAAAGUUUAUGCGAUAGAAUCUCUAUGCUGGUUUAAUCCUAGCUCUUUUAAUGGGUAAAUUAUUCAUAACUCUCUUGUACUUUUGCAUAAUGACACAUGACUUUCAUAAGAUUUCAAAAUAUCGAUAUAACCUCUCUUACAGUUUUGGGUAAAGUGAAAAUUUGACGAUAAAUAAUGUCAUUAAUUGGCAUGCCAAUAAUGCUUUUACUUAAAUACUAAAUUGAUUAAUGGUCUAACUAAUUUGUAUAAAAUUAUAGGGGAUUAUGUGGAUAGAUACUAAACGACAAGCUUGUUAAGUGGAUAUUUAUGCAAAAUCAAAGAGGGAAGUUAAAUAAAUAUUAUAAUUAUAAUUUCAUCACACAUACUUUUUGAAUGCGUCUCAGCUAAUCACCAUAAUUGGAGAUGCUUUCUAUCUGUUUUUCACUUUACAUAAAAUGACUGGGGAUUAUAUGGAUAUUUUAAAACUUUAGGGAGAUCAUAUGGUAUUAUAAAAAAUUGUAGGGGGUUAUGAGUAAUUUUCCUUUUUUCAAUGAUUUUUUAAGGGUAAAUUAUAUUUCAUCCUCCUAUGAUUUAGUAUUUUACCACAUAAACUCUUUUAUAAUUUUAAAAGUUGUACAAAACUUGCUUGUAGUCUGGACUAAAUGGUCAAACUGGCAAACACAGUCUUGUGUCAUAUAACCAAUUUCAAAAUCUAUACAUAACCUCUUUACAGUUAUCUAAUUAUUUCCAUCUUGAAACUGGGUUAUUUUUGAAAAUUUAAAAUUUUAGUCAGCUUUGUUACAGAUGGAAAAUUCCUCACUUUAGUCUUUUACGACAAAUAAUAAGGGCGUUACAUGUAAUUUUGAAAAUUAUAAGAGAGCUAUGUAGAAAGCACUAUUUCAUAAGAGUGUAAAGUAUGAUUUACCAUUGUUUUAAAAACUGCGUAUUAUGCUCACAAUUAGUGAUAUUUUGGUACACAUAUUUACUUUUGUUGGCAUACUAAAUCAAGUCUAAAAAUAAAAGUUUAUAAAUUGUUAUUUAGCAAUAUUUUGGUCAAGUCAAAUUUUUAGUAGUUUCAUUGGAGUCAAAUUAUGGUAGUUUUAUUGUUUAGGAAUUAGUAUUUUAUUAGAAAAUUCUUAUGGUUGUAAAACUUGUUUACCAAGUCAUGUAGUUUAUAAAUAGGGAGUCUUAUUAUUGUAUUAGUAGAACAGUAAAAUUUGAGAGAUUUGUUAUUUUGGUGUGUGAUUAAUAUAUUAUUGUUAGUAUUAUUCCUCUUCUCUCACACCUACUUGCAUAUGUAUAAAUUGGCUCCCCAUCUACACUGAUUUCAUGAAAUUUAUCUCCUGUAACUUGUUGAUUGAUUUUUUGGAUUCUAUAUCUAAUAUCAGAGACCUAGGUUCAAGAAAUUGAUUCUAUGAUGCCUGUGAAUAUUGAAAAUUGUUCUGACUAUGAGGUUAGUAUUGGACAUUUUUCACUCUUAGAUGGAGCAUAAAUUGCUUUGACGAAGUCAGUUGAUCGAGUUAGACCACAAAAUUGGUCAUGGAGUAUCUAGUUGAUGCCGGUUGGACCAUAGGAUUGGUCCGAAAAUUGUUAAAUUGAUUGUGAUUGUGAAGUUGUCAGUUGAAUUGUGAUUAUGAAAAUCAUGAAAUGAGUUGUCAAUAAAUUGAUAUCAAAUUAUGUAACAAGAAUAGUCUAUCCAGUUGGGUGAAUUAUUUUAGCGAGUCAAAAACAAGUUAAGUGAAGAGGUAAAUCUAUUCAGGUACAUGGAAUAUUAUAGUAGCAAACAUUUUUGUAGAUGAAAAAUUCAAAAUGAUACUAAUAGAAUUUUACAAGAGAGGUUAUUGAUCAUGAUGGUGGUGAACUCGAUCUAAGAGAAAGCUUGAUUUAAAGGAGGCAAUGUUGGUACACCAAAUCAAGUCUAAAAACAGUAUUUUCUAAAUUGUUAUUUAGCAGUGUUUUAGUCAAGUCAAUUUUUUAGUAGUUUUGUUGGAGUCAAAUUAUGAUAGUUUUAUUAUUUAGGAAUUAGUAUUUUAUUAGAAAAUUCUCAUGGUUGUAAGAUUUGUUUACCAAAUCAUAUAGUCUAUAAAUAGGGAGUCUAAUUAUUGUAUUAGUUGAGAAGGGUAAAAUUUGAGAGCGUUAUUCUUGUGGUGUAUGAUUAAUAUAUUAUUGUCGGUAUUAUUCCUAUUCUCCUGCAUAUAUUUUUAUGUGUGUAAAUUACCUCUCCAUGCAUCUACAUUGGUUCUAUGAAAUUUAUCUCAUCCUACAACAUUUUGAUAUAAUUUUUUUGGGUUCUACAACUUUAAUUUUUCUUUCAAAUGUAUUUUGUGGCUUAGUACGUAAGCAUCAAUAUAGCAAUUGGUCUUAUUUUACUGGACAUUCCUCUUCAGCUAAGAGGUGAUAACUGCCAAAAAAAUAAAAAUGUGCUAAAACAGCAAAAUUUGAACAUUCUGACCAUUGUUAAGGAUCCACUAUCCAUCCGUGGAUCCAAGUUAACAAAUUUGCACAACUCUCUGAAAUGAAUCCGAUUCACUUUCUAUGGAAUCCAGGGACUGAUUCUUAAUCCGUGGAUAGAUUCUCAAUAAUCCAUGACCGGAUUCUGAAUUUUAAAAUUCGUCAACAAUUGUGUAUAUAUAACUCAUCUCAUUUUAGUAUCCACAAAAGUAGUUGGCUGUGCAAAAACUGAAAGGAUUAUAGUUACAUUACAUUAGGAUCUCAUGUAGUUCAUGGUUUCAAAACUUGCUAUCUGAUUUUAAUUUCUUUUUACUCACAUAACAUAUGCUCUUGGUAUCUAAUACCAAUGCAAAAUCAUUCGAGUUUGGCAACAGUUUUCUAUCUUUAGAAUCAUUAGGGUUCUGAAAUUUAAUUGUAUUUACAUUGCAUGAGUUCGCAUUUAAAAUUCGUGAUGGUGACUUGUCAAACAAAAAAAAAAAUUUUGUGAUAGUGACCCGACCAAUUGAUGUAUCAGUGGCAGGGAAAGAAUAAGUGAAGGAUAAGCAGUGGCAGACUGUCAUAUUAUGAUAUUAAUGGGCACUAAUAUAAGAAUCCAAUAGCUAAAUUUCAAAGAAAUUACAGGCAACAUCUGCAUAUACGUACUAUAUCAUAGUUUCGUGACCCACGAGGUGUAUUAUUUUUCAUCGACUAAGAGCAUCACAGCUUCCUCCAAAAACAACAAAAAAAAAGGGAAAAAAAAAAUCCUGGGCCAUGAUAUUGGUCUGUCUGCAUCCUCCACUAGAUCGACAGUCUUGCUCCAGAUCUUUCUCAAUUUUUUUUCACAUAGGACGCCAAAUCAUCGGCAGUUUUAUUAUUAGUACAGAUCAAGGCAUUUUGAAACAAUUUCCCUCGAAACUCAGCACUAAGCAGCCUGCUUGCCUCUCUCGUGAUAUUGAUGAACAGACACAAGAAUUCCCAACUGCUUCCAUGAUUAUCAGGUUGAAUUCUUUCUCCAUCUAAAAAAGAUUAAUUCAAAGGAUCAUUGCUCGAAAAUCUGUUGCAAUUUUACUGAAAAAUCGUUCCAUGGAUCAGCAGUAAUUGUAAUGUCAAGAGCCCAACUUCCAAAUGGUGUCACACUAACAGCAAGAUUGAGUUUCUCUACCUCAGAAGCAAUUUUUGUCAGUACCCUUUCUAUGAUCUUCACAAUGAACAAUCAGAAAAACGUUCUUGUCUUAAAAUUUAGCCUAAAUUUCAAUCCGUGGCUGCUCAUCAGGGCCAGCCAUAUCAUCUAAAUAACCUUCAUUUUCAACUAAGAGUUGUGGUUUCUUCACAAGCACCGCUGGUUCCAUGGUUUGUUCCUCCAGCUUCUUUGCUCUCUCCUCAAGAAUGAAAGUUUUAUGCAUCUGCAAGAACUUAAAUGUCUCGUGAACAAGAAUUCUAUAAGAACUUCGGUUGCAAAUUACGUGCUGAGAUUUCAAAAUCUAUAUAUAGGUUGGAAAACUUGCACGCCCGAUCAAUUUAUUUAGUGUAGUCGUCACUGUCUGCCUGAUCAAUUUAUUUAUCUAACCGAUAUUAGCAAUCAACACAAACUUGUCUACUAUGCUGGUUUUUUUUUAUCCCUAGUUUAGGAAAAAUUAGAUAGUACCUUCUUGAGACCAGGAACUAUGGUGGAAAGAGCCAUGAAACUCUGGCUGAACAGCUCGUAUCGCUUUCUUUCUGCUACUACGUGAUCAUAGUUUUGGGUUCGUAACCUUGUACGACCGCCAGGUUUCUUUGCUUUUGUUUGGACAGUAGUAUUAGUGGCCUCAUCAAGUUUUACAAAUGAACCUUGGGAUGUCAAAACCUCAGACACUGCAUCAUCCUCAGGGUUCAAUGUUCCUAGACUCACUUGUUGAGGAUUUAUUCCUAGCAUAUUUGGAUUCCCAAAAGUGAGAAUCAGUGGACAAGAAGAAGCUUGAUCAAAAUUUGGCACAUUGUGGAUGCUUGACAAGUUAUAGCCAUUAGGCUUGUGCUGUUUGGCUGGUCUUUCAGGAACAAAUAGAUGAGCUACCAUCACUGAACUAAGAGAUCCGAAAAUCUGGAGAAGGAUGAAUUGCCUUUUGGAUACAGAACUAAGAUAUAGAAAUAGGUGGAGAAAGAUGAAUUGCCUUUUGAAGACAAGAGAAUAUUGAAAGUAAUGGACAGCUGCGGCAGAUAACUCUUCAUCAAAGACGUCCAUUAUUGAUCACUAAAACUGGAUCCUCCAUUCCCUGUUAAUUAAGACAAAGGAGAAGGUUGUAUAAGCUUUUCAUACGUACUUGAAUUUUUCCUCCUAAGUGAUCUUUGUAGCUUCUGAGAUGGGUGAAACAUAUCCAUACCUUAAAAAGCAAAAGUGGGAAAUAAAGGAAAAAACAAAAGAAAGAGCAAUAGAGAACAAGAGGCGUACAAGUCCAGGACAUUUUUAUCAGUGCUUCAAAAGGAUCCCCCCUCUGCGCUCCAUUGUCAGGGAAGGCCCCUCCUUCAAUGGAGCGCAGAGGAUGAUGAAUGGAGCAGAAGACAUCACUCAACCAUUUAUACACGGUUGUACGCCUGAUUCAUUUAGGGUUUGAAUGUGCUCAAGCUGCACGAUGACUAGUUCAUGAAAUAUUUUAUUUGAAGCGUGUAAAUUGAGAAAAUCGUUAAAUAUUACUAUAUUCGAUGAACGAUUAUAUGCCAUAAAUAUUCACUAAACUAUUCUACGUAACUCUAGUACCACAAAUCCACCAAACCUCCCCCAUCCCCACCCAAAAAAAGUUUAUUUUUUGGGUAAAAUAUCCAAAAACUCCCUGUAAUGUGCUAAAUAUUCAAUUUAACUCCCUCUAAUUUGAAAAUUUAUACUAUAACUCCCUGUGGUUUCAACUAAAUUGAAAUUGGAUGGAAAGCAUUUAAUCUAACGGUUAUACUUGAAAUAUCAAUAUUGCUCUUAUAUAAAUGAACUCCCUAUGAUUGGUUGAAUGUUCAAUUUAACUCCCUCUGGUUUGAAAAAUUACACUUCCUACGAUUUUGACUAAAUUAAAAAUUGAAUGGAAAGCAUCUCACGUAUAGCAGGGGCAAUAUUGAUAUUUCACACACAACCAUUAGACUUUAUGCUUUCUGUCCAAUUUUCAAUUUAGUCAAAAUCACAAGGAAUUAUAAUGUAGGUUUUCAAAUCAGAGGGAGUUAAAAUUGAAUAUUUGUCAAAUCGCAGGGAGUUUUUUGGUAUUUUAUCUUUUAUUUUUACUGCUUUUUGUGAUAUGAAUGGAUAAAAAGAUUCUUUUUUAUCUCAAUUAAAAAAAACACAAACAUCGGGUAAUCGAAACCAUUAGAUAGUAGAUAUAACUUGAGUAAGUCCGAUUACAUAUCUUAGUUGUACUUGUUAUAGAAUUUUAUGCAAAAUUAAAAUAUCAUUACGAUGCAAAAAUUAGUGUAUACAAACAAAAUAUUUUAUGUAACUAAAGCCCAUUAAUAUAUUAUAAUUAUACUUUGUACGGUAAAAUAAGUUCAUUAACUAUCAACAAUUGUACAUCAUGUAACUCUACUAUCACUAAUCCAACACCCCCCAUUUCCACCUACCGUACUCGCAUUACCCCACCUCCCUUCUGGAAGAGGGGCAAACAAUCGUUCUUGACAGUUCACGGCUAAGAUUUGACAAAAAAAAAAUUAUAUGAUCCAGAUCUCAUUUUGUAUUUAAUUUUUAAUAACAUGCAUGAGAUCUAUAAAAUUUUACUCUAAAAUUACACGUUAUUAAAAAUAAGUUACACCAUAUAUAAAUAAAAUUAUACCAUAUAUAAAAUACACAUAAUCUUCGUCAGGAACUGCAAUCGUUCCUGCCCUGGUCCCUCCCUCCCCCCCAAACCGACGCCGUAAAGCCCGAGCCCAACUUCUGGUACGAAGAUUCUCAUAUCUGCGACCUCAGCCUUUCCUUUAUUGUUUUGUUUUUUAAAAUGUCGUACAGAGAUUGUGGGCCUUUGACUUCUUCAACUCUCCCCUAUUUUUUCAACAGUCUGUCUCAUGAAUACCCGAUCCUUAUGAUAUACUAUUUUAAGUAUUAUAUUUUUAAAAAUAUAAAUUUAAUUAAAAAAAUAAAUAAAUAUAAGAAAGGGUAAACAAGAUUCAAUAGGAAAAAUAUAUAAAUAUAAAAAAAUAUAUAUAAAUAUUAGGGAUGAUAAUAAUUAUUAAUAUGUAUAUAUAUAUACAGUAGAUUAGGUGAAUGAUAAGUGUAUUAAUGUGUCCUAAGAAUACUUGCUAUAAAAAAUCCUUUUUUCAACCAAACAUGGACAGAGUUUGUAGUACUUUCUGUCUGUGGAAGUGAAACGGGGUCGCUUGAGAGAAGGGGGAAAAUAAAAUUAAAAAAAAAAACAGAGAAGUUUAGUGAAGGCUCAUGACAUGAACCAAGCAAAUUUGAUGUUGGAAAUUCAUGAUUUCCUGCCCAAAUCCCUGGAUUCUUGAACCAAAUUACUCCUUAGUACUUAGGAAUUCUAAUGCCAUCAAGGAUUUGAGCUGAAAUCCCUAUGUAUGCGAUACUUCAAAUUUUGAUAAGUGCAAGUACAAGGGAUAAUCCCCAAACAUAUAUAGGAAACCUAUGACUGAGCCAAAGGCUAUACUAUGUAUGUUACACAAACCAAGCCAAAACAGCCUAACUAAAUUUGUGCAGUCCAAUGGAUUGAUGAAAACCAACUCAUUAUAAGACCCCAAUUCUUUUUCUCGCUUUUGUCACAUUCUCCAACUAUGCACAAUACAAUACAUCCCGAAUAAAUUCUUUGCACAACCGGACAGGCCAAUCUAAUGUUUGAAUACCACCAAGAUUUGAGCUCUCCAAAUGUGAUAAACAGUCAUAGCCAGUCAAAGUUUGCUAAGCUGAUGACGAAAAGAUCAAUUAGACCUGGCAUUGCAUCUCAACCAGGCUAUUUUCAUUGGUCCAGCCAACAGAUCAGCCAUAAGCAUGAUAAACUCCAAUAUUUGCCUCGAUAAAACUUCAAAUCUUCUGCUUUAUUUUCUCCUUCUGUGUUCCAAAGCUUUCUCUUUCCUUCUUUUGUUUUCUGAAGUACUACUCUUCCCUUUUUCUUUUCCUUUUUCCGAUUUUGUCUUACUAAAAAUAGGCAAGUUUCGAUUGGUAACUUUUACUAAUGAAAAAGUAGUAUCUUUUACCCAAAAAUGGUAAGUUUCAUUAAAAAGGUGAAAAGUUUGUAAACAAAUUGUUAUAAACAGAAUGAUGUGUUUAGUAACGAAAUCGUAUGUUUUAGUUAAAAAAAAAAAAAAGAAUCUUAUUGCCGUAAAAGUUUGUCAUUUUGCUAAAAAGGAAAGCUUUAUUAGAAUACUAGUCAGCUCAGCAGGUGUAGUAAUACCAAUUAGAUUAUGUGAUAUUAAUUCUGCUGUAAGUCUUGCUAAUGUAAUCUACUCAAGAAGUAGUAAACUUUGCUAGCAAUAGUAAGAAGCAACUUUUUUUUAUCAAUUACUCACUUUUUCUAUUAACUGGUAUCCCUUUUUUUUUUUAAAAAAAAAAGGAAGGUAGUGCCGUUUUUCUAUAGAGUCGUAGUCACUGUUGAAAAUAGAUAGAUUUUGUCAACAAAGUGUUGAGAGAAAGAAAAACGCAUAAUUAGUGAACACUAAUGUCAAGGGAUGUGGUCAUCACCAUCGUUGAAGUGAUUUUGCUCAUCCUGAGAAAGUGUCCGACAAUGGUACAAAAGAGACCUCACAUGCUAUCUCUGUUGAAGAAGUAUUCAACGGCUACCUUAAUUGCGUGCACUCGCAGCCAAGGCUUGGAGAUUGUUAGGACGAGUCAAUAAUAGAAGAGGAGUUCAUUAUCAAAAAAAAAAAAAAAUUAGAAGAAGAGUUUUGUCGUGUGGUAUGAAAACGGUGAUUAAUUAAGCCAUGAUCAGUUAGCCUUUUGUUUUGUCGGAAUAAUAAUGUUCUUAUAAUAUAAUCAAUUCUAUUUUAUAGCGGGCUAGAGAGGAGGUUAAAGAGCCUUAUAACCUAAUCUAUCCUAUUUUACAGGGAGGUAUCUAUCACUUCUGCAGGUGGGAUUCGAACCCCUUAACCUAUAGACAAAAGAGGGAUUUAAUCGCUUUUUGGUGGCUACUAAGUCAAAACUCGAUGGUUAUAAUUAGUUAGCCAAUUUGAGGGUAAUUCUAACAUAAGUCCAUUGACUAGUAAUUAACACAUCUAAAUUCACCUAACAUGACAUGUAUAUACACUGUACAUACUAAUAAUUAUUAUCUUUCUUUGAAUUCAUAUACUUUUUCUAUUUAAUUUUUUCUAUCAUUCAUUGUAUUUAUUUACUUUUCUUAAUUAAUUUUACAUUUCAAAAAAUAUAACAUCUAAAAUAUAUCUAACGGAUACCCAAUGGGCACCUGUUAGAUAGACCCUUAGGAAAAUAAUUGAAGGAAAAUUCGAAAAAGCGCAUUGACUAAACAAAGGGACAAAAUCGAUGUGUGAUUAACUAGAUGAAUUCAUAAUGCAGGGGAAGUUUAUAUAAGGAAACUCAGUUUGUUUGGAUAAGAGUUUAUUUGGAUGAUUUAUUUGAGAUAAUUACUGUAGUACUUUUUAUGAUGUGAUUAGAGGUGUCAAAAUGGGUAACUUGGGCGGGUUUGGGUUGGGUAAAAUAGGUAAUGGGUAUAAGUGAAUCAACCCAUUUAUACUCAUUUAAUUAAAUGGGUAUAAAUGUGUAAGUUAAAAAAUGAAUUUGGUAACCUAAUUACCCAUUUAUAACCCAUUUAUUUUAACUUUUUGUAAACUCAUUUAAAUUCAUUUUUUGCAAACUAAGUUAUCAAUUUAUACCGUUCUUUGUACCCAUCAUUAGUUUUAAAUAUUUACUUAUAAUGCUCAAUAAGUCUAAUUACCAAUUUUUUUUCCAUUUAUACUCUAUGUCACAAAAUUGCAUAUUAUUUAAUAAUUGAAUAAUAAGAAUAUAAAAAUGUGAACUAAGUACUAUAAAAGUUAAUAUAAAAACUUAAUCCAAAAAAUUUUGAACUCCUAACAUAUUUUUCAUAUGUAAAUUUAAAAUUUCAUUUUAGAAAGAUAAGAAAAGAUGCUAAAACUUAUCAUAAAUUGGUAAUGCUGAAAAAUGAGCAAGUUAACAAAUUAAGAGAAAAUAAAAUAAUAAGAUAAAAUCAACAAAUAAUAAUAAUAAUGAAACAAAAAUAGUUAGCAUCAUGAUGAAAAGAAAAAUCUGAAAAAAAUGGGUUGGAGAAGAGAAGAGACUUGGGGGAAGAGAACUCUAAAUGGGUUAAUUGGAUUUGAUAGAUUACCUAACAAUACCCAUUUAAUAAUACCCAUUUAAUAAAUUGGUAUUAUUGGGUAAUCCAUUUAUACCCAUAUAUAAAAAUUUAAGAUACCCAUACCCAUCUAUUUAUGGGCGGGUAUGGAUAAAUUUAGUUAAAUGGGUUGGUUUGCCGGUAAUAGAUGUGAUGUAUGUGAGAUAAAAAAGUGAUUGAUAAGAUAAAAAGGUGGUUGGAAUUUGUAAAGUAAAUUAUUUUACUUCAAAUCUUUUUAAUCCAAACACACCCUCUAUUUGAACUAGAAAGGAGCUAGCUUUGACGCUUUAUUACUUAGAAGAUGACGUUGUAACUUAUUUCAGAAAAGCAGUACAAUUUCUUAUUGACGUUGUAAUACAGUUGUCCAAAGAAGUAAGUUUUUGUUUUUAGUGGUUAAACUAGCAAGUCAACACUGAGAUAAAGUGGUCAGUUUUCUCAACAAGAUUUUUCUAACGAGUAAUAGUUGCACUUGCUAACAAAGUCAUUUUCACCUAAUUUAGCAUUUAGACACUUUUUGAGAACUAACUUCACUUUUGUAAUCCAAAAAAAAAAAAAAACACCUGAGAUUACUCUUAAUGAGUGCCAAGUUAGUACCACUAGCCAAAUCCUUGGAAGCAUUAAUAAGGUUUUCAAACAAAGUGCAUAAGAAAACAUAAAUUUUUGGAUAUUAAAAAAGUAAGCGAAAAUAAUUUCUAUAUAAUUAAUUACAACAACUAAUUCCACUUUGAACCCUCUGAUAGAAAAAAGUUAACCAUUCUUAUUUUCCACCCUCAAUUUCAGUUUUGAAUAUGUUACAUAUCAAAGUUUCAAAAUCAUUACAAUUUGAUCUUUUCGUAAACCACAUUGACAAAAUUGAUGAAUUUUAUGUGCGUGCAGACCAAGAAUGCUAAGCAAUAGGUCUCAAAUUCACUUUUCAUGCUCAACUUUUUUUCUAUUUUUACUUUACACCACAUAUAUUAAUUCUUUAAGCAUUAUGCCCUCAAUUUGGUUUUGAUGCAUUGUCAUAGAUUUUCUAAAUGUGCAAUAGAAAUAAAAGAAUUUUUACCAAUACCUUGCUCCAUUCAAUUUCAUGAAAUUAUUUUUUGUAGAAUUUAUAUUUCUCUAAUUACCUAAAUAUUAGUUAAAUAACACAUCACUACGUAGAUAUCCAAGUGUAGAAUAGGGCGUGGUUUUAUAAGUUUAGGUGCUAUUAGAAGUAAAGGGCAAUAAACUUGGUUUUGAGUAAAUGUAUUAAACUUAUUGUUAAUAAUCCUAAUAAAAUACUAUAUGAUAGCAGUUUGGUUUCAACUAGCUUAAUCCAUCACGAGUAGCAUGGUUUCUUUGUUGGUUAUUAGAAGCACACUAAUAAUGAUCUUCAUAUAUAUAUAUAUGCUAAUAUAACACAAGUUCUUUGUCAAUUAAGCGUUCAUUUGUGUCUAAUUGUAUGGUCAAUUCAUACAGCUGUAAUAGAUGAAAAGUUAUGCAGAAAAUAUAUGCACAUAGAGUAAAAGAUUCAAAAUACUAAUUUUAUAAAUUUGAGGGGACAUGGUGUGCAAAAUAUUAGAUAAAAAUCUAUAUAUACCUAUUGCACAACUAAAAGUCUAUAACAUUACAUUAAAAAAUGAAUUUUAGAUGAAAUAUAUCCAAAUACUGGAGUUAAGGGUACAAAGUAGAAACAGGGGAGUAAGUUAGCGUGCAAAAUGACAUAGGUAUGCCCCCGCGUGAAUGGUCCAGUGGUAGUGCCUCUCACCAGUGAAUCUUGAGAUCACAAGUUCGAGUCUCCGCUCCACUGGAUUCCUCCGUGCACUUAACGUGUUCGGGCCGGGUUGGAGCGCCGGGUCCAGGCCAAUGGAGAUUAGUCGGGUAAGUUUUCUUCUUGUUACAAACGCAAGUACUUCUAAAUUUCAUUAGCCUUAUCCACUAUUAGUACAAAUAUUAGUAUUUUCUUUUAAUCAACCGUACAAAAACAUGAAUUUGGUGGACAGAGCUGAUACGUACCGGCUGCGUAUGGCACCAAAUUGUCUAUUUAUGUGACGCAGAGCACUGUCCAAAAAUAUAUUAUACCCAAUUUGUUUGUUCUGAUUGUUUAGACUAUAAAGAAUUAGGGUGGACUGGUGUUGGCUCCACAACAAUAAUUUAUAGCCAGCCUAUCAGGUCUAGUGAACUAUCCUAGCUUUUCUUAUUAUUUGACAAUUCGCAGGUCAUAUUCUUAACCACUUGUCCCUUUUGCUUCUCUUUCUUGCAGAUUAAAAAACGUCAGGUCUAGGAGAUGCCAUGAGUAUUUGAAGCAUCUAAAGGAGAGGUAAGGACACUAGAAGACCAAGCCACGAAGAAAAACCAUGGAAUCUGCAGAGCUUGCGAACAAGUCAGAAUUUCUAGCUGAAGGUGAGGGAUCUUCAGAUGAGAUGGGCAGCACCAGUGAUCAGCGGCCACUACCUCAAAUUGAAGCCAAAGUUUGUGAUAACAAAGUUCUUCUGAGACUUCACUGUGAAAAUCAACGAGGAGUGCUGAUAAAAAUACUCUCUCAAGUAGAAAAGCUCAAUCUUGCUGUUUCUAACACUAAUGUCUCACAAUUUGGAAAAAAUCGGGCUCUUGAUAUAACUAUUAUUGCGGAGGUAAGCUAAACUAUACACAGUUCAAUUUCUUCAAGUUUUUUUUUUCCAAGUGAAUAUUAAGGGAUAAAUUUUUUUUUGGUGUGCAGAUGGAGAAAGAAUUCAACCUGACAAUCAAAGAACUGGUUAGAAAUCUUCAAUCAGCUCUUCAGCUUGUGAACUAAGAAGCCUGGGGUUUCGUCUGGUCCUCAGGUUCAACUAGAUGGAUCAAAGGGCCUUACGAGUCAGCUUUCGUGGCCACUAGAUCCAUAAGUACGUGUUUCACGAGUGCAAAUGUAAAAGAACUGUUAUGUUUUCCAAUAUUUCAUAGGUAUAUGACUAGUUUACUUCAAGGUGUUUUACUAUGACUUCAUUCAGUUCAUUGUGGUUUUGUUCUGUUCGGUUCACGAAAGUUUCUAUCUGAUGUAGACAUUAUUUCUACCUUCGUAAAACAUUCAUUGGCAUUUGUGAAAAGUAUCAGGUGGCCCAAAUUACUUCCACGGCCCCUUAAUACAGAUACGGAGAUGCUUUUUGCAGUACCAAUUUUAGUGUUUCACUCGUGUAUAAUCUGGGUUUUUUUCUAUUGGUUAGAAAAAAGCAUGAAAUCGACAAUUGAGGUCUACUCAUUUUCUUCGGUGUGUUUCUCCAAAUCCCAAAAAUUUCCAGGUGUUUCCAGGUGUCUGAUACUGCAAAUGCAAUGUUAAUUUUGUUUACAUCUCAAACUCCGAUUAUUUGAGCGGCUGUCUUGAAGCUCGAGAGUCGAGACUUGGAAAGAUUUCAGUUAUACACCCUCUUUAUAACCAUAUUAUUGCAAACGAGAUCGUUAAAUGUACCUUGUCAAAGUAUCAAUAAGCAAAAGAUCCACUGCUGUUUCCUUUAAGAUAUACUCCAUUAUUCAUGCACCAAAACGGAAUUCAGAAGUGAAGGGGCAUAUCCAUGGUUCGAAAUCUCGGCCGAGACCGAGACGACUCGGCCGAAUCGUCACCGUCUCGGCCCCUACCGAUACGAUACCGUGACGAAACGAUACCGAAAUACUUGACUCGCCGAGAAAUCGGCCGAGUCGUCACCGCGACGGAUUGACUCGACCGAGUGACACCGAAUCACUCCGAGUUAUCCCGAGUCAAGACGAGAAAUCAGUCGAGUCACACCGCGACGGAUUGACAUGGCUGUUUCUUUUGCUAUUUUUUAAUUAUUUUUAUUUAGCAUACUUUUUUAUAUUAUUAACAAUUUUUAAAAUAUUGAAUACUUUAAAAUUUGCGUCUCACCGAGACCGCGACCGAUAUGCCGAGACCGAUGUGGAACGUUCCGGGCCGCGACCGCGAUCGUAACCGUGACUUUGAACCAUGGGCAUAUCCCUCAAACUAGUAUAUAAAAUGAAGCAUUAUGCCUUGUAGUAAACAACUAAUGUGAUCUGAGUUUCUAUCAAGGUACAAAAAUAGAGCAAGAGAUGCCUAAUUCACCGCAAAUGCUCAAACCUUCCUGGGAUUUUUCACAUCUUCCAAGCAUACAUCUUCGACAGCUAAAACAUACACUCAGUCAGGAGAGAACAAUAAAUUCUUGAGAACUUUCGAAUUUCUAUGAGGUCACAAGUGCUAAACAGUAGCUGGAAAAAUCAUCCCUUCAUCCGGCAGAAAGAAAAGAACUUUGGGGAACAAUUUGGAACCAUCAAUAGCAGUGGACAGUCACACUAUGUAACUUGUCCAUACAGCAGACAAGCUCUGGCUCCCAAUCAUAAGCAGUAAAACAAGAUGGGAUAAAGAUUCAUUGGCUGAUGAUGGAAGUUUGUGUAUAUUGGAUCAGCCUCAAAGUCCGCAGCUCUCAACACAUAAUGUUUUCUCCAAACAAUUCUAAAAUGAGGCACUAGGGUAAUUAGCAGAAGCUAGCUCAUGCAUAGCAGGCUUAGCUGAGUAUACACCUUCCUUAUCUAGCCGAGUAUACAGCAGAAUUAGGAAGGAAGAGAGAGAGGUAGUUAAUUUGUUGCUUCGAUUGAUUAUAUAUAUAUAUAUAUUUGCGUCAUAUUUGAUGUAUUUUCCUAUUUAUGUAGAUAUUGAAAUAAAAUUAUGUUUUAAAAAAAAAAUCCAAGCACAUACACCACUAGGCAAUAUGGUCUCCAACCAGUAAAAGGUGUAAAGAGUUCGAGAAGAAUAUGCUUGCAAUUAUGGCCCCUUAGGCCACCAGUCGCACUAAAAUGUGACGUGCUUGUCGUGCGGCAGAACCAUUUGGUGCCGCCCUUUAGUUUGAUCUUUGAUGGCUGUGUCUGGACAAAUUACCUAGGGUAAAAUACAGAAAACUCCUUAUGAUUUGACUAUUUGACACGCUACCUUUUCAUUAUUUAAAAACAUCCACACUAUCCCCUCGUGCUUUGGACUAAAGUGAAAUUUGACUGGUAACUGUAUGUUACCUGCAAGUGAUGCAUUAUUAUUUUUUUAAUAUUUUUUUAUUUUAUUGUCAUUUUUUCUUUCAAUUUUGGUGCUUUGACUUAACUAUCAUAGGUAUUUUUACAAAUUUGAGAAAUUAGUGAUGCACUUUUAAAAUUUUCUAAAAAUUAUUCAUACCCUCUUACUAUUUUGCCCUGUCGUCUCUCUCUAUUGAUGUCAGUCGCCACCACCGCCCACGGCUUUGUCUCCAAAGAUUCUUCCAACAACAAUGCCCCCAAAAUCCAAAUUCACCCAAAUAUCCAAGAAAAAAUUUCAUGAAUUUCAUAAGCUUCCAUCAUAAAAUUCUUGAAAAAGUAGACAAAUCAGAUGAGUGAAAAUGGCAUCCCUCUUCAUUUUUCGUUUUUCGUCGCAUAAUCCGGUAACCGCCGGAUGAUCCACAAGAAAAGCGGCAGGAAUCAAACAUAGCUAACCAGCUUUGAAAGCCAUUAAAAGAAAUCAAAUUCGAGGUAAUUAUCAGAAUUUUACUAAAAGGGCAUAGCUCCAGGAGCAGGCUUUUCACCGGUUGACGCUGUUGGGACCGGAAUCUUCUCAAUCUCGAAUGGCCUUGAGAUAUCUAGAGGGCUUGCACAACGAAUUAGAGCCCAAUUUACACCUUCAAAGAAGGGAUGCUGCUUAAUUUCGAUUGCCCCACGUUUGUAUGCCAACCUAUGUUGUGGCUCUUUAACUAGCAACCCUCUUAUAAGAUCUCUAGCUGAAAAACUGAUGACAGGAGACUUUGGAAAUUGAAGGGGCUGCCCGACAACGUUGAAUAAGGUCGCUCGAUUCCCAGUUCUGGUGGAGGCGAUGAUGGUGUGAAGUGGUGGAGGGGGAAGGGGAGCAGGAGAGAGGAGGAAAAAGAAAGAAAAGGUGAAAAUGAAAAAAAAAAAAAAAGAAUCAAAAAAUGAGCAGAUGCUAAGACCACCUUGCUUCGAUGUUGUGACUUGUGGAGAAUGUGAAAUAGAGGAAGAAGGAGAGGAAUAAUAGAAAAGAAAAGGAAAAAAGAGGAAAGGAAAGGAAAAUAAAAUAAAAAGAAAAAAUUUAAUAAUAGACAGGCUACCGGUUCACAGCAGGUCAAAAAGCGUAAUUCUACUCUAGUCUAAAGCAUGAGGGGGUAGUGUGGGUGUUUUUAAAUAAUGAGGAGGUAGCGUGUCAAAUAGUCAAACCACAAGGAGGUUUUCUGUAUUUUAUCAAAUUACCUAUCAAGUUUUGGUGUUACAAUCCAGUGUCCUAAGCUCUACAUGAAUCAGAUGUAUUCGAUUAUUUUCAAUAUUUAUGUAUUUUGUCAGGUAUAUUACACAUGUUUCAAAUUCUAUAUUGAUAUAUACAGACACAUGCAUGCAUUCAUACAUACAUAUGUCUAUUCUUUUAUUGAAAUUAAUGUGAUUUAGUUUGUACGCAUUUUUGGGUUAGUUCCAAUAAAUCUCCUCAACAAUACUCUUUCUAAAUCAACUUGCCCACUAAAGGUUAAAUUGUACGGUUUCGAAUCUUCUGUUUCCAAAUUACUCUCUAUCUCCUGUCUCUUCUUGUACAGCUGCCACGUAUUUUUAACUUUUUGAUAACCCAAAUUCAAACAAGCUAAUAGGUUGCAUUUUUGUUAUUAAUUUUAUGAUUAUUUCCCUCUUUAUUUUACCAAAUAUUGUAUUAAUUGAUAGAUUCUGUUUAUAUUUGGUGUUUUGUGUUAAUUAUAGGGCGUUGGAGUAAAAAGUGCUAAAAAAGGGUGAUUUUCUUGGAAUUGAUUGUCAACCGCAAGUUUCCCAAUUCAAGAUGAAGCCUACGUGGAUUAUUGACUGAAGAUUAGGAAAUUACCAUUUUUUUUAGAUAUUUUAUUUAGGAAACAAUUGGCAUUAUUCUUGAAGUUACCUUUUUCAAUUAGAAUUCUAGUUUCGGUUGCUGAAGUGAGAGCCCAAAUUUGUUAGUAAUUGGUAGUCAUUUAGGUUUCUUAUUAUCAUCUUUUUUGCGGGGUUGGCUGCAAUAGGGAGGACGGCCGGUUGGCCUCUCAAUUCGUCUUGCUUUCAUUAGUUUUAGAGGAAAACUAAUUGCAACCAGAUUCCACGAAGUCUGGCGGAAUUUCUUCUAGAUGUGUUGCUAAAUCUCCAUUUUCUAGUCAAGGAACAACGGAAGUUUUGGUUUAUUUAAAAAUUGUGAGAUCGAAUUAAUUUUAUUUAUUCAUUUUAUUUACUGGUAUUUGCAUAUUCUCUGAUUGUAUUGCUUAUGGUUGUUUUAUUAAUUGAGUAUCUUGGGCCCGGACGUUGAAUUAAUUUAGCAACCUAGUAUCAAUUGGAACAUUAAAUCUGUAAUUAUUUAAUUACUCUAAAAUAGUGGCAACUGGCAUGAUUGGAUUUGCGUCAGGAGAAUACGCGAACUAAUCUAAAAUAACUCUGGUAGUGUAUUAUUUGGUUAGAAUAGGGCUUCUCUAAUACGUAAGGCAACUGAAAAAUUAAAUCUUACGGGCGUACUUAGAAUUAUUUCUCGAUUAGAGUAGUAAUUAAUGGGCGUACCUUAAUCACCGACACAGUAAAAAAGAGUUGACUGUCAUCACUUGUUUGGCAGUUAUAACUUAUUUAUUAGUUAAUAAUUAGAAUUACCUUUGCAUCGAUAAUCAAUUAGGAAAACCAUUACCGAAAUUAUUUCUUGACUAGAGCUUAGUUAUUAUUAAUUUGAUUUUAAUAAUUUGUGAUUUAAUUUUUAGUUGGCUAUUUAUUGAACCAUUUAAUUAUUACCAAAAAAACCCCCCUUUGUUAGUUUGAAUUUCAAAAGAGACAAAUAACCCCAGUCCCUAUGGUUUCGACCCUACUUAUCACUAUCUACAAAAAUUAUAUUUUAUUUGAGUAGGUAUUUAUUAUUGCACAGACUCGACAACUUGUCACUGCCACGUGUUUCUAACAUUUUGAUAACCCAAAUUCAAACAAGUUGAUAAUAAUCAGUUGACAAGUUUCCUUAAAAGCAAAACUUGCAGUUUUCUUCUUCAUGUAAACUAGAGUUGAAGAAAUUCUGAUAGGGAACCACCGCUUGAUUUAUCCAAAGAAAAAAUAGUUUUGAGUUAUUGGAACAGUUUGAUUUAUUCAAAGGCAAAAAAGUUUUGAAUUAUCUGUUUUAAUUGAUUUUGAGUACAUUUGUCAAUUGAUUAUUAUCGGUUUGUUUGAUUUUGGAUUAUCAAAAAGUUAGAGACACGUGGCAGCUAUACAAAGAAGGGACAGAGGAGAUAAAGACUAAUUUGGGGACAGAAGAUUCGAAACCAAAUUGUACUAAUCCACUCCUUAUAAUAUCACAAUACAACUCAAUUGGGUUCCCCCUCCUUUGUAGAAUAGGAUAACAUAGACAUUACCAAUUAAUCAAAAAAAAAAAAAAGAGGAAUCGGGUAGAACAGUCCAAUUUAUGGCUAAUUUUGUCAUGUGAACCUCGCAUAAUUAUGAGAAGUGACCAAACUAUCUCCACAGCAACUAGUCAAUGACAUGAUCAGAAACAUCUAUAAAUGAAGUGGGAAUACUAUAAUAUUAAAUAGGUAAAUUAGCUCAAUUCAAUCUUUAGUGGGGCAAGGGGUUACUAGAAUAACCCUAUUCGAAUAAUCUUAUAUUUGUCAUUUCAAGAGAGACUAAGUGAAAUCUGGUCGGCAAAUCAAUCCCUACUACAUUUGUCUCAAAGGGAAGUCAAGGGGCACUGGGUAAGAAGGAUCGAGACGCUACUUGCAAAGCCCUAAGCCAUGUUGGUGGGGUCCUUUUAGCAGCAGCUUUAGUGUUACGCUUGUGUCUAACGUGGGGCUUGUAUUGAAUAGAAAAGAUGGAAUGGGCAAUUGAUGUCUUUUCAUUUUCUUUUGAUGUGCUUUACCACCACAAGAUUCCAGGUUACUCAUAGUGCUGUGUCACGGUCAUUGGGUGUACUUGAUUCCUAUUUGGAUUGUAAUUUUCUAGAAUUUUUAUAGAAAAUAUAUCAUAACGAUUUAAUAUAUAUGAUAUAAAAAAAUCUAUGUUUUUAGACUCAGACCGGGAGUCGACUCGGCCGAAUUCAGUAGUCAGGGAUCAAUGGGUUCGACCGGGGUCAAAAGGGGGUCGAACCGAAUGACAUCAUAUAUACGUUGAGGGUGGUAGUUUCGGCUUGGCCUUCUCAUCUCGACCCCCUCCAGGACGGCUCCCCCAUCCUGCUUGUCUAUGCCCCGUAUCGCCCUGCCGAGAUGAGUCUCGUACCGACUCUACCGGUCAUCUCGAGCACCUCGGCUACCGAGGUGCUUGUCGUGAAGCCCCUGAUACCUGAUGGGACAACUGGGGCCAAGUCACAGUCUGAUGCCUGCAAGGGGGAAAGACACUUGAUGGGAUCUACCUGACAGACCUGAUGAGACAGGCUGACAUGCCCAGUCUGUCAAGGCAUGGGAAGUUGAUCCCAACUGCCAUUUCUCUCCGAUUGUUCCCUAUAAAUACAAGGAGGUUACUUAGAAGGGAGGAUUUUUUUUUCAGGGUUUUACAAGAUAUAUUGUCUACAGGCUUUUUAAAUAAACUCUCCCCUGAUAGAAGCUAACUAGAUCGUCGGAGGUAAAUCGGGGGACUUUACCCCACCUCUGACACUCUGAACAGGUGACUUCCGCGAGACCGUACCCACUUCAGGAGAGUUACUCUCACACUCAGUACCGUCUGCUGAACCCGAAAAUCACCUCUUUAAUUGGCGACGUCCGUGGGAACCGGAAAACAUCAAAGACUGAAGCCCAUGCAUUCUAGGAGCAGGAAGGUUCUCACUAUUGGAGCUGAGCCAAGUGCUGCAGCUCAACACGAAGAUGUCUCUGAAGGACAGGGGUAGCUAGAGAAUCAGACCACAAACGGAGAAACCAUAGCCCGAAUGGCUGAGUUUGUAUCUGAGAAUCCUAAUAUUUUUGAAGAAUUAGGGAGGUACUUCAAGAGGCAAGGCAAGCAAAAAGUUGAAUCCUCUAAGAGAAAGUCAGAUGAGUCUCCCGAACUCCCAUCUGAUGAGGAAUCCAAGGGGAGACCUUCCAUCAGGAGUACUCUGAAGUGGGUCUCCUCUAAGAUCACCUUUAUCUCUAAGGCAUUCUCAACGGGCCUGCUGGGGAAAUGAGCCGAGGAGGAACCUCGGCACUUGGGAAAGCCAGGAGUGGAUUACAUGAUGGUUCCGCCUUUCACAGAUGAUAUCAAUGAGGAGAGGCUCCCCUCAAACUUCGAACUGCCUGCCAUACCAUCUUAUGAUGGCCAAGGUGAUCCGGAGGACCACAUUCAUGCCUUCAUCUCGGCAUUCCGAUUGUAUUGUAUUCCCGAUCUAGUCAUCUGCUGAGCUUUUCCAGUAUUCUUGCAGGGAACAGCUCGAAAAUGACUCUGAGAUCUGAAACCUAGGAGCAUCUCCACUCUGGGAAAAUUGGUGGACAAAUUUCUCCAUCGCUUUAUCUCUUCCAGACUGACGAAAAGGACCUCGGCUUAUCUGUUAAAUAUACAACAGAAUCCAGGGGAGUCCUCCGAUCUUAUGUGCAGAGGUUUCAAAAUGAAAACGUGCAGAUACCUGAACCUAAUGAGCAGGUAACUAUAGUCGCCUUCACAAAUAGAUUUGUUGUCAGGCUGUUCAACACCGCAAUACACAAGAAAUACCCCUGAACGUUUCGAGAGUUCUGGAAAAAGGUCGAAAAAGGCAUACGGCCCGAAAAUCUGAACCGCAUGAAAAAGGAAGCUCAGGUGGCAUGCUCAGGACAUGAUCCCCGAAAAAAGAAGGAAUCAAGCCGAGGUGAUGCUAGUAGUUUCCAGAGCUCUGGCCGAGACCGCCGGAGCAUUUUUAAUUGAAUUGCCAAUGGAAAGUCAGCCGUUCCAGAUUCCAAUCUGACCUCUCUGAAAACCAAUCGUUCCCAUAUCCUUGCUAUUAUGGAGCAGAAUCGUCUCGGGCGAGCCCCUCCCAGAUUGGCCAGAAGAAGGGAAAAGAGGAAUUCCAACCUCUACCGCGCCUAUCACCGAGACAUUGGGCACAAAAUCGAGGAUUACAAUGACCUGAAGAGAGAUAUCGAAGAACUGAUUAAAUGGGGGUACUUGAAACAAUUCGUCCGCAGAGAAGAAGGCAAUACGAGUGACCCUCGCCGCUACCGUCAGGGCGAACCCCGUCAGGAAAGCAAUCGAAGUGAACCCCGUCGAGAGAACAUAAAAGGGUUCAGAAAUAGCUGCCGACCCCUCGAAAAUCCUAGGGAGUCGAGGAAGCCUCCCCGAGAUGGAUCCCCUGGCUAUGAGUCAGGUUAUGGGCCAAACAUAGCUGGGGUCAUAAACACUAUUGCUGGAGGUUCGACAGGAGGAGAUAGCCAAAACUUCCAGAAGAUGACCUAUAGACAAGUCAAUUCAGAUCAGGCCAAGGCGAGUUCCCGCCUUACUGAAACAAUCACCUAUGGCCCAAGUGAUCCUAUUCCGACAGCUUCUAGCAGUCAUGAAGCCCUGGUGAUUGAGUUGCUCACCAAUAAUUAUCUCGUGAAAAAGGUGUACAUUGACCCCGGAAGUUCUGUGAACGUCAUGUACUAUUGAACUUUCGAAAGUUUAAAAUUGACAAGGGAUCAGCUCGUACCCGUGAGGACUCCGCUAGUGGGGUUUGGGGGGCAUGUUGUUCACCUGGAAUGGAUGAUUACAAUGAUGGUGACCGUGGGACGACAUCCUCGGUGUCGAACUGUCCUCGCCAAUUUUAUUGUGGUCAAAAUUGAUUCCCCGUAUAAUCUGCUCAUGGGGUGACCUACCCUAAAUGCGUUGCGGGCGGUGUACUCAACGUACCACUUAAACUUCAAACUCCCCAUGCCAGCAGGCAUAGUCGAGGUCAACAGCGAUGUCUGUGCCGCUAGAGAAUGCUAUCUCGCCACCCUCUAGGCAGCCUCUUCGUCAUCAGCCGAUUUGAAAACUGAGGGUAAGAGAUCUCGCAUCCUCUCGAUCGACUGCAUAGACCCUCAACGAUCCGGAAAGCUUGAAAGGUUAGAGACAGGACAUGAGAUCGAAGAAGUUCUUCUGGAUCCUUCAAAACUCGAGCAAACCAUCCGCGUCAGCGCCAGUUUGCCCGAGCCACUUAAAGGCGAAGUGGUUAACCUCCUUAAAGAGUAUCAGGAUGUCUUCGCUUGGACUGCUGAUCAGGUCGUGGGAGUUCCCCACCACCUCAUGUUACAUGAGCUGAAUGUUGACCCACGCACGAAACCUGUCAAGCAGAAAAGAAGACACUUCGGCCCGGAACGCGAUAAAACUGUGGCUGAAGAGGUGGAUAAGCUCUUGCCAGCAUAGAUAAUUAAAGAAGUGCAAUACCUCACUUGACUAUCUAACCCUGUCAUGGUUAAGAAGGAUACUGGAUGGUGGAGAAUGUGUGUGGAGUUUACAGAUCUGAAUAAGACAUGUCCGAAAGACUGUUACCCACUGCUGAAGAUAGACACCUUGGUUGAUUCGGCAAUAAGUUACGAGAUCCUUUGUUUCUUAGAUACCUUCAAAGGUUAUCACCAGAUACGAAUGAAUGAAGAAGACCAGGAGAAAACGGCCUUUUUCACAGAUCGAGGAAUCUACUGCUACACCAACAUGCCCUUCGGUUUAAAAAAUACCGGAGCGACAUAUCAAAAACUGGUAAAUCGUGUUUUUGAAUCCCAGAUAGGGAGGAAUGUCGAGGCCUAUGUUGAUGACUUUCUCCUAAAAAGCAAGCAUGCCUCGGCGUUCACAUCUAAUGUAAGAGAGGUCCUUGAGAUCCUCCGAGAUAUGCGGAUGAUACUCAACCCUAAGAAGUGCAUAUUCAGCGUGACAUCGGCAAGUUCCUGGGAUAUCUAGUGUCACACCGAGGUAUAGAAACAAAUCCCGACCAGGUGAAGGCGAUUCAGGAGAUGUUUUCACCCAGAAACAUUCGAGCCGUCCAAAGGCUGACGGGGAGAUUGGCGGCUCUCAAUCGGUUCUUGUCACAAUUUGCUACAAGGGUAUUGCCAUUCUUUAAAGUGUUGAAGAAGGCAUACACGUUCUCUUGGACUGAAGAGUGCCAAAGGGCCUUCGAGCAGAUGAAGGAAUACCUGCAUCAACUCCCCACUCUUACCUCACCUCGAGUUGGAGAAACAUUGGUGGUGUUUGGAUAGUGUGUUAUUUGAAAUAUUAUUUAAAAUAUUCAAAGUUGACUUUUGUGAAUAAUGGAACUUCCAAAUAAUCGUUUGGACAGUGAAAUAUUGCUUGAAAUAAUUGUUUGGACAACUACAACUUUUAUUUUUCCUUUUUUUAACUAAAGUAAUACAAGAGUCCACGAUUAUGAGAUAAAUGCUAGACAUUGAAGUUCCUCUGCCAUAAUUCUCAACACACUAAUUCUGGUUAUUGACCUUUAUUCCAUUGACGAUGGCAGCAGUUGAUUAAAAACUAUGCGAUAGGUUGACUACUACAGAAGGUUGUCAUCUAUCGCCUGCGGCGCCCUUGGGCUGCAUACAUCUAGUCCGCCAUUGCAUCGCUUGCUGCUUUUCAUGCUUCUACCUCCGCUCGAGAAACGUUUGGCGUCUGCGUACGUACCUUUUCUUCGAGGUCGGGUUGCACCUCUAAUUGGACAUUUUCAUCCUCGAACCUUUGAAAAUGAGCAUCUCCAGGUUGGAACAUUCUCAAAAAAUUAUGUAGCCCAUAGCAUACAAUUACCACACUAAUUUGUGUGGUCAUAUAAAAUUCGAUACUGGGCCCUUGAGGAAUUUAAAUCUCAUUUUUAAUACACUAAAUGUGCGCUCUAUAACGUUUCUAAGACUCGAAUGUCGAGUGUCAAACAACCGCUUGUCUGGGUCUCGUUCCCGAACAUUCUUGUAGGGUGGUAAGAAACCCAGAGUGUUUCUAUCCGCUGCAUCUACCAAGUAGUACUUCCCUAUAUUUCUCAAAUCAUGCUGGGGAGCAUGGAUGCAGAAUUAGUAACAAGGUUUUGUGUAUAUUACGUGUGUGUGUGUGUGCCGAAUUUUAAUUAAUUAUUACCUGAAGGUGGAAGUGAAAAAUUUGAUGGCGGCAUCAACGCUAAUUCUAGCACUCAUGCAUCGUGGGCACUGCCUUCCCAUCCAGUGUAGACGUAGUUGAAGUGCAUGUCAAAAUCGCACACUGCUAGGACAUUUUGUGAGUGUAUCCCGUGUCGAUUGGUAUAUGCCAUUUGCUCUCCACUUGGCGGGCAAACCGGAAUAUGUGUGCCAUCUAGAGCUCUAACAGCAUCCUGCCAAUCAUGAAAAAUCGACUGCAAAUGGUGCGAUUUGCAAGGACAGCAAAUUUUUCACUUUAUUCAGUAGACUAAAUUAUAGGAUUUUACCUGGAACCAUGGAUAGAAGUGUCUUGAGUUUGCAAUUCUUGGGUGAACAUUAUCGUGGUCAUACGGCCUUAUUAUUGUGGCAGCAAAUCUGCAUAGCCCAAGGAGAACUUUGUGCACGUUUCGAUUAAUUGUCUCCGUUGACCGGUUGAAUCGUUCCGCUAGCAUGCGCUGAGUAUGAUGAUGACUUACCAUGACUAGAGUCAUUGCUAAGGCUUUCUCUAUUUCGACCCUUUGUUGAUAGGAUCGAGACACAUAACCGUAAUUCUACAGUAUUUCACAUAAUCGAAGGAAAUUGUCAACUGUGAUAUGCAUGUUUUCCACACUACGUCGGUAAUGCCCAUUGAUCACCUCUUCAACCCACUGCCGUCCGAUUAGAGAGCCGUCGUGGUGAGGUAUUUUAUCUCUAGUCCUGUCACGAUACAGCAUCAUUAAUUCUGCUGUCAAAACCAACAUUGUCUCAUCCCUUUCAUCUUCCUCAGCUAUUGCCUCUCUCCGUCCUCUGCCCGUCCUCCUAUUGUUCGCCGCCAUAGUACAAUUGCCUCUAGAGAAAAAGGGAGUAACUGUAAAUUGCUAAAUCAGAAUCAAACUUGACAGAUAAGGAGCAAGGGAAACAAUUACCUUCAAAUACUUGGUGGCAGACAGGUAUCUUUAUCGUCAGAAAGAACGUUAGUUUGAGCUAGUAGACGAGAGAAGCUAGAGUUUUGUGAUAAUUGCGAGACUUCAAGCAUAAGGAGAACAAGUAAUUUAAAGUGCAAUAAAAAUACGAGCAAUACUACGCACCGACAAAACUCACAUGCAAAAAUGAACGUCUUUUUUAAAAAGGUUACCAUCUUUUUGAAAAGCCUAAUCAAUUAUGAUCGGCUCCUGUACAAUUCGGUGGACACAGCUGCCCUCUACCAAAUAAGAGAGUAAACAGUUGCUAUGGCAAGCAACUGAAAGUGGACUGGCAUGUUGCUGGAGUUGUGUGUCAGAAUACGCAGCCACUAAUAGCUGCAUGAAUGGAGCAAACAAAAAUGAUGCAUGGGAAUUAUGACAGGGGCUCAUUUCACAAUUCUCUUUCUCUCUGUUUCAUUGUUGUUGGGGUAAGUGAAAAUGUAAAAAUAGUACAGGACUAGAUAUGGGAGAGGGGAAGGGAGGGAGGGAAUAGGGGAGAGGGGAAGGUUAAAAUGAAAAAAAAAUAACAGUGAAUUUAUUUGACAUACGACAUUCUGGGUUCCUAUGGCUCAAACUGGACACAUGCAACUAAGGCACGAACUACGGUCAUUCACUGGCGUUCAUGCAAAAAAAGUCGAGAAUGCCUCCAAUGAGUCGUGGAUUCUUUUGCGGCUUUAGCUAGAAAGAAUAGCAUUUAGCUUAUCAUAAUUCGUGGAGUGCUGUCGGCUGGUCCCAGGUGAACAAGCAAUUUCCUAAAAUGGAGUGAUGUCGGCUGGUCCCAAGUGAACAUUCAAUAGAGUGAAUUUUGCUACUAUCUCUAUUCAGUAUAAAAAUAGAAAAGCGCACUUAAUCUAUUUAGGGAAGGUUCAAAUCGAGUUUGUAUAUUACAUAAACAGGACAUGGUAUAGCUGCAAGUGCCUAAAGAACUUAUAUAUUAAGAAACUCAUCUGCGGCUAAUUUUUUUGUCUUUCGCUACCUUCUACCAGUAAAAUUUAAUCACAAGGCUUGAAUGACUUCCAUCCACUGUCGUAAUCACUCAAAUCCUGUACUAGUACCCUUACAAACCAGUAGGUUAAACAGGUGAGAAAGUAAAUUUUCAUCUACGAAUGAUGAACUUCCUGAGUAAAAAUUACCAACUUUGACAAUAAAUAGCUCCCCUAAAUGAUGAAGUACAAUAGCAACCAAAUGGAGUGAUGAACUAGAAAAUGAUGAACUACAAAUGAUGAACUUCCGCAGUAAAAAUAGCUGUUAAGAGUUCACUUAGAAGAAUUAGAGAGUAACUGGCUACUCUUAGAAGAAUUAGAGGAGUAACUCAGAACUCUUGCAUACAAACUACUUGCUAAAAAAUUCUGUAAAACUGAGAGCUAUGAACACUUAGCCAACAAUGAAGCAAUGAUGAAGCAAAUGCCUCCAAUUAUUCCAUUCUGCAACUUCGUAAGAAACAGAGAGCUAUGACAAUUCAAGCCAACAAUGAGCUUCAUACGUACACCAAUCUCAUACUGCACAUAUCCAUUACGCAAUAAAAGUAACAAUUAAGGACUAGCAACAAAAUCUCACAUACCAAAAUGAAACAAAAAUUUGACAAGCAAACUCCACCCACAUAUUACACAUACCAGGUACAACAGCAGUUUUGUAAAAAGAAAAACAACUCCAGCGCAUAGUUCUUAGCGGUUAUAGGCAAGUCCUGAAGGUUGGGAAAAAAAAUACAACUCCACCUAACUGGAAAAAAAAGAGCUCCACACACAUCAUACCAAACUUACACGAGCCAAAGUUGACAACGACUAGGGAUAUUAUAUAUUCCCCUAUAACAGAACCGUUGCCGGAGUGAAUAUCAGAAAUGGAUUUGAGACGGCAACCCUUCUGUUUUGGUGGAAUAUGCUAUUUCAAAUUAUGCCUCACCUUUCUUCCUCAUAUGCCUUGCGACAUAUGCAUAUCUUCCGGUAGCAUAAUAGCGCAUGAAGAUAAUCCGUUGGCCUAAAUUUGUAUCUUCGGUGAGAUACGAGUCUAUUUCUACCUUCCAAUCAACGGGGAUAUCUAUGGCUAACACAAUGUCUUGACAAUUAUCAACUUUGUACGUCUCAUCUCUGUCUAUACGAUCCUUUCGAUCAGUGAUCGCCACCUCUGUGAAGUUCCCGAUCUUGCUUAAAGCGUCUUCAAGUCUAUCCGCAGAUGACCGGCCAGAUUUUGUGCCUCUGGAACCUUCUUGCUCGCCGGAGUUACCCAAACUGGAUGUUGGUCGCUUCCUACUACUGCCUCCCGGAAUAGGGGAGACGUAGUACACAUCCUCCCUUUCCCAAGAGGAGGUGGCUGAAGACGAUUGCGACGACGAUGAGGCUUUGACCUUGCCUUUCCGACUUCUCCGAGAGAUGGUCUGCUCGUUUCCCAGUUGUUCAAGGGCAACUGGCUGGCCAGCAGACUGUGCUCGUGUCCCUGUAGCCUUUUCCCCAAUCGUGAUAGGAGUGAAACACUCGUAUAAGUCGCAACUGAAGGGCUUAGAGAAGUCUUCGUACUCGCUGUAUGACUGUUGGUUAAAAGACAGAAGGAUAGAUCAUUUUUCAUGUUUCUAGCUUCUAUAUAUGCAUAAGCAAAGUGAUCAAGUUCGGUAGACAAAAAAUGAAAAAACUAACCGAAAUGAGAGCAGCCCAAUGGUCCUUGUCAGCAGUGAAAUUCUGGGUGUCCUCUUCCCAUCCGAUGCCAGUUUCGGCCUUGUAGCUGAGCCCCCUCAGUUGGCAAAAAACUUGCCAUUUCUUCUUGAACCGGUAGAAUCUAGAUUGGCACUGGGCAGCACUGACGUCGUCUCCAUGGUUUUCAAGCAAAUGCUCGGCUAUCUGAUCAUAAUUUCAUUCUAGCGAUCUACAUCGGUCCCAUUUUUUUGAUUUCUUGAAGGCGAUAUACGCAUCAAUAAAGUGCUCAUCCAUUUUAGGAGUCCACUCGAACUUACCUCCCAUCUCCUUUUGUAAAAUUGUAACUUCAAGUUAGUAGGCAUGCAAAUAAGUAAUGGUAAUUAAAAAUAUUUUGAGGUGAGGCAAAUGUAUACCAUACGGUUUGCCUCAAAGUUACUGAUGCACUCUUCAAUAUCAUUGGAGUCAGUGGAUGAUUGGACUGUGCAAUUGGAGGUGCAGCUGAUGGGAGGAGCUAAAGACAGAAAACAUGCAGAAAACUGACGUGAGUCACAUAAUCACACAAUUCAGUAAUGUUUUCAGGAGGAAAAACUGAAGUACGCCUUACACUGACUAUUACACUGCUGCUGUGUCUUGAGGGGCAUCUCUAUCAGUCUCCGUCAUGGCCUUAUUCAAAACGUAGGGAAAGUUUUUUUGGAAGGCAGCUCUCAAAAGAAACGUUUAAACUUUUUCUGGGUUAAUUCACGCUGAUUUGUGAACUCUACAAAUACAACAAAUAAUAGGAAAUAAAGUGGCACUAAGUUGAGUCCAGCUACUACUACCAUGUGUAGAAUAAAAACUGCUUUGAGUGAUAAACAAAGAUUGUACAAUAAUGGCGGCCAUGGUACACGAAUGGAUAUUGUAAGGUUAGAAUAAAACACCUUUUCUGCUUUCGCCUAAAAACUCACUAGUAUCUGGUGACAAAGGGUAAGUGCCAGCAUAACAACCAAGAUUUUUUCCUCCAACUCAUAUUGUACAGAUGCGAAGCUGAACGACCAUUACGGUGGGAAGUUAUUGGGCUAGAAAGGAUUUUUUUUCUAAAAAAAUUUAAAUGUUAUAGGAAUAGUUUAAGUCGCAGCAUGGUUGUCAAAUGUGUCCAUAACCACAGAUAUUUAGCGCACAUAGAGCCCCAAAUUUUUCAAAUCAUUCUAGCACAGUAGGCCAACACUAGCCGCAAAACAAGUCCACAUUCAAACAAGAAAGCAAAUCCCUAAAAAUUGGUCCUACUGAAAUUCAUGGCAAAUGAGAUGAUGUUUCUCAAAUUAAUUUUGACAACGGUGGCCAUUUUUGUAUUUCUCCUCAAUCCGAAAACCGGCCACAUAGAAACCUCUCUCCAAAAUCGAAUCAAAAUAGGUGGUUUUAAGCACAAACAGGUAUAAAAAAGUGCAAUAAGUGCUCAGAUCAUAUUUGCCACAAAAAAUUCCUGCUAUUCAUCCAGACACAUACAAAUCCAGAUUUAUGUCAAACGGUAAGUUGGGUUGAAUUUUUUUACAAAAAUUUCAACCCAAUUGAUGAUACCUGAUAGAAGCUCCCGGAUCGAAUUUUGUUGGCACUUCGAAGACGGGGGUGGAACUACACCGCUACUAAUAGGGACUCACAGCCGCUUGUGUUGCCGGAAAAAUGGUGGCUACUAUGUGACGGGUUAAACGAAACAAAAGGAAGCAGGCGGUUAAGGAGUUCCUGGAGUUGUGCUUGAGGAAGUGGGAAUAAAGAGAUGAGAUCGGCUUCAGAUCCAGAAGCGCACAGUGGUGUUUCAGUAAAUGCUAAGCAGCAAGGAAAUAACCGAAGGUAAAUUCAGUAGAUGGGUAAAGUAAUGAGGACCCAACGGCUAAAAAAUCUGAAUUAUGAAACCCAUGCGCCACGCGUCGUAAUGCAUGGACAGCUUGCACAGGACAAAACCCAGGCCUUGCUAACAAGACUAAGUACAAAAUAACAUGUGGGAUUCUAAAUUGUGAAAAAUAUUCAGUCAGUCCAAACACCAUUUCUUCAAAUUAUUCCAACACCACUCAGAUAAUUCAGUCCAAACAAAACCAUUAUAUCUCUACUUGUCCGCGGCUGAAGAGGCGGUGAACACAGUCCUAAUACAAGAUGAUGGCACCCAGGUCCCAAUAUAUUACGUUAGCCGAAUUCUUCGCGGUCUAGAGACCCGGUACACCCGAGCCGAAAAGCUCGUGUUAGGACUAGUACAUGCGGCUAGGAGAUUGAAACCUUACUUUUUAUCUCACCCCAUACGAAUCAAAACAGAUCAGCCUAUCAGGCAGAUACUGUCCUGACUUGAAGCCUCGGGACGCCUUACCAAGUGGGCCAUCGAGCUCGGGGAAUACGACUUCACAUAUGAGCCGCAGACUGCCAUUAAGGCCCAGACCCUUGCCGAUUUCCUAGCAGAACUCACCUUCCCCGCGGACCAAGACACCACCUCGGAAGUGUUGGAGCCACAAAGAUGGGCCUUGUAUGUGGAUGAUUCCUCUAACAAUGAGGGUAGCGGAGCCGGACUACUUCUCGAAGACCCUCACGGAGAUGCAUAUUCAUAUGCUCUCCGUUUUGAUUUCGUCACCUCCAAUAACGAAACUGAAUACGAGACUGUCAUCGCGGGUAGGGGUGGGCAAAAUUAUCCGCUAACUCGAAAACCCGUCAUAUCCGAUCCGAUUCGAUCUGAAAAUUAGGAUAUCCGAUUUUUAUUAUUUGAUCGGAUCAAAAGAGGGUCGGCUAUCCGCUAAAAUGCGGGGCGGAUUAGGGUCACAUAAUUAAAAACCCGCGGGUACCCGAUCUGCCCCGCAUAUAUAUAUUUUUAUUUUUAUUUUUAUUUUUAUACAUACACUAUAAAAUAAUAAGUUAGAAUUAAAUAAGCAAUUUUAUUAAACAAAUUGCAUUACAAAUAUGAGAGACUAUAGAUUAUUUACAAGAUUCAUUUGUAAAGGUCAUGAUCUUAUAUUUUAUAGAAAAAAGUUUAAUUAAUGUGGAACAUAUAUAUUAAAAAUUGUGCUAUUUAUUUCAUACUUUUAUUGAUUUUGAAUUCUUUUAAUUUUUUUCCUUUAUCUUAUAUUCUCUUCAUAUGCUUGUUUCUUGGUGGAAAACCUUUUUUUAGAAAAAAAAAUUAUUAAAUCUUAGAUGAAUGUAUAAAAUAUAAAAUUAAAUUGGUAUAAAUCAUUUUAUUUAAAAAAAUUAAAUGAUAAACGGAGCGGGAUGGGUACCCGCUGAUCCGACCCUAUCUCAGCGGGUACCCGAUAACCCGUUAUCGGGUACCCGCUGAUAUUCGGAGCGGCUAAGGGUCAGAAAAUGGCUGACCUACAAGGUGCGGGUUGGGUCAGCCAAAUGGUAAAUGGGGCGGGUAUCCGACCCGUGUCCACCCCUAAUCGCGGGCUUACAGUUAGCUCGCCGACUGGGAGUUCGGCAUAUCACUGUUUAUAGUGACUCCCAACUCGUCGUAUGCCAGGUACUAGGGGAGUAUGAGGCCAGAGAGGAAUUCAUGCAACGAUACCUCUAAAGUACACCAAUUGGCAGCUUAUUUCGAGUCCUUUAAAAUCCAGAGAAUACCUCGGUUUCAGAACCGACGAGCUGAUACUUUAUCCAGACUUGCUUCUGCCUCAUUUUCUACCCUCAACAAGACAGUUCUCGUGGAGGUUUUAGCCUAACCCGAUUACAUGGUGGACAAAGUCUAUCCGGUGGCCCCGAGGGACACCUGGAUGACCCUACUGGUCAAGUUUUUGGAUCAAGGCAUUCUUCCAGAUGAUAAGCCGAGACAAGGAGAGUGCACCGCAAGGCGGCCCGAUAUGCCCUCCAUGACGGCCGCCUCUAUAAACAAUCUUAUCUCGACCCAUGGUUGCGAUGCGUCAUCUUGGAAGAGGGAGAGCGCACUUUUCAAGAGAUACACGAGGGACUCUGUGGAGCUCACGUCGGUUAUCGGAUGCUGGUCAAGAAGACCUUGCUUAUUGGAUAUUUUUGACCCACUCUACGACGAGAUGCUUAGCUUUUGGUACUCUGUUGCCCUUCCUGUUAGCACUAUGCCCUGGAGCACCACCACCCCACCAAUCUUAUGAUCCCCAUCAUUUCUCCCUGGCCUUUCGAGUUGUGGAGGAUAGAUAUUAUUGGACUUUUUCCUCGGGCGGUAGGCGAUUACGCCUAUAUAGUUGUAGUUGUCGACUACUUCACAAAGUGGGUCGAAACCGAGCCCUUGAGAAGCAUAACUGGUUUGGCCAUUCAAAAGUUCUUAUGAAAAUGUGUGGUUUGUUAUUUCGGUUUGCCUCGAGUCAUCAUCUCGGACAAUGGGAGGCAAUUUGUAGAUAAUCCCUUCAAAGCAUGGUGCGAGAGCCUGGGAAUCAAACAGCACUUCACCUCGGUGGGACACCCCCAACCUAAUGGACAAGCCGAGAAUUUCAAUCGAACGCUCCUCCAUGGGUUCAAGACUAGGUUACAUCACCUCGGAUCCUUCUGGGUAGACGAAUUCUCCAGUGUGUUGUGGUCCUAUCGAACCACGCCAAUGUUUGCUACUCAAGAAACACCAUUCUCCUUAACCUACGGAUCUGAGGCCGUAGACCCUGCUAAGUUUAUUACUCCAAGUCCUUGAAUGGCGGCCUUCAUCGCCGAGGUGAAUGACGAGGAAAGAAAAAUUGAUCUUGACCUAACUGAGGAAAAAAGGGAUGCCUCAGGAGCCCGAAUAGCCCUGUAUAAGAAUAUCCUAGCCAAUUACUACAAUGCCUGGGUCAGACACCUUCGGUUCAGACCAGGAGACAUGGUUCUAUAGAAGAACUCCGUCAGCCGAUCUGAACCACAGGGCAAGUUAAAUCCGAGGUGGAAAGACCCAUACCAAGUUGUAGAGGCUAGUCAGAGUGGUUAUUGUAAGUUGGCCUACCGGGAUGGUGCCCCGGUACCGUGAACUUGGCACGCCGAAAACCUUUGGUUGUAUUAUCCUUGAAUUGUUAAUGUUCAGUUCAGUUACUGACAUCAUUACUUUAUGUUUAGUGUUUUACUCAAUUAUUUUCUAAAAAAUCACUUCAUGGUGUUAUUAAAAAAAAUAAGGGGACAAGAUAAGUAAAAGCGAAACGAAAGAGACAAUUUUGGGAUGGAAACAAACGAUAACUUUCAUUGAUUAUUGAAGGGGGAUUACAAGUAUAAAAGGCUGAGAUGGGAAGCUCAUCUAAGAGCCACCCACCUCGACGGAAUCCGCUCCCUUUCUACUGCCGAGCUCACCUCCUCCAAUAGCUCCGCCAAGCUCAUCACCCGAGACCUGUUCGAAAUCGGCCAUUUUUCGAUUAAAUUCCUCUCAAACUUCGAUCAAAUCCCGUCCGAACUGGAUGCCAUUGGCCAUGCGGUCGCACAGUUCCUUAGCAUCAUCGUUGUAGUUAGACUUGUCCUUCAGCAUGUCUAGCUGCUCUGGAGUCCGGAAAGAAGUCGCAUCCUGGAUGGCCGUGGUAUAGUCGAACAUGAAGCUCGGUAAAGUCAACUCGCCAAAAUCUUUCAUGAAAGCCUCGGAAGAGCGGAAAGCCUCGACGGUCGUACUGCCGGCCUUCUCUAUAACUUCCCGAGAUGACUGCUCCUCUUCUUGUCUUCACUUCUUUUCCUCCUCGAAAGCAGUCUCCAAUGAGUUGAUGGUAGCCUUAAAAUGCUCCAUUUCGGCCACCGCAUUGUCAUGUUGCUUCUGGAGCUGUGCUUUUUCUUCCGCGGCCACCUUCAGCUCCUUUUCAAGCCGAGAUACUUUGUCCAUGAGCUCAGCAGGAGGCUGAUUCUCGACCAUGUUGGUAUACCUCUGGAUAAGCUCGGACAAGAAAGCGGAGGUAGAAUCCCACGCCAUUGAAGUGCUCUGCAUCAGCUUUUCUGUGGUGAGUUUCUUCACGAAAGUGUGAUCUCGGGGCAGACUAGAAUGGACAAGGAGGUGAUGGGGCAACUCGGGGAUCUUUGCAUCUGUCGUUGACCGAGACGUCUCACUCCAGGCACCAGCGCCAACCGAAAUACCUUUUGUCCUCCCCUUCAGGCACGGAUUGGACGAAGUGUCGAUUCCAAAGGAAGGACCUAGUGACAGGCCCCUCUGGGGUUUGGAUUUGUUUACCUCGAACCAGAGAAGGUGGAGCGGCGACUAUCAUACCACGGGUGGCCACCCCCUUCGCAAUGGCCGAGGUCCUGAAGGUAUCUUCCUAGACCAUGAUCAAUGGAGUGGUGGUCGAAGUGCCAAGAGCGCUUUUCUUCUUUUGGACCCCCGAGGUCUGAUCAGGGGCCUUGCGUUUCAAUGGUCGCUUAACCACCGAAACCGCUCCUGAGGUGAUCAGAUCCGAAACUCUUAUCACUGUACAAGGAAAAAGGAUUAAUAAGAAUUAAUUAAAUGAAAUGAAACAAUAGGAAGUGAUGAAUGAAGAAUACAAUAUUUUUGAAACCGAGUAGAGAAGUAAGGGGGCGAUCCGGGGUGAUCAGUGCUCGGCUAAUGCCUCCAUUGACGAGGACCGUCUCGGGGUAGGCCCAGCAGUUAAUCCUGAGACCCGACCCGAGUAGUUUUUGAAAACCCUCCUCAUCGUGCUUCCCCGGAGAAUAAUCCUUCGCCGAGGUGGGAGGCCUCCACCAAAAACCCCUAGAAAAAUCCUCAGGCGGGAUAAAAAGGAAAUUGUGCUUCCACUCUUUUAUAGAUACAUGAGCAUCUACCACCAACUUCGGUACGCUCUUGCCUGGGUUCCCGAAGUAGAACCAUCCUUUCUCACUCCCACUGUUAUGGGUAGUAUAGCAACGACGGAAGAGGUUGAUGGUGGGACUCAGCCCUUAUUCCCGGUAAAGCAUCUCGAACCCGAUGAGAAUCCGGAUUGAGUUCGGGACUAACUGGGUGAUUUUAACACUCCAGUAUCUGAGGCAGUCCCGAAAGAAUCUGGUAGUAGGCAUUCUCAGCCCGACUUCCAGUUGGUCCGUAUAGAUGGCAAAUCUUUCUUUUGGGGGCCGUUCGGCAGUUUAAUCCGGCCGAGGUGUGUAAAUGCUGUAAUCUUGGCGAAAAGGGUACUUGCUGAUCACCUCGUUAGCCACAACCUAAUUGAUGGUGCUGUUGAAUAACGGGAGUUGGCCGAAAUCAACACCCAAGAGAUCGGAAGGGGUAGCCGGUUCUUGUACCCUUUCAUCCCGAGGUACUUCGGAUCCGAGCUCAUCAUUGUAUAAUUCUUCGGAUCCUUCCUGGAUUUGCUCUAGCAACGCCUCGUCCCCAACGGGUACUUCGACUUCCUCCUUCUCCGGGGUGGAAGGGUUCCCUUCCUCCUCUGUCGGAUCGGGCCUCUCCGCUGCUUUGAAGUUCAGCCUGACUGUCUCUCUAUAUGUACCGGCAGUUCGACCCAUAGUGCGAAAAAUAAAAGGAAGGGGUGUCACUUAUUGAUUAUAGAAAAAAAGGGGGCUGGGAUGAGCAAUUAAAGCAACUUGGGUGAUCUUUCUCCCAUACUUCAGAUGCCCGCUGUGACUUCGGAAGACUUAAUAUAGGGGGUGCUGUUAACUUCACGGCGAAAGGUUGAUACUAAUGAACGCCCCUAUUUAUAUAAGAAUAAGGGAAGGUGAAAGGACGGUGUCCCUCGAGCUUUCCCAUGACGCUUCUGCUCUCCUCAUUAAUGACUGACCGGUAUUCUGACUCCCUGUCACAUGUCUUUUCACACAAUCAUGAUGGCUGACUGCCAUUUUGCCUCUCCUUACUUUAUAUGACAUGUCAGCUAUCUCCUACUCACACGAAAGCCUUAGAAGUUGACCGUUGACUUGCCACCUCCCGAGGCUUGAGGAACUUAUUGAGAGUGGUAAUUUUGGCUCGGCCUCCUCGUCUCGACCCCCUCCAGGACGGCUCCCCCAUCCCGCUUGGCGAUGCCCCGUAUUGCCCUGCCUAGAUGUGCCUCGUACCGACUCUGCCGGUCAUCUCGAGCACCUCGGCUACCGAGGUGCUUGUCGUGAAGCCCCUGAUACCUGAUGGGACAACUGGGGCCAAGUCACAGUCUGAUGCCUGCAAGGGGGCAAGACGCUUGAUGGGACUUACCUGACAGACCUGAUGAGACAAGCUGACAUGGCCAGUCUGUCAAGGUAUAGGAAGUUGAUCCCAACCGCCAUUUCUCUCCGAUUGUCCCCUACAAAUACAAGGAGGUUACUUAGAAGGGGGAUUUUUUUUUUCUAGGGUUUUACAAGGUAUAUUGUCUACAAAUUUUUUAAAUAAACUCUCCCCUGAUAGAAGCUAACUAGAUCGUCGGAGGUAUACCGGGAGACUUUACCCCACCUCUGGCACUCUGAACAGGUGACUUCCGCGAGACCGUACCCACUUCAGGAGAGUUACUAUCGCACUCAGGUACCGUCUGUUGAACCCGAAAAUCACCUCUUCAUACAUCAUAUAUAUAUUCCUGCAAAUCAAAUUUACAAAAUAUAACUAAAGAACCCAAUCAUCUAAAUUUAUAUCCAAUUCAUCAAACAAAUCAUCAAAUUCAUCCAAACUCACAAAAUUUAUAAAAUAGAAAUCUCAUACAUGUUUAAUCCCUGAUUAAUAGCAAUCCAAAUUAGGUAACAAGUUCAAGUUCAUAAUCCCUAAGAUUUCAGUCAUUUCCUAACAAAAAUUGUUUACUAUACAGUUGCAGACAAAAGGAAAGUUCCAUAAAGCAAACAGGUCUUCCAUACCGAAGUCAGUCUGCCACCACCCUACAUCAUUUUCUUUUCACAUGCACCUCAAUGAUGUCAUUCUCCUCCAUUUCAAGCCCAGCAGGGGUGGCAAUAGGACUAAUUUUAUCUCCAUCAAAACAAAAAACUAGAUUCUGCAAAUCAAGCUUGACCUUGUCAGCAUACAUCUUGAAGAGUCUCUCAAAUUUAUCAUCCAUGAAAACUCUAAAUUGCUUGGUCCAUCCUUGUCCUGGAUCGUAAUAACAAUCUUUGCUCUGUCCUGGCAAGUAUCUGAGGGCUGUUCUGCAACACCUCUUGUAGGAGAUUGUGAUGAUGCAUUAAGGUGACUUUUCAUAGAUUCUGCAGCAGUGAACUCUCGUCUCACAGAUUCCUCAACAGCUUUCAAUGCGUCCUUUGCUGAUUGGCUUAGCGAAGCUAGUUCCUGCCUUUUCAAGUGACAACGGUGGAGGCUUUUAGAUUUAGGGUUAUCGGAGUUGAAGAGGAAAGGAAGAAAACUACGGAAUGAGAAGCAAAGUAACUGACCCAAGUUUUGUUAAUUUUGUUUGAUUUUUUCAAUCAUUUUUUAACUUUUUUAGUUGGUUAGUCAAACUUUUGAUUGAAAAAAAAGGCAGAAAAAGGACAAAAAAAAAUCGGGGUGGAUCAAAUUAUCCGGUUCACAGGUCAAAUCCGGUUUAUGACCGGGUUUGACCGAGUUUUUAAUACUCGAGUUUUUUAACUAACUCGGACCGGAUGCCUAGCUAGUUUUCGGUUCGACCGCCGGUUCGGUCUGAGUUUGAAAACACAAAAAAAAGUGAUUGAAAAUGCGUUCGUAAAAAAUUAUAAAAAAUGGAUUUCCAAACAAGACGUAUCUUAAACUGUGAUUUAUUGAGUGGCUGUUUUGAAGUUCUUGGGACUUUGAUUAACUUCUUAGCUUUAGACCCUCCCUACAACAGAUCAUUGGAACAAAGAUUCCACUCAAAAUAUAUUGUCAAAGAAACAUUAAAUAUACUUUCUUUUCCUAUGGGUUGAUUACACUUUAUAAAACUAGGAGUAUUUUCACUUUGCCCCCCGGCCGGAAUCCAAACAACAGAUCACUUUGCCCAUCAAUGAGUAUUACGCUAGAAAAAGUGACUGAGAAAAGCUAACUUGAACAAUUUCAGAGUAGAGAAGAUUUGCAUGGAGCAAUCGUAUCCUUCUUGUCGUUUAGAAGAGAAUAUAAAUAUUAACCUAAAAAAAAUAAAGAGGAAAAAGGAAAAUUUUGCAUAAGUUUUUUAGGUCCAAUUAAGCAUAUUUCACAGCUUCCACUGAAAUUUCAAAACUUUCAAUUAGUUUAAAGGAUUUAUUUUGACCAAUUAUAUAAAAAGUAUUGGAAUUUCAGCCUUGUAAAUUAGGCCCAUCUAGUCUUUUAAUGUCAAUUUUUAGAAAUCUAGUCAAGUUCUAAUUUGUUUCUUUCAUACAUGUUCAGCUUUAUAUGUAAACAAACACAUACACAGACAUAUACAUGAAUCUAAUUGUUCGGUAGAAUAUUGUACUUUUUCAAUACCUACCAACGUUUGUAUCUGUCAAUUAGGCUGGAUUUCCGUUGGGUAAUUCAAUAUCUUUUGGAUUUGUCCAAGCCGUGAGUUAGGAUCUGGUCCCGAGUAAUUAUGAAAAAAAAAAUUAAUUUGACAACCUACAAAAGUAAUAACAAAGACUAUAAUAAAAUGUGGAAAAAAUAUUAAAUAAUAAUGACACAAAAAUUUACAUGGUCCGGUCAAUUAGACCUAUAUCCAUAGAAGAAUGUCAGCAAAAUUCAUAAUCAUAAGAAUACAAAGCUUAGGACAUCUUAAAGCAGCAAAAUAAAUGAGAGACAAAUGUAAAAGAGAAACUCAAGAUUGAACAACCAAGGAAUGUUUCCGAACUUGGAACUCUCAACUCUCUCGGCUGGCUUUUAGAAAGAAAUGUAGUAGUGGAAUGGUUGGUGCCCCAAUACCACAAAAUAUGAAAGAGAUUAAACAAGAAAUCUCAAUAUUAGACAAAAGGGGGAGAAUUCCCUAAAUGAGUUUAUUUCUCUGGUAUAGAAGUGGCAUACCAAAUGCCUUGCCAAACCGCGUAUUUAUAGGAGAAAUUCUUCAAUAUGAAACCACCAUUCGAACAUGAGUUGCUACUGAAAUUUUUGACAGCUAAAGCCUUCAAAAUAAUAGUAGAGGUAUGACAUAGGCUGGUGAAUACUAGAGCUGGCAAUUUGUCCCAAGUCCCAAUGGGCUACCCAUGCCCAAAGGAACUUUGGGCGGGAUGGGUAUUAUAAUUUGAUAUUGGGUUUAAGUUGGGACACAUCCCAACUAUACCCAUUAAUGAAUGGGAAAGGGUGGGAAAUACUUGGGUACCCAUUGGGUUCAAAUAGCAAGGGCUCCGUUUGGAUUAGCUGUUUUUAGGGGGUAUUUUUGAAAUAUUUUAUUGUAACAGUGUAUAUGAAAAAUAUUUACUAUAAAUUUUUUUUUGAAAUAUUUGAUAUACUAAUAUGGAUGGGAUGUUUCUUGAGUUAUUGUAUAUUACUGUAACAUUGUAUUUGAAAAACUUAUUUUUUGAAAAAAUAGUCAAUCCAAACGGAGUCUUAGAUUCAAAAAUCAUCUUUAACAAUUUUUAUAGUCAUACCAGCGAAUAUAAUCUAGUAGUCUUCCUAGUCAUUAUCCACAAGAAUUUCUAGCAUUUCAGUCAGUUUAGAUCUGUCAUCCUUGGACAAUGAUCAGGAUAAAUAUUCAACAUCCUAAGGACCUUGGUCAUCUUGAUAUAUGUUAGAAUAUAGCUGUAUAUCUAUCUUUUCUUUUAUUUGUUAAUCUAAUUUUUGGUGGGAAUCUUGAGUAUAAAGCACUUGCAUAUUUAUUUAAUAAAACUAAAAAAAAUUUAAUAAAUCAAAAAUAUUAAAAUUAUAUAAAAAAUAAAAAAUGAAUUAAAGGAAAAAAAAUAUGUAGGAAAUGGAUUUGGGUAUUGGGCGGGAUCAAUCUAAAUUCAUCCCAAAAUGAUCCCGCCCAAGUUAGUCCCAAAACACAUAUGGGUAAGGUUUGGCUCAAACCCAUAUAACUCGGUUCCAUCUCAAACCCAAGCAAAUCCCGCCCGCCCAUUUUGCCACCUCUAGUGAAUACGUACAAAGAAAAAAAUGUCGAUGUAACCCACAAAGCUUGACAGCACCAUAAAUAAUUUUACAAGGAUGUCAAAGACAAAUUUCAACAAGUCUCCACCUUCACUUUGCAUCUAUCAUAUAGUAAAAUCGAAAAAUAGUAAACUUGAUCCACCUUCUCCUUGAAAACUUCAAUGAGCCAAUAUCAUAAAAAAUUCUAAUGGAUCCCAAUGGGCACAUUAUGAAAACCUCAACAAAUUCCGACAUGUUAAAUUACGAAAGUCUCAACAAAUCCCAACAAUUUAUAAAUACAAAAUCUCAACGGAUUCCAAUGGGCCAGAAUCACAAAGGCCUAAAUAGAUCCCAAUAGGCCAAAAUCAGAAGAGCCUUAAUGGAUUCCAACUGGCCUAAUUUACAAAAGUUUUAACAAAUCCCAACAGGCCAAAAUCACACAAGCAUCUAUAGAUUCCAAUGGGCCAAAAUCACAAAGUUUUCAAUGGAUAUUAACAAGUUUAAAGUCACAAAAGACUCAAUAGAUCCCACAAAAAGUCACAAAAGUCCUAAUAGCAUAUGGUAAAAUUGGAAUCAAGCAAAACUGAUGUUGAAACAGUAACAGCAUCUAUAAUAGUAAAUCUCUCUGCAAAAUAUAUAAAGUACGAAACUUGUACGGCUUCAUAACAAUAAAGCACUUGAAGUGAUAUUUAGAAUUCCACCUUUAUCUGUGUACCUUCAAACAUAUAAAGCUUAUAUAAACUUUAGUUCAAGUAGAGUCAAUUUACUAUCGUCCUCUUUAUGUAUAAAAGCUCCAAUUUAUCCCACAAGUCUUUGGCCGUCUUUAUUGAGCAAUUUCAUGCAAAACCUCAUCAGAGAGAUUUAGGAUAAUCGCCAAAAGGGCUUUAUUAUCCAUUUCUUUAGAUUGCUCAUCCAUAAUUUUUUUUGGCUUUUUCUCCUUUUGACGUAACGCUACUUCUACUCCAUCUUACAUGAGAAUAGCUUUCAUUUUAAGUUGCCACAAAUCGAAACUGACACUUCGAUCAAACUUAACAGUAUAGGUCUUCGUUAUCGUCACAAUGGUUGAAGCAAAAAAAAAAAAAAAAGAACUGAACCCGAGAUAACUGGGAUGUGAUACCAGUUUGUAAGGAUCUGGUCUCGGGUAAUUAUGAAAAAGUUAAUUUGACAACCUGCAGAAGUAAUAACAAGGGCUAUAACAAAAUGUGGAGAAAAAUAAUAAAAGACAAUAACGCAAAGAUUUACGUGGUUUGGUCAAUUAGAUCUCCAUCUAGAAAACAAGGUGAGCAAAAUUCACAAUAAUAAUGAAGAAUACAAAGUCUAGGACAAAAUUUCUAAAGCUCCAAAAUAAAUGAGAGACAAAUAUAAAAGAGAAACUCAAAAUUGAAUAAACAAAAAAGGCUUCCCAACUUGAACUCUCAACUCUCUCGAUGGCUUUUAGAAAGAAAGGUGAUAGUGGAAUCGUUGGUGCCCCAAUAACUCAAAAUAAGAAAGAGACUGAACAAGAAAACUCAAUACUACAGGAUGGCUUUUAGAAAGAAAGGUGGUAGUGGAAUGGUUAGUGCCCCAAUACCUCAGAAUAAGAAAGAGACUGAACAAGAAAACUCAAUACUACACAAAAGGAGGAGAAUUCCCUAAAUGAAUUUAAGUCUCUGGUGGUAGAAGUGCCACACCAAAUGCCUUGCCAAACCGCGUAUUUAUAGGAGAAAUUCUUCAAUAUGAAACCACCAUUUGAAAAUGAGUUGCUACUGAAUUUUUUGACUGCUAAAGCUUUCAAAAUAAUAGUAGUGCUAUGACAUUGGAUGGUAAAUAGAUAAAAAGAAAAAAAUGUUCAUGUAGCCCACAAAACUUGACAGCAUCAUAAAUGAUUGGGCAAAUUACAUUUUACCCCCUGUGGUUUAGCAUUUUUUAUAUAACUCCCUUAUGGUUUCAAAAGCUAUACAUAACCCCUUCAUGGUUUAGAUUAAAGUGUCAAAGUGACGGAAAUAAUCAUUCGUAAUGAAACCUAUGAAAAUAUCGAAAUUACUCUUGUUUAAAAACUAAAAUGGCUAAAGUAAAAAAUAUAUAUAAACAUAAUAUGCAUGACACUCUAAUCCUGUAUAAUUUUAUAUUUUGCCAUAUAACCCCCUUAUAGUUUAAUGAUUUACCAUAUAAUCCUUUUAUGAUUUUCAAAUAUAUACAUAACCCCCUGUGGUUAAUAAAUAAUUUUUAAUUUUACAUAGGGGUAUUUUUGACAUUUUAGUUGACUUUGUUAUGGAUUUCAAAUUUCAUCACUUUGAUACUUUAAUCCAAAUCAUGAGAGGGUUAUGUACAACUUUUGAAACUACAGGAGGGGUUAUAUAAAAAAAAUACUAAAUCACAAGGGGAUAAAAUGUAAUUUGUCCUAAUUUUAAUGAAUGCCGUCAAAAUAAAGAGUGAAACUAGUAGUAUAACUGAGUAGUAUAGAACAUCCUACUCACAGCUAAGAGUCCAAGAUAACUGCGAAUUAUAUAGGCAGUAAAGAUUGUGGUAUGGUGCAAUUAAACACGAUUGCUAUAUUAAAAAAAGAAAAAGAAAAGAAGAACACCAUUGCUAUAUUUCUUACAACUAGAAGUCAAUGCCUUUACCCAAGUUGUCACUAACCAUGUGUGUGCUCAAAUUUAGUAGUAACGACUUCAAAAGUCAUCGUCGAAUUUUAUCAACAGUGACAAGAUUUUUGUUGACACUGAAAAUCUUGUCACUAAAAAUCAUUUUUAUUGUAGUGAAAUUUCAAGAUUCGAUAUACAUUUGUAAACAUUACUAUUUCACGCACACGAUUUCGUUAUAGAGGCGUCACAAACAACAAUUUUACAAGACUAUAAAAACCAGAAUUGUACACAUGCCUCAGAUCUUUAGUCUAAGACCAUAUGUAGAGUACAAAUUGGCAUUUCGUGACGCCUUCCACUUCCCCUCUUUCACCUUCUGCGCACCAUUCAGGUAGAGACUCGAACACUGAGCAUGGAGGGCGGAAGGUUCCUUCUGAAGCGCUGGUAUCAAUCUCCUGACUUUGAUGUUUCCUUGUGCAUUUUAAUAAGAGAAAAAAAAAACCUCAAUCAUUCUUCUUCCAUUCACUAUAUAUCUCUAUAUAAGAUGCCAAAACUUGUUUAUUCGUGAGCUUCCCUUUCUUCAAACAUUUCACUUCUACAUUUUUCUGUACACAUUUCUGUCUCAUACUUAUACCAAUAAAUUACAGUGAAUUACGAACUCAAGAAGACCCACGUUCAUGGAUAAUCCAGUGAGUAGUUCAUGGUUCUCUGAGCUGGUGAGUUUUCUUCCUUUUUUCACUAUUUAUGAUGAGUUCUCCUUCGCCAUGAAUUUACUUUUAGCAGCACUAUUGGCACAUUGAAAAGAAUACAGACUUCCACGAUACCAGUGCUUUCAUCGCUUCAUUCAAGUUAAAAAAAAAAAAAAAAAAAAAAUAGCCUGUCAGUAUACCUUAAUUUUUUUAAAAUUUUUGGUUCUCUUACACAACUACUUUUUAGCUAAAAGUAAGAUUGUACGUAACAUAGUUCAUUUUCAUUCUCAAAUUAGGAAUUCCAAGCCAGAUUUUUUUUGCUUUUUUACAACUACUGGUAAGUGCUGAGAAUAAUGGCUUAAGAAUACGGUCAACGGAGGAUUCAGAACUCAAAAAUGGAUUUUUCCUUUUCGGGCAUAAUUAAAUGAAAAUUUGAAAUCUAGGAGCACGUAAAUAGCCUUGAUUUCUAAAUCUAAUUUGAUGUACUUGUCGAUCUAGCAUUAAGCUUCGUUAGAACAUAUUUUUUACCCAUAAUAAUGCAAAAUUUGCAAGGAGUUUCAAGAACUGCAUAUCUCGUAAUUAUAUUGGAAAAACUUCCAUUGAUCACUUAACCUAUUUCUUAUACAUUUCCACUUUUCUUUCAAAUACAGGGAAUGGAAGAUUCAUUUUUCAAUGACCAAUAUGAUGUUAUGGAUUUUCUGGAUGAAGAAUUCCUGAACGCAAAUUUGUCCCCGGAAGGGAAUACUAAUUCCUCCACCUUCAUUCCAAUAAGCACUUGCAGUACCACUUUGUCUGCAUUUUCAACCAUGGAUGCUCCUCCAAUUAGUACUGAAAGACCGGCAAAACAGCAAAAGUCCGAUGACUUGAACUCUUCCAGUCUUGGAAACAUCCCAAAUCAUCAUAAUCAGCCAAUGAUUCUCACUUUUGGCAAUCCAGUUAUGCCCGCAGAAAUAAAUCCACAACAGAUAAAUCUUGAGGAUGAUGCCGUGUCUGAGAUUUUGAAGUCCCAUGGUUCAUUUGUAAACCUUGAGGAGGCAACCAGAAGUUCCCAGAAGAGAAAGAAAACAGGUGGCCGCACUAGGCCAGCAUCGCAAACUUAUGAUCACAUUGUAGCAGAAAGGAAGCGCCGCGAGCAGCUCAGCCAGAGAUUUGUAGCUCUGUCAACUCUAGUUCCCGGCCUCAAGAAGGUAAUUUAUGAAUUUAUUAUUACAAGAAUGACAAGAACAUCAAUAAACCAACAAAACGUUUUUGAUAUUAAGAUCUUAUUGCUGUCGUAGAUGGAUAAAACUUCUGUUCUUGGAGAUGCUAUCAGUUACUUGAAACAUCUUCAGGAGCGAGUGAAGACGCUGGAGGAACAAGCAGCGAAACAGAACAUGGAAUCGAUGGUGCUUGUGAAGAGAUCACAGCUCCUAGUUGAAGAUGAAGGAUCAUCAGAUGAGAUGGGUGGCUCUGAUGAGCAGCCACUCCCUGAAAUUGAAGCUAAAUUAUGCAAUAAAAAUAUUCUUCUCCGAGUACACUGCCGAAAUUAUCGAGGGGUGCUGGUAAAAAUUCUUUCUGAGGUGGAAAUGCUGAAUCUUACUCUUAUCCACACAAGUGUUGCGCCAUUUGGACGUUUGGCUCUUGAUGUUACUCUUAUGGCCGAGGUGAGCUCAUAGUUAAGGAAGAUUUAUUCAGGUUAAUAUUUUGAUUGGCAAUGAUACAUCUUUUUUUUUUUUGGUUUGUUCUAAUUCCUUAAAACAUUUUUCCAGAUGGAGAAAGAAUUCAACCUGACAAUGCAGGAAUUAGUUAAAAGUCUUCAAUCCGCCCUUCAGCGGGGCAAGCAAGGCGAUUGAAUGCUGUUCGACGUCUGGCAGUUAUCUACUAGUGCUGAUUGACAAGUAUGCAAAAAGAAAUGGCAGUGAAGACCAUGAAUGUAGACCAUGAAUGUAGGUUUAUUUGUCAAAAAUUCUUACUUUCGUAAGAAAAUGUCAGAAAGGAAGACCAUGAAUGUAGGAAGACCAAGGUACAAGGAGGUAGAAUUUAUGGAUGACCAUGACCGUCUUGAUCACGGGAUUAGACCAAAAAACAGUAUCCUCGAGGGUCUCGAGGCGUGUCAGUAUACUAAGAUAUUACCAUGUCCUCCAGAGGGAUUUUCCUGAUUGGUUUUCUACUUCUUGGCCAUCAUUACUCUCAUUUCGCUUGUGUUCCUUAAAAGAAUGGAUAAAUUUUUCUCUUGUAUCCAUCUUUUCCUCCGCCAAAAUAAUGAUAAAAAAAAUAUUGGCACAUAAAAACGCACAUAAUGAUAGCUAUUGAAUAAACAUAGAAAUAUAUGUCUGAAGAGAAUAAGAAUAAAACCAAAAAUUCGCCAUCAAGCAGUAAAUGAUUUUAUUCACUCAAAACUCAUCAGCUAUAAACUAAGAAUUCUUUCAAAUUUUGGAGGCUUUCCAAAAUUUCUCUGUUCAGUCUCUCUUCAGCUAAAAUUUUCAGCCAAGCACCAAUUUAUAUAUGGGCUACAAUUGCAUGACUGAGAAACUUAUCAAAUGCAACAGACCAGUAAAAAUUCUGACGCGGACUUUAAGGUACUUGGAUUAGAAUUUAGAACCGAAAAAUGAUUUGUAAUCUGCCUAGGGCUAUGAUGGAACUAAGUUACAAUUAAAGGACCAACGAAUUAUACACAUGACACACAAGCUAAAUAAAUUAACUAAGUCUGAUUUGAAUAUGUUAACAAGAAAUGUGAAGUUUCCCCUUUACAAUAAGGAUAAUGGUGUAAACUACAACACAUGAUAUAGUAAAAAAAAUCAACAUUUCCUCUCUCCUCUUCAUGAGUUGACAAAAUAUAACGAGGAGAAAUUGCAAGAGAAACCAAAAAAAAAAAAAAGAAAAAAUGAUUAUAACUUCCAUUAUUUGUAUAUGCAUCCUAAGAAGGGAUCUUUAUUAAAAUGUUAAAGCUAAUAUUAUCAUUUUAGGUGGAUAAGAAAAGUAGGUAUAAUUUUUAAAAUCUCGAGGGAGCUCAGUAAAAUUAUCAAAAAUCUCAAAGGAGGUUUUUGAAAUUACUAUCCCACUUAUUAUGCAAAUAUUUAGUAAUAAUCAUGGUAUAGAUAGUUUCAAAUUUGAGAUCCUAACUAGACUGGCAUGUCAUGGCUUAGAAAUCUUAAUAGGGUAAAAUAUACUUUACUCCCUUGUGGUUUAGCAAUUUUUCAUAUUAAUCCUCUUGUGGUUUUAAAAAACUAUAUAUAACCCUUUCAUGAUUUGGGCUAAAGGGACAAAGUGACAAAAAAAAUCCUCUGUAAUAGAACUCAUAGAAAUGUUAAGAUUACCUUUGUUUAAAAACUAAAAUGGCUAAAGUGACCAAAAUAUAUAAACAUAACAUACAUGACACUUUAACCCUUUAUGAUUUUGUGUUUUACUACGUAACUCCUUUAUAAUUUUCAAAAUAUAUACAGAAUUCCUCAGUGGUUAAUAAAUAAUUUUCAACUUUAUAUAUAGAUACUUUUAACAUUAUAGUUGGUUUCGUUAUGGAAUGUAAAUUUCGUCAGUUUAAUACUUUAAUCCAAAUCAUAAGAUUAUAUAUAACUUUUAAAACCACAUGGGGUUACAUGAAAAAAUACUAAACUACAGAGGGAUAAAGUGUAAUUUAUCCAUCUUAAUAUAUCAUGUUGUCUUAUUUUAUCCAAUGUUACAACGCAUAGAGGAAAAUUACUUUCCGUUGCUUGCUCUCGCCAUUUGCUUAUUGUGCUUUAUUCUUUUGAUACAAGUAUCCCAAUUGACCUGUCUUCGUUUAUGAUAUGGUAAAAAUGAACUAUUCAUACUAGACGAAGUUUACGCAAAACUAUUUCAACAUGUGUUAUUUAACUCAGGUAGGGUAAUUUAACAGAGCACUCCUAGGUGUUAAAAUUAAUCGCGACACAAGUGUACAAUUAUGCAUAUUAGACCAACUUGCUCAAAACAUAAGUCAAUAUUAUUAAUCAUUUCGCUGGAAAUCGUCCUGCACGAUUUGCUUUCAGUUGGUUAUGAUUAAAGAGAGGGACCUUAAGAAUUAGAAAAUUACUUUUUUUUUUUGUAGGCAACAUCAUCAAAUAAUUAAUUAGCAAAUGCUACGUAAGUAACCAAAAUCCAGCAACCCACGAGUCCCACGAGAAGCCGUACUCUACCUCAACCAAGACCAGGAAAGAUUUGUCCCAAAAUAAACAAAUGGCGCAUAAAAUUCUUGGUCUAGCUGCAUGCUUUUCCAAAUUGACAUUCUAGCUUACUUUAGAGUCUUAAUCUCUUGAAACUUUUUGACAUAGGCUUCAAAAUUGGCAGCAUCAUCACUAACAAGAUUCUGUACUCAUACUUUUGACUGCCAACUCCGCACUAAGCAGCCUGCUUGACUCUGACGAGAGCAUCGAAGACUUUCAAACUGUACUUUGGCGGCCAGAUUGAGUUUUUUCUCCAUCUUAUUAAAAAUUAAUUAAUUAAACACUCAGAGGCUCAUUAUCUAAAAUUCUGUAAGACAUAUAUAGCAAUGUUUGUCACUAACUUAAAUUGGAUCCUCAGCAAUAUUUGUAACGUCAAGAGCUAACCUUAAUUUUAAGCGUUGAUCUACACUAUCUCCAGUGGCCAAAGUUAAAAUGAACAUUUUAACUAUGAAUUUUUAAAAGCAUUGCUUGUUCCACCACUAAUUUGUAAAGAGCACAUAAAAUAAAAUUACUUGUUCUAUGUUAUAUGAAUGCUUUCACUAUUACAAGUAAUUGUUCAGAAAGUUAAGAAAUAUUUGCAUCUUAUUUUGCCCUCACUAAAGGAAAAUUCUGGCCCCCACCUUUCAAAGGGUGCAAAACUUGUGUUGGUAACAGCAUUAGAGAAAUAAAAUAAAUAAUUUAAAACUAUCUGUAGCUUCUCUACCUCAAAAGGUAAUCUGAUCAGCAGUUAUUUUAGGAUUGCAUACUUUAGCUGCAAUUUCAGUGAGUAGCUGCUUAUAUAUCAAGGCCAUCAAUCAGUCUCAUCGGGUGAUCCACCGUCUUCACCUUAGAGUUUUGAUUUCUUCACAAGCACGUAGGAUACCGGCUGUUACAUUGUUGAGCUAGAGGGGCCACUGCCCAAUUCCAAGAAAAUUAGGUUUUGUCCCAUGAUAACUUAGAAAAUUUACAAAAGUAUCCUUUGUAUUAAAUAAAAAAAGAGAAAAAGUUCCCCACAAAAAAAAAACUUUGAUAAUUAUGUAUGAUGCAUUAAAGUUUAGAUGUGUAUAAAGCUAGCCGUGUCAUAAACAAGGGCAAACUAGGGGAGCGGGGCAGGGCCACCGCCCCAAGUUCUAGAAAUUCAUGCAUGUCACCCAUAAAAUUUUGAGAAUUUUCAAAUCUUUUAUAUAUAUAUUUAACUAUUUGCCCUCCCAAAUUCUAGAAAGUCAUGCUUUCUACUGUUCAAAGUUUGAGAAUUUUCAAAAUUUUCUAUAUUUAUUGAUCUUUUGUCUUUCAAAACUUUGGCUCCUAAUUUUACAUGUGUAUAUAUUGUGCCCUCUCAAAUUAAAUUUUCUAGUUCUGCUACUGAAAACAAAUGUUUCUGGUUCCAUAUCUGCAUGGUUUACUCCUCUAGUGUAUUUACCCUCUAUGGAAGAUGUCUUGGGUUUGUGACAGCUUCUCCAAGGAUAGAAGUUUAAUACAUUUGCAAGAGUAAGAAAAGCUUGUGAAAUAUGAAAUUUCAAUAAACAAAUCUGGUGCAAGUUAUGUAGUUAGAUGUGUGCGUGAUGAGUACAGUUACGCAAGUUGUGUUGUUAGAUAUAUGUCCAUGUAUAAUUAUGCUGAGGUAGUAUAAUAGGUAUGUAGUUGAUCAAGACUCUGCUUGCCAGCAAUCAAUUCGACAUAUGCUCCUACAUCAUUAACAUUGCCCCUAAAUUUACUUGAGAUACCAAUUUAAUUCCCAUUUUCUUGAGGCCAAGAACUAUGGCCAAAGGAGCUAGGGAUCGCUGACUGAGCUACAGCUUCAAAUUCUUUCUAGUGUUGUGUGAUCAUACAUGUGAAAAGGUGCGCCAUUUGGCCUCAGAUCAAUCCUUCAAAGAUUUUAGAGACUGUUAUUGCAUUUUUUUCCCCCUUCUCACAAAGGGGUAUUUUAGAAUUUUUGAGGACAAAUUUAGCAUAGUGAGUAUAUAUUGUUACUGCAAUACUAAUAAUAGAGAAAGUAAGUAUAAUUUUUCAAACUAAAGAAGAGCUGCCUGCAGUAGUCAGAAAUCUCAGGAGAGGUUUCUUAAAUUAUCUCAAUCUUUAAAGCUUAAACGGGAAAACCACGGGCAGACACCAGUCCGAGCCGAUUGGUUAGAAAGAAAAGCUUUGUCGUCCACCGUACUUGGAACCUUUAAUCUUGCAAAAAGUUUUAUGCUAUGAUAAAAUUCUUGGUCGUGUUUUGGACGUUACCGUGUACUAUCAUUUUGAUGAAUUAAGGCUGCAAACGAGUCGAGCCGAGUAGAGUUUUGAACUAAUUGAGUCGAGUCUCGACUAAAUUUUACCGAGCUCGACGAGCCGGCGAGCCGGCAAAUUUCGAGGUCGAGCUCGAAAAAAAAUAAAAAAUAAUUAUUUUAUUUUUAAAAAAAUAAAUAAAAUAAUAUUUUUUUAAUAAAUAAUAAAAUAUUAAAAAUAUAUACGUAAUUUUACUAUGAAAAUAAAAAAUAAAAAAUAUAUAUAUAAUAUACGUAAUUUUAUUAUUAAAUAAAAAUAAAAAUAAUAUAUAUAUAUAUAUAUAUAUCCAAGGCUCGCGAGCUAACGAGUUUAAUAUUCUGAACUCGACUCAAGCUUGACUCGAGCCGCUCGAGCGGCUCGAUUCAUUUGCAAUCCUAUGAUGAAUGUCUCUUUGAUGCAGUCUCGAGUGGUUUUCUACGCCCAUCAUAUUAAUGUGCAUACAAUAUUAUGGUUUCUAAUUGAGCGGCGAGAGAAUUUUUUGUGCCUGGUCCAACAAUUCCUAGCCUUUCUCACCGUCAUAGAAUAUUCAAUGUUAACCAAUACCCGUAAAAAGUCAUCACUGGUGGACGUUGCUAGAGUUCUGGAUACUGUAGAUUUACCCUGUUGUCGUUUGGCUUUUGGACACCCCUAAAUGUUUGAGUCAAAAACUCAUUUUCACGUUAGAAUCAAGAAGGUUGCCUUUACAGUAGAUAUGUAGGCAAGCAAAAUCAUUAUGGCGCAAAAGACAUUCAAUUUCAACCAUGUUAUGUAUUUUUGGACCUUUCUCACUUCAGAGUUUAAAGGGUAAAUUACACUUUAUCCCCCUAUGAUUUAAUAUUUUCUUACAUAAGCCCCCUAUAAUUUCAAAAUCAUAUAUAAUUCCCUCAUAAUUUGGAUUAAAAUGUCAAAGUAACGAAAUUUGCAAUCCAUAACGGAGAUAACUAAAAUGUCAAAAAUAUCCCCUAUAUAAAGUUAAAAAUUAUUUAUUAACCACAAGGGAGGUUAUGUAUAUAUAUUGAAAAUCAUAAGGGAAUUAUAUGGUAAAGUACCAAACCAUAAAAGAGCUAUAUAGUAAAAUAUAAAAUCAUACGGGAUUAAAAUGUUAUGAAUAUUAUGUUUAUAUAUUUUAGUUAUUUUUAGUUUUUAAACAAGGGUAAUUUUGAUAUUUCAUAAGUUCCGUUAUAGAUGAUCAUUUCCGUCGCUUUGACAAUUUAAUCCAAACUAUAAGAAUUUAUAUAUAGUUUUUAAAACUAUACGGAGAUUAUGUGAAAAUUAACUAUACUACAAGAGAGCAAAGUGAAGUUUGCCCAAGUUCAAAUAUGCAUGUCCAGUAUAUGUCGUGCUUUAUUUGCAAGUGGUUCUAGUCGUGGAGUAUUACGCCAUAAAGACUAGUUAGAAGACCACUGUAGGUUUAGAAUUGAUUUUCAUUUAUAGAAUAUCCUUAGUUCAUCUGACAAUAGAUGAUGACUAGGUAUAGAUGUAUGCUAUUUAUAAAAACGUAACAAUGAUGUAAACAGAGAUAGUGUAUCAUGAAUUUAAUUUUGUUCAUAUUUUAAAAAAAAAUUAUUGACAGAGUAAUUAGAAACAUUAAUCUGUUAAGCUCGUUGGUGUCUUCACUGCUUCGCGUGAUGCACACUUAUUCUAAGAAAUUCAACAAUCAUUAUUUGUCCCUGAGAUUGAUUGACACAACAUGACAAUUAGAGAGGAAAACAUAAGUCCGAAAGUAGCAUUACUCAGUUGACCUUAAUUCUUUCGAACAAAGCUGCGCCUGCAAAUACACUUGCUUAGGUAUGACAAUUGAAUCGGUUUAGGAUAGAAAACGCACCAAUCUCCAGUCUUACCAACUAGACCUUUUUCUGAAUUAACAUACUUAAUUCGAUCCACGUCCUCCAUGUUUAUUUGAUAGCACUAGUAUAUUUUAAAUUCUAGUUGAAUCAUGCAGACCUUUGACAUAUGCGGAUAUGCCCAUGAAAAAAGCUUGACCCCAUGAUUUAAUGGUAAUAAAAAGUUAGCCUCUAAUAAUGCAAAUUGAAAUCAAAGCUACAUUAUAAAUCCAUUAUUUGCAGAUAUUUAUGUUAUGAUUUGCUUAUCUUUUAUUGUGGGUUUGUCAACUAGUAAGUGCAUUUUCUAUGAUUUUCAAGAAAACAAAUUGGAAGAUUGAAUUGAGAAGAUAUGUAGAAAAAUCAAGGAUUUUGUAGUGAAAAUUACCAGAGAUGUGAUUGGAUAUAUCUUUGGGCACUUAUCAAGGAAUGAUGGUUAAAUUUGGAAAAUCUUGUCAUGCAAUUACACCUUGCCCAACCAAAGACGAAUCCAAUUGCAAUCCAACUAUGGAACGAAGUUUAGUGGGAAUUGGAGAGAUUUUCUCUAUCAAAUAUCUUAUUUUAUAAUGUUUAGUCAUGAAAGCUUAUCAUCACGGCAAUUUUUCUUACCUUAAAUAGGAGAAGCAAAACAUCCAAGAAUAGGAAUUCAUUCCUUCAUGCAGUAAAGUUGAAGAUUGCACUAAGGACUGAGGAGAGAAUAUAUAUGCUAGACAAUUAAUAGGGUAAUUCCAAUAUGUAAUAGAUUGUGUUUUUGCUCCAUAGAAUGAAAGGCAGGAUUGCACGUUUUGAUUGAAGCUAGAAUCAAUUGUAUAGAAUGACAGUCAUGAGUUUAUAUGGCAAAUUGAAAAGAACUUAAAACCAAAAUACCAAAUGUAUAUGAGCCUCAACAAUUAAUUAUUUAUACGUGAUAGUUGUUUGUGUAAUUUCCAUUGGAUACAUCAUACAUCUAUCUCUAAUUGAGCUGGGGCUAAUUAACUGCUAGUGAAAAUGGAAGGUGACCAUAUGUCUUGAAUAUAUAUUAGGGUAAAAUAUACUUUAUCCUCUUGUGGUUUAGUAAUUUUUUACAUUAUCCCUUUGUGAUUUCAAAGUUAUAUAUAAGUCCCUCAUGGUUUAGACUAAAGUAUUAAAGUGACAAAAAUAAUCCUCUAUAACGAAACCCAUAAAAAUGUCGAAAUUACCCGUGUUUAAAAACUAAAGGUCAAAGUGAUGAACAUAUAUAAACAUAAUUGCAUGACACUUUAUCCCCUCAUGAUUUUGUAUUUUAUAUCACAUAACCCCCUUAUAGUUUAGUAAUUCACCUCAUAACCCUUUUGAUUUCUAAAAUAUAUAUAUAACCACUCUGUGGUUAAUAAAUAAUUUUCACCUUUAUAUAGAAGUACUUUUGAUAUUUUAGUUAACCUUAUUAUGAAAUACAAAUUCCGUAACUUUGACACUUUAAUCCAAAUCAUAAGAAAGUUAUGUAUGGUUUUUGAAAUCAUAAGGGAGUUAUGUGGAAUAGCGUUAAAUCAUAGGAAGGUAAAAUGUAAUUUAUCUUAUAUAUUAAGGGUUCACGAAGAAGUGAAGAAAAUUUCAAGUUAGAAGAGUGCAUUUCAUCCAUUAUAUACUAAGUAAGAAAGGAUUCCUCCUCUCUCUAAAAGUGAGAGCUUCUCUCUCUAAAAUUGAGAGCUUCCUUCCUCGGUGUAGGAGCAAAAACUUUUUUCACUUCUCUUACCAAUAUCCCGCCCAGCUUUUGAAACUUUUUCAAAAUUCAAGAACACAAAACGUAAAACUCAUCUGGCCCAACAUUUGGGGGAUACUUGAUCAGAUCAAUGAUGGGAUCAUUGAAGAAGAUAGUAUAUUAUGUAGAUGCUUCAGUUUAAUAUUGUCUCAGUAGCUUUCUCUUUCUUUUUCUUUUCAUCCUUCUCUUGUUCUUUCUUUUGGUCUCCACCAGUCAAGGAGCAGAAGUAAGCUCAUGUGCACAGAAUCCUGAACUAUGGAACUCCAGGAACCCAGUUAGGGGGAAGAGGGAAUCUUUUAUUGCUAUCCGAUUUUCGUUUCUUUUGCUUUAAUUAGUCUCACGUUUAUAGUUUUUUGUGGUGCUCUUUUUUUUAUCUCUUUUAUACUCAGGUCAAAAGGUUGUUUGUCCUUCUUGAGAUAGUACUGGGUACACUGCAUGGUUUCGGGGAAGAUGGAGGAAGCUCUAGCAAACGCCUUACAAAGAUUUGAUCUGUCAGAGACAAAUGGGUGGAAUAGAUCUGAGCAGUGAACAUGUGGCACAAAGUGUUCCGGAUUGUAGAGGAAGCUUGGUUGGAAGAAUAAUGGGAGAUAAGAUAGCCAACUUCACUGGGGUAAAGAAUUUUACCAACCACGUUUGGGGUUAUCCCAGAAACUUAAGAGUUACUGAGAUAGGUCCAAACGUGUUUCAAUUUCAGUUUGAAAGGGAGGAGGAACAGGAAAAGGUUUUGGCAGGAGGUCCCUAAAUCUUAGAUAAUCAGGUUCUAGUAACUAGAGAAUGGUGUGUAGGCUUUGAAAAAAAUGUUGAGUGUUUUAGGUUUGCCAGUCUCUGGAUUCAAAUCUGAAAUCUGCCUGUUCAUUGGAUGAGUAAUGCAGCAGGGAAGAAGAUAGAGAGAGUGUUUAGAAAGGUUAAAGAAGUCCUCUUACCACCAGGGGAUAGAAAGGAGGGGAGACAUAUGAAGAUAUAUGCUGAAACAGACUUAUUACAGCUACUUGUUAGAGGGCCAGUGGUGAAGCUUAAUGGAGAAAUGGUCUAGAUAGAAUUUAAGUACGAAAGAUGCCUAGACUUCCGCUACAAGUGUGGAAUUAUAGGACAUGGAGAUAAGAACUGCAGACUUGAAAUGAGCUCCAAUCAAACUCACAAAGAAGCCCAAUUUGGGCCAUGGAUGAGAGAUGGGAAUAUAAUGAUGCCACUACUCAGGGGUGAGCAUGGAAAAGAACUGAUUCUUAAGGGUCAAUCAAAAACUUCAGAGGAGGGAGUUAUUGAAGAAAAUAAGGGGAAUGGGGUAGUGGAGAGACUGGAACAGAAUGAGUUGAUUAGGAGAAGAGAAGAGGGGGCGGGAAGGGCAAGGGAGAGAAAAGAGGAAACAUGCAGGAAAGUGGAAAACAGGGGGAAGGAAAUAGUGAUAAGUAAUAAGGAAGGGAUAGAUAAGGGGUCAAGGAUAAAUGAGGAGAGGAAGAAAAAUCAGGAUAGAGGAAAAGUAAAACAAGUACAGGAGGAGGAGGACAUGAUAAGGGAAGGUGAAGGUCUUAUGGAUCUAGAAAUGCAGGAAGAUGCAGUUGGACAAGAAACAAUGGAAAAACCAGCAAACAAAGAGAAUUUUCAGAGAGAACAUAUAGGGGAAAAUAAAAAAAAAAUUGCCCAAGGAUUAUCUGUGAAGUUGGAAGACAAAAGAAAACAUCAAAAAGGUUUUCAUAGGAUCAAAAGAAUCCCACUUGGAGAGAUUAAAGACAACAUUCAGGUGGGGGAACAAGGAGGCAAAAGAAAGAAGAUUACAGUAAAUAAGGAGGGCGAACCAAUGGAAGAGGAUGGUUAGGAUGAACCUUUGCUGAAACAAGGGCGAAGGAAAAACAAGAAAAUAGCUAAACAAAGGGAACUGGAGGCAAUCCCAACAAAGCCUCCAUAGUGCAAAUGAAGGUCCUGGUGUAAAAUUGUCGAGGUAUGGGAGCACCCUUGACAAUUCCCCAACUAAAGGAGAUGAUAAAUCUCCACUUUCCAAGCAUUAUUUUCUUGGCUGAGACAAAAAACCAGAAAACAGUAAUGGAAAAGAUCCAAAAAUAGAUUAAGUUUGAUCAAUGUUAUGUGGUAAACUCCAGUGGUAAGGCAGGAAACCUUGCAAUGUUUUGGAAGGAUGAGAUAGAAGUGGUGAGCAUAAAUAAGGAGAGUUUCUUCAUAGAGGUUAAAAUAAACGACAUAGAGUCAAGAUGUGCAUGGUGGCUGGAGGGAAUAUAUGCUAGCACAGAUGAGAAUACCACAAAGGAACAAUGAAAAACUAUAGAGCAAAAAAAGAGGGAGUGGGGGAAACAUUGGGUAAUAGUAGGGGAUUUUAAUGAUAUACGAUCUGGGGAAAAAAAUGGGGAGGGAGAAGGAGACAUGAGAGUAGUUUUACUGAGUUUAAUAGGUUCAUAAGGGAAAAUGAGUUGGUAGAUAUAGGAUUUGAGGGCAAACCAUGGACAUGGUGCAAUCAGUGGGAGGGUAAGGGGGAAGUAAAGGAAAGACUGGAUAGAUGCCUUGCAAGUGUGAAAUGGUAUCAACUUUUUGAAGGAGCUAUGUGUAGCCAUCUAGAAAAUGAAGCAUCAGAUCAUAGUAUGCUCAUAUUGGAUACCAAUCCCACUUAGAAGACAGUAAAAAGAAAAUUCUACUUUGAUCAGAGAUGGGCCAGGAAUGAGGAAACCAAAAGGAUAAUAGAAAGAGCAUGGAGAGCAGUUCAUCAAGGAUCAAGAAUGUUCAAGGUAACAAGGAAGAUAAAAGAGUGUAGAAUGGCUCUUUUAACAUGGAAAAGGAGCAACAACCAGAAUUCAGGGGAGAAAAUUAAGCAUAAAAAAAAGAAAAUACAGGAGAUAAAAAACAGCAACAAUUCAGGAAAAAUGGGACAAUUAGCAGACAUGAAGCUGCAACUCAGUAAAGCAUAUCGUGAGGAGGAAUUCUAUUGGAGUCAAAAGGCAAGGACUAGGUGGUUACAGGAAGGUGACAAAAACACUGCAUUCUUCCAUGCUAGUGUAAUGGCUGCGAGAAAACAAAGAAAAAUCACAAGUUUGCAGAAGGACAAUGGAGACUGGUGCAAGACUGAGCAGGAAGUGAUGGAGGAGAUAUGCAGAUACUACAAACAGAUGUUCACUACUGUAGAAUCAGAGCAAAUGGAGGAAACAAUGCAGGGAGUUCCCACUACUAUUUCACGACAGAUGAAUGAGAACCUGAUAAGACCUGUGGGCGAAGGAGAGAUACACAAAGCACUCCUCUCCAUGCAUCCUAACAAAUAUCUUGGGACAGAUGGUAUGUCUCCACUUUUUUUCAAAAAGUACUGGCACAUUAUCAGUUUAGAUGUGGUUAAUGCAGUGGUCAGUUUUUUUCAUACUGGCAAGAUGCUAAAGGUUGUCAAUGAAACUCUAAUAACUUUGAUUCCAAAGGUGGAAAAUCCUAUCAAUCUGACUCAAUAUAGACCUAUUAGCUUGUGCAACACUCUAUAUAAAAUCAUUUCAAAAGUGCUAGCUAAUAGACUCAAAAUUGUUUUGAACAAGUGCAUUAGUGAGACCCAAUCUACUUUUGUCCCGAGUAGACAAAUUGUUGAUAAUAUUCUCAUUGCCCAUGAGGUGAUGCCUUUUUUGAAAAACAAAAGAAAAGGAAAAGUAGGAUUCAUGGCUCUUAAACUAGACAUGUCAAAAGCAUAUGACAGGGUUGAAUGGAAGUUUAUAGGAAGAAUGAUGAUGAACAUGGGCUUCUGUCCUAUCUUUGUUAGGUGGAUUUUGUCUUGCAUAUCCUCAGUCUCUUAUUCUUUCAAUCUUAAUGGUGCAAAAGUGGGAUCUAUAAAAUCCAGUAGAGGCCUGAGACAAGGCGACCCCCUUUCUCCUUACCUUUUUGAUAGGGUGUUAAUUGUUAGUAAUUUUUAUUAUUAAUUUCCCCUUUGUUCCUACCAAAUAUUGCUUUAAUUAUUAAUAUCUAUGUAUAUUUGGUAUCUGGACUUAAUUUCAGGGAUUAGAGCAGAAAAUUACAAAAAAAAAGAAGGGACUUGCUCCAUAAGAGGGAGACUUCAAAAAGCCCCAUGGACCUGGCCCACAAGGAGAGAAAGAAACGGAAUGGCUGAUGAAGAAUUAAUUGGUACUAAGGGCUCUACUAGCAAUAGCAAACGGGAAGAGAGGAAACAUUGAGUAGGGCCUGGCCCUUUGGUACCCUUUGUUGACUUAUGCGGCAGGGACCACGGAGAAUAGGGAAGGCAUUAGUCAUUUGGCUUUAAAAGAGAAACAAACGUACACAGGAGCUCUUAUCACUAGUUUUAGGAUAGUUUUAGUUCAGUUUUAGUUUUUCUUUUCCUUUUCCUUUGUCAGGCACACGCCAACUGUUCGACAAUAUUCCCUAACGGGAAAAACAUCCCUUAUUCCUUGCUUUCUAGUGAAAAACUUGAUGCCUUUACAGUCAAUUAAUUUGCAUGGAUAUUUAAUUAUGCGGCGUGGCUAAGCCCUUCAUCUAGUUGAAGGCCAACUUGAAGGCGCGGUUCCAAAUAUCUGUGAGAUCGAAUUAAUUUUAUUUAUUUCUUUUAUUCAUUGGUAUUUGUACGUUUCCUGAUUUAAUUGGUUAUGCUUGUUAUGUUAUUUGAAUGUCAAGGGCCCGAUAUUUGAAUUAACCUAAUGAUCUAUGCCAAAUUAAUUGAUUGAAUCCGUAAUUGUUCAAUUGACUAAUACCAGUGGCGACUAGCGUGAUUAGUUUCAUGUUAGAAAAACGUAUGAUCUAAGUUAAACAAACCCUUGUAGCGUGUUUGUUGGUUAGGGUUGGGCUUUUCUAAUUAUUAUUGCAAUCGAGUAAUUAAAUCCUACGGUCGUACUUAGGGUUAUUUCUUGGUUAGAGAAAUAGUUAACGGUCGUACCUUAACUAUCGAGAAAUUAAGGAAAGGUUGGUUGUUCAUCGCGUGUAUGACAACUAUAACUAAUUUAGUAAUGAAUAAUUGAAUUAUCUUUGCAUUGAUGAUCAGUUGAAUGGACCGUGUCUGAAAAGUUGCACCUUUGGCUAGAGUCGUAUUGAUUAUUGAUUAAUUAUUAUUUAUUCCUUUUAGUUGUUUCAUUAGUUAGUUAAUUAGUAAUUUUAUAUUCUCCAAAAACCCCCCCAUACUUCGAACUCUAAAAGAAAUAAGUUAUUCCCAAUCCCUGUGGAUUCGACCCUACUCACCACUAUAUACAAAAGCUGCAUUUUUCCUCGAGUAGGUAAUUAUCAUUGCACAGGCUCGACACCCUGUCACUUUUCUUAAUUUGUGCAGAAGGUUUGUCUCAUCUGAUAAACACAAAGGUUGACAAGAAAAUGAUCACAGGAAUCAAGGUGAGCCAGAAAAAUCCACAAAUAUCACAUCUAUUCUUUUGCAGAUAACUCUUUGAUUUGCUGCAAAGCAACAAUCCAAGAGGCCAAACAGGUGAAAGAGCUUCUAAAGAGCUAUUCAGUGGCUUCAGGACAGCUUGUAAAUUUUGACAAAUCAGCAGUUUACUUUAGUAGAAACAUCCCAAUGGCAAAUAGGGCAGCCAUUUGUGAAGAAUUGGGGAACUUCAAGGAGGCAGCUAAUGGAAGAUAUUUGGGGCUACCAAUGGCGAUAGGAAGGACUAAGAACCAAGUGUUUGGUUAUAUCAAAAGUGCAGUAAACAAAAAGCUAAAAGGCUGGACAAACAAAAUGUUGAGUUUGGCUGGGAAAGAAGUGCUCAUAAAGUCAGUAAUUCUAGCAAUGCCAAACUAUGCCAUGGCAUGUUUCAAACUGCCAAAAGGACUGUGUAAGGACAUUUGCAAGAGUAUAGCCAACUUCUGGUGGGGCAGUAACCAGCAGGAAAAGAAACUACACUGGAUUAGUUGGAAGAAACUAGCAGAUGUCAAAGGAAAAAGGGGUUUGGGGUUUAGGGAUUUAGAAGCUUUUAAUAAAGCUUUACUUACUAAGCAACUUUGGAGAAUCAUUUGUUUUCCAAAUUUGCUUAUGACUAAAGUGAUCAGAGGCAAAUAUUUAAGAGACCAUAAAUCCCUGGAUACCCACCCUCCCAAUUCAGCUUCUUGAUCAUGGAGAAGUAUUCAUAGUGCAUGGAACUUGAUUGAAGAAGGACUAUGGAAAAGAGUGGGGGAUGGAAAACAGGUGAACAUAUGGUUGGACAGAUGGGUGAUGUGUUCGGAGACAGGAAAAGUUUCAACUCUAUGCCCUCCAAACUGCCAAGUGCAAACAGUAAGCCAGCUGAUACGAGAAGGAAGUUGGAAUGAGGUCAUACUGCAGCAAGUUUUCAACCAAAAAGACAGGGAGCAAAUAGCUAGCAUGCCUCUCAGUGCGUUUAAAAGACAAGAUAGAUUCUUUUGGUGUUUUUCGAAAUCUGGAACCUACACUGUCAAAACAGGUUAUGCAAAGGUUGUGCAGGCAAGCAGUAAUGUCAAAAAAAGAUAGAAGCUGGAGGAGGAAACAAGCUGGAAAAUUAGGAAACAUAGCAUCUGGAAGCAACUUUGGAACCUGAAUUUAAAGCACAAAAUAAAAAACUUCAUCUGGAAGUGAUUGCAAGAUAGAAUAGCUGUUAAAGAGGCUCUCUACAAAAGAACUGGUAAAGGGGACAAUAUUUGUACAAUCUGUGGAGAAGAAGUAGAAACAGUUGAACACAUAUUUUUCAAAUGUCCAAGAGCCCAAAUAGUAUGGAAACUAGCACCAGUUAGAUGGGAGGAGCUGGGGGAUUUACAAAAUAAUUUGUGGAGAUUGUGGGAGGCUGUAGCUCAGACGGGAUCAAAGGAACAUGGGAUGGAACAUAUCAGCUUGACAGCAAACAUCUUAUGGCAAAUUUGGAAAGCAAGGAACAAGGUAGUGUUUGAACAGCAAAGAGGUGAAGCAAGAGAUAUAGUACUGAGAGCACAACAAGAAUGGCUCGAAUUUGAAGAGGUGAUGCAGCAGGAAGGAGUAACCAAAUAGAAAGGAAUGGCUUCGAACUAGAAGGAAUAGAUAAAGGUACCAUCAUUAGAAGGAAUCAUUCGAAUCAGCACAGAUGCUGCUAUCAAUGCAAGGAUGAUCAAAACAAGAAAAGGAAUAGUUGCAAGGCAUUGGACAGGCAAGAUUAUAAGAGCAAAGGGAGUAGUAGAAAGAAAAAAAGGUGAAACUCUAAUGGGGGAAACAUUAGCCAUUAGAUUAGCUCCCCAAAUGGCACGAGAAGCAGGCUGGAGGAAAAUUGCUAUCCUAUCAGACUGCAAGACUGCCACAGAUUACAUCAGAUGUAACAAUGUGCAGGAUGGGAUUCUAGCAACCGUCCUAGAAGACAUUGAGGAUCUAACACUAUAUUUUGAAUAUUGCACAAUAUCUUGGGUGCCUAGAACAUCUAAUAUAGCAAGUCAUAGGCUAGCACUUUUUGCAUCAAAGCUAGUUAAUGACAUAGAUUGGAUAAAUGACUUCCCAAUUUGGUUGAUAGAAGCAAAUAGGAUAGAUGAAAGGGCUGUUGCCCCCUUUUGUAACUAAUUCUUGUAUUAUCAAGUGUUAAUAUAUAUAAAGAUAUUGCCAUUUGUUGAAAAAAAAAAUCCAUUGUAUACUAAGUGCACGAAGCCAACUUUUAUUUACUUAAAGUUGACAGCGACAUAGGAUGGUCAAUAAGACUUUCACUCAUUCACGCUUUUGAACAUGCUCUCGUCUUACAACAUUAGGGGUACCUUAGCUGUGUGAGACACAGCUGGUCCCCUAGAAAUUUAGUUAAACACACAAUAACAAAUUUUUGUAAAUACAGGAGAAAUUUUGAGCAUCAAAAUAAUUAAAUUAAAAUUUGUCGCCAAGAGAAAUUUCGUCUACGAAGUUAGCACCUAUUUAUCAUGAUUUGAACAAAGAUUUUUGAACCAAUAUUAUGUGAACAUAAUGAUACCAACAAAAAGGAGAGAUAAUAAAUACACUGCAUUGUCAGUUUAAUAGCUGCAUAACUUUAAUUGUGACUAAACUAAAAGCAUCAUAAUACUUCUAUCAGUUUAAUGAUCAGAAAAAGUUUAGAAAGUCAUCAUGAUCUGUUAUAAUCUUAAAUAUCAAUAAAACAUACAAACUUGUACAGUUUUCUAUUUUAUUUUUAGAGAAAAAGCAAGUUAUUAAUCCAUCCAUUUAAAUCUUUUUUAAAAGCAUUACAAACAGGUGAGAACAUUAUCUGCCAAACAGUUUGGGAGAAAUAGCAAUUUUAGAUAAAAAUAUAAACUAUCACAUUUGUAGAUUUACAUGUACAAAUUCGAAACCAAACCAUUUGUUUGAUCACAAAACGUCUUCUUAGUCAAGAUUGAAUUUUCUAACAAUUUUUUGUCGAGUCACACUCUAGACUAAAAGCCUCAAUUCUGACUUUCACAACCAACUACAAUCUUUUAACAACUGUAAUCAAUUAAGCUACUUAAAUUGGCAAAAGUUGGCUAACUCUUUCAGCCAAAUAGUCAUGAUAUGUCCAGUUCCAUACCCAACUUAUAUUAUCGUUUGAGACUCUGAAAAAGGAUAAAAGUACAAAACCAUAGAGCCAACUUAAGCAAAUGAUUUUGAAAUCUAAUUUUACACUUCUUUUAUUCUCAGACUAUCAUUUGCUAAAAUUAAAAAUCAUGAAAAUAAACCACCUAUCAUGUAUACAGUCUAGUAAUCCAAAUGAAGAGGUAUUGUUGGAGGGAUUAGACAAAAUCUUAUCUUUCCUGUAAGACCAAAACAUUAUUUUUUUCUCCAACAAGAGCAUCAAACAUUCACUCGGAUAAUUAUAGAAAAACAAAAAAGCAUACUUCAAAGAGAAUCAAGUAGGAAGCAAAAAGGAAAAAAAAUUAGAAAUAGCUAAAAAUAAUAGAAAGAUGAUAAGAGAAAUAUGGGACGGUGAAUUAGACUAAAAAAUGACUGGGAGAGUAAUGAGGGAGUGUUGAGAAAGGAAUAAUUAUGGAGCAUGGCUUUGGUCAAAUGUAGUUAGUAGACUUAAUCUAGUUUGAAAUAGCCAAAUUAGUUUAAAAUAAAAAAAAUUUUGCACUCUAAAAAAUGAGAGAAAAAACCUCAAUAAUAGAAUACUACAUAAUAAGCAAGGAUGUAGUUUCAAUACAAAAACAAUAUGUAACUUCUGAAUAAUAAAGCAAAAAUCUCACAUCAAAUAGCUAGCAUAAAGAACAAAAUUCCGAACAUUAAAAACGAACUAAAGAUCAGAAUUGCAAACUACAUAGAUUUGCAUUUAGUUUCAAGGCAAACCACACAAAAGAAGAACCAACUUGCUAGAGCAAAACAAACAAAUGCUUAAUGUAUAGGAUGCAAAUCAUGUAUAAAAUUAGGCAAAGGUUGUAAUCCAUCAAUGUCUACUAUCCUGCAAAAGCAAUAAAUACACAGCCUUGAGUGAUUAGCAAAAAUUGACAAUACUAAGAGAUGAAAGGAAAAGAGGGAAAAAAGGGGGGGGAAAUGGAAAAAGAAAGACAGACAAAGGAGGAAGUCGUGAAGAAAGAAAUAAGCAAAUAGGUUUCUAAUCAAAAGGCAAAUGAUGAAAAAAAUAUUAAGUAGUACGUACCAAAGAGAGAGAUAAUAAGAGUAGAUGAUCAUGAAUUAUGAUUACCAGACUAAACAAGAAAGGAAGUAUCAAAUCCAUGAUCUCCUACAACAAAAUCAUUCAUUUAGUUAAUUAUGGAAAAAUACAUCAACUAAUCCAGUAGAAAAAAAUAGCAGAGUAGAUGAUUAGGAUAAAGGGAAAAAAAGAAAAAAAAAAAGGGCAAAUUAUACUUUACACCAUUGUGGUUUAGUGCUUUUCUACGUAACCCUCCUAUGGUUUCAAAAAUUAUUUAUAACCGCCGCCUCAUAAUUUGAAUUAAAGUGUCAAAAUGACGAAAUUUGCAAUCCAUAAUAGAGUCAACUAAAAUAUUAAAAAUACCUCUAGGUAAAGUUGAAAAUUAUUUAUUAAACACAGGAGGGUUAUGUAUAUAUUUUGAAAAUCAUAAGGGGGUUGUAUGGUAAAGUACUAAACUAUAAAAGGGUUAUAUGGUAAAAUAUAAAACCAUAGGGGGUUAGAGUAUCAUGCAUAUUAUAUUUAUAUAUUUUGGUCACUUUGGCCAUUUUAGUUUUUAAAUAAGGGUAAUUUCGACAUUUUCAUAUAUCCCAUUUUGCAUGAUUAUUUCCAUUACAUUGACACUUUAAUCCAAACUAUGAAAGGAUUAUAUAUAAUUUUUAAAACUAUAGGGGGUUAUGUGAAAAAUAGCUAGACCACUGGGGGUAAAAUGUAUUUUGCCCAAAAAAGAAAGAAGUAUAGAGUGAAAAUUGAAUGUAGAAGUGGCACCGUAGAUGAAUAUUUGUGUGGUUGUCUUUGACUAGAAAAGAAAGAGGAAAUGAGGGUAAAAAAAAAUACCAAAAGAAAGGACUAAAAUAAAGAUAACUUUCUUAAAGGAUUAAUGAGCCACGUGUCAAAGUAGAUGGGAGCCACUUAGCAGCCAUUGGACCUGCUAUAGUAAUUUCACUUCUUUCUUAUAUAAUAGGUAGAUACAAGAGUUUUAAAAAAAAAAAUUGUAUCUUUUGGAGUAGCCCGAGAUUUACUCAACUAAAACAUGGCACAACCCAAGAAAAAUGGUUAUCUUGUCUUAAUUCUUAAUACAUACAAAUUAUAUAUAACUCUCAUGCAUGUUAAUUUUCCCUUUGCAUGUUCGCAGUUCAAUCUGUGAAGAGUAUGAAGCUGGAGAUUUUCAAAGGCCUCGAUAGAAUGGUUCUAUCUAAGGACGUAUUUAAUAAAACAUUAUAGCGCUUUAUGGUAUAAAUUUGUAUGAGAAAUGAAAAGGUUGGCCUAAAUUAUAUAUGUUCAAAAUUUUCAUUCUGAAAAAUUCAAGGCAUGUACUAUAUAGUUCUUCACGAAAGUUAAACAUAAAAUUGUUACAGUUGUCGAGAGAAAGAUGUUCCAGUUCUUGAUUAAGAGUAAUUUUCCCUUUUCUAAUGAUUAUGGCUUCCAUUAUACAUCGCAUCAAAAUUCGCCGGCCAUAGUCAGCUCCGAGACACAUGCAUCUGUUGUUGUGUGCACAACACAAGUCAAACUUUGGACGUUAUCUAAUAAUAAUAACUAGGAGGUAAUUGGCUGUGCUAAGCACAGCCUAGACCCUAUAAUCUGUUGUCAUAUCCAAACUUUAUUCAUGUUUGAAGAGGGUUGUUGACCUUCUGGGUUUGGUAGCAUAGACGGCUGGAAUUGGACUUGCUGAGGAUAAAUGCGCCGAAUUUGUGCUCAGAAGAGCCGUGUGGUAGAGAGAAAGGAGGAAAAGGGUUAAACGGCAAUUUGGGAAAGAAACAGUGCAAUGGCAAAAGAAGGAAAAGAAAUAGAAGGCUUGAAGAGGGGUGUUGACCUGCUGGGUUUGGUAGCAAAAUCUCCUCUUCUCUGUUUCUUCCACUCAGAUAGCCGAAUAUGAACCUACAAAAGAUGCUAGUGUUCUACCAAUUUUCUGAACAAAGCAUUGUACUUUCUUUCAGUUAGAACCACAAAAAUCCUCCACAUGCACGUGAUUGCACUUGUCCCAAGAAUUAGCUUCUUUUAGGGAUUGUACUUGGUUUGAAUUUACCAGUGAAUUCUUUCUUUUUUCUGCUGCUACGAAGUGAUUCAACGGCAAUUUGAGAAAAAAACAGUGCAAUGGCAAAAGAAGGAAGAGAAAUAGAAGGCUUCGGACAAGAGAAGCUUUAGAUUCAGACAAUUUGCAAGAAACAUUUUACCCUGCCAUUCCUUAAAAAAACAAAUGCAUAUAUUUUUUGUCAUUCAGAAAUUAUUGCAUUCAUUUGCUCAACAAAAAAUUUUUUUGUCAAAAUAAAAGACAAAUGCUCACAUAUCAAUAAAUUAAAAUAAAAUUGAUUCGAAAGUGUAUAUUCUAUUAGUUGGUUAUUUCAUUUUUGCAUUUAUAACAAAUUGGAACCAAUUUCUUUUUUUUUUUUUUUAUCAUUUUCCCACUUUGAAGAUAUCUUUUUCUUUUCCUCCGAGUUCAAAAAUAGCCAAGGUUUGAUUAAGAAAGUUUAAAUAUUUUUUUAGCAUGUAGAUUAAAAUAAUAAAAUUCUUGCUAUUAGAUUUGGAUAUUUCUUUUAAUUUUUGAAAAUGUGACAAUUUUUCUAUCAUUUUUUGACGGCUUCUAAAAUAGCAAAAGUUAUAUUAACAACGUAGCAAAAAAAAUAAAAAAAUAUAAACUUUCAAAAAGACGAAUAGAAUUUUAUGAUUUUUAAUAAAGUCAAGUUAAUCUGUGAAAUAUAAGUUUAAAUGAUAUUUCAAAUCGUAAUAAAUAUAAAUUCAAAUAAUGAUAAUGAUAAUAAUAUUAUAAUUGGAUUACAUCUGUCCAAGACCUAGAGCUUGAAAUCAAUUUUAAAUAUUUCUUUUUGUUUUUGAAAAUACGGUGAUCUGAAAAAUACUCUCUCAAAUUGACAUCAUAAUAAAUAUAAAUUGAAAUAAUGAUAAUAAUAAUAAUAAUUUGUAAUUGAAUUACAUCUAUCAAAAGCUUACAAAUUGAAAAAUCCAAUAAAAAUAAUUGGACCUCAUACUUGAAUGCCAAGGCCAGACCAAAUUUGGUCAUUGUGCAAUGCAAUCCAAUCUAUCUAUCUACCGUUGCCUAUAAAAAGAAAAGGAAAGAAUAAAAGCUCAAAAACUCACUAAGAGUGCCAUGUGUCAAUGAGACAGCAUGCUACAGUAACAGUGCAAAGGCAAAAGAAGGCAAAAGAAGGAAAAGAAAUAGAAGGCUUCGGACAAGAGAAGCUUUAUAGAUUUAGACAAUUUGCAAGAAACAUUUUACCUUGCCACUUGUCAGAUAAUUAAGAAGCCAUGUGGCAAGAGGAAAGGAAAAUACUAAACCUGGCUCUUUUCUUAUAUACAAGGUAGAUAUAAGGUGCAUUUUUGACAAAAAAUAAUAAUAAUAAUAUAAGGUGCACGUGCACCUACUCAGGGGAAACGAGGGAAUUCUUCUACCUAUAAUUUUCCGGCGCAAAAACAACAAAAAAUCUUAUUUCCAAAUUCAAGGGGAAUCUUUUUUCUGAAAUAAAUCAAUUGUAUUAUGUAUUAUAAUAUUUUUUGUUAUGUGAUGUAUGUAAAAUAAAAAAUACAUAAAAAUAUAAAAAAUGAUAAAAAAAAAUAUACUUAUAUACAUAAACAAUUAUUCAAGCAUACACAUGUUAGAUCCAAAUUCCAAAAGAUAGCAACUUGAAGAGAAUUACUAUCCUAAGGAAUACUAUUCUUCACAUUUUGAAGAGAAUUACUAUAAUUUACAAGUUAUAUGUUUUUAGGCCAUUAAAAAAAAGGAACUCGAAGAAUAACGAGAUCAUCUUCUUCUUCUUUUUAUUUUGCCACUUCAAUACGGAAUGCUUUUUUUUUUUUACUCUUAUUUUAUUUAUAUAUAACGGGGUUCAUUUUCUGUACUUUUAAACAUGAGCAAUUCAUGAAAACGUCUUCAUAAAAUGUGCAGGUUCCUGCCACUACUUAUGACAAAGCAAGACUUGAUAAAUAAAUCUAAAAUUUAUUUUCCGCAGGUGUCUGAAAUUUAAAGAUUGAACUUUAAGUAUUGAAGUAUUAGUUUGGUAAGUUAAAUAAGUCUUAUCUAUCUCAUAAUCAGCUGAAUUUGAACGGGAAACUCUAUUCUAUUUCGUGUGUGUAUAUCACAUCGUCUAAAAGUAAUAAUAUACUUUAUUUUUAUAUUAUAUUUUCAAAUAUCAUUUUUGACACUAAUAAGUUCCAUUUGAUUCUAUCAGGACACUUAAAAAAAAAUUCUGAUUAUCCUUGACCAAGUUUUUUUUUACCCAUAUAGGCUCCAUGUAAUUAGAAAAUCUACUUUUUUUUUCCCUCGCAUUAGAAUGAACAAGUGCAUGGAUCCUCAUGCUACAAUCAUGGAGUAUUUGUAGUCCAACAUGGUUUUUCCUUUAUUUAAGUCCAACAUGCUUGUUGAUUGUAGCCUGUAGGGGAGGUCAAGUUUCCCCGUCGAUCGAUUCACACAUUUAACUCUCUGAAAUAGCUGGUCCUCCAACUUGCUGUUUAGAGUUUAGACCAUGCUCGGAGCCAGGGACAGAUUUACAGUGAAUUGCCUCUGACCCCACCAAAUCCUUAGUAUGUAUGUAUAAAUUAAGAACCCGGGUGGAUUGUUAUUUUUAGAAAUUUUUUUUUUUUUGCAGAAAAAUGUACUGUAACGAUUUGAUAUAAGUGAAAUACAAAAGUGAUUGAAAAAUAUUUUUAUGAAAAAUAUGAAAAUUUUCUAGUAAAAAAUAGCAGUCCAAAUGUGUUCACGGAAAUAUUAUGUUCCAAUAUUUAGAUAAUAUUAUUCACUUGCACCCAUUACUUUUAAGUCCUACCAAAAUCUUUAAUAUAUAUGUAAAAAUUAAUAACCACAUACCCUCGCAUUUAGAGAUUAUUGCUUACCACCCUUUAACAAAAUAAGGUGAAUUAUCUUUUAUCUCCUUGUGGUUCGGUAUUCUACAACAUAUCUCUCCUAUGGUUUAAAAUUCUAUAUAUAAUUCAACUCAUGAUUUUUCAUUAAAAUGUAACCAUUAGUUUUUCUAUUAAUAAUAACGGCCAACAAUAAAAAGUCAAAAUCAAACUAAUAAAUUGACAAUUUUAUCCGAUCAUUACUUCUUCUUCUUUUUUCACUCCAAACAUAAAAAAGAAGAAAUUGAAAUAAAAAGUAGAUAAAUAAGAACUAGAAAAUUCCAUUAAAGAUUUGGUUUAAAAACCUAUAAUGAUAUUUAUAGUAAAAAAAGAUUUGAUAUUUUUUGUUUCUUAUUUAUUUAUUUAUUUUAUAUUUCCUUCCCUCUUUUUUGUUCCAUAUUUAUUUUUUAUUUCCCAUCCAUCUCUUUUGUAUUUAUAGAAAAUUAAGAUUUUGUAGGUCAAAGUACAAGUUUUCAAAAUCAUCUCUUCUCUUCCCCAAAAAAAUAGAGAAAGAAAAGAAAACAAAGAAAAAAAAGAAAAAAAAAAGUAAUGAAAGAGUGAAUUUGUUAAUUUAUUAGUAUGAUUUUGACUUUUGACUUUUGAUCAUUAGUUUUAACGAAAAAAACUUAAUGGUGACAUUUUAAUCUAAACUAUAAGGGGAUUAUAUAUAGGUUUUUAAAUCAUAGGAGGAUUUCGUGGUAAAAUACCAAACCACAGGGCGGUAAAAUAUAAUUUAUCCAACAAAACAUAUAGGUGUCAUCCUAACUUAACAAGCUUAUAAAUAAACAUGUGCAUUUUAAAUUAUAUUUUAUAUUAUUUGUUAAACAUGUGCAUUUUAAUGCUUGAACAGUUAUGUUUACGCAGUGUAUUUGCCCCCACUAAUUUAUAUUUCUAGCUCCGCCAUUGUUAGAAGCACCAUGUAAACAAUAGGUAGUUCGCCAUUGGAUAGAUUAUUAUUUGAAAUAAUUACUGUAACACUUUUUGUGAUGUGAUGUAUGUGAGAUAAAAAGGUGGGUUGGAAAACGUGUUUACGAUGUAAGUAAAAUAUUAUUUGAGAUAAUUUCACUAUCCAAACAAACCCAUAUUUUAUUGGUGAGGCGACCUUUUUCCACGUGCAACCCUUCGAAGCUAUGACCAUAAUAUAAGAGAAAAAGUAAAAAAUUUAUGGAGCCCCAAACUAUCACCGUUAUUAAAUUUUGGCCCAUAAUCUAAAUUUUAUCUCUGGUUGGCCUCUAAACAAUUGAAAGUAUAUAGUUUAAGGAUUUUUAGUCAUUUUAAACAUAAGUGAAGACGAACCAAAGGACAUUUUUGUCCAACUAUAAAUGAAAGCAUUGAGACCAUCAGGUCCAUUAGAUGGAAUUCUAAUAAAAAAACAUUAAACCAUCUUCGCUGGUGAUUUUGAGCCCCAAAUUUCUUAACACAGCCACAAAAUUAAUGUUAAAUUAUAAAACAAACCCUACUAAUCACCCCAACCUUACCUUCCACUCCCUCUACCAAUCAUCUCCUAGUAUCUAAUGCUUAGAAUCCAGGCUCUGCAACUUCAACUAUUGCUUAAACUGGUUGAUGAAACUAUCAGCUUUAGCAUCAACCUCGUUGUCAACUCACUAUCAACUUGGCACCCUAUCUCGCAAUCACCAGACGCCGAACAUCCACAAUGUCAUGCUCCUUGAAGUGCUUAAACGCAAAUUUCAAACAUGUUGACUUCUUUAUCUCUAUCAAUAGCCUCGUUAGAACCUCAGUCGUGACUAGCUUAGUAUCUAACUUUGACCUGCCAAUGCGUAGGUGACAGGUUGUCGAGCCUGUGCAAUAAUAAUUACCUGUUUAAGAGAAAUACAGAUUUUAUAUAUAGCGGUGAGUAUGGUCGAAUCCACAGGGACUAGAGAUAAUUCAUUUCUUCAAGAGUUCAAAGAAUGAGGGGUUUUUUGAAAAAUAUGAAAUAACUAAUUAACUAACCAAUGAAACAACUAAUAGAAAUAAUCAGGAAUUAAUCAAUAACCACUACGACUCUAGUCAAAGGCGUAAUUCUUUAGACACGGUCUAUUCAACUGAUCAUUGAUGCAAAGAUAAUUCAAUUACUCAUUACUAGAUUGGUUAUAGUUGUCAUGCACGCGAUAAAAAACCAGCCUACCCUUACUUUUUCGAUAGUUAAGGUACGACCAUUAACUAUUUUCCUAACCAAGAAAUAACCCUAAGUACGACCAUAGGAUUUAAUUUCUUGAUUGCAAUAAGAAUUAGAAAAGUCCAACCCUAACCAACAAACACGCUAUGAGAGUUUGUUUAAGUUGGAUCAUACGUUUCCCUAACAUGAAACCAAUCACGCUAGUCGCCAUUGGUAUUAAUUAAUUGAACAAUUACGGAUUCAAUCAAUUAAUCUAGCAGUAAAUUAUUAGAUUAAUUCGAAUAUCAGGCCCUUGACAUUCAAAUAACAUAACAAGCAUAAGAAGUUAAAUCAGAAAACGUACAAAUACCAAUGAAUAAAAGAAAUAAGUAAAAUAAUUCGAUCUCACAGAUGUUUGAAACCGAAUUCUCAAAUUGACCUUCGACUAGAAAACCGAGAUUUAGCUACACAUCCUCAAGAGAAAUCCACAGGACUCCCUUGAUAACCAUUUGUUCCUUCUCCAAAAACUAAUGAAAGAAGACAAAGAAAAGAGACAAGUCACGACCGUCCCUCCCAAUUCCUAUUUUGUAGCUUCUUAAGGAAAAUCAAACUCCUCCCGAAAUUGCUGCUGGCCAACUCCUAAUCAAACGGGAAUUCGGCUUUUUCUCUCUUUUUGUUUCCUAUUCAGCUUCUACUACUAAUAAUAAGAUAUAUAUGUUACCCAAAAUAUAAAAAGGAACUGCUAAAAAUAAUAUUCCAAGUUUCCUAAUCCAAUAUUAGGACUAAUAAUGAUAAUUAAAAUCUUCAAAAUCUUACUUUGAUACUGCCUUGAAUUUGAUUUGGACUUGGAAACCGGUUCCGAACGUGCCACUAUCAAAUUAUUUGGAAAAUUGCCCCUUUUUGUCACGUUUUACUCCUUUUCCUACAAUUAGUACCAUUAACCAAAUAUAAGUAGAAUUUAUCAAUUAAAACAAUAUUUGACUACAAUCAAGGGGAAAAUAAUUAUAAAUUUAGCAACAAAUUAUGACCUAUCAAUUUUUUUCACACCUAAACCAUGCUUGUCCUCAAGCAUGAGAAUAACAAAUUAAAUAAUCAAAUUCAAACAAUGGUUAUUGCUCAAAUCUUCUACUGCCAAGAUACAAUUGAAACAUAUGUCAAGUAUUAGUGGCAAUUUUUAAAAAAUAUCUCUCCAAUUAGCUUUCAAGAUCAUUGACUCUUUUAAUUUAUGACUAACUAAUCUAGAAUAUAAAAUAUUCAACCAGCAUCCAUAAGCAAAUGGUUCGACUAUUAAGCAAAAUCUCAACAUUAAAAUUCAUGGAUCAGCGGCAAUUUAUUCAAACACUUUCACAUUUUUCACUAUUAGCACAUUUUUUUCUAAAAUAUCUCCAUGCUUGAUUGAUUAUUUUUUUUCCAGGGGAAAUGCUUAGUCUUUAGCCAUUUAAGCGUUUUGACGCGAACUUCAACAUUGGCCAAAUGAAGGAGGCCGGUUACUCAGCCAUUAUCGCUUAAAAUCACAUCCUCAUAGUUAUCAUCGUUUUUUGACGUGAAAAUCGACACUUGUGGUGAAGGCCUCUAGUUAUUGGGUAAUGAUACUAGCGGAGUAUAGCCAAAUACUAUUCAUAAAUAAGCAUCAAAUUAAAACUAAAAAUCACACAAACUCGUUUCAUUUCUUAAACAUUGAGAACUAAGAUUAAUUAUUGAACCAAUUUGCAUAAAAAAAUGUUAGACAAAUAUUUACAAUACUUAAAGAAGUUAACCAAAAAAUGCAAAAGCCACAAAAUCUCAAAUAUUCAUCAAAAAGAUACUCUUAGAUUUAAUCAUGUCAUACUUAACACCUUAGAGCGUAAAAUCUUAGCAAUAGAAAAUUUUAAACCAUCUAACCAUCGUUUAUCAGGAACAUUCACAAAUAUACACAAAGAUAGGCAAAAAUUGGAUAAAAUUCGACAAAGUCAAACAAAAAAUUUCAACAAAAAUAUCUACACUUGCACUUUUUCAAUAAAAUACCAAUAUAUUACUCCACCCACACCUAAAUCUCACAUUGUCCUCAAUGGAGAUCAUAAAGCAAAGAAAGUAAAUAGGGCAACAAAACUUCCCUGAAUACGUGGUAGAGGGCCUCGGGCGGCUGUGGCAUAGGUGCAAAUGGUGUAGUGAAAAUGGUGCUACAGCAAGGUGCAACAGUGACGGAUUGCAGAGAGAAGGAGAGCUUCGGGGUACGUCUUGGUCCAAGCGACAGCGGCGGCGCGCGGCUGUGUUAUGUGAAGUGGCGGCGAACUACAACAGGGGGAGAGAGAGAGAUUGGUGGCGGACGUGUUAGUGUCGUGGCGAUGAGCGAGCAUGGAGGACAGCAGCAGCGCGCGGCUGUAGUGGCUGGCGGCCGUGGGUUAAGCGCGACUUGCGGGAGCGGCGGUGGAGGUGGGGUUUCGGCCGAAGAAAAAGAGAGAAUAGGGGAAAUAGGGGAGAAAGAAAGAAAGAAAAGAGAAGAAAAGAAAAAGAAGAAAGAAAGAAAAAGAAAGGAAAGAAGAAAAGAAGAAGAAGGAAAAAAAAUAUUUUUUGAAUAUUUUUUCUUUUUUUUUCCGAGAUACGGUUGUUUAAACAUGGCAUGGGCACGCCAAGUUUUGUAAAAGUAUUCUGAUCCUGGGGUGACUUUUUGCAAAUCAACGCGUGCCCUCCUUGCGUGAGCACGCCAAGUCUCCAUGUCCUGCCGGUGUUGUGAAAUGUUGAGGUUUUACCAACAUAGCGCGGGCACGCCAUGUUUUGCAAAAGUCUCCGGACCAUGAGGUUGGGACUUACAAAUUAACGCGUGCCCUUCAAAUGUGGGCAGACCAAGUUACCCUGUUCUGGUCACUGUUGAUGAAAACAUCCAGAUCAAUCAGUAACCAAGUGAGAAACAGCAAAUUUAAAGCCUUGAACAACGAAAAAUAAAUAAAAUCAAUAUUUGGGUUGCCUCCCAAAAAGCGCCUUUCUUUAAUGUGUUUGACUAGACAUUUUCAUGUUUAUUCACGGAGAAUAAAAUCUUGUGACUCGUUUCAAUGCUUCAUUCUCUAUAUAAUCCUGAUAGCCCUCGUAAAUAGAAUAAUCCUUGAGCACACGAGGUACAGUCUUCCAUGGAUUAGUGGAUAGCGCCAAAUGAACAAGUAAUGACCUUAAUUCUUCACUCACUCCUCCAUUACGAGCAUUUACUGGUUCAAGAUAUUUUGCCAUCGUAACUCUUAAUUUAUUCCUGUCAUGAAAUUCAAAAUCUUCUGGUAUAAUAAAGUCAACGUCACUAACAGGAAUUAAAGAAUAAGAGUCAGGAAAAUAUUGAUUAAGGAAUGGAGGAGAUGUCACCGCAUUUGGAGAUUGUUCACUGGAUUUAUUCACUUGAACAAUUUGAUAUUGGAGUUCCAUUUCUUGUACUUCAAUUCGCUUUUCAAUUGUAUCUUUAGAUCUGUUUUCUUGAGACUCUUACAGCUCCAUGUCACUUGUCAGGAUAAUUGCACUCUCAUCAUCUUUAAGGUCGAUGUUGGUCUGUGAAGGCAAUUCUUCAUACAUUCGAGAAGUCAAUUUCGUUAUUCUAGAUGUCAAUUGAUUCAUUUGAUCUGCUAGGUUAUAAAUGCUCGCUUGUGUCUCCUGAAUGCUCGCUUGUGUCUCCUGAUGAAAUCGAUAUGUAUUAGCAGUUAGUAAUUUCAUUAUUUCUUCAAGAGACAUACCUAACAUGGAUGACGGUUCUUAAAACUCUUGUUGUUGAAAAUUCAUUAGUCUGGUUGCAUAAUUAAAAUUGGAAUCAUCCUACCAUCCUUGAUCAUACCCGUUUGAAUAAGGGUCAUACCACGUUUGAUAUUGAGGUGAAAAAUCUCCAAAAGUAUCUAUUGAAACACUUAGGCCAUCGUAAAACGUGAAGUAUAUUUCGGUUGAAUGAUCUAAGGCAAAAUAACUUCCACAAUUUGCAACAACCAAUUGAUCAUUAGAAAAAACAUUAGUCUCAUAACCCCUUCUAAAAAUAAAAUCCAGUCUAUCACCAAAAUACGGAAUGUUAGUAGCCAUAAAUUAUAUAUAAAAAAAUAAGAGAAAAAUAAAAAAUUGAAAUCAACAUGAACUCAAAAAAGAAACAAAUUAAUUGGAAAUCAGUGCCCGGCAACGACGCCAAAAAUUAAUAGAUUGUCGAGCCUAUGUAAUAAUAAUUACCUACUCAAGAGAAAUAUAUAUUUUGUAUAUAGCGGUGAGUAGGGUCGAAUCCACAGGGACUGGGGAUAAUUCGUUUCUUCUAGAGUUCAAAGUAUGGGAAAUUUUUUGGAGAAUGUGAAAUAACUAAUUAACUAACUAAUGAAACAACUAAUAGAAAUAAAUAGGAAUUAAUCAAUAACCAAUACGACUCUAGUCAAAAGUGCAACUCUUCAGACACGGUCCAUUCCACCGAUCAUCAAUGCAAAGAUAAUUCAAUUACUCAUUACCAGAUUGGUUAUAGUUGUCAUACACGCGAUAAAAAACCAGUCUUUCCUUACUUUUUCGAUAGUUAAGGUACAACCAUUAACUAUUUCUCUAACCAAGAAAUAACCCUAGGUACGACUAUAGGAUUUAAUUUCUUGAUUGCAAUAAGAAUUAGAAAAAUCCAACCCUAACCAACAAACACGCUACGAGGGUUAGUUUAAGUUAAAUUAUACGUUUCCCUAACAUGAAACCAAUCACGCUAGUCGCCACUGGUAUUACUUAAUUGAACAAUUACGGAUUCAAUCAAUUAAUCUAGCAGUAGAUUAUUAUGUUAAUUCGAAUAUUGGUUUCUUGACAUUCAAAUAACAUAACAAGUAUAAGAAGUUAAAUCAGAAAACAUACAAAUACCAAUGAAUAAAAGAAAUAAGUAAAAUAAUUCGAUAUCACAAAUGUUUGAAACCGAGUCCUCAAAUUGACCUUCGACUAGAAAACCGAGAUUUAGCUACACAUUCUCAAGGGAAAUCCACAGGACUCCCUUGAUAACCAUUUAUUCCUUCUCCAAAAACUAAUGAAAGAAUACAAAGAAAAGAGACAAGUCACGGCCGUCCCUCCCAAUUCCUAUUUUGUAACUUCUUAAGGAAAAACAAACUCCUCCCGAAAUUGCUGCUGGCCAACUCCUAAUCAAACGGGAAUUCGGCUUUUUCUCUUUUUUUUUUUUCCUAUUCAGCUUCUACUACUAAUAAUAAGAUAUGUUCCCCAAAAUAUAAAAAGGAAACUACUAAAAAUAAUAUUCCAAGUUUCCUAAUCCAAUAUUAAGACUAAUAAUGAAAAUUAAAAUCUUCAAAAUCUUCCUUUAAUAUUGCCUUGAAUUUGAUUCGGACUUGGAAACCGGUUCCGAACGUGCCACCAUCAAAUUAGUUGGAAAAUUGCCCCUUUUUGUCACGUUUUGCUCUUUUUCCUACAAUCAACACCAUUAACCAAAUAUAAGUAGAAUUUAUCAAUUAAAACAAUAUUUGACUACAAUCAAGGGGAAAAUAAUUAUAAAUCUAGCAACAAAUUAUGACCUAUCAGUAGGGAUGGCAAUGGGUUGAAUAAAAUCCAAUAUCCAUGGGUAUUCGACUCGAUGGUUAGUCUGAUAAGAUGAUUGAUGGGUUAUUGACUAGGGUUGGUGUUAACAAGAAAUUACGGAGGGUUAAUCCAAUAGGAUUUAGCACGAGAACCCUAAAAUCCCAAUACCCUAUAUAUAUAUAUAUAUAUAUAUAUAUCUAAGGUUCCAAUUUUAUCUUUCGAUAACACAUUUCUUGAUUUUGUAACCAAAUAGCAUAUAACUCUAACCCAACACAAAUUAAGACAAUUAUGAUUAAAAACAGAAGAAUGUCGAUUUAACCCUUUAUUAAAUGUUGGAUUUUUCUCAUACAAGUUCUAUGGCUUUAUCCAAGUUUAAACCUCAAUGUAGUGUUAAUUUAACAUGAUGUAUGUAUUGAUUUUAAUUUGAUAAAAAUUAAUUUUCCUUUUUUGAACUAUUCAAUUAGUGGGUAGAAGAUACCCGAUGGACAAUCUGAACUCGUAUAUAAGAGGAUUUGGUAAUGGGGAUUAAAAGCCAGAGGGUUAUUGAUAGGAUUUGAUGAAAUACUUGCAUAUGUGGAUUAAGAUUUGGUAAGAUGAAUUUUCCAGGGUACUCAACCCACUGCUAUUCCUACCAAUGUGACACCCUUUGAGCUGAUUGUGCACUUCAUCCAAGCAUUGCAGUUCUUCAUCCUCAACAUUAUCCGUAUGGCUUUGCUCAAAAUCCAAACACCUUCCAUUUUCUCAUCAUUUUCCCCGUGUCCUUGCUGAAAAUGGAAAUGGUUUCCAUUUUCUUCAACAUUUUCCUCAUGGGUUCCCUAAAAAACAAAAUGAGUUCAAUUUUCUUGAGCAUUCUCCUUGUGGGUUUACUGAAAAAUGAAAUGGUUUCCAGUUUCCUACCCGUUUUCUUCAUGGGAUUGCUGAAAAAAUUGAUGGAUCUGAUUUACUUGAACUUGUUCGAUGAACAAUGCUUGCUUCUCUUGAUAAGUUGUUCAAAGAUGAAGCUGGUGAAAGAAAGAGAUGAUUAUGUCCUUUUAAUUUUGGUCCUGUUCUUAAAUUAUGGUUAGACAAAAAUGACUUUGAUUUCAGUUUCAUUUACGUCUAAAAUGACUAGAAGUUCUUAAACUAUGCACUUUUAAUUGAUUAGGGGCCAGUCGAAGAUAAAAUUUAGAUUAGUGGACAAAACUUGACAAUGAUAAUAGUUUAGGGGCUCUUUAGAUUUUUUACUCAAAGAGAAAUUUCAUUGUACAAUAUAUAUUGGGGUUUCACAUUCUAUGUUGUAGUUUUACUAGUAUAUUAAGGCCCUAUUUGAUAACUCAAUUAGGUACUUAAAUUUAAUGAAUUCAGAUUUUAAUAUGUUCAAACGUGUUUGAUAACCAAAAAUUAAAUAUUUGAAUUAAUUAAUUGGCACUAAAUUUUUUAAGUAAAAUUUGUUUCCAAAAAUUAAUCAUAAACUAUUCAUUUAUCACUUAAUAUAAUAUACACUCAAAUAUAUCAGAUUUAGUACCUAACAAUUCAAUAACUUAAUGAAUUCAGACUUCAUAUUUUAGAUUUCAAUUUUAUCAAACGCACUCUAAGUCUUAUAGCAUGUUUUAACUACACUUGUUAUUCAUUUUCCAACGACCAUUUGUAGAUAUUAAAUACAUGGACAUGUGUUGCCUUGAUACAUGAUGUAAAUUAUGAUAGAAAACGUAAUGUUAAAAGUGCAGAAGAAAUCAAAAACCUCAACAAUUACAAAUGACACCAACCAUUAUUAGGAUGUCAAAUGAGAAAAGACGUGAUCUUAAUAUAUGGUGUAAUGAGGAGGCAAUACCAAAAGUUUAAUAGACGAGUUAAAAACUGAUCGUGUACAUGUCUUGCCUUCCACUUUGCUUUCACCUUCUGCGCUCCUUUGAAGGCAGCUCAAACACUACAAUGGAGGGUAUAAAGCCCUUUUCGAAGCGCCGAUAUCAAUCCCCAGAUUGAUGAUUUCUUGUACAUUUUAAUAAGCCUCAAUCAUUGUUCUUUCUAUUCGCCAUCUCUUUAUAUAUGAUGCCAAAACUUCCUAGUUUUGUCAGGGAAAGCUCCUAGCCGGGGAAGUUGAUAGUGGUGAGCUUCCCUCUCUUUUCACCCAUCUUAAUUGUUUUCCCGUUAUUCUUUCCUUCCCCAUUUACAUUUGUAUCUCAUACUUCAUUAUGCCAAUACAUUAAAAUCCCUGUUUCUUGAAGAUCCUUCUGCAGAUCCAAGUUGAUGGACAAUUCAAUGAAUUCGUGGUUCUCUGAAUUGGUAAACAUUUUCCAACUUUCACUGAUUAUGAUGACUUCUUUUUUCCCUCAUCAAUUAUAGACAUUGAAAAACUAAGAGGUACAGCUCCGGCCCGUGAAUGCAUUGACCACCACAGGGCUUUCCUUGCUUCUUUCAAGUAUUGUGGGUUAAAACAAAUAGCUUGCCUGUGGACUUGACAUCCCCCAAUGCCCUUAUUAUUUAGGCACUUUGUUUUAUUACUAGCUCGAAUUUCCCUUGCCUUACAAGCUAAAAAGUUUUCUGCGCAACAAAACGAAAAAAAAAAAAAAAGAAUGCUUAACAGAUUUUGUUGUCUUAACAAAUAGUUUUUCCAGAAGAAAUUUUAUGUAACAUUUUUUAAAUCCAUUGCGAAACUAGGAAAUUAUCGCUCAUUUAGUUUUUCUACAAAUACGACUGGUUAGGAGCCAAGUGCUGAGAGCAUUAGAUACAGGGAAUGGAGGAUAAAAAAUAUGAAAAACAAAAGACAAACAUGGAGGUAGGUAUAAGUUGCCUUAGUUGCUGCUUCAAAUUAUUAGCUAAGGAAUAAAUUAAUAUAAAUAUAAUUUAGUACACUUCAUGAUCUAGCAUUAAGCUUAAAUUAUGAACCAAAUAUGUGGUCAAGAAGGGUCCAAGUGUUUCAUCAAAUACGUUUAAUCUAGAUUACUUGGUGGACUAAGUAGUCAAAUAAAGUUCAGUGUCAUUAUUAACUUCCAGUUGGGCGUUGCUUUGAUUUUCUGAUACUGUAAAAUUAUAAUGUGUCCAUGUAUAUCAAAAAAGCUAAAAAAAAAAAAAAUGCAUAGGGAAGGGAAUAACGAGAGUGGUUGAUACCAAUUCAACAAAGUGUAUUAAGUCCUCUGUUUUCAUUUGCAUUUCUGAGAUGUUGCCAAGAAAUCAAUUAGGGCAUAAUCACCAAUCUCUAGUGUUAUAACAGAUGCAGCGGAACAGAAGAACAAACAAGAAUAGACAAGAACAACUUGGGGGAAAUCAGAUUUUAUUAGGGUUGUGAUUGGAAUAGUUUACAGACUAAAAUAAGGUGUAUAUAUAUACAACCAAACAUUCUGGACCCAAAAAUAGGCCCAAAACAAGAUCCAAAAUAAAACAGACACGGUAACUAAUAUAUACCGUAAGCUCAACAUCUAGGCAUCUCAACAUCUAGGUCCACACACACACACACUCUUACAAGCAAUGGACUUCCUACUAAUGAUCCAAUAAAAAUGUUGAUCGAGUUUUAAGGGCUAUGAAUCAUGAUUAUCUAUCAAAUGCUUGUAGAAUAUUCAAUCUUUCACUUUAACUACAGGAAAUGGAGGAUCCAUUUGUCGAUGAUCAAUGUGAUAUCAUGGACUAUUUUGAUGAAGAUUUCACUGCUGCACUUGGAGAAGAUCUGGAAAGCAAUUUGUCUGCUGUUUCAGCCAUGGAAGCUCCUCCAAUCAGUAUUGAAAUCCCAGCACCACAGCAGAAUUCUAAUAGCUGUAACUCGGCAGCCACCCUUGAAAACAUGCCAAAUCAUCACAAUCAGCCAAUCAUCCUUACUUUUGGGAAUCCAAGCACGCCAGAAAUAAAUCCUCAACCAUUAAAUCUAAAGGAUGAUGGAGUAGUGUCUGAGGUUUUGACAUCCCAUGGUUCAUUUGUAAAUCUUGAGGAGGCAGCCCAAAAUGCACGGAAGAAAAAGAAAACAGGCGGCCGGGUUAGGCCAGCAUCGCAGAUUCGUGAUCACAUUUUAGCAGAAAGAAAGCGCCGCGAGCAGCUCAGCCAGGGAUUUGUAGCUCUAUCGGCCAUUGUUCCCGGCUUCAAGAAGGUUUGUAGUAUUUCCAAGAAUCCAAUUUUUUAAAUAAAGAAAAUAAACAGACAAAAAUUUUUCUAUCAUUGUGAUAUUUCAAAUGUUUAAUGCAACCAAAUUUUGUGAUGUCAUGUCUCACGUCAAAGGGGGCUAAUUUAAUUAAUCCCACGACAAGUUAUUCAAAUAUAAAGUGUGCUGUUGAUUUUCCGGAUCGCGAUUACUAUAAAGAAACAGCAUAACCUUCUAUCAUUGCUCUCUCUCUCUCUCUCUUAUACACAACUACUCUAUUAGUAGUUGUUUUUAGCCACUAGGCUUAAUUUUGCUUUUUUUUUUUUGGAGCUUCACAUAGUUUUGGUUACCAAGAUCUUAUUCUUAUUGCAGAUGGAUAAAACUUCUUUUCUUGGAGAUGCUAUCAUUUACUUGAAACAUCUUCAGGAAAGAGUGAAGACGCUCGAGGAGCAGGUUGCGCAACAAACCAUGCAAUCUGUCGUUCUAGUGAAGAGAUCACAGCUUUUAGUUGAAGAUGAAGGAUCUUCUGAUGAUACGGGCGGCCCUGAUGAGCAGCCACUCCCGGAAAUAGAGGCAAAAAUGUGCAAUAGGAACAUUCUUCUCAGGAUUCACUGCGAAAAGCAUAAAGGGGUUCUGGUUAAAAUCCUUUCCGAGGUAGAGAAACACAAUCUUGCUGUCAUGAACACGUGCGUGGCUCCGUUCGGAAAUUUCGCUCUUGAUAUUACCAUAAUUGCUGAGGUGAGUUUAGCAGUCAGAGAAUUUUUUUCCUUGGGAUUUUGUUUACAUGAAUAUUGAAUGUGAUGAUACAUGGUUACACAUAAAGAAUUGCAGCAGAAGUGAGGUAGACUUCCACAUGCUAGAAGCAAGGUAAAAAUAUUGAAAAAGAGAUAUUGUUGCUGGGGGAUUUGAAGUUUUGAACCAGCAAAUCUCACCCCGAGAGAGCUAGUCACCAAUUUUUAUGUUCGAUAAUCUAUUAGUAAAUUUCAAUGUUUACAAUUUGUUCUAAGUAUUGAUUUCAUUAAAUCUUUCCAGAUGGAAAAAGAAUUCAGCCUGACAAUCCAAGAAUUAGUUAAAAUUCUUGGAUCCGCUGUCCAUCGGGGGACGGUGGCCGAUUAAGAGCCCCCGGUUGGACCGCCAAGAGAACUGUUCCAUAUCCUAUGGGAUCCGACAGAUGCAAUGGUGAAGAAGACAGACGACGUUCACAGGCCAUACUUUGAGAUUGACAACAUAUGGAUGCCUAUGCAUAUUAGUACUUGCCCGGUUUUAAUGAUCAGGAAUGAAAAUUACUAUCAAGAUUAGACUAAAAAAAAAAUAAAAGGCCUACCUCCUCGAGGGUCUCGUGAGCUUUCGAUUGAUUUUCGUGUGUAGCUAUUUGGCAUUGCACGUAGACGAUACAAAUAUACAAAAUGUUACUGGUUCCCUUUAGAUUACAUUUUUAUGAGGUAUUUUGGUAAAUUUUUGGGUUUGUUAAGAUUUUUUUUUUUUGGUGUUUUCACAAAUUUUGAUUUGUUUCGACUAUUUUGAGUAGCUUUAGAAGCUUUUGAUGUAGACAUUGUAACACUUGUUACGAUUUAAUGUAUAGUUGUAUGUAAUAAUUAUAAUAAUAAUACUAAUAAUAAAAGGUGUUACAAAAGCAAAAAAUGAUUGUAGCACUGCUAGCAUAUCCUAUCUUAAGGAAUUUUCUUCAGUUGAUAUUCCACUUAUUAGGGCCCAUUAAUUUGAUGAUGAAAGGUUUUCUUUUUUCUUUUAUUCCCUUCAUAAUCAAGAAAAAGAAUAAUUGUUUCUUUUAUUUCCUAAUGUUCAAUCAAAAUCAAAACAUGAGAUGUUCUUUACAGUAAUACACGGCUUAUGAUUAACGACUUAGUCAAUCCACGUGUUUAGAAAGCCAUUAUUAGCUGAUGUCUGAUGAUUAGAAAGAAUUGACAAAGUCUGCAUUCUGGUCAUUGAUUGAUGAAUCUCACAAGUCGUGUGGACAGUACUCUUCGACACCAUGUGAUACUCUCGGGUGCUACAACGUGUUAAAGUACACUUUGAUGCCCACAACAGCAAUGAGAUGUUUUUGCAUGAUGAAUCUUGAGUAGCCAAAUACUUGCUAAUAUAUUUCAAUUACCAAGAACUAUACAAGUUUGAAUAGCCAUGUUUGAACUAUCAAUGCUCUUGCAUUCAACAUUAUCUUUAUUCCAGUUACAUAUUGAAAGCGGUUGAAAAUGGAAUAGGGUGUGGCAUAUAACUGAAACGAAUGGAAUGGAUGGCUGGUGAUUGAGGAUUAUGCGUACGAAGCAACCAGUAUUGUGGUAGGAUUUGUAAGCACCUGUGCGGAACUAUCGCAGUAAUUUGUUGGGGUUACUAAUACAUCUAACUCUACUCUACUAGCCAUCAAUGUUUUUAAAAUCAGAUGGGAGAGGGAAUUGAAGGAGCUUUUAGUUCACGAUUCAACCGGUUUGAUUGAUUCAACUCCGAUAUAAAGGUUUAAUAAUUUUUUAUUUAUUCUGGUAUUAAUAAUUUUAAUAAAAUUGAAAUAUUUGUAAAGAUAAAAAUUUAGCGAAUUUCAGUUCAAAAUCUCUGUUUCUACCCAUUUUUACCAUUCCAAUCGAUUCUUGAUCAAGUUUAGUUGAUUUCAUUGAAUUUUUGAAUUAACUAUUGACUCGAAUUAGAAGUAUAAUCAAUUUGUUCUUCCAUUAAUUGAACCGACUAGUCUAAUCCGAUUUUCAAAAUAGUAGUAGUCAUGGUAAUGGUCUUUCUCAAGAGAAACUUUGCAAUAUCCACUUAACUAGUACAUUGUAGCUAGCAUUACCCUUUGGUCCGUGACAGGUGCCGAACCUGUGCAAUAAUAAAUACCUGCUCAAACAAAAUAUAAUUUCUGUAUAUAGCGGUAAGCAGGGUCGAAUCCACAGGGACUGGGGAAAAUUUAAUUUCUUCUCAAGUUUCAGAUAUGGGGGGUUUUUGAAAAUGAGAGUAACUAAAUUACUUGGAAUGAAUUAAAAUAAAAUAAAAUAACUACAACUCAAAUAACUAAUUAUCACAAUAAAAAUAAUAAUGGACGAACUCUAGCCAAGAGACAACUUCGGAGAUGGUUCACUUAAUUCGAUCACAGAUGCAAGGAUUAUUCCAAUUACAAUCUGAUAAAUUAGUUAUAGUUGUCAUACACGCGAUAAACAACCAACUCUUCCUCAAUUUGUCGAUAGCCAAGGUACGACCGUUGACUAUUUCUCUAAUCAGGAAAUAACCCUAGGUACGACCAUAGAAGUUCAAUUCCCUAAUUGCAUGAAUAAUUAGAAGAGCCUAAUUCUAACCAAUCAACACGCUACGAGGGUCUCUUUAAGUUAGCCUGUCUAUCUCCCUGACACAAACCCAAUCAUGCCAGUUGCCACCAGUUUAGGAUAAUUAAACAAUUACGGAUUUAACUACCCUAAUUGGCUUCAGGUUAUUGAAUUAAUCUAGAAUCCGGGCCCUGGAUAAUCGAAUAACAAAACAACCAUAUGAACAUAAAGCAGAAGAUAGACAAAUACCAGUGAAUAAUGGAAAUAAAUAAAAACUAAUUCGAUCUCACAAAUUUAGUAGAACCAAAUCCUCCGUUGUUCUUGACUAGACAAACUUAGCCACGCCUCAUGAGAAAAUCUUCAAGUAAUUUCAUUGAGGUCCAGGCCAUCAAAAGAGCCAAGAAAGAAAAAGAAAACUAAAACUAUGCUAAAAACUAAGCUAAAACUCGCCCUUCAGCCUUUCUUACUAUUGUCCUUAUAUAGCCAAAAGGAUACAUGACACAAGGCUUUCCUUUAUCCCGUGGUCCCCGCACGAAUUGAGAGUCCAAUUCCAAUUUUACAAGCCUUGUACGUUUCUUUCUCAUUUUAAAGUCCAAAAGGAAUGAUGACUCCAAAUGCUCUUAUCCCGUGGUCCCCGCUGAGAUUGAGAGUCAAACAAACUCAUAAGAAAAGCCUGCCGAAUUACUCCUUGUUUCCUAAUGUUCCUAGGACUCCUUGUACCAGCCUUCUCUUCAUCAGCUCAAAAGGGAAGCCGUUUGUUUGAUCUCUUGUGGGACACGUUGAGGGAGCUUCGCAGGAGACUCCCACUUGUGAAGUAAUUUGCUUCAAAAAGUCCCUGCUUUUUGUAGUUUUCUGCUCCAUUCCCUGGAAUUAAGUCCAGAUACCAAAUAUAAGUAAAUAUCAACAAUUAACACAAUAUUUGAUACGAACAAAAGGGGAAAUUAAUAAUAAAAUUGCAAACAAAUAAUGCCCUAUCAAUUCCCCCCACACCUGAAUCAGGCUUGCCCUCAAGCAUGAGAAUAGCAUUUGAAUACCAAAAUUUUGACAAUGACUAUCGCUCCAACUACCGUAUUGCCAAGAUACCCAGAAAAACAUACAUCAAGCAUCACAGGUCAAGAUCAAAGAAAAUUACUCCGGUUAGCUUCCCAACCACCAACUUCUCCAAUUUAAAACAAGCUAAUCUAAGAAAAAGGAAUGGUUGUUCACAUUUAUCAGCAAAUGGUCCAACUACUAACCAAAAUCUCGACAUUAAGAUUACAAACCGGCAAGCUGACUUAUUCACACACUAACACAAUCUUUAUUUCACUUUUUUUUUUCCUUUUUGUUUUUUUUGUUAUUUUAUUUUAUUUUUUUUUUUUGUUUUUUUUUUUUUGUGAAUAACAAAAGACUUAAUCUAUAGCCAUUAGAGCCUUUUGACGCGAACUCCAACAUUUCACAGAUGGAGGAGCCCGGUUACUCAACUCCAAUCGCUACGGGACCACGCACUCAUAGUAACUACUACCUUUUGACGCGAGAAUCGAUACUUUAGGUGAAGAUCCCCGGUUACUCAAUAGUAAUCACUAGCGGAGUACAGUCAACUCUUAUUUAUAACCAUAUAGCACAAAAAAUAACAGCAGCCAGCCUCAAAUUUCCAAACAUGGAGAACUAAAAUUAAUAAAUGGACCAAUUCACAUGAAAAAUGCCAACAAUCAUUCCCCAUGCUUAGAAGAGUUAACCAAAAAUAGGAAAAGUUAAGCAAUUAUUGAUAUUCACCAAAGAGAUAUUCCUGAACUCAACCACAUCAACUUGAUACCUUUUUAAUAAACUUGGCAAUAGCAAAAUUAGAGACAACCAUCCGGUAUCAAAACUUGGUAUUCAUAUAAAAACUGACCACUAGGAAAAGAAAAGAAAAGAAAAUAAAUGAAAAGGAGAUAAAUAUCCGACUUAAAACAAAGGAAAAAACACCUAAAAAAAAUCGAAAAUUGAAAAUACUAGCACCCAAAACUGACCCCCCACACCUAAUUCACACAUUGCCCUCAAUGUGAUAAAUACAGUAAUAGUAAGCAAAAGAGCAACGGUACUUCCCUGAAAUCACGGGGACCAUGGCGGGGCCACAGCAGUGGGUGAGGCGAGGGAUGGUUGAGUUGGGUUGGAGUAGGCUAAGGUCAAGAGGUUCUGGACCAAGAAGAGAACCUUGAUCUCACUAUUGCCGCAAAUUAGCAAUUUAAAGCCCUGAGCAAUUUAAGCCCAACAAGUCAAUCAAUACCAGAAAAUCAUUCCAAACAAUGUACCAGUUAAACUCCACGGGCAAAGGACGUCCAACCAAUUUCACUCAAGCAAACUAGGAGCAAUGCGACUGAUUAAACAAAGCAACAAAUUUCAGCAAGUGGACACAAAUUCAGCCAAGAUCUCAACAACUGGUUUCAACUUGACAGCCAAUUACCCAAUCUAAAUUCCAGCAGCAACCGAAUAUUAUUCGAUCAAAUUCCAAGAAUUUCAGGCAAUCGCCGUGACCAGUACCACUGGUGCAUAUACAAGAAGGGAUGAAAUCAAACGGCCAGCAAUAUAGCAGCAAUAACAAUAGGCAAAAAAUCUCAACCAGUACCACUGGUGAGUCACAGGGAAAAAUUAAAUUCAAUAACAAACCCCAACCAACAAAAUGCACACUGUAGGCACCCAAGGUCGAGACAAACUUCUCAACAAAGCAUCAAUUAUAGGCACUAAGCAAUUAGGGUCCCAACGUAGUCAAGCACAACAACAAGUCAGCCCAUCAAUUCAAUUAAUAGCAGAAAACACCCCCACAGAUAGCAACAAUCAAACUCAAUUCCGUCCAAACUGAUUCCGCAGAAAUUACCCAAUGAAUUUAACUGCUCGAAACGCCCUCACAGAAAACCAACCCCAAAAUGUGCAGGAGAAACCCCAAAUAAAUCAGCAGAUGAUAAAUCAAGAAAAUUAUCCCAAUUGCAAAUCAAUUCCAGCAAUUAGUUUCUAGAAAUUGCGAAGGGGGAAGGGCAAGCAAUACCUCCACCUGUCAAUUUUUGACAGGUGGCGAAGGUGCGGCGAAGAGGAAAAGGUGAGAGAGGGGGUCGCCUGCGCGGUGGUACUGGAGGCGUCGGCUGGGCGUCGAGCGGCGAUGGUGGCGUGCUGCUACUGCGCCUGGGGGUGCGCGCAAGGAGCUCCGCUGCUGCUAGCGGCGGACGAGAUGAAGCUUCCGGCGGCGGUGGUGGCGUGCUAGGUGGAAAAAGGUGCGGUUGGUGAAAGUCAACAGGCUUGCUGGCUCGGCUGCGCGCUGGUGGAGGUUGGUGGUGACCGCGAGGGGAGGCCGGAGCUGGUGGUGGCGCGCGAUGCUGCCGCGCGGGAGAAGGGGCCGCGUGCGGGCGGCGAUGGCGACUGGGCAGUGUGGUUUGUGCGAUGGAAGAGAGAGGACUAGCGGCGUGGGUUGGUGGAGGCCUGGAGGCGAUGGUGGAGGCGCUGGUGGCAGACAGCAACGGCGGAGAUGUGCGCAGAGCUGGAGUGCGGCGUGCUGGUGGCGCGGCUGUCGCGGAGCUCGGGUAGGCGGCGGCUCUGGUUGAAGGAACAAGAGAAAAGGGGAAAGCAGGGGCAGCGGGGAAGAAGGAAGAAAGAAAAGAAAGAAGAAAAGAAAGAAAGAAAGAAGAAAAGAAGAAAAAGGGAAUUGUUUUUUUUUUUUGUAAUAAUAAAAUUUUUAAUUUUUUUUUUUUAGAGGGACUCCUGUCUUAGGCGUGGGCACGUCUAACUGCUAUAGAGUCCGCAGAUCCUGAACGAGAAUUUCUUUCCCUCAAGCGUGACCACCUGGCGUGGGCACACUUAACCGCUAUGGAGUCCGCAGAACCUGAGCGAAAAUUUCUUUUCCUCAGGCGUGACCAUCUGGCGUGGGCACGCCUAACCGCUAAUUUCCUGCCACCAAUCAUCAAACCAUUAAUUGACACUAACACUUAACUAAAACUUCAAAAAUGCAUGAAAACUAAAACAAAUAGUCUUGGGUUGCCUCCCAAGUAGCGCCUUUCUUUAAUGUCUUUGGCUAGACAUUUUCAUGUGUAUUCAUGGAGGAUAAAAUCUUGUGGCUCGUUUCAGUACUUCAUCUUCUAUGUAAUCCUGAUAACCCUCGUAAAUAGAGUAAUUCUUGAGCACACGAGCUACGGGCUUCCAUGGACUAGUAAAUGGCGCCAAACAAGUCAACGAUAAUUUGCAUUCUCCACUCUCUCCUCCAUCACACGCCUUUAUCGGUUCAAGAUAUUUGACCAUCGUAGCUCUUAACUUAUUCCUGUCAUGAAACUCAAAAUCGUCUGGUAUGAUAAAAUCAAUCUCACUAACAGGAAUUAAAGAAUAUGAGUCAGGAAAAUAUUGAUCAAGAAAUGGAGGAGAUGUCACCGCAUUUGGAGAUUGUUCACUGGAUUCAUUCACUUGAACCAUUUGAUGUUGGGGUCUCAAUUUUUGCUCUUCAACUUUCUUUUCAACUGCAUCUUUAGAUUCCUUCUUCUUGAGACUCUUGCAGUACCAUGUCAUUUGUCAGAAUAAUUGCACUCUCAUCUUCCUCAUGGUCGAUAAUAGUUUGUGAGGGCAAUUCUUCACUCAUUCGAGAAGCCAAUGACGUUAUCCUAAAUGUCAAUUGAUCCAUUUGAUCUGCUAGGUUACGCCUGCUCACUUGUGUCUCCUGUUGAAUUUGAUAUGUUAAUUCAACUAUCUCUUCAAGAGACAUACCUGACAUAGAUGAUGAUUCUUGAGACUCAUACUGCUGAAAAUUCAUUGGCCCUGUUGUAUAAUCAUAACUGGAGUUAUCCCACCAUCCUUGAUCAUACCCGUUUGGAUUAGCGUUAUACCACGUUUGAGACCAGGGUGAAAAAUCUCCAUAAUUAUUGAAUGGGACACUCAGAUUAUCUUGAUAUUCGGGGCACAUACCGGUUGAAUGAUCCCUGGCAUAACAAAUUUCACAGGUUGCAGCAGCCAUUCUUUUUUUAAUAGAGUUUAUUGCCUCUAAGUAUGCAAACUUAGAAAAACAAUCAAUCUCAUUGCCUUCCCCAAAAACAAAAUCCAGUAUAUCACCAAAAUACGGAGUGUUAGAAGCCAUAAACUAUAUAAUAAAAAAUAAGAGAAAUAAAUUAAAAAUGAAAACAAGGUGAACUCAAAAAGAAACAAAUUAAUCUGACACCAGUCCCCGGCAACGGCGCCAAAAAUUGACAGGUGCCGAACCUGUGCAAUAAUAAAUACCUACUCAAACAAAAUAUAAUUUCUGUAUAUAGCGGUAAACAGGGUCGAAUCCACAGGGAUUGGGGAAAAUUUAAUUUCUUCUCAAGUUUCAGAUAUGGGGGGUUUUUGAAAAUGAGAGUAACUAAAUUAAUUGGAAUGAAUUAAAAUAAAAUAAAAUAACUACAACUCAAAUAACUAAUUAUCACAAUAAAAAUAAUAAUGAACGAACUCUAGCCAAGAGACAACUUCGGAGAUGGUUCACUUAAUUCGAUCACAGAUGCAAGGAUUAUUCCAAUUACAAUCUGAUAAAUUAGUUAUAGUUGUCAUACACGCGAUAAACAACCAACUCUUCCUCAAUUUGUCGAUAGCCAAGGUACGACCGUUGACUAUUUCUCUAAUCAGGAAAUAACCCUAGGUACGACCAUAGAAGUUCAAUUCCCUAAUUGCAUGAAUAAUUAGAAGAGCCUAAUUCUAACCAAUCAACACGCUACGAGGGUCUCUUUAAGUUAGCCUGUCUAUCUCCCUGACACAAACCCAAUCAUGCCAGUUGCCACCAGUUUAGGAUAAUUAAACAAUUACGGAUUUAACUACCCUAAUUGGCUUCAGGUUAUUGAAUUAAUCUAGAAUCCGGGCCCUGGAUAAUCGAAUAACAAAACAACCAUAUGAACAUAAAGCAGAAGAUAGACAAAUACCAGUGAAUAAUGGAAAUAAAUAAAAACUAAUUCGAUCUCACAAAUUUAGUAGAACCAAAUCCUCCGUUGUUCUUGACUAGACAAACUUAGCCACGCCUCAUGAGAAAAUCUUCAAGUAAUUUCAUUGAGGUCCAGGCCAUCAAAAGAGCCAAGAAAGAAAAAGAAAACUAAAACUAUGCUAAAAACUAAGCUAAAACUCGCCCUUCAGCCUUUCUUACUAUUGUCCUUAUAUAGCCAAAAGGAUACAUGACACAAGGCUUUCCUUUAUCCCGUGGUCCCCGCACGAAUUGAGAGUCCAAUUCCAAUUUUACAAGCCUUAUACGUUUCUUUCUCAUUUUAAAGUCCAAAAGGAAUGAUGACUCCAAAUGCUCUUAUCCCGUGGUCCCCGCCGAGAUUGAGAGUCAAACAAACUCAUAAGAAAAGCCUGCCGAAUUACUCCUUGUUUCCUAAUGUUCCUAGGACUCCUUGUACCAGCCUUCUCUUCAUCAGCUCAAAAGGGAAGCCGUUUGUUUGAUCUCUUGUGGGACACGUUGAGGGAGCUUCGCAGGAGACUCCCACUUGUGAAGUAAUUUGCUUCAAAAAGUCCCUGCUUUUUGUAGUUUUCUGCUCCAUUCCCUGGAAUUAAGUCCAGAUACCAAAUAUAAGUAAAUAUCAACAAUUAACACAAUAUUUGAUACGAACAAAAGGGGAAAUUAAUAAUAAAAUUGCAAACAAAUAAUGCCCUAUCAGUCCGAUUAUAAACACUUGAAAAGUAUUUACGCGAAUUCCUUUCAAUUAUUCACCUCUAAAGAGGCAACUUAUUCUUGAUGUUGGUGAAAACAAUCGAAAGAGCCAAGAAGUAAUUUGCGGUUCAAAUGGAGUCGCAUGUCUUACGUGAUUGGCUUGAACCAUGAGUGCGAAUCUACUCACAAUCUAGUUCGAGCAAGUUAAGGUGCGGUCUAAUUUAUGGAUUUUGUACCUUUGGCUUUUUGUGUUUGAUUCAUUUUUUUAAAAAGGGAAAGAAAAUGAUAGGCAGAGAAAGGGAAUGAUAGGUCAAAAGUGGACAAAAAUGGAGGAAAUAAAAUCUCUCUUUCAUUGAUUUACUUUUACUGGUUAAAUAACGUACGUAAUUCUUUCAUUUAUUUUGUUUGUUUUUCCUUUUUACAUGAUUGAAAUCACUCUCUAUUUUUCUUUUUUCUCGUUAAGAAGAUGAAAAUCUGAUUAGUAACUUUAAGAAUCACUUCUAGAAAUCUUUAGGCAUCACACCUAAAAUUAGAAUGUAUCACACAAUUCCAAAAAAAGACAUUGAGUCUGCAAAAAAAAUUUAUUAAUGAUAAAUUUAUUAACGAAUAUAUAUAUAUAUAUAUAUAUGCAUAUCUAAAAUAUAUAAAAGGGGGAACGUCCAUUUGCUACAGUCCAUCCAUGGGCCGGUUUCGGUGGUAAUUCUCAUGAGUUCGUGGGUUAUUUUGGUCUUUCCACCGUAUAUGCCUUGCAAUAGGUUGUUGCUUGUUUUCUCCAUAAAAGGGGGAACGCCCAUUUGCUACAGUCCAUCCAUGGGCCAGUUUCGGUAAUAAUUCUCAUGAGUUCGUGGGGUAUUUUGGUCUUUCCACCGCAUAUGCCUUGCAAUAGGUUGUUGCUUGUUUUCUCCUUCUAUUGCUUCUGUUAUUACAAUCACAGAUCAGAAAUCAGAAAUCGGAAAUUAUAUAUUAUAAUUAUAAUGGCCAACAAAGAUAUUGCACUUUAAUGACCCUGUACCGUGCAGUCUUCAAUGUUUCCAUCUUCCCAACUUUCUGCUCCAUCCAUGCAAUCCACAUAUAUAAAAAUGGAAUCUAUUUACUCUAUUGCCCUUGUCUAAUGUUAAGUUGACUAUUUCUCUUGUAAUAUUUAUCUUUAUAAUAUAACUGUAGUGUGCGUAUAUAGGUCUUUGCCCUUAUGAUACAUUUGUGCACGUGUGUAUUUCACGUACCCUCCCCUCAACUGUUUAACUUUGUACAACAAUCUGAAUUGGUGAUUCCUUGCGCACUCUUUCAUGUUGCUCAUUAAUUACUGAUAGUGACGGUCUAUCAAGUAGUCAUUUUUAGUCACUUAUAUUUAUCCUUUUUCACCCCACUAUAUACGUUUUCUCCACUUUUUAUUACCAAUUAUCCGGUAAUUUUCCUAUCCCACAGUUGUCAUCAUGCCCUUUGAAUUUUUUCCUCUCAUGCUUUUUUCCUCCCGUUUAUACAUGUUUACUUCCACGUGUUCUUUUUUUACCACUCCUGUUUGCACUUCGUUUCUUUUUCCUUCUCUGAAAGCCACCCAGUCAGUAGCCGUCUCUGUGUUCCUUGCUGUUCAUCUUCGUUUUUGCUCCUCCACUCACCAUGACUUCCAUCUUGGUGCUGUUCUUUUGUUCUUUACUAUAUGUUUUAUAGUUCCGCUAGAUGUUUAUCUUCAUCAUCUUACCCAUGGUUCCAGCAAAGAAUAUUCUAUCUAUUGCAUAUUUGUCUAGGUGUUAGCCAUUUACUUCUGCCUUUUGCAUAUCAUCUUUUUUUUCCUUAUAAUUCUUUGUAUUUUUUGCUCAGGUCAUCGAACAACAACGUUUUGCUAACUGUUAAAAGUCAGUAAGAGAAACCAAUUUCUUUCCAUUACUUUUUGCUGAUCACUCAAAGUUGCGAAGCCGAACCAGUUCUUUGCGCCGGUAACUGGUAUGCACACGACUCUUACCCAUAACUCUUCCAUGAUACGUUUGCUUUUUCUGCCCAGUUCCGUUCUUAAGAAUCAUGCGAACGUCUUUUACUUAUUAUUUUUUUGCUAUGCAUGUAAUCAUUAUCUAAUGUAUAUAAUGUUUUGGUAACUUACACGUGAAAACGAUAUAAUCAUCCUUCUGUUUCAUAUUUUUUAUUAUCCAGUUAUAGCAACUAUUAUUUUUAUUCAUUUUAUAGCUUUCCUAUAGUUUGUUUGUGACCAUGCCGCGAAAAUGAAAAUAUACUUCGUAUGAAGAAAUGUGUCUACACAAGAAUCAUCGUCGUAGGGAAGCUAAGGCGUCUAUGCUUGACCCAAUGGUUCACACUAAAAAUCCAGCUAAACUUGAAAGCAACAAUAUUGUAUCCUCGACUCCAGUAUCUCUACUUUCUGAGAAUCAACUGUCUGAUGCUUCAGAAAACAUAAGCCUAUCGCUUCCUAUGCUAUCCGAACAUGUCCUCAAAACAUCUGACAUACCUUCAGCAAGUAAGACACUUCGUUUAGUCGUCCAUAUAUACUCCAUCUAACAAAGCAUUCAGUACACCAAUUUUCUUUAAAAAAUAUAUAUUGAUGUCUUGUCUAAGAAUCUUUGUCCAUCAAUAAUGCAGCCUGUUCAUCUUCUAACAACCAUGUCUGCUGUGAUGUUAUAAAUGGACCGACUAAUGGAGGUAUUUAUACCUUUAUCACUGCUAUAACUUCUCCCACUAUUGAAUAUUUGUUUCGUGCAAAUUUUCCUAAAUACAUUCGUCCAUCUUUUACAUUUUACAUCCAGUUCAACAACAAAUAGUCUUUCCUAGCUCUCAAAUGACCAGCAACAUGCCAAAACAAAAUGCUGGUAUAUAUGAAAACUCUAUCUAUUGCCUAAGAUACUCAAUAAAUGUAUCUAUAUCUACAACAUGUAAUUGAACAGUCUCCCAUUCUUAGGUCAUCAGCAAAAGGUCAAAAAAAAAAAACAAUGGAUUGAUAGGAUUCCUACUCAACCCUCUGUUUUACCUGUUGUCCAAGAUUGUGUUUUUUGUGGUGCUAAACGUUUCUACCAUGAGCCACCUGGUUUUUGCUGUGCUUCCGGUGAAAUUCGAUUAGUUGAGACAGAGAUGCCAGCUCAGUUAGCAAAACUGUACACUGCUAAUACUCCUGAAGCAAUCGAAUUUCACCAAUGUAUUAGAAGCUAUAACAAUAUGUUCGCAUUCACGUCUCUGGGAGUUCAUUCUGAUAAAGAGUUGAAUAAGAGAGACAGAGGAAUCUAUGCAUUCAGAGUACAGUGCCAAAUGUACCAUUUUCUCAAUCCCCUGGUUCCAAUGGACGGCCACAAACCAUCAAAUGUAUAGUUAUACUAUUUUGAUACUGAGCAUGAAAUUGCGAAUCAGAUGGCCAUUUCUAAUAAAUUUCAAGAAACUAUUCUAGAAUAGCUGCAGCAAAUUCUGGAUCACAAUCCAUACGCAGCAUUUUUUCGCAGUUUAAGAAGCUUUGAAGACAUUUAUAACCAUAAAGUUUUCUUAAACUUGCACCCUUCUCUAGACCAGUGUGUGUAUAAUACUCCAACAGUCUCUCAAGUGGCUGCCAUAUGGACAGAAAAUGACCUUAAUAUAGAAGAUUCCUCUCAGCAUAUACAGGUCUAUCCAAGGAGUGGUAGACCACAAAUCAUUAAACACUAUUUUGGAUGUUAUGACACGUUACAGUAUCCCUUAAUUUUUGCAAGAGGUGAGACUGGAUGGCAUGAAGGUAUACAAAGAAUUUUUAAAAAUCAACAGUCUGUACAAGAUUCCAUGACAUGUCAGGGCCAUGAUAUCCAUAUAGGCCAUUAUUCUUCUGCAGAGGAAAUAAUUUCAGCUGAGAAUGCAGGUAAUUAAUAAAAUAUGAUAUGUCUUAUGUAUAGUCCUUACUACUAUCUUUUUCUCAUCCACAUAGUCUAUCAUACCUUUUGCCAACUUCAUUGUCUUGCACCAAUUUUGCAGAAAAAAAGGAGCACUGUCUCUUGUCGUGACUACUAUUGCUACAAGUUUCAAAUGCGCCAAAUUGACAAAUCCUUAAUACUGCACUGUGGGAGACUCUUCCAGCAAUUCUGUAUCGAUACAUAUGUCAAGAUAGAAUUAGCAAGCUGGGUUUUAAUCGAAAUAGGCAACGACAGAUCAGAACAGAUGUUUACUAAGGAAUUUUAGACAGCAUUUCAAAUGGAGAAACCUCUAUAUCAAACGUUGGUAAACGAAUAUAUUUGCCUGCUUCUUUUAUUGGAGGUCCUCGAGAUAUGAAACUAAGAUACAUGGAUGCCAUGACGCUGGUUCAAAAGUAUGGAAAACCUGACAUAUUCUUAACAAUGACCUGUAAUCCAGCUUGGCCUGAGAUCAAGAAGCAUCUGUCUGAUGGCGAAGAAGCACACAACAGACCUGAUGUAACAUCAAGAGUAUUUCGUGCCAAACUAGAGAUGCUCAAAAAUGAUAUUAUCAAAAAAGGGCUUUUUGGCAAAGUAGCAGAUACAUGUAUGUUAUAGAAUUCCAGAAAAGAGGCCUCCCACACGCACAUUUUUUGAUAAUCCUUGCAAAUAGAUGCAAAUUAAACUCACCUGAAGCUUAUGAUCGAGUUACAUCUACAGAAUUACCGGAUCCAGAUCCUUUCCCUUACCUCCAUUCUGUUAUGGUUGCUCAUAUAUUGCAUGGACCAUGUGGAACAGCUAAUAAAAACAGCCCAUGUAUGAAGCAAAAUGGAAAAUGCAGAUUUGCCUAUCCAAAGGAGUUUGCUGAAUUCACGAGACAUAAUAAGGAUUCGUAUCCUCUUUACAUGCGCCGUCAUGAUGGAAACACUGUCACAGCUCGUCACUUCCAGAUUGACAAUCGUUGGGUUGUUCCCUACAAUCCAUACUUACUUGCCAAGUAUGAUUACCACAACAAUGUUGAAGUUUGUUCCACAAUUGAAGCUGUUAAAUAUAUUUACAAAUAUAUCUACAAAGGACACUCAAAGAUCCUGUAUCAGCUCAAUGCAGCAGAGAAUGAUGGAGCAAUUGACGAAAUAAAAAACUUUCAAUCUGGACGUUGGAUAUGUGCACCAGAAGCAACAUGGCGAAUAUUUGUUUUCGACCUCAGUAACUUGAAUCCAUCUGUCAUGGCACUACAGAUACAUUUAGAAGGAGAACAGUCAAUGGUUUUCAAUGAGGAUGAUAUUCUGGAGAGACUUGCAGUGGAUGAACGAAUGUCACGAACUAUGCUAACAGAAUUUUUUCGGAUGAACAGUUUAGAUGCACGUGCACAAGCCUUAAAAUGUCUUUAUAAAGAAUUUUCUCAGCAUUUUGUAUGGAAUGCAACUCACAAAAUAUGGGAACCGAGACAAAAAAGAAGCACAAUUGGAAGACUAACUGCAGUGCAUCCAACUCAAGGUAAAAAGUACUACUUACGGAUGUUACUAAUGCAUGUCAAAUGGCCUAUGUCUUAUGAAAGUCUAAAACACAUUGGUUCAAGAACAGCUUCAACUUUCAGAGAAGCUGCAGAAAUUCUAGGCUUAUUAAAGACUGAUGAUAGGGCAGAACAAUGUUUACUUGAAGCUGUAUCAUUCCAGAUGCCUUCUACUCUCCGUCACUUGUUCGCUCUCAUUAUGGUCCAUGUACUACCUCCUAAUCCAAUGUUGCUAUGGCAGAAAUUUGAACCAUACCUGUCUGAAAAUAUUUCUAGAGACAAGUCUUUAUCACCUGAGCAGACAAAACUAAAAGUUCUCCAGCUUAUUGACUCUCACCUGCAAUAUAUGGGCAAACAUCUUGCUGAUUUCAACAUAGCUGUCCCUGACACUGAUGCCUUUUCCAUUCAAAGAGACACACAAGAAAUAGGGGCCGAGCUCGACAUCAAAGUUUUUGCUGAAGACAUAGCAUCAGUUGCUCUUCUUAAUGAUCAUCAACAAUCUGCUUAUAAUAAAAUCAUCAAUAGAAUUGACAACAACAUAGCAGGAGCUUUUUUUAUAGAUGGGUCAGGAGGAACAGGCAAAACAUUCUUAUCAAAGACUUUAUUAACAACUGUGAGGUCUAAAGGCCAAAUUGCAUUAGCCACAGCAUCAUGCGGCGUUGCUGCUUCCAUUCUUCCAGGAAGACGUACAGCUCACUCUCGAUUUAAGAUUCCAAUUCAUGAGGACAAUGACAGUGGCUGUAAUGUUAACAAACAAAGUAGCAGUGCAAGAUUGAUCAAGCAAGCCAAACUCAUCAUCUGGGACGAAGCAACAAUGGCCAAAAAAUAUGCUAUUGAGUGCUUUGAGAAGCUACUAAGGGAUAUAAUGAACUCAGAUACAGUAUUUGGUGGCAAGGUUAUCGUAUUUGGUGGUGACUUCCGCCAGACAUUACCUAUUGUCAUCAAAGGGUACAAAGAAGAUUACAUUUCUGCCAGCUUGGUAAAAUCUUAUGUUUGAAACCAUCUUGAAAAACUCCGCCUGGUUGAAAACAUGCAUGCACAUUUAGAUAAACCAUUUUCAGAUUUUCUUUUGAGUCUUGGUAAUGGAACUUUGCCUUGCUUUGAUGACUCCAGAAUAACAUUGCGACACUAUCUUACAAUACCUUUUGUUGAUGAUCAAUCUUCACUUUCUGUUCUAAUCACCAGUGUCUUUCCUGACCUCAUAGCAUUUGGUACACACUCAUUGCAUAUACUUAACAGAGCUAUACUAACUACUAAAAAUGAAUUUGUGCACGAGAUAAACAACCUCCUGAUCACAAAGUUUCCUGGUACAGAACACAAAUAUGUAAGUUAUGAUGAAACUAUAGACCAAUCCAAACAAGCAGAACACAAGGACUUUUUACAUUCAUUAGAACCUCCAAGCCUGCCACCACAUGAACUCAUUCUAAAAGUCAAUAGUCCUAUUGUAUUACUUAGAAACUUGAACCCAAAAGAAGGUUUAUGUUACGGAACACGACUAAUUUGUCUUGGUUUUGCUCCCAAUGUUAUCCAUGCACUCAUUGCUGUCAGAAAUCAUAUUGAAAAACAAGUCUUUAUCCCAAAAAUCUCAUUACAAUGUUCUGACAGUAACAUUUACAUAGUACCCUUCAAGAAAACACAACUUUCAGUUAGACUUUGUUUUGCCAUGACUAUUAAUAAAGCACAAGGACAAACACUCGACUUCGUCGGCUUGUACUUAAAGGAGCCAGUAUUUGGUCAUGGUCAGUUGUAUGUUGCUUUAUCUAGAGCUAAAACAGCAAAUGAUGUUAGAGUUUUAGUUAAGCCCUCUCCAGAUGAGCAGACUGACAUAGUUUCUACAAGAAAUAUAGUAUACAAUGAAGUCCUAUCAAUUGCUGGUGUUAUCUAAGCACUGUCUCUCUUUAGCUUCUAUCAUUAACAUCUAACUUCAGCUUUAUUCACUUGCUCCUUAUAAUACACAAAUAUGAUUAUCCUCUCUUAAAUUAUGUGUUUUAUAUUAACAUUUUAGAUCCCAUUUCAUUCACAGUAGCAUUUUCUUUUCUCAAUAAUAUUGUUACUGCCACGCUCUUCCUUGUAGUCAUGGAUAGCAGAUGUAUUUUAAUAAUAGACUUCCAGGAGAAACAGCGCCAAUGGUUUGCCAAACUUUAUGUAAUAGAGGUGACAAGAAUCUUUGACCCAACUCCAAGAACAAAGGCAUACCGAUGGCUCUUAUUUGCAGAUGAUCAGGUACAUAUAUAUCUAUAACAUAUACAAUAAACCAAUACUUAACUUUCCUAUAACUUAUACAACAACAUUAUGUUCCAUUAUCUAUCUAUAAUCCUGUAACCUACAAUUUAUAUUUCACAGAAUGACACGGUUCAGGGCAUCAUUUAUCAACAAUACCUGGCUUUCAUUGGCGAAAUAUUCAAGCACCAGGCAUCAUACUACUUCGGUGGUGCAUAUAUUAGCAAAAUUCAAGAUUCCCGCCACCAAAUGGGUACAACACCUCUUCAGCUAACCUUUGACAAAAGGUCCUUCAUACAACCAGUUGCAAGUCCUUUACCAAUGUCAUUGCCAAUGUAUUUUUCACUCACUUCAUUCUGGGACCUAGACCAAUAUCAAGGCAAAGAUAACCAAAGACUCAGUACACAACACACUCCUCCUUAAAUUUAUUUUAUAUAAAUCAUUAGUUUAUGUCAUGUUUCCACUUUUAUUAAUACUAACCAUUCAACAGAUAUCAUGUGUAUUGUCAUUCAAGCAUUACCUCAAAGAAUGAUUGGUGGAGCCAAGCCAUCAGUUAUCCAAGAGUUCAUUGUUGUCAAUGAAGAGUAAGCAAAACGAGAUUUUGUACACUUUAUCUUACCUAUUCAUCAAUAGCAAAUGAUUUAAACUUUCAUUGUAUUUCUCUAACUUUCAUAGACAGCAUCCACUUAUCCUCACACUCUGGGAACCUUUUGUUGAUAAUGAAGGAGCUCAACUUCUUCAAAUUGCACAUACCUACCCAAUUGUUGUCAUUCUCAGACCUAUAGUAACCACCUUUUAUGGUAUAUUUUGUAGAACAGAACCAUUUCUAUCUAUAUUACAAAGCCUACAAACCAAAAAUUCUAACACAGCUUUGAUAUUGUUACAGGUAUCUCUCUGAGGACCAAAGGAAGUACAAAUAUACUCCUUGAUCCUUCAUUUCCACAGAUCACUUGGCAGGAUGGUAUGCACGCUUUCACAUUCAAACUUGCUUCUCUAUUACUUACAUUUCUAUAUAACCAUGACUCAAUAAUACAAAUCAGUAAAUACACUGCUAUUAUUACCACUGCUUGCUACAGGAUUGAAGAAAACAAGAACUACAUUGACAAUAUAAAAGCACAAAAACUAUACGAAAAAGCAAACCAAAAGAUCAAGCCACCGCCUGAAAAAGAUAUUUGACAGAUCUCACAAAUUCUUGGUGCAUACAUUCUGGUAAGCUAAUACACUAACUUAACUCCAGACAUCAAGUUUGCUUUAUAUUUAAAUGGUACCAUUAUAGAUAUGUAUCAAACUCAUUUUAAAUUAUAUAUGACCAGCCAAAAGAUUUCUGGAUAAAAGGAACAAUCCAGAUUACAAAUUCUCGGCAACACUUCUAUAUUGCUAGCUGUGCCGACUGUGGUUGCACCACCAAUGCACCUAUGGAAUUUGAAUUCUCAUGCCACAAUUGUAACAAGAGUCAAACAAAACCUAUCCCCAAGUAAGUCAUUAUCCCAUUCAUAGCAAAAAAGACCUCUUAUUUAUCAUAUUAACAUAUAUAUAUAUAUAUAUAUAUCUACAUCUAUAUAUACAUAUAUCUAUCUAUCCGUCUAAAAAUGUUUCUGUAAACACACAAAUCUACAAUUAUCCAUUUUCAUAUAUUAACAUAUCAUUUUCCUAUUAUACAUCUCCGUCUACAUUAGUAUAUUACUUCUCAUCCCUAACACACUCGAAAAUUCUCUUACAUAGGGCCAGACUAUUUGUCCAAAUAUCUGAUGAUUCAGCUCAUUUGGAUGCAUUUGUCCAAAACAAUUACGCUGAGAACAUAAUUGGGCUCACAGCAAGACAAAUCUAUGACCAAAUAUCAUCUGUGAGAAUCACUAAGUUACACAAGCAAAUUUUUACAGUACUUCAGAAAUAUAUACAAUAAUCCAAAAAACUCUCUUUUCUUAUUCUCCUCAACAGGGACAAGCAAUUCCAAUUCAAAUAAUCAAUGAUAGACUUUUUUCAGAACCUGUCUACUGCCAAAUAAGGACCAGCUCCAACCGUUCCACUCCACAGGGAUUGCCAAGCUUCUUCCUCUCCUCAUAUGCUGCUGUCUCCCAACAACCUCUCGCUGCAAUUGAAGCUAACCCACAUGAAGAAUCAUCCAUCGGCAUUGUCACAAGUCCAUCCAUCACAUAUUUGACAUCUGAAAAACAAUCUGCUUAAACUCCAAGCAACAAGACAGAACCAACACCAACUUCAGAGCUGAGAGAUUCUGAAAUCACUACCACAGACACCACAUGCACACCAACAUCUUCUGCUAAACGCAAGCUACAACUGGAACCUAAAAAAGAUAGCAAACAGCCAAAACAAGGUUAACAAUGUAAUGCCAUCUAAAAAAUAGCUCUUUUGAACCAACGUUGCAUAAUCUCUGUUAAUACCUUUAGACCAUAUCUUUUGGUACAAUCUGUUCCAGCUCUUUUGUAUCUCUAACUGCAACUUUUCUAAGCAUCGUUAAGAAUCUAAUGUCGUAUAAAAAUGACUCCUUUAAACCAACAGUGCACAAUCUCUGUUAAUACCACAGCAUAUCUUUUGGUACAAUAUGUUCUAGAUUUCUUCACCUCUCUGCCUACAAGUUCUGCGAACAUAUAUAGAUCCAUGACCUAUUAUACCAACAGCUCUGUCUAUUCACCUAUUAUAGGUGAAUACAUAUCUGAAUUUUGUAGUUAUUCAAGUAUAAUGACAGUGGUACCAAGGAUAUAUUCUUUCUACGUUGGUGUUUUUUAAUAUCAAAGCUGUAUAUUCAGCUUUUGCAGUGGCAAGAAAUACAAUAGUGUGGCUUGGUUUGAUAUCAUGUUCCUCGGUAAAGACAUUCCAGUUGUCUGUGAUAUAUUUCCCUUCUAUGGUCAUUGAAAUUGUUUUGCAGCCUGUAGUGAGCUUAAGAACUGGUGUCCGUUCUGGAUUUAUUCCUUGUCUCAAGAGUUUGGGGAUUUUUUGCAAAAAAAUUGGGAAAUAGUCUUAAUGUAUAUGAUGUGUUUUAUGUUGUGAAAGAUUCUAUAUUAUGAAUGUAGUAAAAAAUGGCAAAGUUACCAAUUGAAGUCUGUCGUUGGUGGAGUAUACAUGGUAAAAAGCUAUGUUUUUUGUCAAUAUUUUGGUGAAAGUUUGGGCUUAAUGAUGAGAAAUAGGUUCUAUGUAGUGCUCGACGUUCAGCUGGGUCUGAAAUGGAUGGAUGGAUAAAAUUGUUAGCAAACAUUUAAUUAUGAAAACAGUUCAUAGUUUUAUAGACAAAGAUGGUCUUACCUCCGUUCACAGGAGAUGGAUUCGUGUUUGUUGUUGAGAAAGGAGUUGUCCAUGGUAAAUAAUCUUGGAAUUGGUGUUCAUUAAAUAUUAUUGUGUCAAAAAUGUUUUGUCUAUCAAAUAAAAAUAAAAUUAGAUAAUAGUUUUGUAUAUUAUUAUCCAUUAGAUAUGCUUUCCACCCAACUGUAAAAUCUCAUCCCUGUAGUUGGAUUUGCCAUUCCCUAUGUCCAUGCUUCAGAAAUAUUGUUGUUUGAAUUUGUUGUUGACUGGCGUUAAAGAACGACGUUGGAAUUUUCUGUAAAUAUCAUAAAGUCAUAUACUUAUGUCAAACAUUUCUCACAAAAAAAAUUAUGAAUAUGGGUUGAAUGAGUACCGUAUUCAACGUGCUGUUCUGCCGUAUUACAAAGCAUAAUUUUAGAGCUGGGUCUUGAAUCUGAUGUCUUGUCGACGAAGCGGUAUCUGUGGAUGAUCAGGUUUUCAGUAAGUAUAAUAGAAUUUUUUCUAUUUAGUGUAGUCUUAUAUAUAGAUUGUUAUUGAAAGAGUAAGAACUUAGACAAGAACAUACCUGAUAGAAUGGCGUCCAUACUACCGUAGGAAAACUUUGAUGAACGAACAAUGUAAGGGUUAAAGCUCGUUUUAUAGUUGUACUUCCUCAUUUUUUUGGCAUAUUUGUUUUCAAUAUUUUUGAAUAGUAAAAUGACCUUCUCAUCAAUAUUUUAGUUGUUCUCUUUGGGAAUUUGUUCAUAUAUAUUUGAUAUUUUGUCUAUUGAAUAUUUUUAUUGUUAUUUCUUUGAUUUUUGUCACUAUAUUACAAAUGAUGCAAUCAUCAACGGUACAUAUGGCACAUAAUGCACAGCUACAUAUAAUUGCUUUUUUCUGCUUAGAAAUGAAAUAAUUGAGUUACUGGUGUGAUGUUUUGUUUGAUAUGGUACUUAGUCAUUGGUCACGUGAAUAUCUAUCAUGUUGUUUUUGAAUAUAUAUACACUAUUUCUUCUUUAUCUUUUCUAUUAGGUAUACCAUGUUUUUGUUUCUUGCUUCUUGUCUCUACAUAUUCGUUCUUAUCUAUAUAUUACCUGGGUAUAUAUAUAAUGUUUAAUUUAUUUCUUGAUUUUUGUUGAUUUAAUUAUACACUUACUGAGCAAUUAUCGACUAAAUGAUUACAAAUUUACUAAUUAAAUUGUUUAAUGGUCAAUUACUAACAAAAAAUAGUUUGAUAGCCAAAAUAUAAUCUGAUCAAUAGUUUAGUGGCCACUAAGAUUUUGUACCUUAAUAUUUAUUUAUUUGUAAAUAACUAACGAUCAAUAUGUACAGUGAUUUAAUAGUAUGGUCUUUGAUUGAUUUCUUGCAGCUUUCUGUAAGCCAUUUGUUUUCAUCCUUUGUUUGUUAAACACCCCCAACACAUAACAAAAUUUACCACUCCCAACAGCCCCAUCACACAAUAAAAUCCAACACCCCCAACACAGGCUAGCGCAGGGCCCAAAAACUAGUGUGUGUGUGUGUAUAUAUAUAUAUAUAUAUACAUGCAUAGAAUCAGAAACUUUGGAAACCCGGGCCCCUUUUCUUGUGGAUAAAACAUAAAGGACCAUUAUAUGCCACUUAUUAGAGACAAAAACUGCACUGCAUUUCGCCCAUACUGCAUUGGUUCUUAGAAAAGUUACUUCUGUGACCUGUUUUAACUCUUCCUCUCAACUUUAGGUUAGGGUCCUCUAAUAUAAAAAUGAGGGAAGGGGUUGUGGCAGCUUCGAAAUUCUCAAAUAUGUGGGCAGUAGUAAUGGAAUGACAAUAUUUCAAAAGAAAGAAAUCAAUGUCAAUCAGCAUCAUACAUCAUAAAGUAGCAUCACUAUUUAUAGAAAUACAUAUAAUAAUUCACAAGCCAACGAGACCCGCGAGAGGAAUUGUUUAUGCCAUCAUGAACCACGACCAAAACAAGAGCGUCACACAAAAAUCUUUAAAAUAAACCCAAAAAAAAUUUUGGCAAAAAUCUACAGAAUUUUGCCCUCCCAAUCUAAAAUCUUGCUAAAAACAGACGUUAAGAAGGGUCUGUUUGUUUUUGAUGGAAAACAUCUUCCGAGAAAGUAAUUGCCUUAAUUUCCAGGGUUUGGUUCCAUUUUAACCCGGGGGAAGUCACUUCCCUUGUAAAAUAUAUAUUUUACUUCGGCGGAUGUAAAACGACUUCAAUCAUAAGCUUAUUGAAGUUAUUUUCCAGCCACCACCCCCUCUCUUUGGCCCUUGUUUGCUACCUCUAUCUUGUCCCCAGCACAUUACGCAUUAGUUGUCUCCUCCACAGCUCUAUUCAACCCGCAUUCUUCUUCCCUUGCACAUUAGCCUGCAUCAUCAUGAGCCAAAGUCAUGGAAGACUAGUGCAAAGGAAUUAGGUCUAUAGAAACAACGUGGAUUGGACAAAAAGAGAAGAUUUCUAGUAGAAAAGAGAGAAUACAACUCUAAAACUUUUACAAACGGGUACAGAUGUUUUCAAAUUGAUUAUACAUGAGAGAGCUUGACAGUUUCGCUGAUCAAAUAGAAUUUCCAUCUUUUGCUUUGACAAUAGGAAUCAAUGAUGAAAUCUAUUAGGUCUUUAUGAACAAAUUUUGGCUAUAAAACUAUUCUUGUAACACCUGCUUUUUAUGUUCUUGCUAUUAUUUACCUUGGAUCACAUUUCAUUUGACGGUGGAAAUGGUGUUUGAGGUGGUGGAAGAGGUUUUUGUGGUGGUUGUGAUGCAUUGAUAGCAGGCACUGAAGAGUAGUGUAGUGGUCAUAUAUUGUAAUGGCUAUAUUACUACUGAAAAUUUAUUUUCAAAACAGUGACCAAACACAAGAAAAUUAGGAGAAAAACAAAAUAUUUUCUGAAAAUGACUUCUACUGAAAUUAUUUUCCCAAAGAAAACCUUUUUAUGUCGAAUCAAACAGACCCGAAUUUGUUUUCCUGUCUAAUCGGCAUAAAAGCUGCCCGUUUUACUUGUUGAAGGGCAGAACCAAUGAUGGAGCCAAGGGGGGCAGAGGGGGGCCACGGCCCCCCAUAAGUUUUGAAAAUUUUAAUUCAUAAGAUGUAAAUAUAUCUAUAAGACAAAGUUGGCCCCCCCUAAUUUUUUACAAUUUUAGUUUAUAUUAUGAGAGUUUAUAUAUAUAUAUAUAUAUAUAUAUAUCUGUGUGUGUGUGUAUAUGAAUUAGCCAACUUUGAUUUAAUUUUUUCUUCAAAAAAGUUAUUUAUUUUUUUAUUGUGCUAAUUAUUUAACAUUCAAAAAAUUAAACAUAUAAUUUGAUAAUUCAUAGUAAAUUAGCCCAAUUUGAUAUAUUAUAAUAAAAGACUCAAUUCAUAAUUAUCAAUGGGUUAAAACAAAAAUAAUUACUUUAUUGGUUCAUAUACAAAUAUACAACUUAGCCUAAUUGAUAAAAAAUUUAAAAUUAGUGAUCUAUACUCUUGUUGACCCAUAUACAAAUGUACAAAUAAUUACUUGAAGCCUUUGUGAAGACAAGAAAUUGAGUGAUCUAUCCUGUUGUCGACAGAUUGAUUAUAUUUGUUCUCACUCUUCCUAUAUCAACUGCAACUAUAGAACGGACAUUUUCAAUUAUGAAUAUAAUCAAAACGAAGAUCCAAAACAAGAUAAAAGAUAAUUUCUUGAAUGAUUAUCUACCAAUGUACAUAAAAAAAAGAAUUUGUUCAAAAAUUUAGUAUUGAUUCAAUUAUAGACGAAUUUAGUUCUAUGAAAGAACGUAAAACUCAAUUUACUUUUAAAAAAAGAGGUUGAAAUUCAAGGUAUGCUAACAUAAUUUUUAUCUUUUAUUAAUUGAAAAUAGUUAUAUUCAUAUUGCACAGUUAUAUUUUUGUUUUUGCACAAGUGACAUAUUGGAGCAUUUUCUCAUAAUGUACAAUUUGGGUAGUUUGUGAUCUUAUAAGAUAUUUAAUCAAAGGUUAUUUCUUAUCCUAAUUUUUGUUAUGACUAUGCUGCAUAUUUAUGAAAUAGACAUACUUUUAUAAUUAAAAUUAAUAUUUGAUAUAUUAAGAUGUUAUAUAUUUAAAUAGAUAAAAAUUAUUUUGAAUAUAACAUAUUAAGAUAAUUUUGUUCAGAAAAAUUUGCCGCCCCCCCCCCAAGGAAAAAAUAUUGGCUCCGUUCUAUAGUCUAUAGAAUGGACAUUUUCAAUUAUGAAGAUAAUCAAAACAAAACUCCAAAACAAGAUAAAGGAUAAUUUCUUGAAUGAUUGCCUAACAAUGUACAUAAAAAAAAGGAAGUUGUUUGAAAAUUUAACAUUGAUUCAGUUAUACAUGAAUUUAGUUCUAUAAAAGAACGUAAAUCUCAAUUUAUUUUUAAUAAAAGAGGAUGAAAUUUCAAGGUAUGCUAACAUAACUUUUAUCUUUUUUUAAUUGAAAAUAGUUAUAUUUAUAUUGCAUAGUUAUAUAUUUGUUUUUCCACAAGUGACAUAUUGGAGCAUCUUCUCAUAAUGUGCUACUUAGGUGGUUUGUGAUAUUAUAAGAUAUUUAAUCAAAGGUUAUUUCUUGUCUUAAUUUUAGUUAUGACUAUGUUACAUAUUUAUGAAAUAGACAUACCUUUAUAAUUAAAAUUAAUAUUUGAUAUUUUAAGAUGUCAUAUAUUUAAAUAAAUGAAAAUUAUUUUAAACAUAACAUAUUAAGGUAAUUUUGUGCGAAAAAUUUUCGGCCCCCCUAAGGAAAAAAUCCUGGCUCCGUCACUGGGUAGAACGAAAAUGUCAGGUUUAAUUCUUUCUCCAUUAUGGGGGAAAAGUAAAAGAAAGAAUGCAAGGGACAUUAAUUCUAUCAAAAUUUUGUAAAAAAAUUACUAAUUAAAAGAGAUCAAGUUAAAUCUGUCCCUAGAUCUAUGUACAAGAAGCUUACCUCAGCAUUAUAUAUUAGAUUAAUUUUUUCAAUAUUGAUAGUAUAAAUACAUUAUUUUACCAGUUGUUUAGAUGCAUGACACUUCAUUGCUUCUAAAUUGAAAUCUUACUUUAUAUAACACAAUGUAUAAAAAAAUAUGCAUAUCGUCGACGUAGGAAAAAUUAAUUCGCAAUUAUAAUGUUUGCUGCCAAAUUUCCAAUGAUGCUAAACGAGUAAUGAUAACAAUUAAGCUUCUCUAAACUUAAAGUCCCAGAUGGCAAAACUUUUUAGUAACUAUUCAAGUUUUUAUUAGAUUAUGUAAAACUGGCUAGAAUAAUCCUAACGUAUGCAACUACAAGGAAAUAGCACAAAGUCACCAAUAAAGGUAUUUAGCCUCGUUUCCAGCUUGCCACAAGUAUCCCUUUCCAACGGACAACUUUGUCCCCAACACCCGCAACAAUCUUCAACAAAAUACAACCUUUUCCGCAACUUUCCACACAUAAGUGGUCAAUGCUAAUCUUCCAAUCUGAUCUGCCCCACAAAAUUAUGUUCGACUUUCUUCUGAGCUCUAUUGUUUCACCAAUGCCAAUUCUGCAUACCAUUUGCAAGAACCUCACCAGAAACUUCUUGCCAAGAUGCCUUGGUAACAAACUGAGUGAGGAAACUUCUUACCAGUUUGGCACUUGAGUUUUUUGUCAAGUUUGUCUGCUACAAGUUUUUAAAAACUUUAGUUACAGUAAUCUCAAAAAAAUUGUCAAAAUUUUUAAACUAUACACUUGAAAAUAUUCAAAAACUAGUUUUGUACCCAUUCGUUGAACGGGAAUCGUCGAAAAAUAAUAAACUUUAGUCAAUUUAUAAAAAUAUCGAUAUAAAAUACAUAUUUAAUGUAUAAUCUAUUAUAACUUGUCUUAAGUAUAUUACUAUGUGCGCAUUAUAAUGUAAAGUAUUCUUAUAAUAUAAAUUUGAACAUCUAAUUUAGUGGAUAAUAAUUCAAAAAUAGAAAAAAAACAUUCAACAAUACCAUAACAUUCAAAAAACUUGAAAAUAAAUAAAUAGUGCAGUAAAUAGUAUCAAAUAAUAUUCUACUAUUCAAAAACUUGUUUUUAUUUUUUUCUGUUUGAACAUUCUCCUCGAUUUGUCAGUGCAAAUCAGCAUUUAUUUAUUUUCUAUUAUCACUGCAUGAUAGCAAAGUAGGAUAACUAAGUAUAAAAAAAAUAAAUGAUUUAUCGCAUUCAAGUUUGUAUAUAACAAUACGUAAAGAUUAUAAUUAAGUAAAUGGUCAGAGUCUUUUAAUUAACUAAUGAAUUUGCAGAUGUAUCUAAUAGAGAUAUUUAUGUCUCUUGUAUUUAUAUCGCAUUGCUUUCCAGUGCCUUUUGUUUUUGGUUGUUUUUCUUGAAGGCAAAUUAACAAAUAUCGUAGUAUAUGAUCACAAAAAUCAAUUAACAAACAUGUUAGAAAAAAUCCUACAAAAAUAAUGAUGAAAGUACUUGUUUAAAUCAUAUGUCUUCAUAUAAAACAAAUAGAAAAUAAAACAAAAAAAAAACAAAAUUCAAGAUAUGUUACUAAACUCUUACAAUUGAACAUGAAUUUGAUGCUUAAAAUCAAUAUAUUAGAGGCUAUAUGUAGUGUAGACAUAGGAAAUAAGAAUUGAUAAGAAUACAACGAGAUAUUGAUAAGAACAUUAAAAGUAUAUUUAUCUUAAUUUAAGUUACUUAAAGUACGUAACUUUAGGUAGGAAAUAAGAAUCCUAUAAUAUUAAAAAUUCUUAUAAAAAAUAAAACCAUAAUCGUCCAAAUAACUUUGGAUAGGAAAUAAGACCUUAUGUGACCUGUACUAUAUAUGUAUAUAAACCUGUACGUAAUAAAUUUACAAAUGCAUUAUCAAGAUAGAUUUUACCGACCUUAAAAGACCACCUCUACUAUAUCGAGUCCUUUAAGUGCAUGGACUUCUAUGAUGUGGGUCCACACACGAAAUACUCCCCACCAUCUCAGCAGAGAUGUAUUGUGAUUAAGGAAUUAUUAGUAGAAAUAUAUUAAAAAAAAGACGGGCAGAGGACACUACGGACAGAGACCUUUCUCUUGGAUUGGAGGACACUACGGACGGAGAAUCGAGUAGGGGCCUUCGGGGUGCAAAACUUCAACAAAUAUCUAAUGUUUUAUCUCAUCUUUCUUUAGCUAUGAUAAUGGGAUUUUAUUUCUUUGGUUGAUGACACUCCAUUUUCUUUAUGGACUUUUUUAGAAUUUUUCAAUCAGAUGAAGUGCCAUUUCUCUUUGUACAUCAAUUAUGCAUGGGGACUGUGAGUCUUGUAAAAACUUUCUCGGGCUAACUUUCUUUAAUUUUCAUGUCUAGAUUGUCUAUAUGUUGUUCUAUAUAUGGGUAGAUUAUCUUAAAAUAAAAAGAAUCUAUGAUGAAGCUAUUAAAAAAAAAGAAUAGGACACUAUAAAAAAAUAUAUUAUCAUUUAUUCCUAUAUAUCUAAUAGAGGAGAUUUAUGUCUCUUUUAUUUAUAUCGCAUUACUUUCCAGUUCCUUUUUUGGGUAGGAAAUAAGAAUCAUAGAAUAUUAAGAAUUUUUAUAGGAAAUAAGAAUUGAUAUAUAUCCAAACAAAAAAAGAGCAAGUCACGUAGGAAACUACUUGCCGUCUCGUUAAGUCACAUAGGAAAGACAAAAUAUAAAGGGAUAAGUAUGAGGAUACAACUUUAUUAUAUAUAUAUAUAUAUAUAUGAUUUACACACUUCAAAAAUUUUUUAAAAACCUUUUACAUUAAGUUACAGUAACACCCAAAAAACUACUUGUCAAAUGGGGCCACAAUCAAACUAAUUAAACUCGCUACCAGAAUUCACCCAAGGAAUUAAGCCAAGGCUUAAGAGUAAAGAGCAAGAAAAUUUUAUUCUUCUCAAGGAAGCCAAAAGCCGCACUUGUGUAUCGAGAUGAAAAUCGACUUUGAAAAUUACAGAGAGAUCAGAUUAAAAGAUGAAAAUGAACUUUCAAGGUAGCUUUGGAAUAGGGCUGCAAACGAGCCGAAUCAAGUCAAGUUUUGACCUUUUCGAGUCGAGUCUUGACUUAAUUUCAUCGAACUCGAACUCGAGCUCGAGUUCAAGCUCGAAAAAAAUAAAAAAUAAUUAUUUUAUUUUUUAAUUAAUAAAUAAAAUAAUAUUUUUUCUUAAUAAAUAAUAAAAUAUUAAGGAUAUUUAUGUAAUUUUACUAUUAAAAAAAUUUAAAAUAUAUAUAUAUAUAUAUAUAUACUCGAGCUCACGAGCCUAACGAGUUUAAUGUUUUGAACUCAAACUCGAGGUCGACUUUGGCUCGACCAACUCGAGCUCGACUCGAGCUUGAAUCAAGCCACUCGCGAGCGUUUGCACCCCUACUUUGGAACUACCCUCCAGCAGUAGGCGUUUUCUAGGCACUAAUAUCAUAAUUUAGAUGAUGAAAUUAAAGUGGCUUUAUUCCUUGACCAAAAGUACAUAUAUUAGUGAAUACUCCGUAUAGCUAUUGGAUAUUUCAGAGAAGUUGAACCAUUACAAGUUGAGGAAAUUAGCUAUAACUUGGUAUAUGGAGGUGAGAAUUGAGAACCGUUUGUUGCACAUGGAAAUCAUACCAUAAAAUUCCCAAACCAUAUAAAAAUCUCACCCUAGCUCCUUCCGCAUCAAAGUUGUUUAAAAAAAGAGUUGGUUAUGAUGGUGCUAAUCAGCUUUGCCUUGGAAUUUAUUUUAAGUUUGGAACUAAACUAAUUGACCCCCCAAAGUGAGAUGCGCAUAGCAUAAUUUAUAAGCCUAUAGUAUGUUAUCAUACUCUUUAGUAAAGCUCAAAUGUUUAGAUGAAGUUUCAUCGCGUUUAAUUUCACCGUUUGAUUUUCUUCUUCCUGUGGUACAAAUGCAGCAUGCAUUAGAGGCCAAGUUAUUUUCUGCUCAUCAUCCUUGAGGUACCAAGUUUAGUUACAUAUUUUUCGCACAUGAUGAUUGAAGUUGAACUUUUUUAGUGUAUCAUCUCUUUAUUCUAAUGGGAACAGGAAAAGGAUGAGGUACGAGCGACGAGAGUUGAAUUCUCAAAGCAAUUAAAGUUGAACUGUGAAAAGAAAAAUAAGGUACUGGUAGUCCAGGGCAUUUUCAGAUCAAUGGGCCCUAGGAAUGAAGAAUAAUCAUUAUUAAAGAAAACAUAUACAACGAGCACCAUAUAUUAUGCAAAAUUAGUACAUAUUGAGCCAACGAGCCCCACGAGAGGCAUUAUUACCAAUAACGUCACUCCAAAAGAAAAUGAAAUAAGAUAAAAUAUAGGGAUUUUGCACUCGCAAACUGCAGUCUUAAUACAUAAUGUUUAUUGGGAUCUUUUACUUAAGACUAAGCGGCAUGCUUGCCUUGUUGGAGGACAGAUCGAAGAGUAUCGACCAGUUCUUUUGUUGUCAGGUUGACUUCUUUCUCCGCCUGGAAAAGAUUACCACGAGGGAUCAUUAAAUAGUAGAAAAAUCUAUAAGAAGAAAAUUGAUUAAAAAGAUAUCGAACUUUAAAUUCGUUCCUAGACCUAUAUAUAAGAAGCUCACCUCUGCGAUAAUUGUAAUGUCAAGAGCAAAAUUCCCAAAUGGGGAAACACAAGUAUUCAGUACAGCAAGAUUGAGCUUGUCUAUCUGAGAGAGAAUUUUGAUGAGCACCCCUUUAUAAUUUUUGCAAUGUAUUCUUAGAAGAACAUUCUUGUCGCACACUUUAGCUUCAAAUUCAGGCAGUGGCUGCUCAUUCGGGCCAGCCACCUCAUCUGAAGAUCCUUCAUCUUCAAGUAAGAGUUGUGAUCUCUUCACAAGCACCACAGACUCCAUGGUUUGCCUAGCAGCUUUCUCCUCCAGUGUCUUUACUCUCUCCUGAAGAUGUUUUAGGUACUCGAUGGCAUCUCCAAGAAUAGAACUUUUAUCCAUCUGCACCAUUAUAAGUUCUUCUCAGAAAAAACUUUGUCACGAUUUUGAUGUGUAAGUUAUGUAGUGAAAUGUCUAUGCAUGUGCGAAGUAAAGUCAGUGCGGUUAUCAUUGUCCGCUAUCUAUAAUGUUUUCUUGAUUCGGUAAAGAGCAGAGUGUCAAGUAGAAAGCUAAAUAUAGGCACGUAUUUGGCAUAUGAAUGAAGUUGUAGUCAAAUAAAAUUUCAUGGGGAUGCUAUUGUGGUAACCGUAAUUAGGCUGCAUGAACGUGACAAUGGCAUGAAAAAUAACUCUCUCUCAAACCUUAGUUAUGGAUGAGAAAAUAGAUGGUACUGCUCACCUUCUUGAGGCCAGGAACUAUGGCGGAAAGAGCCAUGAAUCUCUGGCUGAGCUGCUCGCGUCGCUUUCUUUCUGCUAUUAUGUGAUCAUAGGUUUGUGAUGGUGGCCUAACACGACCACCAGGUUUCUUUGCUUUUGUUUGGACGGUAGUUUUAGCAGCCUCAUCAAGUUUUGCAAAUGAACCAUGGGAUGUCAAAACCUCAGACACUGCAUCAUCCUCAGGGUUCAAGGUUCCUAGAGUCACUUGAUGAGGAUUUAUUUCUGGCAUAUUUGGAUUCCCAAAAGUGAGAAUCAUUGGAGAAGAAGAAGCUUGACCAAAAUUUGGCAUGUUGUGGAUGUUCGACGAGUCGUAGCCAUUAUUAGUCUUGUGCUGUUUGGCUGGGGUUUCGAAACCAACAGGAUGAGCUUCCAUCACUGAAGGUUCACACAAUGCAGGAGUGGAGUUGCAGCUUGGAAAGAUAUUGGAGAAAGACGGAUUCCCUUCUGGAAAAGAAGAGUUUUGGAAGUCGUCGGCAGGCGCAGCAGAUAAUUCAUCGUUCAAGAAGUCCAUGAUAUUAAAGUCAUCAUUGGACAAUGGAUCCUCCAUUCCCUGUUAAUAAUAAGAUAAGGCAGCAUGUCAUGUAAGAAUCGUUUAUUCAAUAAAUGAAAGCUUCUUCCUCUGAUGUGAUCUAUACUUUGCGAAAGCCACAACUAGAAAUAAAAUAAAAGGAAAAGCAAAUGCAACAGAAUUAAACAGAAGACUCUGCAGUUCAUUUAACUGACAAUCGAUUCCGAUGGUUUUCAUAAAUUUUGUUUUCACAUGUUUUUGCCUAGUAAUGGUCAAGUUAAGCUUGGCUUGUCUUAGUUCAAACAAAAAAGAAGAUAAGCCAAAAUAUUGUGUCAGGUCUCUUUCAGCAAAAUUUGGUUUGCCUUUCUGAGAAUCCGUUGGGUUGGAAUCUAGUAUAACCAUUUUAAGCUUGACCAAAGAAUCUAUACGCUACACAACGAAUAAAGCAAUUUGCCAUCUAACAUCCACUCUAUAUUUCUAAGUUGAAAUUAAAGCUAUGCCAUUAUGCCAAAAUCAUACAAUAUCUUAUAUUUUUGGGGACAGCUGCCCUUUUCCUGCACCCUGAAGGUCCAUCUCUGCAUGUAUUUAUCUAUUUGUCGUGUAGUCUCUUUGCUCUUGGAUUCAAUAUUCUCCCUCAGUCAUACUAUGACCUUUCUACUACACUUCACCAUUCGUAGUAAACACGAACAGAAAUGACGACGAAAGAAAGAGGAGGAGAUAUAGUAAAUAUCUUCACAGGACUGAUAAUGGAGAAAGAAAUAUUACCCGAAUUCCGCCAUAUAUGUGUUAUUCAAACUAGGAAAAAAGUGCAAGCCAUUACUACCUAAACUGGUCGAUGUCCAACAUGAAAACUUAUCAAAGAUCAAGAAAGGGAAGACAUCAAUAGUAUUACUUCGCAUGAAUGAAAUCUGUUACCAGUUGAGAAAACCACGAGCUCGCUGAAUUAUCCAUCAACAAAGACUACUUGAAAAGAUGUCAAAUUUCUGCAAAAUGGCCAUUUACAGAAAACAAAAGGGCAGAACAUUUAGACAAGAGCAAACCCCAACCUAAGAUAAAGAAAUGUUGUCAGAAAAAAGAGCUCCUAGCAAGAUGAGGGAACCUCACCUCUUUCAAGUUUCAACACUCCUGCUGCUAAGGGCUUCUUAAUCAAGAAAAGAAGUUUUUGGCAUCUUAUAUAGAGGUGGUAAGUAAAGAACAAUUAUUGGAAGAAGGCAUAAAACCGGAGUUUUAUAUAAGCGCUUCAAAAACAGCCCUUCGCGCUCAAAUAUAAGGUUGGAGCCUCCUUCAGUGGAGUGCAGAGGGUAAAGAAUGGAGCGGAAACGCAUAACUCCUGCGUCGUAAACAAAUUGAACCCUUAAGGAACAGUUCGGAUUUGCAGCCAUCGAACAAGUGUUGACAACCGCAUCUGUCAAUAUUUUAUAUCAAUUAUGUAUUUAUUAUUUUAUUAUAUAGAUAUUAUAUGUAUAUUAGUGUAAAUUUAAUAUUGAAAUUGAAGAAUUAAAUAAAUUUUUGAACUCUCAAAUCGAGUUCUCACCCAUCAGAGUUUUAAAUCGAAUCGAACUCGAGUUUAGAUUUUGAACUCGUAUAGGAUUCAAGUUCAAAUUCAAAUUCGAAUCCAAAAUUUUAAAUUGAACUCAAACUAUGAAAAGUUCCAUUCAAUUCUAUUCAUUUACAGUCCUGACACCAACCAAUAUAUGAGCUACGUACAAUAUAUGCAUGUCACCUAUGAUUGAUUUUAGGGGGUAGUCCGCCCAUGUGCUAACUUUGCACCAUUGACGAGAUAAAUUAUUUGCUCGAUAUUGGGUUGGUAGUGGAAGAACUAUUCAAGGGAUAGAUGUUUAAAACUUUAAAAUUCUGGGGUGUUGGGACUUCUGUGAGUCGUCUGACCAGCCAUGCAAGAUAUAUGACCGUCCAGCUAUCUCAUUUUAGCUAGUAAGAUUAUUUAGAGUUUGCAUAAACAAGUUGGUAAGAUACUUGCAUUAACCCCAUGCUUCACAAGUAUUGAGUUCUUAUCCACAGGACCACCUAGCAAUGCAACUUUCUUGGAUUUGCAGUAUUUGUUUGUGCCUAAUUCAUAUAAGCUUCUUUCGGCAAUUCCUCAAACAGGGGAGUGCAUCUUCUCUCCCGCACCAUAUUCCCGACAACCCCUUACUAACUGUGCAAAAACUAUGAAUUAUAGUCAGGGACCAGCAUAAUGUUGCACUUUGAAGCUGGCUUACUUGGGAAGGGUUUAUGAACUGGAAUCUCAAUUUAAUGUUGACUUUUUGAAAGAAAAAAAAAAAAGUGAAGUUUGAUCUCAUAAGUUAAUUAAAACAAAGGAAACAAAUUUUUUAUUAACAAGUCCUCCAAAUUAUUCAAUUAGAGACUUAGUGUUUAGACUUUCCUUUCUUUCUUUCUUUUUUGAAGUUUUUCGCUUAUGUUACCAAGCAUCUAUGUAUGCCAUGUGAUUAUUCAACACCCCAAAUGAAAAAAGGGCAACUGUGGUUAAUCGAUUCAAGUAUGAAGAUAUGCGGAUAUGCAAUUUUCUGUGAAAAGUCAGAAAGGAAUUAAAAAGAAAUGUUUUGUUUCGCACUUAGCUGCAGUUGGGACAUAGCCUUUAAAGUUAAUCAAGGAAAAACACCACACCUACCUUAUUAUCGAUGCACAACCGCAUCAAUGGAUUUGCUGCCUUAGAUGGGAAAAUUUUAUUAAGGAUUUACCCAUAACUUUGUUUUCUUCGUUUUGCUUUCGAAGUUUUUGAUUUCUGUUACCAAGUAAUGAUUAACCGGCUCAAGUAAGGAGAAAAUGCAGACAUGGAAAGGCAAAUAUAGGGGACUUUUUUUUUUGACACAGAUUCAGGUGGGAUCCUAAUUUACUCAAUAAUUGAAGCAAAAACAUAACAGGCAUUAUCAUUAGAAUUAAUAUCCUUAUUAUUGAUACCCAACUAGCCAAUUAAUUCAUCAACAGAUUUGCUCUCCAAUAGAUUAAGAUAUGCUCUUCUUGUCGUGUCUUGACUCCAAACAUAAAUUCUACCUACUUCUCCAAUUUAGAUGAGUUUUUUUUUUUUUUUUGACCAUUUGAUUAGGUGAUAAAGAGGCUACAUACGUAAUUCAUUUCACUGAUACAGUAUUUAAAGAUAGUUUUCCAAUAUGAACGGAGUGAUCAUAUCAUGCAAUCCGGUUUUAAGUACACAAACGUCCAUGCAUGAGAAUCCAGUACCAGUUUUCUUUUCUAGAUAAACCUGUUUUUGAGAAAAAUAUGGUCGUUUUGAUGAGUUUAACUUGAUGGUACCAUCAUCUUGAUUCUAGAUCACAAGUUUGUAAGAUUACUGGGGAGGAGGGACUAAAUCAAUACUCCCACGGACCUGGAUUUACGUUUUCCAUGCAUUAUUAACUUGUUUAACCGACAUUAUAGUACAUAUUAUGUAAAGCAAGAACCAAACUCUCCCGUCAAUAACUAGUUUCUUGAUUAUCUCCCAAUGUAUUUCCAACUUCAUUUUUCCAUUCGUUUUCUUGUUCCCUUUUCUUUGCAUUUCAUCAUCUUCCCUUUUGUCCCCUUUUCGGAUCUCUGUUUUCCUCAGUAUCGCAUUAUGGGCAAAAUGAAGAGGCAGCCUGCAGUUUGGGGUGCACAUAAAAUCAAACUUCCGUGAUAUAUAGAAGCAUAAGUGGAGUAUAUAGUAUACAAUAAAUUUGCAAAGGUUUCAAAUUCCUGCGUGCUUGCUAUCGUGUCAGAAAAGCAACCACAAAACUUGAUUCAUUGGAGCCAUGGUAUGGUACUUCAAAUCUAAUCUCAUGUCCCUGCCACAAUGAAACUGUUGAAAGACCACAGAAAUGCUAGCUGCCAAGUGCCAACCCUUAUUUAGGUAUUGACUUAUGAAACGCUUGCCAAUUUCUGCCAUUUCUUGAAUUUGAAGGAAAGUUCUUGGAAAAGCACUCUAGGACGGAACUUGCUCAAUCACACUUGCCUAGAAUGCUCUUCCCAUUAGGCCACGACAAUUCAACAAAGAAAAUAAAAAUGACAAUCAAAUUUGGAAAAUGGAUUCUGAAUUCUAUCUUGUUUGUAUUUUUCUGGUAACACUAGUAAUAAGGAGCCUUUCGAGCCAAAGAAAAGGUUAUUUUAAAAGUCUAAAUAGGAUGGCGCCUGGGUCUUGAAGAAUAAAUCUCUAUAUCUGCAGCGGCCGUAGAUUUUUCUUUCUUUUUUUUUUUUAAACCAGAAUAGACACUAUCGGUUGCUUUCACACUUUAUAGGUCAAGUCUUCUCUCUUACUCAUGAAUCAUGAUGAAUAUCUUAGGGUAUAUUUGAUAAAAUUAAAGUCUGGAAAUUGAAAUUUGAAAUCUAAAAUAUGAAAUCUGAAUCCAUUAAAUUAUUGAAUUGUUAAAUAUUAAGUCAAAUAUAUUUGAGUGUAUAUCACAUUCAAUGAUACACAUUCAGAUAAGUGAGUAGUUUAUCACUUAUUUUUUAGAAAAAAUUUUAUCUAGAAAAUUCUGUAUCACUUAAUUAAUUCAAAUGUUCAAUUUUUUAUUAUCAAACGUUUCUGAACAUAUUAAAAAUCUGAAUUCAUUAAAUUUAAAUGUUAUCAAACAGGGCCUUAAUAACGUUUUCAACAAGCCACAAAUGUACAAAAUCACUAAUUUUAGUGCUUAUUUUUUCUUUAUCAGAGAGACAAAUAAGGAAUUUUUUUUAUUUACCACUUUCAAUCUUAUAUUGACACAUUUUCUGCGGUAAUGAUCAUUACCAUUUAGAUUAAGGCUUAUAUAACGUGUCUUUAGAUUGGAAUGGAUUUCAAACUGCGCCUAGUGUAGUCUUCUCUCUUUAUUGGAUCGCUUUUGGAAAAAUUAGACUUGAAUUGUCGAAGAUGCUUUUCAAAAAAAAAAAAAAAAUCUCCGAGAUGGAAACAACUCUUGUAGAAAAACUUGUGAGGAGGUUACAUCGCAAAGGCCAUUAUCACAUUAUCUUCUCACCAUGACUUGACUUGCACUUAAUAUGCCUUCAAGAUUAUUCCAAAAUCGGGACGCACAAGGCUUCGCGAGUUCCCUCCUUUCUUUUACUUCAACUUCUCUGCUUUUCCUCCUCUUUUCAUAAGACCUUCCUUUUACUUCAACUUCUCUGCUUUUCCUCCUCUUUUCAUAAGACCUUCCUUUUCAAGGGUCCCAUAUAUUUCAUUUUAUUUUAUUUUUUUUAAUAAAAUCUCUCCUAAGUUUCUUAGCUAGAGUUCUCUCUAAAGUUUCCUAAUAAGAAAUUUCUAUUUCUCUUUGAGUUGAUAGUGAGAAUUUUCAAUUUUUUUCUUCUUUUAUUGUUAGAUUCAAAUUUAUUUUAGAUUUGACUUUUUUGGGUUUUCGACCUCUCUCGAUAGGCUUCAUUAUCAUUAUUGGAGUUGAAAACUGUCGAUUAGUAGAUUUGGCGAUUGCAACAUAUAAAGAAGAAAGCUCUCAACAUGUCUCAUCAUCAUUAUUAGAGUUGAAUCCUUUGAUUAGCAAAUUUGAUGAUUGCAAUGUGCACAGAAGGGAGCUGCAAUGAUUUAUCUUAUUAGAGAACAAUUUAAAAUUUUUUACAUUUUCCAAAUCUAUUGCAUCCGUUAAAUUGCAGAUGCAAUCCAGUAUAUGUUUAAUAUGCCAUUAAAGCAACGAUAUAAAUGAAAUCAUGCUGGACAAUUUCCAGCAAUUCGUCAAUGAAAUUUGGUCUUUAUCAAAAAAAAAAAAAAAAAAAAAAGAGAUUCCUAAUACAUGAUAGAGGAGAGAAAUCGUUGUGACUAAUAUAGGGCAAUGUGGUACAGGAAAACGAUAACUUGUUUCCUACUGAUAAUGACUUUAAAUUCAAGAAUGGUCAAUUCAGUCAAACCAUGUGCAUGGAAAGGCAGUCUGCAGUCUGCACUCUCAACCAAAAAAAAAAAAAAAAAAAAGGUUCAUAAAUUAUCAAGGACUAGAAGUGUGGUUAUACUUUACAUCGCAGAGACUUGAGGUCAUAAAGUGGCUUUGUUUGUAUUGCAUUUUUUAGAAUUUUUUGUAAAAAAAUUACUGUAGUUAUUUGAUAUAUGUGAGAAAAAAACAUAAUAGAGAAAUGUGAUCAUGAAAAAUGACGCAAUUUUCCGGUGGAAAAUGGCUGUCCAAAUGGGGCUUUCUAGAAGUUUUGGAAGUUACAAGUAUUAAACUCUCUCAAUCGGUAUGUUUGAUCGCACAAGGCUUAAAAAUUUAUGUAUCUAAAUAAUAGAGGUGGAGAAUCCUAAAAUUUAAGAAUAAAGAGAUAGAAUAUAUAGCAAUAGAUUUGAGAGAAUUGGUCUGACCUCCAUAUUGGUUUGCCCUACUUGUUAGUACAUGCUUACGAUGGUGAUAAAGAAGCCGGUCUUUAUGCUUGCGUCCAAUUAAGUGUGCGCCAGCCAGAUUCUGAAUACGAAACUUCUCGGAUUUGUAAAGUAUACCUUUGGGUGCACUGAAGAAAAAUAUAAAACUCUACCGAUUAGUACUUUUCACCGCUUGAUAUUUUAAAAUGAUUUUUCUAACAGAUGCCCACCGGACAUUUGUUAAUACACUUAUACUUUUUCUAUUUAAUUUUACCUACUCUCUCCUGUAUUUUUUUGGGGAUGUUUUUGUUAGAUGAAAUUUUUAAUAACUGACUACACUAACUCUAAAAAUAAUAAUAAUAUUUUCAAAAUACGCACCUCAAAACACUUUAAAAUUACACACUCAUUCCUCUCCUCUAUCACCACCUCCUAACCAUUUCCACUUUCAUCGCUAUCGCCGCAGGCCAAUCCACCGCCACCGAAACCAUCAGAUACUCAUGUCCACUUCUUUCUUUUUUUUUUCCUUUCUCUAUAAAAAUUUUUUUUUCAAAUUUUACAAUAAAAUUUUAUACAAGCACCUAAAAAACACAUCAUCUAAAUGGCCUUUAAUUCUUGGUGCAAAUCAUCUAUGCCCGGAUUCUAAAACACUUCCUUGAGCUUCGAUGCAUGGAAACAAUCACGUCCGGCCAGUAUGUAAUCACUAGUAACGCCAUAUAAAGCGUGCGUGACAAAUUCCUUGUUUCUUAAUAGAGAAACGGAUCCAUCUGCCCUGUGGCGCUCCUCGUGUGGUCGUUAUAAGCAUCUGACCUUCCGAAACUUUUCUUGUUUCUAUUCCCAGCCAGGGAGCCUCCUGCAUCCAGCCACUAGCAGCGAGUAGCGACUUUCCGCACAUAAUCGUCUCCGAGUUUCAAUGAUGAAAACGAUAAGAUCUGGGGAGAAUUUCAGAAACUUCCCUCGAGGGUUUCUAAUAAUUUCACUUAGCAAUCUUUAGAUUUUUAAUAUUACACUUAUCUUUUAUUGACCCUAUAAAAUGAUCAUAAUAACCUUAAUAUAUUAAUGUUUUUUAUGCAAUUAAAAAAUAGGCUUCUAAUCUUGUGCAUAGGAAUGCACCGCACAAUUAAACAUUUAAUGGAAACAAAAACAAGAUUCACUCAUAGAAUAAUUAAUUAUGUCAUAACAUAAUUCUAACAUAUUAAAAAUUAAUUUUAACUUUGUUUGAAGGAUCUGAAGAUAAAUAAAAGAGGAUGUAAGCUAAAGGUUUGGAUUGCUAAAAAAGGACAAGGCAUGUGUUGGUACUUUAACAUUUGAGGGAUAGGAUGUUACAUUAAUACAGUUGGUGAAAUUCUUUGAGCUUAGCAGUACUGUUUUUUUUUCUUUUGUAACUUAGAUUGAUCUUUUAGAAUUUAGGACAGUUGAUGAAAUUCUUUGAGCUUAGCAGUACUGUUUUUUUUUUUCUUUUGUAACUUAGAUUGAUCGUUUAGAAUUUAGGGACUGGUGGUGGUGGUGGUAGUGGUCAUGGUGAUAAUGGUACUAAUUUGAGAUGAAGGUUUAAAAUAAUAGAGAUGAUGGUUGAAAGUGGGUUUGAGAUUUUAUGCAUAGUUCAUAUCUUUUUUGAAGAAUUUUAUAAGAAGGUAAAAUGAACUUAAAAAAAUUCAUGAGGGCAUUUUGGGUUAUUCAUUUAAAAUUUUGAUCAUUGAAUAGUUUUUGUUACCAAAAUAAUAAACUUAAGAGAGGUAUACAUAAUUUUUGGAACUUUAAAAGAACUAAGGCUUUGUUUGAAACUUAAGAGAGGUAUUUUAAUCACUUUUUUAUCUUACAUAUAUCAAAUUGUUAUAAUAUAUUUUUCUAUAAAAAUUCUUAAAAAUAGCAUUUCAAAUAGGGCUUAAGUGAAAUUGUUAAAAACCUCAAGGUUUCCGAAAGUAUCCCUAAGAUUUGUUUGUAUUCAUUUUUUCAACAAGAACCUACCACUCCAUUCCCUCACGAUCACGAAAUUCCUUGCACGUAAUCUUAUACAUUACGUCAGGCGAAAGAGUUGCAAUCAAAAUCAUAUCGUACUUUUUGUGUCAGAGAAGUAAUAAUUACGUUUACGUUGAAAGGGGUUUGAUUUGUCUAAGUUAAAUUAUUUGAAUUUCGUGCAAAGAGGAACUUACUCUAUUGAGCUCCUCAUUUUUUUUUUGUUUUGUCAAAAAAAGGACCUAGUCCCACUUCAAACUCCAACCCUUUUUUAGAUUGUUAGAUUCUUUUCUCAUUUUUGUUACAGAGUCGAACUCUGGUGGAUGUUCUAACUAGAAACUACACCACCUUACUCUAUUAAGCUCCUCGCUAUUGCUUUUCUCUCUAAUUAUAUAAAUUUUUUCUAAUCAAAUACUUGGACAAUCGUAUUGCUUAAUUGAUUUUCGAUAUAUUACUUAAUUGAUUUUCGACAUUCUAGUAAAUCAAUCAAAUUCCGGUAUUUACAGUUUUUGUAUCCAAUUUACUUUUGUAGGAGCUUUAGAUUAGACAAAAUAUUUAUAUUCAUUCUUUAAAAAGCCAUUAGCAACAAAAUCAUAUAAACCUUUCUGUCUAAUAACCCAAAAUGCACUCGUGAAAUUAUGGAAUUCAUUUUACUUUCUUAUAAAAUUCUUUAAAAAAUAUGAAACAUGCACAAAAUCUCAUAUUUUCACAUUUCAAACCUCAUCUCUACUAUUUAAACCUUUCAUAUUUUCACAUUUCAAAUUAGUACCAUUAUCACCAUGGUCACUGCCACCACCAGCCUCUAAAUUUUAAAACCUCAAUUUAAGUUAAAAAGAAAAAAAAUAUAUCAGCACUGUUAAUUUCAAAAAAUUUCACCAAUUGCAUUAAUAUAGCAUCAUGCCUCGCAAAUAUUGGAGUACCAACACCAACUCCGUUCUUAUUAAACCUACAGCUUACAUCUUUUUUUAUUCAUUUCCGAAUCCUCCAAGCAAAACUAAAUUUAAUUUGUAAUAUAUUAAAAUUGUAUCCAACACAUAAUUGAUUAUUCCAUGAGUGAAUCUUGUUUUUGUUUACAUUAAAUUUCUAAUUUUGUGAUGCAUUCAUAUGUAUAAGAUUAGGAGCGAAUCGUUUAAUUGCAUGAAAAAUAUUAAAAUAUUAAGAUUAUUAUGAUCAUUUUAUAAGAUUAAGGGAGAUAGUAAUAUUAAAAAUCUCAAAAGCACUAGAUAAAUUUGUUAGAAACCUCAAGGGAGGUUUCUGAAAUUAUCUCCCGAGUUAUCGUACCAUUGAGAAAUCCACCUGCAUAGUGAACCGCUUUUGUUGUCAGGUACGCCUUCAAGACUUGGUACUUCGUUCCUUAUUUGAACAUAUUGAGCUGGAUAUAUAUGGUCGAUUGCUAGAUAAAGCAAUUCUGCAACAUUAUCAUCAACAAGCAGCUAAUUCUUCUUUCUCUGCUUUUUUUUCCCUUUAAGAGAUCAUGGGAUUCUAUUUUCAUUGAAUGUGCUUACUAAGUCAAUCCAAACAAGUAUAUGAUUUUUUUUAAUCUCAUACCCCUUCCUGCAUUCUUCUCACCUCCAAAUAUUAUGUUUAGAAUUCAAACCAUAAACUGCCAUAUUUAGAAAGCGCACCCUACAUCCCUUGUAUCCUUCUCCCCUUCAACUGCCGUGUUUAGAAAGGACUCAGCCGCUCGAGAACAAGCAUAUAAUAUUUUUCUAGUGUAAAUGAGAAAAUUCGAAUUCAAAAUCUUGCGUUUACACUUCUUCUCCGGUACUAUCCAACCCACCGCACAACUAUAUGGUGCUGAUUGUUGCGUCUAUGUAAUUAUUUUUGUGGGGAAAUGUAUUUGAUCUCUUUUAAUUAUUGGAUCUGCCGGUUUGGUUACUAAAAGUUGGUAGAUUGGAGUUUUUGCAAUGGGCCAAUCAUCAUUAUAGUCAAAAGUUAUAAACUAAUUAAAUUUCGCCAUUUCACGUUGUCUAAUCGAUAAACUAAAAAUAAAAUUAAGGGCAAAUUUUACUUUAUCCCUUGUGGUUUAACAUUUUUUAUAUAAUCCCCUUAUAGUUUCAAAAGCUAUAUAUAACCACCUUAUAAUUUGGAUUAAAGUGUCAAAGUGACAAGAAUGACCAUUCAUAACGGAACCAUCUAAAAUGUCAAAAAUACCCUUAUGUAAAGUUAAAAAUUAUUUAUUAACCAAGGGGGUUAUGUGUAUAUUUUGAAAAUCAUAAGGGAUUAUAUGAUAAAAUAUUAAACUAUAAGAGGGUUAUAUGGUAAAAUAUAAAAAUUAUACAGGGUUAAUGUGUCAUGUAUUUAUAAAAAUAAUUUCGAUAUUUUUAGAAGUUCAAACCAUGAGGGGGUUAUGUAUAGCUUUUGAAACCAUAGGGAAUUAUGUAAAAAAUACUAAAUCACAGGGGGUAAAAUGUAAUUUGCCCUAAAAUUAACUUAAAAAUCCAAAGAUUGACAAACUUGAAAACCAUUUAUUAGAACUUCAAACCAAAAAAAAAAAAAAUCAGCUAGGCCUUUGAACACCCCUCCCUAAUUUUUGUGUUGCACUGGCUUCAUCUCAAAUUUUAGGGAUAAUUUCAGAAACCUCCCCUGAGGUUUCUGACAUUUACACUGACCUCCCCUGUAGUUUGAACAAUUACACUGACCUCCCCUGAGGUUACUAAUCCUUUACAAAUUCAGUCCAAAUGAUUAAAAUAUUAUUUUAGAGAGUGAAAUUAGAAUUUUGUACCCGAUUUGUCCUUUGUGCCACAUGUUCAAUGAAUGGCAAAGUAGUACAAAUUAAUUAAUAAUUAAUAAACUUUAACGAGCGUAGUUUAUAGGCAAAUACGUAUUGCCUAUUUAAAGGACCAGCUCUUUACAUGUAUUUUACUUUCAAACAUUUACUUUAUCACAAAUAUUUAUUCUCAAAUACAGAUUUGUAUUUAUUCUCAAAUAUUUAAUUUUUGUUAAACACAAAACCUACCAGUUUUUCUUCCGUAGAAAUAUUAAUAUAACACUUUUUCAAUUUUAGUUAUAAAUAUUUAUGUAUUUAACAUAAAUUAAAUGAUUCAGGAUAAAAUAUCCAUAAAGAGCCAAUACUUUACUCAUGUAAUGGAUGAAAGUCAUAAAAAAUUAAUAGUUUAUAAGGCCAUUUAUUUUUUAAAAAAUAUUUAAUUUAUAUUAAAUAGAUAACCUACUGAUUUUUUUUUGCAAGAAUAUUACUUUAACACUUUUUAAUUUUUAAUUACAAAUGUUAAUAUAUUUAUCAUAAAUUAAAUAUUUGAAAACAAAAUAUCUGUAAAGAGCCGAUACUUUAAAUAGGAUAUGCGUAUUUGCCUAUAAACUACACUAUUUAAAAUAAGGAGUAUAGUUUAUUGAUUUAAGUUAAGGAGUGUAGUUUAUUGAUUUAAGUAAGGAGUGUAGUUUAUAGGCAAACACGCAUAACUUAUUUAAAAUACCGGCUCUUUACAGGUAUUUUAUUUUUAAAUAUUUAAUUUAUAAUAAAUAUAUCAAUAUUUGUAAUUAAAAAUUAAAAGGUGUUACAAUAAUAUUCUUGUAAAAAGAAAAUCGAUAGGUUAUCUAUUUAAUAUAAAUUAAAAUUAAAAAAAAGAAAUGGCCUAUAAAAUGUUAAUUUUUUAUGGCUUUCAUCUAUUACAUGAGUAAAGUAUUAGCUCUUUAUGAGUAUUUUAUUCUGAAUCAUUUAAUUUAUGUUAAAUACAUAAAUAUUUAUAAUUGAAAUUGAAAAAAUGUUAUAUUAAUAUUUCUACGGAAGAAAAACUAGUAGGUUUUGUAUUUAACAAAAAUUAAAUAUUUGAGAGUAAAUACAAAUCUGUAUUUGAGAAUAAAUAUUUAUGAUAAAGUAAAUGUUUGAAAAUAAAAUUCAUGUAAAGAGCUGGUACUUUAAAUAGGCAAUACGUAUUUGCCUAUAAACUACGCUCGUUAAAAUUUAUUAAUUGUUAAUUAAUUUGUAAUACUUUGCCAUUCAUUGGACAUGUGGCACAAAGGACAAAUCAGGUACAAAAUUCUAAUUUCACUCUCUAAAAUAAUAUUUUAAUCAUUUAGACUGAAUUUGUAAAGGAUUAGUAACCUCAGGGGAGGUCAGUGUAAUUGUUCAAACCACAGGGGAGGUAAGUAUAAAUGUCAGAAACCUCAGGGGAGCCUCAGGGGAGGUUUCUGAAAUUAUCCCCAAAUUUUAUAAGAAAUGGCUUGUUGGAACUUGGAACUCUCCUUCCCAAAGUUGGCUUUAUGUCCACUCUCAAGUACAAUUCCUACCCACAUCAAAAAAGGAAAAGUACAUGAUGGACUGGUCAAUCCUAUAAUCAUCUGUUCAGUGCUUUGUAGUUGUGGUCCUUAAAUCUGAAAGGCUUUGCAGAUUGGAAUAUAACAGGUUAGCAAGGAGACCCUUCCAGCAGGCAUUUUAGAAUGCCCCCAUAGAACUUGGGGUGUCUUUGAAUAAGGAUUUUUUUUUCUUUCUUUUAAUCCCUUAAAAGUAAUACUGCUUAUUAUGAAAAUUUUCUUUCUUUCUCACCAUAGAUCGGAAGUUUGAAACCCUACCCUUGCAGAGGGAGGAUGUGUAGUACGACACUCUUCUGAUCAAGACGAUCUCUUUCUUCUAACCCCUCAUACAACUUCCUUCCUAUUAGAUUAGAAUAAAAUAGAUUAUACAUGUUACGGUAUAAAAGAAAAGAUAUACAUACAGUUCGAGAUCAUCAUCCAAUAAUUGUGGAUCGGUACAUGUAGGAUAUUGAUCAAUUUGUUAUAGCUUGAUAUCAUCAUUCAAUAAUUGUGGAUCGGUGCACAUAGGCUACUGAUCAAUUUAUUGUAAAUGUUAAUGAUUACCUCCUUAAUAAUAAUGAAGUCUUUUUUUUUUUUGGUCAACCAAUAAUUUCUAGACUACUCCACUUAUGAAGAUUGAAGUAUCGUUAGAUCAGACGGAUUUACUACACAUUUAUUUGAAUUUGAAGAAAUCAUAUAUUACUGAAAAAUAAUGAGACCCCGCAAAGAGAAUUAAAGGGACCGUUAGUUAACAAUAACGAAGUAUCAUUCUUGUUUUUAUCGACAAAAAAGUUCAUUUCUCGAUCAAUUAAUAAGUGACUCUGGACCGAAACUUUAAAGGCACAGAAAGGUUCAUUUGGUCGAUCAAUUAAGUGAAUGUGGACCGAAACUUUAAAGGCAAGUUGGACGUGUCAUGUAUUGCUUCCAGAAUCAAUAGAUGAGGUUCUGCAGUUGAUGCCGAAUCACUGUUGGUCGGAAUGACCAAAUACCUGGCGGAUUUCGAGCAACCCGUGGAAUCUAAAGAAACUAUUGGUCAGUUUUCCGAAACAACAUGUAUGAUAAGAUAAAGCCCACUAGAUGAUUUGGAGUAUCAAAGCACUACGGACGACUUUUGGUUCGGUAACUCGUUGAAAAGUAGUGCACCAAUGAAGUUUUUAACAAAAAUAUUUAUUAAAUAUUUAUUGGAUAAUGUGUAAUUUAAAAUUUUUUUAAAUAUAUUUCUGUUUGGAUUAUUUAGUUUUUUAAAAACUAUAAAAAUUUUUAAAAAGUACUCUAAAAAGUAGUGUAAUUUUUUUUUAUGUUUAAAAAAUAUCCCAAAAUAUAUUUUAAAAACUCUAUUACUCUUAAAUAUCCCAAAAUAUACUUUAAAAACUCUGCUACAGUAAAAAUUUUUUUUAAAAACACCCCAAAAAAAUAAUUAAUCCAAACGGACCGAUUAUAGGAUAAAAUGAUUAAAUCUAAUAUUUUAUUUUAAAAAUUCAAAAGCUAUUAUAAAAACACUAAAUUUGAGCUUGUGUUAAAAGUGCUUUUAGUUUUAGCACCAAAACUUCAACUUCUAAUUUUAUGGAGCGACGUUCACCAAAGGUAUCAAAAGUACUUUUAGCAUUAAAAAGUACUCUUUUAUAAUAAAAAAAAACACCACAAUCUCAUAUGAGACCUAAAUUUGAAAUUGAUCAGUUUAUUUUACCCUUCCUUUUCAGUGUUUCUUCCCUCGGCAGGAAAAAGAAAAAGAAUAAUAAUGCAAAACCUUCAUGCCCUCUUGUAGGAUUGUAAACGUGGUACCCCAGAGUGGAAGUAAGUUUUUGUCCAGUUCUUUUCCGUCCGACAACGUGACAAUGCGAGACUAUUUUUUGUCAUUCUUAGCCGUAGGGCCGUCAAUCUUGAAUCUUUGUUGGACAGUUCACAGCCUCGCGCCUUUUUUCUUCACAAGCUAUAUAGCUCCUUGCAAGCUAAUUGUACGUGUUUUUUGUUUUUUUAACCCAAUCCGCAACUGAAAAAUCUUUGAAACUUUUGCAAUUUGCAGUCUCAAUCAACUUUUUCCCCCGACAAUGGAUAUGCUUCUCUCGUCAAAGGAUAUGUUUGUCCAACGUGUUUUGACGAGGUAGUUCUUCUUAUUUUCUAGCUAGGUAACAAAAAAUCCAGGAAGAAAAGAGGCUAACCAAUUCCAAUAUCAAUGCAAGUCACCUAACCUACCCUAACGGCAGCUAAUAGUGGUUCAUAUGAAUUAGUAAUAGGAGCGAAUUAGUAAUAGUGGUUCAUAUUAACGAAUUAGUAAUAGUGGUUCAUAUUAAUAGUGGUUCAUAUGAAUUAGUAAUAGGAGCGAAUUAGUAAUAGUGCUUUUAAAUAUAUUAAUUAGAGACAUAGUUUAAUAAUUGCUUAUUGUAUUGGAUAAUGUGUAAUUUGAAAAUUUUUAAAAGUGUUUACCUCUUUAUUUGGUUCAUAAUACAGGAUAAAAUGAUUAAAUUUGAUACUUUAUUUUUUAAAUCAUAAAAGUUAUUCUAAAAGCAUCAAAUUUGAGUUUUUGCUAAAAGUGCUUUUAACACUAAAAGCUCUGCUCAUAAAUUUAUGGGAUGAUAUUCACCAAACACUUUAAAAGUAUUUUUAGCACCUAAAAGUGCUUUUUUUUUUUUUUUUAUCAAAAGUACCGCAAUCCCAAACGAGGCCUAAGAUAUUAGCACUUUUGAAAAAAAAAUCUCCAAAACUUCUUAAACUUCAUCAAAUGCAAAAGAAAGGAAAGAGUGUCUGAGAUUUCUGGAGGAGUGCUAAUAUGAUUUCGCUAAACUUGAUAGGUAACUCCCCUCGUUUUUAUUUAACUGCAAUGAGUUAUUAAUUAGGAAAAGUUAAAUUGUGAAUCGACUACUAGAAUCUCAAAUCAAAUUAUAUUAAGGCCUAAUUUCAAGGAUUUUGAAGAGGAAGAACGAAGUCGUGUAAAGCUAAGUCAGAAGGGAAAAUCAAAGAUGGAGUUAAUAAGUUUUCUUUACAAAUAAAUCGGUUGAUUAAAUUUAGUUAAGUUGUCAUUAUAAUCAACUUAUUUACCCUUUUGUGUACUAAAAUUUUAUUUGACUUUUUUAAAAGCUUUUGUUUAGCUUUAUCUAGCUAGCAUUUCCUCCACAUUUCUUCAAAAACUUGGAGAAACAAUUACGUGGCCCCUUUAUUUUCCCCCUAGCCUCCCAUUUCACUUCUUUAUUCCUUCUCUUUCUUUCCAUCCGACAGGAAGGUCAAAAUUCCUCCAAAUUAAAAAAAGAAAAGUAGAAACGGCCCAAUGGGUUUAAAAAAAACUUUAGGCCCAAAGAAUUGUUCUAGCAGUAGCACAUAUUGGGUAUGGGAAAUAACACAAAAUCUCGUCUCAAAAACCUUUGAAUUUUACCCAUUCCAUCAACCUAGAGCCUAAUAUUUGCAAACAGGCUUAAGUCCAGCAUAUAUAAUGGGCCGUCCAUUUCCCAGUUCGGCAUUACCCAAUACAAAUUUCACUAUCCUUUUUCUUUUUCCAAUGAAAUUUCCCGAGCACGCCUGUAUUUUCCAACUGAAGCAAAAAUGGCGAGCAUCUUGCAAGUGCCAGUUACGUCGUCGUUUCCCUGCUUCUCGUCUUCAUCAUCGUCCCUAAAACGACGUAUCCUCAGCAGAACAGUCUCCGCAACCAGUAGUGCUAAAAUUCCAGUACCUCCAAUAAACCCUAAGGACCCUUUUCUAUCGAAGCUUGCUUCGGUUGCCGCCUCGUCGCCGGAAGUACUCCUCAAUCGGCCUCCGAACUCCGACACGCCGCCGUAUUUGGAUAUAUUCGACUCGCCGAAGCUCAUGGCCACCCCCGCCACGGUCCGAGCUAUUUUUCUUCAUCACUGGACUUUCUGUUUUUAAUUUUGCAAUGCAAUUGAAGAUAAAGUAUUGCUAAUUAUUAAGUAUAUUAUGAUUGUUUCCUAUACAUAUAUACAUAUAUAUAUCUAUAUAUAUAUAUAUGUGUGUGUGUGUGUGUGUGUCAGUUUUCCACAAGAUAACAGUUUUUCCAGAAAAUAUAUAUAUAUAUAUAUAUAUAUAUAUAUAUAUAUAUAUAUAUAUAUAUAUAUCUGGAAAAACUGUUACCUAUAUAUAUUUUUUAAAUUUUGAAGAGAAUUGGUGCAACGUUUUUCAGGUGGAGAGGUCUGUUUCAUAUAAUGAACACCGGCCGAGGCGGCCACCGCCAGACUUGCCAUCGUUGUUGCUGCAUGGUAGGAUAGUGUACAUUGGGAUGCCGGUAAAGAGCCCUAAAUCUUUAACUACUUUACUGCCAAUAUUUGAUAAAAUAUGGCUUCAGCGAUCAGCAAUGCAGUAAAGUUGUUGCUUUUGUCUGUUAAACGCUGGUGGGCUCCUGCCUGGUGGUUUAGUUAUCAUAUGUUGCUUAAAAAAAUACUCAAAAGUGAAGGAAAUGCUUAGGUUUGUGCUAAUGGAUUGGAAUUUGCUGCGACACUUUUUUGGUGAAUGUGACAUUCUUGAAAACCUUAAUAUGGUCAAAUAUAACAAAUUGGAGAGUUGGCGACUCAAUGUAGGCCUACACAGUGGUGAUUUAAAUGCAGUUUGGAUCUUUAUGGGAAGACAAUUUGUUUACCUGCGUUGUUUUGUUGAUAUCAAACAACAAGAUAAGGUGAUAGCAAAAAAUAAAUAAAUAAAUAAAAGCAUCAGUGUUACAAAGGCCAACACACAAAACUGUAUUGAAUAGAUAUUGCUACAAAUAUUCAUACUUCUUAGGUUGAAGAAGAUGAUGGCAGAAGUGAAGUUGUGUAUCAGCUACAAAAUUCAAAAGCUUUUGAAAGUGGUCAGGAGCAAACUUGAGUUUCUGAGGAUUUUGAUAAACAAGUGUAUGGGUUUUCAAUGUCAACUAUCCAUGAAUUUGAUUGCAUUCAUGGAAAAUUUUAAUCUAGCUGGCUAAAUUUGUAUAGGAUGGAUAACGUAUUGUGGUAGAAGGGGUUUUUUGGUUGUCGUGACCUUGGUAUCAGGGAACAGAAGGUGUGUGUGAUGUGCUGAUUUUGAUUUCCAAGUUGUGUUUUCUAGUGUUAGAAGAUCUCUCUUUUUAUAGCAUAUCAGUUCUGGAUCAAACUUUGACUUCCAAAGUUUUGUUGGUAAACUCGAUCUUUUGAAGCCAAUGCGGUAAAUUGUUUGAAGGUGGCUUGGCUUAUAGCUGGUACCUGGGAAGAUGUUUUUCUAGCUUCUUGAUUUCAUAAGCGAAGGGGCUGCCUUGAUUCAAGAAUGGGAUCGAGAGGGCAGCCUGCACCUUAUGCCUUUCUGGCACAUUUCAAUGGCAUUGGUAUGAUAAUUGUUUUAAAGGACAGGAUUAAACAGCAUAAAGUACCAGCCUUUUCAGAUUGCUUAACGUUAUCCGAUAUAAUUUUAGGCUAUAAUUUCCUGCUGUUGGGUAAAAUUUCUUACUGCCAAUAGGAAUUUCUGGCAACUUUUUCCAUGUCUUUUUGAGGAGAGAAGUGGAUAGACAUUUGCGUAAGAAUGCAGGAGGCAAAAUAGGUGUAUUUUCGAAGUAAAAUCAAGGAUAGGUUGCACCUCAUUUUCAAACAGACUAGUCUUUGAAAUUUACUUACAUAGGAGCACAUCUUGUGGUUAAUGCUUGGUAGAUCAUUUCAUUCUCGACAGUUAAGUAGUUCAUGAAUGAGAGGACAAUAGAUGCCAUCACAUGGAAAGGAAUUUAGUUGCUUUCCAGUUCCAUAAACUUCUUGUACUAUGCCAGUAUUGUAAUGGCAAGGGAAAUAGACUAUCAAAGGCAUUCAUACAUAUAUAGGAUGCUGUUUGUUGGUCAUCCACAAAAUUCAUAAAUUAAAAGCACAAGCUCACUUUCUGCUCUUUCUGAACAUAAAAACUAAUAGAUCGAUUGUCUGGGAUGCUACCUGUGGCCAUGUGGUACUUUCAUUCUUGUAAACUAACUCGUUUUGGUAAGUUUUUGGUAUUAUUGCCUUGCUGCAUGAAUUAUUCCCCAAAGACUUGUCUAGUGCUGAUUUGUUUUACCAGUUAUGUUGUAUGAUGUGAUAAUCAAACCUGUUUCUUUUACCAGUUGGUGCCAGCGGUCACUGAGCUUGUAGUUGCAGAAUUAAUGUAUUUACAGUGGAUGGAUCCAAAAGAGCCAAUUUUUCUGUACAUAAAUUCUACUGGAACUACUCGUGAUGAUGGUGAAACGGUGAGCCUUUGUGUUGCAGAUUAGUUCUCUUUGAGUACUUAGCUGUUGUUGCGGAACUUGCUGUUAGUUGGCUGUCUUGUAAUGUUAUUCAUACAUGCAUCUUAACCUCAAAUGCAGUUAGUUGUUUGUCAAGUUUGAUCUUGAGUGCAAAUUGGGCCUUCUGAAAAAGGUGAAAAGCUACAAGGAAAUUACAGAUGCAAUAUACUGAAAGAGAUGCCUAGAAAUUAAAAAAAAUAAAACACAUAGGAGUUUAGACAUGUUUAAAUAACCAGUUGUAGAUUGAGAUGAGAUUUGAAGACAAAGUGGACCAGUAAUGGACCGAGAACUUACAAUGCAAUUGAAGAAUUGACUACACAGAAAGCAAGAAUGCAAGUUAUGUUGCUGAAUGGAUAGUAAGAGAUAUACUUCUCGUUAAUAACCUGAAUAUGGUUUGUUACUAAUUGCCAUCCUGUGUGCGUCUGUCUUGUCCUUGGAAACUUUUUGGCACUUUCUAUUUAUUGCUAAAUGUAUGCCUUGGGUGCUGUCUGCGAACUUACUUUUAUACCAGUCAACACUGUAGGGACCAGUUUUCUCAAGGGUUAGUCUUUUUAUAUUAAUCUCUUUACUUACAUACUGAUUUUUGCGUACUUCUCUGAGUCUAGUAUACUAUUAAUUUUCAAUUAAGCUAUUUUUAUGAAACCUUCUGUGUCUUAGGUCGGCAUGGAAACGGAGGGUUUUGCAAUCUAUGAUGCAUUGAUGCAGUUGAAGAAUGAGGUGAGCUUCUCCUAUAGGUUAUAUUUUAUGUUAAUAAAGAUGUGACAUCUGGCAUUUUAUUGGAGCAUUUAGGCUAAUUUAAUGUCUAUCCUUCUUAGAAUUUAAAUUUUAUAGCUUGCAUAAAGUAGAUGAGAGUUAAAUUCAUUAGCCAAACCUUGCAUGUUGUUGACUUUUCAAUCUAUCUAGAUUGAAACAGUAAGCCUAGUCCAGUUUUUAAAAAGCAGUUUAGUUAUGUUGUCAGAUACGAAUUAGGUGAAAAAUCUUUUCCCUGUUCAAGCUUAAUGAGGCUAUGACUAGAUUAUGCCUAUUGUUGACUUCUGAUAUCUUUGUUUCGUCCUUGGUCAAGUUUUUUUCUGUGCAUGAAUGGAGAGGUAUCUGUAUUGGAUAACAAAUUGAGAUAUGGUGUCUCUAUCCAGUGCUGCUAAAAUACACGUUUGCUUAAUAUUUCUCCAAUUAUAAUACAAUGCGCAGCUUUGGAUUGAAUGAAGUCAUUCUGUGGAUUUUGAUUGAAUAACUAAACAUACUGAGUGAUCUACAUUGAGGCAAUUUCCUCAAAUGGUUACUGUUGCUACUGGAGAGUAGUAUUGAAUGCUUUGACAGUUUCUUGUUAUUUUCUAUCCUCUUAUUAUAAUGUGAAAUUCAGAUACAUACUGUGGCUGUUGGAGCUGCUAUAGGUCAGGCAUGUCUCUUGCUUGCUGCAGGAACCAAGGGGAAAAGGUUUAUGAUGCCGCAUGCAAAAGGUAUGCUGCGUUAAUCAAAUCUGGUUUCAUGUGCAAUAUUUCAUGUCCUCUGACUCGAUGCAUUUAGAAAUUUGACAUGAAUUUUGGUUUCUGCUCCAGCUAUGAUUCAGCAGCCUCGUGCGCCAUCAUCUGGGUUAAUGCCAGCCAGUGAUGUUUUUAUACGUGCAAAGGAGGUUAGUUCAAGCUUUUGGUGGCAUUUUUUGCUUUAAAUCCUGCUGAGAUAGAUUUUAUGGUGGAUACUCAUGUGAAGUAGCUUGAGGGUUCCUUGAAAUGAGUAUGAACAGAUGUACAGCUUGAAAAAUGAGGACUGUCCUCAUGCAUUAUCAUGGUUUAGAGUUUCACUUUGUCAUCUACCCGGUAAAAAGCUACUCAAUGCAAAUUUGUGCCUAAUCCUCGCAUCAUCUUCUUAUAGGAGCUUAUUUCAUCUUCUUCUCAAACAUGACAAGCUAAGCACUUGUUGUUUGGUGCUAUUAGAAUUCUGGCACACUAUUAACAUUUAGGGAAUGUUUGUCCUAACUUUAUUUUUAUUGCAGGUAAUAAUUAACAGAGACACCCUUGUUGAACUUUUAGCUAAGCAUACUGGAAAUGUGAGUAUCCAACAUCAGAUUUAUCUCUCUCCGGCUUUGAUUUAGUAGCAAGCAGUUCAUGCAGAUUAAUUGUUGAAAUCUUAUAUUAACAGUCAAUAGAGGCAGUUGCUGAUGUGAUGAGAAGGCCAUUUUACAUGGACUCAACCAGAGCUAAAGAAUUUGGCGUCAUUGACAAGGUCAUUUGUUGAUCUGAGUCACCCCUACGAUUUUAUAUUCUUGGGAUUCAGACUCAUUUGAUUUUUAUACAAUUUGAUAUGGGGAAAACCUUGAAUUACGCUAGUAUUAAUCAACAGCAACUUGUGGUUCAGAUACUCUGGCGUGGUCAGGAACAAAUUAUGGCAGAUGUUGCCGCUCCAGAGGACUGGGACAAGAAUGCUGGAAUUAAAGCCUUUGAUGCAAUUUAACAUUUUCUCCAGGUAAUUACAUGCAGUAUAAAUUUUUCUCUUAAAUACAGGAGUAUUGGAAUACUGAACUUGAUUAGAGGCUCUGGUGACUGGAGCUUGCAGCUCCUUUGAUUCAUGCGGGUGCUGCAACAUCCUUUGUUGACCAUAAAGUUGAAAACGUUCGUCUUAAUUCUGGCUUGAAUUUCAAAUGGACUUUAUCCAUCAUUGAUAUAGAUGAAUACAAAUCAUUUAGAGAAAGCAAAAACUUUCAAAUGAACUUUAAGAUGAUUUGACAGAGUUUAAUGCACAUUUAGGAUUGUGGUGGGUUAUCAAAAAGCACUUCGCUUAGUAGAGUGUUGAGUAGAAGUACUUAUUAAGUGCUCGAUUGUAUUGUUUCGGUGCAUAAGUGCUGCUUGUAUUUGGUUUGUAUCUAUCUCUUUAUUCAAUUAGGAGUUUAUGAUCAAAUGCCCAGAUUUUUUGUUUUCUUAAGCACAAAAGUUAUUCUAAAUAUACCCAUGUUGAACUUCUGCUGAAAGUGUUUUUCAGACCAAAAACUCUACUUCUAAAUUUAUGAAAUAACACUUACCAAGCACUUGAAGGCUUAGUUUGGGAGUUUCGGAUAGAGAAGAAAAGAAGGGAAAACUGAAGUUAUAAGAGAAGAGGAGAGAAGAGAAGAGAAGGGAUUAUUAUGUUGUUUGGGAGUUUUGAGAAUUAAUGGAAUGAUUAUGGAUAUGAAAGUCAUUAAAUAUUUGUUCAAGACUUUUUUAAGGAUAAAAUAGGCAUUUCAAAAAAAUUUGAGAAGCAUCCUCAAAGUUUCUCUCAUUUUCCUUCAAAUUUGGGAGGAAAAGUUUUGCCUACUGUUCAUCUUUCUGAAUCCUCCCAUUUCCUUUCUUUUCUUUCUUACUAAAAACUAACAAACAAAGGAAAACUAUAAAUUUUCUCUUCUUUCCCUUUCUUUUCUGUCCAAAUCCUCAACUGCUAAAUGAAGCGUAAAAGUGCUUCUACCGCCCAAAAGCAGUUUAAGCAAAAGCACUGCAAUCCCAGCAAGCUCUGAAUGCUGCAGUCAUUUUAUGGGAAAUUACAACGCCCUUGGGCAGAAUUUUAUGGUCCUUUAAUCUUUCCCUUCUAUCCCUUAGUGAUAAUAGUGGUUCACAUUUUAAAUGCUUAAUACAAUUUUAGGGUCCAAAAUACUUAUUUCACUGUCCAACGGUGAAAUUAGUUAUAGAUCCUAUAUCUUUGAGCUGUCUAUUUAACUGCGCUACCCCACUAGUCAUCUUUUUACAUUAGUAUUCUGAUGUCAAGCAAAUUCAAGAUGUUUUAUCUUCAACGUAGAGAGUUAAUGUGGGAGUUUUUGAAGUGUACAUUGUUAAGGAAUCUAAAUUCACAAGUUCCAUGUAUCCAGUGCCCGCACCACCAACCCACCCCCCCACCCCCUGUAAAAAAAAAAAUCUCUUCCAAAACCAAAAAAAUCAUACAUGCUGCACAUUGUGCAUGGCAGUGUUGAUCCUCUGUAUAGGUCAAAUGAAUUAUGAUUGCUUUUGUUUAGGAUUGGUGAUUUGAGAGAACCUGUUGUCUGGCUGAAAGCACAUCUAUUCCACUAGCGAGAUGAAAAGCUUGUGUCACCUGAAGGAUUUAAAUCGGACGAAGGAACUGUCUGCUGAAAGCAAGGAUUCAAAGCGAAUGCGUUAGCUGGUUCAAGUUUGUUCGCGUACACAAAUUUCAAGUAUUAGUGGAUAGUGGAUCAUGGGUAAAUUUAACAGUAUCAUACGUUUCUGAGGCUUACAGUAAUGUUUUUAGCCUAUGGAUAACAGUAUAGACUUCCCAAGCUCUACAGGCUUUUGGCUGAAAUGUACCGCUGAUUUUUCUUAUCAACUUUUGUGUAUCAUAAAAUGUCAUAAUCUCACAUUAGGUUGCUGCUUUAUCUAGUGUAAUUCAUUAUUGAUACUUGUACACAAGCUUGCCUUGAACUUUACCCUUUGUUGGCUGCAAAAGUAUGAAUUUGUGCAGAGGAAUUGCAAUUCUUUUGUCCAAAAUCCUCAGUUGUUCAAGCAACAAACACUUUGUCCUCAGACAGAAUGGCCCCUAUUCAUGGCUUCCGAUUUCAUUUAUGAUGGAAGGAAAUGUGAUUCUACUUUUCACCUUCAAAUUCUGGGUACUCUAUUGCACAUUGCUGGGGGAACCGCAUUUUGAAAUAGCAGAAAUUAAAAUUAGAGCCUUCAAGUGCAUAAGCCAGAAGGGAUUGGAUGAUUAGAUUAACAGCACCAAGUAUCUAGUUUCUAUUUAUAUUUCUUCAUUAAAACUUUGGAUUAAUCUUCAAUACAUAGACAGUAUAUGCACUUUCAUUAUUAGAUACAUAAUACAUAAUUCAAAUUUUACAUAUGUAUUGUAUGUUAUAGUAUAUACAUUGUCGAUUUAUUCAAAAGUUCAACUCUUAUUAUUAAAAGCAAAUAAUUAGCCGAUGACUUAAAUUGAUUUAGGGAAAACAAAGUGAAAAUCUAGAACAGUGAAAUGAGAACCUGCUCAUGUAAUCUUUGUACUGAUUUUUAAGCAAUGAUCUAUUGAUCGAGAUAUAGACUGUUGAAUAAAAACAAUUUCUGACCGGAUUUUUUUUUUGAUUCAUCUGACCGGAUUUAUUUAUUGACUAUAAAAACAAAACUACUGGGAUAAAUUGAAUAUAGAUUUUUUGAAUAUCAAAUCCCAUCAUGAGAAGACCUUGAUGAAGCAUUAAUGAUCAUAUCCGUUUUCCCGAGUCAAAAUAUGAAUAGCGCUACAAAUUUCGGCCACCAUUACCACCACCGUCACGCCGCCUUCAUCAUAGGAGGAGCGAGCUGUGCCGCGGCCGCGUUGCGUUGAACGGUUGAAGAAUGACACGGACACGGCUAACAGCUUCCCGUCACUCUUAUCAUCUUUGAUGAUGGGCAAGCCGCCAUUUCUGUCGAUUAAAUUCGCCGUGGUUCUCUCCUUUUCUCUGGCCGCCACCGCCUCGUCCACGUCACUCUUCUUCCCCAGACCCAAGCCCCAAAAGCAUUCUACCGUCUCUAUACCCAAAGCCAACACCAAAGACUUGCUGGCUCUUCUGGGCUCUCCCCAACAGGCUGCUUCUGUCAAUGCCGAAGAAGCUCAGAAACUGAAAUCUUGUUUCAAGUUCCUAGUACCGUUUUCGCCUCCCGCUAGACCCGGCAUUAACGACCCUUUUCGACGUUCGCUCAAUUUUCGUAAAUCUUUGAGCAGUGAUCAUAGCGGAAGAGGAGUGAGAGACUGGGAACGCGAUAAUGAGCUAAUAUGGUGGCCGCCAGCCCCGGUUAUGGAGCUUGCUCGUCUUGCUGUUGACUCUGGUGGCGAUCCCGGUGCUAUUCAUAGAGCUCUUGAUCCUACUCCUAUCAAGGUGAAGUUUUUAACCUCCGAUUUCUUUUCUGAAGGUUUUUUCCCUCUUUUAUUUGUCUGAAAUGCGUAUUAUCACCCAUGUAAAUUAGCAAUAUGUUUUCAGAGUCUAGUUUUUAGCUAAAUAAAGCUGCUUUCAAUUAGUAAUAAUGGAAGAGCAUUAGAAUUAGUAAAAUUGUUGAAAACAGAGUAUCUUUCAUGGUUGUUUGCUACGACAUUGAUAUUUUAUUAAUUUGAAAUUACAAAUGAUAUUGUUAGUUAUAUUCUGUAGUGCCAGAAUAGGGAAAGCCAUUUCUUAAAAAUUCUUUUAAAGAGGAUUUCUUGGAAAUUGAUUUCUUCUUUCUGCGUUCUCUCUUCCUUUUCUUCUCAAAGUAUUAUCGGUUCUCUUUCCACUCCUCACUCUCCUUCUCCAUCAAUUUACAAUACGCGUGCAACUUUCAAGUGAUUAUCUCCGUAAUAUAUCCCUCUGCCUUUGAAUUGUUGUAACAUCCGAAUAUGGUGCCGAACAAAUUAUUGUUUGGACCAGUUGAUGAGGAGACCUGGGUAUGUUACAAAAGCAACAAUUUUUAUGUACAUUUGGGGGAAGUUCUCUCCUGGAAGCUUCGGAUGCCACUUGGACGCAACUCCUGCACCCAAAUGCAGGGGUUCAUGUAUUUUACAUUGCCUCCUUGCAUUUUAGUGCAGUUAUUGUCCAUCCAGGCUGAAGUCACAUUGCGGAAUUUGCUGCAUGGAUAUACAAGAACAAAAAUGUUGCCUGAGUUACACCAUAAACACAUUAUUCCAAUGCCAAUGCAUUCAAACCAUCAAUUGGCCCCCCUAAUUUGUGGUUGGGGCUUGGAUUUGGGAACAUAGUGGUAGGUUCCCAGAUGCCUUGGAUGCAAUUGCAUCCCUAGUUCUUGAACUAGCCAAUCAAAGUUAAAAUUAUGUGGUUUUCUACAGAGUUAAGUUCUUCGAGGAUCAGUUUUUGGUAAGAGACCAAACAAGAAAAAUCCAUUGAAUUUGGUUUCAAAAUUACGUCCUGUCUCAGCUCUGUAAUGUGUCCCUUAUUGGGUCUGAAUGUAAGCAUUAUUGUUUGGCUUUGAGCAUAAUUGGUGGAUGCAAUGUCUUACUUAUUCCAACUUACAGGUACCAGAUGUUGAAGGAUCAAAAGAAGAUAAAUGUGAGCUCACAAGAACUCCUUAUGGUUGGCGCUUUAUAAAUGAGGUAAUAAUUUGUUUAUUAGGGGAUGGGAAAGUAUUUCGCAACACAUUGCCAUAACUUCAAUUUGUUUUGCAUUAAAAGCCCAAGUAAUGGUUAGGUUACCAUUUGCAAUUUGGGAGGUUAAUUGUUCAAUAAACAGAGAUAGGAAUUUCUCUGCUCAAAGAGGCAAGGCUUGGCAGGCCCUGCAUCUUAGAGAAACAGAAUGGGAAAGUAUUGUUAUCUUGAGUUUGUAUUGUCAUGUUUUUGUCUUGUUCUCUUGAUUGAUUUUUUUUGUUUAAUUUCCAUUAUGUAGGAGUUGAAUUCAUACCUAAAAUUUUUAUUUGAAAUGAUUGUUGCUCGGGGUCCGAACGUAGGACUGAAUGUCUCAUUAAACCGCUAUGACUUCUUUCACGGCCACCUUUUUAUUGCUGUGGACUCUGGAAGACUUGGGAUUUUGUAAGUUAACAAACAUCUACUUUUGAGUCAACUUCAGCCAGGCCAUUUACAACUAAAAUUGUUUUGACAAUUUCUUACAAUGGAAAGAAACAUUAUGUGAAAAAGUUUUCAUUGUGAUACAAGAUGAAAUUUCUACUGAUGGUAAGCUAAAUGGUUUGUAGACUCGUUUUCUUAUCUCAGAGAAAGGUCAAACGGUGAUCCACUGAGAAUUUUCUUACUGUUUAUAAAAUGAUGAGUGAUAAUCAUGUACAAUAAUUAGAUGAAUUCUUUAGGUUGUUUCUUAACACAACACUAGUUCAUUGUCUAUUUUGGAAAGUAAAUCUCAUAAAGUCACAAGGUGCUUAUGAUAUUGGUGCUCAUCAUUUUUAAAGGUUCCAUGCCAAAGAAUACCCUGCCUACGAGAAAGAGGUGUUUCCUUACAACAUGGGUUAUUGCCAGAUUGGUAAGUUGAUCUGGAGUAAUGUCAUACAUACUUAGAAAAUGCAUUUUCUUUGUUUUCUGUUAUUUCCAGUUCUGUGAGAUUAUUUUUCUUUCUUGAUAGAUUUGAUUUGAAAGAAUAUUCUGCAUAAUUUUAGUUAGUUAUCUUGUAACAAUCUCCAAUUUUCUUGGAUGGAAUGCUUAAUAAGUGCUAAUAUGGAAUGUGGACCAUGACAAACAAUAUGGUAAACAGUUUUGGAAUCCAAAAAGCAUCUAAUGGUUCUACCAGGUCCCUUUCUAGGUGGACAGUUCUGCCCCCGUCUGAAUAUGAAACUUUUUUCCCAAUCAGACUUGGAUAUGCAAUUUGGAACCCAAGGGCUUAGUUGGUUUCCUCCAUGAGUAACUGAAUUAUGAAAAAAUGAAUUGCGAAAGCAAAAUAAUUGUCUGUUAUAUCACCUUUCAUUGUUUGCGACUACUUACUAAAUCGACAUUGCAAAAUUGCAAUUGCUUGUAUCAAAUUGAACUCAUGGCUCAAAGAAAUUGUGAAAGUACCAUCUUCUGCAGUUUUUUUCUACAAUAAUUGUCUUUGGUUAUUAUUGUCAGGUUCUAAUGUUACUUAUGACGAUUCAAUGAAUUUGCGUAACAUCCUGUGGCUAGCCCCUUUGCCAAGUAAUUCCACAAAAACGUGGUUGGCGCCUGGUAUUUCUUCUCAUUUUACCUUAGUGGACAAAGUUUAACGUUGUAUCAACAGUUUCUGCUUCAAGUUCAAAAGUUAUAUGCUGGUAUGCUUGUCCUGUUUUUGCUGCUUCAAUUAUUAGAUCUUCCAGCUGUGGGGUGCUUAUGAUUUUGCAUUCCCUAAAACUGGUUUCCAUGUAUGUGACUGGAUGAGACAUAUAAUGUAGUGUAUGUUUGAUUGCAUUUCGAAAUAUUUGACUUUCAUAGACUGGUUUUGUCAACUUUGAAAGAAGUUAGCAUAUGAAGCCUAGAGAAAGCUACAUAUGGGUUAAGUUUUCAAAGCUGUUAUGUAAGCUGUAAGAUUCAAACCACCUCAAGUUGAAAGGAAAACUACCGUCUGCUUUCUUUCAUUUCUUCCCUUCUUUUCUAUCACUAAAUUUGGUGGAGCUUUCAACAAAUGCACUUUGAUAGUCGAGUGACCAAUGACUGCAAACGAAAUCUUACAUCAAAGAGUGACAUUGUCAUCUCAACAUUCAUAAGAGAGAAAACUCGUUUCCAAGGUGGACAUAUAAGGACCACCAUAAAACAAAAAGAAUGGAGACAAUAAUUGCUGGGCUUAUUACAUACAACUGGCUUAUAUUGCUCUUUGACUGGAGCAUGGCCUUCACCCCUACUGCUUUCCCUAACUAGUGAGAUAUUUCUCUGAAUUUGGUUUUCUUAUUUUCGAGUACCAGGAACAAAAUCUCAUCAAAAUGUAUAUGGCAUUAUAUAGCAAAGUCACCAGUUUUCUUAUUUUUCUUUUCAAGUACCAGGAACAAAAUCUUAUAAAAAAGGACAUGGCAUUGUAUAGCAAAGUCGCUAGUUUAUGUGUUGGACAUUUUCUUGAAUCCUUACAUAAAAUAGUUUUUCGAGUUCCGAUGGACGAUCAUUGACUAUUACAUUUUAUCCGAAAGUUUUACUAAUAUUUUGCUUGGUUGCUAUUCCCAGGAGUCCUUGUGGUAUUAGAUGCCCAUCCAGAAGGAAUCAUUUAUCAGGACCUCAUUCCUGAAUAUGUUAAGUUUGCAAGGACUCUAUAUGAAGGUUCUAACUCCUUUUUCUAGACUUAUUAAACCUCAUUGUUUAGAAGAGUUAAUAAGAAGUCUAAUGUGAUUAAUAUUUGUCUGUCAGAGGAUUUUGGGGAAGUUGUAGUUGAUGUUAACUACCUAAAUGUGGGAGCUGAAGUGCCAAAAUAUCAACUCUUCAUGUGCUGACACCUUCUGAAGGUAGAAAGCUCCUUUCCUUGGUGUCAUGUCAAAUUUGUUGGCAGAGAACUGAUGAAUCGUUGUGUGCAUUUGUAAAUGUGACUGAUCUUCAUGCUAUAUCUCCAUCUUCCACCGCAGUAUUAAAUUCUGCAUACCAAAGAAAAUGAUCAAGCUUCCUGUUUGCAAGUUCAAUUGCUUCAGAAUGUGAUGGACUAGCAACCUCCCACCCCAUUUCACUGGAUGACUAUCUACGCAUAUCUUUCUGUUGUUUCUGAUAAUGAAACAAAAUUAUACGCCUUCCAUGCGUCCAGAUCAUGGCUGGUGAAUGUGUUACUGUCCUUCAAAGUCUCUGUCAUUUAUGAUGAGGGUGCAGCAAGCGUUUCUUGCCUCUUCUUGUUAAAAUGAGAACAAAUCCAAAUCCAUUGAUGAUUAGUUCUCUCUCAUUGGACAUUGCAUGAAAGAAUAGGCGUACUUGAAUCCAAUUGUUCAUGUCUGAUGUCUCCAUAACAGUUCCACUUUUUCUGGAUGGUGUAUUUUGAACGUCUGUAGUGUGAAUUGUACAAUUUAAAGUGCAAAGUUUUUCUCUUCUCCCUCCCUUGAAACUUCAGUAUGAUGCAUCUCUUUACCUAGAGUGCAUUUCUAAUCCAGAGAAUUGGUUACCGGUUUAAGCAAUGCAAGUAUAAUACAUUAAUACAGUAUCCUUGUCUUUGUUUUCUGCGUGAAGUAUGAAGUAAGAUAAUCCCAAUAUGCCAUGCAUGAAAAGCAAUCCAACAAUUAUCUGAACCCUUAAUCAGUUGCAUUAAAUUUGGUUGGAUUGAAACGCGUUAAGUGUGUUAAGAGUCCCAGAUUUAUGCCAACAAGUUCAACAGAAAAGAUCAAAGGAAGAGAUGUUUUUGGCUGUUGAGCGGGUAUGUUGAAUGCAUGAAAUGAUGACAGUGACUUCAACUGUGUACUGUGAUUUGAGCGUUUAAAUCAUGCAUGGCGCGUAUCAAAUUACCCAGAAUCAUUCGGUUAAUUACUCUGAUUACUGUUGAAAAAAGAAUAAAUCGGGACAAUAUUGUUCUGACAUCGGACAGGUAUCAAACUAUGAUGGUCGCCUGUUGGGCUGAUUAAACCUUGCAACAAAGAAAUAUCUACUUGUAUAUAAGAAAGAAAGAAGGUUUAAUGCUUUUCUUUACUUUUGCCAAGUGGCUUCUCAAUUAUUUGACAAGUAAGGCCAAAUAUUUCUUGCAAAGUAUUGAAGCCUUCUCUUAAUAUUUCUUUCAAAUUGAUCGAAGCCUUCUCUUUAUUUUGGCAUUAGUGCUUUUCUUUUCUUUAGCCAUGUGGAAAAGUCAAAUAUUCCUUCCAAAUUGUACAAAACCUGUCCUUUCUUUUGGCAUUGAACUCUUUCUUUCUCAAAUUGCCGAUGAAGCCUUUUCUUCCUUUCUCUCUACCAGACAGCUAUUUUGACCAGACGGCUAUUCUGAUCAAAAAUUCGGCGCACCUAUUCUAAGCAAAUCCAAUUCCAAACGGCUAUUCUACCAAAACCCAAUCGGAAACGUUGGGAUUUUUAUGUGAUUUGGGAGAUGGGUUUUGUGAGUUCCUUCUUUCAGAAAUUGCCGUUGAAGCCAGUAGGUCAACUGCCACUCCAGACACCUGAUUUCAUGUUGCAGAAAUUGCUACUCACUCACAUGGUGUUUGUACUUCAAAGGAGGAAAAUUAGGAGCAGGUGAACUGUUUUGCCUACACUUGCCGUAGUUUCCUCUUUCUCUAAUAUCAAAUUAACCCAUUUCAUGUUGCAAGAAUUGAUUUCAUGUUAACCCAUUUCUCUUUCUAUUGAUUUCAUGUUGCAAGAAUUGUGGGGCAGUCACAUGAUAAUUAUACUUCAAAUGAGGGAAAUUGGGAACUUUUUGUUAGAUUAGGUAUGACAUUCUAUUCUCAUUAGUUUUCCAUUCAGCCUUACGAUUAUGAUGAGAAAUAUCUUUUCAGAUGUGAUUUUUCCCUUGUUCCAGUUAUGAUAAAAAAAAAUAGGUUUCCUAUUCAUUUAGCCUGUAAAUUUUCCAGUGAAUUAUGAAAUCAAAAAAUAAAAUAGAGGUAUUUAUCAGUGCAUGGUGCUGGCUCCUCUGUCUUAUGAACUGCAAGAAGAAGUGUCUUGAUCUUUACACCUUCUUUGGAGUCUCUUUGGUGAGAAAAAGUCUUUCCCUUUUUUUUGUGAAAUUUUUCCCGUAUGAGUAAUACACGAAUUAAUAAAUUCUAAUAUACACAUAUGCUUCAAUUGAUAGGUUCUUUCUGCUAUGAUUCAUAUCAUCAGUCAAGGAAUCCUUUAAUUUGAAGGUCAGCUUGUUGUCUUUCUUGAAUCUAUGAGCAGUUUUUCUUCAUUUAUUUGACUAUAUUUUCAAAAGUGAAAUUUUAGUGUUCCCUUUUCUUUGUAGUAGUUUUUCUUCAGUUUCUGCUUCAUUUAUUUUAAGUUUGCUGGUGCUAUUUGUUUUGUGUGAUCCUUUAUGAAACAAAUAGUUUUUAUUUAAGUAGGUAAUUGUGUUAAUAUUUUCUCAAUCCAAUUGUGUUGCUGCAAUCCAUUCACCUGAAAAAACAAGUAAAAAUGAAGAUAUGAACCCAGCUCCCAGUUCAAUAAUCCUUAUUUUGAAAUUUGGUGAAUUCUUGAAUAUAUAUUAUUAGUGGCAUACCUACAAAAAAGAAAGAUCCAUUUGCUAAUAUGAGUAUGGCCAACUGAACUGUCCUAUUGGUUUGCUUAUGAUCAAUGUUCUAUCAAACAGCCAAAUUGCUAUAUAUACUAGAAAAAAGAUUAUAACAAUGGACAACAAUAACAUAUUUUGUGAGCCAAAAUCAUUAGCACAAUAUAUUUUGUGAGACAAACUUUUGCUUGUGCUGAUUUUGGGGCUGUGACUGCUAUGCUAAAGUUAUUAUUACAUGACAAGUUUAUUUUUAACUAAUUUCAAUCUCCUGCUAUUGGUGCUUUUGUCUUUAAUUACAAUAUACAUAUCUAAAAUAUGUGACCUGUUGUUGUUCUAAAUAAGGAAUAAGAGUGAUUAUCUAUUUUUUAGAUAACUUUAAGGCCAAUGCAGAGAGGUUGUUAUUGGCAAAGCUUGUUUAGUCAUCUAAGUGAUUAUUGGUUAAACAACUUAAGACUUUGUACCUCUUGUUUCUAAUUGAUUAUCUAGUGUGUGCCUUGUUUGCUAUUUCAUUUAGUCUAGACUUGUCUAGGGCAAUGAAACACUUGAUGGUUACCUCUUAAGGAUAUUGUAUACAGAGCAUCCUUCGGCUGUUAUUCAUUAUAGCCCUUUUAGGCAAAACUCGUUCACUCCUUUAUAUGACUAUCAGUUAAGCAACUUAGGUUAUUGUGCCUGUUUUAUCCCAAGUUGCAUGUAAUAUGCUUGUUGUUUUGUCUAAUCUAGACACAACCUUAGGAGAAUGAAAAACCUGAUGAUUACUUUUUAAAAACGGAGAUUUGAAUGGUGGUACUUGUUGUAGUCUAGCCAAAAGCUGGGCUCCAAAGGCAUCAAAUGUAAUAAACAUUUCUAAAGGAAAAUAAAGGUUAUUAACUUGGUAUUCGGAUCAGUUGUGGUUUUAGGUGUCCGCUAAUAUCCUAUUAAAAUUACUUUGUUUUGUUUAUAGUGCAUCAUUGCUCUUGCUGUGUUUGCCUCUAAAGUUCGAAUUAUGUAUGCACCUAUUUUGUUGCUUUUCUUUGCCCUUUUUUGUUCAUGUUCUUUCCCUGAUAUUUCUUUUUCCUUGUGUUUUGUUACUUGGAUAAUCUACACUUCAUCUUAGACGUAGAGCUUUGUACGCACAGAGCAAAUAAAUCUUUUUGGUAAAUAUAGGAGAAAAUUUGAGUAUCACAACAAUUAAAAUUUGCUAUGAAAAGAAAUUCCGUUUAUAAAGUUAGUCCUGUAUUCAUCAUGAUUUGGACAAAGAUUUUGAACCAAUACUAUGUGUCCGAAAAAAAAAGACAUAAUAAGUACACUACAUUGAUGUUAGCUGCAUACUUGAUUGGUAAUUUAUAAUUUUAAGAAUGCUAUUUCACAAACAUUACUGUUAAUCUUAUCUUAUAUGAAAAUAUAUGACAACAGAUUAUAUGGGGCCUAGGUUGUGCUUAGCACAGCCGAUAACCUCCUAGUCUUACAUAUAUAGAAAGACUUGAGAUUUUUACUCACAGGUUUAGCCACGUAGCGGAAUGAAGGGGGGAGAAAAAUUUUCUCCCGUUUAUGCCCUGAGAAUAUUGUUUAGUUCUCCGAAUAGUGUAUCACUGGUGAGGUCAUUUUUGUCUUGUUACAUAAAAUUACUAUCUUGCCCAGAGAAAAAUAACUAGCCCCAAAAUAGUAACUAACUGUUGAGGGCUAUUUUUGACUUUUUAUUAAUAAUCUUUUGCUUUAUUUCUCAGUCUUUUCCCAUCUCUUGCCCUCUUUUUUUAGACCAAAGAAAGCGGUAGUUGGCAUUAGCUCUGUUGUUCUCCACUUUUUCUUUGUCUCCGUUAUGAAAGAUAAGAAAUCAAAAAGCCAAACAAAAUUAUGGAAAUGCACCGAUGUGGCUGGAAAGCAAAACACUCCCUUUGCAUUUUAUUUUACAACUUUAGCCUAUCAUCUUUUGUUUUCUUCUUCAUCUCUCUCUCUCUCUCUCUCUCUCUCUCUCUCUCUCUCUCUUUUUGUUUCCCGUUUCUUAAUUUUCCUUUCAGCUUUCUUUUCUCCCACAAAGAAUCAAUUAUGGCUGCCCAUCCAUAUCCCAACUGUGGGAUUGUUCCACAAAAGAUGAUAAUCCUCUUUUCCUUUUCAUUGUUUCCGUUUCUUGGACUAUUCUUCUCUUCGGUGGAAAAAGAGAAGUAGAGAAGCAGCUGAAUAGCUUUUAGAAACAGUGGCCAAGAAAUGGGUUGUCCGCCUGCUUCCUCCAACAAUUGGUCAACAAUUUCAGGAUUGGCUUAGCUAAAUUACGGCUGCUCAUCGGAUUUUUUCGUUAGUCCUUAUCUAUUCCUUUUUAUUCCCCAGUCAUUCUUUUCCUCUUGCUUUGUCUCUUUUUUUUUUUUCUGUUUUUCGUUCUUUACUUUCCCCCUCCUGUUGUUUACAGAUCACUCAGUCAAUAAUUUCAUGAUUUUCUUCUCUAAAUUAUGGCAAUCCAUCCAAGUUUUUUUACAUCUGUACUCUUUAUUAUUAUACCCAACCAUGAGAAUGUGGUUUGUCCUUUUGUAUUCAUUUUCAUUUCUUGCCCGGUUGAGAACUUACCCAGACUCAAAUAUAUAUAUAUAUAUAUCUCUGACAACUUAUCAAGUUUGCAUCUUUAUCUGCUCUAUUCAUAAUGGCUAAUACUAUUGCUAGAGAUAUAGGUUUGUCCUUCUGUUUUCCUGAUAUUGUUGACCAAUUGCCAAAUUAUCAAGAAUGAAGGAAAGCUUGUGCCUUUAUAUUAGAAACAGAAGUACUGGUCACAAAAAACUACACCCUUCUUCUACUUUGUUCUCUGCAACCUUUCGUGCUGAAAAUAACUACUACUUUUCUUUGUCUAAUUUAUUCCCCUGCCAGUAUUUAAGAGAUUGGAUAAUCUGUCUACUUUUUAUUUUAGUUACCAAAUUUCUUCAAGAAUCAAGAGGUUAAUUGCAGUUUGAAACAAUUGGUGCAGAAAAACUUCUGAUUUAGCUUCCACGGAUUUCUAGCAAGUAGUUGCUUCAAUUUCAGGUCACUCUCUUUAGUCCUUCAAUUUCUUGCUUUUUCUUUUCCUGUUAAGAAUAUGGUACAAGUAAUUACCAAUUAAGGGUUGUCACCAUUUAUUGAAUACAGAUAAUCAAGCUAAAACAAGUUAAAUUCUCAACCUAAAGUUUAAACUAAAGUUCCAACCUUAUGUAAAAGCAUAGAAAUCAGGUUUUGCCCCACAUUAAAGGUAUUAUGCAUAGAAAUCAGGUAGGCAAUAGAAGAAACAAAACUUAAAAUAGAUAAUCCUAAUAUUGAGUUUCUAGGAUUUGUUGUAGCUAGCUUAGAAGUGUAGAAUAUUAAUUCCUCAAAGCUAUUUGUAAAGGCAACGUUCUUGGUUCCACAGAACUAUCAAAUGUUAAAACCACAAUAUGUUGGCUGUUUUAUGCAUUCACAUAAUUUGAAUGUAGUGAGUGAUGCAUAAUCUCUUCUAUGAAUACUAUUACACCCAAUUAAAGAUUACAGAAUCUGUGACAGUUUCUCUAAAUCCGAGUAUCUAUAAAGCUGGAACAUUAAAAAAAUGAGGUUUUCUUGAUGAAAUAUGUUUGCUCACUAACUUUGAACCAUACACCCUCGUAUUUGCACUAAAAAAUGCACAAACCUAAUGAAGUCAGAUUGUUUGGUAAGAAACGAUACUAUGUUCUUUUGUAGCUUAAAUGACUGUAGUUUUUAGAUUGUAAGUUCAUUUGGUUUCACUUAUUAACUGAAUAUGGCUGAAAAUAAUUGCACCUUUGCAAUCUUUCCUACUAAAACUAAUUACUCCUUUCUUUUUGUUUUAUUUUUUCCUCUGUCAGUAUUAAUAUUAUUAGAUAGUUUGCAUAGUUUUGCGUUGACUGAUAGCAUUCUUCUACAUCCAAUUUACAUUUCCAACUCCGUUCACCAGUUCAGCAUAUUUGGGGUUGAUGGAUUCAUGCUAAGGAAUUGCUUUACUUCAAGGUCAUUUCUUCUGUUCCUUGACUGCAUAGAUUUAGUUAUCAUAUUAUGCAUGGUGCAUUGAUGGAGAACAAAACAGUACUCAGGCCUAAUAUUGCUUUCAUUUUCUUACGACUACUUUCAUUGAGAUGAAAAGAUAAAGGAAUGCAAGUAAAAGUUUUAGUUUAGUAGAUGAGUGGUUUAAUGAAUGCUACAAUACUCAGGUUUCACUAAAAGGGAGCCCACAUAUCUCUCACAAAAUAGUACAAUCUCAAGAGCUAUCAACAAAUUUCCCCCUUUCUCUCUUUAUGGGGACAACCAUUCUACUAAAAGCAAUUUGUGUUCUUUGUUCUCUGUUUUAUAGAUGGCUAGCUGCCAUGGAAGCAAUCAUUCUACUGAAAGUAAUUUUUACAUUUUCUUCUCUGUUGUACAACUGUUCCUUUUCUUUCAUGUAAAAAAUAACAUUAUAAGCAGAAGGUGAAUAUAUGUAAUCCCCAGAAACUGGUAUCUUCAUUGUAAAGGUGUAUGAAUUUUGUGCUUUUUAAAUGGAAAGGAUAUUAUGUAAUUUCAUUUAAGAAGUAAGGUUCUACCUUUGCUUCUUUAUUCUUACUCUUGUUGAUUAAACAUUUACAAAUGCAACAUAGUAUAGGAUCUUUUGAACAUUUACAGAUGCAACAUAGACUACGUAGUAUAGGAUAUUUUGAUUUUCAUUAGAGAGAUGCUACUGCUAGAAAGCAAUAAUUUACGCACUUAAUAUUUUCCACAUCUUGCCAGUAAACGUAUUUGGCAUGCUAUGUUUACAACUUGAUGACCAAUGAUGCAAGCAAUCCACAAAAGUUUUUUAAUUAUACCACAAAAUCACUGAACUUAAUAAAAUUUUCUACAAUAAUCUCUAAUAUCAGAUUUCUUUUCAGCUAAAACUUUAAUCUUCUAGCCUAAAAAUCCUUUUAAAAAAUUUUUAAACUUAAAAAAAAAAAAGAAUAGCAAAUAAUAACAGUAUUUAGGUUGGUAUUUCAAUUAAUAAAAAUAAAAAAAUAAUGUUCAUAUCUAAUAUUGUUAGGACCAACAUUUCUUCAAUUUUAAUAGGUAGGCAUGAGCUAUGGUAAACACCUUAUUACAUUAGAUACAUCUACAUAAGAAUUGUCACUACUUACAAUUUAGGUGCUCUAAAUUAUAUUUUCUACACAAUAGGUUGGGAAUUGGUUGUGCUAUUGGAUUUAGAUGAAUAAUUAUUUAAUCUGAUGAGAAUUUUGAACCUUUUCAAAUGGGUAAUUUAUUUCUAAUUUAGAAUAAGAAUUAGAUACAAUUGUGCCCAAGUUUAAAAAUAAGAGUGGCAAAGAAUUUUUCAAUAUUUGUUACACAAUAGAUUGGGCAUCGGCUAUGCAAGGCACAGCCAGAACCAUUCUAGUAUAUAUAUAUAUAUAUAUAUACAUAUUUAAAAAAAUGCUGGCAGCCCGCAGCAUCAUGAAAUAGUAAAAAAAAAAGGUGUUUGUCUGCUACAAGUCUUUUAAAAAUUUUAACUACAGUAACCUCAAAAAAAAUUUUAAAAUUUUUAAACUAUACAUUUCAAAAUAUUCAAAAAUCUACACAUUUCAAAAAUUUUUUAAAAACUUCUAUAGUAAGUUACAGUAAAAUUUUAGACAAACUCCCAAAGAACUCACAUUCCAAACAGGUUUCACCAAAACUUUAUUCUUGCCUAUAUAAACAGGCGGUGAGCAUUUUUAAUGGAGUAAAUAAAGUCAUUUAUGAGUAUUUUUGUUAACAAAAAGUGCAAAAGUGUAGUUUAUCUCCUAUAGAUUUUUUGUGAAAUUUUUUGGGCUGUACAAUAACUUGUUUAAUUCUGCCAUGAUAACUUGUUUUCUUUUACUUGGCUUGCUGCAAGUUUCUGAUCACUUGACCAAGCCAGAGCCAGAAAAAGGCAGGCAAGCUAAAUUACAAUUUUUCUUAUCAAUUUCUCUACUACUUCUACCAUGAUCAAAUAAUGUAGAAAAUAGGAAUUGGCGUUUAAGCAAAUUAGUUUCUAAUAUCUUUUCUCUUUAAAAUGUUCUGAUUCAUUUGACCAGGUUAGAGUCAGAUAAAAUACAAUACCAGGCAUUCACCAAGCUAUAGGUUCUUUUUUGUUUGAUCAUUUUUCUGUUUACUUUUACGAUCAUAUUUUCAUUUGUUGGAAGUAGAAGGGUGAACAUAACGGUGUAUCACAUGGGAUUUUUAAAAUAUUCAUGAAAAUAUCUAAAAGUCACAUAUGGAAGUGUAUAAAAUAUAAGAAUAAAGGGAUUGAAUAACAUAAAUUUAGAAAAAUUAACAUGAUUAAGGUCAUGUUUGAUAAUCCAACUCAAUAUUUAAAAUUAAUGGGUUCAAAUUUUAAUAUGUUUAUAUGUGUUUGAUAGUGAAAAAUAGAACGUUAUUAGUUAAGUAGAUUUGAAUUAUUUAGGCAAAAUUUACUUAAAAUAAUGGGUAAUAAGCUAUUCACUUAUUACCUAAUACAGAGUACCCACGAAUGUUAAAAUUUUAGUACUUAAUAAUUCGGUAAUUUAGCAUAUUCAGGUUUGAGUUUUUAUCAAACUCUCGUUUUUAUAAUUUUUUAAAAGUCUAAAAAGUUGUUAGCUAAAAAGAAAUCUUGUUUAAGAGUUGCAACAAUGAGAUCAACUUCUAAAACAUGCAAUUACAAUGAGCACAUUUAUUCAACAAAAGCUUUUUUAAAUAUCUUUUUAAUUGUAUCACAUACACAGACUAAAAUUGAAUAAUUAUAUCUCAAUAAUCAAUUUAUCACUAUUUAACACCAAAUUAGAUAAAGAUUAGAUUUAUACCUGUAAUCUAUCUAAUAAUAUUUAAACAUGAUCAUUUGGUGUUUGAUUAACUUUUACAAUUACUCUUGAAAAUUCUACAGAAACCAAACUAGAAUGGUCUAGUGGACCGGGCCAGGGUUGGUUUUGUCUUUCAGCCCAUUUUAAUGAGUAAAACCAGCCAGCAAAAUCCAGUGGGUCCUCUGUCCACAUUACAUCAACACGUGUCCCACUGGCCCACAAAGAUAUUUUUAUUAGGGAUAAUUGCAGAAACCUCCCCUGAGAUUUCUGACAUUUGCACUGACCACCCCUAUGGUUUAAAACAUUACACUGACCUCCCCUGAGGUUACUAAUCUUUUACAAAUUCAGUCCAAACGAUUAAAAUAUUGUUUUAGGGAGUGAAAUUAGAAUUUUUUACCAAAUUUGUCCUUUGUACUACAUGCCCAAUGAAUGACAAAGUAUUAUAAAUUAAUUAACAAUUAAUAAACUUUAAGGAGAAUAAUUUAUAGGUAAAUACAUAUUAUCUAUUUAAAGUACCGCCUUUUUAUGGGUAUUUUACUUUCAAACAUUUAAUUUAAUACAAAUAUUUACGCUCAAAUACAGAUUUGUAUUUACUUUCAAAUAUUUAAUUUUUGUUAAAUACAAAAACUACCAAUCUCUCUCCCGUAAAAAUAUUAAUAUAACACAUUUUUAAUUUUAGUUACAAAUAUUUAUCUAUUUAAUAUAAAUUAAAUGAUUCAAAAUAAAAUGCCAUAAAGAGCCAAACUUUACUCAUGUAAUGGAUGAAAGUCAUAAAGAAUUAAUACUUUAUGGGCCAUUUCUUUCUUUUUUAAAAAAAAUAUUUAAUUUAUAUUAAAUAAAUAACCAACCGAUUUCCUUUUUGCAAUAAUAUUACUGUAACACUUUUUGAAUUUUACUUACAAACAUUGAUAUAUUUAUCAUAAAUUAAAUGUUUGAAAGUAAAAUACCCGUAAAAAACCAGUAUUUUAACUGAAUAAUGCAUGUUUGCCCAUAAAGAGUCGAUAACUAUUUAAAGUAUCGGUUCUUUACGGGUAUUUCACUUUCAAAUAUUUAAUUUAAUACAAAUAUUUACACUCAAAUACAGAUUUGUAUUUACUUUCAAAUAUUUAAUUUUUGUUAAAUACAAAACCUACCAAUCUCUCUUUCGUAAAAAUAUUAAUAUAACACUUUUUCAAUUUUAGUUACAAAUAUUUAUAUAUUUAACAUAAAUUAAAUGAAUAAAAUGCACAUAAAGAACGAAUACUUUACUCAUGUAAUGGAUGAAAGUCAUAAAAAAUUAAUACUUUAUUGGUCAUUUCUUUUAAAAAAAAUUUAAUUUUUAUUAAAUAAAUAACCUACCGAUUUUCUUUUUGCAAGAAUAUUACUGUAACACUUUUUAAAUUUUACUUACAAAUAUUGAUAUAUUUAUCAUAAAUUAAAUGUUUGAAAGUAAAAUACCUGUAAAAAGCCGGUAUUUUAAAUGAGUAAUGCAAGUUUGCCCCAUAAAUUAUACUCCUUAAAGUUUAUUAAUUGUUAAUUGAUUUAUGGUACUCUAUCAUUCAUUGAACAUGUAGCACAAAGGGCAAAUCUGGUACAAAAUUCUAAUUACACUCUCUAAAAUAAUAUUUUAAUCGUUUGGACUAAAUUUGCAAAGGAUUAGUAACCUCAGGAGAGAUCAGUGUAAUUUUUCAAACUACAGAGGAGAUCAUUAUAAAUAUUAGAAACCUCAGGGGAGGCUUCUGCAAUUAUCCAUCAGGGAUCAAUACGAAUGUCAUAGAAUUUUGUAUUGACAUCUCUUGUGGCUUAAAAAAUUACACUAACCUCCCCUGUGAUUUAAAAAAUUACACUUACUUCAUGGAGGUUUCUGCAAUUAUCCCUAAUAAUAAAACAAUCACAUUAUCCACUUAGACGUGCGCAAUGAGCACCCUGCGGACGUUAGCAACAAGUCAACAACCCUACCUUACUAUAUAUAGUGAGUCCCUUUCUUCUCCACUGCUACACUCGCGCUGCCGCCCACUCCUGUUUUUCAAUAAUGGGAAAAAAGUAGUUUUUAUUCCAUUGCACAAAUUUAAAAAAAAAUUAAGAUUAAGAAUUUUCGUGUGUGAGUGCGUGAGAGAGAGAGAGAGAGAGAGAGAGAGUUGAGGAUGGUUGUGGAGCGGUGGGUUGAAACGGCCGUCGGCGAUGUGUUGAAGGACGGCGCUCGGAUGCUACAGAUUAAGUUGAAAAACCGGUUCAGAGUCGCCGUCGAUCACCAUCGGAGAAUGGCGGGGUUCUACUCCACCGACGGCGAUGGAUACUUCUCGUCGACAAUGCAGCGGUUGAUUCAGCGAUUCAGCGAGUUCCGUAGGGAUUCUCUGCCUUCGUCCACUAUGUUCUACCGCAAACGAGGUUAAUCUCUUAUAAUAGUACUCUUUUCCUUCCUUUUUCCUUUUUUUUUUUUUUUUAAGUAUACGCUGUUUUGACGUUAUAAAUAAUAUCUACAUCUUUUUGUGCAUUUUCUGGUUAGUUUUUAAUUUAAUGCUAUUGAGUUUUGUUAUGGAUGGUGGUGAGGUGGACUUUUUCUUACAUUAGGAGUUCCAGGAGUUGAUUAAGAUCGAGCUGCUUAUAAUUUGUAUUCAUGAUCGCUAAUGAAGUUUGGGACUUGGCUGUCGUAAAAUUGGUGAUUGUUUUUUGAAGUCUGAAUUUUAUGGAAUGUAAGUUGUUGAAGCGUGCAUUUUUGACUCAUUGAAAUAUGGAUAUUAAUUGAGGAUUUGGUUGAAUUUUUUGCAUGGCAGUAUCCCUUUUGGAGAAAUGUGUUGAUAGCUUAUAAGUGGACAAAAAUAAGUUAGAAGGAUGAGAAAUCAUACUCCAUAGAUACCCAGGAAGAAACGCGAAAGUUCAUGUUGAAGUCUAGCUAUUUACACUAAUCUGGGAUAAAGACUUGAUCAGGGAGUAAACUAGCCCAAGACUUGAAAUUUAACAGGAUGGGAAAAGGCCAAAUUGUUUCGGCUUAAUGAACCGGAAUCUUCGUGCAAAUUUAAUAUGGAUGCUCACUAACUCCUAGUGUCAUUAAAUGAUUUAUUCUUCUCAUCAUUAUCUGUAAAUGCUCUGAACAGGACAACUUAUUCAAUUAGAUCAAGAUUGUAGGUAAUGAUUAAACUUUAAGUAUUGAAAUUCAGAUCUUCAAUUUUAUUGAAGUUUUCCUGAAGUUUUCUUUUCUCUACUUUCUUUGUAAGAACCUGUAUGUGGAAAAAGUCCUAGGUUUUCCCUUAGUAUUGGAAAACAAAGCUUAAACUUUCCAGUAUGAAUUAAACCUUGAUGCAUAUUUCUUGUGCUUCCACUUUCGUCAAAUAGGAUUCGGAAUUUAUGGUUGACACUCUGGAUUUGAUUCGUGACUAGUUAUUUAUUGCAACAUAACAAUAUAAGAAUGACAUGGAGGAAGUAUCUUGAUGUAAUUUCAUGUUAUGGAAUUGAGAAAUGAUGAACUUGGAAUCUUCAGUUCUAGUGAGCAAUUAAUUUUUCAGACCUAUUGUUUCUCAAUUUUUUUUAGGGGGUGAAAGGGGUAGCAGAAAGAUCUAGUAUGGCAGAGUCGACAUUGUGAUCCUAACUUGUUUCUCUAAUUGCUUUGGAAAAUAACCAUACAGAUUCUACAAUAAUUGGGAUUGAAGUUCUGUUCAUUUAUCUGAAAGAGAUGUCAAUUCGUGUUUUUUUUUCUUUAAACAAUGUCCUUUUCAUCCCGAAGAGGAAAUGAUAUAAAAAAAACUUGGUUAACUUUAUUGAUUUGUAACUCAUAUGUGUGUGAAACGGCAAGCCAUUUUACCAAAUAGUUGUAUGAGUUGCUUGAUUUCAAAGAUAUUUGAUGAAAGCAACUUGUAAAAUGAACUACAUUUCACUUGAGUCUUGCUAAAUAGUAAAAUGAAAAACAGACAAGUAGCAUUCUCACUAUACCUGCAAAGGACAUUAUGCUUUAUAUUUCUGGGAGCUGAUGCUCAUUUCUGGGUGAAGAUGACAAUACCCUGAGAUUUAAAAGUAGUUAGAUUUAAAAGUAACUACUUUUGAAAAUUUUCCUUUUUUUUUUGAGAUUUUAUUUGCAUUUUUACAGUCAUUGGAUCAAAUAUUGGUGGAUCAUAUUAAAAGUCAGUACUGAAAUAAUUUUAUCAUUGAGCUGUAUACCUCUGGCCUUCUGCAAAGCAAAUUUAUUUUAUCAUCUCCAGACCUAGUUGAUUAAACAAACUGAGACAAAAAUAUUGGAGAUAGACUUAAUUAUUCCAGGAAAUCAACUCUGUCUUCAAAGGGAAUUGUUUCCUUCUGUCUGUCUAUUUUUUAUCUUAAGGGUUAAAUUGUAGAUAGAGUCGUUCUGCGCUGUAUGGAAUCAUCUUCUUUUAGAGCUGAUUUUCCACAUAAGAUGAUUUGCUUAUGUACAGAGAGGAGUUUUUGCUUCUCAAUUCUACUACUCUUCCCUCUAUCCUCAUCUUUUUGUACAUGUACUCCGUGUCUCCUUAAGAAACUAUUUCUAAGAAGAGGGGAUGUGGUAGAGUACGUAGGGAUGGGAAGCAGGCAUGAAUCAUAGCUGGCAGUUUAUCAACUAACUCCACUAGCUAAUGUGAUCUGAAAGUUAUUUAGAGACUUUGAGAAAGUUUUUCUAGUUGUAUUAGUUGGAUUUAUAAUAUGUGAACUUUAUAAUUGCAGUUAGUAAAGACAUUGAUCUCGAAGCAGAUUCAGUCCUGACCCGAGUGCUUCAGGCUGUGGCUGUUCCUGUUUUUGGAAAUGUUUGUCAUGUUUUCAUGCAUGGCCUGAAUCGAGUGCAGGUAUGAAAAUUUUUUCUGGUGAUACAAUUUAAUAUUCUCUCUCUCUGUGUUUUUGGCAUGUUACAAACAAUUAAAUGACUUGCAUCACAGAUAUAUGGUGCAGAAAAACUUCACCAGGCUGUAUUAGGUAGACCAGAAAAUAAGCCCUUAGUUACAGUAAGUACACCAAUUCAUAGUUGUAUUUUAGUAAUAUCAAUUGGUUUACAUUUUCCCUUGCCCAUAAAAAUAAUCAUCUGAUUGCGCUAAGCUGUUUAAAUCAUUUGUAGGUUAGCAACCAUGUUGCUGCCGUAGAUGACCCCUUUGUUCUUGCUGCCUUACUUCCUCGAAAUGUUCUGUUAGAUGCUCAUAACUUGAGGUGGACACUUUGUGCAACUGAUCGAUGCUUUCGUAACCCUUUGACAUCUGCAUUCUUUAAAUAUGUGAAAGUGCUUCCAGUUUCUCGUGGUGAUGGUAUUUAUCAGAAGGUACUUCAUUGUUUGAACUUACAACUUUUUUAAAGAUAUUAUGUAUACAUGGUAUCAUAUUUUCAUCUCCACUUUUCAGACUUCAUUUCUUUAAGGUGUAAAACUAUGUGCUUAGUGAGCUUGUGCUAAGGAAGCAGAUAUUUUGUUUAAUUAUCCAAACUCUGUGUAGCUGUCAAGUUUUCAGAUGCUUUAAUUUGGGCUCAAUUGAGGGUGCUCUCGUUUUUAAACUGUGGCUGAUAUUAAAGCUGGUGCAGCUUCUCCUAAGGACCUUUAAUUCUUUGUAAUUUUCAUUUGCCUGUUCUGGUCUCAAGAUGCUAAUUUUGUCAACUAAUCUGUAAUAAAAAUAGGUUAAUUUAAAAUUAUUUCGGCAUUCUUUUAAUGCCUCGCUUUCAAUUCGAACUUGUGAAAAUAGUUUUCUCUUCCCCCUGUAUUCGACCAUUUGUCACUUCAUAGGUCAAGCAAUUGAACAUGGUGAACAUUUGUCAGUUGUGUAGCUUGUAGCGUACAUGCAACUGUUUUUACUUCACGGCUUAAUAGCUUGAAUGUCAUCUAUCUCUGCAAAUUUCUCUACAAUCUGAUCAUUUCAAAGUUGGCUUAAUUUCUUCUUCAUAACUUGAUUCAGGGAAUGGAUGUUGCUAUAUCCAAAUUGAAUCGUGGUGAGUGGGUUCACAUAUUCCCCGAAGGCAGCCGUUCUCGAGAUGGAGGGAAAACCAUAGGUCCUAUUAAGAGAGGUGUCGGCAGGUGAGAAAUGUCUUAAGCAAUCUUGUUCGUGAAUGAAAUUCAUCCCCUUUUAAAAGGUUAAAGAAUUGUGGUUUAUUCCUAUAUGCUUUUUGGUACAUGGUUUGCUGAUUCAAGCCUAGUGACUUUCCCCCCGCCCCCAAACCCCCCCCCCCCCCAACACAAAAAAAACCAUUGUUUUCCUGUUGGAGGGUGGCCUCGGGGGGACUGGGCUAAGUUACUGAGGGAAAUUGGCAAAACAAUUGUCCUUUUAUUUAGAUGUUGCUUCUUGAUUAUGGGAUGAGAUUGACUGAGCAAGGUGGACAAGAUUGUAUUGCAACAUGAUGUCUGUCUUUUCUUUAAUGUCUCAAUUAUUGUGACAUUGUGAGGAUUUGAAAUUGUGCAAAUUAUCUAAAUGACUUUUGAUAUGAUAGUGAUAACUUCUUACAGUACCAUAUUUGUCCCCGUUUCUGCAAACGAGAUGAGCUGUGAAACUAUUCACAUAAGCUUUUAUAGCUUGAAUAAGCUGUCAAAAAAAGUCUCUAUGCUGCAAUUGGUUCUACUUGCUUUUGCAGUAAGAACUAAAAGCUGUUACCAGGCUAGAAAAUGCAUCAGGUGAUAUGUCUUGUAUAUAUUUUUCAAUCUGGCCUGUAAGUAGAUAUGUGUUAUGAUCUGUUUAGAACUAAGUACUGCAGCUCAGAGUGAACCAAGAGCUCAAUAACUUGAGAGGAACGCAAUCUAGUUUAGACACCAUGACAAAGUAUUUUGAGUAGGUUCUUUUUUAUACGCAUCUGUUACGGUUAUUAUGCUUGAUGGAGGGGAUGGGUGUCUAGUUAUCUGAUAUGGUAGUUUAUAGUUGACAUUGCAUUUGUUUUGCUUAAUGUUGCACCCUGGAUUUUUCAUGCUUUGUGCCAAAUUUAUCCUAUUGACUGGAUCAUGUCUGCACUUUGACAAUAACUGUAACAGGUUGAUCUUAGAUGCUGACAAUGUACCAAUAGUUCUCCCAUUUGUGCACACUGGCAUGCAAGAUAUAAUGCCAAUAGGAGCCAAGCUUCCCAGGAUUGGUAAGACGGUAAGUACUUUUUUGUUUCACCAAGUGGUGCUAUUUAUUUUGGAAAGUUGUGAUAGUUUCAAAGCAUCAUCUUGAGCUUUCUGUUUUCGGAUGGUCAAUUUUGGAACACUCAUCCGAUAAGCUAUCUUUCUGUGAUCUGGCCUGAUCGAUCGAUCAUAAACUACAGGUUACUGUACUUAUCGGUGACCCCAUUCAAUUUGAUGAUAUACUCAAUUUGGAAGAAAACCAGAAUAUGUCCAGAGGGAAGCUGUAUGAUGCCGUGAUUGCUAGAAUACGCGAUCGACUGCAGAGGUUAAAAGCUCAAGUUGAAAGAUUAGUAGUGAUUGAACAAUCACUUCAACUUCAGAAUUACCCUACAAAGGUCACCGAACAAUCAGCUGGAAUUUUGCGCCAGGUUGAUUGGGGUUCGCCUGGCAAGGAAACUUAUACACGACUUGAAGACUAUCUAUCCCCGAGGAAAAAUUUAACAACUGAAAAAGUAGAAGUAGACCAAACCCAGUUACAAGAAAGAAGUUUACAGAGUCGGAAUUCUAGAAUGUGUUUGCUCUGGGAAGGUGGAAUUGGCUCUAGGAAUCAGUGUUACAUGGAAUCCACCGAGUUAAUGGGUUUUGCAGCUAGAGGUUUAUUAAUGAAUAAUACUCCUCGGGUUAAUGACUGCUUUGUUGAUAUUCAAGGAGUUAAUCCAUUGAAGGCUUUGAAUGACUUCAGGAAAUCAAUGUAUGAAAGCUACUAUAGUCCAGUUUUUGCUGACAACUGUGUAAUUUAAGGUUAAAAUAGAUUUUUUUUUUUUUUUUUAAAACCAAUUUUCUGUUUUCUUAUCUUGUCCUACCCAAUUGGAGUCAUUAGCACCUGGAGUAGAUUGAUUUCGGGGAAACAACCAAUAAACCUUUAUUAAAGAUAUGGUCUGUCUAACUGGUACUGUUUUGGCAUUCGUUAAAAUACAUUUUAUGUGUUAAAUUUUUAAAAAUAUAAGAUUAAUUUUAAAAAAAGUAUACAAAUAUAAAAAGAAUAAUUAGAAAAAGUGUAUAAUGUAAAAGAAAGUAAUAAUUGUUAAUAUAUAUAUAUAUAUAUAUAUAUAUAUAUAUAUAUAUAUAAUUUAGGUAUGAUAAGGAGCGCUUAGGCACUAUUAGAAAGAUCCUUCAAGCUGUAUCUGAAAUUUGAACCUUUACCCUGUGAGUAGGAGCACAUGACAUGACUAAAAGGCACAAAGCAGGGGUCUCAUUUGCAUCUUCUGUAUGAUCAUCGGGAAUCAAACUAUUUGGAUAUGAAGUUAUAUGCCAAAAUUUUUUUGAUUGUAUCAUGAUGCACUUCUUAAUUGUUGUUUUAUAUUUUAAUCACUUUUUAAAAAUCUCACAUACAUUAUUUAUUGUUCCGAAAAUCAUUUUCAAAUAACUCUUGUGCAAACAUGCAGUAUUUGUCAUUUCUAAAUUCUAGUUCUCAUAGUGGACGAUUUCAAAUGGUCUCCACACCAACCAUUUGAGUCCAAAGAAGUGUGAUUAGUUAAAGCAGAAAUGGUGCUUGAGAAUUAGCCAAAAUAACCGAAAUAAUAAUAAUAAUAAUUCAAUUUCUGCCGGCCCCAACGGCGUAUCGGAGCAUUGUAUUCCGGUUUUGUCUGUUAAUUUUUGCUACGCGAAAUAUCUAAACUUGACAGUUAUUAAUCGAGUUGAUUUGGAAUAAAAAUAAAUCAAAAAACGCAAUGAUAUUAAUCUGAAAAUUAUCUUAUCAAUAUAUUUCCUCUUUGUAAGAUUUGAAAUUUCCAAUGUAUUAUCAUCAGGGUGAUUAACAAGAUUAUAUUUAAUUGUUAAUAUUUGCUAGAAUUCAAUUUUUUUUUUUAAAACGAAUGAGUUUCGAUACAUGAUAUGUAACUUAUAUUUAAACCGGAAAUAAAGUGCAGGGUAAAAAGAAUGAAUUCAGAAAAAAAAAAUUAAUUCACAAAAUUAAAAUUACUGUGAUACUUACCUAUUUACAGCAAAAGUGGAGAUAAAAAAAAAAAAAUCACAUUUCCAUUUAAAAUGAGAAACAAAACGGAAACCGUAACCCCACGGCACGGUACAGAUCAUCACAAAAUAUUAGAAUCUGGUAAUAAAUUCGGGAUCUGCACACACAGUGGAAGGUGUGACUGUGUGUGAAAAUUUACUACCCGGAAAAAAAAAAAAGAAACAAAAAUGUCAGACGACGAUGAAGAAACGAGUACGCAGCCGGAAGAGCUGAGUCACAAGCAAAAACUAGAAAUUGCAAAAUGGUUCCUCAUCAAUUCUCCCCCUGGCGAAAUCCAAUACGUAGCCAAAGGUAUGUUUAUUUAUUUUGGGUACAAUAAUCUAAUCGCCUAACAACUUUGUGAUUUUUUUUUUUGGGGGAAUUUUUGUUGACAAUUAUCAUGUUUGGGGGGGGGCCGCCGGCUGCAGAUGUUAAAGCGGUUUUGAAAGAUGAAAAUGUAUAUGAAGCAGCGGCAGCGGAGGCAUUUCCUCUGUACAACAAAUCUCACAUGAUUUGCCUACAACUUCCUGACCGAAGUGGCGAUGUAAUUUUCGCUUCCUUCCUUUUCCAAUGCCGUUUUCUAUUUUGUUUUGAAUUUUUUUUCCGGCCAGUAUUGUGUUGGAUUUCUAGGCUGAAUCAUUUUUUGGACUGCUGAAAUAAAUGCUUCUAUAAUUUAUGCACAGUUAUUGGCAUGCGAGUUUAAUAAUUCUCUUUCUAUUGAAGCCCUGCAAGUUUAUAAGAAUUUUACCUUUAAAUGCAUACUUCUUAAUUUGCCAUUGCAUUUGUAAGUUUUCUUAAUUUAACUUGAACCUCUCCAAGAAACUGACAAUCCGCAUUUAAUUAAUUCUUACCGGGCAGCUGGUGGAUAAACCCCACUUAUAAACAUAAGGUUAUAGCCUUCUUUAGGAAGAGAUAGUCAGUGCAUCCUGUGUACCCUGUCUUGAUGGAGCAGCAACCCGAUUAUGAGUAAAGAGAUAGGUUUUAUAUAUCCGCUGCCUGAUAAUUUUUAGCCGAGUUUUAGGAGCUUUAUCGGUCAGUAUACUUGGAGGAGGAGGAGCUUAAUUGGUUAGCUAAACACUGGACUUCCAGUUCUCACGUUGAUCAGUUCAAAAGGCUGGUUUUUGCUGCUAUGGCACGUGAAUUGUGCAGAGCUAGGGAUGGAGGUGUUUUUUAGUGUAGGCAUGUUUCUGCUGGUAGUGUAUUUCUGCUAUCGUGGAGAGCGUGGUUUAUGUUGUGCUUGCCUGGGGGAACUUUCCUACAACUAGAGAGACAUUUGCAUGGGCAGUUGAUCUUGUUAGAAGUUUUUGUUUAUUUAGGUUCCUUAAUUUUUGAAAUGUAUGGUGUUAGGUUCAUGUGAUUAGUACUCCUGUAUAUAAAAAUCAAAUUUUUUUUCCUUUAGGAAGGAUUUAUUGUUGCUAAAAUUUGGAAUUGCUUGUAGUGUUGUACAUGAAGUAUUGAGUGUUUUAAUUUUCCUUUGAUGUUAUAUGUACAGGUGAUGGUGACAUCGUUUAGUGAGAUUACUGAAGAUGAAUAUCUUGAUCCUAGGACUGCGCAAGUGGCUGUGGUUAACCAUGUUAAGCAAGUAAUUUGCUCUUUAUCAUCCAGUUCAUUAUGGAUUUGAAUUAUUCUCUGCUCUUCCUUUGGAUUAAUUUAUGGUUUGUUUUCUUUUCGUGAUGAAAUGCAUAAUGAUCAAGAAGCACCACUAGAGGAUGAAAGAGUUGGUCUAGUAGCAAACACUUGUGCUUUUUACCAGUCAAAUUUGCUAUUUCCAUACACGUAGUAUAAAGUUUUUUUUUUUCCAUUUAUCAGCCCAACUGGUAUUGACUUUUUGAAAAAAAAAAAAUUUUGGCUAUAUGUGCCCGUGAUUUUGCCCCAUCAAGCUGAAAAAGCAAGCAAUAAAGUUAAGAUGCUGACGAGGUGGAAGCAAGGGUACCUGUUUGGUUUGUCUUGAACUAAUGGGAAGGUCCAAUAGAAUAUGCUUUCUGAGGCUUUUUAUAUUGUUUAGAGAUGCAAUGUAGCCUUGAUGUCAAUAAGGGAAUUCUAUUACAGCUAUUCACUCGUCCCCCCUCAGCUACAAGACUGAGUAAAUUGCUCUUCAUUUCCUCAUUCCAGGGAUCAUUAAGUGGGAUUGCAUUAGGCUUUGUAGGUUUUGCUAAGUGAACUCUGUCGAUUGAAAAACUUAGUGUGUUAGAGCCCUAAUUUUGCUAAUUUGGUAAGGUGUCUGUUUAUUUUGUACUGCCUUGAGUCUUGGAGUCUGUAAAUGAGAUACCUGAAUAUGUCUUGACAAUGAACUUAGGCUUUUCUACUGCUGUUUCCUUUCAGCAGGUGUACCUUAGUUUUUCACUUUUUUGAGAAAUGAGCUUAUUGGCUUGUGGAUUCUUAUAUAUGACAAAGUGCACUGCUUAUUCAGUCUUGCACAGAAGUUAGACCGGCAAGUGAUGAAGAACUUCCAUCUGCAUAUGUAGAGGAAUAUCGGUAUGUUUUUGGAUCUCUUUUUGGUAAAAAAACUUCAUGCUAAUUUUUUUCUAAGAGCAUGUUACAUUGGUUUAGGUGCUUGUAAGUGCUUCUAUAUAGGACAGUUUACCACCUCAAAUGUUCUUGAAGUUUAUUUAGGAGGGUUGAACUUAUUAUUUGGCUAUCAUCUGCAGGAUUGAAGUAGUUGGUUCGUUUUUUAAAAUACCCUAGAGGCUUGGAAAAACUUUUGCGUUACAUAUGUUUAAUAGAAACACAAAUGAGGGUUCUCUGUAAUGAUUAAGCAGGCAUAUAAGUACGAGGACUAAUUGCUUAAAGUUUGUUUGUGUUUACCUAAGUGAGUAAUAGCAUAUGGAGGAUGUGAGGGACAUAUAGCAUUCUCAAACAUUGAUUUAUUUGGAGGUUAACAUUUCAUUAUAUGUUGAGCAACAGUGAAAGCUGCAUUAUAGUUACCUAGUAGCAUAAAUGUUCUUCUAUUGGUCUAUUCUCCGAAGACCCUAACUCUUGAGCAUCUGUGUUAAUUGUGGUGCAUUUUGUCAGUGUACACACUGUUUUGGUUAUAUGACUGCAAUGAGCCAAUUAUUUUCAGCUCAGUCACAGAAUUUUGAUAUUACUUCAUGAAGUGCUGUUCUUUUUCUAAGUUACUGCUUUCCACGAUUUCUAACAUGUUCCUUUUGAUGGUGUUACUUUUCAGGUGCGCGGUGGAUGCAGAAAUUAGCAAGUAUGUUGGCGAAGCUUAUCCGAAAGGUGUAUGCUCAGUCUACUCUUCCAAAGGAAAGCAUGUGGAAGAACCUGGAUCUAAUUUUGAGCUUGUUGUGGUGAUUUUAGCUUCUAGACAUAGUCCUCAAAAUUUCUGGUAUGCCAAGGCUGAUUUCUCGGAAUUAAGUAAGGAACUUUGAAAUGGUUAAGGAAACUACCAAUUAGAAGCUAAUGCUUGUCUUUUGCUAGACAAAAACCAAAAAUAGCUGUGUCAUUCCAAAUUUGAACUUGAGACUCCAUCAAGGCAUUUUAGUUUACUUUCCUAUGUAUUUUAUGUGUUGCAUAGUCUCGUCAUUGUGGGGUAUCCCAAACCUUUAAUUUGCUAUUUCUUAUGAAAUCUUGCAAGUGAGGCUACACUUUUGUGGUAUUACUUCAAGAAAAAAUUUAAUUACGCUUUCCUAUGCCAUGGAAUGAUGGAAGUUUGGAAAGAAAUUAAUUACUGGUGAAUUGCAAUCUUUUCUGCAUGUUUUAUCAUGAGUUGCUCCAAAGUUUCAAAGAAAAGUAUCACUACUUUUAUUUGCAUUUGAGCUUGGCAAAAGGAAGGUUCUGCAAAAUUGUUUCAAUGUCCUAUAUAGGCUUGAACAUCUGCUAUCAUAUGUGCAUAAUUAUUGUGGUAAAAGAUAUCUAUAAUUUCUGAAAUUAUUGUGGUAAAAGAUAUCAAAAUUGUUUCAAUGGAGUUGAUUCUCUCUCUCUCUCGUCCCUCACCUCCCCCUCCAACAAAAAAAAAAACCUUAAACUGUCUGUGCAUGGAAUUCCAAGAUAAAACAGUGGGAGGGGAAUGCAUAAAUACAGAAAGUCUUGAUCAUCUUCAAGCCUCACUUUUCUGUUAAGAACUUGAUGUCUGUGCCGGGUUUUCCAUAUAAUAUGCACCUUGAGUGCUACAAGCAUCCUAUAUGGUCGAAUGCAUUUGGGAAGGAAUUUAUAACUUGAUAUUGGUGUAUGAUUUCAGUCUGAAAGUGGAGAGUUUUGUUACCCUACUUUCAGUCUAAAAAUGGACAAUUGUACAAUAAAUUGUGUGAAAGACAAGGCCAUGGUUGCCAACACUCUUUAUUGAUGACAACAUUGUGAAAAUUUAAGAACUUAUAAAAUGAAAUCUUGAUGCUGAGACCUAGGAGUUGUUGCAUUCACCAGAUAUGGUUAGCUAUAAUUAAGAGGAGUAAGAUACAGCAUUCUUCUAUUUAUGUUUUGCUGCUUAAAUAGUUGUCUCGUUGUGUAAUGGUGCAGCAAUGGAAGUUGGCGGUCAAUAUGGAAUGUUGUGUUUGAGGAUGAGCUACAAAUUGUGGAACUGAGAGGCAGAAUGGAGGUGUGAUUUGUUAUUUUGUAUUAUGAGUGUCCAGUAAGAUUUCUUUUGUUGAAGUUUUCUCCUUGUUUUACCUUGUACUGUUUACUAUCCAAGAUUAAGUAUACUCAUGCUGAGAAAGACGUGUGUAAUGUGGUAACAUUUUAUGUUUUCCUGUUAAGGUAGGGGCCCACUAUUUUGAAGAGGGAAAUGUCCAAUUAGAUGCAAAACAUGAAUGCAAGGAUUCAACUGCAUUUCAGGUCAAGAGUAUGCUAAUGUUUGUCCUGAAAUUUCUUUAUUAUAUCUAGUAUAAUUGUUGCAUGUUUUAAAUCUUCUUCUCUGUACAUUUUGUUCUGGAAUGGAAUUAUGUUUCUUUCUUUAGUUCACAAAUCAUGAACACUUCUAUAGCUUAUUCGGUGUUGCAGAAUGGUACCUGAGAUAUAGAUUCAUAAGCAAAGUUUGGAUGUCUAACAUGAUCACGUGUCUUGGAUAGCUUUCUGUGACACUUAAAAGAAUAUGGGAUAAUAACUUCAGCAACCUUCUAAACUUUCUGGUAAAGUAAAAUUCAUUCGAGUGGUUUAGACUCGACAUUUUUGGUGAAUCGAAAUCUUUUUAGGGGUUCAGAAUUCUGGACUCUCUCUCAAAUGAAUUAUGCGCUAAUAUGGGUUGUAAAAGAUCUGAUUCCAACAGUUAUCUUCAAUCAUUAUACUGGAUAUAGCUGCCUAUUUCUUUUACGUAUGACAAAUGCUUUUUUUUUUUUUUUUAACGAGUUGCAAUAACACUUCUGGAAGAAGAACUUUGGAGUCUGAUAGGGCACUAUAACAAGAUAUUAUAUACGUGUUGUGGAGGAUUCUGAAGGUUAAGAGCAACUGUUGGUGUGAUACUUUUAUGUGUUUAUUUAUCUAUUUAAUCAUGUAUUUAGUUUAUGUAGGGGAGCGUUGAGACUUUGGGUUUGGCUUAUGGGGCUUUGAAAGUUCUGAAUGAUUGAAAAAACAGAUUAUUUGAAUCUCUAUCUGACAUGUAUGUUACAUAUCUUCAGUCGCCUGAUGAUUGUGCUGCUUCUGUGAUGAAUAUAAUUCGCCAUCAUGAGACGGAGUACCUAAAUUCUCUUCAGGUUUGGUACUCCUCCAAAUCUUAAUUUCUGAUUUUUUUUCGUAGUGUUUGCACUUGGUAGUUUAUGACUGACAUUUGUUUAUUGACAGAAAUCUUAUUUGAAUCUGCCUGAUACAACUUUCAAGGUAAAUCUAGGCUCUCAUUUGGUCUGGGAUCAUCUUCAUGAAAUGAAGUUUCUGGUGGAUCUGGUUUCUCUUUAUGCCUAUUAUGUGAAUUUUAUUCUAUGCUCAGUAGUGUAGUGACAUUUUGAUAACUUGCUCUGCUGGUAUUUGUUGUAAGCCUUAAGAGGACCUGUGUCUGUCAAUUGUUCUGCCUGUCAGUUCUUGCACCACUAUGUUUCUAACCAUUUAUAUGUGAUGCUUUUGAGAUGGAGUGUUGGUCUAAUUCUACCAGCAAGUGUAGGGGUUAUAUAUGCUAGUAAUAUGUUUCACCCUCAAUUCGCAUGCUGAUUUAUAGAUGUUCACAAGGUUUCUUCUGCUUUCCUUUGCCUGCUGCUGCAGGACCUUCGAAGAAAGCUUCCAGUUACUCGGACACUAUUCCCGUGGCACAACACUAUGCAGUUCAGCUUGACCAGAGAUAUAUCAAAAGAACUUGGCAUUGGAAAAUAGGAUACGGUAUAAUCAGCAUCUAUUUUUGAGAUUUCAUCCAGCAGUGUUUUUGCUCUGCGUAUGUAGAUCCAAAAAUUUUCGUCCGAGACUGCAUACAACAUUCUUUGUUCCGUUUUUACAACCUUCUAAAAAUUUGAGAUUAUUGUGAGGAUUUAAGGAAAGGGUGCGGGGGCAGAAAUGCUGAAGAGCUAAAUACAGUUAUAGUUCCUUGAGCUGCAAUGCAAAUGCUGGAACCAGUCUGUUCUUCUUCCUGCAAAAUCAUCUUUGUCACAUGGUGCUCGUAAAUUUUUCUGCUUGUGUCUGAUCGUACCUAAUUCCAAAUGAUGAUGGGCAUCUUGUUGCCUCGAGUUUGUUUAUGUUUUUUCUUCUGUGAUGUGAUGGAAGUGAAAAUGGAACCAUCUCUCAUUUCUAGUUCUUUUUUUUCUCACGGAUGUGGUGAGAAAAGAGAGGGCUAAGAAAGAAAGUGAAAUCUUUCUGGCAUUUGGGAAUUUAGCCAGGAAAGAAAUUGAAAGAAAAGGAGGGAGGGAUUCCACACUCCCUCCUUUCACACUACAAAAAUCGUCAGGCCAAAAUUGGGGUGGAAAGCGUGAGUUAAGUAAAUGUUUUAAUAUAUCAAUUUUACCCUUUCAAAGAUUAUAAUAUAGUAAAUGUUUUUCUAUGUUACGUGAAUUUCAAGCUUCAAGGGCGCUUAUGUAAAAUUAAAUCUUUUCCUUUCAGUGCCAAUUACUCCCAAAUGGAGGAAAUACUUUUCAUUAUCUUUCUCUCCAAAAACUCCCAAACAACAUGAAGAGAUAAAACAACGUCUUCUUGUAUUUUAUUUUCUUUUCUAACUUAGACUUUCUCUUCUCUUCUUUUCUUUCCCGAACUCCCAUACUAGCUCUAACGUGCUUAUCCCUUUUUUUUUCCUUUUUACUAAUUAAUUUAUUAUAUUUUCCCAUUAUUAUAGUCAUAAAUAAAAUUCAUCAUUGAAUGAAAAAAGAAGUUUUAUUGAACGUUAAAUUAAACAUUGUUAAAUAUUUAAAUUUAAACUAUCAAUUUUAAUGAGAGAUACAAGUCAAGAAAAUUGGGAUCAUAGAAUUUUUUAUCUUUUAAUGGAAUCAUCUCCUUUCUCUACUGUUCUCUUAAGAGGAGCGUGAAAAAAAAAAAAAAAAAAAAAAAAAAAAAAAAAGGAAAGUGCGACAUGGUAUUUUGUGAGAAAAAUCACACCUGUAAUUGAGAAAUUCGUCGGAAAGCCGAAAAAGAUGCAUUGCUAUUUGCUACAAGAUUCCAUUGCCGGGAUUCGGGCGGGGAUUGGCUAAAAAGUGAAGAUUCAAAGAAUGUUAAAAACAUUCCGUUACCGGGAAUCGAACCCGGGUCUCCUGGGUGAAAGCCAGACAUCCUAACCGCUGGACGAUAACGGAUUUUUUUGUUGAGUGCUGCGAGCAAUAAGCAUUUUAUCUAUAAUCACUCGUUAUUAUCCAUGGGUUCACUGGCAUUUUUAUUGGCAAAAUACCAAAUCCAGGUUGGGAUGUCUCAAUUCUCAAAUGUGAAUUGGGAAACAGAAUAGAUAAGAUAAUAGGAAACAAACCGCCUCUAAUUAUAUGUUUCACCAAGAAAAAAAAGCUUGAUUUACUUGUAUUACCAAUUCUAAUAUACAUAGUUAAUUGUUCUUGAAAGUAAAAUAAAAUUAUAGGUAAAAAUUUGCCUUUUCUCUUAUUAAUGUCUUUCAUUAUUUUGUAAAAUUAUUUUAGAAAGUGGAUAAACUCACAUUGUACCCAAUCCCUAUGUAAACCUUAAAAUAAUUGCUCCAAAAAAAAAAAACUUAAAACAAUUAUGUAGACAAAAUCAAGCUUGAAGAAUAUGGUUAAAUCCCCAUUGUUAAAGAAAAAAAAAAAUCUCCGUCAAUACUAAUUUUCUUAUUCCUUUUGUAAAAUACACUAUUAAAUUUUGAGUAGAAGAACAUUUUUGUAGAUCAAAUCAACUUUUAAUUUAACCAUUUUCAUAAUAAACCCUUAUGCUGAACACGGGCGAGUCCACUUAAGAAUUUUAUUGGGAGUUUAACAGCAAGACAGAAACAUUGGAGGCAAAGUUGCGAAAAAGGAAAACUACGGGGGUUAGAUUUGCAAAUAAAAUAUUCUACAUUUCUACUGCCGCCUACCAAAUCACAAAACCCUUCUCCAGCCUCGUUUAAAAAGUUUUAAAGUCCACUCCGGCAACCAACGAGCUCUGUCCGAUCCCUUCGUCUCGUGGGGAUCAAUUCAAGUAAUUCUUCUCUCCUUUUCUUCUAUCUCUUUCGUCUUUGAUUUCUUUUAUUUGUUCAAGAUUCCAACAUGAUUUCCCAAAACUUCUUUUGUUUUUCGUAUGCUUACUAUACCAGAGGCUUUGACUCAAUGUGCUAGCGUAGUUUAAAUUUAUGAGCUACCCAGAAACUGUGUAUUCAUGUUUGUUCAAGUAGUGGAACUUAAUUCGGCUUUGAUUUUGUUGAUUCUUAAUUGGGUUUCUUUUUUUUUUCCCCCCUUUGCAGGUAAAUUGUGGUUGUUGUAGGGUUUUUGGCAUCGGAAGCAAUGGUAAGUUCGGGCAUUAGCUUUUAAAAUUAGCGUCAAACGACUGCCCCUGGUGUUUCAUUGUUCUUUUAGCUGAUUUGGGUUUUUCUUGUUGUGACUGUUUUUCGUUGUUUCAGCUGCCACUUUCUCUGCUUAAGACUGCUCAAGGGCAUCCCAUGGUAACAAUUUCAUACACGUUAUUCUUCUUUCUUUUUUUAUAUUUCAUAAUUGUUAUGCAAGUUUAUUUGUAGUGUUGUUGUUUUACGGGGUAUUUUGAUAUAAUAAGUUUGUGUGGAGAGUUCAACUAUGGGUGUGUUUGUGGUGUGCUUUUCAGAUGUUUUCUUGGUAGAUUGGUGUUUUCAGAAGAAGUGCUGCAGUCAUUCUUAGAUUUGUUGUUUUUGUCGAGUGCUUUUUUUAUUUUUCUUGAUAGGUGAGUAUCCUAGGGAUUAGGGUUGUGAGUUGCUUAGUGUGCUUAGACUCGUUUUUAUGCAUUAUCAAUGUGAGAGUUCAUUUUGAAAAGUUCAAACAUCUCAGAGAUCCAAGCAUAGGCUUGUUUUCUGUGUGCUUUUUUUAGAGUUUGUUGAUGAAUGUUUUUGGAAUUAAGGUUGUAAUUUCUUUAUUAUAGUAAUAAUGAUUGUUUUUAUACAUAAACAGUAUGAGCUACACUCAUGCAGUAAGUACAACAGGAGAAGUAAGUCAAAAGCAGUUGUCUCAGAGUGGGAAAGCAUAAUUAAGAGCUCAAUGACACCUAGAAGGUUCUAGUUUGUUUCUGUGUUCUCUGACACAAUUUUAGAGGAGCAGCCAGGAAAAUUGCUGUAAUUUUUUUUGGCUUGAAUAUAUAUUUAGACGAUCUGAAGAGCUGAUCAAUGGCACCUUGUUAUUGUUUGCGCUGUUUAUCUCAAGAUGAAUGUUGAGAUGGUACAUGCUCUUGUUUAGUGGAUUUGCUUGCUCAUGUAAAAUUUGUUUUCUUAUUACAGUUGGUGGAGCUAAAAAAUGGGGAAACGUAUAAUGGACACCUUGUCAAUUGUGACACUUGGAUGAAUAUCCAUCUUCGUGAAGUCAUCUGCACAUCAAAGGUGAAUUUUUGCUACCAUGACUUGUUUAUCAUCUCUCUGAUUGUUAUGCAUUGGUGUUUCAUGUAUUACGGGUGUAGCUUAAUGAAAAGUAAAUGCAGGAUGGAGACAGAUUUUGGAGAAUGCCAGAAUGUUAUAUUCGUGGUAAUACAAUCAAGUAUCUACGAGUUCCAGAUGAGGUAUGUUCACUUCAUAGUCAUAAAUAUGCAGAUUUGUUGUUUGCUUCAGUUCUCUUCCUUCUCUGCUUUGACAUCUAUAUGCUUCUGCUUCUUUCUGGUUUGUGCUUGGUAUCUGCUAACACUAAUAAAAGCCAGGAUUUUCUUUUAAGCGUACGUGCUAUCUGUAUUUUGCCACGCUUAGUUAAAACUUGAUACCUAAAUGUCAUCCAUCAUAGAUGAGGCCCUGUCAUCACUUCUUUUCUUUAUGUUAAUGGUCCAAUUGGGAAGACAUCCACCUAGUGCUAGCUUGGUUUUGGCUGCAAUGGUUGAUCAUUGAGCACAUUGACUUUGGCAGACGUAAAAUGCUCCUCCAAAUGGAAUGUUUUACAUUCGUUGAAUGGCUUUUGAUUUUGCACACUGAUUUUGGAGGACCAAUUGCUAACUUGUUUAAUUGGAAUGUUUUACCUACUCAGAUACAACUGUUUUGUAUAUAGGUUUGUCCAUUAAAUUAGCUUUAGAGUGAAGCUUUCUGCUGUUUGGUAAGCCCUUAAAAUAUUGUCAUGAGAGUAUUCUGGGAACUAGAAUUUUUCUUCUUCCUGCAACGAAAAUCAAAAAGUAUAGUUGUACUUUUAGGCGUCAGAUGUACACACACACUCUCUCUCUCUCUCCCCCUCUCUGGAGUGAUGCAGCUUAGCCAAAUCAGACAUUGAUGUGCUCCUUAAAGUGUUUCUUUUAAAGUCUUUAACAAUGGUAAUAUCUGGAGGCAUUUUAUUGUUAUGCUUCCAUGCAGUUGUUUAAACUUUAAUUGGGGCACAAAAAGUGGAAGUGCAUCUAUGUGAUGACAAAAGUACAGAGAUGGGUUCCUUGCUGACCAGAGCUUCUUUAUGAUCUUUUUCCUCGUCUCUCUCCAAUCAACCCUGCCUUUAUUUAUUGAACUAUUUGUUAUAAGAUCCUAGGUAGUUGUUUAGCUCAACCAUGAGUGAAGAUCACAUCCUUAAAAACAUGAUUUAUACAACCCCUUGAAGGAACUUUAUCCCACUGUCAAUUUCAUCUACAGUUGAUAGGGGCAGUAAAGGGUUGAAGAAUGUGGCUAAUCUGUUUUUCCUUUUUGUAGAUUUUUAUAUGAACCUUGGUAUGCUUUGAAUCCUUUGAUGACUCUUCAAAGAUUGGUGAUAUGUCGACUGUGCUUUCUUUUAAAACUGGAUCUUGUUUGGAACUAGGGAAUUAUAAAAACUAGGAAGUCAAGGUAAUGCAUCAUUGGGCUAGUCCCUUUGUAUCCUGCAGUUGGCUCAGAUUUGGUUUGGAUCAUUAGAAUGAUUCUUAUUUCUUGCAUAUCCAGCUACUCUAGUCCAAGAUAGCGUUAUUCUUCCUCUAUGCUGUAUGGAAUUGUUGUCACUUGACAUGUUUGGUAAAGACUUUUAUGUCAGAGACCUCUGAUUCCAUAGGACAGAGCAUUUUAAAUGGUUAUUUGCUAUCUUUGUAAUUGGACUGAAAACCUUUGUUUGGUAGUAUGCCUGCAAAACAACUGACUGAUUAUCAAUUUGCAUAACCUGUUGGGUGGGACUUUAUGGCUAUACAUUACAUUGUUGGGUUCCAUUGGAAAUACAUGUCAAUUUUUCCUUGCCUUGCACGAUAUAUUGGAUUGAUGAAUUUUGAUUUUCUCAGGAUACUGAUUAUUUGUGUAUCUUUUGCCUUUGUCGUGUCAUUCAAUUAUGUCAAUGUGCUUAACUCUUUUAAAGUGCUGAAAAUUGUACCUUUUUCAAAUUUUUUUUCCAGGUGAUUGAUAAGGUUCAAGAAGAAACAAAAAGCCGUUCAGGUAUUAAUUAUAGUAUUGAUUUACUUCUGUAUAUGAUUGAGCCCAAAGAAGGAUGUCUUCUCUGUGGAUGCCUUCUCUAAAUCAUCUGAAAUUCACAAUAAAAUUUGUUUUCUACUUCAUUCAUUGGAUGGCGUACUAGUAAUUGUAGGUUCCUCGUGGUAUAGAAACUUGUAUGUCUGGGUUCUUUGAUGUAGACAGAAAUUUCCCUUUGUUACUUCAACAUCAGUCUUGUAUUCUAAGUAAUACAUUUCAAAGUGGCAAUCAACCAGGAGGAAGUAGCAAAUCAGAUAAGUACAAACAAUCUUGUUGCAAUAAUUACAGCCUGUCCAAAGACAUUUUGCCGUGUAUAUUACGAUGUGUUUGAGAUUGAAAGAGUACAUUACAGAUGUUGGAUUGUUCCAAAAGCACAGUAAUGCUUGUAUAGAAUUCAUUUUAUUGAGGGCAAAAAUAUCAAGGAUAGAAGGAAAGAAAGUAAUGGAAAAUAGCAUUUGAGCGAAUGAUAUAUUGUUGUUACCAAGCUAUUGUUAAAUCUCCAACUUCAUUAAUGUAAUUGAACAGACUAAAGAACAAGAGAUUUACUAUGUGUUUCAUUACUUUUUGGAGAUGCAUUCCAGUAUUUCUGAUGAAUUGAACAGAUUAAAGUACAAGAGAUGUACUGUAUGUUUCAUUACUUUUUGGAUUCCAAUAUUUCUGAUCAAUGUAAAAAAAAAAAAGAAGGUAAAUAGCUUUUUCUCUGUGUACUGAAUGUGGAAUUUGGCACAUUAAAUUAGUUUAUGGUCAAAAAUGGUUUCUAAUCCUGACCACUUUUACAUACUUUUUCAGAUAGAAAGCCACCAGGCGUUGGGCGUGGAAGAGGAAGAGGUAGAGAUGACAGUGCUGCUGGGAGACAGGGAAAACCAAUUGGGCGUGGCAUGGAUGAUGGAGCUGCCAAAGGUGCAGGCAGGGGCAAGGGAGGACCAGCUGGCAGGUCUGGUGGUGGUAAAGGUAUGAAUUUGCAGUCUAAGUUGUUGGUUAUUAAGAAGCAAGCAUCAGAGAGCUGUGUCUUAAGAACUUUCAACAUAGCAUUUCUCAUUUUAAGACUUCUGAAUGAUCUCAGAUACGACUUUUCCUUCACUCCUUACAGUCCAAACAACCUUUGCAAGUUUACACUUGCUUUUUCUCUGCCUCUGUUAUGACUUGAAUGAUGAGGGAACAAAGAGUUGUCUUCUAAAUACCUUAAAAUUGUUCUCUCAUUUUUGUUUGCAAGUCUGUCUAACGGGUGCCCAUUGGGUACUCGUUUAAGAUAUAUUUCAGGUGUCAUAUUUUUGAAAAUGUAAGAUUAAUUAGGGAAAGUAAAUAAAUACAAGGAAGGGUAGGUAAGAUUAAAUAGGAAAAGCAUAUAAAUGCAAGGGAAGGUAAUAAUUGUUAGUAUGUGCAUGUACAUGAUAAGCUAGGUGAAUUUUAGGUGUGUUGAUGAGUGUUCAAUAGGCACCUGUUAGAAAAAGUCCUAUGUUUGUUUAUUGAAAGAUUUCCCUGGUUGAAUGUUGGUGGCAGGUGGUGGGCGUGGACGUGGCUUGUAGUUCUUUAGCUAGCUGCAGAAUCAACUUCCUUGGAGCAGAGUUGCCGAUUUUAUAUGGCAUUUUAUAGUGUUUGUUAAGGUACAGGAUUGAAGAAAAAUGACUGCUUUCUUGUAAAAGGACCGAGGUGUAAGGAAACUGUUUCUGUCCAACAAUCAAACAAGCAAGCAAUGUAUUUUAUAGUUCCAUACAUUAUUUUGUUGGUACUUCUUUUGGCUGAACGAAAUGUAAGUAUUAUGGAAUCGUUAUCUUUUCUUUCUAUCUCGAGUAAUUUUCGGUUUUUGAUUGACUUCUAAUCCUUAUAAGAAAUUACAUCGUGAGAACUUCUUGACUGCAAUCCUAUCAAUUACUCAGGUAUCACAUGGUUAGACUGUGGAAGCCUGCAACUUUCCUCUUGCUGGAUUCUACAGAAUCUGGCUGGUGAGGUUUUUACUUGGUGAGUAUUCACCCGUUUGGUUUGGACUCCGGAAUAGCAAUGGCAAUGGGUAUAAAAUGAUCGAUGGAUGGUAAUAGGUUUUGGCGAAUCCUUUUCACUUGUUUGGUACCAGGCUGAAAUGGGAAUCGAUGGGAUUGGUUUUUUUAAUUACAAGAAGUAAUUUCAUCCUUUUUUUUUCCCUUGUUUCCUAAAAUGGCCAGAUCCUCGCAGCAAAACCGCCCCAAUUUCCAGCCACCAGCCCUACGAGCCAAUUGUCCCCAAAACAUCAAAGUUUCAUCUCAAACUCUUCAAAUCCAUUUCCAUGUAAAAGCAAAAAUUCAAUUGAAUUUGAACAAAGUACUCUGCCUUGGAUUUGUAUAAAACUAGAAACUAGAAACAAAGGUAACUGUGAAUAGGUCUAAAACUUGCUAUUUGUUCACUACCGAACCCCUUACAUUCUAUCUGGAUGACUAACUUAAGCAUCAGAUUUACAACGAGGGAAUGUUGCCACGGCGUUUGCACCAGCACAGGAAAGGCCGAUCCCUGCCCGCCCGCACAAGUAUCAUGCCAAUUGAGAGCCGAUUGAAAAGUGAAAACAUCAUCCCAAAAUCACCUCGUUGAGCAGCAACCUAAAUGGGCAUAUCCAAAUAAAACAAACUCCUCUUUCGAGCUGCUCAAGCAAGUAGGUUAGUCUCUUUUAGUAAUAGCGGGUCCAGAUUCCAAUUUGUCCAGGCAAAACGUCAGUUUAGCAGUCGAAUCCGACAAAUGUCCACUUGCAAAGUUGCAAUCAAUCUGUUAUUGUUUGUAGUUGCAGCUUUUUGUAAAUUCUCAAAUAGCGAUAGCUUAAAAAAAAGAAAAAAAAAAGCUAAAUAACGAGAAUUUUGCAAUAACAUGUUUUUUUUUCAUUAUUGGGUGGAGAUUAGGGGUGUUUCGCGAAUCGAGCCGCUCGAAUACGAGCUCGACUCGAGUUCGUCAAUAUCGAGUUCGAGUCGAGCUCGAACUAAUUAAGUCGAUCUCGAGCUCGAGCUUGAAGUCAAAAACAUUAAACUCGUUGGCUCGCGAGCGGCUUGCGAGCUCAAUUAUAUAUAUAUUUUUUAUUUUUUAUUUUUAUUUUAAUAGUAAAAUUAUAUAUAUAUUCAUAAUAUUUUAUUAUUUAUUAAAAAUUUAUUAUUUUAUUCAUUUUUAAAAAUAAAUAAUUAUUUUUUAUUUUUAAAAAAAUAAAAUAAUUAUAAAUAUUUUUUAUUUUUUAAGCUCGAGCUCGAGCUCGACUCGAAUUUGACUCGAGCUCGAUAUUUUGAGCUCGUCGAGCUCGAGCUCGAGCUCAGCUCGAUUAGCCAAAGCUUGACUCGAGCUCGACUCGUUUGCACCCCUAGUGGAGAUGCUUGAAAAACAUGCCGCCGAAUUUAGAAAAUUUUGGAUUGCCAUUUUUUGUAGAAAAAUGUCCUGUAGUGAUUUGAUGUAUAUGAGAUAAAAAGGUAAUUAAAAAUUUUGUUUACAGAAAACGUAGAAAUUUAUGAUUUUUUUCUUUGUGAAAAAAAACUUGCUUGUGAAUCCACUUCAUUGCAAGCAAAUUGCAUAUUUGAACAAUAAGCAUAUAACUAUAAAGGAUACGUGUAAAAAUGUUCAAGAGUUAUAUGUUUCUCUUGUUCUAGUCCCUAUAGUAGUAAUAAAUAACAGUAAACAGCGUGUCAACGUUUGAAGAACUUUCAAUAAUGGCAGAUAUUGAAGAAGAAAGCAGUCAAUCAAUUACUCCUACAUUAGCUGGCCACCAAAAAAAUUUUAAGACUAUUUGGAUUUAGAUCAAAGAAUCAAAUCUCUUGUCGUGCAUUCUAAAAAUUCCAAAGUGGACAAUUUCAGAGGCCUCACUGUUGGAGUAUAUACUACCGCUUAUAUUUCCUCUUCACUCUUCAAUUUUUACUUGUCUUGUACGUUAUAGGUACCGUCUUGUAAUGUUUACUUCCUCAGUAAUCAACGAGUUCCCAUGAGUCAACUGGAAAGAUUUGUGAAUCAGUUAUACUUUCCAGGACAGAUUUGAAGUGCAACAGGAAGUGUUUUCUUAACUUCAAUGAUUAAACAAAAUACUGUAAAAAAAUUGGAAUGUCCACAUCCAAUUUUCGAUGGUGCUAAUGAGUGUUGUUAAUAAAAUAAUGCAAGCAGCUCAACAUAAAAUAAUUGGAUUUUCUUAUUGUAUUUGAUCAAUUGAAAAGGAGGUGUAUUGUCAAUUAUUACUGGUUUCUUGACGUAUAAAGAUGUAUUAUAUCUCGCAACAACCAAUAGUGGUGACGUGAAAGAAUUUCCUAGGUAAUACGAUUGUGUUGGUGAUCUUCCAGCGUCAGAAUGUUGAAAAAAAGUCACAAAAUGGUUGCCGAACGUAUCUGGAUACUAAUAAACAAAGCCCUCCUUUCAAAGUUUAAAUCCCGAAGAAGUAGGCUAGCAAAUCAAUUAGGUAGUUGCCAAGGGCCGUAAACUGAGUCGAGUCGAGUCGAAUUUUGAUCUAAUCUAGUUGAGUCUCAAAUUAAUUUUACCAAACUCGAGUUCGAACUCUCAAUGUAAAGUUCGGCUUCGAACUCCACCUCGAAUUUGAGUCGAAUCAAGCUCGAGCUUGAGUUUAAAAAAAUAAAAAAUAAUUAUUUAAUUUUUAAAAAUAAAUAAAAUAGUAAAUUUUUAAUAAAUAAUAAAAUAUUAGAAAUAUAUAUGUAAUUUUACUAUUAAAAUAAAAAUAAAAAUACAUAUAUAUAAAGUUGAACCGGCUCUCAAGCUAACGGGUUGAGUAUUUUUUAAUUUGAAUUCGAACUCGAGCUCGACUCAAGUUUGGUGUUGAUUGAGUUCGAGUCGAGCUUUGAUUCGAACUGCCCACAAUUGAUUUGUGAUUGGCUCGUGAACAGCUCGAUUUGUAUGCAACCCUAGUCGCUAACCACAAGGCAACUAUAGAAUGCAUUUCUUGAUGGCAUUUCUCUAGGAUAGAAGUGAAUUUCUUUCCCAGUAACCCUCUGCUGCAUUUGAGGGAUCGAUCUUCUAGUAUAAAUUAACGUAAAAAUAGUGUAAAUUUUGCUGAUUGAUAAAGAAAUAAAUUCCGAAAAAAGGGCUAGUUUAUUUUACUUUCAGUGGGUCCAGAUUCCAUUUUCUCCAAGUAAAAGAACAAAAUAGCAUUCAAAUUUGACAAUUAUCUACUUGUGAUGGGUCAAUCUGGUAAUAACUAAUCAUUUUAUGGAUCAGGUUUUCUGGUUCUUUAUUAAUCUCUUAAACUCAGUACUUCAUCUCUGAAGUGUAAAUGGAAACAAACAAAGAAAUAAAAUAAAGAAAUAAAAAAAAAAAGUAAAAAAAGAGGAUAAACUAUAAAGAAGAAGCAUUUUCUUGGAAUUGAGAAGAGGGAUCUUUAAACAGAAAGUAAACUAAAGCAAGAAAAACUUUCUUAGUAUUUUGUAGUGUAAGUUGUGUAGUUCAUUUGUUGUUCUUGUACGCUUGCUUGGAAUUUAGCUGUGAAACUAGUUAUGAUUACUUCAAUAGGUAAGGACACUCUUUUUUUUUUCAGGAAAUACUUGAGGGCACUCUUGAAUGGCAUUUUUUAUUAGGACUGAAAUGCCACAUUAUAGUACUGAAAGCUAACCCAACCAAAUGAUUCAUGAAACAAAUGGUUGUAUUAGUCAAUUUCAUAAUGCUGGAAAACAGCCAAAGCAGCCAAACUGUUUUCGUGGUACCACCUCAUUGUGAAGUAUUAUUCACAUCUUGUGUUGGCUACUAGCAUUAGCAUUAGGAUUAACUGAAUCUCUAUCUUUCAUAUCUUCUUCUCUUUUGGUGGUAGUAGACUAGUAGAGUUGAAAUACAGUAAAUAGAACUUUGGUUUUCUGUAAAUUGGCUUCAAAUGGCAGACACCAAAGAAGGUAUGACUCAAGAACAGCACCAUGUCACCAUAGAAGCUCCUAAAGCACUGCAAGACAAGGGAGAAGAAGUAAAAGAAGUUGAAGAGAAGCCUCAGAACAAGACAAAGACUAAGCGAGUGGCUUCCUUGGAUAUUUUCAGAGGCCUCACUGUUGCGGUGCAUAUUUUUCCCAUAAUCCCUUUUCUCUCUAAGUCUUGAAUUCGGAUACUGUAUUAUUUAUGUAUGCUAAAGGUAUCUGAAACCUUGAUAUUUUGUUAUCAGUGUUGCUAGAAAAAUCAGAGUUGUGAAGGAACUUCUUUUAUCUGGUUGUUGAAUACUUUUGCUUCCCCACUGGAAAGUUUUCGAAACUCUACUGGGAAACUAUUAGGAUCAAUAAUUUUCAGGAAAAUCUUUGGUGCAUUAACAAGUGUUUUCUUAUGCUGCUGCAUGAGCAUACAAUACAAAUUCUAUUACUUUAUAAGCAGCAGCUGCUGAACAUAGAACCGUUGGGUUUUCUUAUUUAUUGAAGGAAAGGUAUGAGCUGAAAAAAUAUGAGCAUAUGAUAAAAUAUAAAUAAAGUGGUAAUUCUAUUCUAAUAAGGAUUACUUAUAAUAGGAAUUACUUUGACAAGUUGCCUAAUUUGAGUGCUAAAAUGAAAUUACGAACUUGCCUCUGAGUUCAGUAUUGAAUCUGUAGUUGCCAGUGCAUUCCACUCCUAUAAACCAACUAUUCAUAAGUUACUAAUGGUUGAUAUUUUCAAAAACGCAAUAUCAGAACUAUGGUAACCUUACUAGUAUCUGCAGUGUAAUUCCUUCUUUAUGACUGUUGUGACUGUAAAAGAGUUUCUAAGUGCAAAUACCUGUGGACAGUUGAUGGUACUGGUUGAUGAUGCUGGAGGAGAAUGGCCGAUAAUUGGGCAUGCACCAUGGAAUGGUUGCAAUCUUGCUGAUUUUGUGAUGCCAUUUUUUCUAUUUAUUGUCGGAGUGGCAAUUGCACUUGCUCUCAAGGUUGAUUUUCUGCCUUUGAUAGAAUGUAUGCUUGGCUGAGACCAAUAUUGCAUUGCUUUCUGAUUAGUUCUACUGUUUCAUAUGUAGAGAAUACCAAAAAGGUUAAUGGCUAUUAGAAAGGUAAUUUGGAGAACUAUCAAACUUCUCUUCUGGGGUCUUCUUUUACAAGGUUUGUUUUACUGUUUUCUUCCCAUUUAAUGGAUGUGUGCUGCUUUGUUGGGGACCAUGUCAUUUAGUAAUAUAGUAGCACUUACAUUUAAGUGGUAGAAACUCAAGUUCAUUUCAGAAUCAAUAUUCAACAAGUAAUUCUUGCAAAAGUAUUAUAGCUUUCUUUUAUUGGCCUUUUGUGGUUAAUGGUGGCCAAAAAGUAUUGAACUCUAGGAAACUUAUUUAUAUGCUAUUAUAGAUAUUUGUAGCCUGACCUCCUUUUGAGCCCCACUAAGAUAUAUAUAUAUAUGUGUGUGUGUGUGUGUGUGAACCGAGUUGAUGCUGGAAGACUGCAGGGGGUGGCUUUGUCAAAAUUUAACGUAUUUAUGUUGCUAAGACAAUGAUUUUGCAUGAAGAUGCUCACAUGAUUUGGAAUUGUGUAAAAAGCAUUUGAGUUUCAAUAGUGAUUUGGCGGCCAUACUUUCAAUGGAUUAAGGUUUCCUUCAAGGUGGUAAUCUUUCAAAAGUUGACCAUAUACUGACUCACCCCUUUUAACAUUUGAAGGUGGUUACUCUCAUGCACCAGAUAAACUUACAUAUGGUGUCGAUAUGAAAAGAAUAAGGUGGUGUGGCAUUCUCCAGGUGAUCCGAAUUACAUUUUUCUUAUUUGUUGAAGUUUGACAAGUUUUUUUCUUAGUUCAACAAACUGUACACUGAGCCAAUUUUGGUUUGCACUUCUAGAGAAUUGCUCUUGCUUAUCUGGUAGUGGCAUUGUUUGAAAUCUCAACAAGAAAUGCUCAAGUUAAGGAUCUUUCACAUCAAUGGUUCUCUAUAUUCAAGAUGUAUAUUUGGCAUUGGUUUGUACUCCACUCUUCUUCUGAUCUUGUACAAUCAAUCAUAUUGUAAAGUAUUCUGAUUCUGGUAUAUUCUUCAGGGUGUUAGGAGCAUCUGUUUUAAUUAUUUACCUGGCUGUGUUAUACGGAACUCGCGUUCCUGAUUGGCACUUCAUCGUCCACAAUGAAGAUAGCACACUUUUGGGCAAGAUGUUAACUGUAUGUUCUUUGCUUCUGCCAUAUAAAGAAUACUAGCUUCUGCUACUCUAGAUACAGUUACCGGGGUCCACUGUUUUACAGUUGUAGAUGUCAUUGAUGUUGUGUUUACUAUUGCUGGAGAUUCAGAAGCAGGGAAAAAUAAGCUUUAGCUACUUAGUCGAUGUUGGCCAUUCAUUCUAAGGACAUUUAAGAAAAUCUGAAUUGUCUAUGACCAGCUUCAUAUCCCCUAAUUAUAAUACUUCACAAGAUGAAAAUAAUUCAUUCAUUCAAUGCAAUCUAAGCAUAUCAAGCAAGUGUAAUUGUUGCAUUUCUCAACAAAGAUCAAUGUGCUUCUUAAUCAUUCUUGUGGUUGUCAAGUGGUGUUUGUUUCCCACUCGCUUCUCUCUCUGAGCACCUUCAGUCGAAAAGGUAAAGAUGAUUUGGUACUUGUAUAUGCAUUCUAAUUGGUUGAUUGUGCAGGUAACCUGCAAUGUCAGAGGAAAAUUGGAUCCUCCUUGUAAUGCAGUGGGUUAUGUUGACAGAAAAGUGCUUGGUAUUAAUCACAUGUAUCAACAUCCAGCUUGGAAGAGAUCCAAGGUCUGCAGGGCUGUUUUUGAAUGCAAAAGUUCUUAUCAAUCACUAUGUACAUUGUUUGCUUCUGCUUUACGGCCCUCGGAAACUUUUCAUGGUAAUUCUGUUCUGCAGGCUUGCACUUACAGUUCUCCUCAUGAGGGACCUUUUCGGGAUGAUGCUCCAGCAUGGUGCGUAGCACCUUUUGAACCAGAAGGAAUUCUGAGGUAUGUAUCAUUAGUUCAUUUCAAUUUGAGAACUGCCACUAGUUUUAGUUGAAAUAUUGGCCUGGUCCUAGUUAACAUGUUCCAACAGCUAACUAAAUGUAUAGCUAAGCCAAAAUAGACGAUGCUCAAUGCGCCUCUAUCUUUUUAUUAUCUAUGUUCAGGAUACAGUUUGGAAAUUCUAAACAAGUCUUUUGACUGCAGCUCAAUUUCUGCAAUCCUCUCUACAAUCAUUGGAGUUCAUUUUGGACAUGUUCUUAUACAUACGAAGGUUUGAUAGAUAUAUAUAUCUUAUGUUUGGGACAACUGUUAUUCACUGAAUGUCACUAAAAGUCCUUAGUUCCUGAAUUUCAGGAUCACUCAUCCAGACUUUGGCACUGGACUGUCAUGGGUUCAGCUCUUUUGAUUUUUGGAAUUACUCUUCAUUUUACACAUGGUGAGCCCUGCUAGUCUCUCUUUCCCUAUGAACAAAUCAAGCAGCAAAUCGUAUUUCAAAUCCUCGGACUUGGUUUUAUUUGACACUAGGACCAUAUCAGCUUUACACAUUACGCAGCAUCUGUAGAGCAUGAGAUGAAAAAAUUACAUCUCUCGUUCGUCUGGUCAUAUACAUCAGUUUACUCACUGAUUUGGUUGGAUGCAGCUAUUCCCUUAAAUAAGCAACUGUAUACUCUCAGCUAUGUUUGUGUGACGGCAGGAGCAGCAGCUCUGGUGUUCUCAGCAUUCUAUAUCCUGGUAUGCUACUCGCAGAAUAAUCUUAUGGCCUGCAUAGAUUCUAGUCACACUGGUUCCUUAGUGAAAGCUACAAAACUAUGCUUUCUUGAUUGUGCACCUACCUGGUUUGACUUGGCACAUAAUGAGUUUAUCUUCCUCUAGUGCUGACCCUAAAAUGUGAGUAACUUGCCCUUGGCAUUUCAAAUGACAUACUUUACUGAAACUACAUGUCUUGUUUGAGACUUGUACCUCAACAGCUAAGGGUGCUUUUGAUAAAAUUGAAGUCUGAAGUCUAAAGUCUGAAUCUAUUAAAUUAUUGAAUUAUUAAGUAUUAAAUCUAUUACAUUUAAGUGCAUAUCAUAUUCAGUGAUAAGUGAAUAGUUCAUCACUUUAUUUUGAGAGCAAGUUUUGCCUAGGAAUUUAGUGCCACUUAAUUAAUUUAGAUGUUCAAUUUUUGGUAAUCAAACAGUCUGAAUAUAUUAAGAUCUGAAUCCAUUAAAUUAAGUACCGAAAUUUUAUGUUUUCAAGCAUAGGCAUUGGUUGCACUCAGUAUAAAAUGAGUCUGACUUCCUGUGCUAGAUAGACAUACUCUUAAACUGAACUUAGAUGAGAAUUGCAGAAACAUGGAAAAAAAUGAUUACCAUGCCACCAGUGAACACACUGUCAAGUUUGCAAGAGAAAUUAUCAUUUCAAAUAAGAUAAUUAGAGCAGGCUUCAGGUAACAAAGGAGGUCAUCUUUACAUGCAAUGGAGAAUCAAAUGAAGCAAAACAAAAUUUCGAAGUUUUGGAUCUAGCGCCAUUCUCUUGCACAAAUCAAAACAAAAACUGGUAAUAUCAAAGUUUCCUAAAGGCAUACAAUGACACAAAUUCCAUUUGCCCUUGUUAUCUGCAUGGAUGAAUCUUCGAGCCCUCGUGGAUACUAACUUAACAAUGAAUAGUAUCAUUGGGGGGUAUCUGAAAUGAGCAAACUCAUACUUUUGCUUACUCAAUCUUGAUCUAAUCAAGUAUUUCUCACUCCAUUCCAGGUUGACAUUUGGAAAUUGAGGUAUCUGUUUCUGCCACUUGAAUGGAUUGGUAUGAAUGCCAUGCUUGUGUAUGUCAUGGCAGCUGCAGACAUUUUCGCAGGAUUCAUUAACGGGUGGUAUUACGACAACCCUCAUAACACACUGGUACUGCACUCCUUUUAGCUGCCAAAUAUUCAGCCUUAAUAUGUUUGUUUUUCACUGCUCAAUUAUAGCAAUACUAAAACAAGCAUUGCAAAAUAUAAUAGCUGCUCUUCAUUGUCAUUGUUAUCACAAGCCUGUCUGUCCCCUUUAAGUUCUUGCAAGCUCUAUGCUACUUGAUGAGUUUCUGACUAUCAAAACAUUCUCUAUAGGUGCAUUGGAUUCAGAAGCACAUAUUCAUUGACGUUUGGCAUUCAACAAAAGUAGGGAUUCUACUUUAUGUCAUCUUUGCAGAGAUACUGUUCUGGGCUAUUGUUGCUGGCAUUUUCCACCGUUUGGGAAUUUACUGGAAGCUUUAGUUUCUGUGCUUGAUGCAUUUUGGUCCUUUUCUAGCUUUGUUAAUUAUAGCACCAUAUUUCAUCAUAACUGAUACCUUCUGCUACCUGUAUAAGGUUUUAUGAGCUGAUUUGUUGUUGAACUCGACAUUUUCAAUAGGUCUCCAAAUCAGAAAAAUGGGGCUUAAGACGCUCACUUGGGCUGUAGUGCAAUAACUUUUGCUCAUUCCGUUCUAUUGAUUUAGGUUAAGGUCUAAUCCAUUCGUAAGAAUAUGCAAAGAUUUUACCAAACAACUACCAAAGUGCAGCCAUGGGUCCAACAAAAAAUUUAUUGAGUGUUGUUGGACUAGGGGCCGAGGAGCUUGAUACCCCUUAAAUAAAGUUUUGAAUUCAAAUCUUGUGAACGGAGAAAAUAAAAGAGUCAUGCCGUAAAUGGCGAUCCGAUACCAUUCGAAUUAGCUGGGGUCCAAUGCAGUCACUAGACAUCAAGAAAUUUACACUAAAAAAAAAAACAGAGUUCCAACCAAAAAUUAAUUUCAUAGGAAUGAGGAAUCCAUAUAAUAUUGUCUUCAAGAACAUGUUGGGCUCUUAUCAGUUUUUUUUUUUUCCAUUAAUUGUGGUAGGACAAAAUUACAUUAGCAUAUAGGAAGCAAAGUGUGCAAGAACGUCCACUGCAAAACUGAUUGGUAUCUUUUAUUCGCGCAAAGUAUAUGAAUUUGGCAAAUAAACGUUUUUCAUUUUUGUUGACUUGUUUUGCGUUGGGGGGGGGGGGGGGGGGAGAAGAGAGAGGAAGAAGACAAAGAAAAAACUUGAUUGUAUAUAUUACCUUAAAAGAAAUUACUAAAAGCUAUCACAAUAUCUGACUUUGUCUUCAAUGUUCCUAAAUUUUCAAAUAGGUGCAAGGUAAUGCCAGGCUAUCAGAUUUAGAUUAAGGAGAAUAAAGAGUAAAACGGAGCUUCCUUGUUUGGAUUGAAGUUUUUCAAAGAAAAUUUUUGGGAAAAUGGCCUGUUUCAUCCUCACAUUUCACAAAAAUAUUCUUUUCGUCCCUCACUUUUAAAAUGAAACAAUUUCGUCCUUGACAUUUAAAAAUUAAAGCUAUUACAUCCUUGAACUCAAUUUUCAAUCUGAAUCAAAUCACCUAUUAACUUGAUUACAAAUUUUGAAGGUAUAAUUGGUAGAUUACUUGGUUAACUCAACUUGAAUUCCUACAUUGUCAUUGUAUACACUGAUGAUUUUAUAUACCUGCCAUAUCAUUUCAAUUUAAAUUUAAACACGAAAUUUUGUAUUUAUGAUACACAUCUAGACUCGUAAGCGAAUAUAUUAAUGGUGCAUGAAAAAAUUUUCCCAAAAGAAAAACUCUACUAUUCCAAGACAAAUAAUGGCCUUUAUGUUAUAAUAUUUAUUUUUGUGGUUUGAUAAAUGUCAUCCGAAUAUGAUGAAAUUGACCGAGUGACCUAUCAAUUCUAUCUCCGAAAUUUAUUACUGGGUUAUUGGAUGGUUUGAUUCAGAUUGAAAAUUAGGCUCAGGGAUGUAAUAGCUUUAAUUUUUAAAUGUCAGGGAUGAAAUUGCUUCAUUUUAAAAGUGAGAGACAAAAAGAAUAUUUUUGUGAAAUGUGAGGGAUGAAGCAUGUCAUUUUCCCAAAAUUUUUUAUACUUUUCGUGAUCAUAUUUUUCAAUCACCUUUUUAUCUCACAUACAUCAAAUUGUUACAGUAUAUUUUUCUACAAAAAAUCCAAAAAAUAGCAAUCCCAACAACCUAUUUUUCCAAGAAAACUAUUAUCUUACUUAUAGAUACAACUAAUAUCCUGUGAUUGCAUUCUAUUUUAUAUCUCUAGCUUAUUUAUAGUUUGUAUACAAUUUGAAUUAUUUCAAGUCAAAUGACAAACAUGUAUAAUAAGCUAAACACACAAAAAAAAAAAAGUGCGCAACAUACUAUUUUGAGGUAAAUGAAUAUCUUUCCUUAUUUCAAUUAGGUCUUUUUCACAAUUUUUUGUUUGUUGUGCCAUGUGGUCAUUUCUGUGCAUCGCCUUUUUCUUUUUUCUUUUUUUUUUGAAUUGCUUUGAUUAUAAGUAGUUCAUUUAUUUUAACAAUUCUAAAAAAAUCUAAUUCAAACGUGCUACAUUGGUCCUCCUAAACUAUUGUAUACUUUAAAAUAAAAAACAAAGGUUGUUGGGGGGGGGGGGGAGUUUCGUAACGGGUAUCUAUUGAGCACUCGUUAAGACACAUAAAUUUCACCUAAAUUAUUAUGUAUACAUAUAUUAAUAAUUAUUAAUCUCCCAUACAUUUAAACAUUUUUUAUAAUUAAUCUCGUCUUUAAAAAAUUAACACCUGAGAUAUAUUUCAACGAGUGCUUCAUAGGUUACACAAACCAAAAGGAAAAAAAAAAAAGGGAAAAAAGGGUUCUAUUCACCUUUUGUAGGCAACCAAUUCCCAAAUGGGCUAGUCUAGAGAACAACUCCGUUAAUUUGUUACGCAUCCUGAUUCUACACUUCAUUUUGGGCUCGGAAUCCAAUAUCUCCACUAUGGGCUUUCCUAGUUGUGAUCCAAUUCAACCACCGAACACUCCAUUCGUCGGAGAAAAGUUUCGUCUCCCCUUUCAUUUUCUUGAAGAAGAAGUUUUUCUCAUUUAUUCUCGUGAAAGGUCGGAGCUCGCAAGUCUCUUUACUCUCUCAGAACAGAUCCCUUUCUCUCUCACACACAACACACACGAUAGACACACACACAAUCUGGGGACGGUGAAUUGAUCGGAGAACAUUAUGGCGGCGCCGAUGGUAGAAGACAGCAACUUCGAAGACGACCAGCUCAACUCCAUGUCCACUGACGACAUUGUUAGGGCUUCUCGCCUUCUCGAUAACGAGAUUCGGAUCCUCAAGGUUUUUUUUUUUUUUGCAUAAAUUAUUAGUAAUAUGAUUUUGGACUUCGUUUGUUUGCUAUGAGAAGUUGAUUUUUUUGGGGAAAAUGAUAAAAUUAAAUUAUUGAUGUUGAUCGUGCAAUUUUGGUGAAAUUCAGGAAGAGUUGCAGAGGACGAAUCUAGAAUUGGAUUCCUUCAAGGAGAAGAUUAAGGAGAAUCAAGAGAAAAUUAAGCUCAAUAAGCAGCUUCCUUACUUGGUCGGCAAUAUAGUAGAGGUGAUUUUUAUUUUAGGGUUUUUUAGUUUCAAUGUUUCGUUUCUGACCUUUUAUGCUGUAAAUUUCACUUAUAAUUUUAGACCAAAAGGAAAGUUUUUUUUUUAAGGUUUUUGUGCAUGUUGAGAGAAACUUUGCGUAUAAGUUUAUUCGAUGAGCAUUUCCAUCGUUCAUGCUUUUGGCCAUGGUUUUUUCAUUUUGAACUUCUGAAACUUAUUGGGAUAAACAAAAUUAAAAGAGAACGCUAAUUGUAUGAAGGUUUCUGUGGUUCAGGAUGCUAAUUUGAUAAAAGAAAACCUAAACUUUAUCCAGAUUUCCCCUGAGACAUUCAGAGGAGAAAGAAGAUAGGAGAAGAAUUAAGUACCGCAUAAAAUUUACUGUGAGAUUUAUAACUAUUUUUCUGUAUCCAAAAUCUUUUAAUCGUCUUCUAUUAGCUUAAAGUUUUGGGUUGUUGGUGGAAUCAGCAUCAGCCUACACACCUAUUACUGGCGCUUUUGAUGUGGAGGGCCCUUUAAAUGUAUGCAUUAUUGCUUUUCUAGUUACUUCUUGCUUUUCUUUAACUUGAAACUUUUUGGCUUGAGCCUUGUUCUCUAUUUUUACCCCCCUCAGUGAAUGCAUUGGGUUUCAUUUGACUUGGAUGGGGAAAACAAAAUUAGGACCAUAAGUGAAUUUCGUUCUGGACUUUGUUGUGUUUCAAUUUCUCUGGCAGUUAUCUUCCAUUAUACUUUUGCUGGAGAGUCCAUGCUGAGGUUCUAGGUGAAGGAGCAGGUGUUUUUCAAAGGAUUUAUUUUUCAUCAUGUGAUUCCAUGUUCUCAUCAAAAGCCUCCUUUGGGGUCAGCAUAUCAUAUAAUGUAUGUUAUUUAUUUUUCUGGUGAUUGCUAUAUUAGCUAAUAUGAUUUUGCACUUUUCAGAUUUUGGAAAUGAACCCAGAGGAAGAGGCUGAGGAAGAUGGUGCAAAUAUUGACCUUGACUCUCAAAGGAAGGGCAAAUGCGUUGUAUUGAAAACUUCCACUCGCCAAGUAAGUUGCCUUAUAGAAAGCUUUAAUGAUUGUUUAUGAGCUCAAGCUUCUAGAAUCAUGUCCUAGUUCAUCAUAAAGUCCAUACAUUUUUUGGUUUUUCUAAACAUUUUGUAUUUUGAUUGUAGACAAUUUUCCUUCCUGUUGUUGGCCUUGUUGACCCUGAUAAAUUAAAGCCUGGGGAUUUGGUUGGAGUAAAUAAAGAUAGUUACUUGAUCUUGGACACACUACCGUCUGAGUAUGAUUCUCGAGUCAAGGCGAUGGAAGUUGAUGAAAAACCAACUGAAGAUUAUAAUGACAUUGGUGGUCUGGAGAAACAGGUAAAGUUCUUACUUUUUGGAAUGCUUUCUGUUGUGGCAUUCUUGGAUUUACUUAUUUAGUUGGCCAUGCUUAUGGAAUUGUGUUCGUUGUCAUAGAUCCAAGAACUUGUUGAAGCCAUUGUUUUGCCUAUGACCCACAAAGAGCGGUUUCAGAAGUUGGGGAUUCGUCCACCAAAAGGGGUCCUUUUGUACGGACCUCCUGGAACAGGGAAGACAUUAAUGGCUCGUGCAUGUGCCGCCCAAACAAAUGCUACUUUCCUUAAGCUGGCUGGACCCCAGCUUGUACAGGUGAUUAUGAUCACCAUAGAUAUCCUGGAUAAUUUGUCAAGUGGUCCUCUAAUUGUCAUUUUUGGUCUCUUCUAAGUCUGUUUAUUGGAACUUCCUGUGGCUUCUUCUGGGAUACUCUAUGGUGUAAUUUCUAAUGAAGCAUGUCACAUAUUCACUCGUUUGUCUGCUAGUAGGAGUUUAGGUCGGAUGCUCUGCUUGGAGUUUCUAGCAAAACUUAUCUUUUUGCUUUCAAACUUAGGAUACUCUUUCCAUUCAAUGUGCCUUUUUUUCAAAUUUUUUUUUUCGGUUAAUGAGCAUUAGCGAAUGCCAGAGAAUUAGUUACAAAUUUGACUUUUAAGGGGCAAAUAGAAGUCUCAUCUUUAUUUUUGAAGAAUUACUAGUGUUUUCACUAAUCAAAACAGAGGACUUAAUUGCUGCACCUUAUCAUGGAUUUUGGAGCACCAUAAGAAUUCAAUAAUUUGCAUAAUCUUUGAAUUUUAGGCCUUUUUGGAGGAAGUAUUCAGAUUUCUCUUUGGUGCUUUUGUUGCUAGAUGGUUUUAACUUUUCCCUUCUAUCCAUAUUCUUAAUAUGAGAUUUAAUUUAUUCUUAAAAGAGAGGGCUGUGGUUAGCUUAGUUUUCCAGGUGACAAAUGAUUCUGCAAUGUGGUGCAUGAGGGCUGUAAUUUGGUGUUCUUUAAUAAAGUUGACAGGCAAUUUGUAUAUAAUAUAACUAAAUAUACUUUGAUGCAGAUGUUCAUUGGAGAUGGAGCAAAGCUUGUCCGCGAUGCUUUCCAGCUUGCAAAGGAAAAAUCUCCUUGUAUAAUCUUUAUUGAUGAGAUUGAUGCCAUUGGUACAAAGCGUUUUGAUAGGUAAGCAAAUCGCUCGGGGUACUGCUUGAUUUUAUUCAGCCUGGGGUUUUUUGUGCUUAAUGGAUUCUCAUGGUUUAUAAGACGUGAUUUAUUAAAAAUUGGAAAGAAAAAAAGAGUAAAGCAUUGCAUAGCCCUAUACAGAUUGUAGCAGGUAUCCAUCCUUAUCUGAUCAAGUUAUGCUUUUGUUUUGCAGUGAAGUCAGUGGGGAUAGGGAGGUCCAGAGAACUAUGUUAGAACUGCUUAAUCAGCUUGAUGGUUUUAGCAGCGAUGAUCGGAUAAAGGUUUCUUUUUUUAUUUUUUUUCACACCCCUUUUCUUUGUUCUCGUUGUGUUGGCAUAUGAUUUUUUGCGGUUAACUUGGGAUAGGUUUCGACACACAGGCAGUAGAUGUUCUUCCUAGUAUAGUGCUAUUUUGGUGCUUUUGCAAUGAUAUUAGAUUUUAGUCAUUUAUGUUACUUUGAUACUUGUCCAAGCUCAACUAGUGGGCUUCUACGAAAUUAUGUCUAAUUUCUGACAGUUUUGUGCUGGUGUAUCUUGGUUAAAUUGUUCUUAUUUUUCUUUUGCUUUGGUAAAACAUCUGCAGGUGAUAGCGGCGACAAAUCGAGCUGACAUUCUAGACCCUGCCUUGAUGAGAUCAGGUCGACUUGAUCGCAAAAUCGAGUUCCCCCAUCCGUCUGAGGAGGCCAGGGCUCGGAUCUUGCAGGUACAUCUCUUAACUUAGAUUAUCCUUUUCUUACUGCUUAAUCAUCAUGCUUUAGUAUUGUCCAUACCUUUCUGGGGUUUACUUUUCAUUUUUAAUUAUUUUAUCUUGGUGUGGUGGUAUUGCAGAUACACUCCAGAAAGAUGAAUGUUCACCCUGAUGUGAACUUUGAGGAGCUGGCUCGUUCAACAGAUGAUUUCAAUGGGGCACAACUGAAAGCUGUCUGCGUAGAAGCAGGCAUGCUAGCACUGCGGCGCGAUGCCACUGAGGUCUGUCUCUCUCUCCGCAUUGUUUUUUUCUUAAUAUUUUUUUCCUGUUUCCGACUUCUUGGUUAGACACGACUUGUGAAAGGUAUUUGCACAUUUAGAUACCAAAAGCAGGGAUAGGGGUAGAAGAUGGGGAUUCAAAAUAGUCGUCUUUUUUAAAGAGUAUUUUGGGGAUUACGUAUGCUGCUGGGAUUAAUAUGAGAAAUUGGUUAAGAUGCUGCACAUGGAAGUUGGAAUGUUUUUUCAUGGAGGGGUUUUCAGACAUCUGAGCUCAUUUUUUAAAACAACUCUCUUCUUUUUCCAGGUGAACCAUGAAGACUUUAAUGAAGGUAUCAUCCAAGUUCAAGCAAAGAAGAAAGCCAGCUUAAAUUACUAUGCAUAGAGAUCAUGUGGGUUCAGUGAUUUCAAGCAUGUGGACGGCGAACGUAUGCUCACGUCAUAACUCCAUUUACUUGGCUGUGCUGUCAUUCUCGUACCCACACUCAUCUUUUUUUCCCCUGGGAAAAUCAAAAGAGAGAGAAAAGUGGAGGAAAGAAAGAGUGUUCUAAAACUAAAUCAGGAAAACAAGUUUCAGGCGGUAGAUCUUUUUCUUGUACCGACACUAAGCCGUACUGGUUGACAUUUUGAUUUGUAUGUAUUUGAAUGCACAAUGCAGUGGAGUAUUUGGGUCGCAGGUGUAACUUCUUCUUUGCUUGUCCCUCCAAGGUUUUAAAGCGGCUUUUAAUAUCAUUCUACGCCUACGUGAAAGCAUUACUGGAUUGGACUUUCUUUGGUUGUGAAUGUGCACUAUAGGAUGUUUUAGCAACUAGCGCGAAGACUAGUUGCCUUCAGGUGGUUUAGUUCCUCUUUUUAUCUUUUUCGUCAGUUUCAUGUGAUCAUGUAGAUGCAUUCUUUUCUAUAAUUACUGGCAAAAGAUAGGAAGCGGGUGCUACCAGCGUCGCACAGUUACUGUGAAAUUCAAAUUGCCGCUGGGAACGAAUGUGAGUAGGUGCUACCAGCGUCCGAUAGAUGUAGAAGAUCAUCAAGCUUAAAAGAGGACAUCAUGAAGCAGAAUUACGUGCCGUUAUUGUUGACGGUAUACUGGUUCUGCAUAAUCUGCUGUAAUGGGCAUGGCAACAACGGAAUGCUACUCUGAUUAGCAGCAGCAGCAGCUAGUGAAAUGUCAAGUUCCAUGUUGACUUGCAACAUUUACCAUGUUGCUGCUGUUUCUUGUGGCUUAAUUCCAAAGCAAGUCUUUAAGAAGUGAAAACUAAGAAAAAAGAGAGAGAAAGUUCUCUUCUUCAUAUUUCUGAACUACACAAUGUACAAAUAUAUAUAUAUAUAUAUAUACACAAGUGUAAUCUAUUUUAGAUUCUAAAAUCAUGCUAACCUAAAUCACUCUAUCGCCUAAUUUUAUAAUCAAAACAAAGCAAAUCUAAUCUUUUCUAAUAUUUAUAAUAGCAAAUCUUUCUAUAAUCACAUAUUUUCAACACUCCGCCUCAAGAUGGAGCAUAGAUGUUAAUCAUGCCCAUAUUGCCACAAAUAUAAUUAAUUCUCGGAUCAUUUAGAGAUUUAGUGAAAAUAUCAGCUAACUGCUUUCCAGUUCUCACAUGACUGGUUGAAAUCAAGUUUUGCUGAAUUUUUUCACGAACAAAAUGGCAAUCAAUUUCGAUAUGCUUUGUUCUCUCAUGAAAAACUGGAUUUGAUGCUAUAUGAAGGGCAGCUUGAUUGUCACACCAUAACUUCAUUGGAAGUGAAUUAUUGAUUCCCACCUCACACAAUAAUUGGUGUAUCCAUAUAAGCUCACAAGUGGAUUGUGCCAUAGACCGGUAUUCAGACUCUGCACUAGAGCGAGAUACUACAUUUUAUUUCUUACUUUUUCACGAUACCAAAUUACCUCCAACGAAAACACAAUAUCCAGUUGUAGAUCUUCGAUCAAUUUUAGAACCUGCCCAAUCCGCAUCUGAGAAGCAUUCAACAUGAGAAUGGCCAUGAUUACCAUAUAGUAUACCACAUCCCGGAGUUCCUUUAACAUAACAUAAGAUUUGCUCUAAAACUACCCAAUGGGUGGUUCUUGGUGAGAACAUAAAUUGACUCACAACACUAACUGGAUAUACAAUGUCACGACGAGUCACAGUAAGAUAAUUCAAUUUUUCGACUAACCUCCGGUACAUUUCAGGAUCUGAGAAUAACUCUCCAUCAUCUGCUAUAAGUUGCAUGUUGGGAAUUAUUGGUGCACUACAUGGCUUAGCACCAAAUUUUCCUGUUGCUUUCAAAAAAUCAAGGACAUACUUCCUUUAGCAUAAGAAGAUACCUUGUUUACACCUUAUAACCUCAAUACCUAAAAAGUAUUUCAAUAUACCCAAAUCUUUUAUUUGAAAGUGCGAUUAAAGAAAAUUUUUAAGGGCUGCCAUACCUGUAUUGUUACUACCAGUAAUAACAAUAUCAUCAACAUAAACCACUAUUAGGAUAAUACCAACUUCAGAUUGUUGAUAAAAGACAGAAUGAUCAGAAUUAUACUUCUUCAUGCCAAACUUUUGAACCACCUUACUGAAUCUCCCAAACCAAGCACGAGAACUCUGUUUUAAACCAUAUAAUGACUUCCGGAGUCUACAAACCUUACUAAACUCCCCCUAAGCAACAAAUUCAGGUGGUUGCUCCAUAUAAACUUUCUCUUGUAAAUCCCCAUGAAGGAAUGCAUUCUUAACUCGAAUCUAUAGAUAGAGAAGAUGGUGGAGGAUGUGAGUCUAUGUGUUGAGAACGACGAGAAUAUACUUGAGUGAUCGGUGGUCUGAUAGGAACAAUUGUUGUAACAGUAUAGACUAGAAUAUUAUCUUCCUCCUCCUGACUACUAUAGACAUUAGACUCAAAAAAAAUGGAUAUGUCUCAAAAAAUGUAAUAUCAGCAGAAACUAAAUAACGAUCUAAACUUGGAGAAUAACAUCUAUACCCUUUUUGAAAAUGUAAAUAACCCAAAAACACACACUUGAGAGAUUUGGGAUCUAAUUUAAACACUUGAAGACGGGUAUCACGAACAAAACAAGUACACCCAAAUAUACGUGGUUCAAUGGAGAAUAAAGAUUGGGUUGGAAACAAAAUUGAAUAAGGAAUCUCACUAGCAAGCACAGAAGAUGGCAUGCGAUUAAUUAAAAAAGCUGUUGAAACAGCAUCUGCCCAAAAUUGCUUAGGAACCUUCAUAUGAAAUAGAAGGGCUCUAACAACUUCUAAUAAGUGCCUAUUUUUCCUUUCAGCAAUACCAUUUUGUGGUAGUGAGUCAAAACAUGAAUAUUAGUGAAGGAUUUCAUUUUCUGACAUAUACGAAUUAAAGAGUUUAGAAAAGUAUUCUUUUGCAUUAUUACUUCACAAAAUAUGGACAGACACAUUGAAUUGUAUUUUUAUUUUAGUACAAAAGAAACAAAAGAUACUAAAUAAAUUUGAACGACUUCUCAUUAAAUAUAAUUAGAGCUGUUAAUCGAGUCGAGUAUUUGGCUGCCGAGCUCGACUCGAGUUUAAUUCGAGCCGAGCUCGACUCGAGCUCGUUAAGAAAACGAGCUUUAAAAUGUGUUCGAACUCGGCUCGUUAAAUGUACAUGUGGCUCGAGCUCGAGCUCGAGCUCGACUCGUUUAUCACAAACGAGUCGAGCUUCAUGAGCUCGAGCUCGAGCUCGUGCAAAUUAACAUUAAUAAAAACCUAUAAUUUUUAAUUCAUAUAAUUUUGAUUUCUAAAAUGACAAAUAUGCCCUUCAUUAACGAGCUCUAACGAGCUACUUGAGUAUCAAACGAGCCGAGCUUACUCGGCUCGUUAACUAAACGAGCAUGUUUCGAGCUCGAGCUCGACUCGUUAACCAAAAUUAACGAGCCGAGCUCGAGCCUUAACGAGCCGAGCUCUAACGAGCUUUCGAGCUACUUGAUUGGCUUAACAGCUCUAAAUAUAAUCAAAUAACACGAAAGUAGUCAUCAACAAAAGUGACAAAAUACUUAAAACCAAAUUUAGAUACUAUUGGACAAGGGUCCCAAAUAUCAGAGUGCACUAAUUCAAAAGGGGAUGUAACCCGUUUAUUGACUCUAGGCAAGUAAGGCAAACGAUGAUACUUGGCAGAUUGACAUGACUCACAAUCUAAAUGGGAUAAAUUCUGAAAACUUGGAUACAACUUUUUCAAGGUAGGUAGAGAUGGAUGACCCAAAUGACAGUAAAUUUCAAGAGAAGUCAAGGUAGAAAAACAUGCAACAGGUUUCGGCACUUUCGAUGAAGGGGGUUCAAGUAUAUACAGGUCGCCAUACUCACGUCAUUUACCAAUAAUCUUCCCCGUCAUAAGAUCCUGAAAAAUACAAUAUUCAGGAAAGAAUGAGACAGAACACUUGAGAGCUUUUGUAAUUUUACUGGCUAACAGUAAAUUAAAAGAAAAAUUAGAUAAUCAUAAGACUGAAUAUAAGGGGAUAGAUGAUAUAGAAAUUGCUAUACUAGAACCCAUAACUGAAGCACAUGACCCAUCAGUCAAAGUAACAUUUGGAUGAUCUUUGUUAGGAUUAAAAGAGGAGAAGAUACCUUUAUUUCCGGUCAUAUGAUCUGUUGCACCGGAAUCGAUGAUCCAUUUGUUAGAAAAUGACACAAGGCAUAUAGUAAGUUUACAUGAAUGAUCAAUAGAAGGAGGAAUGGUACUAGAAGAUGGGUUAGCAGAUUUUUGUGAGGCCUGGAACUUAGUAAAGCGGGCAAACUCAUCAGCAGAGAUGAGUAUGGAUUUGUUAGAAGGCACAUAAUUGUUUUCCUGGGUUGCGAAAUUUGCAAAUGGGGGCUGCUGUUGAGAUCUACCAUGAAGGUCCCAACACGUACGUAUGGUAUGGCCUGGUUUCUUACAGUGAUAACAGACUCAUUGAUUUGAGUUGUAUUGUCCAUGACCAACAACCCCACCAGUCCCAUUUUUGCCAUUGUUUCUAUCAUUAUUUCCUCGACCAACUCCAUUUCGACUCACGAGAGCGCCAGUAACAUUGGAAGUAGACAAAGAUUUCUCGGUUCUCAACACUCGUGUGAAAGUGUCAUGGAGGGAAACAAUCUCUGGGUUAGAGAGUUUGUGUUCGAGAAGCAUCAAACUCAACUGGUAAUCCUGCAAGAAAACUCAUUACAUCCAUUUGUUCCCGUUGAGACUGUUGAGUUUUUACAUCAGUACUAAAAGUAAGGAGAGAAUUCAAUUCCUUAUACACACGUUUAAAAUCCAUAAAAUAUUCUGUAAGGAAUCUCUGCUAUUUUUUCGGAUGGUAAAAUUCCUUGCAAACAUCAUAUGUAUGAUUUAAAUUACCCUUACCAGAAUACAAAAAGGCCAAAUAAUCCAUAAUAUUUUUAACAAACUCACAAUGAUUGAUGAGACUGACUAUCUCAUUAUCAAUAGAGUUUCGGAUCUGCAAAAAUAAUUUUGCAUCUUUCCUUAGCUAAACCUUCUUUUCUUCCCCAUCAACGGAUGGGUUAUCAGUGAAUUGAUCAUCUCUAUCAAUGCUGCACAGAUAUAUCCGAAUAGUUUUACUCCAAUCCAAAAAAAAAUUUCCACUCAGUUUGUGUUCAGUAAUCUUUGAUGUUGUAACAAUAACAUCAGAAAUUACUGUUUUCAUUUCUCUACUACUAACUUUCAUAUCUGCCAUUAUAAUUCACACAAAAAAAAUUUUAAAAGUUAUUCAAUAGGGUCACGUCAAAAAACAAAUUGAUAACAGAGUCUAAAGCUCUGAUACCAUGAAAACUAAAAAAAAAAGGAGGAAAAAUACUCUUCUUCAUAUUUUUGGAUUACACAAUAUACAAAUAUAUAUAUACACAAGUAUAACCUAAUUUAGAUCCUAAAAUCAUGCUAAUCUAAAUCAAUCUAUUGCUUAAUUAAUAUUUGAUGCUAUAAUCAAAACAAAUCUAAUCUAAUCUUUCCUAAUAUUUACAAUAGCAAAUCUUUCUAUAAUCACAUCUCUUCAACAGGAAGAAACGAAAUUGAGUGAUACAUGGUUUUUAUGGUUACUUAGCAUGGCACCUACUUCUGUUUCUUCUUGAUUGUCGAUCAAAUUACAGCGUCCCUGCCUGCUUUUAUUUGGUUGCGCAAUGGCUCUUUAUCGAGGUUUAGCAUUUUGCAGUUGCACCUUCGGUCUUGUUUAAAUGAAAGACCGAAUGCAUCCAACCAUGGAUGGAGGAACAAAAUUACACAACCACAGGCAGCUGGAUGGAGCACAAAUAUGCCCUGUAUGUAACUUACUUGGUAUCGAUUGUGCCUUUCCAGUCAAAACCUUAUAAGGUCCCUCCAAGAAUGACUAUGCUCCAUCAGGACGCACUUAAUCGCACCAAACAUCAGCUACUGUAAUAAAUAGACCUGAACCCUCCACCUUUUAGAAGAGCUAGAAUUUUACUGCCAGCUGAACAUGGUAUGAGGAAAAGUUUUGAUUUUGCAUACAGGGAACAAUCCCCAAGCUUGGUUUAUGCAGGAUGCUAAUCUGAGAAGGCAUCCACUUCAUGCAACUCACUGAACCAAAAAUAACAACUCAAAACUACACUGAUGCAAGUUGUUGGCAAAGUCAUUAGGAACUCCUAUUAUUCUCAAAAUCCUCUGUUAAAACAUAUAAGCAUGUAAGAAAAUGUAGCUAUCAAAAUUUAAAACGCCAAGGCAAGGCGUGUUCUACUGCCAAAUACUAGCACAACUUGAACGUAAUAAAGACCACUACACAAAACAGCUUCCUGAUUAUUGCACGCUUUAUUUCUAGCAUUUGACCUCCUUCAGCCCAGGUGCAAGGUAAAGAAAAGUUGGAUCGGUGGCACCUUCUUUGUAGUAUGCAAACACGAUUGAGCCAUCAUCAUGCAUGCUCUCACCAACAAAGCUGCAGAACACAUAAAACGAUCAAACAAUCAAUGAAUGUUUUCAUCCAAAACAACACAGCGGCAUUCAUCUAUAUACUGCUUCAAUUUCAAAUGUGGAAGUAGACAGAGAAUCCUGUUUCAUCAAAUAGGGUCGACACAGAGACAGGGAAAAGAUUGAGUGGACUUACAACUGAAGGUCGCUCAGCUUUGACAGGAGGUAUUUAGUUGCUCCUUCAAUGUUCUUUUUGAAAGCAUCCAGCUUCUCAGGCUCCAACUUUGGACUUAAAUUCUUGAUAUAUUUCUUGAUGUAUGCAACAAACUGCUUUUUGUCGAAAGCGGGUUGCUCCUACAAAGAGGCAAGAGUCUCUUCAUUGAAUAACAAGAAAGAAUAAAAGAGGAGGUCCAAUUUGGAGUAGUUUUGCAGCAAAAGUAUACCAACCUGAAGUCUGAAAGUAUCAACAAUAUCAACAACCUUGACAGCUUGGUCGUCAACUCCUUCAUCUUCUUCUCCACCUUCAGCAGAAGGAUUGGCCCCAAUAUUCACCUCCACAGCACCUUGAACGACCCACUGAUUGAACAUUCCAAUAAUUAAUGUCAAAUUUGACUUGUCACAAAUAAAUUUUUCAUGCUAAUAUGUGAAGCAUGGCCUAAAAUGUCUCUUUCCCUCCUGAUACAGAACAAUUCUACAAAACAAAAAAUAGUUGAAAUAAAAAAAAAAGGGACGAAAGCCUUUACCUUCCCUUCUACUUCCCACAGCAUUCCAUUCUCAAUUUCCUUAUAGGGGAAUGAGUCGGAUAGAAGCUCAUCGCCUGGAAAUAAUAAAAAAUUUCAUAGUAUUACUUUCUUGAAGCAAUAAAUAAAGACUAAAAGGAGGAGUUGAUGCAGUUGACAGCUAAAAAAGGACCAGUACCCGAGCACACAGGAAAGAGAUUGCCACAAAUCACAGCUUAAAAAAAGCUAUCCGUGAGAAAUAGUAUAAAGUUUCAAUCUUUAUAUUAGAAGGAAAACAUAAUUGCAAGAAACUCUGCAAGAAUGCUACGAUGAAUCUGGUAGCCACAGAAGCAAUUGCUAAGCUUAUGUAAAAGGUAUACCAAUUAGCCAUCUUUAAAUAUUUUUAGAUCCCAAUUAAUCAGUAUCAACAAACUUUUACUGACAAUUUGGCAAUUACUGGUUGUGUACACCAUACAACUCAACAUGCUCUGAGAUUAGAAGACUCCCCAGCAACACAGGCAGUGCACUUGUGCUUUCUUAAAUAAUAGUAGCAAUUAAUAAGUCAAUUGCUCCUAAAUUUAAAUUAAACAUGCUUGAUAUCAUUUUCCGACCAAGUUUCCCUUGAAGGGUUAGCUAGAAUUCCUUAGUUUUGUGCUCCUAAAAUAAUCUUCAGGGUAAACUCUAAUCAUUCUGGUAUCAACGAAGGACAGAAGUAAAGACUCUGCACCGAUGCUAUUCUCUUCCUUGAAUUGAAAUUCAUAACCGAAGAAACACGCAGGUAGAUCAGCCCCAACGUUAAACACAUAAUUGGUAUCCAAUUAUAGAAACCAAAUAAAUAACAAGUUUACAUCCAAUAAUACAAUCUAAAGGGUUUUUCUUCUUCUUUUCUUUUUCAUGGUUUUCACAUGUAUGAACUCAUGCGAGAAGACAACGAAAAAAAAAGUACAAAAGAAUUAAAUUAAACUCUUAAGCAAACAAAACAUAGGAACUGUUACAAGAAAAAGCAACUUUGGUUGUAUCAUGCAACAAAGUUUUCACACAGAAAAGGUUAAGAAAAGAAGUGUACCAGAAAGAAGAUCCUGGUAAACCAACAUGUUUGCAGACUUGAAGUUUCCUUGGUUGUCAGAUUUUUUUCUUUCUGCUGGCACUAUGGAAGACGUACUAUGCUAUAAUUGUACAGUAAGAGGUAACGAAAGAAAAGGUAGUCCUCCUAAUAAAGCCGGGUGGUGAGCUUUUAUAGUGGAGAAUUUGACGGUGUCCCUUCAGGAAUAGGAAAAUCCUAAUUAAUAAAACCACUUCAUAUUAGGAAUUACUUUAAAAUUUAAAUAAUCUUUUUAUUUGCUUUUAGGAAAAGAAAAUCCUAAUUUCAGAAACCUCCCCUAAGGUUUCUGACAAUUUUAUUGAGCUCCCUUGAGAUUUGAAAAUUUACACAUACCUCCCUUGCCAUUUAAAAUGAUAAUUUUACCCUUAAACAUUUUAAUGAAAUUCCCUUAUUUGGUAUGUUUAUAUUUAGAAUGAGUUUUAAAAUUAUUUUUUCAUUCUUUUUCCUUCUUAUUCCCUUUUUUUAAUUAUUUACCAAUAAAACUGUAGAACUAUUACCAUUGCUUGUAGUUUCUAUUAUACCCAAACAUAGGACUAGUGUUUUUUCGAAUGAAUUAAUUUUAUAUGUAAUUCAAUACUUUUGCUGAUUUUUGUUUUCUAUUUUUUGGUACUAAAAUUAACAAUAGAUAAAAAAAAAUGGCCCAAAAUCACUAUCAAAUUAUGAUAAUCCCACUACCCGAAAAAUUCAUAAACUCUAAAUAAAUUAUUUCAACAUUUUCUUUUCUAUCUUAUAAAUCUAAAUCUAUAAAAAGUGGCAUCAAAAGUACCCUAUCAUAAUGAAAAAAUAAUUAUUAUAGUUAUUUAUCAAAUAGCAGAUAUGGACAUGAAAAUUUUGACACCUUUUCCUUAUAAUUAUACUAGAUAAUCUUAUAAUUAUAUAGGAACAUAAAUUAAAACUCAUUACACAAGGGCAUUUUUGAGUAUUUAUUUAAAAAAUUGAUCAAGCCAAUAUUAUUUUAAAAUUUUGUUACUAAAACUGUCAAACUAAAGGAGGUAAGUAUAAUUUUUCAAACUUUAGGAGCUCAGUGAAGUUAUCAGAAACCACCUCACGGGAGGUUUCUGAAAUUAUCCCAAAGAAACUUGCAAAUUAAUGGGAUUUUGAGAAUUAGAUUCUCCUCCUCUUUUGACUGAUGGCCGACAUGGGCCUUUCUUCUCCGGCCGGUUGUUUUCUUGGCUAGUAGUGCAAUUUGUACACUUCUAUUCUACGUUACUACAAGUGGGAUGCAAGUGAUAUACAGUUGUGUAUGUAUGUUGUAUGUGUCUGCUGGGCGGUGCAUUGAAUUUGGAUUGCAAUCAUUUACUUCUGACUUUGGAUCAAACCCAAUAAAGAUAUUAUUAUCAAUUUCCGGAAAAAAAUAUUAUUUAAAAAAAAAACUGGUUCAAAAUGAAAAAACGAGAUAAUAAGUGAAACCAUAAAAAGGGAAGAGAAUCUCUGCUUUGAGUACGGUUACAUGGUAAAUCUUGCACUAUUAACUUGGUGGUAUUGUAGUAUUAUCAUAGGCUUGUGAAUUUUCUCAUUAGUUAGUUGAAAUAUCAAAUUUACCUUUUUGGUUAGAAUAAAUUGGUUUUAAAUUAGUUAAACUGAAGUGAUGAGAGUUGGAUAUUACUCACAGACACUUAAAGAAUGAUAACUUCAAUCUUGGAGUGAUCAUUUGUUGGGUAAACCCAUAAGUUUGGUUUACUAAGGGUAUCAUUUGUUGGGCUUAUUUCUUUCUAACUAUUUAGACACCAUCUUUGGAGUGAUUUUUUUGUUCCAAUUUGUAUGUGAUUGAUUGUUGAGCAAUGACUGUGUUUUAUUUUGAUGCGCUAAACUUUUGGUUUAAUAAAAGUUAAUUUAGAGAGUUUUUAAACCAUUUAGAUGCAUGUAAUUUGGGGUUGUUUGGCAAAUGAAUUUUGCCAAGUUUUUAUAAGUUUUUAAAUAAUUUUAACUACAUUAACAUUAAAAAACUCCUCAAAGUUUUUAAAAUACACAUCUCAAAAUACCAAAAACACACAAAAAAAAUUUUUUUUUCCUUCUUUCCUUUUUUCUUCUUCCUUCACCCACCACAGCCUUCGCCAUCAGCCAACACCAACUGGCACCUCUGUUGAUGUUAGCACCGGUUUUCUUUCUUUUUUUCUCUUUUCCCUUUUCUCCUUCCUUUUCCUUUCUCCCUCCCUCUCCUCCUCCUGUCCCCUCUUCGCUACCGCUCCUCCUCCUGUCCCCUCUUUUCUUCUCCCUAUCCCUUCCCCUUGUACAAUUUGGUCGCGUGACCAGAUCGCUAGUCAUAGUGAUUAGAUAUUUAGAUCACGUGGAAAUGGGAGGGGAAAUGUGGCAGAUGGAGGGGGAAGAGGUGGUGGAGGAGAGGGGAAGAGAAGAAGGGAGGGGAGAAGGUUGGGAGAGGAGGGAAAAAGAAGAAAAAGAGGGGGAGAGAGAACAAAAUAUAUUUAAAAAAAAACUCCAUCUGUUGUCAAUGCUGGACGUCGACAAAGGUUUUGGCGACCGGCGAUAGAGAGGGAGUAAGAUCAAUGGUGGGGUGAGGGAGAUGAAGAUAAGAGGAAAAAAAAGGAAAAAGAAAAAGAAAAAAAUUUACACACCCUAAAAAGUUUUGGAUUAAUGUUUCCUACACUGACAGCGUAUACACUGUCAAUAUUGAAUAAAUGACAAUUAUACAAAAUUUGAAUUUGAAAUUUAACUUUUGCACACAUGUCAUGAAUCCAACGAUGAUAAUGUAUACACUGUCAGUGUAUAUAAGAUUUACUUAAAAGUUUUUCUACAAUUUUUACUGUAAGCUACAAUAAAAUUUUAAACAAAUAUCCAAAAACCUCAAUCAACUACCUCUAGAGUAGUUGGUCACUAGGGAGAGGUUUAAAACUCUCCUUGAGUGUAAGUCAAUGAAUCAAAUCUCUUAGUUUGCAUUUUUCUUUAGGAUUUCUUGAAAAAAUUCAACAGCGAAAAAUCCAAAAAACUCAUUUGGUUUUCAUGAAGAAUUGACUAAUUCCACAAUGCACCCCCAAACUUGUACAUUUUUCCACUUUGCGCCCUAAAUUUUGAUUUUAGACAAUUUGCACUUUAAACUCUUAAUUUUGAAUAUUUUGCACCCCAAACUCUCAAGUUUGUCCAAUUUAAGUCUAAUCGAUGACUAUAUUUGCAAAAUUAAUGAGAUAAAGAGCGGUGAAAAUCAAUGACAAUAUACUAUUUUAUUCUAACAAUGAUCUCUUAACUUUUUUCACUAAUUUUAAUACAUUAUCAUUGAUUUAUGAAGUCCAAAUUAUUUAUAUUAUUAAUGAAAUUUAUGAGAUAAAAAAUGACACAAAUUAACAAUAAUAUAUUGUUUUAUUUUUGUUAUGAUACAUUAGCACCUUUUGAGAACUUUCAACAUAUUAUCAUCGAUUUGUUCGGUUCUCUAUAUUAUUUAUUUUACUAAAGUUAUUAUUGGUUGAAUUUAAAUAAAACAAAUUUAAGAGUUUAGGGUGCAAAAUAUUCAAAAUUAAAGUUUAGGAUGCAAAGUGAGAAAGUAUACAAUUUCAGGAGUGCAAAAUAUAAUUAGUCCUAAAGAAUUUGAUAGGGUUAAUUAUCACGUUUAACAAGUGACUUAUGGUGCGUCUAAAAACUGAAUUUGAAAUCGAAGUUUGAAUUUAUUAAAUCACUAAAUGGUUAAGUACUAAGGUUCCGUUUGAUAAAACUGAAUCUAAAUUCUAAAAUCUGAAUAUUAAAACAAUUAAUUUGCUGAAUUUUAAGCACUGAAAAGAAAUAUAUGAAUGUCUGAAUCUUAAUACUGAACCUAUUUAUACUGUUUGAUAAACAUUUAAAAUUGAAUGCUUAAUAAGCUAAAUUGUAUAUUUUUGCCCUUCUAUCUUUUCAUCCAAAAAAGAAAUAAAAUUUAUGAUUUAAUUAACUUAAAAUUGUUAGGUAUAAAACUGGCAAUAUUUAUUUUUAAAUCAAAUUAAUAUAAAAGAUGAGAUAUAUUAUGAAAAACAUUACAAUCCAAUAAUUCAUAUAACAUCUAAUAUUUUGAAUAGAAAAUUUAGAAUUAGAUAAGGAUUUUAAUUAGAUAAGAAUUUUAAAUAGAGAAUAUUAUGUUGUUUAAUUGGAUAAGGAUUUUAAAUAGAGGAUAUCAGGUUGUUUAAUUAAAUAAGAAUUUUGAAUGUAAUUAACAAACAAUGGUAGAUUUAAUAGAUAAGAUAAGGUCAUUGAAAUAAAUUUGUUGAAUUAAGUGUUCAGUUACGAUUCUUGUGUUGAAAAAAAUACACACAAAUUCAGAACCACUUAACAAGUUGAGCAAAUAAAUUUUUAUUUAUCAAACGUCCAUAACUUCUGAAUGUCUAAAAAAGUUCAGUUUCAACAAUCAUAUAUAUAUAUAUAUAUAAUAAAGUCGUAUCCUCAUAUUUAUCCCUUUGCAUUUUCUCUUUCCUACGUGGCUUAAUGAGACGGCAAGUAGUUUCCUACGUGGCUUGCUACUUUUUUGUUUGGAUGUAUAUCAAUUCUUAUUUCCUAUAAGAAUUCUUAAUAUUAUAUGAUUCUUAUUUCCUACCCAAAAAAGGAACUAAAAAGUAAUUCGAUAUAAAUAAAAGAGACAUAAAUCUUCUCUAUUAGAUAUAUAGGAAUAAAUCAUAAUAUAUAUUUUUUAUAGUGUCCUUUUUUUUAAUUUUUUUUACAGCUUCAUCAUACAUUUUUUUUAUUUUAAGAUAAUCUACCCAUAUAUAGAACAACGUACAAACAAUCUAGACAUGAAAAUUAAAGAAAGUUAGCCCAAGAAAUUUUUUACAAAACUUACAGUCCCUAUGCAUAAUUGAUGUACAAAGAGAAAUGGCACUUCAUCUGAUUGAAAAUUUCUGGAAAAGUCCAUAAAGAAAAUGUUAACCUUUUUAUCAUUUUAAUUGUUACAAUAUCUAGAUAAAUAUAACUUUUAGAAUAGGUGUAUUUAUACAGGUAUAUGUUAAAAGUCUUGGUAAGUGAUGCAACUGGUAGUGCUUGGUUUGGUAUUUUUGAUCAAGAGGCUGAAAGAAUAAUAGAACACAAACUUUCUUUUAUUUUUGACGAAUUUAACAAGGUAAACUUAUAUCUAAUUUUUAAUAAGGAUUAAUUUUUCCUACACUGAUAGUGUAUACACUAUCAACAUUGGAUGAAUGACAACGAUGCAAAAUUUGAAUUUGAAAUUCAAUUUUUGCACACAUGUCAUGAAUCCAACGAUGAUAGUGUAUAUACUGUCAGUGUAGGAAAUAUUUACUCUUUUAAUAAUAAUAGACAAUCCGACACUUAUUUUAGCCGUUGAAUAUUCUAACAAAAAAAAAAAUCUAUUAUGCAUUUCAUUUUCAGGAAGGGUUUAGCAGUGAAAUCGUAUCAUCAAUUAUAAAUAAGAUUACGUGGAAAUCUUUUGUGUUCCAAAUCAUCUUGAACAAUUACAAUCUGGAACAAGAUAAUAACAGAUUUACAGUGACUAGAUGGUUCCACUGUGAUUUCGGGAGGAAAACGCAUUUCAUGCUUUUACAGGUAAUGUGCAAUAAAUUUUUCUUAUAUUUCACAUAUUAUAUCUCAUAUAAUAUUUUUGUCUUUAAUUUUGAUAAAUCAUUAUCAGAUUGGUGGAACCGACAACCAAUACCAACCUGAAACAUUUUCUUCCCAUAUCCCAAUUAGUAUAACAGAUGAUUCUAAUCAACAACAUUUCAAUACACUUCAUAUGAAUCAUUCAUCAGAGGGUUCAAUAAAAAUCACAGAGGAAAGGAAUUCUCAUAAAAAGAUUUGCAUGAGAAAGUAGAUUUAAUAUACUAUUUUACUUUCUUAAAUUAUAAUCUUUACAUAUUGUUAUACAUAAUUUUGAAUGCGAUAAAUCAUUUUUUUCCAAUACUUAGUUAUCCUGCUUUGCUAUCAUGCAGCGAUAAUGGAAAAUUAAUAAAUGCUGAUUUGCACGGACAGAUCGAGGAGAAUGUUCAAACAAAAGAAAAACAAAAACAAAUUUAUGAAGAAUAGAAUAUUAUUUGACACUAUUCACUGCACUUUUUAUUUAUUUUCAAGUUUUUAAUAUUAUGGUAUUGUUAAAUGAUAUUUUUUCUAUUUUUGAAUUAUUAUUCACUGAAUUAGAUGUUCAAAUUUAUAUUAUAAGAAUACUUUGUAUUAUAAUGCGCACAUAAUAAUAUAUUUAAGAUAAGUUAUAAUAGAUUAUACAUUAAAUUUUUAUUUUAUAUCGACAUUUUUAUAAAAUUAACUAAAUAGUUUAUUAUUUUUCGAUGAUUCCCGUUCAACGAACGGGUACAAAACUAGUUUUUUAUAUUAUCAAACAAACUCCAAAUAUAAUAUAUAUGAGUGUAUAUCAUAUAAAGUGAUAAGUGAAUAGUUUAUCAUUUAUUUUUUUAAAAUAGUUUUAUUUAGAAAAUUUAGUUCAACUAGGUCAUGUUUGAUAACCCAAUUUAGUACUUAAAUUUAAUGGAUUCAGAUCUUAACAUGUUCAGACACACGUUUGGUAAUCAAAAAUUAAACAUCUGAAUUAAUUAAGUGACACUGAAUUUCCUAGGUAAAGCUUGCUCUAAAAAAUAAGUAAUAAGUUAUUCGCUUAUCACUGAAUGUGAUAUAUGUGACAGCCCCACCUCCCCCUAAGGCGAACCAAAGGGUUCGGCGGACCGCCUGCCUAACUCUCGCCGGGACUACGGAUCCGGAACGAGCGUAAACCCUACCAACCGCUCAAAAGAACUUCGAAAAGAUAACAUUCACUGUCCGAAACCCAAACAGGCACAACAACUUUAGAUAACCCUAGAAAAGAACAUUUCCAAACCAAAUCAACUUAGAAACAUGGUUAAACACUUUUUAUAUACACAUGGUUGCAAAUUUACAAUUCAAAAGGGAAUUGUUUGGUUAAAAUACAUUUAAGGUUUUCCAUACAUUGAGGAGCUACACAAAAGAAGAUUCAAACUAGCUCAACUCAUGUUUCAACAUAUCAGAGUCUCCAAAAUGUGGUUUCCUAUAAGGAAAACAAGGAUAACGGAAUGGAGUGAGUUAGAAGCUCAAUGAGGUACCAAAAUAAUCACAGUCAAGAACCAAGGAACUUCACGCUCAAUUAAUCACAUAGGUGUAUCAAAUAAGGAGAGGAACCAAACAACUUAGAUAAAAGGAUACAGAUGACUCUCAGGAGCCAAAUUUCCCGUUGCAGUACUUGAUCCGACUACGUUGACUCUCCGUCAACUUUCAAAUAAGGAAACCAGUCCAGUAGAACACCACUUUAUCGCCAAAUCCUGUUCACCAAUCACACCCCUUACCAGGCCCGAACUACAAAUAGAAACAGAAAUGGUAAUACUCGAGUAUACCGGAAUCAAGAGUCUCAAUACUCAAAGAUUCUAUAAAAACAGGCAUCCACAGAUUGUCAAUUUCCUCGACCAAGCCCUUGCAUGGCUCGAUUUAAUUAACUCCCCAUGAGGUUGAACUCAGGUUUAACAAGGAGGCCGUUGGACACAUUUCCAAACGACAUUAUAACAAGUGCAAGUAAUAGGCUCAAGUUCAUAACAAAUACAAGUAAUAGUUCUCAAUUGGUACAACACAGGCAAGAGAACGAGUGUGAUAAAGUACACCCUCGUUUCAAUCAAAUUAAACAGGAUUCAUAGUCAUUCAUGUCAUAAAUUUCAAGUACAGAUAACUCAAAUAGCAACAAUGCAAGGGAGUGGUACACUCACCAGUUCAAAUAAGGAUACUUCAAAAGUUUCCUUCCCAAGUGUGGCUUUAAUCGUCGGCACCUCCUAGAACAAUCAAGACAAGCACUUAAGACUCGACUCCAAGACCUAGUAUGGAAUUCGCAAUUGAGAUUCGGUUACGAGCCAUAUGCCUAGUCAAAAGAGCCAUUAAUGCAAAGCAAAGAGGUGACCUCGGAGUGAAAAGGUAACAAUUAAUUUUAAAGGCAUGAACAACCUCAAAACCCUACCUACAAUGACUGACCAACUCCAAAUGUGAAGUAGAAAAUGAAAGGAAAAUCAAUACUAGGAAAAUAGGAUUUUCCAGUUUCGCGCAACCCUAUAUGAAAAAUCAUAUCUCAAGUUUUGUAAGUCCAAAAUUAGUAAAAGUUAUACCGUUGGAAAAUACAUUCAAAAGGCUAUAACUUUUCAGAGAAUACCCUCAUAAGAUUCGGAACGCAAGUCAGUCAAAUUCAAGUCUCAAGUUGCUGCUUUAUCCAGUGAAAGACAGAACAGGUACCAUAUUUCAGUCAACUUUGAAAAAUCACCAGAAAUUGUACAGACAGAAACAGGGUCUGAAAUUUAUACGGUUUAUAGCCCUAUGAAUCUAGUUUAAAACGCAACAAACGGAACUUAAUCCCGACAUUUCUACAUCAAGAUAUAGCACAUUUUCCGAAACUGUGCAGAAGCUCCACAAAAAUUUUGACAGCAUUUCCCUUGUCUUUCUUUACUUUCCAUUCAAACCUCAACACCCACAAAUCACAAGCUAUCAAACACCUUAAAUUAGAGCCACAACAAGGCUCGAAUACGAGUCGAUUUCGAGUCAUAAACCGAAUCCACAUAUCACUAGAGUAAAAUAAUAUGGAACGUAUAAGUACAAAAUCAAACUAGAACAUAUGCGAAAACGAAGCUUGGGUUGGUAAACAAAAGGCAGAUUUGCUGUUGCUUAGCGGAAUUAACACAACUAAAGCUAUCCUUAUCGGAUUGAGGUGUAAUUUACACCGUUUUGAAGCUAAGAGAAAGGGUUACAAUGUUGAUGAAGAUCACUUAGUCCAAAUUCCAGUGUAACCUAGUCAAAUUCCCAAUUCUCAGAACCAAGUUCCAACUAAUCUGCUAAUUAACCGUACUAUAUUUAAAUGGCCAUAUCUCAGGCUACAAAAGUCUAUUUAAGGCGUUCUUAGAGGCGUUGAAAAGCUAAAACAAAGACCUACAACUUUCAUGAAGACCACUCAGUCUAGUUCUCACGUUAACUAGGUCAAAUUUACCAAAAUAAUUCCAGAUUUUCCAGUUCAAAAUUCACUGCGGAAAUCAACUAGCAGUCCUGCUUUAUUCACUCAUAUCUCAUCACACAUAACUCCAAUUCAGGUAAUUCCAAAGCCAUUUGAAAUCUAAGAUACAAGGCUAUAAUUCUUAAGAAGACAUCAUCAACCAAUUCGAUAACAUUCCUGGUCAAACUAACCAAUUACAUAAGCUGAUUAUCAGUUUCGGACAGAAACAGGGCAGCAGGGGUAUUUCGGUCUUUUCAUAGAUUACGUUGCUGCGAUUGAGCUGAAAAUUUACAGGCAGCUAGUUAACACCAUUUGCUACAACUUUCAUGUUUUAACCUAAGCCUGAUUCGGCAUCUAACAUGUUCAAAUAAAAUCGGACAGAAACAGGGUCAUUCAAAUCCCUAACCUGGAAUUUCCAUAAUACUACUUCCAACCAUGAAAUAUGCUCAUAAACUACCAAAACUACAACUUUAUACCACUAAUUAGCAAUUAAUUGAAGUAAAGAAGAGGUUCUUGGCAAAAUACCUUAUCUUCCUAUAAAAGAUGGUAGCUUAGACUUUGUCCUCCAAAAAUAACUCCACAAACACCUUGGAAACUACCUGAAAAGUAAGUUUUAUGGAGUAGUUUGGAAAUUAAUCGGUUGAAACUCAAGAUUUGGACAAGAAAUUGAAGUGGAAGAUGAAGAACUCUUUUGGUUUCUCUCUCACUAAUUUCAGCCAAAGGAGACAAGAAAAUGAAUGAAUUUUGGUCAAUUUUUGGUAUUUAUUUGGUAAAGGUGAUAAGAUGGUCUUAUGGUCAAAAUGUAAGAAUUAAUCAACAAGUGACACUUGUCACUUCAAUUAAUACAUGGUUAUCCUUUUGUCUCUCCACUCUCAUCCAUAUAAUAACCUCUAAUUAUCUCUUAGCACCUGGUAAAAUAAACCCGGUAUCCAAAACUUAAUCUAACUGGCCAAAUUUUUCCGAACUUUCCGCACUAGUGGGUCCCACGUCCGGUAUAUGCUCUUAAUUUCUCAAAAACCAACCGAUACUAGAAAAAUCAUCUAAAAACUAUAUUUAAUCAUAAAAAUUAUUUAGAAAAUUUUUCUAAUAAAGAAAAUGCAUAAAAGGCAUACAAUUAAAUAAAAUUAAGUCUAGAAAAUCAAAAAAUUUACGGGUUCUCACAAUAUAUACUCAAAUGUAUUAUAUUUAAUACUUAACAACUCAAUAAUUUAAUGGAUUCAAACUUUAAAUUUUAAAUUUCAGAUUUCAGUAUUAUUAAAUGUUCUCUAAAUUAAUUCAGAUGUUCUAUAUUUUAUUAUCAAACACAUCUAAAUAUGUUAAGAUUUAAACCCAUUAAUUUUACGUGCUUAAUUGGAUUACCAAACAAAACCUUACUUUGUCAACCCAAGUACCUAACCCAUGAGCAAGCAGGUUUAGUAGACUUAUCUAAGAAGUAAAGAGCUUUUCUUAAAGCUCUAGCAUCUAGUGGUUAUUAAAUAUCAUAAAUUUACUUAUCUAAGAAGUAAAAUAUCAUAAUUUUAUUAAAUCUGCACUAGCAUCUAGUGGUAUACAUAGAUACAGACAGAUGUUAAAUACAUAAGAAUGAAUGCUAGAAAUUAAUAAAAAAUAAAAAUUACACCUUGAAAUUUUAGAUACAUUCAAAGAUAAAACAGUAUAGGUCCGAGCCAUUUAUGUAUUUUUCAACCACCUACGCCACAUAUGCUAAUUAACUGCUUCAGACGCCGUUAUUAUGGUGAGAUCUAAUGAAAUAAACCUAAAAAAUCUCAUAUCUGAUAACUAAUCUGUAAAAAACUCAAAUCUAACAAAAGUAAUUAAAAACUAAAAACUCUCAUUAAAAAUCUCUCUGGGAUAGAAGAAAAUUUUCAUUAGAAAACUUUAAAAGAGAAGAAACUCUCACUAUAUAGCUUUAUGAGAGAAGAAACUCUUAUUAGAUAAUCUUAAGAGAUACUCACUACACAAAAAGGAAAGCAAAGAUAAUCAUGAAGGAGGAGACGAAUGGAGAUUGAUCACCCUCUACCAUUCUAUGAAGAGGAUUAGUUGCUAGAGGUAUCUAUCCUACAGUAUAUCUUUUAGAUUCAACAUCAACCAUGCUUCAACCUUGGAGAAUGAAGCUUUGCUUGCAAGGAAAAAUAAAUUUUUUUUUCUAAGGAGGAGGAUAAUUCAGAUUUAGGAGGAGUGAUGUUCAGCAGUUAUGAGCUUGGUAUGAGGGUUUGGUGCCAACUAGCUGCCAAUUGACAUCCUUAAUUCUAUGAAUUUAACCAACUACAAUGCAUCACCAUCAUCAACCACUAGAGUCCAACAAGAAUGAAACUUGUUAAUGGUAGCUAUAUGUCUUGUCGUUCUGGGCUGCCCCCCAGCAGAUCAUUACUUUUUCAUCUGGGCUGCCUCCCAGCAGGGCUCAUCAUUGAUGUUUGGUACACCUAUUUCACAAUGCGGCAAAAGCCAAAAUCCAUAACAAGGCAGUGUAAAUUUUUAUUUGAAAUUUUAGAUAUUCAUUUCAAUUUUCAAAUCAACUUUCUAUAGACUGAUUAUCAUCAUUAAAUGCAUGAUAAGUAAUUCAAAUUUAAAUUCAAAAUUCAAAUUUUAUAUACAUGUCACGCAUUUAACCAUGAUAAUAUAUCCGCUUUCAGUAUAUAAGUUUUAACUCAUUCAUUAAUGUGGCUACAACAAAGAUCUAAAUAUUCGGUAUAGUGAUAUGUUCUACUUAACCCUAUAUCUAUGAAAUAUUUUAUUCUCGAACAGUGAAAAUAUAUAUAUAUAUAUAUAUAUAUUGACCAGAACCAUGAUUAUCAUCCAUUCUGUUGCAGAUUAACCUAGAUUUUUCUAUUGUUACUCAUAUAACAUUCUUGUUUCGAAAUUUUGUCAUGUAAAACACACUCUUUAAAGUUGGACUCAAUUAACUCAAUAUGAAUUGAACUUGAUUAAUUCAAUAUGAGUUGAUUUCAAAUAAUAAUUAAGAGAAAAAAAAACCUUGUCACAGGUAAUAGGUGACUAGUAGAAACUCAACCUUAAUUAAACAACCUUUACAUGUUUUUACAUUAGCAGAUAUAUAUUAUAUUACAUAAUAUGAAUUCAAAUUUGAAAUUCAAAUCACGCAUACAUAUUAUAAAUUCAUAGUUGUUAAUAUAAAAAAAAUCACAAUAUUGCCAGUGAUUAAAAGUUAAUCUAAUAUUUACCAAUUGAGACUAUGAAGAGGCAUAUGGUCCACAGCUGCAGGUGUUAAAAGAUUUGAAAGUAUGGCACCCUUUACAUGUACCUCAUAUGUGGCAAACAAUGGACAAUGAUGAAUAUGAGAAUGUGAUUAGAUUGUAAGGUUUAUAAUGACAAAAGUAGAUGACACUUUUUUCUGUGUGGCAGGAGAAGACAUAAAAGGAGAGAAUAUUCGAAGGUUGGAGCCAUACAUAUUCGUUGGCUCGGAGCAUAAUUUGACGAAAAGCAAAGAAUUCCCUACUAUGACGCAAUAGGUAUUGAAUCUCUUGGAGUAGGUUUUUCUUUCAAGGAAGUCAAACUAAAGCACCGGCCGACCCAGCCAUGCUUUUAUAUUUUUAAUUUGAGAAAAUCGUUCAAAACACUUUUUAUUAUGUGAUGUAUGUGAGAUAAUAAGUUGAUUGAAAAUAUAAAAAGGUGAGUUGAAAAUGUGUUUAUGAUGCAAGCGAAAUAUUAUUUGAAAUAAUAUGUGUAUCCAAACAAACCCAUUUGUUCUUUAUUUUUUAAAGAGUAACUUCUACGUUUCUUAUAAAAUUAAGUCGAUAAAAUUCAGAUUCAACUUUUAUUUUCAAUCACUUUUUAUCCUGAAUCUAUCACGUAACCAUAUAUGGUCAGUUUUUUGAGGUAAAAAAGUUGUAGUAUUUCAAUUUAGAAUUAAUCUUUCCUAUACUGAUAACGUUGGAUGAAUGAUAACUAUGUAAAACUUAAAUUUAAAAUUCAAUUUUUGCACAUAUGUCAUGGAUCUAACGGUGAUAAUGUAUACACUGUCAGUGGUUAUAAAAUUUACUUUUUCAUUAAUAGAUUAAAAAAAAUGGCUCGAUUCAUUUUUAUUUCUAUAUUUAAAAAAAUAAGAUAUGACUGGAAUUACAUUCUUUUUUUUUUAAGUGAAUUUGACCCGAUUCAUAUUCAUUUUUAAAGUACGAUGCAGAUAGGUGGUUUUGAAUCUCAAGAGUAGAUUUUCCUUUCAAGGAAGUCAAACUAAAACACCCAGCCCACCAAGCCUGGCUGUUCUAUUUUUAAUUUCCCGAGGGAUACUUUGUACUUCGUCUUGUUUUUGCUCUUCACGCAGAGCAUAUGAUUUAUGACCAAUAUUUCCAGCUCCAACCAAAUUCUUGCUAGUCGAAAUGAGUUAGUGUUCAAAAUUAAUAUUUUAGGACAAAUUCCACUUUGAACCCUUGAACUUAUAUCACCUUUUACUUUGCACUCUAAACUUCAAUUUUGAAUACUUUACACCAUAAACUCUUGAUUUUAAACAUUUUGCGUCAUAAACUCUCAAGCUUAUCGUAUUUAAGUCCAAUCAAUGAUAACUUUAGUAAAAUUAACAACAUAGAGGACCCAACAAAUCAAAUACUGAUGUGUCAAAAGCAAUCGAAAAAUGCCAAAGUAUCACAACAAAAAUAAAACAAUACAUUUUGUCAUUCAUUUAUACUAUCUUUUUAUCUUGUUAAUUUUACUAAUAAUAUUAGUAAUUGAGACCUUAUAAAUCAAUGACAUUGUACUAAAAGUGGUCAAAAAGUUAAAAAAUUGUAGUUAAAAUAAAACGGUACAUUGUCACUAAUUUUCACCGUUCUUUAUCUCAUUAAUUUUGAGAAUGUAGUCAUUGAUUGGACUUAAUUAAAUUGGACAAAAUUAAAAGUUUAGAGUGUAAAAUGUUCAAAAUUAAGAGUUUAGGGUGCAAAGUAUCCAAAAUUGAAGUCCGGAAAAGUAAUAUAAAUUCAGGGAUGAAAGUAGAAUUAAUCCAUUAUUACGUUGCUACAAAGAGGCCUGGCUAUGGAGACAUCUUCAUCCACAGUUCUAUUCAGUUCAGAGACAUAAAUAUUACUCUGGUCAUCUCACCAUAGAUAUCUAUCCAGGAAUAUGAUAAAGCUGAUUUUAUCAAUAUAUAUAUAUAUAUAUAUAUAUGAUAAAGCUGGUUAUGCAUUAAAAGUUUAGAUAAACGGUCAAACCAACUUCAACCAACUUGGCCUGCAAGUUGUUAAUGAAGGAAUUUAAAGUAGAAAAUGACAAGAGCUGGCAAGGAUUUGGACCAAAUGCACAUCCCAUUUCCCAAAGGACGAGAUAAAGGUUUUAGGGUCUGUUUGGUUGGAAGUAAAAUAUUUUCCUUGGAAAAAUAUUUUCCGUGGAAGUAAUUUUCCAUGAAAAUCAUUUCCCUUUCAUCAUUUUCAGGUGUUUGGUUAGCUUAUUGAAAAUAUUUUCUUACUUCAUUUUUCUGGUGCUUGUUUAACUUUUGAAAUAUUUUCACUUUUAUCUCUAUCUUUACUUUCUACACAUUAUAACUACAUACUUCUUCCCAUGCAAAAUAAGAAAAUUUAUCUCAUUGUUUAACUUUAAAAAAUCUUAGAGAAAUGUAUAUAUGAAUAAAAAAUAUCUCCUUAAGCAAUAAACAAAUUGCUGGUCAUUUAAUGUCAAAUAUCAAUCACAUGCAAUGCUUAUUGUGACAUAUAUCUUGCACUCUCACUGCUGAAAGUUUCUCUAGAAAAGAAAGUCCCUAUUAUACAUAAUUAAUUACUAGCAUAGGAUGAGCAAGAUAGGGUUUUUUUUAAUUUUGAAUAUACUAGGGGGAGGGUUGGGUUGGGUGGUACGGGGGAGGGAGUGUAAGGAAGAGGUCUUGGAUUCGAGUCAUCCUGUUUACACUAAAAAAAAAAAAGGAACAUACUACAAGAUGUUUUCAGUAAGUUUGGAACAUACUACAGGUGGGAUGCAUGUAUUUCGGAAAACAACUUCAAUAAGUUUGGAAGUAAGAUGAGUGAAAAUAUUUUACAUAGGAAAAUGUUUUCAGUAACUUUUGUGCAACCAAACACAGGAAAUUAGGAAAAUAUUUUCCUGGAAAAUAUUUUCACCCGAAACAAACGGACCCUUAAUGAGCCUAGUUUUCUACUCCAAUAUUGGUGAAAGAAAAUUUGAUUUUGAACUAUGUCAAGAUAAUCUACGAAGGUCGCUGUGUCUAAUCAUGGAAUCAUGAAACGUCCACUAUUUUAAUUAGAUACAAGAAAGACAAGUGACAAAUAUCUGAAUCGACAACUAGUCCAGAGGAGAAUCCAACGAGCAAAAGAUUUGGUGCGCCUCUUGCUUUUGUCUCUGAAUUACGAGGAUUGACACAUUGACAAACAAUUUUCUUGGUUGGCCUAAUUAUGAGUAUUUGGCAUUUUACUUACAAGCAUUUUUGGUCCUUCAUUUUCUCCUUCACCUUCUAAAAUAAUUAACCUGCAUGGUAUGGAUAGCUCGGCCACUUCGGCCGAUAUUGAGCCUUCGUAGAGACUUGUCUUGGCAUAGCUUACUUAUAUGGGGUCAUCAGAAGCUUCAGCCCACCCCCUCAUACUCGUAUUAAUCGAUGAUUGAUAUGAUUGAUGUGACAGUCAAUCACCUUAUUAUUCAAUUUUACUACUGACACUGCCAGCUAUCGCGUCUUAUCCUAUCGUACGAGAUCAGAUUACCUGUAGACUUCAUCAUUUUGCUUUCUAAGUCAUCUGGUAUAAAUAUUGAUUCUUUACCCACUCAAAAGGUAUGUGCUCUAACUCACCCAAUAUAACUCCCAACAAUUACUGACUUAAAUAUCAAAAUGACUCCACGGGUAUUAACUAGCAUGGUAAAAUUUUAAAGGGUAUUGAGUAAUUGCGGUAGAGCUUGAGUAAAUACGGAAUUAUGACUUUGAGCUUCUUUAAAAAGGAAAAGUAUUAUGUGUGUAUGGAUACAAUUAAUAGUCAAUCACGUAGUACGCCUUUGACCGCGUGUGUUGGUUAGGACAACAUAUUAUGUGCACGUGUUCAGGUGCAUUUGACACGUGCGUCAAUGGCUUCGACGCAUUGACUGGCCCUUGAUAACGUCAACAAAAUACAAAUCUAAUUUUCUGACAAGAGUUCUUUUUUUUUUUCUUUCUUUCUUUUCAAAAAAAAAAAGUUAUUUUUUUCCCCCUCCUUUUAUGCAAUUCUCUAAAAAUCGUUAGUUGGAUGAGUACUUCAAAAUGUGCAUUUUUUUGUUUUUACCUAGUGUUGUCUAAAAUCUAAAUUACGUGAAGUUCAUAGAAGUAAUAAACAAAUUGUGCGAAUUUACUGUUCUUUAACAGAAUUUGAUAUUUUUUAAGUACAAAUAAUAUCCUUGAAAGUCCAAUUUGGCUCAACAACUUAAAAGGCCAGUAUUGUUUGCAUUUUUCAUAAAUCUAACCCUUGUUAUAUUUUUUCAAAGGAAACAUUAGCUAUUUUUUUUUUUUAGUAUAAGUGGGAUGGUUCGAAUUUAAAAUCUGUCAUUUACACUCCCUUCCACCGAACCAUCCAACCUGUUUUUCUCCAUAUUAACUGUUAUUUGAAUUGACAUAUGUAAAAAAUAUUUAAUUUUUUUCUACAUUGACAGUAUAUGCAAUAGUAAGUACAAAUGUUUAAUAACUAAUUACAAUUUGAAUUUAAACUUGAAAUUUUAUAUAUGUGAUAUGCAAACACCCCGCUAGUACGUAAAGUUUGCUCGUAUACACAUAUACGACAGAUUAAACCUUUAAACAAUGUCUCGAAGAUUCAUCCUUUAAACCUUGUCUCUCAUAUACAUUAAUCACCUGGAUCUACGAAUGCCACUCGUUAAAUGCGUGUAUUAUUUCUAGGUAAAUUGCAGCCUUCAUCCUAGGUUUAAGGCCUUUAUCCGACGUCUUUAACUUUCAACUCCUACAACUUAAUUAUAUGUAAAAGUUCAUUAUUAAAAAAAAUUAUAUGUAAAAGUUUCAUCCUACUCAUUUUUCACGUAGAUUAUUACAUUUAUGAGUUACGUCUCAUACGACUGUUUUUGCCAAUUGCCCGUUAAAAUUCUAUGCUAGCAUUCCACUUUCGCCAAAUCGAUAAUAAAUGUUUUGUGGUGAAUUUACAAAUUAAACAAAAUUAGUAAAAAAGAUCUGUUAUAUCAAAGUUUAUAAUACAGUAAUAUGCAGGACACGUAAUAUAUGCAUGUGAGAGUUUUCCUAAAUGGGAAUCUUAUAUGGUAAUAUUCAGAUCUUAAACAAUAAAAUAAGACGAUUAUUUUACUGAUUUUGUUCUACCAUUAUCUUUUCUUAAUAUCAUACUAGCUGGCAAUUAUUUGUUUUUUGACUAUAUAAUGCCGUGUGAUACCGUUAUUAGAAGUACAAGUCACUCGAAUCAAACUUGAAUAGUGCAUCUUCAGUAGGGCUGCAAACGAGUAGAGUCGAGUUGAACUUCAGUCUAAUCGAGCCGAGUCUUAACUUAAUUUUAUCGAGCUCGAAUUCAAACUCAAAUUCAACGAGCUGCCAAUUUAAAAUUCGAACUCGAAAAAAUAAAAAAUAAUUAUUUUUUAAAAAAUAUAAUGUAAUAUUUUUUCUUAAUAAAUAAUAAAAUAUUAAGGAUAUAUAUGUAAUUUUAUUAUUAAAAUAAAAAAAUAUAUAUAUACUCGAGCUCGCGACGAACUUAAUAUUUUUGAACUUGAGUUCGAUUUGGCCAUCUCGAUCUCGAGUCGAGUUUUGACUCGACCCACUCGCAAACGGUUCAAUUCAUUUGCAGCCCUAAUCUUGAGUUCGAUUGUGGUUGAUUCUAGCUAAAAUACUGGAGUUCGAGUUUAAUUUGGUUUUAGCUUACUCGAACUACGUUUUGAGCUUGAUUGUAUUUUAGCUGAACUUAAGUGAUAUAAAUCAAUAUUUUUAUAUUAUUCUAAACAAUGGAUAUGAUAGAUGUUUCACACUAAACAAUAUAAAAAUUUACAAUAUAUAAUUAUAAUUGAAGAUCGAUUGAACUUGAUUAAGGUCUACAGGCUUUCAAGUAUCAAAUAUAAGGCUUAAACUCGAGCUUGUCAAGCAAUUCGAAUUGGUUGAAGUUAGCUCGAAUCGGCCAAUGUGAACUUUGACCGAAUAAACUCGUUAAUAGUUUGAUUAAACUUGGCUCAUUUGCACCACGAACCAUAACACAUACUUAUUUAGAAAGUAGCCUUUGAAAAUAUCUAAGCUUUAAAGCUAUGUUUGCAUUGAAAGAUUUGAUAAAAGAUUUGAAAUUCUCUUAAAUAGGUCGUGUGGAUGACUCAAGAGGUAUCUAAAUUUGUAAUCUAUCAACUUUAGGCAUUGUUUAUUUUGAGUAAAUGGGAGGGAAAGGAAAGGAAAUAAAGGGACAAGAUUUUUAUUGUUUGGAUUAGUCUAUGAGGAAGGAAAGAAAGGUUUAGAAAGGAAAGGGAGGGAUAAAAUUUAGUUAUUUUUUUUAGUCAAUUUUCUGUCCAAAAGUGGGUGGAAAUGAAGGGAAAGGACAUCAAGAUUAAUGAAAUUUUUGAAAUUUUCUAAAAACAUAUCAGGUGUUUACAAACUAGACUUUUUAAAUUAUGGAUAAAAAUGUAAUUAAUUCAUAAUAGUUUCCUUUCCUUCCGUAAUUCAAAUAAGACAAAUGAGCUCAAGUUUUCUCUACUCUACUUUCUUUUCUUUUUUAGUAGAAUCCUCUCUUUUCCUCGCCUUGCCAUUCCUUCAAUCCAAACGACGCCUUUGUUUAUAAAUAAUUGGUAGAUUAUAAACAAAAAUACCUCGCAAAAUAUCCAAGCAACUCGAGGAAUCCGAGAGAUUUUCAAAUCAUUCAAUCCAAAUGCAAAUCAAAGUUGUUUUUUUUUUUUUCUAAUAUUUGGCGAGAGCAUAGAAAGAAAGAAGUAUUGGAAAUGGAAAAUAGGAUAAAAAGAAAUCUGGGAACCUUCACUGUAAGAUGAGUGAUCAAGUUCCCUAAAUGCAAGAGAUUUUCUAUUUCAAAAAUAUAUUUUUCAAGGCGACUCAAUAGACAAUCUUUAAUGCAUCUAAUAUAUAUCUAAUUUAUUUUAUUAUAAGUGUAUACAUUUAUCUUCAUCAUUUUUAUUACUACAUUUUACACGUCUUCAAACCCUUCUGACGCGUGUCCUUUAUAUUUCUUGUCAAACAGGCUCAUAUAUUCAGUCUCAAUCUAACAAUCACGUGUUUCAUUUCCCUUUUUUCUGGUAAAGUAUCGAAACACAUGAGAUGUAGUUAAUCUGAGCAUGUGCACUUAUAUGCUAAAAGUUUGGCGUAAUUUAGAUAUAUUAAUGUUAAAAAAAAAAUCUAUUUUUUCUACUAUAAGAUUAUGCAAACACGUUGUAUUAAGAUUAAUACUCGCCUAAAUGUGAUGUGCUCCAACCACAAAUGUAUUACAAGGGAUAAUUUUAAAAACCUCCCUUGAGGUUUCUGAAAAGUUCACCAAAUGCUUUUGAAAUUUUAAAUAUUAUACUUACUUUCUUUGACCCUAUAAGAUGAUCAUAAUAACCUUAAUAUAUUAAUAUUUUGCAUGCAAUCAAACAAUUCGCUCAUAAUCUCGUGCAUAUGAAUGCAUCACACAAUUAGUCAUUUAAUGGAAACAAAAACAAGAUUCUCUCGUGAAAUAACUAAUUAUGUCCUAAAUACAAUUUUAACACAAUACAAAUUAAUUUUGACUUUGCUCGGGGGAAUCUAAAGAUGAAUAGAAGAGGAUGUAAGGUGAAGGAAAAAGAAUGGCGCUAGUGGUGGUACUCCAACAUUUAAGGAAUAUGAUGUUAUUAGUGAAAUUUUUGAGUUUAACAGCGUUGAUUUUUUUUUUUUUUUAACUUAGAUUGAGGUUUAAAAAUUUAGGGAUUAAUAGUGGUGGUGGUCACGGUGACAAUGGUAUUAAUUUAAGAUGUGGGAGUAUGAAAGAUUUAAAAUAGUAGAGAUAAGAGUCGAAAAUUUAUUUGAGAUUUUGUGCAUGUUCCAUAUUUUUUAAAGAAUUGCAUAAGAAGGUAAAACGAAUUUUAUAAUUUCAUGAUGGCAUUUUGGAUUUUUGACUAUUAAAUAGUUUUUGUCACCAAAAUGAUAAACACAAGAAAGGUAUGUAUAAUUUUUAAAACUUAAAAAGAACUAAGUGAAAUUGUCAUAAACUUCAAGGGAGGUUUCUGAAAUUAUCAGAUUAAUACAAUAGCAGUGGGAGUUCCCAACUUACCAUCAGUAGUCCAUCACAUACGGCGGUUUGGUUUGGUUUGGUUUGGUUUGGUCCCACCCCUGCUUUCUGCUUCUGUCUGCAUAGUUACCAAAUCCAACGGCCCCAAAACAGGCGGUGUCCCUGACUCCUUGCUGACGCCAAAAAUUACAGUACUACCACUACUACCCAAUUGCCCCCAUCCCCGAAAAAAAAAAAAAAAGAGAGAGCGAGAAAACACGUUUCCCCCAACCAAUCCUCCCCUCACAUGUUUUUUCUUCUUCACAUCGUAAAAGCUCUCGUCUUCCCGUCUUUUCCCCUAUCCAUCUCUCUCUUACAAGCUAUCUUUAUCUAUAUCUAUAUCUACACCGACAUAUCCAUAAGCAAUCGGCUCUGAAUUUUGACUUUAAUUUUGGGGGAAAGAAGGAAAGGAAGAAAGAUCAAGGAAAAGGCCCAAAUAGAUAAAAAGGGAUUAGACUUGGAGAUUGAAUGCUUGCUCUGUUUUUUUUUGGGGGGUUCUGUUUGAGGGAAUUGAGGGGAUUGCUGGGAUUUGGUUAAUUUGGGUGAAUUGUUAAUUUAAUUGGAGGAAUCGAGGUGGGAUAAUUUAGGGUUUUGGUGGUGGUUGAUUAAUUUAAUUUAAUUUAAUUUGAUUGGAGAUGGGAUUGGACGGUGGGGAUAUUCUAGAUGACGGCGAUGGAGUUGGAGGAGGAGGAGGAGGAGAGGGAGAAGGGGAAGCAUUGGUCACCGUUCCGUGUUCGAUUUGUUUGGAUGCUGUGACUGAUAAUGGGGAUAGAUCUUGGGCUAAGCUUCAAUGCGGUCACCAAUUCCACCUCGGUGAGUUAUGAUUUUUUUUUUUCAUUAGCUUUGUUCUCACGGUUUUAGUUAUUUUGAUUGUAUACUUUCCCUUGUAAUUAUUGAGAUCUGAUUCUUUAAUUUUAGAUAACUGCAAAAUGAUCGAGAAAGAGUGGUCAGUUGAGUUUAAUUUACUAAGUUGGGGCGGAUUGAAGUUUGUAUUUUUGUGGUUUUGGAUUAUUCCAAUUUGAUCGGUUUUUGCUAUUUUAUUUCUCAAUUUUUGCUGAAUUAUGUGGUUGAUGAGGUGGGCAAGUGUGUUUAUACAUGCAUGAAAGCUGUAGAAGUAUUUACUAGUAUUAUUUGUUUUGAAAAUAAUGUUGAAAUGACGAUCUAAUAGUGGCAGGGAAGGGUUAUAGUGAGUUGGGUUGAUUAAAGUUUGACCUUUAGGAUUUGGCUACUUCCACCACUACAGGUUGUUAGUGUUUUCCACAACAUCUAGAUAAAUUGUGGCUUGAUCGUUUGUAAAAGCUUAAUUUUCUUGGGUUUUGGUCAAGUCAUGGUUUGUUGGUUGCAGCACUGGUGUUUGGGGAAAAUGCGUUUGAGAAAAGAUGAUAAUUUUUGUGUGUGUGUGUUUUUUUAUGGAUGUGGGCGGAUUUAUUUUAAGAACUUCCCAAGAGAUUGUAUUGAUUUAUCUCUCAAGUGUAAUUAUAUUGGAAUAGAAAUGAUGGCUUUGGAUUCACUCAAAUAGAUAUACCGUCACAUUUGCACAACUUUCAGUUUCUUUUAACUGCAAAUUAGUCUAAGCUCAUUAAUACAAGGCAUUAGUACUUUCUCUUAGCUGUAAAAUCUGAUAAAAAUGAAGCAGAAGGACAACCUUACAUCUGAUUCUUUUGCUUCCCUUGAGUGUAUUGAACAGUGAGCUGAUAUUUUGUAACCUGUAUUGGAUAAUUCAGUAGGUGCACCUCAUUUCUUGAAUUUUGGAGCAAUCAAUUGAUCUUGCUAGACUUUGUGUUUCUGUUGUGCUCAAUUGAUGGAUUACCGCUUUCCCUUGGACUUAAGAGCCUGAGGUUAUUACUUCCCAGUUGACUUUGUGAAAGAAGGGCUAAGUAUUUAGAUUCCAAUCUUGGUAAAGGCAAGAAGGAUUGCAUUAGUCAAAUGCUCAUAAAAAAUGAUGGCACAUUUUAAGACUAGGAGAGAGUUAUCCAUCAUUCAUACCAAAAAAAGUAUUUGAUAUAUGGGAAUGAUUGCUGGCCAUUAUUUUUCAAGAAUGGAAAAAAGACCCUUUAAGUUUGAAAGUUAUUAAAUGCCAUCUGCUUGCCCAUUCGUUCUUUGCUCCUUGUAUUGUUCCUUUUAAGAGCUGAAGAUAUCAUAUAAUUUCCCAAGGAUUUAGCUCGUUACUAUUUAUAAUCAUAUUGCAUUUUUCUCGAGUCCUGAUGAUUGUGUGAAGGUUUCUUUAUAUUUAGGUCUGAAUUUUUAGUAAGAAUUUUGACAGUGUUCUGGUGUACUAAAAGAUUGACUUUCUUUGCAAUCUGGUACUAACGAAGAAAAGAAAUGGUUUGAAGGUUUCCUUGGGUUUAGGUCUGAAUUUUUAGUGAGAAUUUUGACAGUGUUCCGGUGUACUAAAAGAUGACUUUCUUUGCAAUCUGCUAGUAAUGAAGAAAAGAAAUGGUUUGAAGACUGAGAUUUGUGUGGCAACUUUUGGAAUCAAAACCGCUGGCUGGACAUUUGUAAUCUAAGUAGUUAGUAGCCAACAGCCAGAAGCCUUAUAUACUAUUGCACAAUGUUCAUACACCUAAUAUGGGCUCAAAUUCUGGGGUAACAGCACCUGUUGAUCACAUGACAUGGCAUGCCUGUCUUUCACCAUGCCAUAUUGCAUGUGGCUGCUCUGCAGGUGUAACUAUCCAGUUGUCUAAACUAACAAUCAUCUGAGUCUGAACCAUUGCCCAGCACCCAAUUCUUAUGUACUUGUAUAUAAUAAACUUAUAGUACCCUGUUUGAUUCUUAUUGAGGGUCAUAUUAUGCGCUAGAUUCUUCAAUUUGAUUCAGUUGACACCUUUUAAAAAAGAUUCUGUAGUGAAUAUUAGUAUCCGAUAAAAUUCUGGAUAACAUGAUGUGACAAAAAUGCUAAAUUUGAUAUGACCUUUUGAUCUUCUUUGUCCUUUUCUGAGAUUUCUGCUUUCUUUACGCAAUAGGCUUAUGUUUUGGCUGUGAUUGCUCUCUAUGGCUAAAACUAUUGCUUUAUGCUUCAUGAACUCUGAUUUUCUAUUUGGGAAUGUCACUACAUAAAAGCAAAUCAUCUAAAAAGGAACAGUAUUGUACAAUUCAGAAAUUUGGUCCCAUUUCACCAGAAAAUAUAUAGUCAACUCAAUAUAUGUUCCCUUUUGCCAUUAAUAUUGCCGCUUCGAUUGUGGUUCAGGAUGCUGGGGCUUUUUUCAGCCUAUUCAGAAUUUGUCAUUUGUGAAGUGGAAUAUGAUAGACAUAUAAUAUGGGAAUGUUGAAUUUUGCUGGCUAACAGUCGAUUCUAUUGACCUAUUGCUUCGGUUUUAUUAGGGAAUAUUUGCGUUGGAUGAAUUUUUUAAGUACAAUGCCAGGGAUGGGAAAUUGUGAUAGACUAUUGUCCUUGCUGAGGUAUUAUUGAGGGAUAAAGAUUUAAUGAUUUCCUUUUUUUUUUUAAGAAGUAGAAAAGAUAUGUAUUAGUAGGUCCUCUAAUGACUUGAGGAACUUAUGUGGUUUUAACUACAACUUUUAAGGAUGUUUGAACAAGUUGGUACAGGAGUUCAUAAAGAAAGGAAGCAAAAAAAAUUGAAGUGCAAGGAGAGUUUUCAACCUUUGUUUUAUUGUGCUGAAUACUGAGUUGAGGAGGCAUAUAUAUAUAUAUAUAUAUAUAUAUAUUUUCAAAGCUGUAUGGCCUCUUGAAACUCCUGAUGUUAUGUCCUCUUUUUGAGGACACCUGCUUGGGAGGCAAUGUUAGGAGUUGGUAAUCUAGGGGAUACGAGGAUAGGCUUAGCCCAUAUUAGGAAAGAAGCUGGCAGGUUGUAUAAAUUGAGCACCUGUUUGUUAUGGUAGCAAUCUUUUCAGAAUUUGUAGAGGUUCAUGGAUAUCAAUAUUAAAGUUGACAGCGUGCUUCCUCUCCCUUUCCCUUUCCAUGUCAUGUGGUGCAUUUUGAAGGAGAGUGGUCGGUGGUCAUCUGAUACUUCAUACAGUAUUAAUAUUUUUCACCUGCACAAUAUUCUUCAUAACCUUCUUGAGUCCUAAAGAAAUCAAUCAAUCAGAAAGCAGUUGAAAAGGGGUGAGCCUAUCUCCCAACCUAUCUCCCAACCAGCAGAUGAGAGUGCCCUUUUUAUGUCUUUAUGUUCUACUGUGCCCCUAUCCAUUUUAGGAUGACAAAUGAAGAAUUACUUCAGAUGGGUUAGCAUGUGCUACUUCUGUGACUGGAUAUGAAAUCAAAACUUUCAUUGAAUUAACAGUUUGUUAUUGCUUCUGGUUCAUCGAAUCUUCAGUUUGAUUAUUGAAACUAUUAUGAUCUUGAAUGGUAGGUUGUGCUGUCAUAUAUUUUUGCCAAGGAUGUUCCUGUCUUGCAUUGAUUUCCUACUAGUCAUUAUGGAACAUAUUAAGCAUAAGAGGCUUGAAUUUUGGCCAAUGUAAUCAGCAAAAUUAAUGUCUUUAAUGAAUUCUAUGGGAGCCAUCUUUUUCUGUGCUCAAACAAACUUCACUGUGAUUUGACGAUGACUGACUGUUCCCAUUUCUCCUAUGGGUAUGUCUCUCGUUCUCAUGCAGAUUGCAUUGGUUCUGCGUUUAAUGCUAAGGGUGCAAUGCAGUGUCCCAAUUGUCGAAAGAUUGAGAAAGGCCAGUGGCUGUAUGCAACUGGCUGUCGACAGCUACCUGAGUUCAACAUGGAUGAAUUUGCUCAUGAUGAAGAUCUUUAUGACCUUAGCUACUCUGAAAUGGUAAUAUAUCUUGUUGAUCCUCUGUUAAGAGUUUUUCUAUGUUUUGGCUUCUGUGGUUUUCUAUUUUUCUCAUGUUCUAUGACUAUGGUAGCUUGCUGAUGGUCUGUGAUUGGAAAAGAGUGUCACAUUGACACACGCACAAGCAUAUAUAAAUAGCUUUGAGUUUGUAGAAAGAAGUGUUGUGCUGUCUGAGUUUGCUGACCUGAUGUAUUGCCACUUUGAUUUUCCUACUGGCUCUAGUUUGGCUGCUAGUAAUUACGUGUUAAAUGUCAAGAUGGAACAAGAACGAAAUCACAUUAUGAAGAAUGUAAGUGGACCAUUAAUAAUCUUGGCCAUCUUCUUCAUUGAGAAUCUGCAUCUGGAGUUUGUGCUAAUAAUCUAUAUGCAGUUUGUUCCCCAGCAUCUGUUAAAAAAAGAAAAUAGAAAGAAUAAAAAAACUGACUGCAAGCUAUGGACGUUUCAUACGAUCUUUUGUAUUCUGUUCCUUCUCUCUCAUGUUGGUUGUCGCUAUACAUAAGAUUAGUGAAGAGCUUUCCUUAUUAAAGGUUGUGUGCUGAAGGAGUAUUUUAGCUAAUGAAAAGAAGUAUCACCAAAUUAGUAUAUUUUUACUUGUACAUUGUCAAUUGUUAUUGUUUUUCUGAGCUAGAAGUGUCUUAGGCUCUAGGAAUUAAGUUCACACUUUUCUGUAAUGAAUGUGGCUCAGGGUUCUGGGCAAGAACUGGUUGUUUAAUCUGUUGGUUGUAAGUUUGAGAAGACAACACUGAGUAUAGCUGUGGACCACAUACACAGUCAUUAUGGAAGGAGAUGCAUCUACAUGUUUACACAUGUUAAAGGACUUCAGGUUUCAUUUUAUUGAUAACUGCCAACUAUAGAGAAGUUACUUGAUCUAUCAGCACACGAGUUAACUGCAUUCCUGCAAUUGCUCGAAGAUAGAAACUGGAAUUGUUUGUACAUUUCUUUCAUGUCCCAAAUAUCAGUUCCUUAAACUUUUUUCUUGAUUAGCGUGUGAUGUUUUGAAGUAUGAACCAAUAUGCUUAAGUAUAAUCUACACACACUUAUGCUCUUCAGGUUUGGAUAAUCAUUUAGUAUGCAGCAAUGGUAUAUCUUGCUAUGAAAUUGGUUUCAUAUGGUGGCUAUGUUACUGCACUUGAUUGUGUUACUUUUUACUGGUAACUGAAGCUAUGAGUUAUGGUGUGCAUUUUGUCUUGUGUUUUUUCCCGGAUCUGCUGCACCUCUUUCAGAAUGUGGACUACUAUACUUGUAAAAACAUGUUUUAGAAUUCAGCUUGUGGAAUAAUGUGCUCAUACUUUUGUUUUUAACCACGUAUGUAAAUUAUUAGAGUAGAGAAUACUUCUUGUUCUAUGUUUUCAAUAUUUAUGACAACUCAAGUUUCUUACAUAUUAGCAGUUUUUGCAGUCUAUUGGAGUUCAUUGGUGUCCAUUUAGCGGAUUGACUCGGCUACCUUCAUCUUUUGAGUGAGUACAACCACAAUAUACUUUCUAAAUGAAUUUGACUUUCGUUUCAUGAUGCAUUCUUUUGUGAACUUUUGAAUGCUACAGCAAAUCUCUCAGUUUUCGAUGUUUUUGAAUUCUCACCUUGAGGUGGGUUUGGUUUCUGCAACUGAAUAUCACAUCCAAGAAGCCAUUUGUGUUUCAUUAGUUGUUACCUCUGAGAAGGGGCUGAGCUAGAAUGUGAUUCAGUGGGGGCAAACUUAACAUGUGAAAUUCUACUACUAACGGUAUCAAAAGAUAUAUGUUUAACUAACAAUGUAAUCAAUACAUGCCAAAAGUUAUGUACAUAGUCAAUUCAAAAUUGAGCAAAAAAAAAAAAAAGUAUCUCUCAAAUGUCAAGUUCCUAAUAAAGGAGUUUUCUUCUCUUCUAAUAAAUUUUCUCUAGAUUUCUUGUUAAGAUGAAAAAAAAAAAGAAUGAGCACUUAGGAAGCUCCACUGCGUAAGUGAAAAACUUUUCAAAUGGGUUUGUCUGCUGGAGCACGUUGGAAAAGACUGAGAAAGAGAAUAAAUGGAAAAUUGAGUCUCUCUCUCUCUCUGUUUAGACAAGGUGUUAUUUAUUAUUAUUAUUUUUUAAUUUUUAAGUGUGUUGACUUAUUUGGAUGUAGGGACAUAAAAAGUGUGAAACACCAAUAAACUAUUUUUGAAGGACAGUGGGGCAAUUUCCUUUAAGUGUGGGUUAAACCUAUAACUUUUUACCUAUAUAUCGAGAUUUUUUACCUAUAUAUAAUUGCCCCUCUACUUUACCUGCAUCUCUGUCUCUAAUCCAAAAAAAAUUGCUCUUCCAUACAGCUGUGUUUUGCUUUGUUUUUUCCCACUAAACUCUUCUAAACAAAAGAUAUUCAAAUGUGAUAGCCAGGGCUCGCAGUAAAGAAAGUAUUAAGGACCAUGUGGUGGAGCACAACUGUGGUGUUCUUACAUCAUUGAAUGAUUUCUACUAUCCAUUGGGGGGAAAAUACUGAAAAGGAUUUUUUUUAAGUGGAUGAUAUCAUGAGUUUUUUGGUGUGGUGGGAUUUGAGAUCCUGAAUUUAUAAUUCCCAGCAGUGAGCUGCAUUUUUUACUAAAGUACUCUCGUCUGUUUUUGUUCAAAUAUGUGUUUAAUAAUGUAUUGAGAAUUUAGAACUACUACUUGUUGCAGAGUAGAUUUAAAGUAUAGGAUCAGUCUGCCUCCCACCCCAAUCAUCUAUUCUCUCUCCUCUUGUUAUUUGUGUAGAGCAUUAUAUGCUCCUAGAAUAGUAGGAACACACAGAAAGUCAUUUGGAGAAAGUUUAAUCAUUGUAGUGCCAAGCUUUAAAGCUGAAAGGCAUAUAUUUUAUUCAAGCUAAGAGAAACACAAAAAUAGGGGAGAAGCUCCUAUCUUGUUCAGUCACCAGAUCCAAGAGCUUGACUCUUUGAUAUAGAAAAUGAAGCGUUCGUGGAUUAAAGAAUUUAAGCUUCAUAAUUUUUGAUGCAUGUUGCCUGUAAAUGCCAAUAGGAAGAGAAGAAAUUGGAUAUGUUUUCUGCAUAAGGAGAAGUUCAAGGUCAUCCAGUCCAUUUCUACUUUGUGACUACUUAAAUAGAGUUCUAAAUCCAUUCGAGUAAGGAAACCCACUCGGUUUUCAGUUAGAUGGGAAGGGAUAUACGAGGUCCAGUGGUAGCCUAACACACAGCACUGCAGAAAGCUUUUAAGGCGUGCCAAAAUUUUGGUGUUUGGUUUAGUGCGGGAAUUGCUAGUUUUUGCACAUAUACUUGUCUAAGUGGCUUAUGGAGACUCUGGUGCUCUGGUUUUCUGGAUGAGAUGUAAAUUUAAAGUUCCUAGAUUUCCUAUUCAACAUUGUAUUGAUUAUUUUUGUUAAAAAUACAAGAAUUGUUCACAUUAACAAGGUUUGUUGUCUUCAAGCUUUGAUCCAUUAGUUAUUGCCUUUUUUGAAAAAGGUCUGUUUCAGUAUAAUUGGCCAUUGUGGAGGUGAGGGAAUGGUUAAGUACUGCAAUCCAAGGUGACAGGCCAACCUGGUCGGCCCUUGAUACCUUGAACUGAAGAUUUUAGGUUGGAAGUUUUGGUUUGAGAACUUGGUGAAGGUUGACCAUUCGUUAUCAACAUUAGAAUGGGCUGUACUGAUUAUUUUUCUGUAACCCUUGCUCAACCACUAGCAAGUCACUAUUCUGUUAAUGUACUUGUACUGGAUGUUUCAUGUUUAUUUAUGGCAUUUUGUUUUUUUGAUUAAGGCGACAAUUGAUGUCACAUUAAGGUUGUCUUGCUUUGAUUUGGUCAUGGUGUUGUCACAUUGCAUUUUGAAGUUUAGAGUUACUUUUGUUUCUUUCUCAUUUACAGUGUUUUGACAUGUUAUCUUUUUACACUUUGCAGAGAAGGAGAAUACUCAUCUACUGCAUGUAAGGUCUUUUCUUCUGACUUAAAGCUGCAAGUCUUGUGAAGCUUGGUAAUUGAUAGGGCAUUUCCUAUUUUGCAGAUCAUGAAAUUUUUGGACAACAUGCUAUCCUUGCUGAGCAUACAGCUAUAUCAUCUGCGAGUCAUCCAUGCCCAUAUAUUGCCUACUUUGGACCAGUCCAUCCCUCAUCAUCAAAUUCAAAUGCUAGCGUUUCCGAUGGUUCUAAUUUUAAUAAUCAUUGGAAUGGUGCAUCUGUACCAAAUGAGAUACCUGCAUCUUAUGCUUUCCCUGGCAUGGAUGUUCAUUAUCACAGUUGGGAUCACCAUUCCUCCCCUUUCCCUACCACAAGCAGUCGCAUUGGUGGUGCUGAUCAACCCUCAAUCCCAUCCGCGGCUCAAAGAGCAGCUAGAACGAAUUCUGAUGUUCCGAGAUCGGGAUCCUUUGUGCAUCCUUUCAUUGUUGGUCACAGGUUGGUAUUUGUUCAUCAGUAAUCCGAUAUGCAUUUACUGGAUUAGGCGUCACAACUUCUUUUGUAAGUGGUGUUGUACUAGAAUAUGCAUGUAUCCUGUAACUGGGCCAAAGCCCUCAAAAAGUACACAUGUCAUUGCCAGAUCAAAGUCCCUAGUCUCCCAAAGGGAGGAAUAGAUUGAAUUAAUGAAUAGGAUUGAGUUCUAUUGUUCAGAAGGAAAACAUCAUCUUAGACACUUUUAUUUUAUAUUGAACGAACAAAGUUGAUUUUAGGUAGUCCAUCUCAGAAAGUUUCUCACCAGCCAGUUUAACUAUAGGCAAUAUCACUAUCAGCAGCAGGCCUUUGCUAUUUUUCCUGUGCGAUUGUUUUGUUGUUUUUGUUUCCUUUUUUUAACAUUAUGAUAUUCUGAAUAAGGACACAGUUCUGCUGCCAGAGCUGGGAGCUCAGUUGUCUCAUCAAUGAUUCCACCUUACCCUGGCAGUGUAGCUCGGGCCCGAGACCGUGUUCAAGCUCUUCAGGCAUAUUUUCAGCAACCAAGCAAUACACCAUCAAUACGCAAUCCAGUGAUGUCUGGAUCACGGAGAUCAAGUGCUCAUAGGAGUGUGGCACAAGUUGGUCCAGUUGCUUCAUCGUCUGACCAGACUGGUGCUUUUUAUUUCAUCCCUUCAAGUUCAUCUGGAAGAACCUAUCAAGAAGCAGAAAAUUCCCUGCCCAAUCGCUUCCAUGGUUGGGACCGAGAACACUUGCCUUCGUUUCCCUCGAGUCAGAUUGAUAGAGACCCGGGUUGGGGACCAUUCCAUCAAGCAGCUGGUGGGGCUGAUGGUAGUCUCAGGACUAACAGCUUUCGUCAGAGGCAUGGACCUGAGAGGAUGCCAUCACAAAAUCGGUCAUAGACUGCUUAUUAUGUCGUGAUGAAACGUUAUGAUAACUAUGACUGAAACACAAUUUAUAUAUAAUGUUUGAGAAACAAUGAACAACAGUUGUAGCCUGUCAAGAUUGGCAGACGAAAAGCUGUUAGAUGGCCUUAAAAGUUUGGUGGCCAAGUGAUUGUGUGAUGGAUUUUGG
rnacentral:lncRNA from 1 species